rnacentral:lncRNA from 1 species
AAGUUACAAUUUGUCCUGCCCCAAAUACGAGCCAUGGACGUGCCAGCAGGCACAUUAAGAUACCAAGUUUGGCCACGGUCUAGACGGCGCCCACCGCCAGGUGAGGCUGCGGCCCACACAGUGUAAGGGCAAUUGUUUCGGAUUUCGAAGGUGGCUGCAUUAGUAGAGAUGAUGAGAAGGCUAAAGAGGAGGGAGGAGGUGAGAAAUUUGGUUAAGUGGCUCAUAGUUGUUUACUGGAUACUAGCUUAUGUCUAUCUGUGAUUUGAUUCAUGGUGUCAUUUAUGGUCUUUAUAUAGGGGAGGGGCGGCUUUUGGAUUCCUAUACAUUAUGGCAAGUGCACGGUAUUAAAUUUAGAAAUAGAGGCGGCUGCGUGCCUGCCUGCCUUCCUAGCUAUAUAUAUUUUAUUGAUAAAAAGAAAAGGAAAAAAAAAAACCAAAAGUUAGUUUGGUGGUUGAAAAAAUAUGUUUGUUGCUUUGAUUUUUUUUUUAUAUAUAUCUAAAGUAUAAAACUAAUAUUAAAACAAAUUUAGUAAAUGAAUGAGUGUUUGUUAAUGUGUUAAUAAUUAUUUUUUAAAGUAUUUUUUUAUUUAUAAAUACAUCAAAAUAAUAUAUAUUUUUAUUUUUUAAAAAAUUAUUUUUAAUAUCAGUGCAUUAAAACCAUUUAAAAAUAUAAAAUACUAAUUUUAAACAAAAUAAAAUUUAAAUUUUACUUAAUCUCCAUUUUGAGAAGCAAAGGGCUAAAUUUAUCUGAACGCAAUAAACCAACGUGCAGGUAUAUUCUUAAAAUCAUUCUAAAAAAGAUUUUAAUAUCAUAAAUAUGCAAGUUGAAUGGAUAAUAUUUCUUGUAUAAAAAAGAAAAGCUAGGAAUCAUUAGGGCAGCGUGCCUUGUAAAACCAAUCAUGUUCAAUAUGGAGAUUUCAGACAAGUUGCCUCUUCUUAAUCAACUGUUAACCCAAAUACGUUGUAUCGAUAGAACGUGGUUGGUGUCAUCAUGUAGACUUUUCUCAUGUGAAUACGUGUCUUAAAAUGUGUCCUACACGCUAGUUCUUCAACUAUCUUGUUUGUUUUUUUUUUAAAAAAAAAUUAUUAUAUUUUUUAUUUGUUUUAAAUUAUUUUUUUAUUUUUAAAUUAUUUUAAUUUUUUAAUGAUAAAAAUAAUUUUUUAAAAAUAAAAAAUAUUUUUAAAAAUAACUGUUAUUAUAAUACCAAAAUAAAUAUAAAAAAAGUUUAUGAAAUAUAUCAAUAAAUAUAAAUUUUCACUAAUGAUAAGUGGUCAGUCCCUGUUUGUUUUUGCGUUUCAAAAGUACUUUUGAAAAAAUUUAAUUUUUUAAAUUUUUUUCUUUGAUUCAAAUUAAUAUUUUUUGGUAUUUUCUAAUCAUUUUGAUAUGCUGAUAUCAAAAAUAAUUUUUAAAAAAUAUAAAAAUAUUAUUUUGAUGCAUUUCCGAGUAAAAAAUAUUUUAAAAAGUAACUGCAACCAUACUUUUAAACAGAUAAAAUAUUAUUUUUUCUACUUAAAAUUAUGGGACAAAUGAAGAUUUAAAAGAAAAGAAAAAGAAGAAGAAAAGCUUAGAAUUGAAGAAAGGAGCCGAAGAAAAGAAAGAAUGGAAGUGAAGAGAGGAAAAAUGAGGUUGAAAAAACCAAAAGUCUGCAACUUUUUUUUUUUCAAGAUAAUUACAAAAACAAAUUAUAUAUUUUGACUCGUUUAUUGUUUUCAAUAUAAAAUUUAUGAAAUUAUUGUUGGAUUCAGUGGUCAACGAAAAUAUAUUUUUAUUUUUAUAUUUAAUGAAUAUAAAUCCGCACUAUUUUCUUAUAAACUUAUUUUAUCUCUUCCAUAUAUAAUAAUAUCUCUCUGCAUUGUCUAUCUCUCUCUCUAAACAUACAAAACAAUAAUAUUUUUGUUGUGAUUAUGAGUGUUUUUUAAAUAUUUUUUCGUGUCAAAAUGUAUGUUAAUAAUGUCUUUUUAUUUUUUAAAAAUUAUUUUUAAUAUCAACACAUCAAAAAGAUCCAAAACAUACAAAUCAUAUUAAAUUUUAAUAAAAAAAAAUUAAUUUUUUUUGAGAACGCAGCCGCAGCCACGUUCCCAAACAUUCCCAAUACUUCGGAUAAAUAUGGGGAGCUGAAAACUUCUUGCCAGUGUUAUUUUAUUCAAUUUUUUUGAAAUCAUAAAAACCCCGUGUUUUGAUAAAUUAGGCUGCGUUUGUUAUGCGAUCGUUUUUAUGUUUGCGGUGCAAUAAAUACAGUAAGAUAUUUAAUAACAAACUAAAUUGUAUUUUAUAUUAUAGGAUCUCUUAAAAAAUUAAGUUGGAAAUGUAGUUUUUAUAAAAUAGUUUUUAUAUAUUUUUUUAAUUAAAUUUUGUAAAAUCCUGUUUAUUUUUAUGUUUCAAAAGCGUUUUUGAAAAAAAUUAAAAACAUUUUAUUUUAUUUUUACUUCAAAUUAAUAUUUUUUUAAGUUUUCAAAUUAUUUUGAUGCGCUAAUAUCAAAAAUUAUUUUUUAAAAAUAAAAAAAAUAUUUUAAUGUAUUUAUAAGUAAAAAAACACUUUGAAAAGCAACCGAAACCACAUUUUCAAAUACAAUUACCAAAUAUUUUAUAUAUAUUUUUUACUAUACAAAAAUUUUAACCAUAAUUUUUAUCAAACAAUAUCUAAAUUUAACUAAUAACACCUAUUUAUAUUUUUUUAAAAUUUAUUUAUUUUUUAAAAUAUAAUCACCGAAAACUACCUCAAAAACAAGGAUAAACUCUGAAGAUUACUACGGAUGAGCAGCUAUGAUGAGCUUCGCAGGGAGCUUGCUAUGAUGAGCUGCUAUGAUGAGCUUGCUAUAAUGAGCAGCUAUGAUGAGCUGCUAUGAUGAGCAGCUAUGAUGAGCUGCUAUGAUGAGCUUGCUAUGAUGAGCAGCUAUGAUGAGCUUCGCAGGGAGCUUGCUAUGAUGAGCAGCUAUGAUCAGCUUGCUAUAUUUUAUUCAAUUUUUAUUCACUAGAUACUUUCAAGUUGAGCAGCUAUGAUGAGCUUCGCAGGGAGCUUGCCCGCUUGUUUCUCCUAGAAGGGUAUAUUCUUCUUUUGACUUGUAUCUUGCCAGGGAAAUUUGUUUCCUCGGCAUUUCAUAAAUUGCCACAGCUUGCUCUGAGAGGCAGUGAUUGUUUACUUUUAUGAUGAUUACGAAGCAAAUUCAACAAGUUUCGGCAUUCUUACCCAUGGGUUCAAUUGGGGGAUGCUUUGAUAUAAACCUAUCUUUCAUAACUAAGCGGCAUUGUAGCAAGCAGAGAAGAUAGCUUUGGUAAAGGAAGGAAGGCUAUGGAUAAAGCACUAGUAGUAGAUCUAAUAACUAUGUCCCUUGUAACAGAUUGCUUUCUUCUUGUUCUUUGCCAUAACGCCCAUUCUGGGAUGUGUUGGAAAAGGAAUUCCACACCUAAACCUAGUCCCAUUCCAAGACUACUCUUUCUUUUCCUGGUCUGGAUCAAUCACUUUUGUUUUGAAUCCCCUGCCUACUAGGAUACCUGGCUUGCCCCCAGUUGCUAUGUUUCUCCAAGGUUUAAUCUCAACUUUUCUGGCCUUUUCAAUUAGAACUUGUGAAGAAAAAAGAAGAAGCUAUUUUAAUUCCUUGACCUUUGCGAAUAGAACAAGGAAUAGUUGAAACGGUGAAAAUUGAUUUUGGAUAUACUAUUAUGAAUCCUUUGGUUCUUUUUUUCCUGAAACUGUAGAAAAAAAGAACACCAAUGAUGCCCCUAAUUGUUCGAUGAAAUGUCUAAAAGGAAUUUGUGUUGAUGAAAUCAUAGAUGAUAUUAUUGUAAUUAUAAAUUAUAGAUGGCAAUUUUAUUAUUUUGAUAAAUAUAAUGAUAAGUUUAUAAAUAAUUAGAUUUUUUUGCUGAUUAUUUUAGGAUAUCAAGUGUUAACGUUUAUAUAAAUUUCAGAAAGAUAAUCGUUAUUUCUCAGGCCUUAGAUGGAUAUUAGUCACUCUUUCGUUGUUGUAUUUUCAUUCACUUAUGACGCUCAUACCCUGUUUGUCAAAAUGCCUCAACCAAUUGGACUUUUAUAACUAUUAAGAAACCAAAACUAAAACGUUUACGACUUAUUUGAAGGUCAAGUUUAUUUUCAUCAUUCUGAUUUUGAUUUUGUUGCUGUCUACUUAAAAUGCAGCUUGAAGGAAAGGGCUUCUCUCUCUUCGAAGGCUCUGACAGUAUUUGCUUAAGAUGUCACCUGUGUGUGACGUUAUCGAUUGUUCAAAUAUUAAUCCCUGCUUGGUUCAACUCUAGCAAAGAUGCCAUCAUCAGUAUCACCGCGGUUGCUCUUUCUUGUUGGGGAGUCAUUACCCUUUAAGAAGUUAUCGGUUGGUUCUAUCUCGGCUUUUUGUCAACGUAGUGUGUCGUAUUGACAGGGACAAACAUGCACCUCUCACACUUGCAAAUCUUGGAUUUAAUACCAAGUUUGGAACAACUACCAAAAAUAAAAGAAAUAAACCUGAGAAUCUGAAAGUGAAUUAUCCGAAUGAAGCACCGAAAAGUUGAACGAAGGCGGUUGGAAGCAACAAAACUAGAGUCGGGACUCGGCUCCAUUUGCUGCAAAGUCAUUUUCUGAGCUUGGCCUUCCUUCGCCGUUGAUAGAUAGGUUAGAGAUUGGACGAUUUAAUGUUCCAACUAAUGUUCAAUCUGCAGCAAUCCCGACUAUUCUCAUGAACCAUGAUGUUGUCAUACAUUCAUAUACUGGGUUAGGGAAGACACAUGCAUAUGUACUUCCUAUACUGUCUGAAGUUGGACCUCUGAAGAAUAAAUCUUCAAGUGGCGAUAAAGAAAGUCGGAAAAAUACAGACAUAGAAGCAGUGAUUGUGGCGGCGUCUAGAGAGCUAGGUAUGCAAAUAGUGAGAGGGGUUUAGAAGCUGUUAGGACCUGAUAACAUGAGAGUGGUUCAGCAACUUGUACUGGUCAAGACAGAAAGAAGCUUUAAAGAAAAACAAGCCAUUGAUUGUUGUGGGUACACCUGGCAGGAUUGCAGAGAUUAGUGCAGCUGGUAAACUUCAUACCCGUGGUUGUCGUUUUUUGGUCUUAGAUGAAAUUGAUGAGCUUCUUUCAUUUAACUUCCUGGAACUGUUAAUCUGUCAAGGCCUAUUUCUAAUUCAAGCUCAGACUCAAAUCUCCAGCCUUGGCCAACGGUACAGAGCCUUCCUCCAGCAUCCAAACGCUAUUAUUACACCGCAAGGUUGGUACUCUGAGAAGAUGUGUUCAUGCACUGGAUGCGCAGUAUGUGAUAGCCUUCAUGAACCAUACAAGGCAGCUAAAAGAUGUUGUCUUCAAACUAGAGGCUCGUGGGAUGAAUGCUGCAGAGCUCCAUGGAGAUCUUGGCAAGCUUGGUAGGUCGACAAUUUUAAAGAAAUUUAAAGGUGGCCAGGAGAGAGUUCUCAUAACGAAUGAACUUGCAGCAAGGGGUCCGGAUGUUCCAGAGUGUGAUCUUGUUGUCAAUCUUGACCUGCCUACGGACUCAAUUCAUUAUGCACAUCAAGCUGGCAGGACUGGCCGGCUUGGUAGGAAGGGCACUGUGGUGACAAUUUGCGAGGAGCCAGGAAUGUUUGUUGUGAAGAAACUGCAGAAGCAGCUGGAGUCUAUAUUCCUGCAUGCGAGUUUACAAAGGGCAAGCUUGUUGUCACUGAAGAAGGGAAGAAACAUGCGGAGGCCUUGAGGUGAUGGACAGAUUAUUAUAUCUUUUGGUUUUGCUUAUUUCCAUCAAGAUAACGGGUAUGUUUUAUGGCAUAGUCAAUCCCUGCUGUUUUCUUAAGCAGCUUUUUGCAGCUAGAUUAUGUUGAAUUUGAAGUUUAUUAUGAGAUAUUCAGUUUUUAGAGCUUGAAGUAAUAAUAACCACUUAUAAAGCCUAUGAUUAUGACCUUCAUGUAAAAUAGCUAAAAAUCAACUCAUUUAUCAAUCCAGUAGCAACAACCUACACAACCUAGCACCCAAUCAUGUUUAACCUGGAAAACAAGAGGAAGGAAAAUGAUUGUAUUUCAUAUGAUUGAAGAAGCAGCAGAGCAUGAUUUUACACCGGGCAUGCCCAUAAAGGGGAUUCCUUUUCUUUUACAUGCUAAAUCGGAGAUGAUUUGUUGUGGUUCAGAAAGAAAGCUAGGAUUUUAAGCAGGAACGAGAUGCGUCACCAGAUGAUUCUCUUGCAUAGCCUGUAGCCUGAUAACAGAGUGCAUAUCACAAUGACAAGGAAAGUCACAAACGACACGACUGUGGAAAUGAUGACCGCCUUCAAGAUCGAUGCAGUUUUAUCAAUCUGUUGGAUGGCCAGUAUUGCUACCGAACUAGAAGAGAUCAGAAGAUAGCCUGCCACCUUUAAAUGCUUACAAAAAGAUUAGUCAUCGAGGAACUGUAUUUUCGUGAUAGAGACUAAAGGCCAAAAACAUUGAGAGAGGAAUUAGAAGGAUUGUUUUAAGCUUCUAUGAAACUGCACUUACUUGAUCAAGAAUGAAGCUCAUGUAGUCCGAGAACAUGUCUGAGAUGAGGAUGCCUCUUUGUGCAAUGUCACAAAUACCUUUGAAGAGUUGGAAAGCAGAAUAAACGAACACCAAAACAGAUGCAAUGAAGCAGUACCUACACAAGGAAGUAGAGUGAUCAGAUUAUUAUUUGUUGACACAUAAUUCGUGAUAUGAAAAUAAAAUACCAUAGGAAUGAGAAAGCCUUUCACAUCGAAGUCAUGGAUUUAUUUCUUGCUUUUGAUUUGUAGGUUGCUGAAUUUUUUUUCUUUUUAGAGCUCCUCAUUAGUGAAAAUAUGGAAACUAAAAUUUCAGAACUUUUGGUAUAGGGCUACACUUACAGCAAUUCUGAGUAGUCAGCGAAGCUAGAAGGACGUGGGCUAUCCUUCUUGGAUGAUGAAGCAGCCAGGGAAAGUGCAGAGACGAAGGAGAACACAAGUGCCAAGAAUCGAAGGAUGAGAUUGGAAAGGUAAAUGGGAGGUCUAGUGCUCAAUCGUGCAGGGGCAUCUGAGAAAGAGAAUGGUGAAGGUGUUGGGAAUGGUUGUUGCGAUUGAGAAUUGGCUGAUACAGGCGACACACCAGCCAUGGGUCUGCAAGCAACAACAAACAUCUCUCCUUCCUGCUUCAUUUUUUUAGUUUGCUGUCCAAGUCCAACUGCUCCUUCCUUUAAAGAAAUGGUUCCUCAAACUGCUUCCAGUGGUUUUUUUAAUUUCUUUUAGGAGGGGGUGGGGGAAGGCUUUAAAAUCAACUUUGUUUUUGAGCUUGGUUUUUACAACACUCUGCAUCUUCUGUGUGUUUUUGUUAUAUUAUCCAUGGAGUUUCCAGGAAGGAUUAGGUAUUGAUGGAAAAGUUAAAAACGGACUUUAGAGUUGACCAUUAAAAAUAAAAAAUAAAAGAGCUAGCAAUGUACUGCAGCCUGUGGAAUAAAAUACAGUGGAUUUGUAUAAUGUUUUUGUAUAAUGUUUUUUUUUCUUCUGAUAUUAUGCUUUUUUAGAAUUUUAUUUUGAGAUUAAUAAUUUAUUUUGAUUUUUUUAUAAGGUUAUUACGGUUUUAAUUUUUUUUUUUAUAAUAUUGAGUGAUGCUUAUCUUCAUGAAAAAAAAUUCAAUUUUAUUAUUUACAAGAGAUUAAGAGUGUUAAAAUUAAAACAAAAAAAAAUGGCGCUUCUUUUCUUUUUAAGAAAAUUGUGGUGUAACUCUAGUCCAUUUUCUUUUUUAGGCUUUGUUUAUUGAUUUUUUUAAAAUAUUUUUAAUUGUGUCUUUCAAUAUUGUGUUUAGUGAUAUUUUUAAAAAAAAUCUGAUCCUUUAAUUUGGAAAUUAAAUGGUUUAGUCUAUUUUUUUUAUUUACAUUUUAAUCUCUAAGUUUGAAAAGAAAAAAAGAACCUUGUUAGAAAACAAUAAAGAAGAGAGAAAGAGUUCAGUUGGUUGGAUUCCAAUGACAAAAAUAAUCAAAUUUGGUGUAAUGUUUUUCUUCAUGAGAGGAGUGUCAAUGAGGUAUUUUUGAAUUUUCAUGUUGCUAGAAAAGAUAGAUCGGGGCUGGGAGAAAUUUUUUUUCUUGGUUUGAUUUUGUAUUUUUAAACUAUUUUUUGAGUUUUUGAAAUUAUAUAUUGUUUUUUUUUAUGAGGUUCUAAUAGAAUUUAUUAGAUUUUUAGGUGAAAAUGAGUUGAAAAAAAUUAUUAAAUAAUUGAUAUUUAAUUUUUUAAAAUCUAAAUAAUUAGAUAUAUAUAAUUUAUUUUAAAUUGUUAGAUUAAUUAAUGAUGUUUUUAGAUAUUAUUUUACUAAAUUUCUUUUAAUUUUUAAUUUGUUAUCAAACAAUCAUUCUUUUUAUACAACCCAUCAUAUUCUUUUUUUUUUUAAUUUUAUUUGGUUGCUUUACUAUGAUUGCUAAAUUUUGUUAUCAUAUAAUUAAAUAAAAAAUAGUUUCAGAAAAUAAAUAUCUUAAACUCAGUCGGGUCUAUGACCAAAGUCGUGGGUUGGAUAUAUAAUAUGUCAUCGUCUCAAUAUUAAAAAAACAUAUUCCAUCUUAAAAAAAAAUUAAGUCAAGUACAUUUUUACCUAUCUUUCGAGUUACUUUUAAACCUUCCAAACCAACCAGGUCGAUCAGCCUAUCAAGUUAACUCUCAUAUAAUUUAAUUUGAAACUUAUGCUAGGCAAGGAAUCGGGUCAAAAGGUUUUAAAAAUGACUAACUAAGCUAGGUUUAGUGACACUUUCAAAGAGUUCACCACGAUAAUGAACGAGCAUUAUGUUAUUAUUAAUUUUUUUAAGUAACAAAAAAAAUAUUCUGCUGAAUUUUUUUUAAAGAGCUCACUAAUGAGAUAAAUAAGUUUUAGUUAUAGAUGUAUCUUUUUAUCCUUGUACUAAUUAUUUUUUGAUUUGUCUUCUAAAUGCUUUUAGCUUUUAUUCAAUGAAUACCAUAGAAAAAACUAUUUCUUUUUUUUUUAAAAAAAAAUCUAAGAUAUUAAUAAGAAAAGGAAGUCAUUUGCUUGCAAAUUAUUUUUUCUUCCAUGAAAUUUAAAUCAUUACUUUUCUUAUAAAAACAUUAAUGUUGUAUAACUAAAUUAAAAAUUUAAUGAUCUUCUUGUGACCCAUGAUCAAAUAUCUUUAGUUGCGCUUGUUUUUUAACUUUAUGACAUAGUCUUUAGAUAGUGUUAGAAUUUCAUUUUAGUAUUUAUUAGAAUAUAUGAUUUUUAAUUUAUUUUAUUAAAUGCAUGCAUUAUAUUUUGAGUUAAUAAUUAAGAUUUUUUUUUACUGCUAGAAAAUACAUUUAAAAUUCCUUUUUUGUUAAAAAAAAAUUAUUCUGAUCCACGAGAUAUCACGGGAAACUUAUCUAAAUAAAAAAAAACUAAAAGAGCUCAGAUUUUUACUGUAUAUCAAGACACAGAUUACUGUGAAUUUUAACAAUGAUAUAACUAUUUUUCCCUUCCAAGAAAAAUCAUUGAACCUUAUAUCGAGGGUAAUACGGUCUUUUUUUCAUGGCUCAUUAAUUAUUUUUUAACUAGUCAGGGUAUGGUCUUUUUGUAUUUUUAAGCACAACAAAAUGACUUAAUAACUCUUAAAAACAAAAAUAAAAUGAAAUGAAAUUCAAGGGCUUUUUGAAAUUUUAUUUUUUAAAGCACAACAAAAUGACUCAAUUACUCUUAAAAUGAUUUUUUUUUGAAUUGGUGUUUAGGGGCUUUAUUGCAUUUUUAUCUUAGUUUUUUUAGUUAUAAUCAGGUUUAAUAAAGGGAAAUUUAGUAUUUAAAUAAAUAUAGAAUAUUAUUUAACAACUAAAAGAGGAUGGCGCGUGUAAUGCAAGUGUUAGUGUGUUGGAUACACCUGAGCCUUUCGAGUGACAUGUGAGGGGGAGUACGACGAUCAAAAGGUCACUUUCAGGGCAACAUUCGAAUUAUUUUGACUAUCACUCUAACCCUGAAUAGCCAAGAGACCUCUGGUUAGGCUAGAAAAUCAAGAAUAUGAGUUUUUAACCAAACAAACUAAUUUUUCAACUAAUUUAAAGCCAAAAAUACCUUAAAACCAGUCGUAGAACAUAUAAAAACCAAUUUAGCAACCCAAUAAACCCAAAAAACAACUCAAAUUACAAAAUCAAACCAAAAACGUUUUCUCACCCUCGAUUUAUAUAUGUUUUUAGGCAAUAUCGAAGCUUAAAACAACCGUCAUAAGACUCCCCUCACCAAGUAUAACUCAUUGACACCAAUUUCAAUCAUUUUAGUAGUCAGAAUAGGUGUAAAUAAUCAUUUUAGUAGUCAGAAUCUAAGGAGCUCUUCUCUCUUUUCUCACGAAAAAAGAUUGAAAAAUAAGGAAAAUAAACUUCGACAGCAAAAUUAAAAUUUUAAAACUGAAGGGACUAAUCAUCUAUAAACUAAAAAAGAUAAGGAAUUAAAAUAAACUUUUUUGUAUAAAAUUCAAAUCCACUAUCUAUUUUACCCGUCAUUUUCACUUUGAUUCUCUAACUGUCUAUCCAACCUUUCCUUCCAAAAAAAUAUGUAUUUUGUUGCAAAUUUAGGCUUAAAAGAACUCAAUUGUGCAAGAAAAAAUCAAGAACGAAAUAAAAAAAAAAUUAACUAUUCCAAACUACAAUAAUUUGUGAGAAGAUGCACAGUAUAAUUUGCUAUGUCAAAACAUCAUAUGUUUUAGUGUAUUAUUAAUUAAUAAUGAUGAUGAUGGUGAGGAAAAGAGGGAAAGGCACACGUCAACUCUUGCUUAGUCAACUUUAAUUGUUGUAUUAAAGAAUCCUACACUUGUUGCAAGUAACAAUAGUGAAACAUUAAGAAACCGGGAUGGGAAAGGAAGAGUGACAGACAGACAGGUUAUAAUAGUUCUGCCCAAAAUGAAAAGAAGAUAACAGUGACAGGUUAUUCUGCGCAACUUCCUUUUGGUUUCCAUUUUAGUAUUGACAAUGAAGUUUGGAUUUUGAUAUGCUUUGCAGAGAGAGAGAGAGAGAUUUCCAAGAACUAGAUAGGAGGUCGCUGUGAGGGUGUAUGGCAAAUAGUCCAACAAUCCCACCGAUCAGGUCAAAGUCAAAUUCAUGUAAAAAAAGCUCCCCGUAGUUACUGUGGUCCAUGCGCCGUGGAUUGAUCUGGAAUAGCUUGUGCAGUGAACCCAUGAGCAUUGUUCUCUGUGUGCAGUGAACCCAUGAGCAUUGUUCUCUGCACAUCUCCUCCACGCCCGUAUUUUGCCCUGAGAAUCCCAUCACCGUAAUUAUAACAAAGGACCGACAGAUUGGACUGAAACUGAUGCUACAAUUAGCUUGUGAAAUGAUAGCCAAAAUGAUCGAUUCAGAUUUAUAUAUAGCAGUGCAUGGGCUACAGAUAUUUUAUUAAGCCUGGCAUUGUUAUUACUUAUUAGGAAUGCAAAAGAGAAGAUCCUUGUAAAAUGCCAAAAUGUCAGGAAAAACGAUGGGUUGAGAACAUACUUCCAGCCAAGUUCUUUCUCAGCUUUCUCUGUGGGAGCAUAAACAUUUGGAGCAUUGCCAGGCUUUCUUGGGCAUAACUUGACAGGGAUUUUCUGAAAACAGAAUUUAUAGUGAAUACUCUGACUAGCUGCAUUUCUUUAAGAGAAGGAAUGACAAGUGAGGAGAAGGAACAGUCACCUUGUCAGAAGCUUUUUCAAAUGCGCCAUUACCAUCCUUUGUGGGAUAGUCAUGACCGCAUACAUUAAGCUCAGGAAAUCUGCCACCAGGUACUGGGCAGGUGAUUGUUUGGGAUACCCUUGGAAUCUUCACCAAGUCUACCACUCUCAUGAGCUCCCAGCAGGGUUGAAGUAUCUGAGUAAAAUGAUACUCCAUUCUGGUUCUCCCUUUUGAAUAUCUUGAGCAAUUUCUUCAAGGAAAAUACAAAAAUGUAUAAUCCAAUCGGCCUGACAAGCGUAUUCGCAACUUAAUCGACACGGUAAAACUUGGCUUGAUUUUUUUUAAAAAAAAUAAAAAAUAACAUUGAUAAAGAAAUAUUAAAAUGACAUUUUGAAUUGAUUCUUGUUUAAUAUAUUAUCAUGCCCAACUCGAGACCAUAAUCAUAAAUAUGACCGAGUUUAAUAAUUUUUUUUUAUUUUAUUUAAUCAUGCUAUAAACAAAAAUAGACGAUAGCAGGAAAAUAAAAUUACGAAGAAAAAAAUUGAAAUUGUCUUUUACUUUUAUAUAUAUAUAGUUAAUUAAUUAAAAAAUAUCAGGAUUUAUUUUUAAUUAAAAAACUAAUUUUCAGCUGGGACCGUUACAAAAGAUAAUUAAAAAAAGUAUACAAAAGAUCGGCAUUAAAAAAAGCAUUGGGACCGUUACAAAAGAUAAGCUUCAUGCUUAGAAUCAAUUUAGAAAAGCGUUCUUCAGGAGAUGGAUUCAUGUACACGAAAUCUUACAGCUCUUCAAGGAGAGAUAAUUCAGUUCCAGCAAGAACUUGUGACCCGUCAAUGGAGGAUCAAGGAAUUGGAGUUCACUCGAGCUAGGGCUGAAUCUUUUUGUAUACGGGAUUUCAUUGACAAUCCCGAAGAGUUUCUGGUUGUAUAUAAAGGGACUCUUGCCUUUGAAGACCAUAGUGGAGAGCCAGUUGGUGGAUUUGAUGAGCGAUCUCCACUUCCAUAACUUAUCAAAAGAUUGUAAUGCAUAUUUUACACAGUUCUUUUCACCUUGCUGCCAUUCCUGCCUUUUAUAGGAUUUUCCAAAGACGUGCCAAGCUGUUGCUUUAGAAGAGAGGCCACUUUCUAAUGGGCCUCUCGUCUUUGGGACCAAUAGGGUCCUUUCCUUUCCACUCCUCCCUACUUUGUUAUUCCGCUCCUCUUCUCCUUUGUUGCUAUCUGGUUGGGCUUUAUGGGGUUGUUCGGUUUUGACCGUUAUUGGGCCUGUAUGGGCCUUCUUCUCUUCUCCAUUUGCCGCUCCUUGGUUUGGCAUUGUUGGGCUCGACUAGACCUUUUGCUAUUUAAAAUGUUUCCAAUUUCACGGGGAGAAGCCCCUGGAUCAAGAUGAUGGUGGUGUUUUCAAACUAGAUUUAUGGUAAUAAUUGUAUAGUUCAUUCCAGCUAGAAUGCUUGCCCUAUACUGUGAGUCAUAGCAAUUUCUUUCGAUUAAGAAGCUCAAUACCUAUUUAAUAUUGGAGAUGAAAUUGAUAAAAAAAAUAUUAAAUUUAAAAACUUUUCAAGGCAAAAAAAUAAAAAAGGAUAAAAUUUGAUAAAAAAAACUCAAGGAUAACGAAAUUGUUAAAAAAAAUCAAUUUUAAAAACCAUCUUAGGUAAAAAAAAAAAUAGCAAUAAAAACAAUAGAGAUCCAAUAUGAUAAAUGAAAAAAAUUUAAGGGGAUGAAAUUAAAUAAAAAAUUUAAAUGUUAUAAAUUAUUCAAAAUAAAAUAAAAAAUAAUCAAAGAACACGAACCAAAUUUAAAAGGAAACAUAUUAGAGGGUUGCUUUAAGAAAUUAGAGUGCCAACGUGAAAAUUUGGGGGGGGGGGGAAGAAAACAGGUUCUUGCUUUAAACUAGAGUCUUGUCAAUGACAUGUACAUCCCAAGUAUAGAGGGGCUGCUAAGACGAUUCAGAUGUCGCUUAAUAAGUCAGCUUUUAACUAUCGGAUAGAGUCACAUGCGUUGUCUGAAACGCGCAAACACUCUUUAUGCGUUGUGACCCUUUUUAUAUAGUUUUUAUCUUUAACAAAUGACCAAAUAAUCCCUAGUAGAAUCAGAGAACUACAAAAAAAAAACCCAAAGUGAAAAGACAAAAACUGAAAAAGUUUUUUUUUCUUGUUUUUAUUGAUAAUAAAAUUAUUUUAGUGUGCUAAAACAAAUAAAAAAUUUAAAAAACCCUUGAAUGCUAGUUUUUUUUUUAAAAAGCGUAGGUCAGAUAAAUAAAUUUCCUGCACCAAGAAAAGAUAUAAAAAAUCGAUUUGCCGCAAAAUGAUAAAAAUACAUUUUCAAUCCAUAAUAUUUUGUAUAUUGAAGAAUAAUGUUCCCCUUAUGCCUCUUAGAUUUAAUUUAAUAAAACUUUCUCUAGAAAAAAUAUAUUAUUGGAGGACUACUACUUUAUUUUAUUAUUAUUAUUAUUAUUAUUAUUAUAUAGCAAAUUAGCAGAUAAGGUCUGAUUGAGCAGCUUGUCUGUUAUGUUCAAUAAAUUUAGGUGUGGGUGUGGUGGAUCUACUAGUAACCUCUGGUGAUUAUUACACUUGAAGUGUUGUUGGCUUGGUGGACAGCAUAUAAAGCCUUGAAAUCCCUUCACCCUUUUCUCCCCCAAUUCCCUCUGUCAUUUAUCAUUACACUCCACUUCUACUCUUUAUCUGGGAAAGAUCCUGUGAAUGCUAACGUUAUAUAUACACAGACACGCACACGCAGUGUUUCAAGAGAAGAGAGUUGAUAGCACGAUUACUUACCACUAGAAGACAUAAUCAUACACAAAAAUAAAUAAAGUUCAAAAUACCCCCAAAAAAGCUAAAGAAAAAGAAAAAGAAUCUUCCAUGAAAACUCAUUGCGUAAAGCAUGACUAUGGAAUAAAUGAAGCAAGUCGUUAAAGAUAGCCUAUAAGAAAAAAUGAAAAUCACAUGCAUCACAUAUCAGAGAUAUUCUAUGCUCCCUCGCACCAAGAUUGACCUAAUCAACACCAAAUUACAUCAUCAUAUCAAUGGAAAUCUACCACGGUCAUGAUUUCUAGCACCAAGUUACUAUCAUGCAUCACGAGUCUACUGCGGUCUUCCCUUUUUCCAAUAAUUAAUCUCUCUCUCUCUCUCUCUCUCUCUCUCUCUCUAAAAUAAGCUUUUGUUUCUGUUUUGCUCUCUGUCUGCCUUUCUUUUUGUUUGUGACUUUUCAGCUUCUCUUCUCUUCUUUCUUUUAGUCUAUCCGAAGCAAACUGACACUGUAAGUUUAUAUAUUUUCACGUACACUGUAAGUACAAAGACUAAAGCUUCUGCCUUCCAAUUUCGAGCUUGAAUUUAUUUAUUUCUUUUUUUGAGCUUAAAAGGACUGUCUCUUAAGUGAAUUUUGAUGUUUCAAGAGUUUCUAUGUUUCUUUCAAGUGAAUCUGGAGAUGGGUUUUUAAUUUUAAGCAUGGUUGUUUCGUAUAUUUUGCUCUUUAGUUUAUUUUUUUUUGUUUUUGUUUUUUUUUUUGGUUAGUUUGUGAUGUUAAAAAAGUUAGGACAUUUAGAUCUGGUGUUGAUAGAUUAUGUUUUGGGUUGCUAAGGUUGAGGGGGCUAUGUUAGUCUGUUUUGAAAACUGGGGCAUUGAAGAACGGAUCUAAUUCAAUAACAGUUGUUGAGUGCAUGCCAAGGUCUUUGUGGUAGUGUGAAAAUGGUGUCUUUGUCUUCUUGAAUUUUGUUGAAUUUGACCUGGAGUGGACUAUAACUGUAUUAGAAUUCAAGAUUUUCUCUUCCAGUGUGGAUUAGACAUUAGUUAGGGGAUAAAAUGAGGGGCCAAGGUGAUAAUUUCCACUUGUAAAAGAAGCGCACAAGAAACUAAGAGUUGCAAAUCAUACACGUGGUAUGACCACGGUGAUCAGAGGAAUUUAUUCAUGAAUUUGGAAUCAACUCAACAAGGAUUCAUGUCAAGAUAAGAGUUAAAUCGUUAAAAUUGUCAUAACAGUCGAUGCAUACAGGUACUUAAAAGUCAUCAUGCCCACAUUUUAAUCAUGGAGUUUGGUUCCACAAACAAACGGGGAAUUUUCCGCCAUGCUGUUUUUACUGAUUAUGGAAUUCUGUGCCUUGUUUUUUUCUUUUCCAUUUUGAAUGUGAUUUUAGUUCUGCAUUUUAUGCUUGGGCAGGUAUCUUUGCAUAGCUGCUGAUAACGAAACGCUAAUACAAGUUUAUUUUCCAACUCAUCAGAUUGACAUUCCCAAGCUGUGCCAUUUUCUGUGGUCCUUUUAUGGGGUUUUUUUGCUGGCAAAGCAAUUAUGUUAAGUAUAUUUGUUGCAUUCAUGGCAACUAAGUUGGUGCAAAUGUGAGAGAUCGUGUAGAUCUUUAGUUAGAAUUUGCUGUCAUUUCGUCAAUUGUUGAAAUAAAUAUGCGCUCGUGGUGGGGGAAGUCUUCAUCCAAAGAGGAAAAUAAGAAAGCAAACAAGGAAAGUUUCAUUGAUACAAUAAAUAGGAAAUUGAAGAUUACAUCAGAAGAAAAGAGCAAUGGUAAAUCAGGAGGAUCUUGGAGAAGUUGUAAAGAUACUCUUUCAGAAAGGGGCUCUUUAUCCCGUGUCCCAUCAAGAUCACCAUCACUUUCCUCACAUGUAUCACGUUGUCAAAGUUUUGCUGAAAGGCCUCAGGCUCAACCACUUCCACUUCCACUUCCACCUCCACCUCCACUUCCGGGGGUGUGCCAUACUAGCAUUGGGCACAGUGAUUCUGGAAUUGGUGCUUCAGUGAAAACAGGAUUGGAAGGAGGUGCCAAGCCGUUCCAUCUUUUGCCCCCUCCACGACCAGGACAUGUCCCUAAUAGACUGGACCAAGCAGACACAGUGGGGGAUAUAGCCACUGCUUCCGUGUCCAGUGAUAGCUCCAUAGAUAGUGAUGACUUGUCUGAAUCACGAGCCCUUAGCCCACUCACAUCUGACUAUGAAAAUGGGAACAGAACUGCUGUGAACAGCCCUCCAAGGUUAGCUUCCAUAUGUGCCAUUGAAAGUUUUAAAGUGUCUUUCCAGGUUUUGUUUUUAUCUCUGACAAAAUUUGUUCUUAUGCCUGCUGAAGCAUUAUGCAACAGGAUCAAUCCCCAAUUGUAAAUAAAAAGAACUCAAUAGAAACUUUGAAACCUGCUAAUUUACCUGUAAAUAAUCAGAUUCUGCCUACACCACCAAAACGGGCAAUUUUUAGCUCUCAAGUGCAGAAUUUACAGAUUCCUCAUCGAGGAGCAUUCUUUAGUGCUCCAGACAGCUCAUUGUCGAGUCCUAGAAGCCCAAUGAGAGCAUUUGGCACUGAGCAAGUUAUCAACAAUAGUUUCUGGACAGGAAAGACCUACUCAGAUAUUGGUUUACUAGGAUCUGGACAGUGCUCGAGUCCAGGUUCAGGUUAUAAUUCUGGGCAGAACUCGAUAGGUGGAGAUAUGUCAGGACAGCUUCUUUGGCCAAACAGUAGAUGCAGUCCUGAGUGUUCUCCAUUACCUAGCCCCAGAAUGACCAGCCCAGGUCCCAGCUCCAGAAUACACAGUGGUGCUGUCACACCUCUGCACCAUCGAGCUGUAGGGGUUACCAUAGAGUCGCCUACAAGCUGUCCUGAUGAUGGAAAGCAACAAAGCCACCGCUUGCCUCUUCCCCCGAUAACAACCUCAAACACCUGUCCCUUUUCUCCUACCUAUUCAACUACAACAUCUCCUUCAGUGCCUCGAAGUCCUAAUAGGAUGGAGAAUCCAACAAGUCCUGGUUCACGCUGGAAGAAAGGUCGUUUACUUGGGAGAGGCAGUUUUGGAGAUGUAUAUCUUGGGCUUAACAGGUCUGUACAAAGGUUAUUGCUAAAUUCUUAAUUGUACAGACAUGAGUGAUUUAGCAUCAUAAAAACACAAAGAAAUUUAUUCCAUAAAUGACAAGGUGGAGGAAGCAGAUCCAUUUAGUUUCCCAGCAUGUUUGAGAUUCAGACUAAAUUGAGUUGAGUUGACAUUGUUUCAGAUUAGUUAUGACCUGUGCAAUUACAAAAUAUGUGUUUUACUCUUCUGUGACAUUUCACCUCUGUAAAACAACAGUCGAUCUGUCAUGGUUCUUUCACCAUCUUCAUCUUUGUCAUGUGUCAAGUGAUGUUUUAAUCCUUCGUUUACUUCACAGGUGAACUACAGAUAUGUCUCCUCCUCCUCCCUGCAUAGCUCACACCCUCUUUAACUCAUUCUGCAUCCUCCUUGUGUGACUCGUUUGCAACAGUACCUCGUAGAGUUCCCAUCUGCAAUUGUCAUCGCUAUCACCAUCCUUGUCAUUGUUAUCAUGCAUUCAAAUCUUAUGUUUUUUUAUCAUUUCAUUUCAUGAUUAAACUGGAGAUUCAAUUAUAUUCUUGAACACAUAUCUGUCACCAUACUGAAUUGAGUUAUCAACCAUUUGCCAUACACAUUAUUUUAUACAUUUUGCAUGUCUUGUUUAAUUUAUUUUUUUUUGGACCUUAGUGAAAGCGGUGAGUUGUGUACAAUGAAGGAGGUAACUCUAUUUUCAGAUGAUGCAAAAUCAAAGGAAAGCGCACAGCAGCUGGGACAGGUAACGCUUUUUUUUCUUGUGUUAUUUCAUAAGUGGUUUAAGAUUUCUUGUUGUUUGUCCUCUUCUCAGAACUUUUGAGGAAGAUUUUAUAGUUAUUGAUAACGUGUGCAGGAAAUUAUGCUUCUGAGUCGCUUAAGACAUCCUAAUAUAGUGCAGUAUUAUGGAUCUGAAACGGUAACAUUUUUCAUACCAGCUUUAUGUUACCUCCUUAAAGAUUCUUACAUUCUGAAUAAUUUCAUUUUACAUGUUAUUAAUAAACUAUUGAUUUCUUAUGUUCAACAUUCCAAAUUACUGAGACCCCAGAUAUGUUACAGACUAGCAGUAAUUUUAAGUAGACUAUUUGUGAUAUUUUCUGGGAUUUUUAUAAUUCCAUUUUAUCAAUAUUUUUUCAUUUAUGCCUUAUGGCAGUGUGCUGUCUUUAGAUACUUUAUCAGAUUAAUGAAUAAGAUUUUGUUAACUGAAUUGGUUUAUUAUUUCAUAACAGGUGGAGGACAAAUUAUAUAUAUACUUGGAGUAUGUGUCUGGUGGCUCCAUCUAUAAACUUCUUCAAGAAUAUGGCCAAUUCGGUGAAAUAGCUAUUCGUAGUUACACCCAACAAAUCUUGAGUGGGCUUGCUUAUUUGCAUGCUAAAAAAACUGUCCAUAGGUGAGCCUUAUAAUUGCUAUCUCAUGGCUUUAAUAUCGAACCAUAAUUUACUCUAAUCUCUUAUAAACAUGACCAUGUUAAUGCCAUAAGUUUCUAUUGUGUUCAGAGACAUUAAAGGAGCUAAUAUUCUGGUUGAUCCCACUGGCCGUGUGAAACUGGCAGAUUUUGGGAUGGCAAAGCAUGUAAGGAUUUUAUCUGGAAUUUUAUUUUCUCUAGUUGCGCAAACCUGGAAAAAUAUGUUGACUGCCUUUGCCAUUUGUUUAAACAAUGCUAAAAUCUGUUGGAUAUGUAAGCAAAGGAAAUUAAUUCUCUAUAACUGCUAUCUCUUUGGUUUAGUUGCAAAGCAAGAGCGAAAUUUACUCUUAUGCAUAUUAACCUAUAGGCAAUGUGCUGUAACCCAUUUUAACUCAGUUGAUCUCCAGAUAUCUGGGCAGUCUUGUCCAUUUUCAUUCAGAGGAAGCCCUUACUGGAUGGCUCCUGAGGUCAGCCUUGGUCUAUUGUCACUUUCUGAAUUGACAUUUCUUUGUGAUGCUUUUAAGUAACACAUUUCUUAAAUUCAUUAAUUGUUUUCAGGUUAUAAAGAAUUCAAAUGGUUGUAAUCUUGCUGUUGAUAUAUGGAGCCUAGGGUGCACUGUCUUGGAGAUGGCAACAACAAAACCACCUUGGAGCCAGUAUGAAGGGGUUAGUAAAAUCGAAAGACAACAGCUUGAAUUUUCUAGCCAUACAACUUGUUUUGCAAUUUGAAUGACACUGCUUGCACAUCUAGAUAUGUUUCUUGGUCAGAUUGCUGUUGUGCUAGAAUUGAUCUUAUUUCUUACCCGCAUUUUUCUUCGCUUCUUGAAAGGUUCCUGCAAUGUUUAAGAUUGGAAACAGCAAGGAACUUCCAGAAAUCCCUGAUCAUCUUUCAGAUGAUGGAAAGGAUUUUGUGCGGCAAUGUUUGCAACGGAACCCAUCACAUCGCCCAACAGCUGCUCAACUUCUGGAUCACCCUUUUGUGAAAAAUGUUGCUUCCAUGGAGAGGCCAUUUGUUUCCAUUGAGCCUUCAGAAGAACUGCCUCCAUUUAUGAAUUCAGGAAGAUCAAUGGUAUUAGGAUUUUUUGUUAGUGCCUGUUAUGAUAUUAAGUAUUGCAAUUUUUUUUCUCACAGAUUAUAUGAGAUAAGUGGAAGUUCUAUUGCUACUGUUUAUGGAACUUAAAUAUUUUUUCAAAAAAACAAAAGAUUUCAUCUCAUAAAAAGAAGAAAAUAGAGGAAGUCAGGAGAAUAAGCCAUCUUCUAAACUAAGAAACAGAGCAGAACAAAACUAUGAUAAUAAGCAUCCCAAACUCAUGGUACUUCAAUAUUGGAUGGCAGUUAAGUAAAUGACUGGAUAAAUGUGUUAAUUGGGAGUUAGUAGCUAUAUGUUUAGUUUUAUCUUAUGCACAGAAACUUAGAUGGCUAGUAUAUGUGAUCUUGUCUUAUCUUGUUCAUGUUUUGCUUGCUAAUGCUACCAUUAUGUAUUUUGUUUUCUUCGUGAUGCACUAUAUGGAAUAAUUCCUUUCACUUUGCCUGACUUAUCUGUUGUGGCCUUGAUGAUGUUUCUUGAAUUGACUGAUGGGUUGAAAUUUUGGAACUUCCAAUAGGGAACUGGACCUGCAAGACAUGUUUCAGGCUUUGACUCAGACGGGAUUGCUAUCCAUCAAUCUAGAGGGUCAAAAUUUGGUUCAGGGUUUAGGUCCCUCUUCUCUCCCUCCUUCCCUCCCCCACCUUUCCACCCACACACUUACACACACAUGUGUGCACUUGUCCUUCGUUGUUCUCUGCACCAUUGCAUAUGAAGGAUUGUCUGAUGAAGUUUGUCUAAUGUGUUGGUAGGAUUACUGGCAUGUCUAGUUCUGUCUUAUCUGAAGACUGACUAAUACUGCACAACGCAUUUCAGCUAGAGAUUUUUCAACAAGGCACAGAAAAAAAUAUUAUGUCAGUUAUCGUGUUUGAAAUUCAAUGACUUGCUAUGGGAGCAGGGUUGAAGGAAGUCAGUGUUCAAAGACCUCUUUUUUCUAGUCAUCUUCUCCCUCAACUUGCAUGAAAUGAGUUGGAUGCAUUAUUACAAUUUUUUUAGAUUGGAUGUUAUAAUCACCUAGUACAACUGCCAGCAAUAAAUCAUCCUGCGUUCUUUGUUCUGUCAAUAACUUUUAAUGUGAAGACAUCUUUCAUUGGUUUUGCUCUGUACCUGUAACAUUUUGUCCUCAUUGCCCUGAGGUGCAUUUGAAAUUUGAAGCUGCAUGUUAGCAUUUGCUGUAUUGAGGGGAGAAAUCCUUGUUCUUUAGCUAGUUUUCUUCUUCUUAUUAUUAAUUCGAUCUUUUUUCCUAUUUCAGUAAUGUCUAUACAAUGAAGAACUCGUCAUGCCCAUUGUCUCCUGUUGGAAGCCCUCUUCUCCAUUCAAGGUCACCGCUGAAUUUGAGUGGAAGGAUGUCUCCAUCUCCUAUAUCUAGCCCUCAUACUGCAUCUGGUUCAUCCACACCUCUCUCUGGUGGUUGUGGCGCCAUCCCAUUUCAUCACGCAAAGCAGCCCAUUACUUGCUUGCAAGGAAGCAUAGGAAUGAUCCCUAGGUCCCAAAGUAGUUUCUAUCCCAAUAGCAGUAGCCCUUAUCAGGAGCCAAAGCCUGAUCUAUUUCGAGGCGUGUCACAAGCCUCUUGUGUUUUCCGGGAAAUAAUUUCUUCAGAAUACAGUGCUCUUGGAAAUCAGUUGGGACAGCCUGAACUCUAUGAUAGGCACCCUGUUUUAGCUGAUCGCGUGUCCCAGCAGCUCCUAAGGGAACAUAUGAAAUUGAAGCCCUCCCUGGACCUAAAUCCUAACUCAUCAAUUAUUGGCCACUCCAAUGGAAUCUAAAGUCUAAACUAUGCAUGAAUCCAUUCAUUAUCAGAAAAAGUUUUCUUGGCACUGUAACUCCUGAUGCUUCCUUUAUUUUUUUCAUUCUAAUCAAGGGGAGACAAAUCAUAUCCGUGUGCUAAAAAUAAAGACUGGACAAGUGAUCCUAGUUGGUCAGAUCUUUUGGAAGCUUCAAGGGCUGGAGAGAUUUCUUGGAAAUUGCCUUGGAGCUUUGUUUCAUAGUUCUUAUGGCAAGCAAUCAGUUAGCUUAGAUAUGGGAGGACUCAAGUAUGGAAAAUUGGUAGCACUUGCAAACUGUUCUACUUGUGUUGGUGAUUGAAGCUCUUUACCUGGCAGCUAUAUACUUUACUGAAGUCACUAACUCUUUUUUUACUCGCAACUUUGCUGGCCAAAAUUCGUGUGCAAACUCUUUAGUGUAUGAAGAUUUUGAUUAUGCCGAGAAAAUUGCCUUCUGAGCUCCCAUAUUCAUCUGCUCCUCAAAAUCAAGUGUAUAACUGCUAGUAUAUAGAACCGAGAUUUAUUAUACUUGGAAUGCAAAGAUAGAAAGGGCUACUACCAUUUGUGGAUUUCAUAGCUUUUAUCUCCCUUAUACUAUUUUUUGGGUGGAAGGGUGUGGUGGGAGUUGAAAACAAAUAUUGUACAGAAAGACGAUACCAAGUUGGAAGUCCAGAUUUUUGUGAAGAUGACAGUUGAGAAUUUGCCAGGCUUGGCCUGUUUUUUUUUAAUCAGUUUAUAACAGCGCAGUGCAAAACUUAUUGUGGGUUGCCCUGCUGAUAUUCUUCUAUCUAAUGUAUACAGUUAUACCUAGCAUCAAAUUGAAGAAAUCUGAUUCAACCUGUGCACUAGUUCAAAACAACCUGCAUUUGUAAAUUUUGGGAGCAGUAAUGAGCCAGGUUAGUCUUUAAAUCUAGUUCUGCCGCAUCAUGACUUGAACGGGGAUGUAUUUUUGAGCCAGUUUUGUAUAUCUUUUAUAGCAUCAAACCAAGCAAGUUCUUUCUUUUACUUGAAAAAAAAAAUUGUUCAAUGGACAUUGAAUGUCCACAAGAGUACAACUUCAUUUACUGCCAAAAAAACUAUGAAAGAAUCCUGACUAUUUUUUGUCAGUGAUGAUCAAGCUGAAAUCCCAGAGCUUUUUGGCCAAUUCUGCAUCUUUGGCCUGAGAGCUUGGUUCUGCUAUGUUACUGUCCAUAAAAUAGUUUCCACUCAUCCCUUUAACUUGUGGAUGCAAUGCAAUGUAGCAUGUAGUUGCUGCUCCCUGUAACCAGAGUCAAAUGAAAUGAUUAAGCAACCAGGCCACAUGGAGUUAAUAAUGAAUUGUAAGUAGCAAACAGAUUGAUUGUUCAGACAACAAUUUCAUCAUCGUUUUCCAAUUUGCGUAUUGAGAUAAAUUUCUGCGAUGUGUUUCUCAGGACUAUGAAAGCCAUACCUGCUGAACAUUUUUUGUCAUGUAUUUACCGAACAAGCUGAAAAUAGCUGCAUCGAGACCAAUGGAUGGGAAAGAUAUUAAUAAAACCAGGCAAUUUUCGGUACUGUGAAUGAAAAAGAAGAAAUACACAAAGCUGAUUAUAGUCAAAAGGUCCAUGGCAUAAGCAACAAAAACAAGUCAUUAAAGAUUUUUCAAAUGUUCUGUAAAAUAUGCAAGAAGACCAACAGUUCCAUAAUCCUACAUCAGAUUAACCAAAUCCUGUAAAACAGUAAAAGUAUGUUGUCAAAGCACAGAAUAUCAGAAUUAUCAAGUGAAAAGGCUUGAGAAAAGUCUACCAUUAACAAAACCCUGGUGACGCAGAAGAUUGGUAUGGAUUGCUCCGGGAUGUAGUGAAUUAGCAGUUAUCUCUUCCCCUUCUUCCUGUAAAUUCAGGCGAUAAUGGACCGACAAUUUUGUAUUAGAUUCUUCCUAUCAGUAUAAUGCGAUUACCACUCACAUUUCAACUUAAGACAUUUAAUCUGUUCAUAUUUUGUGGUGGUAAUCUUCAAUACCAAACUGCUUAAAUUGGUGACUCAUGGUGUCUGAUAAAGAAAGUAACUAGAGUACAGCCAAAAAAAAAAAAAGAAACCUUUAUUGUGAUACUAGGUAAACAAAAUUAAGAUAAUUUUAGGACAUAUUAUGCUUUAAUUACCUUCAGCCGCCUUGCAAGCUCACUGGCGUGCAAUAUGUUAGCAAGCUUUGAUUGUCCAUAAGAAAACCAACUAAUAGAAUAGGAAAUUAUCAGCCAUCAGAAAGAGCAAGGAAGACAGAAACUGCUGAUGCUCGAUGAAGACAUUGAACAUUAUAUGUAGAAACUUCAAACCAUAGGCACGAAUAUUCCUGCCAUCAAGUUGUUACCUACCUCGCCUCGUUAUAGAUUUUAUCGAAACAAAUCCCUUCACGAGUCACUAUUCGGUGACCUACUGAUGAUACAUUAAUGAUCCUUCCUUCUUGCUUGCUUUUUUGUGCUGUGUUUUUCAUGAUCUCCAAUAAAAGGUUUGUCAACAGAAAAUGACCUGAAAAUCGCAGUAUUUCAACCCCAACUUGGAAUAUCAACACAUAAAAUAUUGUGACCGAAUGUUUCAAUGUUUAAAAGUCAAAGAGAACAUGCCUAUAUGGUUGGUUGCAAAUAACAGCUCAAUGUUAUCUUGAGAAAGCUUGGAAGGAGAUGACAGAACCCCUGCAUUAUUACUUCAAACAGGAAAGGAAAAUAUUACUCUUCGCAAGAAAGCUAGAAUCUGCCUGUGAACAUGAAUUCUAUUGCUAGCAUAACAGGAGCAUUCAACUGACUGGUGACAAACUUGCUAUUGGAUAAGAUAAAAACUGCAUUUUAAUUGCUUCAGCAUAGCUUCCUUACAUGAGAAUGUUCAAAGGAAGACCCAAGGACGUAUAUUCAGAUGCGAAAUUCCUCACUGAUGUCAUUGAGCUUAGGUCUAACUCCAUGACAUCAAUCUCAGCUUUGGGGAUUUCCUUGAGCAUUGCUUCUUUGCCAUUCCUACCAGCAUCCAGAUUCCGCACUGCCAUAACUACAUGGACACCACGCAGUGCAAGGACACGCGUUGUCUCUGCACCAAUGCCACUUGAUGCUCCUGGAAAUUAACAACAGAUAGUUCUUUCAUUAAUGCGAAUCUUGAUCUGAAGUUAAAUUAAAUUCAUUAAGUGAAAACUGAAGUCCUGUCAACUCAAACGUUCAUAAAAUUUUCCUACAUGUAUCCUUAGUCUAAAAUCUCUAGCAAGGAAACUAGGGCAGGGUAUUUGGCUCAAGAAAAGGAAGUAAAACCUGUAACAAUGGCAGUAAGACCAGUUCCAUCAAUCCCUUGUGUAACUUCCUCUGCUGUAGAAGAGGCUGAGAACCCAGACGGCCCUUUCCAUCCAAAAAGCCACAUUCUGCUUAUUCUAGUAAUGAAAUCACACCAAACUGUUAUAUUGAAAACUGCUCUGCAAAGCUACAAUUUUUAGCAUCAAAUGAUCUUCGGAUUUAUGUAACUAGCUUGACUUUUGACAGAUUCAAAUGAUCCAACUACAAGCAUCUUUAAGUACACACUAUGCUUAAUUAAACCCAUUUCAUGGGUCAUCAGUUGCUGGGUCUUGAUCAACAAUACUAAUGAUUAUCCAGCAUAGAUAAGCAAAUUCAUAACUGUCCAAAAUAAGUCCCCACAUCAUUAUACAUAUGAAAGACAAAAAAGUCGAUAUUGUCUAGGGCAACUUUUCCAAUCAAUUUUGUGCUGACAAAUAAGACAGAAAACAAAAUCUUCUCCUUGACAAGAAAACUUUGUUUAGCAGUACCGAAACAUUCAUUCAACUUUUCGAUGGUAAAGUCCAUUUCAUUGAAAGAUAUGUUUUUUGUAUGACAUUGAACAACCUAAUAGAGCUUCAUAACUCCAGCUUAGCAAAGCCUUUGAAUUCCAAUCACUUGCAUCCCUCAAUUUAAAAAAAUAAAAAGAAAAGGAAGAAAAAGGAAACGAUGAAUUCAUGUAGAGCUCUUCGGUUUUGUACAUAUCUUAUACAUCUGUUCUUUUUAAAAAACUUUUUGAAAAAGCUUCCUUUUCUUACCACUACACUAACACGCUAGCGGCUAGCGGGCUACAAUGAAAGCUUUUUCUUGCAUGAUGAAAACUUUCGAUUGAGAAUUGGAAAAUUGAUAGUGUAUUUAAUAAAAUUAAAUAAAUAUUGUAUAAAACAAUACAUAUUAAGAAGAGUUAAGACUAACUGAAAUUCAAGUAUGAAGCUAAAAAAUAUAUGCACAUAUAGGGAUUUGAUCUUGUGACACCGGGUGCCUUCAAUUUUUUUUCUGUCAAUAAAAAUAGAUUUUAAUCAUAAAUGCAAUAAUUUAAAUUUCCUAGAAAAAAAAUGUAAUUGUUAGUAUAAAUUAUUUUUUUAUUAAUGUGUUUUCUAACAAAAAAAAAAUCUUUCUUUAGAUAUGUUAUUUAUUGCAUAGAACUAUUUCACUGUAGAAAUGAUGAUUCUGUAAUUAUGUUUGGGAUUUUGGCUAUUUUGAAUACUAUAGCAAGUAGUGUUACUACAGCGGUGGCACAAUUGUAAAUUUCAACUUUAUUUAGAAAACUAGAUUUUUUUAGAUUUCUUUUUAUAUUUGAUAUUUUUUUUAUUAUUUUACACUUGAUUAUUUUAGAUGCUAUAGCAAGUAGGGUUAUUAUAUAUAUAUAUAUAUAUAAAGGAAGGAUGGUGGAAACUAGAUCUCAAGAAUCCAAGUCUCCAACUCACAAUGCCUCAUAUUUAAACACCAGCACAAGUAAGAAGCAUCAAUUUAUAAUUUUCUUACAUAUUCGGCCAAAAUAAAUACCUUAGAUUACCAAUAACAACAUAUAAAAUUAUAAAUAAGAUAACACAUGACAAUCAUAAUAUUCAUUGUCUCACACACUUUGUGCUUGUUCUCUUUGCUACACAAUAUCAAAAGAUUUUUUAUCCCAGAGACUUGUUUUGCAAGAGUUCGAGGAUAAACCUAAUUUAAUUUAAUAAAAAUUCAUUUUAAAGUCUAUUGACACUAGUCAAGGAAAGGCCUUGUCCAAUUUGAAAUUUUUUUCGAGUUCAUCAAAAAGUAUAUAAGCAAAAUAAAAUAAUAAUGUAGUUGGGUUAAAAAUGGUAGACAAGUAAGAGGAAGACUGAGAUUAUUUGGGUAUUCUUGUAUAAAAUUGUGUUUGAUUAGUGUCUUCGGAUAGAAGGAACAAACACAAAAGAGAAAUUGAUCUCCAAAAAAGUUUUUAAAAUAUUAAAUAUUAACAUGAUUAAAAUAAAUUAUGUAUAAAUGAGAAUCUGAUCUUGAAGACCCGUGGUUGCUAUGUUUUUAUGAAACAUAAAACAUUUUAUCCUACAUUAAAAAGAAUAUACAAGAUUCUCUUAUAGUUUAUAUAAUAAAAAAUUAAAUAAUCAUAUAUGAGCCAAAACAAAGUAGCUUUGGGUUUAAGUCAUACUCAUAUGCUUGUUUGGCUCGACCAGGGCUAAGGUUUGGGAGUAAGCUCCAAUCUUGAAUUUGCAAUUUUGCUCACCUAUUUUGAACUUGAAUUUUGUUAUAAAAUAAUUAUUUAGCCCAUAAAAGAAUUAUUUUUUACCAACUCAUUAGUUUUUCUUGCUCAUGAAUAAAUAGCCUAAAUAAUCUUCUUUUUUAAUCUAAAUAAUUUUUUAUUUGAUGAAAAAAGUCAGAUUUUAAAGGCAAAAACUAGCAAACUAAUUUUAUAUUUUGACAAGUAAUUAAAGGUGAUAAAUGACAAAAAUUCUAAAUCAGUUUUGGUUUCAAAAUUCAUUAUAAAAAAAAGACAUAAAAUGUUUUACAUAGAUUUUCGAACUUUCUUUACCUUAAUUUUUAGCUUACCUUCAGUAGUUUUAAGCUUGUUUCCUUCUUUUUUCCUUCUACAUUAUAGUCUAGGUUAUGUUAUUAUAGAGAGAGAUUUGACUGCUAUUUCCUUGAGGUUAUAGUCCUUAUUUAAAAAUGUAAUUAAAUAAAAUGAUAUUGUUAGGGUGGUAGGAAGUUAAUUUCAUAUAUUUUGUUUACAUAAAUAAUAAAACUUUAAAAAUAAAAAAUUAAUCUUUAAUAACAAUUUUUUUUAACUAAAUCUAGUUUUAAAUUCCUCAACAAAUAAGUAGCUUACGUAUCAUUAUUUUUAGUUUAAUUAUGAUAAUUAUCAUUAUAUAUGAUAAUAUGCAUGCUAAGGUCUGUAAUUUUAAAUAUUUAAUUUUAUGUUUAGAAUGCAUAAGAAGUUUUGUUUUAAAUCCUUUUACAUAAGAAGUUUUGUUUUAAAUCCUUUUACAAGAUAUGGUUUUUUACCUUGUUUCAUAAAAGUACAUGUAAUAUAUAAUUGCUAGAAAUAUAUGAAAAUAAUAUAUUUAAAAAAAAUUGUUUUUAAUAUUAAUGUAUCAAAACAGUAUGUUUUGUUUAUCAAAACAAUACAAAAACAUUAAAAAAAAUUAAUAAAAUACAAUUUCUCCCACAAAAACAACCGUAGUCACUGGCCCAAAUUUGAAACAACACAUUUUACGUGAACAACAUUGUAGAUGAGGUAUUCAAAACUAGAGAAAUGAUUUGGAUAGCUGCCAUGCACGUGGAACGAUUUUAUCCGUCCUGGUCUUACCAGGAUGGAGAGACAAGAUCAUUAUAGGAUCUCAAUUGUCUUUGUACAAACCACUCCUCUCUUUGUCACGAAGGAAUGCAGGUGCAAGCCCUAAUAUCUCCCCGGUACUUGACAGGAUAUUUCCUGGAAAAAUAAUGCACACUCUUCACUCUUGUUAACUGAUAAUAAGCUCUAGGUUAAUCUGAAGGGCCUGCAGUCUUGAUACAGUAUUUCCAUGUUAAGCUUGACCGGCUGCUUUCUCACCAGCUUCCAAGUGGAUGGGCAAUAAACUACUAAAUACUACAAACAUAAUUACACAGGAAAUCUUAUUUUUCCUAGUCCAUUUCUUGACUACGUUGGAGAAGGACAUGGGGGCAUGGUCUUUGUGGUUCUCCUUGUGUCCAUAAGACUCUGAGAUCCCCUCUUUUCUUCCCUAACGUAAGAAAAGUUCCUGCAUCAACGCAUGAGUUUUAUUUAUAGGGUCAAGUAAACACUAAACCAUUUUGCUUUUUAAGAUUGUUUUCCACUCUUUCUGUGAAAAAGAAUUUACCAAGGGUGAAUGGGACGAUAUAUAGCAGUGCUGGCUGCCCAUGGCCAUCCAUCAAGUUCAGUGCCACAUAAGUAACGAGAAGACCUGCCGCGUUUCAUGAUUAAAAAGGGAACUUGUAAGAGAUAAGUGCUAUUUCAAAAUUUCAAAAGCAUGUGAACAGCACAACAGUUCUCUUUAUCCUUUCAUUUUCAAAUGCAAUUUAGUGGUUCCAAUAGAGAAAGGAGACUGGUUUGAUAAUUCCAUACCUAAUCCGUAAGCAAGCAUUGCCCAUGGGAAGUACCCAGCACAAAGGCUCUUAUUUGCUGACCAAUCAUACCUGCAAGAACAAUUGAUUUUUUUUUAGCAUAGAAAAUCUUGAUGAAAUUAAGAACUUGCAAGCUGAAAGAAGCCCAAGACCAAAGGUGGAGCAGCAUGCCUCAUCGUUUUUCUACUUUAAAAAUGCCAAGAGUGCUUAUUGAAGCUCAAUCAAAGGAGAGCUAUUCUUUAGCUGCUGUUAUCUUUCUGUUGUAACAAACUGUAUUCAAAUAUUUGUUUUGAUUGUAACUAGCUUGACCAUAUUUUGUGGGAUAUUCUUUGUAAACCGUUUGGGAUGUUUAUGAUCUAUAUAAAUCCCAUUCAAUGUGUUAAAUAAUAUGAUCAUUUUUAUUCAGCAAUUACUUCUCUUAAGGUCUCACGGUGAUAUUUUGUUUAUUUGGAGAAAAAAGACUUGGCAGAUUUGGAUUCUUAUAACUUGGAGAGCUAGAACUACUGUUGCAAAUAUUCUUAUAACAACUUAGAAAGCUAGCAGCUAAAGUAAGCAUCAGAGGUUUGAAAUAGAACGGAAGAAGAAAAGAUAUUGCAAGAAGGUGAAAGCCCCAAUUCCGUGAUCUGAAUUGCUGUAACUGCAUUUUUCCCUGCCUUUUUAUCUAUUUUUUAUUUUAGAAAAGAACAGUUUGCACAAAAGAAUUCGUUGAUCACAGAAAUAUAAAAAAAUUAUCUUAACCUGGAGGGAAAUAUGAGGAAUAAACACCAAAGAAUGCUAGCAAAUAUCGAGUUUACAAGUAUACAAAUAAGCCAAGGGUAUACUUCUUGCAAAGACAUGCCAGAGAAUCAUGGAGUGGAGUGUAAACCUGAGGGAAAAUGCUAUCAGCAACCCAGGUAAAAGGAUGUCGCCAAACCCUAUGAUGCUGUAACCACCCCAAGGAUCAAACAAGCGUGGAAUCUUUAACAGCAUUGGGAUACCAUCCUCUCCACUUCUAUCACCACGAGCCACCUAAGAAAAAAGAUGUGACCAAUCUUUAUACUUCAGCAAGUGAACACAUUGAUUAUUGAAAGUCAACCAAAAGAUGCAUGUGAUAGAUAGUAAAAUUACCAGAGGAUUACUUACCACAAUCAUGACGCUUUCAUGGAACAACUUCUUGGAAACAAACACCCAAAAGAUGUCAUACAAGAACGCACAACUGAGAAGAACAGUACCCACCUGAUUUACAAACAUUUUCACUCAUUUCAGAAGAACCACUGAGUCACCAGAAAUAGUAUCUGUCCUAAAAAUUUGCUCUAUCUAAAUUGACGCUAAGUGAUACUAAACCUGGUAAAACUAGAACGAGUACAGUUGAAAGAAUAAAAGGAUUGCAUCUUUAUAUGGAAUUAAAGGAGAUUUGAACGAUACUAUCACAACGGCAACCAAAAUAUCCAACUUGAAGGAAGUAAUCGUGUGAGCAUGUGCAGAGCAACACUAAAACAAAAGGGGUAAUUGCUGGAGCUAUUUGACUUAACAAAGAUUGCCUAUUUAGGAUGGUAAUCCACUGCACACAUACUAGGUUAAAAAAAAAAGCAAUUAAGAAAGGAUAAAAAUGAUGGGAAAUAAAAAAUCUAAGGGGCAGCCUAUGCAGGCCCAUUACUUGGUGCAAUGGAAAAAGUUUUAAACUCACAACCACAAGGAACGAUUCUUCCUCACACCCUGCCUUGGUGGGGGCAAAACUAUUGCAAUAACUUGUACUUAUUAGCUUACUAGAUUUUUUAAGAACAUUACCUUGAGAUUAGGUGCAUGGACAAUUUGCAGAACAGUGAUUAUCAGUGCAAUUCCCUGGUUUACAAACAAAUAAAGGACAAAGGAUUAUUAGCUGAAUUGCUCCACUUGACAACUUCACCCAAAAUGAGAUAUACGAGAUAGAUUGCAAAAGGCCAUAAUGUAUGCCACUUAUUAUCCAUUUCAUUUUGGAGUCAUUAAUUAUUAGUGGGAUUGGAAUGGAAAGUACAGUAGAUGGCACUACUAAAGCAGCAACCAGAGAGAGAAUUCUUUAUAAUCUUGAUAAUUGGAAACUUAAAAAUUGCAGGAAGCAUUAACCGAUUUGGAAAGAAGGUGUCCUUACAAGUGUAUCUUGACCUAUCCAGGCAAAGGAGAGAUUGCGAUGCAUAGCCCAACCAGCUGCAAAUGCUAUGCAGAAUGGAGUAACAGCUAACGUUAGGUACGAGAGAGCUCCAAAGAAUGGUACUUUUAUGUACGAUUCUCCAGCAUGCUUGAACCACCUGCACAAUUAUUGUAACUUUAGCUCCCGACCACUGAACUGGUAGAAAAUACUUAGGUAAUCUGACAGCAAGCAUCCAUGGAUAACCAGCUCUAUAAAAACUCCCAGCCAGUAACUUCAAAUACUUAAUAACUUUUCAUAUAAUCCCUCCCUUAACAGCUGCAUUUUAUACAAUAACAUUUAUAGCACUGGAUUGUAAUCAAAAAAUGAGCAAACGAAACUUCCUUAGGAGGGGGUGUGCAAUUUUCACUGUUACACUACUUUUCUGGAAACCUACCAACAAAUAGGAACUUUUAACCAAGUUCCCCAAAUCAAAGAUUAAAGAAUAGUUAUGAGCAACUGAAAUAUGGAACGUGGCUAGCAAGGAGUUUUAAAAGUGAAAAAAUUUCAGUAACACAGUAAGUCAUUUAUAAAUAAGAGACUGAUUAUAUACCUUGACAAUAAAGCAACCAGGCAAGUUUGCAAGCCCUGCAGAUGCAUGAAACUACAUGCUUAAAAUUGAUUCCAGCAAAAAAAAGGGAAAAAAAAGGAAAACAUGAACAAACCUGUAACAUUAGGAUGUUCAGAUGUCAAAAAGUUUGAUCACAGUUUGCAUAACGAUUACCACUUCUAAGCAUGGUAAUAAUGCAAGAUGGUUAAGUAUUUGCUCCUGGCACCACAUUCAUAUCAUGAUUUCAGUGUCAAAAGGGAAAAGUCAUACCUCCACACCACCUAUGCAGAACAGGACCACCAAAAGCUCAAUGAACCAAUAUGACAUGAGUUCGUAAAGUAUGACCAGGAAGCAUGAAGCAAUGACAACAAACAGGACAGCUGAUGCUGUAUUGAUGUCCAGAACACUACUAACACCCACAGCUUUGUCAUUUGGAACUUCAUCCACAGCAUCCUACAUGAAGAAGACAGAAUCAUAAAUCAGUAAGAAAGUAGAAGUUGUAAAGAAAAAAAUAACUCUUCAAGAUGCUAAGAUGAUGCUAUUUUGCAAAUAUUGUCCAAAAAAUCACCUUCAAUAGCUUGUCCUGUUCGGCAGCUGCUUCUCUGGCAGUCCACGCGGACCAAUAAGACGCGCACAAGAUGGUACCAACAGCCAUUAACCACAAAAAGACUUCGGCGACAUCAACUAAUGGUCGCUUUGGAGAGUAAAGCUGCACAGACACUGCAAACAGGCAAUUAUUUUUAGACAAGUCUUCCACAAGAAGGAAACUGCCAAUAUAUGUACGCAGCACAUCAAAGCAGAAAAGUAGUCACCACCUAAACAAAUGGACAAACAUCUUCAGAAAAAUGAAAUAUCCAAAAGCAGGUAAGAUCAAGUUAAAAAAUGAAUUUGCAUGUUACCCUGAAACCAUGUGGACUAUGGAAGAGAACUUACCUGAUGUAUUAGUCAAUAGCAUUUUUUCCAAGCUUGCACCGGCAUCUUGUGGGAGUAUAAUAGCAGGUAUGUGUAUAUCUAGAUCAGUUUCAUCUGGCUCACAGACCAUCUUGUAAAGUUCUGUAGAGAAGGGAAACAAACAAUAAGUUGCAAAAUAAGCCAUAGCGAAAGAAAUUGACAGUAAAGGACUUUAUAUUGGUUGUCAUGACCAAGCAAGCAUUGGUAUAAGCAAAUUGUGGGUAAAUUCAAGAGAAGUUCCUCUUCCAUGUCCAUGAAGAUUAAAAGGAUGAUGUGUUUAAAAGAGUUCAAAGAAGAAUUUCACAGGCAAGUUCGUGGAUGGAGUUCAAGCAGUUGUAAAUGCAAUCCUAACAUACCUAUUAAGUUAAAAAUGGCAGAUUUAUUGGGCUUUGGGAAUUAACAAAACAACGUCCAUAAAAUGAGUGUAGCUAAAAUGAAAAAGUUCAGACUGAAAAGGGAUUGGACAGGAUGGUGGAAAAAGAUCCAUAUUUAGCAUUAAGAAUUAGCGUGUUUGAUUGAGUGGACAUCAGGGCUAUUAUCAUUGUUUGCUGAGAGCUUCCAUUAAGAUCCCUACCGAUAAGAAAUGCAUCAAAUAUAGCAGCAAAUACACCAAUUACCUUUUUGGUUAUUUAUAAUGAGCACAGCUGAAGCACCAGCAGCUUCAGCAUUAUUUGCUUUGGUUGUGAACUUGCAGUGACCUCGGUGAACCAUGAUGACAUCUCUAUCAAGCUAACAAAUUGAAAAACAUCGACUUUAGUAAAUGUCCACAGCACAUCGAUGAAUUAUACAACUAUGUUCAAAUAUCUUGAGCAUAUAUAAUAUUCCUAAGUAUAAACCUUGUGCUUAGGUGCACUACAACAAUCUCGAGGGUCUGAAAGUGUAAGGCGAAUUUGGUUUGCAUUUUUCUCUUUUGACACAAUGGUAGUGCCAAAUCUAGCACCCACGCCUACAAAUUCAGCAUCCUCUUCUCCACCGACCCAAGUUUGAACUUUUACCUAACAAAACCAGCCACUAAGUUAACAGAUAAAAAAUAUGAAUUCAAUCAGAGUCUAGAGCUAACUAAAGUACAAUUGCAGACCCCGUAAAAUCUUAUGAAGGCAACUUUCCGACAAAACCAGAUAACAAACGGUUGGCUCCAAUGGAAUGACCUAAAUCAAAAGAAAGGUUGACAUUUCCAUCAUUAAAUGCUUUUCCCAAUUAUAGCUCAUAAUAUAAGCACAUUUGAUGUAACCUAAGAAACCCAAAAGAGAGCCGAAAAGAGAGAAAAAGACCAGUACUAAAUUAUGGUCAUAAAAAGGAAAGAAACCAUCUUCAAAACUUUACUUUUAAACUUUCCUAUAACAUGCAAAACGAAUUCAACCCUAGAGGGCAAAUCAGGCACCAAAUCCAAAUACACAGAACCAAAACCUCAACAAGAUCACAAAUUUACAAACUCCAACUUUUGAGGGAUCACAUUACUAGCUCCAGAUCACACAAAAUUGUAAAACAGAAACAAAACAAAAAACAUCAAAAACAUGUAAUCAUGUUAAAAAAAUAUAUAUAUAGUUAACAAUAACCAAUUAAAAAUUUAUACAAUUUUAAGCUACAACUAAACCAUAAAAAAAACAAACAAAAUACACAAAAUCCAAGCAACGAAAAGAGAAAAGAAUCAAAACCCGGUUGAGAAACCAUCAAAGCAAGAACUGGGUCGUUAUAAAUAAUCAGCAUUUUAGAUGUUACCAUUUACCAAAACGAAGUCAUUUUCACAGCCAGGCUUUUUGGGAGCUAAGUUAUCAUCAUGGACUAUAUCUCCUGCUGUAACUGAAGAUGGGUGACACACCAGUAAAAUCACACCUGUUAUAGUGAUUAUAGAGCACAGUUUUUUAAAAUCCAUGGAUUGAUUUUAAGCUAUCUUUCUUGGCGUUCUCUUCUUUCCCUACUACAUAAAUAAAAAUUUUGAGCAAGAGAGAGAAACAGAAUCUUGUCUAGUUUUGUUCUGUGUUCUGUAGCCGUGGUACGUGGUGUUUUUGGAAUUGCGUCCGUGAUUAUUUUUUAAAAUAUACUAAAAUAAUAUUUUUUAUUUUUAAAAUUUUAUUUUUAAUAUUAAUAAUUAAAAACAAUCUAAAAAUAUAAAAAUAAUUAAUUUAAAAUAAAAUAAAAUCUCAAAAAAAUCAAAAAUACUUUUUUACCAUGAAAUACACUCAUAGUAAAUAAUAAAAUGAAAAAAGAAGUGAGAUCACAGAGAUCAAAACUACAAUUAAUAUUCAACAAUCAUGAUUAAAAAGAUAAUAUUAUUCUGAUUUGUUUUAUACAAUUAGUAAUCAUAAUACGAAAUGCGUUUCAUAUACAGCCACCUUGGUAUUUUUUGCUAAGUAGUAAGCCUAAUUUUCCCUUUUUUUAUUUUCCACUUCGGUUUUAAAUUUUUUGAAAAAUAAAAAGAAGAAGAUUUCAUUAAUAUAUUAAUAAUAUCCAGCCGGGGCAAAAACAUUUAAUUAUUAUAUUAAAACUUCAAUACAUAUUUGAUUAAUACAAGAUUCAAAAUUUUCAGAGAAAUAUUAUUAUCAUAUUUCAAAUUAUAAUUAAUUUUAAGUUUAAUAACGUAAAUGAAGUGAGAGAAAAAAAUAUUAUUUCUAUUUAUCUAAAAAAAACAUUUUAAAAAAUAAUAGUCAUUACAUUAACAAAUAGCUCCAAAACAUGAUUCAUUGCUUAUUAUCUUCUCUACAUGUUAAUCUUAAAAAAAUAUAAAGUAAAUAAAUAGUAUGAAAGCCCGUUGCUCAAAUGAAAAUGGGUUAAAAUUCAAAUUUUUUUAUAUUUUUAGAUUAUUUUAAUAUAUUAAUGUGAAAAAAUAAUUUUAAAAAAUAAAAAAAUAUUAUUUUAAUAUAUUAUAAAUAAAAAUAUUUUAAAAAACAAUGUACUGUUACUCUAAUAUUCUAUUAUGAAAAAGGAAGAAGCAGAAAUGGCCUGGCUAGUCUUGAAUUGUGCCCAAUCACUUGGUGACUUGACGUGAUUAUCAAUAUUGAUGCUAAACCUUUUACUUUCCGGGCCUAAGUGAAGGCAGAUUUGAUCCAUCUUGUCACAUAACUCAAGGUUUUGCUUGGCGGAGGAGAAUAAAGAAUUUGCAGGUUUUUCAAGCUUCGAAAGAAACAGGACACCUCCCUGGUUAUUCCCUUCACCUUCAACAGGCUAGAGAAAGUUGUAGUAUUUUGCUGAAUAAAGCUGGCACUAAUUGAUCAAAUCCAAAUGAAAACGAGAUAAAAUAUUCCUAUUGACCGACUAUACAUAGUUGCAGCAUCCAUGCAGCCUGUUUUUGAGAGGAUGGCAUUAAAGAAGAAAUCAAUCUCAAAUAUUCCGUUUUCUUGCCUAGUGAGUGUACUUGAUGCAUUGAAACUUCAGAUACCCCCCAUCAUGGGAAACACAGAGACAAAGUAAAUUGAAAGAGCAUCCCUCAUCUCACUUGUGCCCAUGUUGAAAACAAUAUAAAUCAAGUAUCGAAACUAGGAUCUUUGAAAAUUUCAAAAUAGUUCUCUCUUACAUCUGGUAAGGAUUGAAACCAGGCAAAAACAAUAUAGAGAUGUUUGGAAUCUUGUGAUCCAUAGUUGAGUGCAAUUUUGUUUCCGGCUCAUUAUUCACCUCGAAUGAAAACUAUUUUGGGAAUUGAUAACCAUCUUGGUAUGACGUUAGUCUACCAUCAGCUUUGUAACUAGAAUGGUCGAGGAAGAGGAAGUUGUUGGCUAUCAACUGUUCUGAGAAAGAGUAGCUUCCCCCUGGAAGCCUGACGGCUCCUCCAUUCAUGUUCAGACCUGGGGUGCUGGUUUCACGAGCUAGAUUUUCCAAGUUGACUUGGGUUGGGAUGUUAAAACUACUAUUUGCAGCCUGAAGAAAUGGAACUGGGAGUCCAUUUCCAACAAUUGAUGACAUGGUGCUGUUUUGGUUGAAGUAACUGACGUCUCUGGAACUCAUUUGAGCAAAGCUUCUACUUCUUUCGUCUGGCUGCAUGCCCUGAAAGUAUCCAUGAUGACUGCUUGAACCUAGUAUCAGAUUCGAUCUUUCUGAACUCAUGCCUAUUUGAUUCCCAGCAAAUCUUGGUUGAAUAGAGUUCAAUGAAGAUGUAUCAAACCUAUGGUUUGCUUCAAGAGGCUUUGUUAACACAGUAGGCAGUGUUAAGUACAUUGAAGAAGCUACCUGAUUGGAGGAGCCAGUUGGAAACAUUGGCUCGACAGUUAAUGCCAGCCUUUCUCCUUUGUUCUUCUUGCCUGAUGUCAUGGAUCCAAUCGCUUGGGCAUAAUCAGAUUGAUGUUCAGGUGCUUGAUGGUGAUUAUUAGAAUCAGUAAUUUUUCUGCCUUUUGCAGACCUCUCUAAAGAUCCACCAUUGCAUUGAGCUCUUAUGCCCAACACAAUACUCUUUGGCUUCUGCACUUGCACAUUCUUAUCUGAAGGACUAGGUUUAGAAUUCAUCUUGGCAGAUAAUGCCAUUCUUUCUUCUCUUUCCUUCUCAGUUGUUGUCAUGGGUACAAUUGCUCGGCUAAUAUGACUAUCCAAUGUUAGACUGCAAUUACUAGAGUCAGUUGAUUUAUUGGCUUUGCCAAACCCUUCUGUAGACCCACCAUUGCAAUCUUGAGAUCCUUUGCACAAACUGAAGGCAUUUCGAUGUUGCAGGAAAAUGUUCUCCUGAAAAUUCUUCUGAUGAUGCACUUCGGUACUGUUCUCCUGAAAGUUGAUAAGGUUCUGCCUGUGGACAUUCUCCGCAAACUUAUUAUGGGGCUGCGCUUGGCCAUAGCCCUGAAUGUUGUUUUGAUGCUGGGCUGGCAUGUUCCCGAAAGUGUUUUGGUGCUGAACUUGUGCAUUCUCCUCAAAGCUGGUUUGAAGCUGCAAUUGAACUUUCUCUCCUCUAAAGCUGCCUUCUCUUGUUUCCAGCUCAGAAACAGUCUCCUCUUCCACCAAUUUCUGCAUUUCUUCCCUCAUCCACUUCAAUAAAUUCUCUCUUGAAACUUUAAGAUCCUGUAAUAAAAAGUUCAUGUACUUCUUAAGAUCAUCAAAUACAGCUUGUUCAUCAGUACUAGGUUUACUCUUCUUACGGCGGACUUCUCUGUGAGGGCCCUUCUUCUUUUCAUUAGGAGUUGAAUCAUUCUUUUUACUCCUCCUUCUUCGGCCAUUUUCAGCUUUCCCAGAUUUCAUUUGGUCUGAAAUACCAGGAUCACAGUUGCCAAUCUGGUGCAAUUUACUAGCAUCACUAGUUUCAUCAUUAUCAACUGAAAUGAAGCUCGAGAUCAGUUUGUGUUUUUUUAGAGCUGGUUCGCCACUUGGUUUUGAAUCAUUGCUUGAAGAAUCAGAGUCAUCGUCUUUCCUCCUAAACUCCCAGCAUUGCUGCAGUUUCAGUUGCUCUGCCAUUUUAGAAAUGGGGGACAUCAUGAAAAACCAGAAUUUCACUAACUCUGUACCAUCAAAUAACUUGGAAGAUGCUGAAUUAUCAAUGUUAUUUUUUCAUCCCUGGAGGAUCACAGCACCAAUUCCUGCCCACGUAGCAUCAAGACUCCAUGAUUUUCUGCAAAAGCUGCUAGACAAUCAAACAGCCCGCCAAACUUCGACUUCAACUCAUUAAGCAGGAACCUGACUACAUUGAAACUACUUCAAAGUGAAAACAAGUUUAUCAAACAAAGAGCAACCAAUAAUCAAAGAUUAAUGAAUUCAAUGACUUCAUGGAUUCUCUGUACUUUCGAGAUUCUGUAACGAGUGAUGUGAUGAAGACCUCUAGACACUAACUACAGGCUCAAUAUCUACAGAAACAAACCCAUGUGUAAAAGAAAGAGCACAAUCUUGAUCUUUAAAGGAGUACAUAGUUUCAAAAUCCCCACCUCACUAAGGCCUGAGAUGAAAACCAGCAGAAAAGAAAUCCAAUUCCUGAACCUCAAAUACCUUUCAAUGAGGCAAUAUAGUUCAAAUAAAGGCACAAACUUGCAUAGCAAACUGCUAUUUUAUAAAAUCCAUAAUCAGAAAAAAAAAAUGCAGAAUAAUGCUUCCUUCAGAGUUUCAAAAGAGAGAAUAACAUAGCAUAAGAAAACUAAUGAACAGAUACUAAUCAACUUAUAGGAUAUAUCUACUAUCUUGUAUGUUCGUCUCAUAAACCCAAAAAACCAGAACAAUGCAGAAAAGAGCUUCAAACAAUUCCAAAAUACAAAUAUAAUGUACAUAAAAUCCACAAAAAAGAAAACUGGAUUCAAAGUCAUUCUCUUUUUCAUGAUAUUGCAUACAGAAAGAAAAGAACAGAAAGCAAAAAAGAGCAUUAACAAAUAAAAAGAUUCGGAAUAAAAUCAUCAGAGCACAAAGUAAAGAGUUUUUCAUAGAUGGACAUAAACUCACCAAGUAACAAGCCAAGAAGAUGCUUCUCUCUCCCUCUCUCUCUCUGUCAAACAUCAACCUCUAAGUCCCAUUUCUUUCAGUAGAGCUGUUUUCACUGUGGCAUUUAUAUCUCCACUCUCUCUCUCUUUAAAAGGCAAGAAAAGAUAUGUUUUUGUCUGUCUGUGUAGUGUUUCCAUCUGUGCAGUGUGAGUGUGUUUUGCUGUUUAUGGAAGUGAGUCAGUGAGUUGGGUGGUAAGUAGCAGAGAGAGUUAUGGGUGGCAUUUUAACCCCUUUUGUUACUUGUGGCUGGCCAUUGUAAACUGUCUUGUUGAGAAAGAGAUAAAUUUGUCUUUCCAUGUAAACUGGCUUCGUAUCUCCAAGCCUUGUAACUUCCAUGCCAUAGGACUUACUUCCAUCUUAUGUUCAAGCUACAGCUGUAAAGAUUGAUGGGAUUUAUGUAUUUAUUGAUUAUUUAAAUAAUUUGGCAAUUAUAGAGAAACCCAUUUAAUGUUUUCACUAUAUGGUGUUUCUGUGGACAAAUUUAGAAACGGAUAGCAUGUUGAAUCAAAUAUGGCUAUGGAAUGUUGUUUCUCCUCUUACUUUUCUUCAAUCUGGAACUUACAAGAGCUGUAAUUUGCAAAUACUUACAGUUUCAGUAUAUAUAAAUAGAAUAACAUGGCGUAAAUAGAGAAUCACCAAACGCAUUUGCACCAAGGCAUUAACUUUACAUUAAUAUUAUUAGAAGCUGUGAGAAAUAUCGAAGAAAGAAAACUGAAAUUUACCAAUAUAUUUCUGUAUAGGGAUAUUUUUAUUAAUUUUUAUAGAUCAUGGAUUUGAUUUUCUUUAUUUCUUGUAUCUGUCUUUUUUUAUUCAAGUAAAUUCCAAAAAAUAACUAGUAAAAUAUCAUUAAUUACUUCUUAAAUAUCAUAAAAUUUCUUGUGAUGAAGAUGUGUCGAGCUAGAAAUUAUCAUUCGGAGCCAAGUUGAAGAUGAAAAACAAAUAUAUAUUUUUGUCCACAGGGAUAAUUCAGCCGAUUAAACUUGGAAUCUCAAAACCUCCGAGGGCGAUUAUCAGUUGAGGAAUUAGAGGGUAAUUCUCAUAACCCCUUUCCUUUUCCCUUCUAUUCUUCUUGACUUAGCCUUGCUUGAAUAACAGGUUAUCGAAUCCUAUUAGCAAAAUGAAAUAAUUUGAAUUUCCAUGGAGACAACGACGAUUGAUGAGUACUAAAUACAUUUCUUGAUACUACUUUAGCAAAUAGUCCAAUAUAAAAGAGACGUCUAAAAUUAACAACAAUCAAAUCAUUAAGGACACUUAAAAAGUGCAAGGCCUUGUUCUGUCAGGAUCAUCAUGGUGGAAGGCAGAUCGCAUGCACUCUACCUCUAUCAACCUUCGGGCAUAUAUUCUGAUAAUUAAUCAUGAAUAUAACUUGAGCAUUUGUUAAUUUUCUGACAGUCACUGUAUGAUUGAUGAGAAAAAAGUUUAUUAUCGGGAUUAAGGAGUCGUGGCAUGAAGUGAAGUGAAAUUGCUUGGGAGAGACAAGGACCUUAUCGUUUUUUUUUUCAGCAAACACUAUGACUCGCUACGGUUCUACCAUUAAAUCUAGUAGCUUCUCACCUUCCCACACUGGCUCAACAAGAAGAGGAAACGGGCCAUUGAAAUGCACCACAAUAUCAUCAUAUAGGAUUCGAAACGUAGACAAAAUCAAUUUGGUAAUACUAAAAGGAACAUCGAAGAAUUCCUCGCGGAUGGCAUGUAAUCAGUGCUCUAUGUCCACGAAGUCCUGCAACAUGCUUACAAAAUUGUGCUGACACUUCAGAUUCCUAUCCAACAUGUUUACACCGCAGAUUUUAGAUUGCACAAAAGAUCCGAAAAACCGGCAGGACAAAAAAAUUAUAGCUUUUACAAACUCAUUUAAGGGAUUGCACAGUGAAGAUCUUACCAGUUACCUAACCCUCUCUGAAGGUUUCAUCAAGAAUUGCACCGUGGAGAUCUUACCAGCCACAAAGCACUCUCUUCCUUUGGACAAUUAUCGUUAGGAAUUGAAGAGAUAUGCUCUUAUACAAGAGGGAAAAAAAAAACAAACAAAACCAAAACUACUGUUCCCUUCAUCGCUUUGGAUGGGCUCGAUAAUACCAAUUCUCCUCUCUGAAACUAAAAUCAAUGGCUUUCUGGUAACCUGUGGCAGCAGAGGCAAGUUUAAAAAAAAACGCAUGAGAUAUAUAAAAAUGUUAUUUUCUUUUUCAUAUACUUCGAGUUCUGAACAAUCACAUGUGACAAUCAAUAAACAAGAGACCAAGAAAAAAAAAUUUCUUCUGUUUUGGUUGUUACUCUGCACAUGUCGCACAAUCACAUUGAGUGUUUGAGAUCCUAAUUGUUUGAAUAAUCCGUCUGAUUACAAGCAUUGAAAUCAGAAAAGAUUUUAAGAGAUGCAAGUUGGAAUGAGACUCCCAAAUGAACGCUUCCACAUAUGCAUGAAAGGAAGAAGAAAUGUUGAACCAUGAAUCUACAUUUCUUUACACAAUAGAAUGGUACUUCCAUGUCCCAGUAAUCCACACAGUAUCAGCAGCUUGUUAUAAACAGGUUAGACAAAUUUCACAAUUGGUCCUUGACAAUACGAGAACAAUCAAGACCAAGCUGCAUUCUUAUUAGUAUGUCAAAAUAACAGGGAAUUAACUUACCGCCAUGGGAAUUCACUUGUGUCUAUCCCAGCUUGGUGAAGCUCGUCAACAUACUGCAAUGCUUCCCUGCACUCUUCCCGGUCAUCAAAGAAUUCUUUUUUGUCACCUUCAAUCUGAUAUGUUUCAUGGCCUUUACCAGCAACAACCUGCAGUUUAGAGAAUAUUCAAGAGACAAAAUACAAAUAAAAUUACGGUGAGAAUAAUUUCAAGGAGACAAUUCAGUUUUUCAUUGAAAAAUACUGAACCAUCUGUCCAUAAAUCUUCAAAAAGAGUAGUGAAAUGGGCAUAAACACUUACAACCAUAUCGCCUUCUUCACCCAUGGCAACAGCACAACGGACAGCUACUCGUCUAAUGUCAUGCAAAAACAGACGAUGGCCAUUUGGAAGAGGAGGGUAGUAAUCAUUUUCCCCAUGUUUCAAAUAUUCCUGCAUUGACCAUCCUACGCCAGCCAACAUGUCAUCCAAUAUGUCCACUGAUGAAGAUGAAACGAGUUAGUAAUAACUUUUGCAAAGAUGGCAUUUUAGUUACGCAGUAGAGUUCAACAUGCAUACAUGGAUCUUCACCCCUUGGAUUGUCAGAUGUCAGAAUUGUCAUGUCACUUUUAUCUGUUGCAAUUUUUGUCAUUAUUGGUCUCUUGCCUCUGUCUCUCUCUCCGCCACAACCAAUAACUUCACAAAAAGCAAGAAGUUGGUCAGGUUAACAAUACUUACAUUUCUUCAUGAAACUCAUCACUUCCCAGCUAUCCCAACUGACAUGGCAACUUUAUUGAAGUGAAUUGGCAAUUUUCUCUUCCAACAACAAUCAGAACCUAAUUCUAACUUGUCGAAUGUUGGAGAAAAUAAUAAGAUACCAUGAACAGAUCAGGACUAAUGUCAAUAAACUGGAGCUUCCAAAUCCCAAUUACAUCUUGAAUUCUCAGGAUUAUGAUUAUCUUCAGCAGUUUUGGACCUAAACAAAGGAUAACUACUAAAUCACUGUAUUUGCACUGCCAGACUUGGGAGAAUUAUCCACGAAUGGAAAAGAACAUUUAGCUAUGGCAAGAUAGAUGGUUGACAUAAACUUAAAUCAAUAUAUCAUCAUUAAAGAAUUAAGAGAAUCAAAACGACAAGCAUAUUUCUAGCUUGAGAAUUUCCUGUGCAUAUAAUACUCAGCCUAGCUUUUAUCACUUCCUUAUAGCAAAUGGUCCAAGACUUUGUACAAGGAAAAAGACUUUAAAACGCCUUAUCCAAGCAUAAAGCUAGAAUUAUCACAAACUUAGAGAAGUAGCACUGAAUGCAUGAUGAAGGUUAGGAGAAAGCAAUAGAAACGCACCCGUGAUAAUUCUUUUAGGCCUAAGCUCCCUUACGGAAUCAAGUAGUCUAGAUAGGGCAUCAGGUGUAUGAGCAUAGUCCACAAUCACCCCAAAUGCCUGCUCCUCGUCAAUUAACUCACACCUACCAGGUACCGCAUCUAUCUCUUCAAUCCCUCUAACAAUGUCUUCCAAUGGUGCACCAACUGCAAUCCCAACUGCCACAGCCGCAAGAAUAUUGUAGAUAUUGUGCUUCCCAAGCAAUCCUGAUGAAAUCUCUAAAAUACCAUGGGGUGUAUUAACCAAAACUUGUGUCUCAAAGAGGGAGAGCUCAUACUUCAAGGGAUGGACAUCUGCAUUUUUAUUUUCCAUAGCAAAGGUCACAACUGGCACCUCUUGGUUUCCUUGAGCAGUAAAGAAAGGUGCAUUUGGGUCAUCAACGUUAACUACUUUCCUAUGCCUUUCUGGAUCCACCAUCCGAGCAAACAACUUAGCCUUUGCAUUCUUAUACUCCUCUUCUGUCCCAUGAAAAUCUAAAUGAUCCCUCGUCAAAUUGGUAAAAACAGCAAUAUCAAAAUCAACCUCAUCACACCUCCCUAGAGCCAGUCCCUGGGAAGUAGCCUCCAUCACAACAGCUUCAGUUCCAUUAUGCAGCAUCUUAGCCAUCAAAUUCUGAACCAAAAUGGCACCUGGGAUUGUGUUAGGUGCCUCCAGUUUAUUAUCCCCGUGUAUAUAAUAUGCCACCGUACUCAACAUUCCAGUCCUCAACCCCAUUGCUUCAUACAUCCCUUUAACCAAAUUCGCUGUCGUAGUUUUCCCAUUCGUCCCAGUUAUCCCAAUCACAGCCAUAUUCUUUGAAGGGAACUUAUAAAAUGCUGCAGCCAAUGCAGGCAAAACUGCAUUAGUAUCCUCCACAAUCACCAAAGCCUUACACCCCAAAGUCUCUUCAAUAUCAACCUCCUUGCUAGCCACAACCGCAACAGCACCUCUCUUAUCAGCCUCGCUCAAAUACAAAUGUCCAUCCGUCUUCAUCCCCACACGACAAACAAACAAAUCACCAGCACUCACCACUCUCGAAUCAUCCUGUAUACCAGUAAUCUCCACCUCCAAAUCCCCCAAAACCGAAACCGGCACCACUUUGCUUUCAUCCAAAAGCUCAGCUAAACUCAUCCUAAACUUUGGUUCCACAAUAUUCACCUUCAAUUUCCCGAUACUAUCAAAAUCCAAAUCAAAACUCUUUUCAUCCAAAGACGCCCCAGCAUUGCUUUUUCCACUCUUUUCACCCACACCCACAUCAAACCCACUUGAACCAUCUUCAUCACUGUCAGUAUCAAUCACAGUCAACCCUGUUAGUUCAUCAAUCUCCUCCAAGUCCACCACCUCUUCAGGCUCUAACUCUUCAACACCUUCCAUAACAUCACUACUUCCUUUAAUGUCUUUUGGUUUUAACAGUCCUUGUUUAACAAGUUCUUGUCUUUCCAUAACGAUAGCCUUAUCAAUCUCACCAAACAAAUCAUCACCGUCACUAUUUAAGGAAUUGGGAUUUACCUCGGUAUCUGCAAUGGCUUUGAGAAACGUUGAUUGGUUCUUUUUGAAGUCUUCUUCUUGAGCUUUUCUUGCUCUUGAAGCUUGGAUAUGAACUUGUUCCCAUUUUGAUACUCCAUGUGCUGUAUCUUCUGGUGCUUCAGGUGGGUCAUUAUCUGCUGUGUUUGGGUAGAAUUUUCCAUCUGGGCCAAUAGCAAAUAGCGAGUGUUUUGUGCCGUGGAGAGAAAGAAAUGAAGGGGUUUUAGGGAGAGAAGGAAAUAAAUUGCGGGGUUUGAAGAAGGUUGGUUUUGGAGAGAGCAAGUUUGGGUUUUGAGAGAGAAAUGUGUGCGAUUGGAGAGUGAAUGUGAAGGCCAUUGAUAUGAUGAGAGAUAAAAUGAUAGUGGAAGGGGAUAAGGGAGGUUUAGUGCUGAAAGGAAAAACGGUGCGCUUUCAGGUGAGAGCGAACAGGACAGUCUUUUUCUUCUUCUUCUACUUCUUCUUUUUGGUUAAAUUCUUUUUCUUUUAUCUUAUCUGAUUCUUUUCUUCUUUUUUUUUAAUUAGGCGAAGUUGGGAUAUGGCUGCCAGGGUUGCUAUUACAUUACAAUUACAAUUAAAAAAAAAACCCAUAGAAAAUUCAUGAUGCAUCUAUAGAUAAUUCACUAUUCACCACAGCAAUAUAAUUACUGUUUUACCCUUUAAAAAAAACCAUUGGCAUUGGUAUUAAAUGGUCUUUUCCAAAUAGUCCAUUAGAUAUUAUAAAAUUAAUCGGAGACGAUUUGGUCUUCUUACUUUUAAAAUACACAUUAUAAUGAUUAUAUUGCCCUCACAACUAAAAUAUUUUGAAAGAUUACAUGAAAGCAAUUCCAUCUUUUUUAUGUUUUAAAGAUGCAAUAUAAAUAUUAUAUUACCCUUACAUGCAAGAAUUGUUAAAAUUAUGUAAAUGGGUUUUUUUGUCUUUUCAUAUUGAUUUUUUUGUAAUUAAUAAGUUGACACAGGUGAUUUGAUUUUUUGAAUAAAAUAAAUAUUAUUAAAAAAAAUUGUUAACAUAUACAGGAGUGGACACCGUGUGCAGCAUCUCCCCACUCCUAAAAAUCACCUUCCAAGGCAACGUUGAAAGCGUCUCACCAUUCUCUUUUUAUUAGUACCGCACGUGUAAACGACGGCGUGGUGCAUGAGCUCUGAUAGACUUUUCUUUUCUCUUCCUUCCUCUUUUCUCUUUCUUUCUCUUACCAAAAUAUAAAUGUGUCAUUUAAUUUAUUUUUUAUUUUUAAUUUGAUCAUCAUUCUUUUAAUUGCUAUUUGUUUUGUUUUUUACCAUUUUAUUAAUUUUUUCUUUAAUUUUGCCCCUUAUCAUUUAGUUUCAUUUAAUUUUUAAAUUAAAUUUGGUGCUCAUUCUUUUGAUUGUUGUUUUUUUUAUUUUUAAGCAUUUUUCUAAUUGAAUUUCAUUUUCAAUUUCAUCUUCAAUUUCAUCUCUUAACAUUUGAUUUUAAAUUAUUUUUAUAUCGAGUCUAGUCUUUAUUCUUUUAAUUGUUAUUUUUUAUUAUUUUGGAUCCUUUUUAUUGUAUUUUUUUAAUUUUAUCCUUUAGCAUUUUGAUGAUUUGAAAUGCUAAAUUUAAUACAUUUUGGAACCUGUUUUGUGUUUCAAAAACGUUUUUGAAAAAAUUUAAAUUUAAAUUUUAUUUUUUUCCUUACUUUAAAUUAAUAUUUUUAGUGUUUUCAUAUCAUUUUGAUGUGUUGAUGUCAAAAAUAAUUUUUUAAAAAUAAAAAAAUAUUAUCCUAAUGUAUUUCCGAGCAAAAAACACUUUAAAAAAUAAUCGCAACUACACUCUCAAACAACCCGUGAAUAAGGGUGAGGCGAAGAUUUCUCUUAGAGUUUAAGAUAAUUUAUAUAACCUCCAACCUCCAUAGGUGUGGUCUUGUAAAGGAUAGUGUGGUGAGUGUGCUUGCCACCAUGUAAUUUUGGAUAAAUGGAAACCCUUGCUUGGAGUGAUAACGAGCCUCUGCAAAAGCUAUCUGAAUGAACCCGGAGGUGAUUAGUUUGCUCCAAGUGUGUUUGAUCGGCCUAGACUUGAGCAUUCAGGGAAGUGGGAGCUAUAGAUAGCCUUAUACUCAGAGAUGCUGUCUUGUCGGAUCUAAAGAAGGCCCAUAGGACUGCAAAAGAAAGCCCAUAGGACUGCAAAAGAGGGCCCAAUCCUCACCAAGGCAAGUGACUGCAAAAGAAGGCCCAUAGGACCAACAUUUUCGCAAGCAUUAGAGGGAGCGAUGUGGAGGGAAGGUUCUUGUAGGGUUGCUAAUCCGUGGAGGCUUUAAACACUGCAAAUUCCAUGUUCAUAGAAGACUAUGGCAUAUGCGUGGAUAAAUCAUCACCCCAUUCCAAUCUCUUCACACAAACCACAAGCUCAGAGAAGUAGUUAAUGUAUUCUUAAUUUCCGGUCAAACUUCGAAGCAUUUCCCCGUCAACCCGGCUGUUUUCAUCGUCGUUUUCGUUUUCAUCAAUAUUAUUACUUGUUGAUCACGUCGUUGCCAUUUAUGAGGCGAAGCAAAAGAAAAUUCACAACAAAAUUGCUAGAUUUGUUAAUGUUUUCUUAUCGUCAAGAAAAUUUUUAACUUGAUAUUUGUAUUCAUCACAAUAAAUUAAUAAUUAUAAAUACCAAUAAAAAAUAAAAAAUUUAUUAAUUCCAACCAAAUAUUAAAUCAAGAUAUUAAAAUAAAGAUAUAUAUUAAACUAUCUGAUAACAAGAUUUUUUAAAAAAAAAUUAUUUAAUUAUACAAUAAUAAUUUUUUUUAUUGUUAAAAAAAUAUAAUUUAAACUCCAUUGAAAACAAUUCUAAAAGAAGUCCUCCUUUUUUGUUUAUAUUUUUUUUUCAACAAUAAAACAUUUUUUUGUCAUGGAUUUUUAAUUUGAUAAAAAAAACAAAAAGAAUUUUAAUAAAUGUAGAUCGUCCAUACUCAAAUCAAUUGUUUUGAUUGCCAUAAUAUGAUUAAUCAAUGAUUUUUUUUUAAUUUAAUUUUUUUUUUGCCAAUAUUUUUUCUCCUCUCAUGGGUCGUCAACUGAAAAAUCAACUAAAUAGAUUUGUUUUCCAACACCAUGAAGACUCGUACAAAACCAACCAAAACAAAUCACCAAACCCAAACUUAAAUCAACUAAAAUGAUCAAAUUAUUUUAAAAAAAAGUCAAAGUGACCAAGAUAAAUCAUUUUUUAUCAAUAAAAAACUAAUUUAUGAACACCCCCAAGUGUUUUGAUGUUUGUAUUAAUAAUUUACAAUAUAUUUUUGGUAAAGUAAUAACAAGAUUUCUUAAAAGUAUAGAAGAAAAAAAAAUAAUAUCAACCUCAACAGAGCAUGAACUUGUGAUCCUCAACUCAACUCAAAAGAAAAACAUGCUAACCAACCAAGCUAUUUGGCAAAUAUGAUAUUGAAUAAUUUAUAGAUUUUAAUUUCACGGACGGUAAAGCAAAUAUAUAGGCACGCAUAGGAGUCUAGUUGCGGUUGUUUUUCAAAAUAUUUUUCACUUAUAAAAGUAUUAAAAUAAUAUUUUUUUUAUUUUUUAAAAAUUAUUUUUGAUAUCAGUACAUCAAAAUGAUCUAAAAAAAUUAAAAAAUAUUAAUUUAAAGCAAAAAAUUUAAAAAAAUUCAAACUUUUUCAAAAAUAUUUUUAAAACAUAAAAAUAAACAAGGUUUAAAAAUAUUAGUUGUAGCUUGAACCCGCGACCUUCAAUCUAUUUGUGCCACGUGCAAGCUAAUUAAGCUUAUAAAACAAUAAAAAUAAAAUUAACCUGGCUGUUUCGGUUGAUACGUGUUUGGCAAGGAUAGAGUGGAAUCCAGAGUCAUUAUCACCCUCUCAUUCCGGUGAUUAAAAAUUGAACGUGGAGACAGAUAAUACCCACAAAUAAAACUACGAGAAGAGAUUUGCUUAAUAGGAUCCAUGUCUAACUGCUCCGGAUGUGGACGGCUAACCCUCUCCUAUUUGAUCAAGUCUGGCAUCAUAUUAUUCAUUUUCCUUGUUUGUCAGGUUGUGAUGAAGUCCUUCACACUCACAGGCUGUGGGACCGCGCUAGAUUUAUUUAUUUUAAAAAAAUAAUAUUCACAUGUCACGAACACGUUACAAGCCAAAACGGCAAGAUUGCAUAGUCAAUUAAUUAUCCAUCAUAAAAAAAUCUUUGAAUUAGACCUUUGGAGACCUAUAUAAGAUCAUUAAAGAUUUUUUUUAUUAUUAUUAACAUGGAUGUUCGGUCUAGCUUGCGCGAACCUUCACUAAUCUCAUGGACCCUGAAAUUAACGACCAUAUAAUUAAACCCUCGGUGGCCAUCACAUUAACAAUCAUAGGAUUUGAACUUAAGAUUAUAAAGGGAGCAAACCCCUUGAUUCUAAACUCUUACUGCUGGAUCACCUAUGAGAUUUUUUUAUUAUUAUUAAAUUAAUAUGUCUGUUUUCACAAACCCAGAUUAAAUCUUAAAUAAAUUAUCUAUAUUUAAAGAGAAAUGCUAAUUUUCACUCACGAAAGACAUCGACAAUUGGAUACACGAGAGUGAUUAACAGAAUUCAUUUUUAUCUAAUGCCAAGUGAAUUCUGUAAAAUAACCAUAGAAAUCAUGUAAGACUAGCGUUACUUGUGCUUGAAUCAAUGCAUUUCAUAAGAAACUUCCACCAUGAUCUCGUCCUAUAUUAAAACUAUAAUUAGGGCAACCCAACGGUCCUAAACGGCGCUACGGUUGCGUGAUGUCUCGUUAAAAAACGCAGCACCACGAAAGGUGGCACAAAACAAGACCCUAGGUACGUUUUUGCAUCCGAUACCAUAGAAGAUAGGGCACAGGCGGGUUCUUUUAGGAAGAGCAUACGAGGCGCGGGAGAGAUUUGCGUUGUGCACAGGGAAUUCAGGAGGAAUUUAGGGAGGGUAGAUUGAGUGCAAGGAUCCCAUACGUUGACCAGAUGAGCCCAUGGAUGACGAAUACUCUAACCAGUGUGACAGGUGGCUGUAUCGGAUGCAAUGACUUUUCCAAUUUCUUUAAAACUUUUAAGAAAAUAAAAUCCAAUGAUGGCUUGAGCCGUUAACUUGAUGUUUCAAACAAACACCGAGUUCAGCGUACAUGUGUUCUUGUGUUUUCCAGGGAUAUGAAAAUACCACAAGUAGUUGAAAGUCUGGAAAAAAAACAAAAAAAACAAAACCUUACCUUCUUGAAAUUAUAAUUUUGGUAUAGGAUUUAAAGAUGGUUCAAGAUAAUCUCUAAGUUAUAGCUUCUUUUUAUUUUUAAUUAAAGUUUUAAGAGAGAAUUUUUAAUGAAAUUCAUGCAGAACUGUGAUGUAUUGAUUAAUAAAACACUUUUAAAAUCGUGAUGGGAGUAAAACAUGAUUAUGGUUUUAAUAGAGCGUUUUCGAAGAAGAAAAUACCAUGAGUCAUUGAAAGUAAGAAAAGAAAAAAAAAACCCACUUUCCUGCGAUUAAAAUUUCAGCAAAUAAACCAUCUAGGUGGUGGCCUAAUGGUAAGAGUUUGGGACCAAGAGGUUUGCUCCCUCUGUGAUCUUAGGUUCGAGCCCUGUGGUUACUCAUAUGAUGGUCACUACAAGCUUACAUGGUCGUUAACUUCAGGGCCCGUGGGAUUAGUCGAGGUGCGCGCAAGCUGGCCCGGACACCCACGUUAAACUAAAAAAAAAAUUUCAGCAAAUAAAAUAAUUUUUUAAAAAAAUUAUAAAUUAUAUCUUUUUUAUUAUAAAAACUUUUAUAAUAAAAUUUUCAAUAAAAAACAUGUAAAACUGUUACGUGUUUGUUAACCUAACACUUUAAAAAUACCAAUAAUCGAGAUUAAUGUAAUUUCAACCAAUCGCAACCACCAUGUUGACAAACCAGCCCUUACAAUAUUUCACACGUCUUGAUUUUGAUUUUCAGCGUUGCUAAGAGUAAAUAAUUUCAUGAUCCAAUCGUAUGUGAAAAUCUUUAUUUAUUUAUUUAUUAAUAUGGAUGUCCGGGUCAGCUUACGCACAUCUCGAUUAAUUUUACAGGUUUUAAAAUUAACGACCAUGUAGAACUCUAGUGGUUAUCAUAUCAUCAACCAUAAAAUUCAAAAUUAAAACUAUAAAAAAAUAAGUUUUUUAGUCUCAAACUCUUACGACCGAGUUAUCUACUCGAUAAUUUGUAUGUAAAAAUCUUGAUUCAAAUUUGACUCGGCAGGUGUCACAUGAGAACACGAAGGACAUUUUACGUGUCUUCAAGAACAAUCCAUUUGUUUCACUAUCAAAAUAAAUUUUAAAUUUGAAGCAAUCCAGAGUCUGCCGUGUAAAUGUACAUUCCAUGAAUCAAAAGAAACUACAGGCAACGUAUCACAACACUUGUUGACAGAGUAUUUCCUUGGACCUUUAUGUGCUCUGUUUUGAAAGCUCACCAGAGGUAAAGUGACCCAUGACAGGCAAAAAUUCAAACCCUAAAAAUAUGAAAGGUCUAUGCUCUAUCUUUUCUAGAGAUUGAGAGGUCUAGACUGAAUAAGGACGUCCAUUUUCAAAUUUUUUAACCCAUGACUAGAAAACAACACUGCCCACACCAGGGGCCCUUCCUUCGAAAUCCUGACAUUAAACUGACAAAAUAUAGCAGCCAGAGAGACAACAACCUUUCUCCAGUAUCCCAACGCACACCAUUUCCCAUGUAAAAAGAAACUUCACAAUCAACAAAAUUAUUUAAUAGAUCUCAUAUUUUUAUUAGAGGGCAGAAUAACGCCGGAUAAACACACACAGAAAUAUAUAAUAAUCUUUUCAAUUAUCAUAAGAUAAUAACAAGUAAAUUAUAACCCGGUUCAUGUUUUCUUAAGAAAUAAUAAACUAGUCACUCUAGUCCAAAAUCCCGUAUGCAGCCCUCUUUUAAUAUUACAUUUCAACUACUAUUACACUUUCAAAGAUAUGUUAAAUCCUUAUUAUUUCACACCCAUUUAUAAAAAAAAAAAUUUCAAUCUUUUUGUUAUUUAUCCGGAGGUAUUACUUUAGCUAUCAAUUGAAAAGGCAACCGAAUUGGCAAAUGUUAGAAAAAAUUCAAUUUUUUUAUUUUACUAAAAUUUAAUAUAUUUUGGAUCGUUUUGAUAUGCUGAUAUAAAAAAUAAUUUUUAAAAAAUAAAAAAACAUUAUUGGCAUGCAUUUUGGGACGAAAAGUUAUUUGAAAAGCAACCGCAACCACACCGCCAAACAUACUAGAAGUUGACGGUCAGGGACUAAAAUAUAACUCAUAAAAAAGAGGGACUAACCUAUUACUUUCUAAAGAAUACAAGGAGUAAGCUAUAGUUUACUCAGUAACAAAUUCACCUAAACGACCCUCUUCCAUCACCAACCAAAACAUUAAAGCGGCAUACAUUUUUAACCUUAUAGGACAUUAUCAACAGACAAGAGAGGGUGUAUGUCUAUGUGUACAUGUGUUGUGGUCUGUCUGUUGAAUACUACUAAUUAUUGAAUGACAAGAGGGAAAAUGGGAAAGCAAGACAAGUUUUGCUGCUACAUUUGAAAAGGCUUGUAAUUCCCAUCUUGGCACGUAUCUGACUGCCAAUUGCCACAUGUGGUCGGUAUCAUUGAUUAACUGCUUUGGCUCACAGGCCAUUAUCACCCGUUCUUUGUUUUUCAAGUCCUUUUCUAACUCCCAAAAACCUCUCUUUAAUGGCAGUAACAUUAAAGGGCAAUGACUACUCCCAUAAUUUGACCAAAAGAAACUUUUAUUAUUAGUAGACGAGGGGACUAGGGUUGUGUUUGUUUGUUACUUUGUUAUUAGUAAAUGAAAGGACAGACAGAGGUUACUGUUCUCAUUUACCCAUUUGAGUUCUUCAACUUGUAGUGGAAGGAAGACUCGGUUCAUGUGCUUCUGUUUUCAAUUUCCAAGAACUACCCCAGGUACUUAUAUUUCUGCUGCUGCUACUGCUACCGUGGUUUUUUUUUCUUGCUUGUGUCAGUGCAAUUUUUGUGAAGGUUGGUAGUAAUCCGUGGAAAGUUGUGUUUGGUGGGGGCAUUUGGUGAUUUUCCAUGGAUAUUCAACAAGUGUGAGUUUGUAUGAACUCAGCUUCUAAUUUUGUUCUGUAUUCAGUGAAAAUGAUGAUGAAAAAGAAGUUGUUUUAAGGAUUGGAUUGGUAGUUGAUGAAAGUUUUUUGAAAUUAUGUUUCCUGGUUUCAAGUUCGCUGUGAAAUGUGUAAAACAAUGAUUCAGUUUUCUCUCUUUAGAUUUCUUUUCUAGAAAUUGGACGGGAGUUUGAAAUUAUAAGAAUUUGUAGAAGAUUCUACAUCCAGAUAUGAUUUCUGAAACUGGAUGGAGAGAAUUAUUAGGACUCAUUAACAAUUCUUGAGACAAUUUAUCAUUUUCAAUUUGUUUUUUAUUUUUUUUAUUUUUUAAUGUUGGAGAACUAUAUUCUAAGGCAAUUAGAAUGCUUGCAAUCUGUCUAUAAAGUUUUGUUUGUUCUGUACUUUACACAUAUUUCUUUUCUUGCUCAGAUUCAAUGCUGGCGUAUCGGUGAUGCUGUGAUUGGAUGCAUAUUUCACACCAUGUCUACUAGCACUUAUUCUCAUAUCAUGGAAAGGAGGUCACCGAAGAGCCCUUUGCCGAGGAGCCCUUUUCCGAAGAGCCCUAUGCCACAGAGUCCUGAAUUCUAUGAAAAAUACAAGUCUAAAUGUGCAUAUGGCUUAAUUAAUAUCUUUCAUUUCCGCCAACGUCACUCAAAGAAGCUGAUUUCUGAUAAGGCAGUUUUGAAGAGACAUGCUGUUGGUAAGAAUUCUUUGAUUUAUGUUGUAUUAUAAUAACCUAACAUGAUUUAAUGGGUUCAGUCCUGCGACUACAGAAAUGAAGAAAAUUGCAGAGGAAGAUAUGCCCAUCAAGCAGCAGAUAAAGAAGACCACUGCAAAAGUGGAACAUGUACAAUCUGAUACUGAACUUGCUGGUGACUCAUCAACAAGCCAUAGAAAAGCAAUCAAGGCUACUCGGAAACCUCUUCGUUUACCUAUUUAUGGUUGUUAUGAUGUAGCAACCAUGGGGCAUGCAAAAUCUGUUCAUGAAAAUUCAGCGGAUGAUUCUUCAAAAAAGUUGGAAUCUGCAGUGACCAAAGAAUCACUCUCCAAUCAAGUGCAACCUAGAAACGAAACCGAUUGUAACUGUAGAAGUAUCCAACAUGGAAAGCAUGGCCAAUCUAAGGAGAUCAAUCUUCAGGUUCGCAUGAAUGAAGCUACUGAAGCUUUUAUAAAUCAGAAGUUGAUUGAUGGAAAACACCUCAGCACAGAUGGGGCAGAUGACCAGUCUAAACAUUUCAUGGAUGCACUAGAUAUACUGAAUUCCAACAAGGACCUGUUCAUAAAACUCCUACAAGACCCCAAUUCUCUACUGGUGAAACAUAUUGAAGACUUGCGAGACUCUCAGGAAAAAGUGCAGCAGAUUAAAUCUUACCCUGAAGAUAAAUUGUCAGAACAACACAAAAAUAAUUCAAGGGAAUGUGAAAGGACUGGCUGUACCCGAAACUUCAACUCCAUUGAUAGAUACCUGUCCAAGCGAACUGGUGAUCCUCAACCCUCGGAGACAAUAGUAGUUUUGAAGCCUGGCUCUGCAAGCUUGCAAAACUGUGCGGAUGGAAUCAGUCAUGACUCUCCACCGGUUCAUUAUAGGUUAAAAAAUGUGCAGCAGAGUGUUAAACCUUCAUUUUUCCCCCUUGUCAAAAUGAAAAGAAAGUUGAUGCAUGCUAUGCGGGUGAGCAGGAAAGAGCGGCAGUUGAUGUUGACUGAUGGUGCAGUGCAGAAGUCCAAAUAUAUUUUCCAAGAGAGUGAAAAAUGUGGUGGCGGAGGUGUGGAUAUUAAUGAAAGAAACUCACCAGGUGAAACCUCUUGUUAUUUAGGAAGAACAACCAUGGAUGUCAGGAGUGAAGACCAGAUGGACAAAGUGGAAAUAAUUGAAUCUAGUGUUAGAGAGGAAGCUGCUACAGCCAGUGAAAAAGGUCAUGAAAGCUCAAGAUUUUCAAAUCUCAGGCAUUCCAAGGAAACUAACAAUGACAAAUAUGUUGAGACAAGGGUACAUCUAUCUGACUUUUUAAUGAAUGAAAAUGUGAAUCUUUCGAGAAAGCAGAGACCAAAAACCAGGGAUGGGAUGAGCUCUCUUCCUGAAAUUGAAUUCUUUCCUAUGGCCGGUCCUAGAUGUAAAGCGGAGCAUGCCCGUGUCACUCCACAAAUGAGAUUUUCUCCCUAUACCAGUUAUCAAAUGGUGAACAAGAACAAGUGGAAUCAGAGUGAAAAGAGAAACAACACAAGUCCAACCCGGCAGACUUUGGAGGCUCCACCAUGGGCCAAUGACAAAAAAUGUGAGGAUCAAUUACAAAUCAUCGAGACAGAGAAAACUAUUUCAGACAAACUUUUCCCUGAUGUCAAAGAGGAUGAAAACAUCUCUUCUCUUGAAAAUGAUUCUAGCCCUGGAGGUGAGCUUUUGUCAAUUUAAUCUUCAUCAUGCUUGUAAUUCUGUUUGGUAUAAGCAGUACAUAAUUUUCUGCAGUUUCCAUCAAAAUAAUAGGAAAAAAGGACAGUAAAAUUUCAGAAGAAUAUAGUCCCUCCGGCGUGCCCUCCAGACUAGAUGGCUCGUACAAUAGCGAUGCUAAUGAAAGCACCCGUACUGCAAAUACAACUGACGAACAUGAAUCCUCAAAAUUCUGUAGACUGGUAAAUGACUGUUUUCCCUGUCUAUUGAAUUGUUACUGUCUUUCAAUUUGUUUUGAUAGCUCUUUCAGUUUGUUGGUUUCCUGCUAUUUGAUGUGCCCUUUUGCAUUAUUUCCCUGCCAAUUUUCUCUUUCAGGAUUCAUCUGCAGAUAAUCAAAUGUCACCAUCUUCAACAAGUGAUUAUUUGUCAAGCCCUUCAACCAUCCAGAGGGUUGAAGACUUGGACAAGGCCAAAGAGAGAGCAGAGCAGCCAAGUCCAGUAUCUGUUCUUGAGCAUUUUUUCAUGGAAGAUAUGAUUACUAGACCUUCAAGCCACGCAUCACGGCCUGGUAAGCUCUUAUGUUAGGGAAUCAUUACAUGUACUUUUUCCUGAUUUUGCAAUCUUGUUGACACAAUUAAAGUAAUGCAGCUGAACUAUCAGCCCUGCCACUAAGAAUAGGUAAAGAGGAAGACUAUUUGGCUGCUCUUGUUCACUCCCCUUUGGAUCUGAAGAUUAAUUCAAGCACUUCUUUGGAAGAGCUAGGAUCCGUGUUGGAGUAUAUAGGUGCAUUUUUGAGAGCUUCUGGCUUUAAUUUGGAUGAUCUCUCAUCAAAGUGCCAUGGUGAGUCCUGUGGUGGUCAUAAGCUCGUUUGUGAUUAUUUUGUCGAAGUCCUUCUAGAGGUAUACCUGAACUACAUGAGAAGCUCCCCUUGGUUGUCAUUUGUCGAACCAAAAGUUCGACCUGUUACAAUGGCAGAAAACAUGGCUCAACAAGUGAUGAAACAUGUUGAACGGAACAUACUCUUACAGCCACCUUCGCGAACAUUAGAUCAUCUUGUUGAAAAGGACUUGACUAGCUCUGUGACAUGGUUGGAUGUCCGGAUUGAUGCUGAAUAUGUUGUUAGUAUGAUAGUAGAAAGUGUUCUAGAAGAAGUGAUAAUGGAGACUGCAAUUGAGUAGGUAGAUAGUAGUAGAAUUCUCUGUUGCUUAUGUGUUUUGGUCAAAAUUGCACAACAGAAUUCUGCCAGGCAGCUUGAGCAGGUUAACAUAAUCGGCUUUUCUACAUUCUAGAUCGCGCAAGUAAAUGUUUGCACAUCUUCAAAAGGAUUUUUUUUAAGAAUUGCAAAGCCGAGAUUGGACAAGAAUGGAGGGAGUUGUGUUAACUGACUGGCAGUUGGUCAGAGGCACUGCCGAAACCAUGACAUGCAGCUCCAACUUCCUGCAUAUAGUAGAGUUUAAACUGAACCUUCGACAGCCAUCAAUUAUAGGACUUUCUUUCGGUUAAUUGUAAAGAUAAUCAUACUGGACAUAUACCUUCGUCGUACACUUCCGUAUGCUUCGUGGAACAUCAUAAUCGGUCAGAUAAGCUGUUUUGAAUACUCUUGUGACAAAUCUGUUCCUUUUUCUCGCAUGCCAAGACAUGCGUGGUGCUUAUAGAAGUUGUUCGGUGCGGUUGGUUUACUCGUGUAAGGCUAUUUAUUAGCGUACUUAUCUUGGUAUUUUGAAUUAGCAAAAUUUUCCAGUCAUUGGGGCGUCAGCCUCGAGUUGAAGUUUGUACGAGCUCAUUUCAUUUCAUUUCAUUUGCUUCGCCUACUUCAAGAAGGUUUCACCAAUGUUUGAAACUACUACGUCCAUGCCUAUUUCUUCUGUCCAUGUACAAUUAAGCAGUUUAGAAUGCUAUAAUGUUAUGAUAAAUUAUCAUUGUCUACUAUGCCUAUAAAGCACAAUGAUUUGCAAUAAUCGUCAAAAAGCACAGCACAGGUAGUUUACUUGCGAUAGAUAAAAGUGCCCAUCUUCUAAUUGAUAAGUCGACUAUCAGUAUUGAUGGCAAGUUCAAGAAAGAUAACAUGGAUGUUAACUGAAAACAAAAGCAUUUUGCUGCAGAAGAGACCAAAACUGAACAGGAAAAAAAGUUAAGAUAGCAUUGUCAUGUAUUCCAUUUAUAAUCUGAAGGAAUGAACCAGCAAACAAAUAUUUGUUUGAACAAACAUCCAUUGCAUUUGUAGCAUUGUCUUGUAUUCAAUUUAUAACCUAAAGGAAUGCCAUGCAAAAACAGACGAUGGCCAUUUGGAAGAGGAGGGUAGUACUCAUGUUCCCCAUGUCAUGAAAUCAGAUCACACUACCAACUAAUGGAGUCGCUUGUGGAAGAAUGAAGCUAUACAUGUAUCUUAGCAAGCUCUUGACAAAUAAUAAAUUAAAUCAAUAAAGUCUCGAAAUAAAUUAUCUUCCAGAAGGCAUAUGCCAGUAAGAAACACCGAAGAUAGAAAUUAACCAAUUCCAGAAAAGAGGGCCAAGCCAAAAGACAAAAGCAUCCAAGAAACUAUUAGCAGAGGGAGGAAUAUAAAAAAGAUUAUAACAGUCCCGCCAUUGCUUGCAACUUUUUUCUUAGUCAUGAGAUGUAAUCCUUCCAAAGGAGGCAAGUGUAAAUAGAAAAUACAAUUUCAUGAUAAAGCAAGCAAUACCACACUUUCCAAAAACAUCAACAAGGGAUCUGACCAAUCGUUAAAGCUAUUCUAAUCGUCGAUCCAUUUGUCUUUACGAAGCAGUCUAGAGCUUUUGGUAAUGUUGAGCUCAUUCAAGAACCCUUUCAAUCGAGCGCUCGUAGGUUCAUUUACCAUUGCAGCAUCAUAUUGUCUUUGCAAGUGACGAACCCCUUCCAUCAGUCCUCCUUUGGAGGCAUGGUAGAUAAAACAAUUAAUGCUCACCAAAUAACAUGUGCUUCUUUGAGGCAAUGGAUCAUUUGCUAUAUGGGAUGUUUUCUCAGUUGGUUCAUCAAACUCCUAUAGCAAAUUGUUUGGUGGAAAAUAAGUUUUAUUAGGAGGUCAUUUUGACAAAUUCUGUUCGUUGUCAUGAGCAGCACCGAAGAAGAGAUUAUUCACGCUUCUUUAAGCAACUCAUCACUCUAGUCGUAUUUUAGGGUCUGUACACUCCCAGAGAGAGUAUGCGUAUUUCAUUAAAUGGUGUCGGCAAUGACCAAAGGCAUGAACUUCGCAAAUUCGCUGAAUAGAUUGUUUUGAUUGGUGACAGAAAGAUCUGUGACUUACCAGCAUCAGAUGAUUGUGAUUAUACUUUUUUUAAGAUGCUCAUGAUCUAUAUAUUGACAUUGGAUAUGGUUCAAUCUUAUUAGCAAUCAUCGCGGCUGUUUAUCCCAACAUAGCAGCUUCAAGUCUUGAUCAUAUGUGCUUUAAAGAACGAGCCAUUAUAACUUCGAAGAAUGUUGCAGUCAAUGAGAUCAUUGCACUUGAUUUGACACCCGGCAAUAAACGUGUGGAAUGGUGUUUAAAAGUACAGUUAAAAGUUUUUUUUAUUUAAAAAUAUAUUAAAUUAAUAUUUUUUAAAAAAUAUUAUUUUUAAUAUUAACACACCAAAACAAUUUAAAAAUAUUAAAAAAUUAAAAUUAAAAAUUAAAAAAUUUAAAAUUUUUUAAAAACACAAUUAGCGCGUCAUUCAAGGAAGCCACAAUAUAAACAUUCUGUAUUCUAUUGAGUUUAUCAAUCAAUUGGCAUUUAGUAGUGUGCUUCCCCGUAAAAUUUCAUUAAAAACAGGAAUGCCAAUCAUGAUGCUCUAAAUAAUUUUUUUUUUUUAAUUUUUUAUUAUUUUAAUGUAAAAAUAUUAAAAAUAUAUUAUAUUUUAAUUUGACAUAUCAUUCUCUUUUGAUUUUGUGAACCCAAGACACAUUAAACCAACAACUUAUUAUAUUUUAAUAUCCAUUUACUUUUUUAAUUUCAUUUGUAGAGUGAAACUCGAAAAGAUUUGAGUUUUUAAGAUCUUUUAAUUAAACAAAAAUAUUUCCAUUGAGGUAAUUAUUAUGAUUUCAUCUAUCAACGUUUUUUUUUAUUACUGUAAAAAAUGCUAUAAUUAAAAUGAAAUAAAAUACCCUCGUUGUUAAUUUUAAUUAAAAUAUAAAUUUAAAAAACAUCAUUGUUUCAUGAAAAACAAUAAUAUAUUUUAUUCAUGUAUUUAAAUAAACAUUUAUUACUUUAUUAGUGCACGAAAACUCACACAUUCACAUAAACCCGGCUCAUAAUCAUGCUUUUUUAAUAAUAAUAAAAUGCAAGAUUUUGUUGCUUACAUAGCCAUGCAUCUUAUCUCCACUUCUCUUUCAUAUCAUCACCUUUUUUCUUUAGCUCCUAUGGCCUUUCUCACUACUAUUUCAAGUGUUCAUGAGCCACAAAACUUUCAGGAAGCUAAUUCUCAAGAUAUAUGGAAACAGGUUAUGAAUGAUAAGCUUCAAACUCUUGCUCAGAAUCAAACUUGGCGUAUUAUCAAACUUCCCAGAGGAAAACAAAUUGUUAGCAACCGGUGGGGGUAUAUAAAAUAAAACUUAAUUUUGAUGGAUUUAUUGGCAGACACAAAGCAUGUCUUGUGGUCCAGAAACUUAACAAACUUUUGGAGUGAACUACAAGGAAAUUGUUGCUCUUAUUGGUAAGAUGAACAUUAUAUGUGUUCUAUUAGCAGUUGAUGUAAAUAAUGGAUGGUCAAUGUGUUAAAUGAACAUCAAGAAUGCUUUUUUGCACGGGAAUCUUGACAUAGAGGUCUAUAUAAAAUAUAUUGGCACCUGGUCAUCCUCAAAGGUGAAAUCCUACCUUGGUGUGUCAACUUCACAAAUUGAUUUAUGGACUGAAACAAUCUAUGCGUGCUUCGCAUGAUAAUUUAAGUGUUAUUCUUGAAGAAAUUGGUUUCAUAAGGAGUAAUACCGACUCAUUUUUGUUUGUCCAUCUUGGACAUAAAGAGACAUUGGUGGUUCUUAUAUAUGUUCAUGAUCUUAUUAGUAUAUGAAAUAAUGUUGAGGCCAUUUCUCAUCUCAUGUCCACACUUCAACAUCAAUUUCCUAUUAAAGAUCUCAUCAACUUCAAGUAUUUUCUUGGAAUUGAAAUAACAAUUUCCCAUUAAAGGUUAUUACUUAACCAACAUAAGUAUAUUUUUUACUUGCUUAAAUAUGCUAAAAUGAUGGAUGCCAAGCUUGAUUCUACCCCUUUAGGCAGUAAAUUGAUGCUUGAAACAGCUAGUGAGCCUCUUUGGUCUAUUAAAUCAUUACUAACGUCUUGUGGGUAAGCUUAUUUAUCUUAUUAUUACUCGACCUGACAUAACAUAUAUAGUUAGUCUUGUUAGCCAACUUAUGCAUGCGCCUAUUGUCUUUCAUUUGAGUAUUGUCAAGUGCAUCUUGCGUUAUCUCGAAGGUUCUAUUAGAAGUGGAAUCGCCAUGAUUAAUAAUGGUCAUACUGAAAUAACUAGUUAUAGUGAUUGAGAUUGGACUAGAAAUGCUAUUGAUCAAAGUCAGCCACAAGUUAUUGUAUGUUUGUUGGUGGUAAUCUUGUCUAUUGACAUAGCAAAAAACAUGUUGCACGAUCUAGUGUUGAAGCUGAACAUCGCGCAAUGACAUCUUAUGCUUGUGAAUUAAUUUGGCUUAAAGGUCUUCUUAUUGAACUAGGAUCCUCACUUUUUUUGUGACAAUCAAGUCGUCGUGCAUAUUGUUUUUAAUUCAGUGUUUCACAAAAAAACAAAACACAUUAAAAUUAAUUGUCAUUUUAUUUAUCAACAAGUUUAGUCUUAAAUUAUCCAAACACAUUAUACUUGCAGUCAUGACCGACUUGCUGAUGUGUUCAUCGAGGUCUUAUCCUCUACUCACUUUUAUCAUUUAGUGUCCAAGCUUGGAUCAAUUAAUCCCAUUGAUCCAACUUCAGGGUGGAUAUGGAAGGAAAGCCUAAAUUGUUCCCGUUAUUAUUGGCAUUUGUUAUGUAAAUUAGGUGUUAUGGAUUAGCAUAUUUGUAGAUAACGAUAAGAACUAGUUGUUUCCAAAUUGUUAUGUCUAAAUUGCAGGAGUAAGAUGUGGUUGUUAGUAUAUUUUCUAUUUAAUUUGUAUUCUGUACAUGUAAAGAUUUAUGAUUGUUCAAAUAAAAUAGACUCUAAUAUUUCAAAUUUCUUCAGAAGACUUUAGCAAAUCCAUCAGCUUUCUCAAUGAGUUCGUUGAUCAACUGGAAUGGAAGCAAUUGACUCAUCUUUGCUAUCACCAAGGAGGGAUACAUGUUGGUACCCACGCCAAGCCUGCGGCCAGUCUCUUUUCCAAUUGCAAGUUGAUCAGCAGUAAUCAUUUUAACAUUGACACCAAGGUCAAGUGCUCGGCAGAUAGUCUCGGCGCUAUCAUGCCUUGGAGGGUCAAAAGGUGGCAAGUAACUUUGGUGAUGCAGACUGGUAUAAGCUUUUUUGUCGAUCCCUCGUAAAUAAUAUGUUCUAUAAUGUUUGUGCGUGUACUAUGGCUCUUGAGCAAAGAAGCACAUCUUCAUACAGUACUCAAAACUCGUACUAAAGCGAGAACACUUUCUUUUCUUGGCUGCUUAUAAUGAUUGACAGCAAUAUUUUCGGGGUGUCUACUAUGCUAGCUGGUCUUGCAUGCUCUCUUUUUUUCUUUUAAUGGAAAAACUUGUCCCGGCUUGAACUUCCUAAGCUAGCUGAUCUUACACAUGUUUUACAUGUUUUCCCCCCCUCUUAUAAUGGAAAAACUAGUCCGGACUUCAACUACCUAUGCCAGGGUUAUACAUUUGCUGUGUGUGUGACGGAGAAAUUAACUAACUCUGACCUUAACCAUCUACAGUAUACAUUGUUUCUUCAUGUUCUUCUUAUAUAAUGAGAAAUCAGAUCGAUAAACACAGUUUGGCCCUUAAAUUUGCAGGUGUACAACGCCCCACGCGCUAAAACAAUCCAACUUUAAUGGAAUUUAUCUGCAUGCCUUUUCUUUUCUUGUCAUCUAUUUAUCUUCCGUAGUCGACUGCCAAGUGCCAUGAGCAGCAGCCCACAUAACCAAUCUGAAUUUUCUCUUAGCCAAAAAUGUACUAGCAUGUUCUGCUAUAAAAUAUGAUAGCUUCUACAUGUGCUCUCACCACUUUGACAUAGGAUCCCUUCUUAUCACUUUAUCAGCAGUGCAGUGGACGAACUAGUGUUGGUUUUAAAUCUUAACUUCAAUCUAUCACCGGGCCAGCUUUUCACACACUGGAGUCGGGUUUUAGGCAAGCCGUAAUUGGUGAAUUCACAUACUGCAUGCUAGCAUCAAUUAAUUUCCACUAAAAUUGACAAUAAAGAAGGGGAAGUUUUAGUCAAAUGGAUUUUGGGAAUUUAAUAGACUGUUAAAAAUACGUUGGUCAAAUACUCAUUCUAGUGCAGAGUCCACGCUAAAUCAUUGAAGAAAAUACAAAUGUUCAGAACAAGAGCAUUUUCUGUUUAUUAGACUGCUCUACCUGGAGGAAAUUCUAUGUUCUAUAGCUGUGAUCUACAAAGCCUUCCACGACACGGAAUUUUACAACUGAAGCAGUGAAUUCUAACCAUACUGUCAUCGAUUUGAGAAUAAGUUUCAACAUUUCCCAGCAACUCUUCGAAGGGCUUGUUUGAUUGUGCCAAUUGAUGUAGCAUUCAAUCCCUUGUGCUGUAAUAAACAUUAUGACAUUACUUAAGGAAUCAUGGUUAAUAAUAAUCAACAAGUUAACCUCAAUGAUAUAAAUAGAUGGUCACUUCCAUUGUGUGCAAUCUUGAGUUCAUACCUUUGAUUUGAUAGUCAGAGAAAGGAUCCCGUCCAUGGUAGAUGAUUGAACCGAGUGAGAAUCUAAAUGGAGAUGACUAGCUACAUCCAUUAUCUCCAGCAAUAUUCCCUCCCUCCAACGACACUUGAUCUCGAUUAGAACAUCCUCUUUAUUCACGCUGACAGUUAUACUUUCAGCUGAACCAUCUUUUGAUACAUUAUGGUUGAUAUCUGGCUCCAUUUCAUCAAUGUCUGGAGCCUUCCUCUUAUUUGUCAACGAAUGUUUUCCAUUUCCAAUCUUAUUGCUGCCAUAGUUAUCAGAUGUCCUCUCCGCAGUAUCUUGGGGUUUUCUUUUGGUAAGAACCUCCAAUAGCUCCCUGUUAGAUCCCAACUCUUCAACCUUUCUUUCAAGCUCUUGAAGGUAUUCGAUGGUCUCAUCUAGUAUAGAUACUUUAUCAACCUGCACAAACAAUGAAAAAAUUAACCUAUGGCUCCCUGUUCAAGACCAAUUAACUCUUGGGAACUAAUUCUUAACUACCUUGCUGAUUGAAGGGACAAUUGAUUUCAGAAUCAUAAACCUUUUAUUCAGCUUUUCUCUUUGCUUCCUCUCAGAUAAUGCAUGGCUUGCACCAUUUUCAUCAGCCUCUGGCCUCCCCACUACAACUUUAUUGCUAUUAUAUUCUGGGGAGUCAAGCAAGCCAUCAACAUGCAUCCGAGGAACUUCAAGUAGUAUCUUCUUUAGUACUUUUUGUCGAGUUCCACUUUUCAAUUUGUGAGUAUGCACCGAUCCUGCUUUCUUCCAACUGACAAAGCUCGAUUCCUGGUGACAAUUCUGGACAUCGGGUCCUAAAAUCAAUGGAUUGGAGGUCUUUAAGAGACAUGAGAGAACACUUUGAUAAUGAAAAUCUUCCUUUUGAAGGUCCAACGAAGUCAGCUUCGUGUGAUUGCAGUCUUGAACAUCCAGAAGAUUCUGGUUAUUUACCUUCACAUUCUUCAAAAUAGGAACAACCUUCACAGGAUCUACAAUGGUUUGAGAUAUGCAGUCACUAGAAUUCAAGGAAUGAUGGACACUGUGGUCAUCAUCCAUGAACUGCAAACUUUGCAUUUGGGAAGCUCCUCCAUUUAGCCCUUCAACCAUAAUCAAAUCUGCAGCCGGCUGAUCAUUUGAAUUGCGGUUAGGGGAAGUUAUGUCUAGUUCUCCACAUCCUAUAACUGGAAUCGGUUUGGUGUCAAGUGUUUCACGAUUGAAGGUGGCACAUGCAAGCUCUUUUUCACUUCUUGCACUAGAAUUCUUGGCAGCUACUGCGUAUGGGAUCUCCAAGAAUGAUGUUUUUAUGUGAUUAAUGAGACUUGGGUCCUCCAAAACCUUUAGAAAACAAAUUACAAUGAAUCAACAUGACUUGAAUUGGCGAAUGUAGUGUUGUACAGACAACAAAUCUGUAGUUGAUUAUACUCUAAAUUGAGAUCUGACAGAAGUAUUUACCUGCUCAGUCACACCCAGCUCAAUCACACCUCUCAUAAAUGGAAAGCAAACCACGGUCUGAAAGUUUAAACAGGAAAGUUUGCUCAGAUUUUGGUAUAAUCCAUUUAUGCUGGUUCUAAAAUAUUCUUUCAUAGAGGAUGUAAUGCAUUCAGUAAAAAGUGCAGUGUUGUGUGCCUGAGCCUAUAAUAUACUGGAAUUCUACUAGGAAAUAGGUAGAAUUGGUACCUGAAUUGAUGCACUCUGAGGGUUAUGUCGCCACAAUUCCCAUCAUAGAACAAGAGACAAAAGGAUUAAAAGGAAAAAAAGUUAGUUUCUUUUAUCAUUUUGAGUAUGUCUAAGGUGCACAACUUUUAUUCAGAAAUGAAAUAAGAUCUCAGAAAGGAAACAGAAUCCUGACCUUAGCUAGCAGAGAGCGACUGAAUACUUUACUAUCUGCAGAAUGAGCAUUGCAUAGCCAAGUAGGAUGACCAUUUGCUAAUGUUGUUCCUGGCAAGCUAUGAACAAUUCAAAGGAAGAAUUAACGACAUUUGAACUCUAAAAAUGAGUAAAUUGAAAGGCCUGGUUCAGAAAAAUGGUAAAGAAAAUGAAGUUACCCUUGGCCAAUGUCGAAUAUGAAGGACAUGCAAACCAAAUAAUACCACUCUGUAUCAGUGAGAUCUUCUGGAGAUAAUGCAGCUGAAGGUCUUCUAGCUUGUGGACUGGCUUCACCAACUGAAAGUGACUCGUAGAGUUCUCUUAACUGCUCACUUCUCUGUAAACCCAAUUCAUCUUCAUCAAGCUCUAUGGAUUGAAUUGUCUUCCUUGUUUUAAUAUCUCCGUUGUAGUACCCAUCACCCCACUCCAACACUCUACAAAAUUCACAUUUACCAGUGAUAAGAACAUGAACAAAUAAUGCAUGAGAGCUAUGAGCAUGAGCAGCUCAUUUAUGAUCACAGUGCUAUAAUCAACACACAAACAAAUAGACUACCCUUUCUCUCAGGGCGGGCAAAAAAAGAAAUGCUUAUCAUAAAUGCUAUGUUCUUUUGUUGGGGAAAGGUAAAUACAUCUUCAAAGAAAGGAACCAUGAGCCAUCUUGAUAGAUGUUCUGUUAAAUGUGGACAAUAAGGUUUUAGAAAGGGGUCGAUUCCUUUAAAGCUAAGCCUAAAGUUCAAUUCAUGAAGCUAAAAAUGCCAAUUACAUGUCAAAAUCAUUACCAUUUACACAAUUCUUUACACAAAAACCAGAUUUCACUCUAACCAUAGAAGAUCAAACAUAUUACACUCUUUCUGAAAACUGAACUCCCUGCACCCAGUUCCAACAUGUAAAUGAACUCCCAGAAACUUAGCUGACCCACUUUCACAAAUACUACAAACAAAACACAGAAAAUUUUCUUUCACGAGAUUCUUAAAAUAUAUUUUUUUUCGCUAAAAAAAGAACAAUCUCUAAAAAUAAAGUAAAAUAUUAGCACCGAUACACACAACAAAAAUAGAGGAGAUAUGGAAAGGUUGAGUUAGUACCCUGGUUGUCUUGCUGAAAUGGACCAGAAGAUUGCGUAGCUCCACUGAAUGCUCCUGACAGCAAUAGCAAGCUGUUUCUUGAGGUUCCCUGGUAGUCUCUCUUGGUUGUGGAGCUUAGUAGCCAUAUUUUAAGAUCAGAAGGAUAAAACCCACCACUUUUAUCAGAUCAGUCACAAAACAAGAAUCUUGCUUUAAACUUUAUUCUGCAUUUCUAAAUACCAGAAACUUCGACGAUGGAAUAUUCAGUAUCUUAAGAACCAUGCUAUCUUAAGAACCAUAUGCUUAAAAUCUUGAUUCCUGAAUACCAAAAGUAGGUUUGUUCAAGAAAACAACAGAGACUAGAAACUCAAGGUUGGAACUUGUGAGAUUAGUAAUGAAGCUUGGAGAAUUAACCAAAGAGGAAGUUCAGCUCCUCGUUUUAUCAGAAGUGAAAAACAUCCUAUUUUGGAGACUAACUAGACAAGUGCAGUAAUUAAGUUAUCUCCUGUUAUGAAACAAGAAACAAAACACAAACUUUGAUAAGGAAAGGGACAAUAAAUGGAAGUAGAAUCUUUCUUGGUUUCUACUUUCAAUCUUGUAAAUGGUAUCUUAAUUUAUUGCUCAGAAAAAUACUCUAGUGUAAUUACUAGCCUUAACAAAGUAAGCCGAGAAAGAGAAAGCUCAUGAAUGGUUGGAAAACAUACCCCCCACUUAUUUCCCUUCCUUUUCAAGCCCCAGAAAGAGAAGCUCAUGAAUGGUUGGAAAACACACAUCCACUUAUUCCCCUUCCUUUUUAAGCCCCGGAAAGAGAAGCUCAUGAAUGGUUAGAAAACACAAACCCACUUAUUUCCCUUCCUUUUUUCUUCUUUUUCAAGCUCUAAAAAACACAACAGAAUCGGUUUAAGAGCCUAUUAAAAGAUCUGGGUAUUCACUGACCCAGAAAACUGAGACACUUGGACCUACAAUACUGUCCACGCAAAACAAAUUUUCUUCUUUAUUGAACUCAACGAAAGUUAUUUUCACCAAAAAAAACAGUUCAAAAAUACUUCUUAUGGUCGGCAAAUACUGAGAGGGAGAGAGAUAUACUAUAGUUUACUUUUAAGACAAAACGGCUCCAAGACAAGCAGUAUACCAUGUGCAAAAUUUAAGUGCUUGAUUUUUGCUUCAUUUCUUCUUUAAGUUGAGAUCUUAAAACUACCCAAAAAAAAUUACAGAGAACGAAUGAUGUAUUAUGAGAAGAAAGAUUUUCAUCCUUUGAAUUCAAAGUUCAUGCAAAGAAGGGAAAACAGAGAGAGAGAGAGAGAGAGAGAGAGAGAGCAGAUGGAGAGAAGGUGGGGCCUUGAGCAGUUAUUAAGCAAUGGAGAGAUCAUCUUAUACUAACUACUAACAAUAUGGUUUGAUAGUGGAAUUUCGUGAAAAAUGGAGUCUUAAGUAAGAAAAAACCAAGAAUAUUUAUUGUCUUCUUAUAAUAUAUGACUUUAGUACAUUCUUCUUUCUCAUUAAAAAAAAAAAAAGGCAAAUUCUUCUUAUCUCACAAAGAAUAUAUAUAUUCUAAGCUAAGCUUCGUCAUGAGCUGUCAACUUUUUUUCUAAAAAAUUACCGGGUGUACAAAUUAUUUUGAUAGGUUUUUUAAAAAAUAUAUAAAAUUUAUGAUCUAAAUCACGAGAUCGAGAUAAAUUUAUAGAAAAAAAUAAAAUAUAAUAACAAAACCAAUAUUAAAAAAAAUUAAUACAAAAUGAUAAAAUCGUACGAAGCAAAAUCUCCAAUAAAUCAAUUUUUGAAUAUGAAACUAGGAAAAAAAAUAAUUACACAAAAGAAUCUAAAAAAAUAAGAGUGAAAAAAAAUUAAUUAGAGGGCAAACAAAAAUUUUCAAUUAAAAUGUUAAAUUGAAUUGGAAAAUAGUUUUAACAAAAGAAAAAGCAAAUCAAAAGAAUGAGAGUCAAAUUAAAAAAAAAAAACAACAAAAACUUUAAUUGAAUGAUGAAAUUGAAAGCCAAAAGAACUUUAACAAAAGGGUCAAGGGAAAAAAUUAAAAAUUAAAAAAAUUAAAAAUUAAAAAAAAAACAUAUGAGAAUUUUGUAAUUGAAGGACUAAAUUGAAAAAAAAAACUUCUAUUAAAGAAGUAAAAACAAAAUAAGAGAUCAAAAGAAAGAAGACUAAAAUUGAAAAAUCAAAAAUAAAAAAGACAAUCACGCACUUUAUCUAGCAUGAGAGAGAAAAUAAGAAGAAGAAAAAACCGACCACCGGUGACAAUCUGGUUACCAUACGUUGUCACACACCACACCAUGUGGAAGAAGACAUAGUGGCACAUGCAAAGACGGAAGGCCAAGUUUGGUUAUCAGGGGCGUCUAACGCGCCGCCUAAAUGAUGCAAACGUCAUCCACUUGUUGGCACGCGUUGAGCACACAACAACUUUUUUUAUUAAAAAGUUUAAAAAAUCAACGUGAAAAUAUCAAAACACUCCCAUGAACCUGGUAAUUACUAAAAAAAACCGUGUGAAAGUACAAAAACACUCCAGAUGAAAACCUUAUUUUGUCUUUUCUAAAGUCAAAUACGUGUUUUAGUUGUAUAUAAAGAAUGGAAAAAAAAAAAAACUCUUGUCCAACAAUACAAUAUUUUUUUGAUAUUAACAAUGAAUAAAUAUUUUUACUGUUUAAAAAUUUAUGAAAAGUUAAAAAAAAACCCUUGAUCAACAGUUUUAAAUCUUGUUGACUUCAGGGUAAAAAAAUAUUUUUACAAAAAAAAAAACAAAAAAAAAACUUAGAUAUCCCAAACAAUCUUAUAAUGACCAAGACACCUCUAAUAAGGGAAAAAAAAAUAAUUUUACCAUAGUAAUCCAUUAUAUAUUAAAAGCGAGCUGCAAUAAAAAAAAUACAUUAAAAAUUAUAUUUCAUUAUUUGUAUGCAAUCAAAGAAAAAAAAGAGUUAUCACCAUAAAAAAGCUAUUUAAAAUUUUAUAAUAAAAAUAUAUCGAAGUAUAAAUUUUAUCUUCAUGGAGUAUCAAUGACCAUAGACUUAAAAGACUCUGCAUCAUAUGUUGACAUAUAAUAGCCAAUAAAAAUAUUGAUAAUAUUAUAUAAAAAGAAUUACUAUAAUUUUAUCUGAAAAUAAAUACAAGUUUGAAUGGCAUCCAAUGAAUAAAAUCCUACGUAUGAUCACAAUGAAUCUUGACUGAAUCUUAAAUAAAAAGAAAACAGCCUAUUUUAAAAUGCUAAUAUUAUAAAAAUGCUAUAGCUAUAUUUGAGAAAAGAAAGAGCUAAAAUUAAAUUAUUUUGUUAUAAAUUUUAAAUCUUGUCAUCUCGAGGGUGGUGCUACUUUAUUUUAAAAACAAUAUUCAAGUCGGUGGAGUGCAAAACAGUAAUUUUUUUUCACUCACUCAAGAAUAUAUAAUUACCGAGAAAGUGGCGUGCAUGAAGCAAGCGGUGUGGGACCCAAGAGGUCUUGGUUAUCGUGAAGGUCUUGAGUUAAAAAGGUAAAAAACUGAGUGGGCGGGUUCGUUCCUGUUCUUGAUUUUUUUUUCCUUUUAAGUUUUAAUUAAGCAUGUGUGUGAAAUGCUUUAGUGUGAAAAUCAGGCCAACCAGAACAGGACGGCGUGAAUCCCUCUCCGUCAACAACAUCACGGCAUUGACCAGGGCUCAGCUUCACAAAUUAUUGGCCUGAAUCGCGAGUGCAUGUGCAUUAUCAGAACGAGGACGUCAUUGCCGCUUUUUUAUAUAUAUAAAUGACGUCCUCGAUACCCACUACACACACAUACUGACACAUGCAAUAAUAUAUUAUCAUACAUUAUUUAUUAUUUAUACAAGACACCAAAACAUGGGGUUUUUACUGCAGUGAAAACCCGACUUUGUACUUAUUUGUUUAAGUACGUUGUUUUUUUAACUUUUGCUAUCAAUGUUUUUUCAUUAAUUUUAUCUUUUAAUAAUAUAUUUAUUUUUUAAAAUGUUAUUUCUCUCUCGUGACACUAAUCACGAAUUAAUCAAGUGACUCAAGUUUUUUUUUCUUACCAAUACACACAAACAUAUAAGGUUUUUUGUUUAGCAGUCUAUAAUAAAAACCUCAUUUUGACCUUAUUUAUAUAUGUGAUUUGCUUUUUUUUUUUUCUUAAAUUUUUUUCAAUCAAUGUUUCUUUUAAUUUUAUCAUUUAAUAUCACAUUUGUUUUUAUUGGAUUAUCUCACUUUCAUAAUACAAAUCGUGAGUUUAGCAAGUUAACCUGUUUGACUCGGGUUUUUUUUUCUUAAUUAAGUUUUAUUUUCAAUUUCUUCAUUUAAUAUUGAGUUAAAUGGAAAUUAGGCUUCAUGAUUUGUUUAGUUUGCUUUCUAUUAGGUUAUUCCAACCUCAUGACCUGAGAAUAAUGCUUAAUAAGUUGACUCCAGUUAUUUUUUAUAUUUUUUUAAUUGAUUUUUUUUUCAACUUUAUCAUUUAUUUUUGGGUCGGUUGGAAAUUGAGUUUCUUAAUCUCUUUUGAUUUGUUUUCUAUAGGGAUAUCAUGGUCUCAUGAUCAGGUGCGCGAGUUUUGGCUUUUUAACCUAGUUAAAUCAAAUUGUGUUUUUUUUUUAAUUUUUCUUCUAAGAGGUUAUCUCAGUCUCAUGACUCGGGUCAUGGGUCUUUCAACAUAUGAAUUUUUUUAUUGAGUUAUCCUCAUCUCUUGACCUAAGUCACGGGUUAACCCAGUAAAAUCAGUUUUUUCUUUUUUUUAAUUAUUUUUUUAUUUCAUCAUUUAAUAUUGUGUUUCAUUGUGAAUUAGUCUUCGUGAUUUGUUUUGAUUUAUUUUUUAUUAGGUUAUCCCGACCUUAUAACUUAGAAAAAAUGCUUAACAGAUUGACAAGGUCGAUUGAGGAUUGAAUUUCAUAAUAUAUUUUCAUUUAAUUUUUAUAAGAUUAUCUUAGUCUUAUGACCAGAGUCGUGAAUUUGGUAGGUUAAAUUAGGUUUUUUUUUCGUUUUUUUUUCUAUGAUGUUAUCUUUGUCUCAUGACCCGGGUCAUGAGUUUAACAGAUUGACUUGGGUUAUUGUUUUUUUUUUAUCUAAUCGUUCAAUAUUAGGUUAAUUGAGAAUUAAACUUUAUAAUUUAUUUUAAUUUUCUUUCUAAGGGGUUAUCUCGAUCUUCUAACCUGAGUCACAUGUUUGACAGGUUAACUCGGUUCAUUUUUACAUGUCAUUUUUUUAAUUGAUUUUUUCUUAAUUUUAUCCUUCAAUAUUUGAUUAAUUAGGAAUCAGACUUUAUAAUUUGUUUUGAAUUGUUUUCUACAGGGUUAUCAUAAUCUCAUAACCUGGGUUGUGGAUUUGACAUGUUAACUGGAGUUGACCAAAGUCAAUCAAAUAUUUUGUUAUCUUGAAGAAUGGAUAUACAUGCCUAGGGUUUUUUCUUUUUUUUUUGUCCAUUAAUUUUAUAUAUAUAUAUACUUUAUAUUUUUCAUCAAAUUUCAUCAUUCAAUGUCAACUUUUACUUUAAUUGUUUUAUACUAGUAUUUGUUUUUCAAUUUUAACAAUUUUUUAUGAUGUUUUUAAUAGAAUAGAAUAUAAUUUUUACUUAAUUUUCAAAUAAAGUUUCAAUAUUUUUUCUGAUAUUAGGAGGCAUUUAGUUUGUGUAGCUUUACUUAAUGUUUCUUCUUAUUUUUCUAAUUGCUUUUCUAUGCAUGUCUUUUUUUUGUUAGCAUUUUAAGAAAGUAAAAACCAAAUUUCGUAAAUGGUAAGUGAAGGAUAAUAAAGACACUAAUAAUAAAAUAUUUAUUCUAAGAAAUAAAGUUAUUAAAUACAAUCAACUAUAUGACUCGUGUUUUAAGAUCAUAUAUUUACAUAUAGGUUUAUCUAUCAACUUUUCAAUUUAAUUUUUGGUUAAAUAUUAUUUAUUUUUUACUUGUUUUUUUUUAUAUAAAAUUAUAUUUUUUUCUAAUAUGCACAAAGAAGUAUUUUAUAUCCUUUAAAAUAACUUGUAAAAAUUAGAUCGGUUAUUAUUUUUUUCCUUUGUACGUAAUUCCUUUUGUUUUAUAAUCAAACAUCAACCUUCGUUCUAGUUGAACACACUCAAAUUGUUACAUUUACGAUAUCCUUUCCAUACAUCAUUAUUUCAAUUAUUUUGUCCAAAAUAACGUUUUAGUUUUUUAUAAUUUUUUGAAGUUGAUCCAGCGAGGUAUUACUUGAAUUUGACUAAAUCAAUGUUCAAAAAUGGUUUAAAGUGAAAUCCAACCUGGAUCAGACUCUAGGUAAUCAAGUCACCAUGUUAAGCUAAGUUUAAUAACUAUGAUUUGUAUUGAAUUAGAUAAUGACUGGCUAGAUGACCUAUGUCAUGUUGCAGGUCGGAUUAAUUUUUUUCUAAAAUGAAAAAAAAUGUUCAGGAGACGCUAAUGUUUUUAAAGAAGCAAGAAAAUUUUAAAAUUCAGGUAAUUAACUUGAAUGAGUUCAAAAAACUCAGUUAAUUUAAUAAUAAAAAAGCACAGGCAACAAAUAAAGAGAAUAAAAAAUAGCAAUAAUUAACUAUAAAAAAUAAGUUGUCAAUAUUAUACUCGGGAGGAGAAGAAAAAAAAGCUCAUUAAAGACUUAUCGUUAACCUGUUGUGGACAUCGCCCUAUAAUAAAAAAGAGCUAACAAAGAAAGCUUAAAUGCCACUCUACAAGGAUGCAUGAAGACACCAAAAAAAAUUGUAUGCACCAAUGAAGCAACGUCCUGGAAAGAAAACAUAAAAAAAAUACCAUGAAGCGAGCAUCUUAUGCCUAUAUCUAGUCAAUUAAUUUAACUUAAUUAGAAAAAACAAGAUUCCUCUAUGAAAAAACUAUAUUUUAAAAAGACAAAAAAAACUCGAUAUAAAUCUUGUCAUUUUCAAAAUCACUGAAAAAUCCCAUAAAAGUGAAUAAACAAAUAGAAUUUAAUCUCCAAUUAAAUACAUAUUGAAGGAUUAAACUGGAAAAAAAAACACAAGCGAAUCUGAACGAACCUCAUAAACCUGGGUUAAUCUCUCACACUCGCAAUCUAUUAAAUUCUAGACCCGGACUCACUCAACACCCAACCAAUUUAAUGUUGAAUGAUGAAACAAAAAUAUAUAUAUGAUUUUUUAAAAAUUAAGGUAAAAAAAAUAGCAGUAAAAAAAUAAAGAUCAAAUUUUAUACGAAGAAAAACUAUAGGAUGAGAUUGUAAGAAAAAUAAAAGAGUUAAUUUUAAAAAACAUCUCAAAUAAAACAAUUAUUAAUAAAAAAAAUAGGAUUAUAUCUGACAGAUAAAACAUUAAAAAUGGAUGAAAUUAAAAUAAUUAUAAUUUUAUAAAUUAUUUUAAAUAAAAUAAAUAUUAAAUAAAAACAGUAAUCAAAUUUGAAGGAAGAAUGAAUUAAAGAUUAAUUUUAAAACUUAAAGGGUCAGUAAAAAAAACAAAGGAAGAAUGAGAAUUUUUUUUUUUUUUUUAAAGUCAGUAACAUCAAACUAGACCCCCAAUGACCACAUGCAUUGCUCGUACAUGGAGGGGCCCGCUUGCAUGCCACCUCUCAAGAGCCGAUGUAUUUUCUAGAAGGAUAAAAUCAUAAAAAUAUUAUUCCACUGCGUCUUGGGCUACGAUGCUUCACUUAUCUCUCUUUAGUUUUAAUUUUUGUGUUUUUUUAAUGAAUGAAUUGGCAAACAUAUCAAAUAAAUAAAAAGAGAGGCAAGAGGUACGAGGAUACUGUUACUAUUGUCUUAUUAGACUAAACAGCACCCAACAACUUGCCCAGCAAUUACAGCGUCCAAGAGAGAUAUGAAUUGGAUGCAUGAUUUUCAAUAUUUUAGGUACACGUUGAAUAUUCGGUGAACUCAACGAAAUCAACAACGAGUUUAGCUAUAAUAUGGACAAAAAGUUAUCUUGCCCUCUUCUCUAAUCAAUUAUUCAAGUAAUCUAACCUUCUAGAAUAUAUAGUUGCUAAUAUAAUGAUCACUAGAAAUUUAUAUGAUUGUUAAUUUUAAAAUUUAUAGGAUUAAUCGAGGUAUAAAUAAGCUGGCCUGAACAUCCAUUUUAAUAAAAUAAUAAUAAUAAUUUGAGAAAUCUUUCUUUUCACUUUAUUUUUUUUAUUUUUAUUUUUUUGCCGUAGGAGAAAAGAACCCGUGACAUGGACCUGUAAUAUUCGCCACCUUUUUAUCCAUCCCAUUUUAACUAAUAAGUGAUCAACAUGCAAGUUGUGAUACGUAACUAAAAUGGGGCAACCACCUUUCCUGUUACCAUCAUGAUUUUUUUGAAAAACUGAAGUCGAAGAGGGGAAAGCUGAAAUCUUCUGUUGAAAUAUAAUAUUUCUUAUUGGGGAAAUAUAUUUUUAAAUUUAAUAAUUGAAUUUGUUUUUUAAUUUCUUAUUGAAAAAUAAAAGGUGAAAAAAUAAUAAUAAUUUUACGGGUCAGCUGUGUUGGCUAGAUUAUUUUUUUAAUUAAUUUUUCUCAAUUUCAUUCUUCAGCAAUGUGUUGAUUGAGAAUUGAAAUUUAUAAUUGUAUUUUUUUUUUGUUUCUACCGGGUUAUCAUGGUUUCGUGAUUCGGGUCACGAGUUUUGUGCGUUAGUCGUGUUGACUUGGAUCAUUUUUUAUUUUAUUUUUAGUUAUUGUUUCCCUUAACUUCAUCCUUAAAAAUUGAGUUUACAUGAAAUUGGGUUUUAAAUUAUUUACCAUGGUCUCAUAAAACCCAGUUGCGAGUUUUACAGAUUAACCAGGUUGACUUAGGUUUUUUAUGGUAUUUUUUUAAUUGAAUAUUAUUUUUUUAAUUUAAUCUUUCAAUAUACGGUUGUUUGAGAAUUUGAAUUUAUUUUUUUUAUUUGCUUUCCAUGGAGUUAUCUCUGUCUCUUGAUCCAAGUUUUGUAGGUUAAUCCGAGUUGUCUCUGGUCAUAUUUUUUCUUUUUUUUUGUUGAUUUUUUUUUCAAUUUCAUCAUUUAAUAUUGAUUUGAUUAAGAAAAAGGCUUCAUAAUUUAUUUUGUUAACUUGGACAGUUUUUUUAGUUGAAUUUCGUUUUCAAUUCCACCCUUUAAUAUGAGGUUGAUUGAAAAUUGAGUUUAAUAAUUUUUUAUUUUAUUUUAUUUUAUUUCUAUAGGGUUAUCAAGGUCUCAUGAUCUGGGUAGUGGAUUUGACAUGUUAUCCAGAGUUGAUUCGAGUCGAUCUAAUUUGUUGUCUUUUUAAUAUUUUAAAAGAUAAGCAAAUUGUAUUUUUAUGGGUUAUCUAAGUUGUUUUUAGAUAUAGCAAGCCAACUAAAUCACAUUAAAUCAAUCUCUAUAUAGUUUAAAUAUUUUUUUAAAAAAGAAAAACAUAUUAAAAACAUCCGAAUAUUUUCUUUACUUUAAAAAACUCGAUCCUCGCCGGCAAUAAUCUAGUAUGUAUUAAAUAGUAGCUGACAUGUAUCCACAGCGUAGCACCACCGAUCGGAAAAUCAUUUUUGCCCUUCAUAGAUAAUCAUCGCGAUAAUUCCAAGAAACACACUCAUAUUGGAUAAUCCUAGAUUCCUCUGUCACCAUUCUAACCUUUCUUCGACUAGGGUUCAUAUUAUAUUCCUUGUGCGUGCUCAUCUGCCUGUUAUUUGACAAAACAUACGUGUAAAAGAACAAAUUCUGAACUGGAUUUUCAGAUUCCAUGUGAUCGCUUUCAAUGAUUUCUCCAGGCUAAAUCAUAAAAUGAUAAAAUACUCCCCUCAACUUUAGCGAAGAAAAUAUAGCCCCCCCCCCCCCCCCUGUUAUUAUUAGGGUUUUGUUAAAAAGAGUGAUGGAAAAACCCCUAAAAGCCCUCACUAUUCCUCAUGAUCUCUCUGCAAUAAUAAAAUAAUAAUAAUUUUUUGAAAAAACACACUCUCUUUCUCCUUUCUCGUGCUUUUCUUUUUAUUCUGUAAGAGUGCCUUUUGGUUUCAUUAGCUCAGAGCAAGGGUUGAGGAUUAAGCAGGGUUUUUUCAUCAAAAUUCUAAACAAUAGUACUCAAAAUAAAAAGAAAUCAUAUUAAUUAAGGAGGAAAUUAUAGAUUAUUUAUUAAGAGGGUGUUUGUUUUUCGUUUAAGUUGGGAGAAAUAUUAUGUAUGCAUGUUCCUCUUGUCAUUCUCCCUGCCAAUAAUUCAAGCACCAGAACGCAAGCACUGAUCACCAGAUCUAAUUAAAGAUAGAAACGUCGUAGCAAAACGACAGUGAACUUUCCCACGAAAUGCUUGUAAAGAAAAGUAGUGACGUGGCUUGGCAAGGGGCAAGCUAAUACAUGGAUCUCAUAGCAUAUCGAUCGAUCAUUCUGCAAAUCUUUAUUCAAGUCAAUUCCUGCUGUUUUAUUUAUUUGAAUUUGAGUUUUUUUAUUUAAAAAAGCUUUAAUAUCUUAUCGUUCAUCCUCCAAUUUAUUUAUGUAUUAAGAUUCUAUUUCUUUUUUUAUACACACACUAUUAAUAUCUUAUCGUUCAUAUUUAGUUGGAAUAUAGCUACCAAGUGGCCUUAAUAAUUUGUUAAUUAAUGCUGAUUGCUUGAGAUGGUCAGCAAGAAGCUAUUUGGAAGGGUAAUAUAAGUUAUUUUUCAAUGUGUUUUUUAUUUUAAAAUAAUAUUGUUUUAUUUUUUAAAAUUUAUUUUUGAUAUUAACACCUUAAAAUAAUCUAAAAAAACAAAAAAUAAUUUAAAUAAAAAAAUCAAAAUUUAAUAAAAAUAAAAAAUAAGUUUAAUCUGAAUUAAUUCCAAACAUCCACGCGUGUCCAGUAUACUUGUGCGUUGGAUCGCGAAUUGACUUUUGAAUUCCGAAUAGAAAUUAUUUGAGAGGAAGAAAAAUCUUACCCGGGAUUUCUUAUUUUGUGAAGCAACAUUCGUAAUUGGUCCACCGUGGCUUUUUCCUUUUGGUCCAACUUGACCCCUCCAGCACCUGCUUGCUGACCAUGUCCCGGUUCAUUUUCAUCUGUACGCAUGCCUGCUGUUAUUUUAUCAGGAUGUGGUUAAAUUGGAUUUUCAAUCAUUUUCAGUUGCUAUCACUCACAUUCUAAUUUCCAACUUCAUUAUUAUACGUUCAUGCUAAGAAACGUGUAUAACUAGGGUUAUGGUAUGAAAAUUUAUGUCUUUCUUUCAACCGUAUUUUUUAAUUUUUUUAGUUUUAAUUUAUUUUUUAGUGUUUGUUAAUUGUUUUGAUGUAUUGAUAUUAAAAAUAUAUUUUAAAAAAAUUAUUUUAAUAUAUUUUCUAAUAAUUGUUUUUUAAUAAUUGCUACCGACUUGAAAUCACUCAAAAAAACAAAAACAAAGAGUAUCCCAUCGAGUAGAGUCGUCCCACCUCGCUACCUACAAUUAAGUUGAGAGGUUGGAAUUAAUUCACGCAUGAGUUUGCAAUCAAUAAUGCAAUCUAAAGUCACCAAAAUGUAUGUUUAAUCAAAAUUAAACUUUUGACCUUUUGGUUUCUUCGUUCAAGUUAGCGACUUUUCUGGGACGCGUGAACAAGACAGAUAAUCAAACUCUCCAUCAGCAUUGUUGCUGCUGUAAAUGGAAAAGAAGAUGGAUUCAUUUCUAUUCAUGAUAUAAACCUCUGGUUGGAAAUCGACAGCAUGAAUUUGCUUUUGCUUUUCUUUUUUUCAUCGGGUUAUCUUCACACAUAACCUGCUCGAUCUUCUUCCCUUUUUUUCAAGGUUUGCGAGAAGGUGGGUUUCUUUUCUCCUUUUUUUUAUUAGUAUGUAUUUUACAUUCGUGGUAUUUUCUAUAAGUAUAGUUCGAAAAUACAUGUUUUAAAAAAUAAAUUAUAAUUAUUUUUCUUAAUUAAUUAAGUUUUUAAUGAGAUUCAUGUAUGUAAAAAUAUAGCAUUUAUUAAUUAACUAAAUAACUUCAAUAGUUUUAAUCGGAUUGCAUCUCAUCUUAGAUAUACUCUAAACCAUAGUAAUUUUUAUAUAUUUUAUUAUAUAUUAAUAAUCAUGUAAGUUUUUAAUAAUUAUUAUAUUAAUAAUUGCAGGGCUCCAAACCGAGAAUAAAAAAUCAAAUCUCUUAAUUCAAUAGUUUUUUAUACGGGGAAUCGUAGAUAAAAUCCAGCUAUGGGCAUUCAAUAGAAUAAAGAACGAAAGGUAAAUCCACGUGCUCGUAGGUAAAAACAAAUUAUCAACAUGUGGGGUCUAUCUAGUCAAUGCUAGAUUGGGUUUAAAUAGAAUUGCAUUGAUACGUAUGUUUUUGUGGUAAAAAUUUUUUUAAAAAAUUGUUAAAUUUUUUGAAAGUUUUGAAGUGCUGAUGUUAAAAAUAAAUUUUAAAAAAUAAAAAAAAUAUUUUGAUAUAUUUUCAAGUAAAAAAACACUUUAAGUGGCUGUUUGGGAAUGUGGCUGCGGGCGAGGUUCACCCGCAGCCACGUUAAUUAACGUUUGGUAACCCAAAAAAAGUUGCUUUUGGUGGGUAGGACCCACAUGAAACCGGAGUUUCAUGAGAAGCAGCAUUUUGCUGCUUCUCGUAGGGAAAAAAGCAGAAUAGUGGAGCAUGGCUCCACAGUGGAGCCAUGCUCCACUGUUGCACUGUUCACUUUAGUGAACAGUGUUUUUUUUUUUUUUUUUUUUUUUGAAAAACAUGGCAGAAAGUUUAGUUUUUUUUUCCUCGAAAAACCAGUAUAGUUAAUUGAUUUCACUCGUAUUGUUCAUGUGAACAUGAAUAAUAUUGUUUUUUUAAAAAAUUAGUUUAAGGUGAAUUAAAUUUACUCGUAUUGUAAUCUCAAUUUUAUUCCUGAUAAUAUUUUACCUAAUUUUAUUACACGCUCAAAAAUUCAUAAAAACUGUAGUUCUUGUCGAAUGAAUUUUGUACGUAAUGAAAUUGUAAAUUUUUUUUAAAACAAUUGAGUUUUACUCGAAAAACUAGUAUUUAAUAUUAUUUAAUAACACUACAUAAAUUAGAAGGAUAUCACAUGAUGACGUAGCAUUUGUGAAAUUUGAUCGCAAUUCCAAUUAUGUUAUUGCCGGGUUCGACCCAGUUAAAAAAAAUUCAGUUUUUAUUUUUAUUUUAAUUGUGUUUUAUUCAAAAAAUUAGAAAGAUAUCGCUUGAUGACGUAACAAAAAAUUCAGUUUUUGUUGUUGCGUGCUUAAGAAACCAUGAAAAAUAUAGUCAUUGUUGGAUAAAUUUCGUAUGUGAUGACAUUGCAUAUAGUUUAAUGGAAUAAUAAAAAAAAAUGAUAUCAAUAUUAUUUAUUUCAUGAUGUAAUAAUAGUAGUUAAAUCUACAAUAUUUAAAUUAAAAAUAUUUUUUAAUUAUUUUAUAACCUCAAUUUGAAAAGCAUUUUUUUAACCAAACACAUUAAACUACUUUUUGUUCAACCUCAAUUUCAACCACAGUUUUAACCAAACAUAUAUUUUUCCAACCCAACCUCAACUAAAAGUACUUUUUAUAAAAACAACUUUUUUAAAACCACAACCACAACAGCAACCACAAUACCAAACACGCUCUAAAAAACAAUUGCCACCACAAUCACAAACACUAAAGGAAAAAAAAUUGAAAGUUCAUUUCAUGGGUUAAAACUCUGUUAUAUCAGUUGUUUUUUAAAGUGUUUUUCUCUCGAAAAUACAUCAAAAAAAUAUUUUUAAAAUUUUAUUUUUAAUAUCAACACAUCAAAACAAUAUAAAAACACUAAGAAAUAUUAAUUUUCUUUUAAAAAGUUAAAUUUUUGGCAAACAUGCGACUAGCCGCAUUACCAAACAAGUUCUAAAUAGUCUCCUCACUCACUCCAUCUCGUUAAUUUUGGUUAAAAUUCACAAUCAAACUAUGAAAAUAUAUCUUCUCAUAAGUAUUAGGGAAGAAAAAUAAUUUGCCUUGAUGAAAACAUGACAAAACCUAAUUGAUGAGAACAAGUAUAAGGUGUGAUUUCCUCUUUAUAAGUAAAUGAGAAUGAGGCGAGGAAAAUGAUUCCCACCUAAUGAGGUCUGAUUAUAUUCCAUCGGCUUAAAGGCCAUGUCAAGGCCUGAGAUAAGAUUAUUAAUCUUCUAAUUCUAACAAUUUAAUCCAUCUUUUCUUGGUGAAAUAAUAAAUGGAUUAUGCUCAAUGCUUGCAAAAGAUCCCCUCUUUAAAGUUAUGAGAGAAAAAAGUCAUCUUCUUUCAGAAAAAAAUCCUAAAAAUAGAUAUAUGUCAUUUGUAGUAGAGAAAAAAUGAACCUGCCUCGUGAGGGGUUUAACUUGGUCCCUUUUUAUAGCUUUUGAGGUCCCAUCAUUUCAUGAAAGUGGAAAAUGUUUACAUAUCGGCCUAAAAUCUCUGUCUUGUCAGGAUAAAAUAUUCCUAACUCAUCAGAGUAAAAUAUCUCUGACUUAUCAGAGUAAAAUAUCCUUGACUGUCUAGUGGUUCACCAGACCUAUACACGUUAAGGAUCUGCGCUUGGCUGAGUCAAUAGAUGAUGGAUUAUCACCUUAAACUUUGUUCGUUUGUUCGGAAUGAAGGAUUCAUAAAAAAAUAAAAAAAUAUCAAUCCAUUAACAUCCCUCCAAAUCUUUGUGUGUUAUAGACAAAGAUUUUGAAAAUCUUCUACCACUAUUUUACCUUUUCUAAAAGAUUUACAUGUCCCAUAAAGGACUAUUGGGAUCUUCAUGUCUUGAUGGCUUGUCUUUACUAGGAGAAGGUGUACCUUGGAAAAUAAAAUGGUGGCUUGCAUUAUAUAUGAUAAUUGAGUGAACUUCUGGAAAUCUGUGAUAAUAUGAAAAGUCGUUCAUUUGAUGGUGGGAGUAAAGAGAUUCUUUUUUAACCUUAGUCAUUUUUUCCAGUGGCUUUUUUUUUUUACUUUCAUUCUUUGCGUUUUUUGAAAACUUUCUCCCAUAAAAAGACCCCAAAUUAUCUUUGCCACCUUUAUUCUUGAUCCAAAAAAGGAAACAUUAUUUCAUACAUCUCUUUUAUCAGAUACUUUUUCCCUAUCUUUCUUUUACUCAAAGCAAAAAUGGACCCCAAGAACAUCAGACUUGUUUCUAAAAAGAGAAGCGCUCCUUCAUUUAUUUUUCAUAAGCAAUCUAGUAUUAUUUAUUUGCUUCUUUAUAUUGAUCACAUUAUUCUUGCUAGCAACAACUCAUCUCUUCUUAACAAAUUUACUUGUAAGCUCAAUUUUGAGUUCGCCACUAAGGAUCUGGGUCAUCAUCUCAGUUACUUUCUUUGCCUUAAAGCUUCACUAGCUGCAGAUGAUCUUUUUAUUAGUCGGUCGAAAUAUGCUUGAGAUAUUCUUACUCGAGAUCAAUUACUUGACAACAAACAUGUUCAUACUCUUAUGUUUUUUCUCAACACUUGUUUGCUAAUGAUCUUCUAUUUUUUUUUAUCAUACUCUUUAUAGGUAUCUCGUUACUGCACUCCAAUACUUGACUAUCACGCGCCCCUAUAUUGCUCAUGUUGCUAACUCUAUCAACCAAUUUCUGUAUGCUCUAACUUAAUAUCACAGUUUUUUUUGCUAUUAAGCAUAUUCUACAUUAUGUCAAAGUCACCCUCCAUUUACCAACUCUCACUCCAAUACUUGACUAUCACGCACCCUGAUAUGAUAUUGUUCAUGUUGCCAACUCUAUCAACCAAUUUCUGUAUUCUUUAACUUAAUAUCACAGUUUUUUGCUAUUAAGCAUAUUCUACAUUAUAUCAAAGACACCCUCCAUUUUGUCCCUUCACCUUGCCCAUAUGCUAUUCCUGGUGUUCUAGUUGCUUACUUUGAUGUUGAUUGAGCAGGUUAUCUUACACUCAUCUUUUUACUUAUGGCUACUCUAUUUAUCUUGAUGAUAAUUUGGUUUAUUGGAGUGCUAAGAAGCAAUCUAUUGUAUUCUAUAUAACUUAAUAUGACAAAUUUCACACGCAGUAUGUGUCCUCUCAUGUACAAGAUGUUCAUGACAUCUUCCCCAAAAUUGUUCCCCAGCCUCUAUUUGAAUUUUCCCGAUCCAAGCUUUAUGUUCGUUCCACUACUCCAAUGCUCAGCUCACGAGGGGUGCUGUGGGUAUUUUAUCUAAUUCUAUGAUGAGAUUUUUUUGUAUAUACUUUCCAUUUAUGUGGGCUCUAAUUGAUCACCGCUUAAUUUAAGCGCGACGGUUCUCACCAAACUCUCUCAUGUAUUCAUGCACCUCCAAGAAUUUGAGGCAAUAUAGCAUAAGAGCCUUUCAAUCCUGAUUUGUUGGAAUUUGGCAGCUUCUAUUGCCUGUAAAUAUCUCUUGAAAUCCUUUCUUUCUCUCUGACAUAUAUUAAAUCGAUGACCUCGCAUUGAGCCGAUCCCCACCAAUUUUGCGACGUGCAUAAAAAGUUAAAAUUAUGAAUUGAGGUCCCAAAGGGUCUAAUAUCUUAUGGAAUUAUUGCACUGCCCGUGAGCGUUCUGCUGCAUGCGACAUUUUCAGUGUGUUUCUUAGGAGCAGCAAAUAUGGGGGCCUCAUACGACGUUUUCAAGGGUGCUCAAGUUACCACCCAAAUCAAGCAACAUACUCGGCAGUGAAAGCCAGGCAUAGAUUUUAUUUUCUGAGUUAUUUUUAUUUAAAAAGUAUUAUUAUGUGGGAAAUUAUAUCCUAAUUAGGUUGGUUUGGUUUUUAUGUCUGCUUAGCGUAGAUAGAGAACUCUCUUCUUGUAUUCAGUGAUCAGCCCCGAUACAAAUAAAUUAUUGUAAUUUACUUUCCAAGCUUUUUUAUUAUGCUUUCUUUUCGCUUUAUGCCCUAUUUUUAUCCAUUUUAAUUAUAUAUGUUCUUUUAUUGUUUUUCCUUGUUAUUUAAAAUGUUUUCUCAAUAAAAAAAAUAGCAGUAGUUUAUUAGGUUUUUCCAUCUUAAAAUCUUUGUUUAUCAUACCUGUGGAAUCUAUAUUCAUUUUUAAUAAUAAGAUAGUUAUUAUCAACACACAAAAUCAAGAUACACCACUAGAAAUUUAGUGAAUAUAAACAGAAGCACCUAUAGAAUUUUUUUAUUGGCAUAUAUAUUUGUUGGUAAACACCAAUGAGAAUAUUUUAUCUAUGUAUACUAAGAGAAUUGCAAUGGAAAAAAAAUCAAAAAAUAAAAAAAUAUAAUGAAGUAUAACUUUUACCUACUUGAUUCGAUAUAUAGAUCAGUAUGAGUUUUCUUUUUGGCUCAAUCAGAUGUGUUUUCAUACGUUAUAUCAACACAGUUUACACUAAUUAUACAACAUUAGAGUCCUAAGGGUUUGGUCAAUAAAGUUUAUUCUAUUUUUAACUUCCUGAGAUCAAAUCUUGAGAUCUUUUUAGAGAAAUCUAUUCAUCUCAAUGUAUUAGGUUAAUGUGAAGGAUGUGUUCUUGGUUAAGAUAAAUGACUUGAAGAAAAGAUUUAAUUUUGACUGACAUGUAAACUAAUCCGAAAAUACUUCUUACCAUCUUAAAAAAUCAGACAACAUUAAAAGCUUAUAUUAACUCCAUCAUUGCUUUUAAAUCAAAAUUAGUUAAAGAUUCUAUCCAGACGACUAAUUAAGGUUCCAAAAUCUUAUUCAAUUUGAAAUGUGGAAAUUCAUGACAUGAGAAGUUAUUUGACUUUUUUUUAUAGACGUAGAAGAGUGAGAUAUAUGACAAUAUCUUGUAACAGAUCGUCAUUAGUUUGAGAAUAGCUACAUUAAUCGGCCAUUCAGUUAGUAUCAUGGUAGAUUAAACUAAACGGUGCCAUUUGAUUCGGUCCAACUAAUAAAGAAGGCGUAGUAGUUAAAAGACUCUUGAUUGAUUAUUGACUCCAUUCAAUAAAACAAAAAUAAAUAGGUUUAGUUUUUACAUAUCAAAGAACCAAUUCAAGCUAAAAGUUGAAGUUGUUAGGGUCCAACUAAUAAAGAAGGCGUAGUAGUUAAAAGACUCUUGAUUGAUUAUUGACUCCAUUCAAUAAAACAAAAAUAAAUAGGUUUAGUUUUUACAUAUCAAAGAACCAAUUCAAGCUAAAAGUUGAAGUUGUUAGGUGAGGUUCCAUGUAUUGAUUUAUAUUAUUCUCUAAUUUUUUUUGUCAUUUUUUUUUUUAAAUUUCAUACUUUAGAGUUAUGUUGAUUGAAAUUUUAGAUUGAUAAUUUAUUUUUAUACUAAAAGAGAUCAACAACACUCAUGUGGACCAUAUGUAUACCAUAUAUAUUUUUUAAAUUUUUUUGUCAUUUUUUUUUAAAUUUCAUACUUUAGAGUUAUGUUGAUUGAAAUUUUAGAUUGAUAAUUUAUUUUUAUUUGUGUUUAAUAUGAUUAUUGAGAUCUUGGAAAAACAACUUGUUGUUGGGUUGGCGCCCAACUUCACAGAAAAAUAUUCGAUUUAGUUGUUUGCAAUGAAUUAAAAAUGAAAGGGCCAAAAUUAAAGAAACGAAAAAAUAACAUGCUUUUAUCUUUUAUGAAAAAAAUAUGUCAAUCCCGGCAUUCUUUUUCACCCUUCUAUUAUCUAUUUUUUUCUUUUAAACUAGAUCCUUUAAUUUUGUGUUAUUUGGGAUUCGAAGUUGAUAAUUUUUUUAAUCUACUUUUUAUAUGGUUAUCUCUAUCACAAAAACUCGUCUUGCCAUUUUUUUAUGCUCGGGUUCACAAAAAACUAUCCUUUUUUUUUCUUGGAGUGGUUGAAAAAUAGAGGACUAAAAUUAUAUUAGUGAAAUAUUUAAAUAUCCUUGAUUAAAAAAAAAACAAUGUAUCGGUGUCUUUAAGACAUUUUUUGCCUUUGGUUUUUGUCAAAAAAAUAUUUUUGGUCCUUUUAGUUUUGAGAUUAUAUAAUGAGGUGAAAAACUUUUUUUUUCUUUCUUCUGAGUUCUUGAGUUUGAGAGAUGAGAGAGAGAGUUGUUGAAUUAUAGCAAAUGAGAUAAAGCUAACAAAUGAUCAUUUUUCAACAAUGAAAUUUAUCAUUCUUGGUAUUAAUCAGUUUCAUUUACUCAUGAGAGUUCCCCACACAGACAGACAGAUAGACAUAUAUAUAUAUAUAUAUAUAUAUAUAUUCUAGUUUAGUUUUCAUUUUUUAACUAAUCAAAUGGUAAUUUAUUAUCAAAAAUGGAUUUUUUGAGGUUUCUGAUAUGUUUUUUUACGUGUUUGUGUAUAAAAAAUGGAUCAAAAUGGGAUUUAAACCCCUAGGCUGGCUACUUGAUUUUCCAGCAACCAUAAAUGGCCAAAAUCUAUAAUAGCAAGCGACACGUUGGUUACUAUUUUUUUAAAUGAGGUGAGGUGGAUGACAUAUAGUUCACCCCUUAAAAAAUAAAAAAUAAAAUUAACGGGCUCAGACACAUGAGUUGUUGUACGCCUGUGUGCUUGGGCGUUUUAGUUUUUUUUCAUUUGAUGUUUUCCAAUAUUAUUUUUAUUUUCUUGCUGAUUUUUUUUUAUUUUCAUCAUUUAAUAUAUAUUUUUUGGAUUGGAAAAUGUAGUUUGUUUCGGAUUGAUAUUUGUGGUUUUUUCACGGUUUCAAAUGAACACUUCAAUAUUUAGUUAAUGCUUAAUUUUAUGUACGUCUAUUUUUUGGUCGUAUAAUUAAAAAAAAAACAAAGUUUUUAAACCAACUUUAGUUCAUCACUCGACUCGCAUAUUAUAAAUUUUUUUAAAAAAUAGUAUUCAAAAAACCAAAUACAAUGUAAUUCAAAACCUAAAUCAUGAGUUUAACAAGUCAGAUUACAAAAUCUGUUGUUAUAUCAUCUUGGGAUUUUUUAAUAUAUUAUUUUUUUAUAGUUUAAAAAAGAGUUCUAUCAUCUUGGGAUUUUUGUUAUUUUUUUUAGUUUUAAAAAAACAUUUGGGAGUGAAAUCCGUUGCACUUUUUUAUAUAUAAGUUAGUGUGGAAAACUAGGAUAAAUAUAUUUUUUUUCUUCAAGUUCAAAAAAAUAUGGAGAGUCUUGAUGACCUAUUUUAGAACUCAUUUAGGGUUGUGUUUGCACUGGGGUUUCAAUAAAAUUUGAUUUUUUUUUGCUUAAAUGUUUUUAUAUUAUUUUAAUGUAUUAAUGUCAAAAAUAAUUUUUAAAAAAAAACACUUUAAAAAGCAACCAUCACCAUACUCCCAAACACCGACUAGAGGAAGAAUUUUUUUGUCAAAUUAGCACAAGAAACAUAAAUAAUUGGCGAAAUAACACUGUUUGAAAAAAAAUUAGUGAAAUUACACACUUUCAUAUUUUCGUGCUUUAAAAGCACAACAGGGUGAAAGUAUAAUCAUCUGGCUCGAUUGGCCGGUUGGAUGGAUCCGGUUGUAUUAACUGGUAAACCAUUUUAUAUAAAAAUCAUAAUGUUUUGAACUCGUUUUUUUUUUUAAUAUAUUUUUUUAUGAACCAAAAUAUAAUUCUUUGUUUAACUCCUAUUAAAAUUUUAAAAAAUUAUUAUUCAAGUAGUAGUUGUGUUCAUAUUUUCAACGUCAUUGAUGUAGCUAGCUUAUAAUAUCAAAUAAUUGUGAGCAUUAAAAUAUUAGUAUACUGUAACCAAAUAAAAAUCUAUUCCGAAUAAAUUAUAAAAAUAAUAUAGUAAAUGGUAUUCAGGUUUCUUAUAAUGUGCUAGUUUUUGUUUUAAAAAGGGUGGGCCCAUACGCCAGACUGCAAAAGACGCCAUCAUUUUUCUUGAAAAAGAGAAAUUAAUAUGAAUAAAUACCACUGACCGUAGGAGUCCAAUCCCCACACUACCUACUAGUCAAAGACCAUCUCCAGGCGGCGGUUUCCCAGUCAUAAUCAUAGAAAGAGUAACGGUGGCCCUACUUAAACGUGGACAGCCAUCAGCCGUUGGAUCUACUGACUUCGGGUGCUCUCCCUCCUUUACAGAAUUGUUCCAGAACAACUCCGAAGGACUUAUUAGUAAUAGCUGUAGAACAUCUUGAAAUGGUUUCUAAAGUCUCAUAAUAAGCGGAAUGAAUAAAAUCUCCAGGUUAACGCUCACAUUAACCUCUUAAUUUCCGGUAAAACUACAUGGUGGCGAGCCAUCAUUAACAUAAUAACAGCAAUAAUAAUAAUAAUAAAAAAUAAAUAAAUAAAUAUUGAAGGAAUUAUUGCACAUUUAUGAAGGGGUGAGUAGAAACUCAUGGUGUUUUGAAAUUUGUCUUGACAGAGACCAAAGCCUGUGUCAAGUUCAACGCGGGAUAAUGUAUUUUUAGGAGACAAUUAUUUUUUUGUUUUGCGAUGAUGUGCUUGGUGGUGGGCCAGUUAAAUUGAAUGCUCUUGUCAUUUAACCUGUCACCUUCUCUCCAUCUGUUAAAUGAAUUCAGGAGAAAAUAACGUCUGUCUUAGCAUUGUUUUCUUCCAUGAACUACUUUAAUUCACUUCCCACUCCAUCCAGAGUAGAAUUAAUUUAAAAAAAAAAACAUGAAGAAAAACCAUGGGAGGUUAGGCAGUAGUGGGGCAGCAGUUGAAGCCAGGCUAUGACAGGGAUCGAUCCAUUGCUGGAGUACAUACUGCUUGGAAGGAGAAGUAUAUUUAAUUCAUAUAUAUUAUUACACUUGCAAGAUAAAUACAUUAUUCUAAAGAAAGAAUUCCCUUUAGUAAUGGAGGUUGACAGCCGCAUCAGUUGGGUGGAGAGAGGAAUAAUUGGCCUCUAAUGUUUAGUUUCCCCUGCAGAUCAUGAAUUAUAUAUCACUAUCUUCUUGCUUCAAAUCAUCCCUAUGAAAUUACAGAAAAAACAAUUUGUUUUGUUCUUAUUUCUCACAUAAAUAUCAUGAUUAUUCAUCACUAUCAACGUUAUUGAAAAAAAAACUUCAAAUUAUAUCUGAACUGAGUUCUUUUCUUCAUGAUAAAUUAGCAGUAAAAAUAUUCCGACGGUGUCCCUCGAUUUCCCAACCUUAUCCUCUGUUUAAUUUUGUCAUAUCCAACAUGCAUUAGAAUUUGAAUUUACGUAUUACUAUUACUAUUAUUAUUAUUUUGGUUUAUGUUUCAGCAUAUUUGAUGCCCAUCAACUGUUUAUGGUUAUUUUUUACUUAUAAAUAUAUUAAAAUAAUAAUAUUUUUAUUUUAAAAAAAUUAUCUGUAAUAUCAACCCAUUAAAAUAAUAUAAAAAUAUUUAAAAAAUAAUUAUAAACAAAAACAAUUUUAUUACUUGUUAAUUAUCACAGGUCACUUUUAAGAACAGAGCUCGCCAUCAUCUUUCCUCGUGACUGCGACACUGAGACAUGUGCGCACCAUAGCCUGUAAUUAAUUAGGUGGUCCAAGAAUGCAUCUAUCACAUUGAUGUUGCGACGGCUUAUCGUCUGUCUCUGUACUCAAUUGUAUAUAUUUUAACAGCAGUGCUGUUUUCCCAAACCAUGCAGUGCCCAGGGUGACCACUCUCCUCUGCUUUCUAUAUAUAUUUCUGGGUCGUGAGUUACGCGACAUGAUCACUCAGUAUAUAAUACUUGAGUUUUGCAACUAAUUGUGAUUUAUUAUACUCUCUUUUUAAUUUUACCAAAUUCAAGAGUGUGUGUUAGAGCAGCCAACUACAAGUAGUCCACUCCACUACCUCUGCCUCUUUCUUGUUUUGCCCACUACCAAACAUAACAGGCGCUUGCUUGAUCACCUUGAACAAAGAAGAAGAGCUAGCUAGCAUGCUGGCACUGGCUCUGUAAUUACCAAACUAUCCCUGUCAACGGCUAAUUCUAGGACAGACACGUUGGGAAAUCAUUGCAUGUCUGGUCUGGUCUAUACGUGACUAUCUUCCAUAGUUUAUUGAGGGCGAGUCAAACUACGUUAGGUAGCCCACUCACACGCAAGAAUGUCUAGAGAUUUGGAACUCUGAAUUGGUCUCUGUACUAACAACAGUCCCUAAACUGCAAUUUGUGCAAUAGAGAGGGGACCUAAUUAAGUUUCCCAUUAAUCAAGGUACAUUAAUUAGUGGUUGAUUAAUUACCUUUAUUACAGUCACGACAAUCUACUUAAUGAGUGCAUGGAAACGUGCUCUUGGAGCCUAUUCCCUCUCUCCUAAUGCUUCCGAGUGUUGAUUGACUGAAUUGUUGGGUUUAUGACUUUUCUUCUCUUUUUUUCACGGGUUGAUUAGAUAUGCAACCAAAUCGUUGAAAAUAGACUAUAGUAUAGGGUGGUAAACCAUACUUUAACCCACAUGAAAUCUUUAUAAAAAGCUUAAAUCUCCAGACUGCUCUAUAGUUUCAGAGAAUACCCUUCAAUCCUCAUGUUUUUUCUCUUAUACAAAACACCCAUGCAUGGGAAUUGGGACAGCAUCCCACAAAGGUUUUCCAAAUCUCGAAAAUUAAGAAUUAAGAAAAAAGGAGCAGGUUCCUUGGUUUUCGUUAUCUAUUCUUUCACCCCCAAGGGAAGUAUUAUUUAUUAGAAAAAAAGCUAGAAAAUAUUAAACUAUGGAGGUCGAAGUGGGACAUCACUAACUAUAGGGGCUUAAACGUAGUUUAUCUUGAGCUGUAACAGCUGGAUCAUUUUUCUCGAGCAAUUAGGAAGGUGGCCUCAUUUGAGAAAUGUGAACACUAAUCACAUAAAAUCUAACACUUGCGAUGAACGUGUUCCUCGUUUAUCUAAAUGAUGCUCAAGCAGGACAAAAGGCGGAACAAGUUCGUGAUUGCUUUAGGACAAUCAUUUGCUAACCUAAAAAUCAAACUCCAUGAAGAACCCUUUUCCUGCUCCCGGUUUCACACUCCAUAAUUUAGCCUAUUCCAUCUUGUUCAAGAUCCCAUCUCCAAUAGUGACGCACUAUUGGAGACGGCAUGAUAUCACCACUGCCCCCGGAACUAGCGUGGCCACAAUCUUUCUUCUACACUAUGAUUGGAGAAGGGCAGGGGUUGAUGAUUCCUCUUUUCUUUUUCGGGCCUUCAUGGGCUUUUCUUUUACUUGGGCCUGUUGUCUAUCCUAAAAUCCAGAAACGCGGUUACCGGAGCUUCCAGCAUCUCCAAUAAUCGGCUCGUGUCUCCUUCUAUGCAUUCGGAAUUGGAAUCCAGAAAUGAACCAUACUUGAUGCCACAAUGGUGACAGAGCAUCAACGUCCUCGGUUGCUGAAAAGGAGCAAUGGUCAUUACAGAGCAUCAUGUAGGGCUAUCACAACAUUGUUAAGAAAAGGCCAAAUCCUUUUCAAUAAAAGUCAGCUAGCCAAGUCAAGAAUAUCAAUUCACCUUCCAGGGAAAAAUAGUGUGCAAUUGAACUAAUGUUAUUAAUCGUGCUUAACAACUGUUCAUGCUUUCAGAUAUCAAUAGCCCACCAAUGAUCUCAUGCACAGCUGUGCUCCCCGGAGCAGCCAGAUGUGGAAUUCACAGAAAACAAUCUUCUGAUAGAAUUUUAAAACGAGUUACCCUCUCACCAAAUAAUACAAACCUUCCCAAGUAAAAUCAGCUUGGGAAGCAGAUGAAGUUGUAUAUAAAAAGUUCUCGGGAGUGAUGAACACCAUUCAGGCGAGUAACUCCAUGUUAGUGGGUUCAUGGAAAGCGGAGGAGUUUGGUCACAGCCGAGUCCAGCACGUCGACAUUUCUCCUCAGGUUUUUUCUAAUCAAGCAUUAAGAAACCCAAGAACACCGAAGAUGACAACCAAGAGAAAUUAUAGAGUUAUAAUGCACUACAAGAAUUUUUUUAUAGUAGAAAGAGUCGCUUUCUUGAAUGCAAAGGCCUGUGGUUCCCAGAGAAGAAGUAACCACCUAGCAUUUGGUUACCUCCGUGCUAGAAGGAGAAACCAAGUAGGUAAGAUGAGCCUGUCGGUUCAUCAUAAGCAGCUUAAAGCAGCAAGUGGGGUAAGUGACAUGUAAACAAGUAUGCUAAGAAAACAAACACAAAGGAUACAGUUGAGUCGCUAGAGUGUCAAUGCCCUUCAUUUCCUCGUUCAAUCUGCACCAUAAUUCCAGAAAUGGGUUGGGAAAGGCAUAUUUAAAAUAUCAUCAACUAUUGGCAAAUAAGGACUGUAAACAGGUUUUCAAGACCCCAAGUUUGGUUGCUUGAGUGAGUAGUUAGGCAACAAAAGGAACUAUCUCCAGCCAAGUUAGUGUCAGCGCUCUAACCAGUUAUCUCUACUCUCUAGUAGACAUGAAAAUUAUUUAACACUGUUUUUAAAUUCUGGUUUAUACUCAGAAGAGGGUGGCAAAACAAUAUGGUGACAGAUGGUUCUGGCAAACAAAAACUCGCACAAAUUGGAGGUUCAAUUCUCAACGCAUAGGUAAUGAAAUACUUGUCCAGAUAUAUUAAGCUGCAAAACUUUGAUUCUAUUUUCUAAUCACAAAGACACUAUCCCAGGAGCAAUUGAGGGAAACAACAAGGUGGUGAAAAAUUAAGCAGAACAAUCUCAUUCAGAUUCAGCUACAACCAUGUUGCACUCCAAAAAUCUUUCACACAUGCAGAUUAUCCAACAUUUUUCAUUAAAUCCCAGUAGGUAAGAAAGAAAAAUAACCAUCAGCAUUGUUUUUCUGCACUUAACAUUUUGAAAACCAUGUAAAAAUUAUGCUUCACAGAACCAGAGCAGGUAAUAUAUAUAUAUAUAUAUAUAAGCACAAGGCAUCUUAUAGAUCCCCCUUUCUUAGAGCUUGUUUGGAGAUGCGGCUGGUGGCUGGUAGCGCGUUACCAAAAUUUUUUAUUUUUUUUCUUGCUUAAAAUUAAUGUUUUUUAUGUUUUUGAAUUAUUUUGAUGUGCUGAUGUCAAAAAUAAAUUUUAAGAAAUAAAAAAAUAUUAUUUAGAUGUAUUUCCGAGAAAAAACACUUUGAAAAGAAACUAUUACCACAAUACUAAACACUCUUUUAAUCACCAUCUGAGAAAAAUCUAAACUUUACCAGUUAAUCAAGCAUGAGCACAAGAACUUACUCUCUAUACUGUUAAUAUUUCUCCUAAUUAAAAAUACAAUAAAAGCAAUUUUACAACCCUUUUCUUUUGAUUAAUUAAACCUUUCAAAUUUAAGAAUUACUAAUUAAUUAAGUUAUACCUCAUACACGAAUUUAUGUACCGAUUUCCCUUCGUUGCUGCAUCAAGCACUGCAAGAUAAGAUACAAUGAUCAAAGAUUUACAAAAAAUAAAAAAUAUUCACAAUUAAUAUCAACAAUAAUCAAAUUCUUAAAAAUAAAUAUCUAAUUAUUUUUACCAGAUUCUUGAAGACGAGCAGUAGCAUCACCAAAACAUUGCAUAUGAUCAACAGAUGUACUCGUAGCCUACAAUUAUCACAAAAAAAAAAAACAAAUACUUCAUUUCCUUUUCUCAAGAACCAAACAGAAAGUUAGAAGAGUCAAAGCUGACCUCAGAGAGAGCGAAACGAAGUGAAGCGAAAAGAGAAGUGAAGCUACCGGCGAUGGCUAGAGAGUCUCUCUCGAUGAUUUCUAGUGCCUUGAAGAUCUCGCCCUGGUUCAAAUUGGUUUUCGGUUCACGGCGGUCGGGUUCAUCGGGACACAUGGCCGGUGGAUCCAGGUCUGGUUGUAUGAUUACUGAUUCUGUAUCCGUUGAUUGAUCUCUCUGAGUUGCUGCCGCUUCUUCCAUUUCCCGCGAUUAAAAGAAAGACAGGGAUUUGUAUUUGAUAUUUUUAAUUAGUUAUAGAUGGGGAAUUCAGUGAUCUUUGUAAAAACAUUACCACGAACUAUUUUCGUUUGGGCUUUGUGCAUAUUGGAUAUAGUUUUGGUUUUUUACUUUUUAAAUUAUCCAUUUACGGGAAGCCCAGGCACAAAUUCAAAAUAACUUCAUUUAUCUUCAUAUUAAACUCGACCCAUCAAUUUUAAAGUUUGAUCCAGGCUAAAUUUCCUUGCGAACUAGGGUGGAUGUAGACUCGGGUAAGACCUAACCAGGUCAAUUCAAAUAAUAUUUUAUAAAAAAAAAUUUCAAAACAAUGCAUUUUUCAUAUUUUUAUCCAAAACAAUUGUUGUUAACAUGUGACCCUUUGAAAAAAAGAAAAGAAAAGGGAAAUAAAAUUAGAAAAGAUGAUUGGGUAAUGAAAACAAGAGAUUCAUAUAAAUCAAAGAAUAUAUGGUUCUGUUUUCUUGUAGGAAACUUUUUAUUUCUAUCGUUUUCAAUAAAUUAUUCUAUAUGAAUUAAUAUAAACAAUUCAUGUAUUUAUUUUUAAUUUAUAAAUAAUUUUGGUGUGAUAAUAUGUUUUUCCGUGGGUGACGACAUAAUCAUUAUUAGUACUAACAUGAAUGAUAUUAAUGAUACGAAGAAAUAUCUAACAUUAAAACUCAAAAUGAAAGACUUAAAUGAGGUAGAUAUAACUAUGGGUGUUCAAAAAAACCAAUCAACCGAUUAAACCGUAAAAAUCAGGAAAAAAUUAACUGAAAACACCGAACCAAGAGAAAAAACGAUCAAACCGAUUUAAAAAUUAGAAAACUCACUCGGUCCGGUUCGAUUUCAUUUUUUAAAACUAAAACCGGGUAACCGAAUCGGACCCAAUGUGUCUUUAAGGCUUAAACCCACUUAAAAAAAGGGGAGGGGUAUAAAUAGAAAAGUAACCUAACCUAAGUUCCCUAACCCUACAAAUUUCCCCACUUUUCCAAUAAAAAUAGCAGCCAUCUCGUUCAAUCUCUCUUUUUGGUUUCCAUCUAGAGGUGUUUAGUUUUUAUUUUGAUUUUUAAAAGCCUUUUGUUUUUGUUUUAUAAUUUCUGCUUUCAUUUAUUGUACUUCAUCAUCUAAAGUGUAUAAUCUACACAAUAUAAGCCAUGGUGAGCCGGUGUAUAAUCCACUCCACUUUUCUUGUAUAGUUGUUGGAAGUGGACGACGCUUUCUAUAUUAAGAUUAGAAGUGUUCUCCCUCAUUCAUCCACACUAAUCACGAUUGCACUUUUGCAAAGGUUGAUGCAUUCUCCGCCUACCACGGAUAAUCUCGAGCAACAUGCAUAAUUUUCUUGUUCGACAAAUUUGUCUUUACAUACUAUGGCAAGGAUCUUAAGAGAGUAUAGUAAAUAAUUUGUUCACAAAUUUUCUUCUUUUCACCUUUUUUUUUUUUGGCCGAUGUGAUUAGAUUUUUCGAUUUCAACCCUAAAAAAUUGAUAUUGACCGGACUGAACCAGUUCGGUUUGAACUGGUUUUCGGUUCGGUUCGUCCAUUUUCUUAGAAAAUUUCAUUUUCUGGUUUGGUUGGGAUUUUCAUUCCAAACAAAAUUGGACCGGACCGUGAACACCCCUAGAUACAAUUUUAGGUAUCAAAGCAAUAAAACAUGGUGAGGGUUUUGCUCUUUGUCAUUCUCAUUAUAUUGAUAAAGUCUUAAAUAAAUUUAAUCAAUUGAUUAUCAAAGAAGCAAAUAUUCUCUAUGAUGUUUCUUUUAAGUUGACAAAAAUUAUUGAUAGAGCAAUUGUUCAAAUUAAAUAUGCUAAUGCAAUUGGUAGCUUAAUGUAUGUCAUGCAUUGUACUAGAUUAAAUAUUGCUUUCAUGAUAUGUAAAUUGUCUAAAUACACAAGUAAUCCUAGUAAGGAUCAUUGGAAAGAAAUUAUAAAAGUACUUAAUUACUUAAAAAAGACUAUGAAUUUUAGAUUGUUUUAUAAUAAUUUUUCAAUUGUACUUUAAAGUUAUAUUAGUGCUAGUUGGAUAACUAAUACAGGUGAUAAUAAGGCAACAUCUGGACAAGUAUUUAUUUUAGGAGGUGGUGCUAUUUCUUAGACUUUAAAGAAACAAACAUAUAUAACUCAUUCUAUAAUGAAAUCCGAGUUUAUAGUUUUAGCAGUCACAGGUAAGGAGACAAAAUAGUUGAGAAAUACGUUAUUGAUAUUAAAUUGUGGCCUCAACCGAUGUCAUCUAUUUCCGUACACUAUGAUAGUCAAACAACUAUGUCCAAGGCAUUUAGUAAAAUUUACAAUGAAAAAUCUAGACAUAUCAACUUGAAACAUAAAUAUACAAGGCAAUUAAUUUCUGACAGGAUAAUUAUCAUUGUGCAUUUCAGAUCUUGCAAUAUUAUAACAUAUCAUUUCACUAAAGGUCUCUCAAGAGAUUUAGUUAAAAACAUUUAUGCUAGUAUGAGAUUAAGACCAUUUAAUUAAACUUACUAAUAAGAGGAACCCAACUUUUACUAGUACUUUUGCUAGUUAGGAGUUUUAUGGGUAAUAAGAAAUUAUUAGUAAGAAUUGUGUUUUCUAAUUUGUAUAUGAAAUCAAGAUUUAUAAAAUUAGUAUUCCAAACAAAUAAAAUGAUGAGUGAUUAACACUCUUAAUAAAAUCUCAAUGUAAGAUGGAAAUUUCACCAAUAUGAACAUAUAAAGUGGUGCCAUUUCAACAAAAGCUUGGAAAACUUUGUAAAUAUUCAUGAAUUUAGAAAGUAGCACAAGAUCAUAUUAGUGCUGAAAUAAUGGUGAACUUCUAUUUUGAAUUAAUUGGAUCAUGUGUGUAGUAUUUCCAAUUUUAUUGAAUAAAAUCUUGAUUUAAGUUUUUUUGCAAUCCUGAUUUCUUUAGAGGUAUGAAAUGCUUAGACUAAGAAGAGGUUUAAAUAUAAAGAUACCUUCUUUUAUGCAUGAAAUAUGGUACCGCCUAAUAUUACAAGAUAAGUAGGGGAUUGUUGUUAAAAUAUAACUUGUAUAUUAGGUAAUUAAAUAGAACUUUAUCCCAUGUUAGAAAGGUAAGAGGUUUUAUUAGGUAAUUAAAGAGUUGUUCAUUUUUUCUCAAUUAAUUAGAUAUAAGUACUUUUUUUAAAAAAAAUUAUAUCUUAUAAAAAAAUAUGUCAGUAUAAUCUCUCUUUUAUUUAAUAAAAAUAAAAAAACAACAAGAACAAAUAUAAAAAAAAACAUUUUGACAAUCUGAAAUCAAAAUAAAAAGGUAUCCUUCUUUAUAUAUUUUUUUAGAAAACGUCUUACCAUAAUCAUAGUUUAAAUUAAACAAAAAAUAAUGUUAUGAUAAUUCCAACGUAAAUGCAUUAAAGAAUAUAUGAGAAUAAGAUACCACCGUGCAUUGUCAUGGGAAAUGUUUUUUAAAAGCAUUAUUUAACUCAGUUAUGUUGGUUAGGUUAAUAGAGACACUCUAUCCAAGUCGUUUGUUUGGCACAAUUUUCAAAUUAAAUUUGGUAUAAGUUGAUAUUUUAUAACUUGGUUGCUUGGUUUUAAUCAACGUGACUUGGUCAACAAAUUUAAAACCCAGUUUGACAAAACAAAAUGAAAAUGGUGUCAUUCUAGCAUCUUUUAAAUAUUGAAUCGAUGAUGUUUUGGAUUGACCCGGGUUAAACCACCACUCCCACGACUUGAGUCAUUGACUUGGUCAUCUACUAACUUUAUUUCUUGGAAUUAAUUUUUUAUUUAAUCAUAUGAUAAUAAUAAAAAAAACAUAUGUAUGAAACUAAUUGAAUCAAAUUUAUGGAAAAAACACACAAAAAAAAGACAUAAUGAAGGGUUGUAAAAAAAUGUGCUUGCUUCAAUAAAAUAAUAUUUGAAGACCUGUUGGGUUGGGCUCUUGGCUAUCCCAGGAUUCAAAUUAAACUGGAUGGAAGUUGACAUUAUAUAACCCAAUUGACUAAGUGAGUCUAAGCGUGACAUUGUCAAACUAGUAAAAACCUGGUCUAACUUAAAAAAAAAUCAUGGCGGCACCAUUUUAAUAUUUUUUAAAAACAUAUUUAGACAAUAAUAUUUUAGAUUGAUCCUGAUCAACUUAGGUUAAACAUGUCAAACAUAUGACCUGGGUUAUGUACUCAAGUAUGUUUAUCAAACGACACAUCAUUUAUUAUGGCAAAAGACUUGUCAUCUAUUGGUUGGCUUUUAGCCCACUACCAUCCAUCUUUGGUAACUGGAAAAUCAAGGCAAACCUAAAGGACAAAAAAAAUACAUUAAAACCCUUUUUCAUUUGAAAACAUCUGAGAAACAUAAUAAACACCUUAAUAAAUCUAUUUUAAUUCUUAAAUUAACAUUUAAUCGUUUAAAAAGUGAAAAAGCAAUCCAAAUUCAAAACUAUCCUCGAGUCUUAAUUUACCUUUUUCUGACGGGAUGAAGGAUAAAAAACACAUAAAUAAGUCUUUUCUCAUUGAAUAAAAUCUGUCAACACCAAGAUUAAUUAUUUUUAUUGACAGAAUGUGAUCAAUCAAUAACUUUCUCUCUGUUUUGUUAUUUUUUGAUAACCUUUUCUUAUCUCCCAAACCCAAGGAAUGAGAAACAAACAACAUGAAUUUCUAGACCAAAAUUAAAACCCGAACUAUAAAAGAAGAAAAAGGAAUUAUAUGGACUAGAAGCAAUUUAUUUUUGUGAAUUUGUUAGUGACCAUGCAUUUUUCUCUUGUCUUGCAUUUCUUCCCUUUUCUUUUAAUUGUAUAUUUCCUCUACUAAUUAAACCAUAGUUCAUUAAAUUAGAUUUCAAUCAAGUUUAAAAAUCUAGAAAAAUCCUUCAAAUUCAUAGCGAGAGAAAAUUUAGUUUUCUUUUAAUAUUUAGUUCCUUAGUUGUAAUAAAAGGAUGAACCUAAAAAAAUAAUCCCAAGUACACUCAAUUUUCCUCCAAAUACAUUUUUUAUAUCAAUUUUAUCUCUCAAGUUUUAAAAAUUCUCAAUUAAGUUUUUCCAUCCAUAUUUGAUCACGGAUCCAAUUCAAAAGGUACUUUCUUUAUAAGAAACACUAUCAUUUUGUAGAAAAUUUAACGUUUUAUAUUUAGAAUUAUAAUAAAGGACCCUAUUGAAAUAUCCAAGUAAUCAGGGGACAAAAUUGUUACAAAAAUUAUUUGGGAGUAAAAUUUAUUAUAUUCCAAUAGUUAGGGGUAUAUUUGAGGUUUGUCCAAAAGGAAAAAGGUAUACAAUGUAUGUAUUUGUGUCUCUUUUCACCCUUUUUGCUAAUUACAUCCUCUUCCCUUUCUUUUCUUGAUCCUGUCCUCCGCUUCUUGUUCACAGUUUUUCCUUUGGGUUUUAUUCUCUCUUAUUUUGAAGAUGUCUAGUGAAAUGCCCUUUAUAAGUAGCCACGAAAACAACAAUGGAUGGGAUCGAGAUAAUUCAAGAUUGAUCCCUUUUGAUGAAUCAGCACGCAUACUCUUGGAAUUCGAAGUGUCCACGUCUGUAUUGGAUGAUUUGAGUGAAGAUGACUAUUCUGAUUUUGAAGAUGAUAGUACUGAUGGUCAGGAAGAUAUGGGUUUUGAGGAUAACAUGUCUUCUGUUUCUUCAGAAUCAUACACUAGUCAUGUUCUUGAUGCUAAUGAUCUUUCAAUGCAGCUGCGGACAGAACUUGCCCUGGGUGAAGUUCCGCCCCUUCCUCCGCCGUAUACUUUCACUCUUUAUUCUGCUGGUUUUUAUCUUGAAGAUCCAUCUUUGAGGUUAGCGGAAACAUUGAGUGAUAAUGAGGGUCCAAAGGCGCAGUCCGCGAGUAAAGAAUCCAUUGAAAACUUGGAGGAGGUGAAGAUUGAUAGGGGAUCAUCAAAUUUGGAGUGUCCCGUUUGCUUAGAAACGAUCUCAACGGGGUCCGAAGCUAAACGCAUGCCAUGCUUUCAUAUCUACCAUGGGAAGUGCAUUGUUGAGUGGUUAAUGAAUAGCAAUACAUGCCCUGUUUGUCGCUACCAGAUGCCUACAGAGUCUUGAUUGAUUUGGUUUCAAAUUGGUUCUUGAACAUGUCUUGAAAUUCUUUGAUUUUGUUAUCUUCCGUACUUUUAUCUUUUUUCUUAGUUGAGGGAGUAGUAGCACUAUUACUUUGUCCUCAGAAGCCAGGGACUGUGAGAAUGCAGGUCCACUGGUUUUCCUUUGUUUGAUGGUACAAUCCUGUUUGUCAACAUGCAUGUAGGCAUUUAUUUUCUAGCUUUCCUUGACCAAAAUCCUGGAAAAGUUAUCUUUUAGACGAAGCAUGCUGAUCAGCUUAUGGUUUGUUUCAAUGCAAGAUCUACUUCUUCUUUUUCCAUUUUUUUCCGGGGGCUGUUUGUAACCAGAAGCCAGCAAGUUCUGAGUUAAUUUUCGUUGCAAGGAAGCAUCAUGCCAUAUUGGCAUGUGUGUAGUGAUAACUAAGCAGGCAAAAUCAAUCAAGACUAGAAGUUGAUUUCGUUGCAGUGCUAAUUUCCCGAUGAAAUAUUUAUCCAAAUUUGUCUUGAAAAUUUAUGUAAGCUAUAGAAAACAAAAGGUGUGGGUGUUAAUUUAAUCCGAAUCCAAUCAAUAAUGACUCAUCCCGGAUAAUUUAAAACAUUUAGAUUUUUUAAAAUAUGUAUUUUAUGUCAAUAUAUAUAUUAUUUUUUAUUGAAUAAUAAAUAUUUAUAUGAUUACCUGAAAUCUAAUUGGUAGUUUAUAAAUAUCUAAAUUUCUUAUCUAAUAAAAAAUAAAUAGAAUAUAAAUAUUAAAAAAUCCAACCUCUAAUUACUCAUUGUUAUCUCUAGCAAAAUAAAAAAGAAGAAAAAGGGACAAAUGGAUAAUGCCUACGAAGCCAUUCAUUAAAGUUGAACCAAUCCAUGCCUGCUAAGAUAGGAGAGACAAUUGGAAAACCUUAUGACUUGAGCAAUGUCGAUGAAAUAAUUGGAUGCAAUCUUGCUUGCUUAAAUUAAAAGAGUAAUUCUUAUAUUUACUUAGGACAAGUUAUGCUUAAUGAUUGAUAAAAUUUAUCAAGAAAAAAAAAAUUUAAACUAGCCAGACAACUAACCACCCUGGUCGUCCAUUUUAGAUAACCAAGUGUGGUUGCCUGACCCGACCCAAUAACCAAUCUAAUUUUAUUUCUUUCUCUUCAUGAUUUUUCUUUUCUCUAUGCCUUUUCCUUUCAUAUUUGUACAUUUACUUUCUAGGAUACUAACAAUUAUAAUAUGCGGCCACAUAAUUUUUGAUGUCUUGUAUGCGUAAGCUUUUUAGAUAUACACAUUGUAACACCAAUAGCUAUAUUAAUGCUAUGCCUCUCAACUCGCAUGAACACCAAUGAAAAUAAAUAUAUUAUGUUACAAAGACGUGACAUAUCAACUUCUACAACAUUCACGUACCAAGCAUCAAACCCAUGAAACAACAUCACACUAACCGGGGAACCACCUUAGUUGGCUAAUGACAAAAUUCCUCCUUCAUAUAGAUUGGUAUUGUGGUGCUUUUAUGGUUGUGGUUUGAAAAAAAUUAUUUUAUAAAAAGUAUUUUUGGUUGAGAUUGGUUUGAUAUUUAUAUAUGUUUGGUUAAAACUGUGGUUGAAAUUAAGGUUGAACAAAAAAUAGUUUAAUGUGUUUGGUCAAAAAUGCUUUUCAAAUUGAGGUUAUAAAAUAAUUAAAAAAGAUAUAUAUUAAUAUUGAUGGUUGUUAAUUUAAAUAUUGUAGAUUUAACUACUACUAUUACAUCAUGAAAUAAAUAAUAUUUUAUAUAAAAUAUUUUUUAUUAUUUCAUUAAACUAUCUACAAUUCCAUCACGUAUGAAAUUCAUCCGAUAAGGACUACAGUUUUCUUGGUUUCUUAAGCGCGCAACAACAUCAUGAACAGAAUUGGGAUUGUGAUCAAAUUCUGCAAAUGCUACGUCAUCAAACGAUCUCCUUUUAAUUUAUGUAGUGUCAUUAAAUAAUGUUAAGCACUAGUUUUUCAAAUAAAACACAAUUAAAAACAAAAAAAAUUGAUUUUUAUUUUAUUUUACUGGGUCGGAUCCGGUUUAGUGCAUUUAGCUUUGGACCGGACCCGGUUCAGCUGAAACAAUAGAGACAUUUUCCACUGUUCACGUGUAUAGUGGAGAGGGAAUUAAUUCACUCUCCGCAGCAGAAAAAGAGAAUGAGGUUGCUGUUGUUGCCAAGCUGCCUUUUCACAAGUGUUAAUGGGUCCCACUAAACAUAACCAAACACAAAACACUGCAGCUUGCUUUAACCUCAGGUGCAACUACAUUACCAAACGGCACAUGUCCAAGCUAGGUGUUUAAGUACACUUGCUCUCACAAGUGAAAGAGGAUCAACUUUGGAGACACAGACUCUCCACAGUAGAGUCACAAAAUCUCUACCUACAUAAACUCUCAAAGUACACAGAUUUUUCAAAGUCACACAGAGCCAACUACACCCAAAUGCACACACCAUGUACUUUCAUUUUUCUUUUCUAUAUAUUUUCUUCUCCCUCACAUACAAUUACUAACUUAAACAUGGAAGAGUCUCUCAUUCCAUUAGGGAUACACAUUUUUAGGAACUCUCAAAUACAAGCUUACUCCAGUUUACAUUUCUUAACCUAGUCUUGCAGCAGACCACAAAAAACCUAAUUUUUAUGUGAGGGUUUUUUUUUAAUGAUUUCAUCAUCUACAUUGUCUAUAGGAAUUGGAAAAAAAAUCAGUUUAUUAUUGUUUAACACCUUUCACCAAAAACAUUUUUUAUAUCCAACAAAACUCCAAUACAAGGAAAGCUAACCAUAUCGGCUCUAGCUCCCUCAAGAUUUUAACAAUUUUAUAACAAAGCACAAAUGCUCAAUAAUGCUAUUGCAACGAUAUCAGCGCACUCUUUCUUAUGUAUAACUAUAAGCUGAUGUGCAUACACUGUAAUGAUUUUAGUCCUUAAAGAGCGUAACGUGAUGAUAAAGGGUUUGAGAUCUGCACAGCAGGUCUCGGGUUCGAGUCAUGACAUGCACCUCUUGUAAGAGCCUGAGACAGUCGGAGUUUUACUCGCUCACCUGGGUCCAUAAAGUGCGCUUUCCAGGAGAUAGAGUUUCCUCGAAUUCAAAAAAUAAAAAUAACUUUAGUUCCAUGCAAAAUCAUAUAAUGAUAUACAAGCGAAAUUCAGAUGUAAAAACACAAUGUUAUAUGCAGAUACAAAGCCUGGCUAUUUGUAAACCCAUUUUAUUAAAUUUAAAUCCUUCUCUGUUUCAAAGAUAAUGCGAUCAUUCAUGUUGCAUAUAUUUUAAUUUUUAAACUUGAUGAUUUGAAUCAGGUGAAAAAUAAGAUAACAAACAAUUAAAUUAAUUACUAUUUUUAUUAAAUAUUAAAUCGUGUUCAUUCUAUUUAAAUUUUAUAACUUGUAUAAAAAAAAUAACAAAGAAAAUUACUGGAUCCCAUUUUAUUCCCCAAAAAAAAUAUCAGUAGCAUUUGACAUCAAAUCAUGUUAGUUAGUAAAAGUCAGCAGUCCCGCACGUUUAUGAAAUCUAACAAAAAGUCCAUCACCACACCUUCUAUAUAUAUAUCAAUGCAAUUUUGAUAGCAUUCGUCUGCUUUUCAAUAAAACGUCGUAGUUUCACUUUUCAAUACCUUGUUUUGUUAUGGUUUCAAUUUCAAAUCCCAAUAAAAUAAAGUUAAGAGAGAAAAACCAAAACGACAGAAGCUACAAGGCGGGAAUUCCACUCCAAAUUUAGUGGGGCUGGGGUCACCAUGGGCCCCACCUUCCAGAAUUAUUUUUUGUUUUAGCUAUUUCAAAAAAAAAAAAAACCCAAAAUUGAAAAAACGCGUUCCAUUUCCCAGCUAAGAUAGGCCAACAAAGCUGUUUUCCUUUCUCGAUCUUUAGACCCCAAUAGAAAAAAAGGAAAAACCGAAAUCUGUUCCGAUUUCUUUCAGAACGGUGUCGAUCUAUACAUUUCUUCCUCGACGAUUUCUCUCUUACGGUUUCUUCUAUAGCAAUGGCUGUUGAUUCUUCGCGAUCUCAUGUUCGCUUCCGCCUCUAACAAUCUCUCUCAAGUUCGAGCUUUCAUUACUCACAUUUUGACCGUAGCACUCCUUUUGCUUCUAAUUAGGGUCUAAUGUCGAUCUGGUGGCGAAUUCGCGUAUUUUUGGUCAUAUAUGGAAGUGCAUUUGUGAUUUCUGUGUUUGAAAUGAAGAAUUUUUUUUGCUCUUGUUAGGGUUUUUGCAAUUUUUUUUAAAAAAUUAUUGAAUUCAUAAGGUAGCUAACGAUGUAGAAGUAAAUUGUAGUUAACGAAUUUUCGCUGCAUCUGUUUUUCUGGCCGAGGUUAAUUAGAAUAGGCUAUUAAACUUGAUUAAGCUAAAUAAUACUGUUUAGUUGAUUUUGGAGUGAUUUUUAUUCCUUUUUUCUUUUCUCUUUGUUUUUGGUAAAGUGUAGGGAAAGAAAAGAAUCUAAAGCCAGCGUUUUUAGCUUUUUGUGACAAACUCUCUCAUUUUUCUUGACCUGAGUUUAAAGUAGAUAAAAUCUUUACAAUUAGAGUUGCUAAGGUGUGGAAAUUAAUAUUUUGAACAUUUAUUUUGUGCAGUUCCAUAAUUAAUACGUAGAAGCAAAUAAUUCUAGAUCAUUGAAACAUGGAUAUUUCGCCAGAACGCAGCUUGAGCGAAAAUGGGGGAUAUGACAGCUCUAAUGAAGCUCAUGCUGAUGAUGGUAAGGAAUGCGCAAAAUCCCGUGCUGCCUUUUUUUAUCCUUUCUUGAUUAUGUGUCUUAGUUGAGAAUUUUGAUUUGGUUGCAGUCAAUAUUCAAUCAUUGGUUGAGUGGUUAAACCAAGCCCUACCUCAUUUAAAUAUGCCAUUGGAUGCUUCAGAGGAGGAACUGAGAGCAUACUUGAUUGAUGGCACUGUCUUGUGUAGUAUUUUGAACAAGUUCUGUCCUGGUUUAGUUGAAAUGGUUGGAUUUCUUUCUUAUCAACGUUUCUGCUGUAUGGUUCUGUUUAUCUCGUACAUUUUUCUUUGUCUGGUUUUGAAUUUUUCUAACAGGAAUUUGGAUUUGUUUUUUGGGCUUUUAGAGAGGCAGUUCUGAACCUGGACCAGAAAAUAUCCGAAAGUUUCUAGCAGCUAUGGAUGAAUUGGCCUUGCCUAGGUUUGUACUUGCAGACAUACAGGAGGUAAGCAAAUUGUUUUUUUGUAAUAAAAGCAAUUGUAGUUUGAAUUUCAGUCUAAUAUUGAUUCAGCUACGUAUCAUUCAUUUGAUUUUGGGAUUCAAACUCAAAGGAAAGUGGAACCGACUUGACAUUAGAUCUGUUCUCUAAAGACAAUAUGAUUAAAACAGUCAUGUGUUGACACACUAGGUCUAUUAAUAAGUCAUCUCCUAGUUAGAUUUCAGUGAAGUGGGUCUUGGAAGGGAGUGUUAAACCUAGUUGAUACAUUGUUGUGACAAAUUUACCUUUUAUAUCAUUGUGCUUCAUCAUUGAUCUAGUUUGACUUCUAGCAGGGCUGGCUCUUGCUGGUAGUUAUAUGAAAUAUAAGGUUUAAGGUGAUGAGCACAUCAUUUGGUUUGGGGCUUAUUGUGAAAUUUCCCAACACCACUUGCCUUUGCAUUUGGCAUAAAAAAACUGGAUAUUCUGUUACUAGCUUUCAUGUCUUUGUCUCUUGUAAAAAUUUACUGAAACAGAUAAUAUGAGAUGCUUUGCAGGGAUACAUGGAGCCAGUUCUGCAGUGUCUUGUGACCCUUAAAACACACAUUGAAUUUAAUGGUGGGAAAGAGAGCAUCCGUGAGCAUCUAAGAAGAAGAUGGAAUCUACCAAAGAUGGAGUUUUCAGAGGGAAUCGAUAACUCGCAAGUGGACACAAUGACAUAUGGUGAAAACUCUUCCAUAUAUGGAGAAGAGAGGCAAAGAGAUUCUUUUGACAACAAAUAUGGAAGCGGUAUGGAUGGUUCUAUCUCAUUAAAAUUGUAUGAAACAGAAGUUGUACUUGUAUGCAUUAAAAUUGCAACUUUCUAAUUACAUGCGCGAUUAGAUUUGCUUGGCAAUGUCCAAACAGAUCUUUCUGAAUUUGAUUGGGGUUAUUGUGAUCCUGUAUGGGGCAGCUAUGAAGGGAAUAAUACUAAUCCUGAUCUUGGUUAACCCACCCCCACCCCCACCCCCACCACCACCCCACCUAUAUAUAUAUAUACUGCAUAUUUAUACGAGUUUAUAUGUAGUAUUUUCUUAUUCUUGUUCUUCUGGUUGUUUCCUAUUCAGCGUCUGCUGCUUUGGUGCAUGAUGUUGUACACAAUUUAUCUGAGAUGUUCCAACAAAAGCAAGGGUCUUAUGCUGAUCUUUCAGAUUCCAAUAUUUUGGAAUUGAUGAAAUCAAAUGGGCUGGACGUAAGUUUCUGGCAUCUUGUGUGUUUGUGUGAUGAUCAAUUAAGAAAGCUAACUUCAAGAGCGAUGCUGCUCUAAUGCAUUUUUUUUCAUUCCUUUGAGCAGAAUACCUCUACUCGAACAUUGUUCAGCUUAGUGAACAGAAUUCUGGAAGAAAGCAUUGAAAGAAAGAAUGGGCAUGUCCAUCAUGUAUGCCAAUCAGAUGAUGCAUAGACACUGCAUGUCUAAUGCAUGUUUCAAUUGAUAUAUUGUUUGAUCAAUAAUUUCUUGAUUUCUCUCUCUUUUGUCUCUAAGUGAUGUCCUUUGUAUGUUUUGAAUAGCAGAUGGCUCAUAUAGUGAAGAAAGUUGUGCAAGUUAUUGAACAACGGGUUUCAACUCUAGCAGUGAACUUGAAAGAUGUAAUGUUGAGUUGUCUUCUAGAUUACAUUCAUUUGUAAUAUAUUGUAUAUUGCUCAUGCAUAUUGAUGAUCAUUUUGUUGCCUACUUGUAGCAAAACAAUCUUUACAAGGUUCGCUUGGGAAAGUGCCAAUCACGAAUAAAAGUCUUAGAGACCCUUGCAGCUGGAACCACAGAAGAAAUUCGGGUACCUUGAAUAAAAUUUUUAAUUGCCUUGCCUAUCUUAUUUGAAAUUCAAAUAAUUGAUAUUUAUCCUUUUUUUAUUUAUUUAAUAUUUAAAUGCAGGUUUUGUUGUCACAGCUACAACAAAUCAAGGUGUGACUUUGUUAUUCGAUAUUUCGGUAGCAUGCUAUUUCAGUUCAUUCCUAGUUUCCAAUGUCAGGUUGUUCUUAGCCUUUAGGCAAAUGCAACACAAUCAGGAUGCAUCUUUUGUUAUUGAAAUUAUGUAUACACCAAAGAAGGGAAAAAGAAAAGAAAAGAAAAUAAUUGAACUCACAUUGGUGUUGAACAUUGCAUAGCCUAGUGCAUAUGACCAAGAACUGCAGAUUUGCUGAAUUCCUCAACUACUGCAUUAUAUAGUGGUACCGUUUAUGCUGGGUGUUGCCGGCAACCUAAGUUGAAAUAUUUAGCCCCUGAUUUUGCAGGUUUGAAGGAACUGUGAUUUGAUUAAGUUGUAUAUAUAUUUUGAUUAGCAGCUGAUGUGCACAAUAGUGUCUUUAAUUCGUUGUGUAUAGUCUUCUUAUUUGUCUUAUAUUUGUACCUGUUACAUGCUGCAUAAUUGAGGAGGUUAUCCAUGUGCUUUAUUGAUGAACGAUUCUUUUUGCAAGUGGAAGGUGGCAAGCUUUUAAAAUUAAUUCGAAAGGCAUCUAAUAUAAUCAUUUUUCAUAACUGAUAAGCAAGAACACCCACAAAGAUGUUAUAGUGUUUGUCUGUGUUAUAUUGCUCGUUCUGUAACUCUUUUUUUCCCAUCAUUUUCUUUGUUGCAGAUUGAGAAAACUAAAAUAGAGGAAAAGAAAAAACUUGAAGAGCAGGAGCUACUUAGAACAAAGCAAGAGAAAAUCCACAGUGAUAUUGAGAACUCAACGCUGAAACAUGAACUAGAGAUAGCCAAGACAACACAUGAAGAGCAUUGCUUGCUAUUGCAAGUGCAGGCUGAGGAAACUAAAGUUGAAUUGGAGAAGAAAUUAAAGGAACUUGAAUGCUUCUUAGCAGAAUCAAUGAAGAGGGUGAAAGAACUCGAGUCAUUUUCUGAAUCUAAAUCACAGAGAUGGAAAAGUAAAGAGGGCUCCUAUAGAAGCUUUAUAGAUUAUCAAUCUAGAGCUUUGAAGGUUUGCCUCACUCUCUUGUUCUUAAGUGAGCUUCUGUUGAUGUUAAGUCAGUAAAUUAAUAAUGCUUUUACUGUUAGGAAUUGAGGGCAGCUGCUGACUCUGUAAAACAUGAGAUCUUGAAGGCCAAAAGGAGUUACGCUGAGGAAUUUAAUUUCUUGGGUAGGAUUGACUGUCUGCUAUAGUUUAGUUUAGUAUUGUUUUUCAAUUUCGUUUAUUAUUUUGAUGUCAACAAGUGCAUUCUGUGAUUUGAGGGGCUUUCUUUUUUUUUUUUUAAAUUUUUAAAUCUUGAGCAGGUGUGAAGCUUAAAGGACUAGCAGAUGCUGCUGCAAAUUAUCAUUCAGUUCUUGCAGAAAAUCGAAGGCUGUACAAUGAGGUUCAGGAUUUGAAAGGUACACUGCUCCAUAUGUUUUGCUUGGUAUGCUCAUGUUGCUUGUGCUGAUUGCUGCACUUGUUUUAGGAAAUGUUAUAGUGCAUUUUCUUUGUAGCUUAUGCUUUUCUAUCAUCUGAUCAUAGGCAAUAUUAGAGUGUAUUGUCGGAUAAGACCAUUCCUUCCUGGACAAUCUAAGAAGCGAACAACAGUAGAAUAUAUCGGUGAGAAUGGUGAAUUGGUUAUAUCAAAUCCUUCAAAACAAGGAAAAGACAGUCAUAGGCUUUUCAAAUUAAACAAGGUUUUUGGUCCAGCAGCUACUCAAGGUUAGAGUUUUCCUUUUCUUUCAUUUCUUUUUUCAAAAAUCAAAGAUUGAUUUUACUUCACAUUUUUCCUUUGAAUUCCUUUUUUUUGUUUUUUUUACAAAUAAUCUAAGUUGUUGGAAGGCUUGCAUUCAGUUGCACAUAUUUGUAUUUUAAAGAUUGUAUAUGACUCCUAGCUUUAUGUUCUUGUUAACAUAUGUUGGCAGAGGAGGUAUUUUUAGACACCCAACCACUUAUUCGGUCUGUCCUUGAUGGAUACAAUGUAUGUAUAUUUGCAUACGGUCAAACAGGCUCAGGAAAGACCUAUACAAUGGUAUGACAAUCUAUUUUUUCUCACCUAAACAUUUUCAUUAUUAUAAACCUUUUGCUUACAAAUUGUACUUUGUGCUCGUGUCUUUCCUCUAGAGUGGGCCUAAUAUGACAUCACAAGAAGAUUGGGGGGUCAAUUACCGAGCGCUGCAUGAUCUUUUUCAGAUCUCCCAAAACAGGAAAAGCUCCAUUUCAUAUGAAGUUGGUGUUCAAAUGGUAGAAAUUUACAAUGAGCAAGUUCGUGAUUUACUCUCAAGUGAUGGUCCUCACAGAAGAUAUCCUUCAUGUUCAUUCUCUUCAAUUUUGUUAUUAUUUUUCAUGGUUGGCAAUUUCAACUCUAUAGCUUUAACUGGGUUGAUCCUGUUAUCCUUUCUGGUUCUUUAUUGAUUUAUGAACGCAAAUUCUUGCUUUCUGGUUGAUUUCUUGUUGGUUAGUUCAGAGUUUGCUCCAACUAAUCUUGAUUUUAGUGGUAAAAUAUUUGUAUUUCCCCUAACUUGCACACACUUGGGAUUUGGAGUACAACCCAACCAAAUGGUUUGGCUGUCCCUGAUGCCAGCAUGCAUGCUGUUACAUCAACUGCAGAUGUGUUGGAAUUAAUGCGCAUUGGGUUAAUGAACCGUGCAGUGGGCGCUACAGCUCUAAAUGAAAGAAGUAGUAGAUCCCACAGGUUGUCUCUUUUAUGGUGAUUGUUGGCACAGUAGGUUUUAACAAACUGUUUUUGUUUUAACUGAACUCUUAUUUUGCAGUGUUCUCACCAUUCAUGUCUAUGGCAUGGACUUGGAAACUGGUGCUGUUUUACGUGGUAACCUACACUUGGUUGACCUUGCUGGUAGUGAAAGAGUGGAUCGAUCUGAAGCUACUGGAGAAAGGUUGAGGGAAGCACAACAUAUAAAUAAAUCAUUAUCUGCACUCGGGGAUGUUAUUUUUUCUUUAGCGCAAAAGAGUCAGCAUGUGCCAUACAGAAAUAGCAAACUAACUCAAGUACUUCAAAGUUCAUUAGGUGCUAUUUUAUAUCUAAAGUGCUUUGUCAUAAUUUAUGACUCAUAAUGUCUGAUAAAGUAAAUUUGAUUCUCUAAGUCUUAUUAAAAUGCACUAAUGGCUUCCCUAUAUUUUUUUCCACAUUCUAGGUGGUCAAGCGAAGACCCUCAUGUUUGUGCAGCUUAAUCCUGAUGUAGAUUCCUAUUCAGAAACUAUAAGUACUUUGAAGUUUGCUGAGAGGGUUUCAGGGGUUGAGUUAGGUGCUGCAAAGAGCAACAAAGAGGGGAGAAAUAUUAGAGAACUCAUGGAGCAGGUUGAAAACUUAUUCAUUCAUCAAUACUUAUAAAAGUUGUGCCUGAUUACUUUGAAUUGUCUCCUGGAAUAGAGAUAACCCGUGAUUGGUGAAUGUUCAGCCAUGUAAACAGGCACAUGCGAAAGUGAAUGGGAAACCCCAUUAACCAGUGUCCCUGGACCAGCAUAUAUCUCUUUGACUUUGACCUUUAUUAGUAUUACAUUUGCCUGACCUCAUGGAGUGACUGGCUUCCUCACCUUCUUAGGAUAUAGAUAUUCGAAGUUGAUAGGGGUGAGAAUGAGGAGAUUAUUGUUCUGUUGCCAAUGUUAUUCGAGUCAUAAAGCUCAGUUGCUUAACAGAAUUUGAGUUUCCUUGAGCAUUCAAUAGACUUUACCUGUUUUCAAUUUUUUUAUAACCUGCAUUGAAUAAUUUGAGUCCAUUUGAUUCAAUAUAUUCAAAGUCAACCUUGCAGGUUGGAUUGCUCAAAGAGACAAUUUCAAGGAAAGAUGAAGAGAUUGAGCGGCUGCAGCAUCUCCAGGCGAGUGGCAAUAGUGUGAAGUGUGAAAUGAAUUCACGUAGGUAUGAUUCCUCUUCUCCAAGAAGACAUUCAAUUGGGACUGCACUGCAUAACCAUAGGCUAUCAGGAGGGAAAGGUUCAGGGCUUUUCGAGAAAGCAUCUUCUGAUACGGACAACUGUUCUGGGAACAGUGAAAGACACUCUGAAGCUGGUUCUGUAAAGUCAAUGGAUGACUUUAAGGAUCUCAAAACUUUGCUUCCACAGUCAAAGUCAAUGGAUUACUUAUCACUCAAAAAGGAAUUUGUCUCUCAGCCUAAGUUUGUUGGACCAGGUGUUGAUCAGAAUGAUAAAGAAGACCUUGAUCUCUUGGGCUUUGGAGAUGCAGAUUCUGAUGAGCGAUUAAGUGACAUAUCUGAUGGUUGUCUUUCAAGGGCUGAAACUGAAGGCUCUCUGGGUAGUGCAGUAGAGUUCACUCUUUUCCCUGAAUCUAAACCUUCUGAAGUUGCAAAACCAGCCGGAAAGGCUGAGAACAAGAGGUUUGUAUGCUUCAAUUCCUUGAUAAAUUUGAAUGUUCUGCAAUCUUUUUUUGCGGGUUUAGCAAGCUACUCUCUGGUGUUUUCUGAUACUUUCUUCUCAUUUCAAUUCAUGAGUCUUCUGUAAUACUACUCUGACCGCCACUCACAGUUUUAUCACUAAAGUAAAAUUCCAGUGUAAAAGUUGUGAUAUUCACAUUAUAAAUUGUUUCACUUUUCCCCAACUUUUUCAAUCGCACUAAAACUAAGUUUAUAUUUAAAAGUUAUUGCUCAAUUUUUACAGGACCUGCUAUUGUAUCAUAUGCAUACUUUCAGUGCUGUUAUACCUGCUCUUUUACUGUAGUUAAACUAAAACUUUUCCCUGAAGGAAUUGGCAGUUUAAUUUUCUAGACUCCAUGUGAAAUGGGCAUUUCUCUUUGUUCUUCUUUGAUAGUUUCUGGUCAGUUGUCCCCAUCUCUUUCCUCAUUUUGUAUAUGGGAAGCCACCAUUGAUUUUGUAUCUCCAGCAUAAAAAAAGAAAAAGAAAAAAAAGAAUGCAUUUGCUUUAUGAUGCUAUACGGCUUUCCAGUGCAUAGUAAAACUGUCACAUUUCUUUAUUCGUAGAUUUUAUAUCACUUACCAUGUUCUGUCGUUUCUUCCUAUUUAAGGGUGUUUUUGUGUUGCAGUUCUUGACGACAAUGAUUUUAAUCAGAUUUAUAUACCGCAGUGUUGAAAUGAAUCCCUAGCCUGACAAAUUUUGCUGUUUUCAGCAGACUGCCUUUUGCAUCUGGGCUUCCUAAGCCUUCGCAAAGACCGGCGCAAACAAGAUUACCACGCUUGUCUCUGGCUAAGAGCUCUGCCUCUAAGGCUUCAUCGAGUAUGAAUAUUUCAUGCUUUAACCAUUUAUCCCCUCUUAUGAUUAUCAUGCAGGACAUGUUCUUAUAGCUAUUAUAGCUUCAUGUACAUCGAUGCCCUAUACUUUAAGGAUCCCUGACAUCUCAAUCUUCCUCUUGUUUUUUCCUUGUAAGGUAUGUCAGAAUCUAGGAAACCUCCUGCAAGCGGUUUCUCUGCAACCAAGCCAGGGAAACGAUGGCACUGAAAGUGGAGGGAGUUUUAAGAUGGUAGAAGAAUUGACACUUAACCUUAGCAGCUGGUGUCUCUAACUGAAAAUGAUUAUCGUUACCUCUAGUUGCUUCCAUUUGUCUCGUGGAAGUGUUUGUAUUUGUAUAUACUCAAGGAUGGGCAAAAUGGUAACUCACGUUGGUUUUACCAUUUUGUCACUAUUUAUAUCACGUUCUGUUUUUUGUUUUUAUUUGACACUACUAACUCUUGUUUUUCACUCUUGUUUUUUUUUUUUUUUAAAAAAAAUAGUCCGAAGGCCAAAAGAACAGAGAUUAAUAUUAAUUAACAAUAACAAUACAAUUAACAUUUAACAAAUUAACAAUAAUGAUUGUCGUUACCUCUAGUUGCUUCCAUUUGUCUCGUGGAAGUGUUUGUAUUUGUAUAUACUCAAGGAUGGGCAAAAUGGUAACUCACGUUGGUUUUACCAUUUUGUCACUAUUUAUAUCACGUUCUGUUUUUUGUUUUUAUUUGACACUACUAACUCUUGUUUUUCACUCUUGUUUUUUUUUUUUAAAAAAAAAAUAGCCCGAAGGCCAAAAGAACAGAGAUUAAUAUUAAUUAACAAUAACAAUACAAUUAACAUUUAACAAAUUAACAAUUAACAUUGAUUAGCAUUAACAAUUAAGGAUUAAGAAAAGAAACUAAAUUAGGAUGGUGUUUUACUGUACUGUACCACUGAUGAUCGAUGGCUUUCCUUAUUGUAGAGAAAAGAACAUGAAGCCUCCGUUUGUGUGAUGAGCAAAGGUGCACGGGCAACUAUUUUUGACAAGUGAAAGGGCUUUCCAGAAGGCUUGGAUUUUGAAUUGAAUUCUCUCCGUUACGCUACAAAAAAAUUGAAAGAUGAUGCCUUAGUGUAGAUUCCAAUGAAAAGAGGACUGCCUGGCUUUUAAAGGGUGAGAGUGGACAAUGAAAACAAGUCUAAGAUCAUUUGUAUUUAUACUCUUAGGAAAGAUCAUAUGAUGAGAAGGUAGGAUGCUGCUUUUUGGUUGAAAAAAGGAGAGAGCGUGGAUGUGGAUCUUGUAGUCAUGGAUAACUCAUACUUAUUUUUAGUUUAUGGUUACAAGUGGUUCUCAAGACAUUUUACUAAUUUUACCUUUUGGUGGGGCUGAUAACUAUAGAUUUAUUGACACUAAUCUGACACUAAAUAUGCAUUUUUUUUAAAAAAUAUAUCAAUAGACCUAUUUUAUAUUAAUUAUUCAUUAAAUAUUUUCGAAAAACAUUUGAGAAAUAUAUAUUUGUUAAAAAAGCAUUUCUAUCAAAAUCUUUUCAUUGGAAUGUUGAGAAAAUAUAUCCUAUAAAUAUUGCUAUACAAAUCAUGCAAUGAGAAGUUUUAGCUUUAAAAUAAGCUUUUGACAAUUGCAUAAAUAAGUUCACAGCAAUUACAUAAAUAUUAGUCUUAACUUUCAUGUAUAACUUGAAAUCUUUAAUUACAUAUUACAAACUCAUAGCUCUUCCAGAUAUAAAAAAAAAAAAAAAAAUCAAAUAAAAUUAGGAUGAUCUACAUACUAUUCAGCCGCUGCAAAAAGAUUUAAUCCCUCCAAUCCUCUAUUUUUUUAAUAUAAUCAUUCUGCCAACAUAUCAUAUAAUAACAUUUUGUGUAAAUUAAUCUGUAGGUGAACCGAAGCUGAAAUACGAAAUAAGAUUAUACCAAGAGAUGGCUGUGAACUGGAUCAGGCAAAUGAGUGAGGACAAUCACCAGCUUAUCUGGCUGAACAACAGGGUAGCUGAAGAACAAAGGAGCGCAGAACUUCUUGAAGAAUCAAACGGCAUAAUGAGAGAUAGGCAUGCAGAACUUCUUGAAGAAUCAAAUGACAUAAGGAGGGAGGGGCUGGAAAAGGCAAAGAAGGGAAAUGACGUCUUGAGAAAGAAAAUUAAAUUGCAGCUGAAUAGAACAUGGGAGAGGUAAUAGUUUUCAAAUGCUCAUGAACUUGUGUCUUGGUUAAUGAAUGAGAUGAUAAAGUUAAUGUAAGCUUUUUUAGCCACAUUAAGAAAUCCAAAACCAAACCCACCAAACCUUGACCUAUUACAUGCUUUUUCUGAUAAUUCUGCAGUUAGACAAUCACUACUAUCCAUGAAACUAUGUUAAUUAUUCAUGAUGAGAGUUACUUUCAUAUUCCUGACAUGAUGCCAAGUGGUAGGAAUGUAGCUUCGUCAUUCCUUUAAUCCUGUGACAUGAUAUAAAAGGGGGGUAUUUUCGAAAUAUUAUUUUCAAUAUUAAUUUUAGGAGGAACUACCGUAGCAAAUUAGAUGAUCUCCUAUUUUAUUUGGUUUUUCGUAUUUUUCUUAUGAAUUUAAUUUCAUUUGGAAUUUAAAUCAAUUUCCACAAAAGAGUUCUAUAUAUCCUGUAAAUUGAAUUCUAUUUACAGGGUUCCAAACAGCCUGGUGAUGUUAGAAUUUAUAACCUUCCUUUUCUUUGCAUUUUCUUGCUUUGUAUCGUAACUUACAGUUUUCUUAGAGGACUUGGUUGAUUAAGUCCCAAGACCGCUGCAGAGAAUCCUUUUAUAUGAUAAUUAUUUUGCAGAGUCUCUAUGUCUAAAGGAAUCUACACAAUCAAUACUAAAUAUACAAGAAAGGAAAGCCGAAAAUUACAAAAAAGUAGAAUGCCAAAAUGAUGGGAUUUGCUGUUAUUGAUUUGCUAUAUUAUUGUCAAGUGAUUUGCCGCUAUUUUUCAUGCUGAUUCACUGUUACAUUGACACCCCCCCGCAGGUGAAUAUGAGCUUGUCUUGUAGGGACCAACACCGGGAGGAGGAAAGUCUUUUGGUUAAGAGGUCAACUGACUGAUCAGUAGUGGGAAUGAAAUUUGAACCUUCUCAUGUAUGAAAUGAACAUCAACUUCAACAUGCUGAGCAUAAAACACUAGAUUCAAAUCAAGAGAGAUAGCCCCAAGAUUAUCACAAAGUAUAAUAGAAGGAAAAGAUAAUGAGACUCGUAAAUCUUUUAGAACCAUUUGGAUCUAGUAAACUUCAGUUGUGGUCAUUGCAAUAGCGCGGUAUUCAGCCUCUAUACUUGAUCCGGAAACAAUAGAUUGCUUCUUUGCACACCACAAUACCAAACCAGGGCAAAGAAAGACUUUAUAGCUGGUGGUAGAUUUGUGAUCAUCAGGAUCACCUACUAAAGGUAGAUAAGUUAAGAGAACCAUGUGUAUGCUACAACCCAUGAUUUAUAAUGCCCUUUUAAGUAGUGUAGAACAUAUUUGGCUAAUGACCACUGUGCAAUGGUGAUAAAAUGAAGAUACUGACAUAACUGAUUCACAGAGUAGGCAACUUCAGGGCGAGUGAGGGUGCAAUAUUGGAGAGCCCCCAUAAUUUAAUGAAACUCAAUUAUGUUUUCAAGAGGAUCCCCUGAGGUUGAAGAAAGUUGCCACUUGCAACACUUAAGCAGUGUAAGGCUUGAAUUUAAAUAUUUUAGCAUGAAGUAGUACAUCAAAGAUGCACUUGCUUUGUCGAAGAUGGAGACCAUGUGAGUCCCGAAACACUUGGAUGCCGAAAAAAGUUUUUUAGAAGACUCGAAUCCUUUAAUGCAAACUUUAUGUGAAGUUUAUCGAUUAAAUAGAAAAUAAGAAAUCACCAUUAAUAUAUCAUCAACAUAAACAUAAACUAAGAAUAAAUGAGAGCACUACUAUGUUGAUAAGUAAAAAGUAAAUGAUCCACUUGAGAUCCAAUAAGGCCAAGCUCCAUAAAAAACUGAGAUAUGCGUUUUAACCAAGCUCGAGGAGCUUGUUUGAGUCUAUAAAAAGCCUUGUUGAGUUUACACAUAUAAUCAGGAAAAUCAGGAUCAACAUAGCCACAGGUUUGUUAAUCUUUUGAAUUAUUGUUAUGUAGUCUCAUGUGAUCCUUGACUCACAAAGUUAGGUAGUAGAAGUAUCGCAUUUGUCGAGCUCUCCCAUUGAAACACACACGCACACCUCCAUCCAUAUUUGAACUGAUGCACCAAAACCUUUUUUGUACUUCUGUUCUAGAAUAGCUCUAUAUGGAUGUAUCUUGAAUCCGUCUGUACAAUUUAAUUGCAAGGAUAUGUUAGGAACUUUAUCAUUCAAGAUCUUUAUGACAAAGGAAAGACAGAUAUUAUUCAUUGUCAUGACAUCAAUAGAUUUUCAACUGAUGAGAAGUUUCUGUAGUCUGGUUUUUCCUAUUCCAAAGCCUGAGUGUGCAUUUGGGUGACUUUACGAGAAUUAGGUGCAAAGAUCCUGUCAGUUAGCUGCGUAAUCUGAAACUUAUGAUAUUUCUCCAUAUGCUGCCUGCUAUCAUCAUAACCUUUUGCACGUUUCUGAAAAAGUGGCAUUUUCAUGAGCCCAUAUGGAAGCGUAUUUCAUGCACUUCAAGAAAUAGGCAAGAAUGAAGGUUUGAAGGGCCUCUAUAGGUGCAGUUGAUUUGGAUCUGCACAUUUUCAUCUAAGCAUGAUACUUUUUUUCACAAUCUGUUUACAUGCUUAAAAUGGUGGAACAUUUCAAGUUCUCAAGUCAUCUUUGAUGAGUCUUACCUUCUAAGAACAGAUAACUCUGCUUUGGUUUUUGAGUUGAAGAAUGUCGAGUGUUCAAAAUCUGAAGUUUUCUAGAACGAACUAUAGUAUGUAAAAGCGUGACAUAUUUGGCAAAUUUGUUAGAAGUUUGAGGCAUAUGUGUGAGCUUGUAGUGAUUAACAUGGCCUUUCAAAAUCUUUUCAAAGUAAUUUUAGCUUUUUGAAUUAUCGUUUUAGAAUUAUAUUCCCAGCAUUGAAAUUUGCAGAUGCUAGCAGCUAUGCUUAACCACUUUUCUUUUUGUUUCCAAUUUCAGGUGAUUAACUCCAAGAUUGGUUAUGUGCAUAUCUCAAGUUGCUGGAGAACAUUCACCAGCUUAUAUUCUAUCGCAUUCAUGGUGUUUGUAUGGUCAACCAAUUAAUAAAAUGUCCACGUUUUCCCUUUUCUUUUCUUACUUUUUUCAUUUUUUUUCUUUCAUCUUUAUCUUAUAGAUCACUAUAGAUAUGAUAAUAAUAUCCCAUGAAGUCUUUACAGACUAAAAAAAUGCUCGAAAUAAUAAUUAAAAUCAUCGGUCGGUCAUCAGCUUUCCCUGGCUAUUCGAUGAUUAGAGCCAUAUUGAAACAUUUUGAAAAUAACAGGAGUCAUGUUGAGAAAUCUCAAUUAUAGGGACUAGAGUGAAAGCAUUGUUGAAUAUAUAGGAGCUAAAAUUUAAUCUAUAUUUUCUUACUGUUUCAUUUUUCCCAGGGGAACAUACGAUGCCCAGGUAGAGUUGAUGGAUGUACUUGAUAGCCUUUCUUUCCACGCUUCACCUCGAGGGUACGAGGAGCUGCAUUGACGCUUUCUUCCAAGAUGGGUAACUUUUAUUUAGAUUGCAAAAAAGGCCAGUUGGUAUGAAAGCAGCUACUACUGUUAGUAUUAGCUUAGCAAUUCAUGAAAGCAAGAGGAAGAUGACAUGAGGGCCAAAAAAAAAGGGAGAAUUUUCAAAUUUGUUAUAAGAAUUUGUUUAGUACAGGCCAACUGUUGUGGGAGGGGAGCAUGCUCAAUGGGACAAAACAUGUCAAGAUUUUCUUAUGUAAGCAAGGACAUGUCCUUCAAAAGGUAACCACAGCAUGGCUCUGUCAUGAUUGUAAUCGAGGACAGAAAAAAUCUGAAAAGCAAUGUAUCAUUGUUUUCGGAAUCCCACGUCCCAAGUGUGAAAAAUUAUUGAGCUAUCAGGUAGUGAAUAAAAAGAGGUAACUGCAUCUGCAUGAAGUAUUUAACCAGGAUAAAGUAAUCCAUUAUUCAUUAUUUUGAAGUGAAAACAAUUUUGAACUUCAUAGCUCCAAAUAUAUUAAUACAAAAAAAAAAAAGUAUAAGACCCCUUCUUUCUUUCCACCCAGUACUUUCUCCCUCCCUAUCAAGUUACAAUUAUGGACAGCAAUGUGUUUCUAUUCUAUUUCUAGCUAGUUGAAAAAUGGAAAAACAAAAUAGAAUCAAAUAAUACAUUGAAAAAAUCCUGACGAGCACAGCUGUUUAAAGGUUGCUAGUUAGCCUCGGCAAAGAUUACUGCAACCGGCCACUUCCUGCCGCCCCCUUUUAGAUCAUGAAAAACUCUUUCUUCGUCGGAGUUUUUUGGUUCCAGUUACUUGCAAGCCUGAUCAGCGUUUCUCUACAGGAAGCAUUCAGCGUUACAAAGCAAACUGUCGAGUCUAUACCCGAGAAAUUGGAGAAAAGGGAGGGUUAAGCACGUAAGACUGCCUGAUCCCUUCCACUUUCUUGGAUGCUUUCCUUUUCUCCUCCUCCGUGACUGUUUCAAUUAAGAACUUCACUUCCUCCUCAAUAAGCAUUUUCAGUGAAUUGCAAUGUGAUAACUGAUUGCCUCUUUCCUCUCUAGUCACACCAGUGGCUUCUGUACCAUGCAAUAUAGCAACACAUAUGGAAAAUGCUUGCAAUGUGGAUAAUUGUGCAUGGAAAUCAACAGCAUAUUGACCCUCUUCAAGAACUGUCAUGGUCAAUGCUGGUAUAUUCUCUUUUGUUCCCUUCACAAAAAUAGAUUCUGGUUACAGCUAGGAAGAAACUAAUUACAUGAUUCAUAUCAACAAUAAAGCAAAGUUAACCAUAUUCGGUGCCUGGGAUUUCUUUUUUUUUAUCCAAGUGUAAGAAUUCCAUUUUAACAGUGUUAGCAAUGCAAAAUUUCCUCGAGUACCAAUCAGGAAGCUUACCAUAAGAAAAAGUUCCAGAGGCCGCUGAUUAUCCAAGAGUGGUUCAUCUUCAGCACAUUGGAUGCCAGGAUUGCCAAAAACGGUAAGGGGGCAGGCCAUAUCCCAGCCACCACAGUCACAGCCUCCACCAGAUCUCCAUCUAUCAAGCAAUGAAGAAGGACCCCGACUAUCACCGCUUGGCAAACUAUGAUUGCCGGUUGGAAUCACCACCUUCACGUUCUCUGGAUUUUCUUUAUCUGGUAUAGUUUUCCUCCUUUGCUCACCAACAGAAAGGUUGAGCAGAUUUGAAUGCAUUUCAUCACUACCCUUGUCCCCCCUUUUGUAUUUCAGGCUCUCUCUCUUUGCAAAUGGGAGUUGAAUAACAACGGCUGCUAUUUCAAGGUCUGGAUGCAAAACUGCAGAUGCCGAUGGAUAAGGAUUGGAAGAAUCGAAGUGGCCUCUAUCAAAAGCAUAUUUUGGUUGAUGUUUGAGCUUCACUGCAUCAGAGUUACCACCCAUCUCAUGACUUCCACCAACCAAGCCUGGAUUGGCACUGCUGUCAGGUCUAACAUCAGGGGAGUCUUCAGUAGAAACUCUGUGUCUUGCAUGCGCAAUAUCGUACAUCACAAACUCUGUCACCAUAGAGUUGUCAAAGUUCCCACCAUCUUUUAAUUUUGAACAUAAAUAACACGAAACUUGCAUCUGCCCCACUAUCAACGAUUCCUUAUUGCCAUCAGUCAACCCCCAUCCUGUGGCAUUGCUCUUUUUUCUACUGGAAAUGGAGUGAAAUGUAUAGACCCAAUUAAAUGCGUUAUUUGCUUUCCAUGUCUUAGCCACCAGAACUUCUUCAGGGAAAUCUAAUGAGAACUCGAAAAAUGGCACCCCGUGUUUAUUUUCCAACUUCAGUCGACCAUGUAGGUGAACUGGUGAACACGCUACAGCUGAAUGAUGGUGAUCUUUCUUGGCAAUCUGAGAAUCAAAAUCUACUUUUUGAUCUGUAUGUGAGAAGUCAUGGAACAAAUAUUUCCGAAAUGUCUGAUUCCUUCUCAUGUUUGACAUCCCAGUAGUUUUGGCAUCACCUGGUUCAGGGACAUGACCUAACGGACUCCGGAGAGACUUGGACUUUGUGAAUGGAUCGAACAUCAUCCGCAUGGGACUAAAUCGGGACUUUGAGCUGGCUCCAUUAGAUAAAUAACUUCCUGAAGAAGAAGGUGAACAUGGAAUUUCUACCUUAGCAGAGAGUGAUUUCUGGAAUGUCAGGGCUGUAUCUCUUUCCAGAAGCUCAUUACCAUCAUUUAGUGGACCAACAACUUGCUCACAUUUGAAGUUUGGAUUCCCAAUCGAGUCACUUCCAACAAUUCCAGCAGAAUGUUUAUCUCUCUUAUCCAAAUUUGGACAGAUUUCAGUGAAGUCAUCUGAUGAGCAUGGCUCUAUGCAAGGUCUUCGAACAGACUUUGGAUUCAAGUUUGAGCUCACAGAGCUUGCAGGAGAUCUCUUCUGCAAGGUCUCUUCAUCUAAGCAAUGCAGAGAGUCAACAAUUCUGAAAGAAAACGAAGUGUCACUAGCACGCGACAGUUCAAUUUUUCUCCUUCCCUCAUUACAGCCCAUUUCCUUCAUUCUCCUUACUUCUCUGGAGCUUUGAUACAUGGAGCCUCGCUUUGGCUCUAUGUGACCUUCUGAACCAACAGGUCUAGACAGAACAUUCUUGCAAGAGGAACUACGGUAACGACGGAAACUAAUCUCAGUGAAGCUCUCCUUUACCCUCAAAAUAUCAUCUUUGCGUGUGAGUUUGCCAUUCACACUUCUCUUUUCAACUUCUGAACAACGUCGAUGAGGAAGAACAGUAUUAGGACUCAGAUCUGAGAUGCUACUCUUCUCAGAAUCCAACUCCAUCUCCAGUUCCAUUUAAAGAUCCAAAAUUCUACAAAAGAACAAAUCCAAAAUAAGAAGACAAAUAUGGUAAUAUCUGAAGAAGAAGAAGAAAAGCAAAAGACCCAGAAAUGGGAAAGUGGCAAUAUCUAUGAAAUCUGAUUAUAAAACUCUCAGAAUCCCAAUUCAGAUAUGCAAGGAUUGAUUAGAAUUCCUACAAUAAUAGCAGCUAACCUAACUGGCAACUAUACGUCACCAGAGACCAGUAGUCUUGUAAUCAAUAAAAAAAAUCAUCUGCAUUUAAAAGGAUUAUUCAAUUGCCAUCAUAUGCAUUUGUUUUGACAUCCAGCUAUAAACAACAAAUAGAUAUCUGAUUUUAAGCAAAGUAACUGUACAAAUCACACAGGAAAUGGAAAACCAAACAAUAAAAAACAGCUGCCUACUAAGAACUUGAAAAGCCAGCACAUUAUUGUUUACAAAGACCAAUCUGCGCAUAUGAAAGAGCUGUCUCUAAUAUUCUAAUUUUGAAGAGCUAAUAUAAAGGUUGAAGAAGUAGUGUAAUGACCUUCACAAAAAAUUAUUGUUUCAAAAAGCAUGCUCCCCAUUUGAUGAUUCCAAAGUUUGAGAUCACAAAAACCUCAAAAGAAACUAACUUUGAUGAUCCAUAAAACUGAAAAACUUGAACUAACAAGGAAUCCUAUGAUCUAUGAAAAUUUAACUCCCAGAAAAAAGAGUAAAGUGCCAGACAUAAAGGCUAUAUACAAUUAUUAGCAACAACUUUAUAUUCACUUGCAUUCUAAGCCAAAAAAAAGAACAACUUGAGGAAAUGGCCAUACCCCACUAGAUCUCUCAGUAGUGAAUUCAAAGAAAACCCCAACAAACUGCAAGUAGCUACAAUCAUAUCCAUCCAAUCUCUUCCAGCUAAAGUCUUUUAUCAAUAUAAAAAAAAAACCAAAAAAAAAACCCAUCUUUAAGAACAGUACUCAGCCAUGACCCCAAAGAGUGUUUACACCCUCAAAGAAUCAACACAAGUACAAAGUGAAAGCAAGAAAAAAAACAAGUAGACCAAUGACAGUGAAGCAUAAUAACCAAAAAAGGUGAGUUUUAGAGAGAGAGUGUGUGCAUGCCUUGGAUAGUGUAUGUGUCUUCGUUUCUUCUAUAGAGUGAAUCACUCCUCUCUCUCUCUCUCUCUCUCUCUCUCUCGCACUCACUCACAUGAGAAAGAGUUGCAAUGAGAGACAGAGAGCUGCUAAGUUUCUGUUCAUGUCAACUAAAAAAGCCAUCUUGUGUUCAAGUCAUGAUUUGCAGCUAGCUAUGUUGUUGAUGCUACUGCUGCUGCUUGUGUUUUCUUUUUGGGUUUUGCUUUAUUUAUUUGUUUUAAUUUUCUUUCCCUAUACCUUUUGGCUUUUUAGAUGGGGGGGCAGUCAUGUAUGGAAAGACAUCUAUGCCCUUCUAUAAGGAUGAGCUCCAUUCUCUGGGUGAGGGUGAUUCUGGCUAUUUGUAUCUUUUAAAUUUAGAGGGACAGAUUCACUGCUACAUCUCAUUAUCUUAUUGUUUUGGGAAUAGCAGGAGGUAUCAAGACAAGAUGAUGCCUACAUUUAAUUUAGCUGUUUCCAAUAAUUAAUCUAGUAAUUGAUAUUGGUGUACUAAAAUGCAGAUCCCAUUUAACUGUAAUUACUAUAAAGUCCUCAGUGUUUGAAGCUGUGAAAUUGUUUGCUGGCAGGAAUGACCCUUGAGCAGUAAGCAAAAUUCCAUUUCCAGCGUACCUGGUAAGAGAAAACAUAAUUCCAAGGCAUUUAUCACAAGUAAGAUAUUGUAUACCAUCUGUACCUCUGAUAGCUGCUUAAAGGGUUUCUGGUACUGGUUCUUCACCUCCCUCUUUUAUUUCCAUACCUACAUCACAUGGUUGAACUAAAGCUUAGGCGUGAGUGGUCCUUAAAGUAAAUUAAAGUGGUUCGAAUUGAUUUAAGAACUUGUUGCGAACUUGUUGGAUUGAAUGAAAAACUUUACUUGUUGUUUGUAACAUACUCCAUGAAAUUUGUUGAUUUGUCCACCAGGUUGUCGAGUCCCCAGCAGCAUGUGACUAGUUUUUGUGGCAGGCACAUAAAAGUGCUGAAAGGGCAGUUGUGUCAUAUGGAAUCUGUGGGCAUCCCUUUCUGCUUCAUGGUCAAAGGGGAAUAUGGUAAAAACAAGUGCACGAUGGCUGGUUUAGGCGGGAGGAAACAAAACUGAGGGGAGGCAGUCCGUCUCAGCGACACGCAAUCUGCCACAUAAAAUUAAGCUUCCUUUUUUUGUUUUUUCAAUCAGGGUUAAAUACGAAUCAAACAUGUAGCAGGUGGGGAAUCCUCUGUCUAUCAAAAGCACUUGAACAACAACAGAGUGCUUAAAAAAGCCUCGAGAGCUGGUCAUGCGGAUGCUAUUUUUCUUUCUUGCGGCCCAUGCGUACCAGCAGCGAGCUAGAUAUUUUCACGCUUCCCAAAAAGUUUUAUCCAUUUCGGUUGAGAUCCAAAUAACUACAGCAAUUUCAGUUAAUUUUGAUUUUGAUGCAUGGACGAGGAGGACAUGCCAUGAUUAGGUUUGCAAUGAAAUUCCAUCCAGCAAUGAUUAGGUAAAAAGAACCCUUUGAAGCUUUUGACAGUUUUGCUAACAUAAACCUACUCCUGUACACCAACUCUUUGUUAAUUAUCUGAUAAAUAAACCUAACCUUCAGAAACGGGCAUAGCCCACUUUGAACAACUGUACAAGCAAAAGCAAAUUCCUGGCUGUAUUUACUACUCAGCAUUCUUUCAAAUUUCAAAUUUCGGGAUUCUCUUCAAUCUUGACCUUGUUAAAUGAUCUCUGGUUUUCCAAGACGGGCAUGUAUGGUUCGCUUGUUUUCUUAAGGAAUUCAGCUGCCUUGUCAGAUUCACGGGGACUCACUAGCUUCUUCUCAACCUCGUCAAACUUGGCAGUUGCCCAUGGUGCAGUGCCUACACUUCUGGCAGAACUUGGUGUAUCUAUUGAUAGCAUAGAUACCUCAUCCCUGGAUGCAUACCAGGAAUUGCCACAGGCAAUACACUCCAACUGUAAACCGGAGAAACUAAAGUUAACUGCAGGGCUUAAAUAUGGCAGUUAUGCACAUGGACAAUAACCAGUACAUAUCGGAGCUUGCAAUUCAGAGUUGCACUAUGUAGUCCAAUCGUUCAAAAUAAAGUCACAUUUAUAUUACAGAUAAAACAUUCAAGACUUCAAAUUCAGGAGGGGGGAAAAAAUAAAAAACUUCCUAUCCCAUCAUCAGUAGAAAAGAAAGGCAAGAAUUGCCUUCCAUAAACAUUUCUUAGAUUUCAUGCUUCCAUGAAAAAUGUCUCAUGGAGUACAAGUUAACAGGAGAAUUUGGCAGAGCCAAGCCCUCCAGAACAGAUGCCCACUGCCAUUACAUGCUGCUAAUGCAAAGUACAUGACCUCUUUAGGUCAGGACCUAGCAUUAAAUGCAAUGAGUUGAAGAAGAGAUAGCUAUCAAACAGGAAUAUCUGGCAAGAUUAGCAACUGAAAGAAUAGCUCUUUAUGAUGUCAACUUAGUUAAGGUCCAAAGACAAGUCAAACCCAAGGAACUUCCAGAUGAUACAAUCAAAACAUGCAAAUUGGUUUUGAAUACCGUGUUCAGUCCCAAUACUUGUGCAAUAUAACAAGACGUAGAAUCCGGAGAAAGAAAAUAAAGGGUUUUAAUCUCCAAUCAGAAUUGCUGUUGCUUCAACAUCUAAGAAAACAAUUCAUGGCUUAUACUUUCUUAUCUAUGAGCAACAGCAGUGGACAUUUUGUUCGUUGAACUAUCAUAGGUUUUUAUCUCCAAUCACAAUGCCUUAUGAAGUUGUUCACUAUCAUGGAUGGCCUGUGGAAUCUGAAAUGCAAUCUGAGUUACCGUGGUCAGUAAAAAUUUUACUUGUAAGCCAAUAUUUCAUAUGGGGAUUUAAUACAUGCACAAGAGGACUGAACCACAACUAUCAAUUAGUUUAGCAGACAUGGAAAUGCAGACAUGGAAAUGCAGACCUGUUGUCUACAGCUUGAUAAUAUGAACAUAUCAUGCUAGUGUGCACGAAACAAUAGCACAUCUAUCAACUCACUUUAUGCAUUGUGCGUUUGCACCCUAGCUCAUUAAAUGUAGUGCAGUCAGUACAGCAACACAACUUGCUAAAUAUUUGAAAUUAUUGUUGAUGUCAAAAAUAAUAGAGGUGUAGAGAACAAGGUUCUGGUGUGAAGAAAACCUGGUAGCGGGCUCCAUGUCCUGCUUGGAUGAUGUCCCUUAGUCCCACUUUAAACUCGCUGCAUCUUGAGCAACGAGCAUCAGUCAUCUGAUACACAUGCAAACAGGUCAGCCAAGCAGUGAGAGCACAAGCACACAUCCAAGUGUACAGCCAAAAAAUAUUCUAAUAUCUCAAAGUUAAAACCAAAGUGUGGUCAAAUGAUAUAACCUGCAUACGCUCUGACUCCUCAGGCUCCUUCUUUGCAGUUUCCUCUGCUGUUAAACCCUCCUGAAGAUAAGUUUGUUAAUUCAUACACUUCAUGAAUGUUGUACAUAUUCCAGAUGCAAAUCACAACAGCAGAAAUAAACAAAAUAAUGGCGAGCAGGAAGAGAACUUAUACCUUUAACUCAUUCGGUGACAUGUUCAAUAUUUUGGAGGGCUCCAACUCUCUGUUUAGCAGACGGCGGGCUAGGAAUGCAUUAUUCUGAAAUUUUUUUAAAGAAGAAAAAUUGAUGUCAAUAUCCUCAGCAAAAGAAGGUAAGAUGUUCAGUCAAAAGUUGGAAACUCAACACCAUUAGUUCGAGAUGCAUCCUGUUCCACCGCAAAGUAUUAAGCAUAUGAAUUUGGACCAUACUCCACAAAAUAAUAUCAAUACUGCUUCAGGCAAACCUACUUGAAUGCUUAGUUUUUCCUUUAAAAGCAUUCCGUUCAAAAGCUUUUGAUAAAAUUUCAAUCUUUCAUUUCAAUAUGCAACUAAAUACAUAUGUAUUAGCAUCAUUGAUUUUAAGAAUAUACCUGUUUUCUCUUUUAAAAGAAUUUCGUUAAAAUGCAGACAGAAAACACUUCACUAUUUUAUUUUGGUAAACCAGCUAAACACGUACAUGUGUGAAUCACUAGUAUCCAAAUGUAAAGAAACGGUAACUGCAGUCCCACUAAAUGACUGCACAUCAUUUAUGAAGACUGAACUCAGCUCCGUUGCAGUAUUGCACCUUUAUCCCUGAGCAGAAAGGAGGAAGAGUAUCCAUGCAGAGUGAACCCCCAGAGCACAGCAACCUCGAAAGAAAGGGAAAGCAAGACUAACCUUGAGGUUGAACACUAGCUGACGCAACUUUUGAUUAUACUUCUGAAAAUCAGAGGAAAGUGCAUCAUGCGAUGCCUUCUCAAGAGCACUUACUGCAGGAACAGCAGCUUCUGGCCAGGGAAAAGACUUGCCUCCCUGUCAUGUACAACAAAUUAGAGUGCUGGAGUCGUAAAAUCUUCAAAAUUGUCAAAUUUCCAUCCCUAAUCUGCUCCUAAUCAAGAUACCAAAAAUGGAAUUCACUAUAUCAUAUGCCAAAGCUAAGUACACAACAAAUUAUACACCUUCACACUAUUUUCUUCAGAUCCAUUUGCAGCUCCCUGGGACUUCUGCUCUUUUUUAUGGUCAACGCCAUCAGAACCACCUUUUAUCUUAUCAUCAUCAAGGGUGCUGUUAGAGGAAAUGCACAUAUACUGAAUACACUGAAGAAGCCGCUCCAGCCAUUUGUCUCGAUGGGUAUCACCAGUCAAUGCAUCAAACUUUACUAAGAUGGCAUAAUACUCCGAGCCAUUGCCUGUACAGCUUCCUGGUGUUUCAGCUUUAAAAUUAUCAGAUCUGGUUGUUGCUUCUUCCUCCCUUGUCACAUCAAGAGGUGAAACAGUCUUUCUCCUCAGAGUUCUUUUUGCCUUUGUUGGAUCUUCCAGUUCAGGAGGAGCAGCGGCAGGAGCAUCUUCAACUUCAAUGUCAGGAAGGUCUCCCAUCCGUGAUAGAGUUUUCUGAACAAGAAGAUCAAUUUCAUGCUGCUUGUUAUCUUCAUAAUCCUUAUCAGUAAGCUUCCAAAGCUUCCUCUCCACAGUGUCAUACACUUUCCGGACAAUGAAACCAGGAUACUGUUUGCGAUUUGGGAGCUGUUUGUGAACUGGGACAAAAUGCACCACACACUUGUGCAUGACAGACUCUGCUGGAACCUCAUCACGAUGAAAACUAUAAAAAAGCUCCCUGGUAUCACGUGACUGCCAGCUUCCACCACCUUUUCUCUCAGCCUCCUCUGGGCGAUAAAACCACUGCCCAGUGACCAUCAUGCUGCCAUCCUUAGUCUGAGAAAUAUCCUAUCAACAGAAUAACACUUCCAUUGGACACGAUGGAAAGUGAUGACAGAAAUCUUACAUAAUAAAUACAAAAUGAAAGCAAAAACAAUCUAAACAAAUUUACUUGUUGAGUAUUAAUUAUGAUUACUGAUAAGGAAGCAUAAAAUUGGCCCACAAGUGUGUACUUAGAAACUUUUACUAGAGAGACCUAUGACAUAAUAAAAUGUGAGAAAACGGUUACAAAAUGAAAUUUUCAUUCAGUGUGAAGAGAAGUUUAGUUGCAUCCCCAGAAGUGAAAAAAAAAUGGAAUCUAAAUGAAUAAAUUGCAGAGGUAUGCAACCCCCAUCCCUUUUCCUACUAGUGGUUGGGGGUCUUCUCAUAAUCUUGAAUGUAAAAAUUCCCAAGUUAACUGAGAUCAUAUUUUACCACCGUUUCAUGUUAGGAAAUAUUUUAAUAUAUCAUUCAUUUAAACCCAUCACCCAUUAUUUAGUUAAGGGCUGUCCAUCGUUAGAAUCAAACAUUACUAAAGAUGAUAAUUUCAAACCAGAACAAAACCUGCACGGAAACUCCAAGAAAUUUGCACGGCAUUAACCACAAAAGAAUCUGAUUAUCAAGGUGAACAGAAAAAUCAAUUUUUCGCUUCACCACCAAAUCAUCCACCGUCAAAGAGACAAUACUGAAUAAAAAGUGAAGGAGGAAAACCAUAUGAAAUUCAAAUUAGAGCAUCUAAGCAUGAGAUGCAUAUCCAGCAAAUAGGACACAGAGCACACAAGGAACUAAAAUAAUAUGAGUUACCUUGAUAAUUGCCACAUAAGGUUUUUGCUCUUUAUCUUCGGGAACUAGAAGGACAGGAUCCUCCUGCAGAACAAUCAGAGAAGAGACAAACAAAUAUCCACAGUAAUGAUCAUAUGAACAAUUAGGGAAGAGCAGUAAAAGCAACAAUGAUUCCACGAAAUCCCUCAAAACCACUGCUGCAUUUACAGGCUAAGUAUGGAUAAUAAAACAGCUGACAGCUUAAUAAUGCGAAGAUUCAUUCAACGAACAAAAUCAAUUGACAAAAUUAAAGCGCAAAACCUAAUAUUUCUCCCAAAAAAUGUAACUAAAUAGCAAAAAGAAUCCUAAUUGUACGAAUUAAAUUAAAUGAAAAAACUCACAAGCUCAUAUCUAUUCCCAUCAAACUCAAAAGCAUCAUAAUGAGUUCUCCUCCCUCUCCCUUUCCCCGAAACCCUAGUCGAAUCCCCAACGGGCUUGGCAUCCUCCUGCGGCACCUCUUCCUCUUCCUCCGGAUCCUCCUCGAGCUCUUCCUCUACUUCAUCCUCCGAUUUCUCUUCUCUUAAUUUCUUCCUGGGUCUUCCUCUCCCUCUUCUUGUCGUCACUACUUCUUCUUCUUCCUCUUCUUCUUCUUGAAGCUUCAUUUUCUUCCUCUUCCUCUCGCUGAUGUCUCCAGGCCUUGUGGUCGUUGAUGAUGAUCGUGCCUUUGGUGGCGCCUCGUCUUCUUCGUCGCUAGUGGAGACCUGAGCGAAUCUUCGGUUUCCCAUUUUGGUUUCGGUUUCUUCACUGUCAACAGCUGUGGUGAAGAUAAGUUACCAAGGAGGAAGCCGUUGGAUUCCUUAUAUAGGACACUGAUAGAAUACAGAAAUGGCCUUAUAAAUUGAACUAAACUGCAUCUAUGCCAUUGAAUUGAAUUCUCUAGUGUUUUUUUUAAUUAUUAUUAUUUUUACGAAGAAUUGUUUUUUAUAAGGUGCGCUGUGCGAAUAAACACAUUCGAGAAAGUUUUAGAUGAUAAAUUUGAAAAAAUUGAAAAUUGUAGUAAGGGUAAUGGUGCUUUCUUGUGAGUAUUUUUUUUUUUUCAUCGCUAAAGAAUGUUAUGAUAAAGUAUGGUAUAUUUUUUUUUAAGGUGCAAUUACCUUACUAUAUUAAAAAAUUUGGGAAAGCUUAUUAAGUUUAUCUGAAUAUUGAAGGUUCUUUUUUUCAAUUUAUCCCUUUUAUUUUUUUAUUUUUUAUUUUUUUAAUUCCAUUCUUUUUUUUUUCAUCAUAAUAUUUGGGUUGUUUAUGGAUUAGUCAAAUCGACCAGAUUAUAACAUGACAACUCUCAUAUUAUUUAAUUUUAAAUUCAAGCUAGAUAAAAAGUUGGAUCAAGAAGUUUUUUCUUGUUAAUUUCAUUAUUUUUUCUCGUUUUUAUCUUUAUAUCUAUUAAUCAGUCGAGUAGAUUCUCUUUGAAUUGACUAGGUCAAUUGUGUUGUAUUGGAACAAUUCUCAUAUAAUUUAAUUUUAAACUUAAAUUAGACGGGGAGUCGAAUUAAGAGAUUUUAAAAUUGACAUGUUGAGCCGGGUUUAAUAACAAUAAUAAAUAAUUCUCUAUGAUCUUGAUAUGUUUUAAAAUUAUAAAAAUGAUUUGCGUGAGCCUAUAAACUAUAUUUUAGUUUAAAUUAUAAAAUAUUUCCGGGACUAAAAAUCUUUUCAUUUUCUUUCAUAACAAUAAGAGUUUUUUAAUUUAACUAUUGUUUUAAUGAGAAAUUGUUUUUUAACAAAAAGAAAAUCCCUUCGUAUUCCUCUUGCAACAUACAAGAAAAAGGCAAAAAAUAGAAAGAAAUAUUCAAUGACAACUUAAAUCACAACACUGCAAAGCCUUCACCCUGCUUUUCCCACGGGUCAUCUGAACCUUGAACGCGCUCACUUGAUGCCAAUUAACAAUAAAACUAAUAAGCCUUGUAAAGCAUGAAAUGCUUUCUGUCUAAUUUAUAAAAGAAGACAGUAUUUUAAUGCAAGACAUGUGCUUCUCUUCAUUCUCUGUGUACAGACUCUCACUGCCUACUCAAAAUUCAAAAAAAAAAAGAGAAGAAAAAAGACAGGAAUCAAGAGUGCCAGAGGUUUCAUUUAUAAGACUAGAGGAUAGCAUCACUCGGUCAAGGGUUGAAGUUCUUGUCCAUCCAUGUCAAGAAAGCCAGUGUCUGUUGUUUAUAGAGAAAUGUAAAUGGAGCAUCACCAGUUAUGAUCAUUAUUAAGUGGAGCUUUUUUUUCUAAGUAUAAACAUGACUUGAAGAAGUUAGUCUUGCAUAUCAGAACUUCACGGUUCCAGCAACACCAUUUGCUAAUGAUGUAGUCAUUGAUCAGUGUGAACUUUGCGAGACUCGUUCGAGUUCUGUUUCAUGUGCAAAACGCAGUGAAAACUCUUUGAUUCAGAUGCUUCAUUAGAAACUUAGGCAGCUCGUAAAAGGAUUGGUAAAAAAACCUCAGAACGGAAUUGAAAAUGCUCAUUUAAAAAGAAAAGGUGGUUAUAAUUUAUACCGUUCAUGUUUAUAGAUAACGAUCUACCUAAAUGUCCAUAGGCCAUGACCAAAUUCAUUUAACUCUACAAUGCACCAUGACGCAGCCAGGAAAAAGUUGUAAGAUCAUGUUAGACCUGUGUAGACAGCAUGAUUUUGGAGCAUAAAAUGAAGUCGGGCAGCAAAAGCGGCAGAGACAAAGAUAACAAAAAGAUGAAAGCAAAACGAAAGGAAGUUUCACAGUCAGAUGAUUCAGAUAACCCCUCGUGAUCUUCGCAUCUUAAACACAAGAAUGCUUAUCCUACCUGUACAGACAUUGAAUUAGUCAAAUCAAUAAUGUUUUGACAACUUCAUGCACAUUGAUGUCAAUCAUUUCCUUCAUGCUAGUCCAAGAUUCUGUUUCUUUUACUUGCUGUUCCAAGUUUUUGAGCAACUAUUGCAGCAAACUCCUUUUAGAUCCCUUGGCUACUUGCAUCCUAAUCUAUUUUUCUUUCUCCUCUCUGCAUCCAAAGAAUUGUUAGAACAUUAGGAUGAUCAGAAAUGCUAGUUAUGGUCCUUGUCGGUCGAGAGCUUUUGCUGUACGGCAUCAUAAACUUGCUGGACCGAUGUUUUCUGCAAUCUGGAAGCUGCUUGUUGACAGGGACAAAAUGCACCACACACUUGUGCAUUACACACUUGUGCUGGGACCUCAACAUGAUGGGUACUGUAGAAUAGCUCCCUAGUGUCACGUAUCUGCCAGCUUCCACCACCACUUUUCUCAGCCUCUUCAGGGUGAUAUAAUCAUUGUCCAGUGCCCAUCACGGCAUCACCAUACCAUCAACGGUCUGAGUAACGUCCUGUCAAUAGAAUGCCAAGUCCGUUGGUCUCAAAGGAAAGAGAUGACAUGGAAGUUUUUAGUUUGCAUUUGGUUAGUGUCCACAAACACAGAAGAGAUAGAAACGUAUUUAGUUGGAUGGAUGAAGACAUAGAAAUAAAAUAAGUCUAUCUCUAGAAAAAUUUUGGAGUGAAUUUCUUUACUCCUGUUUAAAGAGGGAAUAUCCCUUCUAUUUUCACUGUCCUCAUCUCUUCUGUCUUGAAACAGGAACCAAAUGUUAAUGCUAAGCAUAAAAUGAAGGCAAUCUCAAUUAAUUCAAUUGAAUAGGCUGGGGAAGAAUUUAGAUCAGUUAACAAUCAGUUGCAUAUCAUUAGAUAAAGACAUCAGUAAAGAUGAUCGACUUUUGAGCCAUCAACACAGGAAUUGCGAUAUUUAUGCUGAUGGUAACAGCUAAAAUAACAUCUUUGUCCAUAAAAAUAGAGAAUCAUGUUUUUGCUUCACCACUUAGAAUAUUUAGCAUCAAAAGCAAAUGUGAGGAAUAAAGUGAAAAUGGCAAAAUGUACAAACAUCUGAUAUAAAUACCAAUGGCAUGAGUGUGUGUCCGCCAGAUGGGACAUAGAACACAAAAAUGAUCAAUGAAAAAGCCUAUGGAACACCAUAAAGCAAUUCCAUGUAGUUACCUUGAUAGCUGCAAUGCCCGGUUUUUGCUCUUUAGUUUCAGGAGCUAGAAGCACAGGAUCCUCCUGCAAGACAAGGAAACCAGAAACAGAAAAUUAUAACCUGAGUCUGACGAUGACAUGAACAUUUAGGAAAAAAGAAAGCAAAUGCAACCAUGAUUCCACACAAAGGUCCUCAAAACAAGUGAUGCAUCUCCACGUCAAAUUUAAACACACAAACAGUUGACAGCUUAAAUUUCAAAAUUGUCCAAUUAGCUAACCUAACUUUACCACAACACCCUAUAACAAGGAAUUACUCAAACAUGAAAACCCUAGAAGCAAUCAAGGAAUGAAAACAAUUGAAAGAAGAAAAACAAGAACUCUGAAUUCCAUCAAUCAUUUCAGUUCCUUUCCCUGUAAAUGUACAUUUUCCCAGAAGCCGCUUCAAGCUCAGGAGAGUUUUUGAUUUAGCAGCCGGCGUGGGCUUGGGUGGGCAUAUUUCCUUCAGGCCUUUAGGAGUUCCUCUUUUUUGUUUAAAAUGUGAACAAUGGUGGCAUUUGUACACCACAUUAUUCUUCAUCGAUGUAUAAAACUUCUUGUCCCGGUGCCUUGCCUUUGCUCGAUUCUUUUAAAUUCGUAUUGUGCAGAUUAAGCCAGGCUGAAGAAUUGUCUCGCACCUGCAAAACAAAGGAUUCCCAAUUAGGCGGAAAAUUCCUACUGACCAUGACAAGAUUGAAUUUCAACAGAAAAAACAAAAAGAAUCAAGCUAAGAAUGGGGUUGCCACUGUGAUCUCCCAGUCAGCAAAUGACUUGUUGUUCAUACAAGCUCAUCUUCACCAGUGACAACACAUGAAAGAUUACGCAUUCAAGUAGAGUGCCAGUAGAAAUUCAAAUUAAAAGCAAACAAAUAAUGCUGCUAUCAACGAGGUGUUGAUCGUUUCUCAUAGAGUCAUUAUAAAUGACUCUCUAACUCUCCUUUAUAUUUAUGAGCUAUUAAAAUGGUUCACUUUAAAGAUGUAACAUUCACAUUUAUGAGCUCUUAAAGUGGUUCACUUGUAACUACCCAUGAUAUAAUAAAUACGUGGGACAUAGCCAUUAAAGCUUGAUGGAAGCUUUGGCUAUAAAUAAUAUUAUUUGGUCCUCAUACUCACUUACUCAAUUCCCUUAAGUUUUACACCAUCUGUAUAGAGUGAGUAGAGUUUGGAAGUGCAAAAUAUAUAUAAAAGAGAGCAGCAAAUACGUGAGGAACAUCAAUGGUUGAAGGUAUUGUUUCCUUGUUAUUUAAAAACAUAUUUAUUCCGCAUCAUAGAAUCGUUAGUUAAGUUUUCAUUUGGUAUCAGAGCAUGGUUUUAUCUCUGCCUUGGUUUAUAAAGUUGCUCUGUUUAUCUUUAUUUAUGGCCGAAAGUUUGAUAAAAUUUAAAUAAGAAAAUCGAAGUUUGCAACCCAGCAUGGAGGUUGAAGACAACCCAAUAAAUAAAUAAAUAAUAAUAACACGCAGCUUUGUUUUUUUAACAAACAAUGACAUUUAGUUUCCACUUUAUAAAUAGUUGGGAAUUGUGUUAAUAAUUGUUAUAAUAUAUUGUUGUGAUUAUAAUUUUUAUUUGAUUUAAUUAUAUGCAAUUUAGAUUAUUAUUGUGCAAAUUUAAUUAUUAUGCUCGUAUUUAGUUUGCAUGAAUUGAUUAUUUUUGCUCUAUAUUAAUACAUGCAAUUUUUAUGAGUAUAUAUAUAGUUAAAAGCGUGAAAUUAAAUGUUAUGCAUAAUAUUAUAGUUUUGAUUAUGCAAUAUUUAUGCUUAUAUUAUGAUAAUAUUUUGUGCAUAUUAAUAACAUGUUAGUAUUAGUUAAAAUUAUGUGCUUCAUAAUAUUAAGUUAGUCUUAUGCGAUUUAAUGUCUAAUGAUCCAUAUAAUUUUAAUUAAUUAGAGAAUAGCCACAUCAUCUUUAAUUGAUUAAAAUUAUAUAUUAUGAAUUAUUAGGAUCACAUAAAGAAUAUUAGACAUUAAUUGUAAUUAAUUAUACUUAAUAUAAUAAAUUUUAUCCCACAUGAAUUUUUUAUAUAUUUAUAUUAUUAAUUAGGAUAAAAUAUCAAGUUAUUCAUAACUUACCCACAGGAAUUAUGAAUUAAGUAAAUUACUUGAUAGUUUUAUCAUAAAAGUUUAAUUUGAGAUAAAAUAUAUAUCAAAUUAUAAUCAUAAUAUAUCCUUUAGAAUUAUGAAUUAAGUAAAUAAUUUGAUCAUAAAGAAUAAUUGAAUCUACUUGAAUUAAGAAUUUAGCCCACAUGCAUUUUUAUGUCAUUAGAUUUGAUAUUUAAGCAUGAUUUACAUUGGUAAAGCAUGAAUAUUUAUUGCCUCAAUUUUAACUUAAGCAUGUAAUCUAUAAUUGUAUGCAGUUUUACAACCUGCAAAUAUCUCUGAUGUUCGUUAUGAUAUCCCUGAACUUAAAGGAGAUAACUAUAAGAUCUGGAAAGAAAGAGUUCUUCUUCAUUUAGGGUGGAUGGACAUAGACUAUGCUAUUAGGAAAGAUGAACCACCAGCACUCACUGAUACCAGCACUGCAGCGGACAUCACACUUCAUGAGCGAUGGGAGCGAUCUAAUCGCCUCAGCAUGAUGUUCAUUAAGACUAGAAUUUUUGCUGGUAUUCGUGGUUCUGUCGAUCAGCAUGAAAAGGUCCAAGACUUGCUGAAAGCCAUUGAUGAACAAUUUAUCACUUCAGAUAAGGCGCUAGCAAGCACCUUAAUCAUGAAGUUCUCAUCCCUAAGGUUCACCAGUGUGAGAGGUGUGCGCGAGCACAUCAUGCAAAUGAGGGAUCUUGUGGCUCAAUUGAAGAAACUCGAGGUUGAAAUGUCGGAGUCCUUCCUGGUGCACUAUAUCUUAAACACCCUUCCGCAUCAAUAUGGACCCUUCAAAAUCUCAUACAACACACAUAAGAAAAAUUGGUCAAUUAAUGAACUUAUGACCAUGUGUGUUCAAGAAGAAGGGAGACUGGUGAUGGAACAGGGUGAAAGUGCAAUGUUGGCAAUACGUGGGAAGGGAAAAUAUCAAGCCUAUCAAAAGGGGAAAGGUAAAAUACCUCCCCAAGCUGGUAUCAAGAAAGAUUCCAAGUGUUUCUUCUGUAAAAAGAAGGGACACAUGAAGAAGGAAUGCGCCAAAUUUCAAAAAUGGCUUGAGGACAAAGGUAAUCCAACUUCAUUUGUUUGUUAUGAAUCUAAUAUGGUUAAUGUCAAUAUUAACACAUGGUGGAUUGAUUCUGGAUCAACAAUCCACAUUUCAAAUUCCAUGCAGGGUUUGCAAAACCUAAGGAAGCCAGUGGGAAGUGAGCAAAGCAUCUUAUCAGGAAACAAGAUGGGCUCACAUGUGGAAGCUAUAGGAACUUGCUAUUUAAUUUUAAGUACUGGUUUUAUUUUAAAGUUAGAAAAGACCUUUUAUGUUCCAAGUUUCUCUAGAAACUUGAUUUCAGUUUCAAGACUUUUACCUUUUGAAUAUUCCUUUAAUUUUUCAGAAUCAUCAUUCAGUUUAUUUUAUAAAUCUGAUUGUGUUGGGAAUGGUAUUUUGUCUGAUGGUCUUUUCUGCAUUAAUUUACAAAAUAAUACCACUUAUGAUUCAAUGCAUGUUCACACUGGUAUUAAAAGAUGUGUUAUUGAUGAAAAUUCCUCUAAAUUAUGGCACCAGAGAUUAGGUCAUAUCUCAAUAGAUAGAAUUAAAAGAUUAGUAAAUGAAGGAGUACUUAAUACUUUAGAUUUUACUGAUUUUGAGACUUGUGUGGACUGCAUAAAAGGAAAACAGACCAACAAGUCAAAGAAAGGUGCCACUAGGAGUUCAGACAUAUUAGAAAUCAUACAUACUGAUAUAUGUAGUCUAGACUUGGACUGAUAUAUGUAGUCUAGACUUGGACUCACAUAGUCAUAAAUACUUCAUUUCUUUUAUAGAUGAUUACUCUCGAUAUAUGUAUCUCUACAUGCUUCAUAAUUUUUAAGGCUGAAGUAGAGAAACAAUGCGGUAAGCAAAUUAAGAUCGUGAGAUCAGAUAGAAGUGGAGAAUAUUAUGGUAGAUACACAGAGGAUGGACAAGCACCUGGGCCAUUUGCAAAGUUUCUUCAAGAACAUGAGAUUGUUGCCCAAUACACCAUGCCUGGUUCACCGGAUCAAAAUGGUGUGGCAGAAAGAAGAAACCGAACAUUAUUGGACAUGGUGCGGAGUAUGCUCAGCAGCUCCAAACUUCCUAAAUCCUUGUGGGUUGAAGCACUUAAGACGGCAGUGUAUAUAUUAAACCGAGUUCCAACCAAGGCUGUUCCCAAAACACCUUUUGAAUCACUAAAAGGUUGGAAACCGAGUUUGCGACAUAUGCGCGUUUGGGGAUGUCCGUCUGAAGUGAGAAUUUAUAAUCCACAAGAAAAGAAACUGGACCCAAGGACCAUUAGUGGGUAUUUCAUUGGAUAUGCUGAAAGGUCUAAGGGUUACAGAUUUUAUUGUCCAUGUCACAUUACUAGGAUUGUGGAAUCAAGAAAUGCAAAGUUUCUUGAAAAUGACUUGAUUAGUGAGAUCGAUCAAACCAGAAACAUUGUUUCUGAGAAUGAUCAUUCAGAAUCUCAACCUUCCAGUUCAAGUGAUAAAUUGAAUAUUGUUUACAACACCCCUCAAGUACAAACUGAUGUUGAACAACCAAUCAUUGAAGUUCCACAAAUUGCUGACGAUAUUCUAAUAGAUCAAGUAGUUCAAGAGUUGCCAAGAACUUUUGAACAACGAGUUGAACCACAUACUUCUCAGGAAUAUGAUGGUACAACAUUAAGAAGAUCUAUUAGACCAAAGAGAUCAGAAAUUCCUAAUGAUUAUGUUGUGUAUUUGCAAGAAUAUGACUAUAACGUUGGAGCCGAAAAUGAUCCUGAAUCCUUUUCACAAGUCAUGAGUUGCAAAGAAACAGAACUAUGGUACAAUGCCAUGAAGGAAGAGAUGAAUUCUAUGAAGAGUAACCAAGUCUGGGAUCUUGUUGAGUUGCCUAAUGGUGUAAAAGCCAUUGGAUGUAAAUGGGUCUUUAAAACAAAGAAAGACUCAUUGGGCAAUAUUAAGAGAUACAAGGCAAGACUCGUUGCUAAAGGAUUCACUCAGAAAGAAGGAGUUGAUUACACGGAGACUUUCUCUCCUGUAUCUAAGAAAGAUUCCUUGCGUAUUAUUUUAGCAUUAGUAGCCCAUUUUGACUUAGAGUUGCAACAAAUGGAUGUGAAAACAGCAUUUCUCAAUGGAGAUCUAGAGGAGGAGGUUUACAUGAAGCAACCUGAAGGAUUCCCCUCUAGUGAUGGUGAGCAAUUGGUUUGCAAGCUCAAGAAAUCUAUAUACGGUUUAAAACAAGCAUCCCGCCAAUGGUAUUUGAAAUUCCAUAAUGUAAUUUCGUCAUUCGGUUUUGUAGAAAACGUUAUGGAUCAAUGUAUAUACCAGAAGGUCAGUGGGAGUAAAAUUUGUUUUCUUGUUUUAUAUGUGGAUGACAUUUUGCUAGCAACCAAUGAUAAGGGUUUGCUACAUGAGGUGAAACAAUUCCUCUCUAAAACUUUUGAUAUGAAGGAUAUGGGUGAGGCAUUUUAUGUUAUUGGCAUUAAAAUCCAUAAAGACAGAUUUUGAGGUAUCUUAGGUUUGUCUCAGGAAACCUAUAUUAAUAAAGUUUUAGAGAGAUUUCGGAUGAAGGAUUGUUCUCCAAGUGUAGCUCCUAUUAUGAAGGGUGAUAGAUUUAGUUUGAAUCAAUGUCCGAAGAACGAUCUUGAAAAGGAACAAAUGAAGAACAUUCAAUAUGCUUCUGCUGUCGGAAGCCUUAUGUAUGCUCAAGUAUGUACAAGACCUGACAUUGCAUUUGUUGUGGGAAUGUUAGGACAAUAUCAGAGUAAUCCAGGUUUAGACCACUGGAGAGCUGCAAAGAAAGUGAUGAGGUACCUUCAAGGAACCAAAGACUAUAUGCUUAUGUAUAGACGAAUAGAUAAUCUGGAAGUAAUUGGCUACUCGGAUUCUGACUUUGCUGGCUGUAUUGAUUCACACAAAUCAACAUCAGGAUAUAUAUUUUUUAUGGCUGGUGGAGCUGUAUCAUGGAGGAGUGCUAAGCAAACCUUGACUGCAACUUCCACUAUGGAAGCCGAGUUUGUCUCUUGUUUUGAGGCUACUUCACAUGGUGUAUGGCUUAAGAGUUUCAUUUCUGGGCUUAGAAUUAUGGAUUCUAUCCAUGGGCCAUUAAGAAUGUUUUGCGAUAAUUCAGCUGCUGUUUUUAUGGCUAAGAACAACAAAAGUGGAAGUCGAAGUAAACACAUCGACAUUAAGUAUUUAGCCAUAAGAGAACGUAUUAAAGAAAAGAAAGUGGUCAUUGAGCACAUCAGCACUGAACUAAUGAUCGUUGAUCCUUUGACUAAGGGCAUGCCAUCGUUGAAAUUCAAGGAUCAUGUAGUGGAUAUGGGACUUGGUUCCAUUAUGUAAUUUUUCAUUGUUUGAACAAUGUUAUUUUCUUAACUAUUUUGAUAUUCUUCUCAUAUUGAUGUGCACCUUAAUUUGAUUUUGAGAAAAAUUCAUUUGUGUUGGACCAAGAAUAAACAUGGGGUUUAUUCAUUAAGAACUUGUUGCCACAUAAAUUAUAAUGUUUAAAGAAAUAAAUACAUAGUAAUAUAUGGAAGAUAAUACUCAUAAAUUAGAGGACCUAUCGCCAUGAUUCAUGUAUUUAUUACUAAAACAUAUUGUCUAUUGGUUUAAGAUGAAAUAUUAGAUUACAAAUGUGGACCAAGUGGGAGAAUGUUGACCGUUUCUGAUAGAGAGAGUCAUUAUAAACGACUCUCUAACUCUCCUUCACAUUUAUAAACUAUUAAAGUGGUCCACUCUAAAGGUUGUAACCUUUAUAUUUAUGAGCUCUUAAAGUGGUUCACUUGUAACUACCCAUGAUAUAAUAAAUAUGUGGGACAUAGCCAUUAAAGCUUGAUGGAAGCUUUGGCUAUAAAUAAUGUUAUUUGGUCUCCAAACUCACUUACUCAAUUCCCUUAAGUUUUACACCAUCAAUAUAGAGUGAGUAGAGUUUGGAAGUGUCAAAUAUAUAUAAAAGAGAGCAGCAAAUACGUGAGGAACAUCAAUGGCUGGAGGUAUUGUUUCCUUGUUAUUAAGACUUACGAUUCUGUUAUAAACAUAUUUAUUCCAUGUCAUAGAAUCGUUAGUUAAGUUUUCACGAGGAUGUCAAUUUCCGAAGUAUUGGAGCACAAAACAGAAGUACUGAAGCAUCCGAGAUACUGAAGCAUCCGAGAUCUAUGCUGCACAGAAUUCACAACUGACAGGAUAACGUGAAAGAAGCAAUCAAUUAUAACUAUAUUUGAAUUAAAUACAUCUCUAUACAAUCAGCUGUACUGGGAUUAUAUAUGUGUGUGUGUGUAAACAACUUAUCUGUACAAUUGUAAAGUGAAGAUUAAAACUUUCAAAUCUUUAUUCUUUCUCCGACUCUACAUGGUAUCAGCCUAACUAGACCAACAUCCCUUACUCAGCUUCUAUCACCAUGUCUACUUCUCCCAAUUUCUCCAUAUAUGAGCCUUGCAUCAAUUAUUUUUAAUAUUGUAAUACCAGUUAUUUUUUAAAAUAUUUUUUAUUUAAAAAUAUAUUAAAAUAAUAUUAUUUUAUUUUUUAAAAUUCAUUCUUAACCUCAAUACAUUAAAAAAAAAAACUUAAAAAUACCAAAAAUAAAUAAAUUUGACAAACAUGCGGCUAGCCUCCCUGCCCAACAUUGCCGAAAAGGAAUCUAGAGCUUAAUUUUGAUUUGAGGUGCGGGAAUGAAUUCUAAAUUACCUACGUGUCGUCAUCAUGGCAGCCAAAAAAAGGGAUUGUUCUAGUUGGUCGAGAUUGUCACUCAAAAUAGACUUAGAUAGUUUUUUUUGUCAUGGUGUGAGGUUUAGAGUUCAAAACUAAUUUGAGUUGGGGUGAUUUGUACAGUUGGAGAAUUUGACCGACGUUGCAGGUUCAAUGUUUUCUCAGAUGCCCUUUGAAAGUAGGGGAGGAGGCCUUGAAGACGUGUCCAGGGAAACCAAUCAAGUAGUCAGUCAUCCUUGUCCAAACUAUAAUUCCACCUUUCAAUCCUCGUAGUAUAGAAAAUGACUUCAAUUCACGAGUUUCGUCGUUUUUACUUGUAAAACCUUAUAGAAUAAUUCUUCCAUUCUCCGGAGAAUAGAUUCACUAAACUAGAAAAAACAAAAUAUAUUUCAGUGUUUAUUCUUUCUACCUAAAGUCCUUAAUUUCCAUUCAUUACAUGAAAUGGUAUUUACUCACUAGUAUUAAAUUAAUAUAUAUAUAUAUAUAUAUAUAUAUAUAUAUAUAAAAGUGUUGUUAACAUUUUCUAGCAUAGAGAUUGAACCAAUAUGAUUUAUUUGACUUGACGAGUUUAAAAAAACUCGAACUACCUGUAAAAAGUAAUUUGACUCACAAAAAUUCACGAAAACAUUCUUUUUAAAAAAAAUAUUAAGAUAAUAACAUAUUGAAUCGACCCUAGCGCACUUCGGUUAACCUGUCAAAUUUGUGGCCUGAAUUAUGAGACCAUGAUAACACCAAAUAAAGCAAAUAGAAACAAACUAUAAAACUCAAUUCUCAAUCAACCCAAUGAUGAUCAAUAAAUUUAAUAAAAAAACGACUCAUGUUAUGAGACCAUGAUAACCUCAUAGAAAAUAAAACGAAACAAAUUAUAAAGCAUAAUUUUCAAUCAACUCAGAGUUGAAUAAUGAAAUUAAAAAAAUAUCUAAUUAAAAAGAAACACAAAAAAAAUAACCUUAGUAAACUUUGGUUAACCCACCAAACUCAUGACAUAGGGUCAUGAGAUUGGGAUAGCCUCGUAAAAAGUAAACUAAAAAAAUGACCCGAGUCAGUCCUGAUUAACUUGUCAAACUCGCGACCUAGAUCAUGAGAUUAGGAUAGCCUUAUAGAAAGCAAAUUAAAACAAAUUAUGAAGUUUAAUUCCAAAUCAAAUAAUUAUUGAAUGAUGAAAUUAAAAAUAAAUCAAUCUAAAAAUAUGAUACAAUGAAACCAUUCAAGUCUACCCAAGUAAACUCAUAAAACUCGUGACUUGAGUCAUGAGAUUGAGAUAAUCUCAUAAAAAGCAAACCAAAAUAAAUCAUGAAGCCUAAUUCAUGAUAAACUCAAUGUUGAAUGAUGAAAUUGAAAAAAUAUUAAUUAAAAAAAAACAUCGUACCAACAGGGUUAACCUUCCAAAUCCGCAAUAUAUGUCAUGAAAUUGAAUUAACCAUGUAGAAAAAAAUUCGCAAAAAUCAUAAAGUUUACUUCAAUAAACCAAAUUGUAAACAAAGGUUUUUUUUUUUUAGACAAUUUAAAAAAUGCAUCCUCUAGAUAUUCAUGAUACAACGGUUAAAAAAAUAUUUCCUCAAAUUCAAAAUUUGUAUAUGUAUUUUAUUUGUUAUUUUUUCUAAAAUGUAUUUUUUUUAUUAUGGUAUAAUUAAUUAAAAAAUAAACUUUAAAAAGUUUCCCAGAGAGCGAGUAGUAUAUUAUUUUUUUAUCUUUUAGUACAUUUGCUCAAUCACACUGCAAGUCCUUGGAUGACAACCAUCUCAUUUAUCACCGAUCAACCCUCACCAGCAUAGAACCACCGCUAGUAUCUUGGCAAAAAGCCACUGCGAUCAACAAACAAUUGUAGCCCUUUUUGGUCUGAAUUUCACAUUUUUUAGUUUUUGUUGAACUAUAUAUAUAUAUAUAUUAUGGUUUGCAGUUGGGAAAAGGAUUAUGGACUUGUGUCUUGAUAGGAUUAGGAAGCCAUCGGAUAACUGUACUGGGCUUCGAGUGUUUUUGGGGUCUCGGUAUUGGUUUUGGAGCAGAAUCUUUGUGUUUUAGAAAUGCUUUCCGUUGAUAAUGAAAUAAAAUCAAAGCCGGGGAAAGAAAUUUUGAUGAGUUGUUUGAUUGUGUUUGUAGAGCAAAAAUCAUAACAUAAAAAUUAUUUUUUUAUCCAGGAUUUAAAAAAAAAAAAAAAAAAACGUUGUUCAGAUGUCAAAUGAAGCAUGUUUCCUUGUGUGACUCCAACCUCUCAAUAAAUUAUGAAAAAGGGAGAGAAAAAAAAAACCAUUGGCAUAUUUCAAGCACGAGUUUUCAUUCUAUAAACUAAGUAUAGAAAGCAUCUUGUUGUAUAUUUGUUGUCUAAAGAUCUUGAUAGUGUUUGGAAUUAUAAUACUUGAGUAUUUUUUAUUUAAUAUUUUAUCUAAAUAAUAUUUUUUUAAAUAAUUAUUUUUAAUAUCAAUAUAUCAAAACAAUAUAAAAUAAAAUAAAAUAAUUUAAAACAUUCAAAAAAAAUACAAAAGUUUCCAUUUUCAAUGGUAGCUGAAGCAAUAUAAAAUAAUGAUGUGGCCCACCACCCUACUUGGCCACGUGGUUGGAAUGAUAAAAUGAUCCUUCACUGAGAAUUUAAUUGAAAAAUAGGCUGAGAAGUCAACUCAAUCUGUAGAACCAGUGUAAUAAUAAUGUAACUAGACUUGGCCGGUGACCAGAUAAAACUCGUGCUAAAAAAUAUCAGAGAAUUAAAGUAAACGGUUUGAAUUUAAUUUUGGAUUUUUUUUAAUAAAAUAUAUCAUCCAAUAAAAGGUUAUGUUUUUUAUUAGGUGAUGUUAUAGGCACAUCCUGACAUCAAAAUUAUACAUUCUAAAGAGAUUUUCAAAUCAAGACUUCCCUUCCAUUAUUAAAAUAACCUACACCAUACGGGAAAAAAAAACUGUAAAUUUAUCUUAAUUCGAGAUUAUUUUUUACCUUUCAAAAAAAAAAACUCAUGCUGUCUUACAGGUGUAAGAUGGUAUUUUCACCAUAUUCACUUGUUAUUUUAUAUUUAUUUGGAGAUAUUUCGGUCUUUUUAUAAUUUUUUACACAGUUGAAUUACUUGGUUAUUCUUAAAAACAAAACAAAAAUAAAUACGGUUUAAAGAUUUUUUGAAAUUUUCUUUUGACAUGGACAGUGUAACUACUCUAUUACCCUUGAAAUUAAAAGGUCUUGAGCUUUUCUUUCAGGCAUGUUGGUAUUUUCAUAUUGGUUUUCUUUGUAAUUAUUGGGUGAUCUUAUGGGUGAUUUGGUAAUUUGCUUAAUAAACAAAUAAAAAAAAGUUGCUGGCAUGUUCACGAAACAUGCUAGUGCGUGCAUCACUCUACCGUCUUCGGGUGACGUAUGUGGUGACUCGCAACGAGUAAAAAUCAGCUUCCUUUAUGUUUUUGAUUUGCAAUGACAAGAGUUUCCUCUUCAUGUGACUUAAUUCCUGAUGGUUUAGUAACAAUUGACUUUUUUUUAUUCUUUUCUCUUUACUUCUCGAUUUUCAUAUUUGCCCUUACAACAUUUCACAACAACCCUUCAAGUUUUUUCCUCAUAGUUCUAAUUUUUAUUAUUUUAAUUGUUAUUUUUUUAUUUGAAUUAGUUUAAUGAAUUGAAUUAUUUUUCUCGAUUUCAUCCUCCAUCAAUUUUUUUCAUUUCAAAAUUGAUUCUCAUUCUUUUAACUUGUAUUUAUUUUAUUUUGGAUGGUUUUUGAAAUUGAUUUUUUUUUACAAUUGCAUCCUCCUUCAUUAUUACAUAUUAGAUUUUAUCAUCGUUUUUUAUUGCUAUUUUUUAACCUUGGAAAUUUUUAAUAUUUUUUUUUAUUUCAUUCUCCAACUUUAAAUUGAGCUUCUUGAUUAACUUGAAAUUUAGAAUUUAACGGGUUGUGAAUUUGAAAGAUUUACCUAGGUUUAGAAGAAUCGUCCAAGUAUAUUGAUUGCUUUUUUCUUUUUUUUUUUAAGCUCGUGUUUUUCAGUUUCAUCAUUUGACAUUUGAUUUAAUUGGAUAUUGGGCUCCAUGAUUUUUUUUCUAUGUAUAAGAUUUUUCAUUGCUUUGAAGAAUGACAUGGAUUAUCUCAGAUUUUUUUUUCCUUUACUAGAUUUAGCUUCUUUUUAAAUAAUUUUUUAAUUAAAUUUAAUGAAUUGCUCGAUAGUUAUUUUUUAAAAUAUACCAUCCAGUGUGUCGGCAUCUUCAUUCAUUUUAAUAUUUUUUAAGGUUAGAAAAGAAAUAUUUAAACCGCAAACAUAGUGUAAGGUAUUAAAUCAUUUGUUUUUUUUUAACUUGUGUUUUUUUCAGUUUUAUCAUUCGGUGUUUGAUUUAUUUGAAUAUCGGGCUCCCCUUUUUUUUUUUUUUUGUUUCUGUAUGAUUUUUCAUUAAUUUUAAAAAUAAGAUGAGUUAUCUCGAAUUUUUUUAUUUAUCAUUUAUUAUUUUUUAAUCAUAUUAUUAGAUUAACCGGCUUAAUGGAUCCAGACAGAUCAACUACCCUGGUCUCAAAUUUUUCUUUCUUCUUUAAAAAUGCUAGUCCGAGCCGUUUCGUAGUGCAAGACAUCAUUUUAGGUUUGAUCGAGUUAUUUUUUAUCUUUUUUUAUUGAAUGUUUUUUUUUUCAUUUCAGACCUUCAAUAUUUGAUUAAUUUAAAUUAUGAUUCCUAAUUUAUUUUUAUUUUUAUUUCAUAGUGUUAUCAUGAGCUCAUGUUCCGUAUCAAGAAUUUCGCAAGUUAAACAUGGUUAAUCUUGAUCGAUCCAAUAUAUUAGCAUAUUAAUAUUUUUUUAAAAAAUAUCAUCUGGUACAUCAUGUUCUUAAUAUUUUUUAAAAAAUCAUCCACUGUAUACUAAACUUUUAACUUUCUAAUAUUUUUAUAUUUUAUUAUAAGAUUGUAAAAAAAAUAAUCCAACUCACGUGGUAUCACGGGGAAAAAAACUAUUCAUACACUACAUGAACAUAGGGCACGUAAAUGCCUUACAUUGAUCAUUAAUUAAAGGAAACUUGUACGUUGGAGCAUUUACUUUUGAAGUUGCUUUCAAUCAUGUGUCUGCCAAAUUCCAAUACUUCAGCAUCAUGAUCAUAAGUUUUUCUUUGCUCUCUCGAUUAGUAUGCUUUUUGACACUCAUUUCUCUAACAAAACUGGCAUCUCUAGGCUUCAAGUUACUGUUCAAUAUUUUCAUAAUUUCUGUGAGUUGUGACUGUGAUUUAUAAAUUAUUUUAAUUAUUUAAAAAAAUUGUGAGAUUUAUAUAAAAAUCUUGAUAUUUGAUUUUCGGAUUUGAAAAAGAAUUCCAAUUCACAUAACAUUAAUUAAUUAGUACUGAAAAUGGCGGUGGAUACAAGUAAUACAAAUUAUUUAGACAUGAUGGCUUGAGUGUAUCAAGGGCUUCACUUACUUUUUGCAAUCAUGUCCUGUCCUAAACAUAUAACAGAUAAAGCAUAUGCUUUUAUAUUUUUAUUUAACUGAAUUUUUGUUUUUAGUUAUAGGAAAUCCUAAUAAGAGAAGGUAAGGGAAAUGUUAAGAAGGCAUGGGAGUAAUUUAUUUUUGGGACAUAAAACUGACACGUGCAAAGCAAACCAGCCCCUUUUGCCGGCUUGACCGGUCUCCGUAAACAAGCCUGGAUGUAAUUAUAAGCCACAGAAAACCACCACCUUUCCUUCAUCAACAAACAACACACACACAUAUUCACAUAUCCCUUCCUUCCUCGAAGAAUCUAGCCUCUCCCCUCUCCUUCGCCAUUCUCACCCACCAAAUCUUUAAUCAACGGUCGCUUCUCCCCAGGUUCUUCAUUCCCUUUUUUUUCCCACUCUAAAAUUGAUAGAAGUCUUCUUAAAUUAGAGGCCUUUUUUAUUUGUUGUAUAUUUGCGUUGUUUUAGCUUUCUGGGGUUCAGUUUUUAUAGGUUUUAUAGUUGUUUAUGCUUCUUUUUUUUUAGGUUUUAGAUUGUUGGGGUUAAUGGGUUAUGCUUCGUUUGGCUUUUAAGGAAGCAAGCUGGGUUCUUUUUAGAGUAAGAAAGCUUUGCUUUAUUCUUGUCUCUUUUAAGGUUUUUAGAGAAUAUUAUUAUAAGACUUUGUAUAGCUUUCUAUCAAAAAGUCUAGGUAUUGAAUUGAUGUGUGUAAUUAUAAUUACUGCUGUUUAAAUUUUAAAUUGUGUACGGUUCCAUAGGAAUUGAUUUAGGGGAAGUUAGGUUAGAUUCGUGUUGGAAUUUGUUGGCGGGUUUGGCUAUUCUGAGAACCGGUAGACAUGGCGGAUUCAAUUGCUGCAGCAUCUCUUAUUGGGUAUAGGCCACUCAGUGGAGGAUUGUCUGUUAAGGAUGGUUCUUACAGGAGGAAAUCUUUGAGUAGUUGUUGGCGUCCUGUAAAUGAGUUUGUGGGAAAAAGGAUUCUUUAUUCUUCUCCUAUGUUGCCAAGAUUGAAAAUUGAUAUGCUAGUUAAUACCUCGAUUAAGGCUCUGGCAACGGAGCUUACAAAAGAGGCGUAUUCAUUCAGAGAGAGAGAGAGAAUACCACGGACUUGGAAUUACCGAGUUGAUACUGGUGCUGAUAGAAAACCAGGUUUGUGGCCACCAGAGAAUAGAGCGGAUAACCCUUCGUUGCAUAACCCCUUGAUUCGACAAGAAAGGAUGGGUUGUGGUUGGUUGGGUGCUAUAUUUGAGUGGGAGGGUGUGAUAAUUGAGGAUAAUCCUGAUCUCGAGAGGCAAGCCUGGCUCUCUCUUUCUCAAGAAGAAGGGAAACCUGCUCCUCCAGCCUUUAUUUUGAGACGAGUAGAAGGGAUGAAGAGUGAGCAAGCGAUAUCUGAAGUCUUGUGUUGGUCGAGAGACCCAGCAGAGAUGAAAAGAAUGGCUACGAGGAGGGAAGAAAUCUACCAAUCACUGCAAGGUGGGAUAUAUAGAUUACGGACUGGUUCAAAGGAGUUUGUGAAUAUUUUGAUGCGUCACAAGAUACCAAUGGCAUUGGUUUCCACACGUCCAAGAAAGACUCUCGAGAAUGCAAUUGGAACCAUUGGGAUAGAAGGGUAUUUCACUGUUAUUGUAGCAGCAGAAGAUGUUCACAGGGGGAAGCCGGAUCCGGAGAUGUUUAUUUAUGCAGCCCAGCUUCUAAACUUUAUACCACAACGCUGUAUUGUGUUUGGGAACUCUAAUCAGGCCGUGGAGGCUGCCCAUGAUGCUUUUAUGAAGUGUGUAGCUGUUGCUAGCAAGCAUCCUGUGUAUGAGCUUGGUGCUGCAGACUUGGCGGUGAGGAAAUUAGAUGAACUUUCAAUUGUUGAUCUGAAAAAUCUUGCUGAUAUUGAAUCCCCAGAAUUUGGGCCUCCUGAGCCAGAGUUGGAGCUGGAGCUGGAGGAGGAUAAUGAUCGACCUAGCACAGUGGGAGUUGAUGAUAUCUUCUGGUAACUCUUAUGAAUUGUACAGUUUACUUUGUGCUUUAUCAAAUUCUUGUUGACAAUAGUUAUAUAUUGCCCCCCCUAGAAUCACUGCUAACCAAUGAAUCCCUUGCCGUGUACAAGGGAUAAAAAGGAUUAAAAAGUAGAAAGGGGAAAUAGAAGAAAAACAGGAAGAAAAAAAAAAAAGGCAGUCUGCAUUGGACUAGCAUUACCUUAUGAUGUAUGUAUCAUCCGUACCAUGUAUAUAAUUGUGUUUCAGCAAUUUUUCUGUGUUGCUUCUCCCUAUUUCUGUUUGAACUUUAGAAUUGUUUCAACUGUACGUGUAAAAAUCAUAUGCAACAUUACUCAAUACGGUCUCUAUUUUUCAUACUGUUCACCAUUCUCUCACCACCUCUGCAACACAAGUGCUUAAUUAGUGAUAAGUGAUUUAGAUGAUUAGGUUAAGACUUACGAGCUAGUUCGUAAUGCUUGGCAUGUUUCCUUGGAGGUUGGGGUGGUUUAAUGAAAUCCUUGUUUUCUCAAAGGUUCGGGAUGUUUGGCUGAGCAGUUUGGCAUUUGUAAUUUCAUUGCUUGCUCCCCUCCAAGGGACCAAUGAUUUGACUUGUACAAUUAUUAGAUCCCUCCACGUAAAAUUAUUAACAACACUACUCAAUUUAGUUGUUGAUGGAGAACGAACUAGCCUUUGUGGCAAAAGUGUCCCCUUUCGUUAAGUUCUCAACUAUUCUUUUGUAAUUUUGCUCGAAAGUCGUGAGUUGCUUCAUAUUGGUUUCUCAAGGCUGGGGACUGGGGUGCUGUUCCGUCCGUUCUCAUAAUUUGGUACUGAGUUUCUCUGCAGCUUCUUCUGGGUUCUAAUCCAAACGGACCAAUGACCAGGAUGUUCACAAGUCGACGUUGACAUUCCAGGAGGAGAAUGAAAAAUGAUUUAACUCAAUAAUUUAGAUGCAAGGAUAUUUAAAUUCAUGAUUCUUCUGUUCUUAUUAUGAGAGCACUCGAUCUGACUUAUCACCAACUGCCUAAUUGCUGUCUUUUAAGUUAGGGUGACACCUGAGUUUGGAGCUCAGCUUGGAAACGUAUGCCGCCAGAUUGUCACAAGCACGGAGCAAAACAUAAAAGAACUUGUCCUGGCACCAUAAAAAGAAAAGAAAAAAGAGGGACGAAAGCAGGGGAAAUGGAAAUUUGUUGUGCAAUCCAUUAUUUUUUAAAAUAUUUUUAAACAAUUCAAAAGCAUAAAAAAUUUAAUUCAAAGUAAAAAAUAUUUAAAAUAUUUAAAAUUAUUAUUUGAAACGCAAUUCUAAAUGAUCCUUUUUGUUUGAAAUUAUUCUAUGUUAUUAUAAUUUCUCUUGAAAAUACUUUCAGAUGCAUAUAAAUGGUAAUUUUUUGUUUUCAUCGAAGAUGUCAUAUGUCUGGUCAAUAGCAAGAAUCAGUAACUUUGCUCAGGAGAUCCAUACCAUAACCGAAGGAAAGGAAACCUGAAGCUAAGGCAAGAGCCGAAAGACUUUAAAGGCCAAUGCGUCUGGUGGAUCCAGAUUUAAAUCAUCCAAGAUAUGGCCCAAAGUAUCCCAACAUAGGGUGGGUGACAUACAAGCCUCACAUCCUUCUGCAAGAUGUAAGUUCGGGCCGAGCGCAGCCAUCGUUCGACUUCGACAAUGGACAUGGUAUGUAUGCAUGUACGUACAAUAACCGAGUUCUUCGACCGAUGUUUUUGAGCUGAUGUUCUUUUGCCGCCUGACAUUGCAGCUAGGGACCUUUCAAGCAAACAAAGCUUUUGUCCGUCUGUAUGUGAGGAAGAUUUUUGUACUGCCUUUUUGUCUACUGGUUGCGUGGCAUUUUGGAAGCUCCGGUUUGAUCCUGCUUUUAUAAGCUAUUUUUACAAGUUAAAAGUUAUUUUCUUACAACUUUUAUAAGCUUCCCCACCCACCCAGUGUGUGCGUUGCAUACGCUAACUAAUUUAUUUAUUUUUAUUUACUUUACUUUCUAUAUUUGUUUAGUUAUUCUAAAUUAAUUAAAAUUUAUUUUAUUUUAUAAAAUCAAACAUCAACCGUGAGAUUUUUAUUUUAAAAAUAAAAAAAAGUUAUCAAAUUAAAUGAAAACAAAAAUUAAAAAAAAAUGAAUUCUCCGUGAUCAUUCAAAUUAAUCCAUGAUAUUAAUAAAAAAUAGAUUGAAUAUUUAUUUAAGCUUUAAAUUUAGUUACAAGAGCGAUAAUUAUUUAAAAUAAAUGAAAUUAAAUUUUGUUUAGUGAAAAAAAUAAUUAACUGAAAAUUAAAAUAUUUUCUUGAUAAAGAAAUAUAAAUCACCAAGAUUAAUUGUAAAUCAAAGCAACGUUAAAAAAACAAACAAGAAGAAUAAAACUAAGGGACCAAAGCUUGAAAAAUCUUACAUCUUAAGAAAAAGGAAACACCUGGGAAGAACCAUGUUUCUUCUUAGAGGCUACUUGUAGGUUUUUGGUAGUAAAAGAUGAGAGAGGUGGGAAAUUUUAAUUAAUUCUCUUGGAAGCUAGUGAUAAAAAAACAAAAAGAAGACAUUAAGUAAGAAAAUAUUUUUUAUUUAAAAAUAUAUUAAAAUAAUAAUUAUUUUAUUUUUUAAAAAUUAUUUUUGAUAUUAUCAUAUCAAAAUAAUUUAAAAAUAUUAAUUUAAAAAAAUCAUUUUUUAAAAUGGUUUUAAAAUAAAAAACAAACAGAGAUCCGUACGUUUUGAUUGGGUUUCUGACAAGAAGGACAGUUUGGAUUGUAAUGGCAGUUGAACUAUUCGUUUUCCAGCUAGGAAGGUUUCAAGUAGAAAGCUACUUGUGUUUGUCGUUGGCGUGAGCCGCCAGGUGGAAUCGAUCCCAGUUCAAAGUGACCCAGAAACGUGUACGUAUUUGCCAUCGGUAAUCUUCGUUGACUAUCUGGCAAAAAAAAAAACUGCAGAAAGACCCUUGUUUGCAAUUUCUUUAGGUUUUAGUGAUGAAGCUUUUAGAUAACCACUAUAACUUUUGCAUAAUUAUCUGAAAUUACCAUCAUAUCCUUGUAGAAUCCGUUGAAUAUAUUACUGUAAAGUUCCUAUAAAUCCAUUUUUAAUUCCCCAAUACCUUUAUUUUCCCUGUAUUUCAAUCCAAAAUCACAAUGCAAAGUGUAAAUCUUGUAUACAGUAAGAAUAAGUCAUGGUUGCUUCUUAGGGUUUUUUUAUUUGUUAAAUAACUUUAAAAUAUAUAGUUGUUAAACUCGAUUUAAUUUAACGAAUUAAUUUAAAAUUUGAUUAGCAUGAUGUUUUAAUCAAAUUUAUAUUUAGCAAAAAACAAGCAUGUAAAUCACUUGACUUGCCGGGUUAAUCUGAAAUUCAAAUAACUUGGGGAAAUCAAAAGAAACCCACCUCUCAAUUUUUUUUUCUCUCCCUGUCCUUUUUUUUUUUUGGGUGAAACAGAAACCGUCUUCCCUGUUUUUGACACCAAAAGAAAUCCACGUGGACCAACAAUUGAGCGAGACGAGUAGAAGAUCCCAGAUACUGUGAUUGUCCUCGUUUUAUUUAACAAAAUGAAAAAUCAAAUCUAUAGUGUUUUUAUUUUUUCUAGCAUGCCAACCAAGAUCAGCAACGUGGGUGUCGCUGGGGAUGAUAAACAAUGUGGUUCCAAUAAAAAAUAGUUUUUUUUAUUUAGUGGAGAAACAAACAAAAUUAUAGUGGACAAAAGGAUCUAGAAAGCAUAGGUGCAGGGGAGGCAAUUGGAUGCUUUUUCCUUGCUUAGCACAACCCCUUGCAAGUGCCAUUCUAUUAUCAUUUUUUUAAUUAAUUUAUAUUAAAUUUUAUUAUAUAUCCACUAAAAUAAUAUUUUAUUUUUUUAAGAGGAGAUUAAAAGUCUAUUAAUAUAUAUACUCUAUAUCAUAAUAAGAAAGUUGUGUUUUUUCAAUGUGAAAUAAGAAAUAUUUUUAUUUAAAUACUUCAAUUUAAAAGGAUAGUAUAAUAUUUUUUCAAUAUGAGAUAAAAAAAUUAUAUUAAAACCUCAAAUAUUUUUUAAACAAAAUUUUCAGGUUAACCCGGGUCAAAUCAUGUAACUCAAGACCCAAUUUUUAGGGUGGGUCAAUCCCAUACUGGGUUUAAUAACUAUGCUUUAAAGUAUACAGUUGAAAUAAGAUCACUACUCAUUAGAAUUGGAUUUUUUUUUCUAAUUUAAGAGUAUUCAUAUAAAAAAAUCAAAUCAUUCUCAUAAACACAUUUUCACAUCAAUAUAAUGCAUUUGAAAAAAAAAAUUAUCCUAGGUGUUAGCCUCCAGGUUUGAAUAUUAAAAAUUAAGGAAAGAAAUAACCAUUCCUAACUACAAGCCUACCCCUUGAAAUUUCUAGGACCAAACAUUGGUCUGAGAAGGAAGUUACUAGAUGGACAAUCGUUAGGUUAAGCAUGCCUACAUACAAAUGAUAUUUAAAUAAAAAUAAAAAAGUAUAUAAAAAUGAAAAUAAAAUCGAUCUUAAGACAUUUAAUAUAUAUAUAUGUUAUGGAAAUUAUAUAUGUAAGAAUAUAAUUCAAAACGUCUCCUGUCCACCAUCGAUAAAGCAGUUAUAUUUUAUUCAUCCAGAGAAGAAACUGGUUUAGUGACUCUAAAGUGUGGAUGCAAUUAAAAAACAUUUCCCGGAUAAGCUUGCACAUGAAAAAGUAGACUGGAGUCGAGAGUUAUUUUUUCAGUUUGAUUUUGUGUUUUUUUAGUUGAGAAAUUAGGUUUUUAAGAUUAUAAAAGUGUUUUUUAGGUGUUUGGUGAAAAUAUGUUAAAAAUUGAGUUUUUUUCGGUAAACAGUUAAACAAUCAUAUUUUUUUGGCCACCCCUAUAAUAGCUGUAAUCUGGACAUUCAAACGAUGUUUCAUUUCCUUUUAAAAAAUAGAUGGAUAACGUGUUGUUCUUUUAUUUAAGUAAUAAUAAAAAAUAUCAUUCCCAGGUGUGUGGGCCUAUUCUAUGAGGCCCACAUGUCGAGCUUGAAUUUCAAUAAGUAAUAUAUGUUAACCUCCAAGAUUUGCGUGUCUUAUUUUUUUUUUAAAUAUUAAAUUUAAAUUUGGAUUAAAUAAAUAAAUAUUAUAUAUAUAUAUAUAUUCUUUAUUAAUUUUUGAAUUAAUUAAAUAUAUAUUUAAGAACAACAUUAAAGUUUUAGUUUGUUUUAGGUGAGAUUAUAGUAGUUUUUUUGAGUUUUGUUAAGUAUUUUUUUUAUACAACCUGAUGUAUUUGUUUUUGAAAAUAAUAUUUGAUGAUAUUUGUGCGAGUGUUUAUUUUUAGUAUUAUAUAAUUAAAUAAAUAUAGUUUUUUUAAAAUGAAAUAUUUAGCUAUUUCUAGUCCAAGAUGUACAACGUUUAUUUAAAAGGUGAAUCGGGUCAACUUUGGUGAAUUUAUUGUAUCUUUGUCAUGAUAUUUAAAAUACAAAAACAAGCAUGUUUUGAUUUUUUAAUUUUUUUUUUUGUUGUUGAAAAACACGUAAAUAUGCUUGCAUGUUUUUUUAAUCUAUUUUUGAGUUUUUAUGUUAAUAUAAUAUUUUACCAAAAACUAUCAUAUUAAACUUAUAUAUCAAAAUAUUUUGACACCAAAUUUUACGAUUCUAGUUGCAAAAUCGCAACAACUAUUUUUUUUUAAUUACUGUUAUUUUUAAGUGAGAUUUUCUUAUCUAAAAACUUAAAAAUAAAUAAAAUAAAUACUUGAAUCAAAAUAAAAAUUACCAAGAAUUUAUGAUCGUGUUUUAUUUUUUGUGUUUGACAUUUCAUUCAUUUUUUUAAUCUAGUAAUUUUAUUAAAUUUUAAAUUUAACUCCAGCUAAUUAGGCCAAAAAGUACUUAAUAAAAAAGAAGAAGAAGUGGAGUUAGCUUGUUGACUGUUCAUAUCAAUAAACCAACUAAAAUGACGCCUAGUUUUUUUUUUUAGAGCGUGUUUGGUAAUGUGGUUGCGAGUACUUUUCAAAUAAUUUUUCGUGUUAAAAUAUAUAUCAAUGAUGUUUUUUCAUUUUUUAAAAAUCAUUUUUGAUAUCAGCACAUCAAAACGAUCCAAAACAUACAAAUCAUAUUAAAUUUUAAUAAAAAAAAACAAAAAUUUCAAAAGUUUUAGGAACACAACCACAGCUGUAUUCCCAAACGUUACGAUAUAUUAGAAAAUAUUGUUUCCCAUCAAAUAAAAUAAUAUGUUCUUACUGCCCCUACAUUGCUUAGAUUUUUAAAUUCGAAUGUAAUUAUGCAUACUCAACUCUUGCCGUUGCAGUCAUCAAAUACAUCAUCAUCAUCAUCCUUGUCCAGGUUUCCCCGGAGUUGACAUCGCCGGCAAUAACUUAUUUUUACAAAAAAUAAUUAUCACAUAUAUUUAUAUGAAUUUUUUAUAUAUAAAGUUGUUUAUAUAAUCUUUUACUUCUUAUACUAAACAGAAUUAAUACCAAUUCAAUUUUUUUUAUUAUUUUAAAAAGGAGCAAUUUUCUAUUUUACAACCCUUCCUCUCUCGUGAAUGUAAAAAAAAAAAAGAAUUUCAGUAUAUUUCUAGAGUUUUAUUUAUCUAUUUCUCUUGUCUUUUUUUAAAUUAUUAGAUUUAUUUUAUCGAUUUUUUAAUAAAAUUAUUAAUGCUAUAAUUAGAAUUUCAGAAUAUUUCUAGAGUUUUAUUUAUUUAUUUUCCUUGUCUAUCAUCUCUCAUGUCUAUUUAAUAUAUUUUAAAGAAUAUUACUAUUUUAAAUAACAACAAGUUAUAAAUUUAUUUUUUCACUCAUGAAAUGAAAUGAAAUGUAUAAACUGUAAUUUGUUUUUCAAUCCCUAAUGUUUUUUUUAAAAUAUGCUAAAAACUAAAAAUAAUCCUUGGAAAAGGGGUGACGUGUAAGAAACCCAGCAAAAAUGGAUUAGAGUGGAGCAUAAAAGCAAAGAAUGGAAGCACUGCAUCAUUGUUUGUAGGGCCUCAUUUGAUUUUUCCCUUCCUUUCCUCACCCUCUAGUCUCUGCGUUUUCACUACAAAAGCCAACCCAGCCCAACCAAAAGAUCUUUCUUUUCUUAGCUGCCACCUCUCUCUCAAAAAUAUAUUUCUCCUCUUGCAAAUUCUUCAAUCCAUAAGAACCUGCUACUAUUCAAUCCCUACAAUUGUUUACGUUUCUCUUCUUCUUUAAGGUAAAAACUUCGUUUUUUUUUUUCCUUCAAGUUUUUGGUUCAUUUGAUGCUUUCGUUGUGUUGCUGGACUUUUUAUAUUGUAUGUUUUUACCUAAUGGUAGAAAUGAAUAUCGCGUUGUUAAAUGGUGCAUUGGGUAUUGUGAAGGUAAGGAGAAGUGGAGGAUUUUAAUUUCUUUACCAUUUUGUUUUUGCUAAUUUUUGUGAAGCAACCCAUUGUUGAUACUUGAUUUGAUAAGCUAAUACGGGUACUGUUUAUCCUGAUAUGAUAGGCAGCGUAGCACAUGCUGGGUUUUUUUUUUUUUAGAAAUGGAUAUCAUGUGAAAUUAUUUGAAGUAUCUCAUUAACUUUUUUUUUUUUGGAGAGUUUUGGUCACUGAAAAGUAAGUGAUAAAGUUGAAAAGGGGCGUUAUGUGAAACUGUUGAAAGCUGAAUUAGUUCUGUAUAGCUAACUUUUCCGACGUUUUACCACUGGCUGGAAUAUAAUUUGUUUGCGUUUAUGGUUUUCUCGCUGGAUCCUUGGUUCCUGUUGAUUUUGACUUUGUAAGUUGUAAUUGAAAGGAUGGGUGGGUUGUUGCAGGCAUGACGCUGGUUGCCCAGGCUGGUCCAUCAUCCUCUAUACUUAAGGAGAUAAGCCGCUGUAAAGCUGCACAAAAUGUGGUUAUUGCUAUGGCUAGAAGCACUGAUGCAUCUAAGCUAAAGGAAACUCCUCCCAGAUUCUCUUCAUUGUCAUGUAAUUCUAGCAAGACACCUCAGAUUCUGAGUUCAGAGAGUCUGUCAGUAGGAAUGAAGAGAGGGCAUCGAGUUGUUGUUGCCGCGAGCCCUCCUACAGAAGAUGCUGUCAUUGCCACAGAACCACUAACAAAAGAGGAUCUUAUCGGAUACCUUGCCUCUGGUUGCAAACCUAAGGAAAAUUGGAGGUAAAUUCUCAAUCCGUGAUCCUAGUUGGAUUAGAGUGGUAUCUUCGUCUUGUUGGAGACCUUGUCACUGGCUGCAACCCCAAGGAAAAGUAGUAUAUUGUCAAAAUUUUGCAUAGAUAAAAGGCUCUUCUUUUGCCCAUUCCACCACUCCUAAAUUCUGCAAAUCGUGGCGAUUCUUGAAUUUUUGCAAUUCAAAUACUCUGUCACAAGACAUGUACAUAUCCAUCGAAGGUCAAUUACGAUCAAACAUAUAUCCAUAAGGGUUUGUUGUACCCUUCUGACUAGUUUAUCUCAAACUGUAGUGCGUUGCAUGCUUUUCAAGUUGUAAAUCCAAGUACCUUCUGUUAAAGAAAAGGUUUUUGUUCCUUGUCCUUUGUAACAAACUUGUUAUUAUCCCAUUUCAUUUUGUUUUGGUUGAUACUCAGUACUAUUGGGUUUUCAUACUUGAUUUCUGGUUUUACCUAUACCCUAGGUAUUGCUCAUUUACAGUGUUGCUUUUGCAGAAUAGGUACAGAACACGAGAAGUUUGGUUUUGAGAUUGGAACUUUACGUCCUAUGAAAUAUGAACAAAUUGCAGGGUUGCUUCAUGGUAUUGCUGAGAGAUUUGACUGGGACAGAAUAAUGGAAGGUGACAACAUCAUAGGACUUCAACAGGUAAAAUGGUCAUCAUGGUUAUCUUUAUUUCCUUUUCAUAGCUAACCGCAUCUCAUCUUAUGCAUAUCUUAUACUCUGCUCUGGACUUAUUAUCUACUGUUUAUAUACAAGCUAAUUGCAUAUCUUACAUAGGAAAUUUUGUGCUGUUUUCUCAAAUGGCCUGGGUUGUGGAUUAUGUGGUUUUAAUUGCUUUGGCCAGGGGAAGCAAAGCAUAUCAUUAGAACCUGGUGGUCAGUUUGAGCUCAGUGGUGCUCCUGUAGAAACUUUGCAUCAAACGUGUGCUGAGGUUAAUUCACACCUUUAUCAGGUAAGUUGAGAUUAAUACACAUCAACAUGACUUUUGCUCAGGUUAAUUCAACAUUUGGGUUUAUUUCUGGUAGUAGGACAAUUUUUUUUUUUGCCAACAUCAUCUGGAUGGAUAUGAGAUUGCGUGAUGGUGCUGUUUUCUUUUUCUCACAUUUUUUAUGAAACACACACUCACUAUGUCCUUGUGAUCUUGCUGUCUUCAUAUGUUAAUUUUUCCAGGUGAAAGCUGUGGCAGAGGAAAUGGGAAUUGGAUUCUUAGGAAUUGGCUUCCAGCCCAAAUGGGGACUUAAAGACAUACCUGUUAUGCCCAAGGUAAAAUAAUCCAAUCAAUUUAUUCUCCUUCUCAUGCAAUCAGCUUGGGUGGAAAAUAUACUAAGACAUGAAGACAUGGGUUAUUAAGGAAAGUAAAAGGUAAUAGUUGUCAUGGAAUGAGCUUGAACAUGAUUUCCAUGCAAGACAAAUGUGCCGUUGUAAACUUUUUAUGCGAGUUUUUGUGACAUUUAACAGAAGGGAUAGAAUAAAUAAAAUUAUGAUCGUACACGUUUGUAUUCUCGGUUUUUAUAUUGUUUCAUGGGUUUCAUGUUUGGCUUUUUCAUGUCGAACCUUCAUAGUAUGCCAUGAAUGCUUCCUUCUUUGUUAAAUAUGGCAGAUUGUGUCUCUGAGCUUUCACAUAUCUUAUGCCAAUCUCUCGAGAAUUGUUUAGUUUUGUGGCACAAGGCUGAUUUGUCCAGCCAACUAUACACCCUAGUAUAUUCUUUCUAUAAGCCAUCUAAAGUUGCAUAUGUAGACUGAGUUAAGUGUUCAUGCCUAGAGGAAAAGCCUCUACAAAUACAGGGGCUACUUUUAAGCAAUGGAAUAUUUCAUAGAGGUUCCUUUCCAAUCUAUCCUUCAACAUACCAUCAGUGAUAUUUAAUUUAUGUUUGUUAUCCCAGCGAUACUAGGCUUCUCAUUUAAUCUCUUUUUUCAAUGCUUCUUUUCUUUUCCUUUUGUUUUUAGUGCUGUUUAUAAUCAUGCUUUCCCUUGGAAAUUUGAUUGCUUGUCUACUGACAUGUAUUUUGUCCAGGGAAGAUAUGAUAUCAUGAGGAAUUACAUGCCUAAAGUUGGCUCGCUAGGACUAGAUAUGAUGUUUAGGACUUGCACCGUUCAGGUUAGAUGAAUUUUGCUUUCUUCACUGGUUUGGUCAUUUUGAAGCAAUUUCUUGCCUGGUGGCUAAUUAUUAGUGUAAACUUCCUUUUCUGUAUUUGAUGAUUUUUUUGUCUAAUGUAUAUUGAUAACUUUUUAUAUAUAAAAUAUUAAACUUUCAACAGGUUAAUCUGGACUUCAUUUCUGAAGCUGACAUGAUAAGAAAAUUUCGUGCUGGCCUUGCUUUGCAGCCGGUGAGAAACUUUCCUAAACUUCGAGUUUUUUUCAAACACAAAUUUUUCUGAUUCUGUGAUAUCUUUUUAUUGGAAAAUAAACAGAUAGCAACAGCUCUAUUUGCAAACUCACCUUUCACCGAAGGAAAACCAAAUGGCUAUCUCAGCCUAAGAAGGUUUCUAAACGUAAUUGUACUGUUGUAUUUAAUAUGAAAUUUGUUUCCCGUAGGCUUCUUAGUGAUGUUUCUUUACCUGAGCAGCCAUAUCUGGACUGAUACUGACAACAAUCGUGCUGGCAUGCUUCCAUUUGUUUUCAAUGACACCUUUGGGUAAGUUAUUAACUUGUUAUUUGAGAGGAAAAUAACAUUUAAGCUUUUAAUUUUUGGGUUGGGGGUGGUGGGGGAUGAGCGGGUUUGGAAAUCCAUCUACAGAAUCUGUAUUUUUGAGUUAAUUUUUAUUUUGAACACUGUGAUGUACAGAAAUCUAAGUUGGCAUCGACUAUGAGCACAGAUGAUAACUAUCUGUGUGAGUAUAUAUCUAAGGAUAUGUAUAGUUUAGCUCCGUGCUAUUUUGUUUGCGAUUAAGAGGAGUCAUCAUCACCCCUGACUUCUGAGUUAAAAAGGAUUUAACAUUGCCAGCAUCAAUCCCCUUUUUUAUCAGUUCUCAGAUCAGGGGUAAAUAAAUGGGGACACAUGCCGAAUCCUGCGUACAAAUACAUGUUACAUGUAUGUUUGCAAGGUUAAGUUCAUAAUGUUUGCAUGAAUACUCUCAUAAACAAAUGCGCGCGCACAUGGUGCAUGAAGUUGAUUGUAUGAUGGCAGUUCUGUUUUAUUUUUCCCUUUGCAGGUUUGAGCAGUAUGUUGAUUAUGCUCUUGAUGUUCCGAUGUAUUUUGUUUAUCGGAAAAAGAAGUAUAUUGACUGUACUGGAAUGUCAUUCCGGGUUUCUUUCUAUCCUUUAUAGCCUUGUAAUUUAAGGUUUUUGAUUUUUCACCAUUUUUGCAGGAACCUUAUCCAUUAAAUCAAGCUACUAAUUUUUCAAGUACUAAUUGGUGGCCAUUUUAUAUUUUGCAGGACUUUUUGGCAGGAAAACUUCCUUGCAUUCCUGGUGAAUUGCCAACUCUUAAUGACUGGGAAAACCAUUUGACAACAAUAUUUCCUGAGGUUAAAUGAUGUGCAUUUUGGUUCUUUUGCCAAAAAAUAUCGUGCUGUGAUCUUGGCGGCUCAUUUAACACAUUUCUUUCUCAUUUCUUUCAGGUCAGGUUGAAGAGAUACUUAGAGAUGAGGGGUGCUGAUGGAGGGCCUUGGAGGAGGUUAUGUGCUUUGCCAGCAUUUUGGGUAGUUGGCCACUUUGAUCCUAUUCUUUUUCUUUUUUGGUUGCAUGAUUUGUCUAUGUCUGAAAUGAUAUUUGCAAAAUUUUUUUGAUGGAAUGAACAGUAGAACAGUUACAGUAGCAAGGAUGUGAAACUUGAAAAUUUUAACUUGUACCCAUAGCAUGGUUUAUUGCUUUGUCUUCUUUUAGUUUGGCACCCUUUUCAACAGAUCCGUAUUCUUCAUAAUUGAAUGGAGGAUUUUAUUACUUGCCUCCAUUUAAACAAUAUCAUCAGCUCAUUUUGUUUUCUGUUUUCAAAUGUCAGGUAGGGCUGUUAUACGAUGAAGACUCACUUCAAAGUGUUCUAGACAUGACAGCUGACUGGACCUCUGAAGAAAGACAGAUGUUAAGGAAUAAGGUAACCCAAAACACUUUUACAAUACUCUAUAUCUCCAUUCCUCAAAUUAUAAUAUGCCCAACACGAGAUCUGCAGAAGUGAUUUUUUGAGUGAGAGUCAUAGUUGUACGAUGUUUUCUUUUAGGAUGUCAUGCAGUAAACUGAAUAUAAGCAAAAGAUCAUGACCCUGUUGAAGUCAAUAGUAAAAGACUUGAGCGUGUUGUGUUGCUUGUUGGCAUUUCUUUUGCUAACGUGAAAAGGCUGCCAUAGAAGGAUCCACAAUAUGGUGGACUGACAGAUGAUGAAAAUUUUAAGUUUGAAAGAGACUUUCAUUUACUUUUUCUCAACAUUCCUGAUGCAAGUUCAUGAAACCUGACAUUGCUAGAGGCAUGGGUUUGUGUUUUAAUAUCUGCCAUGGCGUUGUAUUUAUGUGAGUAUAUGUGGUGUUAAUAAGGACAGUUCUUGCUUGCUAUUUAUUUUUAUCCCACAACAGAGAUGCAGCCUGUAUGUCUUCUGUAAUCAUGACAAUGAAUCUGAUAUAAAAUUGUUUUUUAGGUUCCAAAGACAGGUCUAAAGACACCAUUUCGGGGUGGACUGUUGAGACAUGUUGCCGAAGAAGUUCUAAAGCUGGCUAAGGUAACUUUAUUUUUUUCCAAUAAUGGUAGUUGGCUAAGUUAACCUGCAGACUGCUUUUCUUCAGCUUUAAGUAAACACUAGGUUAUUGCCCGUGCUAUUGAUACGGCUUGGACCAAAUUCUUUUGGAAUGUAAAAGGAUAAUAUCUUGACCAUCAGAGUUUUUUCAGCAUUGACAUUAAACUCGGUACAACAGUUUAAACUCGAAAACUCUCGAUUCAAGAUUCAACUUUUGCUUAGCUUGAAUUUUAAAUUAAAUCUUGUGAGAGUUGCCUUAACAUGACCUUGUUGACUGGUAGGUUCAAAGAAAAAAAAUGAAAGGAAAAAAAUUGUUAAGUUCUGCCUAGUCCACCCGUUAAAUCUGCUACCUGAGUUAUGAAUUACAUUGGGUUAAAUUUUAUUUUAUUAUUGAUAAGAAUUAUGAAACCGAUUCUUAAUUAGCCCCUUGUGAUAAAAAUUAAUAAAAUCUCAACAUUAAAAUAUGGAUUUAGAAAAAAAACCAAAAGAGAAAAAAAGGAGAAUAAAAAUAAUCAAAUGCUAUUAAAAAAGGCCAUGGGUUUGUUGUUAAAAAGCCUAGGUGCAUGGACUUUAGGCAGGCUUAUGUGUAUGGGAUAAUUUGUUUUUUCUUUUCACCUUUUUCUUUGAAAAAAAAAGUUACGCAAAAACUAAUAGCCACCUAGUGCUUGAACAUGCAACCUUACCUAAUUAAGUGCCUGUUUGGUAUUAUAAUAGUGAUUAUUUUUCAAAGUGUUUUUACUUGGAAAUAUAUCAAAAUAAUUUUUAUUUUUUUAAAAAAUUUAUUUUUGACAUUAGUACAUCAAAACGAUCUAAAAACACAAAAAACUUAAUUUCAAGCAAAUAAAAAAAAUAAAAUUUUUUCAAAAGCUUUUGAAAUAUAAAAAUAAAAAGGCAUCAAGGAUACACGUUAAACCAAGUGAGUUACAGAAUAAAUAUGUUAUCAAACAAUUAAAAUAAUAUAUUAACUUGGUUAAACCGACCCUAGUUUUUUUAGUUGUUUUGAUAAUUGUUCUCUAAACACACUUAUUCUACUGCAGGAUGGCUUAGAAAGGAGAGGCUUUAAGGAAGUUGGUUUCUUGAAUGCAGUGUCUGAUGUGGUUAGCACAGGUAAUUUAGAAGUAAUUAUGCAUUUAUUUUUGCAUGUUUCCCCAGUAAUUUGGCUAUGUUAACCUGCAUAAGUUGGUUUCUUAAUGGUCAUGAUUGAUAAUUUUAUGGCAGGUGUAACACCAGCAGAAAAGCUUUUGGAACUUUACCAUGGAAAGUGGGGGCGGUCUAUAGAUCCUGUUUUUGAAGAGCUACUUUACUAAGGUGAAUUAGAUUUUUGUAGCACUGCAGCAGUGUCCUACUGUGUAACUCUCUCUCUCUCUCUCUGGGUUUAAACCUUGUUUAUGUUCUGAACUACUUUCUUCAACUGAUACUGAUAGUUUGUCUGUCUUUUGCCGAAUAAAUUUCAAUGUAAAUCCUUGGUACGAGGAUUCUCACAAAACUCUCAUAGAAUAACACCCAGACAGUUUGGAACCAGUGAACAAUUUUUUAGCUUCCAUAGCAAUAACAAGCCGAUCAUGUGCUUUUCACAAGCAUUCAUUGUAACGUUUCCCUCCUUGUGUCACGCAUCUCAUUCUCAUCAUCCCUAAUGAAAAUGGUUAACCCGAUUUGGUAUCUAAUUCUAUUUUCACAAACUAACCAGGUUUUCAUUGAUCACAGUAUGCAAAUGGAUUAUGAGGUUGGUGAAGUGUGUAACAGAAAUAUGAAAGGAGGAUCUAAACUUAAAUGCUCCCUAUUUUUAGUUCAAACACUGUUACAUGGCAAACAAAAUGUCAGUACUCAUUUUAAGAAUGAUGGUAGCUAGCUUCCUUUCAUAAAAAGUCUGUUUUCAGUAACAUUCUACAUUUCCCCACAAUAGUAGGACCUUCAAUGCCUUCUAGCAAGUAUUUAAUUGUCAAUUGCUUGAUUUGCCUUUUGUUUCCCUAAAACCUUAUGUGAUCUUGUCCACCAACCCUAUCUCACCAGGUCACCCUCCACGUCCGAGCCAUGUGGGCUGCCAGCACCCACCAGGUACCGUGUGCUUCCCAUACCCGCUAGAGAUACAUACCCCACCAUAUUACCAUAUAAUAUGGUAGCUAUCCAUGCCACUGUUUUGUUUAGUCAAAUGUAUCUGGCUGGAGCGAGAGGUGUGAGAUUGCUGCCCGGGGGGGGGGGGGGCUUCCUAACAUAAGAGGGUGGUAAUUUAGAUGGGGACUGGCCAUCAUCCCUACCACUCUUGAGUAGGUGUUGGAUGGCUUGAAAACGAUGCUAAAACAGCAAAUUCUUAGACACAUAUCCAUGAACAUCAUCAAAUCUUAUCUCGUGCUACCUUUUUGUCUGUUAGUGAAGUAAAAUGCUAGUAUGAAGUUUUGAGUCAAAAUUCAGUCAGCUAUCAUUUUCCCAUUCAAUUUAGCCUGCAGCAGAUGAUGAUGAUGAUGGAAGUAUACUGAGAUCUGUUGAAUGUUUAUUAUGUAUUUAGGUUUAAUAGAUUAUAUUAGAAGCAAACUACCAAAUCACACUUUUCUCUUUUGGCUCAAUGGGAUUUUUUUGAACCUCAGACUACACAAUGGGAUUAUAAAGUAUCCAUAUUUUCAUAUAAUCUCUUCAGGUGAUGUGAAAUCAUUUAUCAUAUUAUAGGGAGGACUUAGCAUAGGAUCCCAACAUCAAGAAGCCAACUAGUCCUUGCGGAAGGUCUGGAAGGAGGGCCAGAAAGAAUACUUGUUUAAGAAGAGAGAGACAGACCGAAAACAGGACGGUCUCAUGCCCUCCAAUAAUUGAAGCUUCCUAGCUCUCACCCUUGUGACACCACCCUUAGGUUUUACAUCGCAAAUUAGGCACCUAAUUUGAUCUUAAAUCACUAAUGCGAUCUUACACCAUGAUAUUUGUGGCAUAACCACCUUAUCAGUCUGAACAUUACCAGAGUACCCUCCCUAUAUGUCUGUCAUCUCAUUUCUGUCCGAGUGACCAAGUUGUCUGAAAAAAUCUCGAAAUAAUGAAGAGGUUUCUAUUGACUGCCAAGUUUUAUUGAUAUGAUGCUAGACCGUAAAUUUCUACCAGGUAAAAAUUUGCUGGCAAUGUGGUUACCUUACCUGGUGCAAUCAAGGUACUAGGAAGAAGAUUUUAAUUUCCUAUAUAUUUGCACGAUCAGUAUGUUCUCUAUAAUAUGACAAGAACUCAGUAGUUAUUUAAUAUUUUUGCUUAAGAAAACAGUAAAACUCUACAAGCCACCAAGGAAUUAGAGAUGUUCAUCAAAAGAAAAACAAGGCGUUAAAGAGUGAGUAAAGGGAUCAAUAUUCAUGAAAUGUUCUCGUUAAUACACCAUUCCAGAAAUGGUGGAUUGAAGUAAGAAGGAAGUUGAUAAUAAAAUAAUAGAAUUCCAUCCAAUCAUUUUGGAGGAGAGCAAGCUCAAGGCAGAGAGAGAGAGAGAGAAAUGGAAGUAAGAGGAAGAAGGAAGUUGAUAAUAAAAUAACAGAAUUCCAUCCAAUCAUUUUGGAGGAGAGCAAGCUCAAGGCAGAGAGAGAAAUGGGGCAGUUUUGGAAUCUUAAAUGACAGACAGACAGAGAGAAAGAAAAUCAAUCAUACUGGAGGUUGGGUUGGCUAUUUUAGAUUGAGUGAAGCCAAUGUAUGAUUGCAACUUCUUGUUAUUAUUAUUAUAUCCAUGUCCAGCUCACAACUCUUGUUGGAGCUUGACAUGUUCCCCUCCUCCUAACGGAGACACAUCGUAUUAUUCAUUAAAUUUUCUCUAUAUUUCACACUUUCUGACACGGAAGAUAUCAAACUCACCUUCUUAAAAUCCUACCCCUCUUGCACCUACAAAAGCCCUGCGACUUUACAUUCUUCGUCACUCUCUCCCCUCCAGUCCCCUCUCUAUAUUUCUUCUCUUAACAUUUUCAUUUUUUUUUAUUAAGACUAACCAAUCAAGAUGAGAGAAAUCCUUCAUGUCCAAGCUGGUCAGUGUGGUAACCAAAUUGGUGGCAAGUUUUGGGAAGUUGUGUGUGAUGAACACGGGAUUGAUCCCACAGGGAAUUAUGCUGGCAACUCUAAUGCUCAACUUGAGAGGGUUAAUGUUUACUACAAUGAGGCUAGUGGUGGUCGCUAUGUGCCUAGAGCUGUGCUAAUGGACCUUGAGCCAGGGACCAUGGACAGCUUGAGGACUGGUCCCUACGGGCAAAUCUUUAGGCCUGACAAUUUUGUUUUCGGCCAAAAUGGAGCUGGAAAUAACUGGGCUAAGGGACAUUACACUGAAGGAGCUGAACUGAUCGAUUCUGUUCUUGAUGUUGUUCGAAAAGAAGCUGAGAAUUGUGAUUGCUUACAAGGUAUGACUUCCACAUCCUCACAUUUGUAGGUAAAUCGUGUUCAGUUUAGUCCAUUUAUCAUUGCUUGGCACACGCUAACUUUAGUUUCUUGAAUUGAUGACUGAUAAUGUGAUUAGGCUUCCAAAUCUGUCAUUCUCUGGGAGGUGGAACUGGAUCAGGAAUGGGGACUCUGCUCAUAUCAAAGAUCAGGGAAGAAUACCCUGAUAGGAUGAUGUUAACUUUCUCAGUAUUUCCAUCUCCCAAGGUUUCUGAUACUGUGGUUGAGCCCUACAAUGCAACCCUCUCUGUACACCAACUAGUUGAAAAUGCUGAUGAGUGUAUGGUCCUUGACAAUGAAGCUCUCUAUGAUAUCUGCUUUCGAACUCUCAAGCUCACCAAUCCAAGCUGUAAGUGAACCAUGCCUCAAUUCUUCAUCCUUGUUAGAAUUCAUACCUUAUAAAUUGCAACAUCUCUAAUAUGAAAGUGCGAAAUUACGUUACAGUUGGUGAUCUUAACCACUUGAUCUCAGCAACCAUGAGUGGAGUGACAUGUUGCCUUCGGUUCCCGGGCCAAUUGAACUCUGAUCUUCGGAAACUAGCCGUGAACUUAAUCCCCUUCCCGCGUCUCCAUUUCUUCAUGGUUGGUUUUGCACCAUUAACCUCCCAAGUCUCACAACAGUACCGUGCCUUAACCAUCCCGGAGCUGACACAACAAAUGUGGGAUGCUAAAAACAUGAUGUGUGCAGCUGACCCUCGGCACGGUAGGUACUUGACAGCCUCAGCUAUGUUCCGAGGCAAAAUGAGCACUAAGGAAGUUGAUGAACAAAUGAUAAAUGUGCAAAACAAGAACUCAUCAUAUUUUGUUGAGUGGAUUCCAAAUAAUGUUAAAUCAAGUGUUUGUGACAUUCCACCAACUGGGUUAGCAAUGUCAUCAACAUUUAUGGGAAAUUCUACGUCUAUUCAAGAAAUGUUUAAGCGUGUUUCGGAACAAUUUACAGUCAUGUUUAGGAGAAAGGCGUUUUUGCACUGGUACACUGGGGAAGGAAUGGAUGAAAUGGAGUUUACUGAGGCUGAAAGUAACAUGAACGAUUUGGUUUCUGAAUAUCAACAAUAUCAAGAUGCCGCAGCCGAUAAUGAGGGGGAGUAUGAUGAAGAAGAGCCUAUGGAGAACUAAGGAGAAUUUGAUCUGGUUAUUUGCCUAUGGCUAUGGCUUCAAGGAUGAGUUGUUUCUGGUGGAGUUAUUUAUGUUACUGUAUGGAGGUCAAUAUUUGAAUAAUUUGGGCCUCCGAUGACCGUGAGAUUGUGAACAUUUCUAUUUAUAAUCUGAGUAUAAAAUUUGUAUUAUUGUUUUGUUAUAAUGUGGAUGAUUAUCGUUUUUCUUCAUCUAUUUUACAUUAUCUACAUUUUUUCUCCCAAUAAUAUUAAUUUUACCGAAAUUAUUUCUUGAAAAAUCUCAACGUCUUAAUUUUGUAGAAUUCACUAUUAGAGUAAUUUGAGGACGAUUUUUUAAUAAAAUCAGCAUUUCUUGUUUUUCUUUAAAUUCUAGUAGUAAAUACAUGGAAAUCCCUAGUUUGCAAAUGAGAAAGUUAGCUAUCUAUAAAUUUAUAAUUUACUAAAAAACUUUGAGGUAAAAUCUCAGGUACUUAAUCGUUCGUAUGAAUCUGCAUUACUAUACAUUAUCUAUAUGAAGUAUCUGUCUUUUUUUUUCAUUUUCAUUUCUUUUCCUUUUAAUUGAUUCUUUCUAUAGUUUAAUUAUAUAAAAUUAUGGUAAACAUAUUAAAUUAAAAGACAGAGAACUUACAUGUAAAACACGAAAAAAAAAACAUGGUCAAUCCCAAAUUCACAAUAUUUUUUUUAUUUUGAUCCUAAAAUUUAUUUUAUUUAUUUUUUAGUUUUUUGGUUUGAGAGAAAAGAAAGAAACUAUUCAAAUAAAACAACAUAAGAGAGAAAAAAAUUGAUGGAUAUAACAAUUCACAAUUAAAAUGGUCAAACUUGAUGUCAAAUAAUUCAAUUUAAUGAGAGGAAUUCGAUAAUAGUAGUUUUACACUUCAUCUUGCUUGAAAAAGUAAAUCAUGCAUGAGAGAAUUUUUUUUCUUAGUUUGAUUUUUUUUUUGUUUUUGGACCAAUUUAUAAGUGUUUUAAGUUGAAAAAUUGAUUUAGUGAGGUUUUUAGAGUAUUUCUUAGGUGUUUUAUGUCAAAAUAGAUUAAAAAAUAAAAUUUUAAACUUAAAAACAUCUCAAUUUUAUUUUUUAACCACCCCAAGUGAUCGGGAUUUGAGUUAAUAGACGACAUGUUGUCUACAUUAAUUUUUAUAAAAUUAAAAGGGAUUGACAACAUGUUGUACACCUCUUAAUGUAAAAAAUGUAUAUAAGCCCAAGUGUAUGAGCUUGAGUAGUUGGUCAAGUGCACGGACUUGGCUUGCAAGGUUUAUUAGCGCCUUACUUCUAUAUUUUUUUAAAAUGAUAUAACAAAGUGCAUCUACAAUACUAAUAGAUUUUUUAUUAUAUUAAAAAUUAACUUGAAAUCCUUUCAUGCAGAAAAAAUAUAUAAUCCGAAGCAUAUAGGUUUGAGUAAUUAAUCAAGUGCGCAGACUUAGUUUGCAAGGUUUUUAUUAACGCUUAAUUUCUAUCUUUUAAAAAAAAUAUAAUAAAAUAUAUUUAAAAUAUUAAUAUAUUUUUUAUUAUAUAAAAAAUUAACUUGAAAUCCUGCUACCUCUUAAAUCCAGUGUCGUGAAAGAGAAUGAUAUGAAGUGCUUAUUGCCUUACCAGGGAAACAGAAAUCAAAUGUCAAUUAAAUAUUAAUAUUAGAUUAUUGAAAAACGAAAAUAACUUGGGUCCAUAGCCCCGUCGCAGAGCAUUAGGAUGCACUUGUUCAAGAGGUCAUCGGUUGGGCCUUUUCUCAUAAUUUUUUAAGCAAUUACUAGUUUUUUUUCCCUUCUAUUCCGACUGUCGAAAAAGGUCUUCAUGGGACUAGCAUCAACCCAAAUUCACCCCAUACACACAGAAUGUGAACCCAGAAGGGUGGUCAAGCCCUGGCAUGGUUCGUUCCCACUUCUAGGGUUUGCUCCUACUUUUCUUAUGUUCAGUCAGGGCUCCUUGGUUACCCAGUCUGGUAUUAGCUGGAUCGGCCCAUUGAACUGUCCAGCCCUAGGGAUGCACCUCCUACCAUGACACAAACAGAAGAAAAAAGGCUGAGAGGUAGUACUUGAAUGCUGUUUACUAAGCAAACUCUAACAAGCUAUCACCAAAACUCUUAGAUUGUUACCAUUUUUUGUUCAGAUCCUAGGAAAGUUGUAAAAAAGAAAAUUUCUUCUGGAAUAUUUAUCUACGUUGUAGAUGUUCAAUCUAAGAAUUGCUAGAAUACAUUUAUGGACUUGCCAUUUAAAUCGCAAAAAGAUUAGACAGUCACCGCUUAGAUGGUAAGUUGAGAGACCUUCGACGUAUAGAAUUAGCUCCACUUGCGAUAAUGGCUCCUAUUUUAUUCAGGCAUGUUGAUAAUGGCUCCUGCUUUCUCUUUACAUUGAUCUGAUGUUUCGUGAGAAUUGACAUGUUAUGUCCAGCUGCUCAUCAUGAGAACGGAAAAGACAGGAUUUUACCGUGGCCGGAGAUUUUGCUGGGCUUUGAGAUCAAACUUCUAUAUUUACACAACAAGCAGCCACUGCUGAAAAGCAAAGAAUAUUUGAUUAAAAAACUUGGAAUACAAAAACACCAUUUCCACCUCUGCUUGUGCAGCCACAACCAAUAGCACUGUACAUAAAUUACAAGGAUUACAACAAUUUAUUUUCACCCUCUAAAAGCAAUUUGAAACAACAGGUGAUUCCAUCUACAAACAUGUAAUCUGUCACAAGAAUGUCUUAAUUAUUCCUCCAGAUUUUUGUAUUGGAAAAGGUCAGCAAACAGAAACAAGGGUAUUGUUCAUAUGUGCAUGAGUGACCAAAAUGGCAACACCCAGUAACUGACCAAACCUAACCCAUCAAAAAUGUUUCGAAAGAAUUCUUCAAGAUGACAACCAAUCAAUGCAUGCAGUAGAUCGGAGCCCUUCACAGCCAGGUUUUUUGCUGUGAGGUCAACUCAAAAAAACCUUGGAUCAUCCUGAUUUGAAAUUAAGCUCGUGUUCACCAUUGGUAGUCAUCUUAAGGAAAUGAGCAAUCCAAGAAGAGAUUUAUUUUGACCUUUGUCCUACUAUCAUGCAUUUGUGUUCCUUUUAUUUUCAAGAGUUGAUGCCUCUUUUAGAGCUGCUUUUGCCUCAUUCUCCUUUCCCAUUGUUAAAAGAGCUGCUGCUUGUAAAUAAGAUGCAAUAUGCCAAAUAGGGAAUAUUGCCUGGGCUUGCAGUGCAUCAUUUAGGGCCUCCUGUGGCAUGUCACUCAAGAGGUAGGAUAGACUUCGGCGUGCAUGAACGGUUGGGGAAACCAUGGUUCCAAUAUUAAUGAACUGCAAAAUGAUAAAAUGUGAGCUCAAUUUUGGAAAUUUUGAUAACAAUUGAUAGAACAAUUUGUAACUUCUGAUUGCAUCAGAAAUACAUAACCCCACUAAAAGAAUCCUACUUUUGAGAUCUCAAAGUUCUGUAAAGAUAGGCUUUUUUUCUAGUUUGAUUGUAAAUUCAUUAACACCACCUCUACCUGUACUCUCCACAUUAAUAAACCUAUUUUAUCCACUUCAACCAAUCUCAAAGGUCAUCUAGCAAAAAAAAUAGAAACCAAUUAACCUGGGAAUAGAAUUCAGUGGCAGCUCUAAAAUCUUUGUGCCGGAAAGCAACAUCUCCCUUCUUCUUUGAAUUUAAUAUUUCCUGCAUUUGGUUGGUCCACAUCUGGAACGAGAGCUACAAGACAGUAAAAAAAGAAAACGCAAGCAGGUCAUAGGAAAAAAUGUUACAGCUGAACUAGUCAGGCAUAUGUAAGAAAUCAAUGACACGUGUGAAAUAAAGGAGAUGCAAACACAGGAUGAGUGCAAUCUAUGGGAUCUAAGAAUCAAGUGAUUAUUCACCAGCAUCCAUGUAAAAUCACUAGGGGAAAAAUGGCAAAGGUAAACAAACAUGAGCAUGGAAAUACAUAAAACAUUAACUAAAUAAAUGCUAAUGGUGAAAUUCUGAGAAUCAAGCAAUAUUAAAAAGACCAAUCAAGAAAUAUCAAGUGACAUUCUUUUAAUAUUAUCAUUACUAAAAUCAUAAGUAAAGCAUUCAAAUGUUCAAGGUCAAAAUGAUGCUAACAUAGCAAAGCAGAACCUUGAAGCUAGAAUGAUUUAUCAAUUUCUUAAUUUUCAAUUCCAUGGAUCUAGCAUAGCAAAAAAGAAAAUGAAAAUAUUCCUUAAGAGAUCUUCAAAAAACACCAUAACUUGACAUAAUGAAAACAAGUUUUGAAUCUCUAAUUAAAGUGACAAUAAAGGUCCAGAUGGUUGCUUUAAUAGCAUUCCAUUACUGUUACCAUUUUAUUAUAUCAGAAACAAACCUCAGUUGCUGCACCCUCAUCAUCUUUAUACCCAAGCUUUUCUAAAAUCUCAUGUAUGGCAGUCAAAUCCAUUCUUAAACAAGCCUCGCCAAGUGGUGACAGCGGUAAUGCUGCAGCACCAUCUUGUAUCCCCAUCAAUUCAUGAGAAGGAACCUGCAAAUCAGACUACUAAAUAAGUCCAUUGAGGGAUAGAGUGAUUCAAAACUUUCAAUUCACACCAUCAAGACAAGAGAAUGUUGCGUAUUAUAGUUUGUAAAAUCUCAAGUAAUAGGUCAGCACCAAAACUCAAAGUAAUAAAUCAGAAAAGAGCCAUUCCAAAAGGUGUUUUAAUAGACACCGUCAACCGAGUACUGCUUAUUGCAGGCCCUGACAAAAACCAUUAUUUCAUCCACAGAACACAUUUCCAGAUAUCAGGUCAUGUAAAUGAAUAAUCAUUCUUAUGUUUAUGACUAAGAAUGUCAUUUAUUUUCUUCUUUUUUUAAUCGCUUUGAGAGUAAAAUGAAGUCGCUGCCUGUGGAAGGAUUCAUUUGAGAAAGUCAAGGCAUUAUACGGAUAAGAUGCCAGAUACUUAAGAAUAACUAGAUAACAACCAACCUCAGUAUCCUUCUGCAGAGGAAUCAAAGCAGCAACUAAAGACUUAGGAUUUGGUCGCUCCCGGGGCUCAUAUUGUAAACAGCGUGAAGCUAAUCGCACCAACUCAGUUCCAUCAUCAUUUGCAAAUUGGCCUUCCAAGCAAGAAUCUGACAGCAUUUGAAUAUUUCUGUCCCUUAUCAAGUCCAGUGCCUGAAAUAAAUUGUUCAGUAAACUAUUAGCUGCCAAUUAUGUGAUACUCUAAAUGUUCCAGAUGGGAGUUUAACCAAGCAUGUUUGAACAAUCUCAUUUUAUUGUUCAAACAUGCUUGGUUAAACUCCCAUCAGGAACAACAGCCAACACAAUUAAUUUCAGGAAUGCAUGUACAUCUAGAACAAUAAAAAUGAACAACGGAAUCACUACAUCUAGUCAUACUGCAGCCACUGCCUUUAUCCCAGGCAACAUCCCAGAUUAUGUUGUGAUUCCAGUGGGAAGAUAGAGCCUUCGAGGUGCGCAGAAUAAUAAGUGAAGAAAUUUGCAAUGAAACCAACUAACAGAUGCUUAAUGUUUCUGCAUCAAAAUGAUCGUAUUGAGGAAGGAACUUACAUGGCUGGGAGGAAUAUGUUUCCCACUGAGAAGGUCCAGCAAGAGGGUGCCAAAGCUAUAAAUUACACUUUCUGCUGUUACCCUUCCUAUAGAAUGAAUGAAAAAUUGAAGUGAUAUAGGAGAUAAACUAAUUAACAAACCAUGAUUAUGAUAGCUGAUAAGGAAAAUAAUGGAUGAGCAUAAAUUAUGUUAAGAACUUGAAUGAUCAAUGUGAUACACCAUCCAGGAUUCAAUUGAAACAAUAAUUCCAUAUGCCAUAUAUACAGAGAUCAGGGUGAAGCUUGCAGGUGGAGGAACAUUUAGCUGGUUCGAAAGAAUUAAGUACCUGUCCUCAGAUACUCAGGAGGUGUAAAUGCCAAGUUUGUACUGUAACUUUUUCCAUCUAUACUGUUCUUCAUCAGACCAAAGCAUGAAAGUCUAGGGUUGCCCUCCUGACGAAUAGAAUGAUGAAAUGAAAAUGGACUCUGUUAAAUCCUAACUGUGGAUACUGGACACGUUAAAGAUAAUGAGAUACUUACAUCAUCAAAGACAACUCUAUAAGCAUUCAGAUCAUGAUACAGAGCACGUCCCUUGCUGGCACAAUAUUCUAGAGCUUGUGCAAGGUGUAGAGCCACUCUAAGUCGCAUUGCCCAUUUCAUUGGCUGUGUUUCCCCUGAAGAAACCAGAAGGUCAACAUUGAGUUCUGAGAAAAUUUUAAGAAGAAUAAAAGAACAAGACUGCUCCUUGGUAUCUUGGUUUGGUGUACUAACUCCAAGCACAAAGCAAGAGUUCAAGCUACAGAAAUGGUGAGCAAACCAAGAGCAGAUCUUUUGUAUCGCAAAAAUCUAUAACAGAAUGUUGUUGUUUGUAGCAAAGAGUAUAAAAGAGAAACGUGCAAUUUUUCCUCCAUAAUGUACUGCAGGCGCACACACUUCCAAUAAUAGGAAUAAUAAUUGCUCAAUUGGACACACAAGCUUGGAAAUUAAAAGAAAGAAACCUGCAAUAUCCACUAGAUGCUAAAGCAAAGGAAAGGGCACCAGAAACAAACUUACAAUGGAAUAGGUGUUUGGCCAAUGUAUCAUUGGGCAUAAAUUCAGAAACGAGUAACCUCUCAUCCCCUUCACAGCAACAGCCGAGCAAAUUUGCCAACCUAUGGUUCCUCAGCUGACCAACAGUUCUUGCUUCUUCCUAAAGUCAUGGAACAAGAACAUCAUCAUGCUACUGGCAGUAGUGUAGGUAAAUAGAAAGGGCAGGACAAAUGCACAUGGUAUUUGGUAAAUACAAAAUGCUAUGCUUCACUUACCAAAAACUGCCUGGCAUCAGGCCAAGAAGAUCUAUUAAACCGUUUCACAACAAUCCUUCUCUGAUUCUCAAGCUUCCCCUUAUAAACCACAUUUGGAGCCUUUUCCCCAUGUUCAGAAACUAUAUUUUCCACAGAAAACCCAGAUGUCGCCAUCCUGAGGGUUUCAAUGUUGUAUUCACGGAAUGCAGGCAAAUCAUCGAGUUCACUCCUCUCUUCCUUGUCUACAAAGACCAAACAACCCAAAGAUCAAAAUGACACCACAUAUAUAAACAAACAAAAACCUCCCAUUUCACUUACCCUCAUUGUGGUCUUCGGGAACUGAUCCAUUAUAGUCAGAACUCCAACAACACUUGGUGAGCUUUGAACACUCGCAACCCAUUCCAAUAACACAAUUUGAAAGCAAGCACUAAUCAAUUCGAAUCUUCAAAGCCCAAACUUUCUCUAGCUCAACCACUCCAUUAGCUUCAGCAGACCAAUCCUUUCUUAAAAUUUUACAAUAUCUCAACGGCAAUUAUAUCAAAAAAACUUCAAUUCUCGCUGCAAUCAGAAUAGAAAAGAUUGGAACUUUGCCCUCAAAUGCUUUUUUUUAGAACAACUCAAUUAACCUAUGGCAAUAACAGUACAAUUCAAACAUUUCAUUCUACAACAACCCGAAGCUACAAAAGAACAAAAUAAGAAUCUUAUAAUGUCACAUCAUCAGUUCUCUAAAUUUGAAAAAAAAAAGGAGCAAAUCCUAAUUCUUAUCAAUCAACAUCAUUUUUAUCAAGUACGAAUUCUUCAUUUCCUUAUGAAUCUAAACUCCCACAAAAGAUAUGCGAAAAAGAGAGAUUCCCAGAUGCUAAUUUCCUUUUCCUUAGCUAUCUCAACAACCAAACAAAAGAAAGCAUCGAAAGAAAAGGAAAGAAAUACCCUAUCAGCAACGAUUCCACUGAGUCAACCCAGUCCAGCACCAGCAGCAUCAAGACUUCAUCUCUCUCACCCUCUCUCCCUGCAUCAGCUUCAAGUGAUUCACUUUAUAGAAAACCAAAUCAAACCCACAGAACUUGAAUAAAAAAAAAAGAACACAAACAAAGAGCACAAAAGAGAGUCUUGAACGUGAAGAGGGGGAGCUAAAGAGAAAGGACUCUAAGCUUUAAUCAAUUCCUAGAUGGGUUGAAGAAAGAAAAUUAUUACAAGGUUUUAUGCUUGUGUUUUCUAGUUUGUGUUGGUAAUGAAAAUAAAUGGACCUUGGGUUCUUGAAAAGUUGGGUUCCGUGUGUAUUUGAAUCUGAGAGAGAGAUCUUUCAGCUCAUUUAUUUCUUUCUAGGUGAGAGAAUGAGAAUUUUGAGGGCUUUGAGAUUUGGAUUACAGUAUCGAAUUUCUUAUAAAGUAUUAUAUAAUAAACUAAAUAGUUUAAUAUUUAUUUACAUUUAUAUAGAGAGAGAGAGAUAGAGGGAGGGAGAUAUGUGUGAGAGAUUUCCUUGUCUUCGCUGUUUGCUUGCGGUGCUGUUGUUUUUGAAUGUAUUAUACUAUUAUUGUUUUGCUUUGUUUUCUAUCUUAAUUUCCACCGACAUGACACUCACUUUUCUCAAUCUCCUACAACUAAGCCACCAUUGUCAAUGGCCUCUUGCACUGUUAUUAGUUUUAGUUAUAUGAAAUCCAAUAUUGAGAUUUUGAGAAUAAUUCUGCUGUAAGAAGUUGAUAAAAACUAUUCCUUUUUUUUUUUCUGGUUUUGAGGGGGAAGGUACUAUCAAAUCUCCGUCACGAGAAAUUACUUUCACGUAGCAUUUACUUGGACUCGUAUCUAAAAUGAUCCUAGCAUGAAGACAACAUUAUUUUUACCUGAACUUAAAAUACGCUGUUCCCCCCUUCGAGAGAGAUUUUUAUUUGUUAAACAAAUAACGUGCACUGACACAGUAAUUUUAUUUUUGUCUUUGAACACUUUCUUUUGUCUUUUCUUCUUGUUUUUUAUAGCGAGUUAAAACUAGGUGUAAUAUUUUUUGUUCGGUUAUUUUUUAUAAAAAAAUAAUAACUAAACAAAAAAAAAUCGAAAUCGAUUCAAACCAACCGAUUUCGGUUCGGUUCAGGUUUUUUAGGAUAAAAACCGGUUCAAACUGGUUUGGUUCGUUUUUUUCGGUUUGGCUCGGUUUUUUAUGAUUUGGCUUGGUUUUUUCGGUUCGGUUCGGUUUUUUCGGUUUCAGACUUAUAAAACCGAAACCGAAUCGGUCGGUUUUUUUAAAAUUUUAAUCAUUUUUUUUCACGGUUCGGAUUAUUCGAUUAUUUUUUUUCCAGUUACCUUAGUUUAAUCAGUUUUUCAGUUUUUUUGGCUCAUUCCCAGUUAAAAUAGUUUUUAUGGUUAUGAUUUUAAAAAAAUAAAAAAAAUUUAAAUUAGUUUUAAUUUUUAAAAAAUAUAUAUUGAGUUAAAAUUUAUAUAAGAUGGAUUUUUUUAUUACAAAACAAAUGAAAAAAAAAUUCUUGAAUGGAAAAUAAAUUAUUGUGGGGUUCGGUGUAAAGACAGAAUUUUCAUGUGGUUAGAUAAAAUGCAGAAGCUACAAUAAUACUUGCAAUACCAAAACAGUCUCUAACUCUUGUUGGAUUGUUAAGUACUUGAUGUUGUUGAGCAAUUAUUAUUUUUUUGAAUUUUCUAUGAGUUUUUGUAUUGACAAUUUUGUUAUUUAAAGCAAAAUAAGUAUUUUAGUUAUUAAAUUGAAUAUAAUGACAAAUUAUAAAUAACCAAAUAUCUUAUUGUUGAUUUUUUUUAUAUCAUGUAAAGUAUUAUAAAAUUAUAAAUUUUUUUAUGUAAUUUUUAAAAGAAAAAAGAAAAAAAGUUAAAUUAUAGAAUAAUUUUUUCAUUAUCUUUAAAACGUUAAACCAUGUAUUGAAAAAAAAAGAGUAAAGAAAUAUUUAAUUUUAGUAUGAAUAGUUCCACUUGAUCAAAUAGAAUGUUUGAACUUGAUAUUAAAGUAUAUGUUUGGAUGCAGAGGAUGAAAUUCUGAUUUUGUUAUGCUUUAAAUUACUUUUUUUAAUGUUAUUAAAUAGUUUUGAUGUAUUAGUAUUUAAAAUAAAUUUUAAAAAAUAAAAAUAAAAAAAUAUUAUUUUAAUAUAUUAAAAAAAAAACACUUUAAAAAAUAUAAUUCCAUACUAUUCAGACAUUCCCCGUAAACCUACCCAAAAACACCACUGAAAACCUAUUUUUUAAAAGAAAAAAAAAACGCGGGCCUUUAGCAGAGGUGAUACAGUCUUUCUUACAGCUGACAUCCUUUUAUAUUUUUUUUAAUCGUUUCUAAGAUGACUGAGCAAGCUUUGGUCUCCGUUCAAUCGCAACAUGACUCCCACUACCAAUGUUGUCAAGGUGGCUUUCUGGUUUAAUAGCUGGGUCAGGGUGGCCUGUGCUUGUCAAGGAAACAGAUUGAUUGUAGAGGAAGAUUCGAUGAACAUCACCCUAAUUAAUUAUUGGCCAUCUUCUCUCCAUGAAUCUAUAAUUACUGGCAACUUCUUAAUAAUCACAGCAACAGAAGAUGGGAGCACAGAUAGAUUACCAUGAUUGAAGAAACAGAACGAGGCCUCUGCAUCUUGGACUUUGUGGGUGCCAUUCCUUCAAAUACAGUUCCACUUUUCACUUUCAGCCAUGGGUUUUAAUUUGUCUUUCAACAAGUUUCAUUCCACAGACUAAAAUUGUUCUCUGCCACACCUUUAUGUGUCAUCAUUGGAGCCUCUGAAAUCACUGGCAACGCCACAAUACAGAAAGAUGGGCGUUAGUGAGCGCACGCACGCACACAUAAUUGCAGCAACAUGAAUAUCUUCAUGCUGAGGUGCUUCAUAGACCAGUGACUGUGUCCUUUCAACGUGGAUCAGCAAUAUUUAUACAUGUCAGUGUCAUUUAUACAAGUAGUGGGUCUAGAAAUGGAACGUUCUAAAGUGGACGUUUAACUCUUUUGGUUGCUUUAGGAGUCGAUAAUGCUGCCAUGGCCAACUUGUCUUUGUAAAAGUAAGGUAUCGGUGUAAGGAUAACACUGAUCCUAGUCACUAAAAGAAUCUUCCCAAUAUCACCCUUUUUUUAUUAAAAAAAACCGCCAUUUAAUUGACAGGAGAGCCAUUGAUGGAAUACGUACGUUGUUUAGAAAAAGAAAAGAUUCGGAAAGAAUAUAAGAUGAUGAUACUGGCAUUGCUCUCAGCUUGACUGGAAAUGGCUUUGGCAUGAGAUCACGUCGUACUACGUCCCUAGCUAUUGACAGGCAAGUGAACUUCUGCCUCAUUUCAAUAAAAAAAAAUUAUAUUUCGAAUAAUCUUAAGUAUUAAAAAUUUUCAAAUGAAAUUUAAUUUUCAACGUGGACUUUUGAGUCGAAUCUCAACUUCGAGGCAAUUUUUAACAAGUGCCUCUCAUGACCGCAACCAUGUUUUUCUUCGGCAAGUCGAUGAAUUUUUUAUUAUUUAUUUUUUUGUGGGGGACAAUUUAUAGUUUACUAAUUCUUUCUAUUCUUGUCAAGAGAAAUCCCUCCACUCAAAAAAAAAAAAAAACACAUUUACAAGUGUGGUUAGGUAUACAAGAACUCGAAUUCAUUAUCCAGUUAGAAAGUUCUCAUGUCUUUGUUUCGUUUGAAUAUAAUUUUGAUUUUUUUUAUUAGAAAGUCUUAGGUUUAUGAUGAAUGGGAAUUUAGAAAAAAAAUACUACUUUCAUUGUAUAAUUAUUCAAGCCCUUAGAUACUCCAUCAACAAAAAAAUAUUAAAAACUAAUUCUGCUAAAUUCUUGUGGGAAAUAUGAAUAUAUAAAACACAUAUUAUAUAUGCAAUCGAUAACAAUUAAUGUUUAGCAAAAUAACCAAAUUAUUUGAGAUAUCUAUAAAAACCGAUACAAAAUUAACCAACUAGAUGAUUUUCUAAAUUUUUAGAUAAUUUUGGUUAGGAAAAAAUUAAAAAAAAUUAUUUGAUUUGAUUUUAAUUUAAAAUUUUAAUAAUAAAAAAAACUCAAUUGAACCAAAUCAAACCAGAAAAUCCACCAUAAACUAAAGGUCUAUUAAAUCAAAAUCUAUAAAAAAAUAACCCACCUAAAAAGCUUAAUGUAGACUUAUUCAGUUUUAACACGUGUAAAACUUAACCAGACUUGGCCGAACUAAUCAACUCGGUAAAACCCAGCUAAUGGCGAGGCGCAGCCUUUUAUCUGGUAAUAUAUAAAAAGGGAAAAGCGAACGAGAGUGGGAGGGGCAGUUUCGGAAAAGAAAACGACGGUCUUGCGAUGCAGAAAGUAAAACGGUGCGUUUUUGUCUUCGCCCGCUUCUGCUAUAUGGCCGUGGAUACUGCAUUAGCCAACGAUCAAAGUAGUUAAGAUUGGUGCUACUUUUGCAGUCUCGGUACCUUAAAAAACGUUGCUGGUCAUUUAUUUUCAUGUUGUCUGAAACCUAAUCACUUCAAUAACUAAAACCCAUCAAUCACAAUUAAUCGAAGGUUAUAAUAACUCAUGCUGUCUCUCUCUGUUUUUUUCUAACCUGGUUCUUACACCACCUGUUUGUAAAAAUGUCGCAAUGGAACCCAGUGUGGGAAAACACAAUCAAAUUUCUGUCUUUUUGCUAAUUUUUCUUGCUUCGAUUUCAGUUUGAUUAUGUUCAAAAUUAGGAAAAGUGUUGUGUUUUUAAUUUGUUCUUUUGUGUCAAUGUAAUAAUAGAUGAAGUAUGUGAGACCAUUGAGCUUGUUCCAUGAGUUGUUGAAGACAAGUGCAAUCAAUCAAGGGAGGUUCCUUGGAUUGGAUGUUGGUGACAAGUAUGUUGGUUUAGCUGUCUCUGACCCACUUAAUAAAAUCGCUUCCCCUUUAAGGUAUAUAUUAAGAAUUACUGUUGUAUUUCAUUUUCCUUAUCAUGUCAUUUUCUUUUCUGUCAUUCUGUUUUUCAAGUUUGUGUUUUCGGGGUUUUUUUGAUUAAGGGUGCCCAUGUUGUUGUGUUUUACUUUCCUUGUUUGUUGACACUGCAGUGUAUUGUUAAGGAAGAAAAGUAAUAUUGAAUUGAUGGCUACUGAUUUCCAAAGUUUGGUGAGUGUUUCUUUUCUUUUAUGUUGUCCAAAGCUUGUUCGUUUGUAUUUCCUUUGUUUAUAGUUUUGAGAGCGUGUCCUGUUAUUUAUGGUUUUGUUGUUAUAUACCAUUUGCGAACUAUGCUAUGCAUUAACCAUAUGAGAGCUGGCAUGACAGUAAAGCAUUCUCAAUCGCUAGGAGCUUAGAACUUAGAAGUUAGAACGCUGUAAAAAUAAAUUAGGUUUUCUGAGACAUGUUGAUCCUAGGUGCGAGUUAUAGCUGUUAUUCUUUUUCUGCUUAUGUUUAUGUGCAGAUUUCUGAACUUUCCUUGGGGGGUUUCAUUGUUGGCUACCCUUUUGACAGGCAACGAGGUGCUCCUGAUGUAUGUUUUAAUCCUGUUGGCUAUCAAUUUGAUCUAUUCUCAUUUACUUAUUUCUGAUGUUUUGUUUUUCCUCUUUUACUAGGCUGUGCGGGUGAAGCUUUUUGUUGAUGACCUAUGCAAAACAGGGAAACUUGAAGGUGUAAAAUUCACAUAUUGGGAUGAGUGUUUUACAUCAAAGGUGCUUGCUUAUUGUUAAUUGUAAAAUGCUCACUUCAUUGUUGAAUUUUUUUAUAUGGCCAUAGGUUAGAGGAGCAGAUGCUAGGUUGCUCACAGUUUGUGUUGCUUACAGAAUGUAGAAUUGCUAGUGAAGCCUUUGGAUUUACAUCCAGUUCAUGCUAAAUCUAUAAUGGACAAGUUUGCUGCAGUUGGAAUUCUUCAGGUAUCUUAUUGUAAAUCAUCCGUUUCAAUUUUCAACCAGUUUUGAACUCCCUUUCAAUUUUCAACCAGUUUUGAACUCGGUAUAGAAGAUUGCCCUUUCAGCACUGUGAGUUGUGUCUAUUAACUUGUUAUUUGUGGCAGGGGUACCUGGAUUAUGUGAACAAGAAGAUGAAGUUGGAGUCUGCAGAAUAGGGUAUUUCAAGUCAAUGUAUGUGAAUUCUUUUAUCCAAGGUAUAAGAGCUAGAUUUUAUGAUAUUACUCCUUGUUCUCAAUUCCAAAGUUCCAUAAGUUGUGCUACCACUUUUACUACUGGCGCUUCGUUCUCAAGCCAAUGAUUACUCCGUUUGCCUGCCAAGCCUAGGAAUCAUCUAGUAUGCGAGAUAGGUUCUUGGUACUGAUUGACACAGACUUGAAAGAAGGAAUCUUGUUACGUCAAACAGUUGCUUAACUUUAGCAUGUGAUGUAUUCUUCGUGAUUUUUUUAUUGAGAAUGAUGGUUAUCCUUUUCUUUAGUAAUCUACGUUCUUCUGUAAAGUGGAAAGAUGGUACCAGCUCACAUUAUUUGAAAAGUUAAAACUUUCAGACUGUCUCUCAAGUGUGCUGAUAUCGUCAUUUUUCCUGGUAUCUUUAUUUCUUGCAGAUGAUUAAUUAGGCAGGAUAGAAGGUGGUGAACUCGUGCAUGCCUGUUUCUGUGGAGGAGUGAAGACCAAAAGGAUGGUUCCUCAUUUUUCUUUUUACCCCCUUUCGUGCUCUUAAUGUACGGAAAUUUGGAUGACCUACCUUGCUUACCUAGCCAUACUUAACUAAGGCCAUGAGGUCUUCCUCAUCUGGUUUCCUGGUUCUUGUCAUAUCUUGGACUUGAUUUGGAUUCAAAAUUGAAGUCAAUAGAUUUUAUACUUGGUUUCCGUUUGAUGUGCAUAUAAGCAUAUAGAGGCUAGUAGCCCUUUUCUUUUCUUCUCUCUUUUUUGUUCUUUUAAGAACUUUAAUUUAACCGCAGGAAAAUAUCCAAUGUGAAAAAUAGAGUAUACACAGUGCAGGCUAAAAUAUAGAGGAGAGCAGGUGAAUGCUCUCUAAUUUCAGAAAUGGUCCAAAGGUCUGUUUCCUUCUGGGCAGACAAUAUUUUUUACCGUAUUACACGACGGGGCAGUUGCUGGGUGGAGCCAAAUAUAGCACUAGUAAAAGAUUAUGACCACUGACCUUCUUUUCUUGUUUAAUAGGAACCUGGUUAGUUUGGAAUCAAUAGUUGGAGGGUUUCACAGGAGCCUUUUUUAGCUUUAUCUAUAACAACAACAUAAGUUUGCAGAUUUGGUUUCUCAUCACAAGUGGAAGACAUACACACCAGUGCUAAUGGCGGUUCAACAGCAAAAGGUACAGUCCACAUCAUGCUUCUUGUUUAUCCAUACGCUUCAAAAAACAUGGAGAAAAGCAUAUUCACUAAGUUUAUAACCCUCACUUGCCAUGUUCUUGCUUACAGCAGCUGUGUGAUGUUGUAUCAGCGACUAACAAAGGAAUAGGACUGCAAGUCUCUUUUCUCUCAAAUUGACAGUAUCCAGCUUUUGAUCCAAGAUAUCAAUAGCUAGAUGAUUUAGUCUUCAUAAUCCGGUCCAUAACAACUACAACCACCACCAACCUCAAUCCCAAACUAGUUGGAUCGGCUAUAUGGAUCCUUUUGCACCAUUCCAUAAGAUCUUAUGCAAUUGUAUUACUUGAAGCUCUAUGGAUAUCUACUUAUGCAUCUGAUCCACCUAUACCCAUUUUGUAUAUCGGAAUUUAUACACACCAUUGUAAAAUGCAUAUAACAUCUUGCAUUAGCAAUAAAGCAAGAGAAGCUAAUCUUUGGUCUUUUAAAUCCGAGAUUCUGUAGCGGUUAUUUAAAUUGUUUUUUUAAAAAAAAUAUAUUAAAAUAAUAUGUAUUUAAAAAAAAUUUAUUUUUGAUAUCAGUAUACCAAAACAAUCUAAACAACAUAAAAAAAAUUAAUUUUAAAAAAAAUAUUAUUUUUUUAAAAAAAUACAGUUCCACUGCAAAAACUAAAGGAAUCUUGUACCAAAAUGCUUGUAGCUUAGCGACACUCACAAAAGUGAACAGGUCUUGGCCCCCAAUCCCAUUCACUACAUUAAAUCACGUUACACUAUGAACUAAAGGAAAACGAGAUUUUUCUAUUCAUUUCACUGUCGCCCAAGACCAUUUGGAAUGCUACAUUCAACCUUUUUUUUUUCCCUCAAUCAAUUAUUUGAUUUGAUAAUAUUAUUUUUAAUUUCAUCCUCCAUAUUAUUUUAGCAUGAUUUUAAACUUUAUAGUUUAUUUUGGCUCACGUUAUACAUUGUAUUCGGGAUGUCAAGGAAUGUCUUGGGGUUAAAAUAUUGCUCAAUUUUACAAUAUAGGAUACAAUUUAAUUCACUGACAAAUUUUGAAACAAUAAAUACCAAAUUUUACUUGGGAACAAAAAAUAGUCUUUUUUUUCUUUUUUUUUUUUGCUGGGAGCAUAAAAGUACAAUUUGGUCUUUGUAUUUUGUAUUUUUUUUUUUAUUUUUUAUCCUUAAGGUUUACAUUUCAAUUCUAAACUUUAUUUUUUUACAUUUCAAUCUAUGGAAUUUGAAAGAAAAAAAAAAGUUGUUGACAAACAUAAGAGAAGAGAGAGAAUGAUCGAUUAACAAUUUCAGCCGCUAAAAAAAUUGAUAUUGCAUUAAUGAGUUCGUCUUAGAGAGAAAAUAUCAUAAAAAAACCCAUGAUGCUUAAUGUUUUUUUUAGAUUCCAUUGGAUUUUGGAUUUUUGGGGUCAUUUAAGGUUUUGGAGGGUUUUAAAUGGAUUUAUUGAGGUUCUCAUAAUAUUUUUGGAUCAAAAUGGAUUUAAAUUUAGGUUUUUAAUGUCUAAAAUCUCGAACCUAGACUUUUCUAGAGGUGUUGUUUGUCCACCCAUUAAAAAAAAUUAAGGAAUGAGAUGCGUGGGCCUAGCCUCUUUUAAGAUAUUCCUUUAUUUUUAUUUUUUUUAAGUUCGUGAAAAAAAAUACUCUUUAAAUCAUAUAUUGAAAUAAUAUUUGAGCAAUUAUCAAAUUAUGUCAUUGAUCUAAUAUGUAAUUAAAAAGAUUAAAGCCUUUUUAUAAUGAUAUUAUGAUUUCUUUGUGAAUAAUUUUGUAUUGAUCUAAUAUGCAAAACUUUUAAAAUAAUUUGCUCAUUAAUAUUUUAUAAGAAUAAAAUAUUUAUAUUUAAAAUUUUUAUAUGAUUUUGAAAAUUUUUUAUUCUUGAAUUUUUUCCAUGUAGAUGCCUGAAAACGAUUGAUUCAAGAUUUUUUAAUUUUUUAAUUAAAAUUUUCUUUCAAGAUUAUAAUAAGUUUUUACUUAAAAACAAUACUUCUCAUAAAAAAACAUUUUCUUCAUCAAAAUAAAAAAAUAAUAAUAACAUGAAUAAAAAAAAGGUUUUUGAUUAGUAGUAUACGUUUUUUUUCAUUUUUAUUUCGGAUAAUCAUAGUUUUUGUGGAUUUGUUUUUACUGUUGUCAAUAAACUAUACUUGUAAUAAAAUAAAAUAUUUUUUUUUCAAUUAAACAUUUGAUAAGAAAAUGAAAAUGACAAUUUCGAAACCUUGUAGGGUCUGUUAUUUGAUAAGAAAACGGAAUACCGAAACUUUGUAAAUUUAUUUGUUGUACCUAAUGGAUCUUUAAUGUUCUUCUAUUUUCAUUCAUUUGGAUUCAAGAAACCCCUUGUGGAUCUCUUCGACUUGUUUACUUUUCUCUGUUGUUAUCAUAAGGAUAUAUAUAUAUAAUCAAGCAUAAAAAAUCUAACUAGCUUGGUAAGAUGGCUUCUAGGUUGGAUAAUAAUCAAUUGGUGUUAAUAAUUUAUUCAAUUUUUUCUAGUCAAGGUCAAGAUGAAUUGUGACUAGUGUUUGCAAAAGAUUUUAUUUAGUGGAUGUGAGGACUCUCAAAUGUUUAAGAAAGUAUGAAAAUACAAUAAUAUUAUAGAGAGAAAUGCUCUAAAAAUAUAUAUGCAGUAAAUAAUGAAUAUUUUGAAGGAUUAAUAAUGUAUUUAUAGCCCAUGAGUUUUGUCUUUUUAUGGAGAGGAGGGACUGAAGUGUAACUUCACAUUUACUUCACAUUUGUUAUAUUUUAAGUUGUAUUUUACUCGUUUUAUCCAGCAAUAAGAUGGAGAUAAGGCUGACCAUGAUAGAUUUAAUACAUCUAAUGAUGUUGUUGGAGUAUAGACUUGUUCAAUUAAAUCUAUUCGUUAAGAAAUAAUUAUUCUAUGAUUUCAUGUAAAGUUUAUAGAAUUGAUGGUGUUAGAAUUAAUCAUCUCUUGCGUUUGACGACGCGCUUGAGCCUAAUGCACUACCAAACCCAAUUAUGACUGGAUCUCGCUAUCGCCAAAUCUUUUAGGUUUGACAUUGGCCAAACCCAAUCAUCUCUUGGGUAUGGCUAGUACCAAACCCAACAAGGUUUAAGUCUAGCAUUGACUAGAUCUAAUCAUUUCUUGUGUUUGAUUAGCGUCAUACCUAAUUAACUCUUGGGUUUCGCUUUGGUCAAACCUAACACCUCUCUACUAGGGUUUGUUUGAUAUUGGCGCGUGCUAGUCCAACACACCCGAGAAUUUUAGAAAAUUAUACCCGUAUAUUUUUCUUGAUGUGACAAUUUGUUUUUGGUAUGUAUAUCCACGGCAUGGACCAGGAAAAAGAAGAGAGUAGGAUUAUCAUUCUAAAGUUUCACCAAAUGAUCCAAAGAAACAUUUACUCAAAAAUAAAAUAAAAUUAUGAAUGGAAAAAAGUGUCCUUGAGGCCGCAUUGACAACUUACAAGAAAAGGAAUGAAUAUAACAAACUAGCAUCAAGCCUAUAAAACGUGAAUGUUUUUUUGUGAAAAUAAAAAAAUGCAUAAAUAAGAAAAGGGAAUGUUAACUAAAAAAAUCAUUUUUUUUUCUAAAAUUCAAACCUUAUGAUUAUUUACUUUAAUUACUAUAGAAUUAAAUAAAGAUAGAUUUUAAAAAUGAAACCGCUAGUAUAACGGUGGUAGAAGAUUUUUUACCACUACUUUAACAGAGUUUCUUAAGAGAUAAGGUUCUCACAGUAUCUGUCAACAACACCAGUUCGUAGAUUUGGCUUCUCAUAAGGAAAACACCAAUACCAGUUCUACAGCAAUAAAGUAGCUUCAUAUGAUGCUUCUUGUUUAUCCCAAAAAGACAUAGAAAAGCUUGCUUACCAAGUCUGUAACACUGGCUUGCCAUGUUCAUGACUGUAGCAGGUUUGCUGUUGUCAUAGGGCUAACAAAGAAAAAAUAAAUACUCAUAUAUUUGGUCUAUAUACCAAUUUUGAAAAAUAAAUUUAAUGAAUUUUUUAUUUAUAUUUUAUCAAAUUUUUUGAUCAGAUCACGUUGGAUCAAUUAAAAAAUAUUUCUCUUUUAAACUUGGAAUAAUUCAGACCUCGAGUUAGCCAAAUAUCGUCUAUUAUAGAUUAUAUACUCUAAUUUAAAGCACACCAAACACAGUACAAAAUAGUUAUUUAUCUCCAGUACAAUCAAUAAUAUACAAUAUACCAAACACUGCCUUGUCAAGACUGCAAUGAUCCGUGUAUUUUUUUAGUCGAUGGCUACGCAAACCCAAAUUUCCAUGGGCUUUAAAAAAAGCCCAUGUAACAUGUUGAAAGCUACGACGAGGCAAGACAAUUUAAUAACGAAAUGUCAUUUUCCUUGUACCUGCAAACCCCCCCCUGCUAACAUCAACUUCCCUACUUUUCUUUACAUAAUUUUCUAGUAUUAUUUCCUUGCCCAUCACUGUUAGAAACAUUGUUUUGUUUGGUUCUCCUGACAAAGGUAUCCUCAAAAGAUCCCUCUCCUUCCCUCUCUAUCUCAGUUUUACAUCAAAGCAGUAUACAGUGUCACCAGAAGAACCGGCGAGAGUCUCAUCUCCUCACACUCCAAAAGUUAUGAAAGGAGAGAGACAGAGAGAAACAAGAAAGAGAGGGAUCGUUGUGUAACAUCUAGUGUAAGGUUUGGUACUUUGGUAGGCCACCACACAGCGCACUUUUGUCAAAAUACUCCCACACACAUACAAUUACACAUUACUUACAUGACUACUGAACAAUAAAAGAAACAAAAGGCAAAGGGAAGGUCUUUAAUUCAAAAACUCACAUAAUUUUCAAUUUAUUUUUCUGCUCUCUCUCUCUCUUCUUGACCAGCACCUGCAUUUCCCUGUCAAAACUCUAGAUUAUGUUCAAAUCUAGGGUUUUUGUUGUUAUGUCAUGGUUCAAUACUAUUUGAGUUGUUUAGCCCUUUUGGCUUUUGUAACUUUCAAAGCUGCUCCUAAUUCUGCUCUCAACAUAUGUUCACAAAAAAAGUUGUCUUUUUGGGCUGUGAGACUGAAAUUUCUUGCUUGUUGAGCAUCAUCUUCUUUCUAGGUUUAGUGGGUUUAGUCAAUUUUUGCUAGAUUCUCUUGAUUCUCUCCGUUGAUUUUCUUGCUAGUCAUCUUAGAAACCUUUGAGAAUUCCUUCGUAUCUAUUUUUUUGAGGUUUUAGGGCUAAAAGGGUUUUCAUUUCCUUUCAUCUUUUCACCUCCCAACUUGAAAAUCUGAAAUUUUGUUGCUGUCUAACAUUUGCACUCUUUAUAGAAAAACCCUUGUAAAACCCUUCUCUUGAAACCCUCACUUGGCUCUGUAGUUUAUUUACUAUUUUUCACAAAAUUGGGUUAAAUUCAAAAGGGUCUCAAAAAUACACAAUCUUUAGCAACUAAACAAAGAAGGAAAGAAGAAUAAGUUAUUAUUUCCCCCCUCUGAUCUUGUACCAUUGUGAUCUUGCUCUAUUUUGCUCAGUAAAUGCAUGGAUGGAAGAGAAGCCAUGCCAUUUUCUAGUGGGUCAUCUCCAUACCAUAUUCAUAGAGGAAGUGGGUUUCUUGGGCCCGGGUAUGGAUCACAACAUGGUGUAUCGCAUCCCCCACCUGGGUUCAGAUCCUUGUCAAAUCCUCAACUUGCAGCUCAAUCAAAUGUCCGGUCUGGCUCAACUGUGCCAGCAUUUUCAAUAGAGCCACCAGAUGUCAAUUUCGGUCAUGGCAUUAACAUGGCUGCAACCUCUGAGGUGCAAGUGGGUGAACCAGUGAAGAAGAAGCGAGGGAGGCCCCGGAAAUACGGCUUGGUUGGGCAGGUUUCACUUGGAUUGUCUCCCUUGCCAAAUAAGCCUAAGCCAUCUUCAGGGGAGGAUUCUUCCACCUCAAAAAGAAAUAGAGGGCGGCCGCCUGGGAGUGGAAGGAAGCAGCAAUUGGCGACUCUUGGCAAGUAUUUGAAUUAGAUUAUUUUGUAGUUAUAUGCUAUUGUAAGUUAUUAAUAUGAAAUCUUAUUGGCAUUUAAUGUGGUUUAAUAAUCAGUUAUAAUGCAGGGAAUUCACACUUGCUUAAUAUUAGGAAGUAAUGAAUUGUGCUCAAUAGUGAUCUUGUCAUUUUAUUUUCAUCGAAGUAUUUAAUUUGCAAUGUUCUGCGUUUGUUAUCAUAAUUUUGCUUGGACGUAAAUGCUAAGCUUUUAUCCAUUUAAUUGCCUUGCUCUAUUCUUUCAAAGCUGUUGCCAUCUGUCAAUUAAAUCUUUUGAAUGCUUCUUGUCUUAAUGCAGUUUUAAUCUGUCUUUGAUGUUAAAUUUGAUUUUGAUAUCUGUGUUGUCUUUAAUAUAUCUAUGGCUUGUUGAUUUCUUCUAAUUUUCUAAAAUGUUUUUAAUUGAUAUUGCAAGGUGAAUGGAUGAACAGUUCUGCUGGAGUAGCUUUUUCUCCGCAUGUGAUCAGCAUUGAAGUUGGAGAGGUAUGCUAUAUCCUUUGUAAUGUCAAGUUUUCUUGGACAUUUGAUGUGUAAUCAAGUUGUGAGGUCUACUAAUUUAGAUCAAGAUUCAGUAACUUGAAAGGUUUUCCUCCGUGAAACACAUUUUACUAGCCACAUUUAUGAUUUUUUAAAUAUGAAAGAAGCUGAUCACAUCUUUAUUGGAAUUGAAUGAAUGAGUUUUCUUGCAUUUUGAAGGGGAGAAAUACCAGUAUUAGGAUAGCUGUCCUUGACAUUGAAGCUUCCUUAAUGUUUGUGCAAGUCUGUGUUGUCCAAUAUGCAAGUGAACUUGUAUGGUUUUCCUCCAUGAAACACAUUUUUCUGGCUGCUUUUGUACUUUUCAAAAUAUGAAAGAAUCUAGUCUUAGCAUCGCUGGAAUUGAAUGCAUGAGGUUUUCUAGCACUUGUGGAGAUGUAGAAAUAACAAUAUUAGGAUACUUGCCUUGACAUUGAAGCUUUCAAUGUUUUUGUAAGUUUGUGUUUUGUCCAGUAUGUGAGUGGUUUAGCUGUACGUAAUAGUUAAACAGUUUGUUGAAAACAAAAAUUGCAUGUCAAUGGAGAAACUUGGUGUGCAAGUGCAUGCUCACACACACAUUCUUUUGCACAUAUGAAGUUGCAUAAUUUCCCAAUUUCAUGUUGAUUUGAAACCUGUUACAUUGUUCUUUGUAGGAUAUUGUUUCAAAACUGUUGUCAUUUUCCCAACAGAGGCCAAGGGCUGUUUGCAUCUUGUCUGGCACUGGUACAGUUUCCUCAGUAACACUCCGUCAGCCAGCAUCUUCUGGGUCCUCUAUCACAUAUGAGGUUAAGGCAGUUGCAUAUUUAUGGAUAUUUUUCUAGAUUAAACUGUUUCCUUUGAUAACUUAGCUUCCUUAGCUUAAUUUAGAUGAAAAUGCUGAUCUGAAAAUUGGGUGUGAAUGUCAGUUUACCACACUUAUAUUUCUCUCCCCCCCCCCCCCCCUCUUAAGUUUUAUUAGAAUCUCACAAGCUUUCUGACUUGUUUCAUAGUAAAAUAGCUCUUUUCUCAUCAUCUAAUAUGUCAAUGUACUGACAUAAUGAAUUCCUUACUUAUUAUUGAGUUUGAGCAUGUCUAGCUUCCUGAUACUUUCUUAAUUGCUCUCUUUUAUUUAUUAAAACACUGAAGGUAAGAGCUUGUGCAAACAAUGUAACAGCUGUUAACUUCUGGAUUUUUGGAUCCACUAGUGAAGUCAGAACCAAUAAUUGAAUAAAUGAAUUCUAGGGAAUAUUUGAACAUGGAAUGCAAGAAGAAACAGGGAAUGGUAAGGUUCUGAUGGAAAUGAGGAAAGAAAGGGUAGAUGGGACUCAAGUCCAUCUGGAGGUGAUUGAGCUUUGAAUGAAAAUAAAUUGAAGCUGAAGCUUAGUUGCUGAAGGUUAUGAUCUAUUCAAAUUUUGAUAAAAGCCAAUGGUUGGGAGUUUCCUUGAAGGUCUGGAAUUUGAAUAUGGAACAUAAUUGGGCAUAUGUUUUAUCUAGUAGGUUAGGUUUUAGGCAGGGUUAAGUGUCUAAUAGUUUCAUACUUCCAUGACUUGCCUGGGAUUACAUGGAUAGCAAAUGGUCUAUGAUCGAGGAUUCUAAUGUUGAUACGAGGAACUAAUUCACUGGUCUCAAAUUAUUGAAAUAUCAGUUAAUGUGCCACCUAAGUGCAGAUAACAAAACUAAUUUUGAUUAUCAUUUGUCUUAAACUUUGGGCAUAAUCAUAUAUCAGCGAUGACGAAGACAAGAGUGCAUAGCUGGUAUGAACAUUCUGGACUAGUGGUUAACUGUUACCUUGAACUUUGGGUGCAAGGUUCCAAAAUCCAAACGAAAGAGCAAGCAUUUGUCAUGUUCUGGUAAUGCUUCCAGAGAUAGGAUGGUAAUUCUUGGCUUCGAUGUUAUUUAUUUUGUGGUAGUUCUCGCAUGUUUAGCCACAUUAACUUGUCCAGCAAGUUCCAGGGGUAGCAAACAUUUUUUUACUUUCUUUCGAAAAAUAAGGAUGUGCUUUUUCAAUGGCCAUGUCAUAGUGGAUCAAAGUGGCUUCAGAGUUUUGGCAGAUUUAAUGUAAAAUAAGAGAACUUUGCAGGCGGUCAUUUGAAGUAUCGCUAUAUGUUUGGCCACAUUGAAUUGUUAGUGAGUUUGAGGACUGCAAACACUUUUUGUAGUGGAUUUAAGCUGGUGCUGAUUAUUGUGGUUUAAUGGGGAAAAAAGUUGCAACUCAAGGUGGAUCAAUCUGAAAAUGCAUUUGGUCAAGUAAUUUUUCUUGAUUUAUCAUAGUGAUGAAAAAUGAGCUUUAUUGCACACAAGCUGCAUGACCAUGAACCUUUCAAAUGUGUAUUGCUUUGCCUUUUCCUUCUGCUUAGGUACUUUUUAAUUGUUUUAACCAUGUUUUUAGCAGCAAGAAGGAACUCAUUUAGAAUAUUUAACUUUUGUAGGGCCGUUUCGAGAUAUUAUGCUUGUCAGGCUCUUACUUGGUUGCCGAAGAUGGUGGGCCUCGCAAUCGAACUGGAGGUAUAAGUGCUUCUCUUUCUAGUCCUGAUGGCCAUGUCAUUGGUGGUGCAAUUGCAAUGCUUAUUGCUGCUAGCCCAGUUCAGGUAAUAUUCUGAUGCUCUGAGUUAUGUUGUACCUUUCAUUGGUCAUUCUAUGAUGAUGAUGUUAACUUUCUUAGAAUCUUUAAUAUUUACUGAAAGUCCAUAUCUUCUUUAUGAUGAGUGCCAUGUGCUAAAAAUUGUAAAAUUUUCUCAAUGUUCAAAUCUGUUUUAAUAGCAAUUCAGACCUUCAGUUUACGGAAAGCAACUAGAAUCAUGAACAUCAUGCUCAAUAUAUGGUAUGGAAUGGCAUGCAAAAUUCAUGGUUCAUCUUUUGCAUAUGUGAAGUGUGCAGCAUUGUUUGGGAUGUGCAACAUUCGCUAUGGAUGGUUGUCCUUAUGGGUGAUCACGUUGCAUAUAGAAUGCUUACUUUAAGAUAUACAAUAUCAAUUGUGUAUUGGAUUAUUUUAUUUGUUACUGAACUUGGUAAAAACAGAACGGUUUGAGUAACUAAAAUUUGAGACUAUUUGGUUUUGAAUCUUCUUGCUAUUGGAUUAUUCUUUUGAUUACCAGUAAAUAUAUAUCCCUUUUGGUAUUGUGUUUAUACACGCUCCUUUUGGUAUUAGUCUAGCUUAUAGACUAUAAAGGACUCUUUAAUUGCUGCAGGUGGUGGCCUGUAGUUUUGUUUAUGGUGUUUCUAAGAAGGAUAAACAAGUAAGCCAUCCCAUAAACGAAAAAGACUCCACAUCUUGGCCUGAUGAUAAUUUAGAUAACCUGAAAGCAGUCACACCUACUAGCAUGCCUCCUCAAAGUUUCACUUCCUCUCCGACGAGCAUUUGGCCUGGACCGCGAGCAGUUGAUAUGAGAAACCCCCACACUGAUAUUGACUUGACGCGAGGAUGACUGUUUGCUGCAACAGACACAUGGCAAUUUUGUGCAUUUCUGUUGUUGUAAAUGUAUCCAAUCCUGUGAUAAUUAUGAACUCAAUUCUCCCCACUAAAGGGCAAUGUGUUUGUGCUAACGUAGUUUGUACAAGAAGGCAUCAUUUAACCCUUUCAAGUAACAGUGUAAACUUGUCAAAAUUUCCAGGUAAACAUUAAUCUCUAGCAGAUAGAAAUCGCUGUUUCAAGCAGAUGAUGACUGCUAUUCUUUGGACCUUUGGUGUCUCUGGUAACUCAUUUCUAGUUUAACCGAGUCUUGGCAGGAGUUUCCAUGCAAGCAUUACCCAGAUUAAUUCUUUGUGAAGGAAACCUAGAUGUUGCUUGAGCAUAACAUAAUUUUGAUGGCUACUAUUGGAUUUUGUCAAUCAGUGAGAAAACACCAGCCUUCAAGUGUAAAAAUGAUCCGAAUUAUUCUGUUGGGUUUCCAGACAUGGCCUCAGAUGUUAGUGUUUUUUGAGGGAGAUACAAGUGUCUUGUAUCUGCUGCAAAAGGCAACCUAAGGAGCCAAAAUUAUUUAUUCCAUACAUAGGAUGGUAUUAAAUAUAAUGGUGAAAAUGUUAUAGCUCUGAGGGUCCUUUGUUAUGAAACAGCCCGUGUCUGAAGGAAACUUGAACCCUAGUGAAUCUUGGAUAAGUAUUUCUAAGUCGAAAUGAUUUUUUGACUAGUAACAAACAUAAACAACAAAAGAAUCUCAAAUAACCCUUUGUUUUCCACCGCGCGAGUAACAUUGUUUACAUGCGUUGUAAAAUCUCCUUGUCACAGCCAGGAGGCAGCCUUUGAUAGUUUCAGCUCACGCUCCCGUCCUUUAGCCCCACUAUGUUCUCUAUACUCAGAUUAUGCACUUUAUGCACACUGGUAGCCAAUCAGCACCACUGCAAAAAGACAUCUGAAAAAAUGAAGCAAGUUUGCUCAAGUUUUACUUAUCUCCUAGUCCUCUUCGUGCUUCUUGUCACAGUAAGUGUAUUGGUUGAAGCACAAAAGUGCAAGUCAAGUGGCAAAGUUGAAGGAAAGAAGCCUCCGAAAAAAAAAUGUAACCAGGAAAAUGGAGCAGAACGCUGUGAAGAAGACAAACUUUACACCACCUACAAGUGCUCACAACCCGUAUCUGCUCUACCAGUAAACAGUUUUGAGGAGGGUGGAGAUGCGGUUGCACCAUCAGAAUGCGAUGGUAAGUACCAUGACAAUUACACACCUGUGGUGGCAUUGUCAACGGCAUGGUUCGGUAAAAAAGAGACGCCACACCAUAUCACCAUUAAUGGAAAUGGAAGUUUGGAAAGCUUUAGGCAUAAAUGACAAGGACAAGGAAUGGGAAUGGCUGGAUAUCACCUGGUCUGAUGCUUGAUUUCCAUUUGUUUUCUUUCUUGUGCUCUGCAAUAACUUUCCUCGCCACAAGACAACGUUGUUUUAUUCCCGACUCUUCACUUCUGGUUGAAAAGGACCCAGUUCACAAGCCUGUUCCGCUGGAACACAGGAAAUGCAAAACAGUAGCGCAACAAAGUGGGAGGUACCAAGAAAAUUGUCAUGGUACUUUUUACAGACAAUUUCACACUUAAAGAAUAUUUUUUCUUUUUCUUUUUCAAAUUGGCGUUUCUUUUUAUUUAUCUUUAUUCAUUGUUCUAAAAAUAAAAUAAAAAUGAACUAAAAGAGUGAACACAACGAAAAAUUCAGCAUCAAUGCUCAUAACAUAAAAAUAUUAACAUUAUCUUGUUAUGUCAGAAGUAACCAAAUCCAAACCAACUUACAACAUCCAAAAUCUGGGGAAUGAAAGAUCUCAAGCCAAGAAACAAAGUAUACUGCUUGAUCUUGCAAUACCUAUGUCUCAUACUUGUCUUAUUCUGCAAGACAUAUUUAACAAGUCUUAAUAAAAAUAGCGCAGGGCAACCAGAAUCCUUGUGCUUCCAUUCUUCUAUGAUCUUGAAUCCUUUAUACCAACAAAUCAUGAGAUCUCCAGCAGUUGCUUUAUGUCACGCUGCAAAAACAUUAAAAGGCUUGAGAUUUCCCACUAUAUACCAACAGAAGCCAGCAUAACUGAGAUAAACUAGAGAUUCAAGCACGUUUCCUAUGGUGUUUUUUUUCUGUUACCUCAAGACUAAGAGGUGAAGUUGUGGGGUAGUAACGAUCAACAACUUGGCCAUCCUUGUUGACAAGGAACUUAGCGAAGUUCCACUGAAUAUCAUCACCAAAAAUUCCCCAUUUCCCCAACUUCAAGAACUUGUACAGUGGAGAAGCAUUCUCACCAUUUACAUCAAUCUAAAGGACAAACGUGGGAGAAAGAUUAGAAUACUAUUUUUUCACACAUCACAUUAAAAUUAGAAUUUCAAUCUUUCAGAUACUAAAUAAAUGGCCAAACUCCUGCACACAGAACCAGACUUUGGUAAAAUCUAAAAGUAUCACAGUUGUUAAUGCAACAAGAUUGGAGCGAUUUUGACUUUUAUAUGAGCAAGCAUACUGAUGAAAUAGAUUAAAAGAUAACACCAGGAAACAUGUCAAUUGGCAUAUGUGCUUCCAUCUGGCAACCAAGUAAACCUCUCUACAAAAUCCUUCCCAUAGCCACUGUAAGAAAUUAGCAGAGGAAGGGUCUUCUAAAAUUUGAACAAAUGAAUUAAGAGAGCAGUCAACUUCCAUGCAACUAGCAUUUACCUUGUCAAAGAUGGGAAAUUCUGAUUUGAAGCGAGUGCAGACAAAGUCUGUGAUCUGAUCAUUAGUUCCUGGUUCCUCCUCACCAAACUGAUUGCAUGGAAAUGCCAGUAUCUCUAGUCCUGCACCAAGACAUCAAGACCUAGAUGUCAUAUAGAAAAGUAGAAGUAAAACAAGAACUGUAUUCAAGUAACAGGCACUGAACAUGCCCAGAGAUAUGUAGGAGCAAAGGCAUAUAAUUCACAUGCAAGAAAAAUGAUGCUUUGAGAAUACCAUUCUCAUGCAUGCUAAUGCUUUUGACAUAAUGUAAAGUCAGGGGCUUAAGAUAUAAAAUGCAAGCUUAAGUCGCUAACCUUGAUCUUUGUACUUCUCAUAUAAUUGAUUCAUUUCAGCGUAAUUUGAGUUGGUCAUCCCACUGUAUAAUCAACCAACAUGAAGCAAAACCAACAAAUAAGGACCUUAAUUGCCUCCUAAACUAUCUUAAUAGUGGCUAAAGAAUACCAAGAGUAAUAACCUCGAAAUAACAAAAUUCGAAGUUCAAUCUUAUCCAUUGAAAAGAAAAUAAAAAAGACGUAACAUGGGAAUUACCAUUUUGAAGCAACAUUAACAAUCAGCAACACUUUUCCCUUGAAAAUGCUAAGAUCCACAUCAUUUUCCUUAGCAUCCUGCAUUGAAACACAGCAAAGCAACCACCCAUAUCAGUAUUUGUAUUUGGACUAAAUUGUAGUUAAAAGGAUAAAAACGCAUCCUUUGUGUUUAUAGUUGCAAACCUACAUGAAAAGAAUUUGGGCCAGGAAACUACUACUCACUAACCUUGAUAGUGAAGUCAUGGACUGAUUCUGGGUUCUUUGAGGUUUGGGUUGCCAUUGAAGAAGCUAAAGAGGCAGAGAGAAGCAAGUGAAGAAGCAGUAAAUGAGAUGGAAUCAUCAACACCUGUUUUGAGUUUUGACUUUUGCAGAUUGUGUUCUCACAUCGCACGUGCCUGUCUGUCUGUCUGUAUGUCCAUCAUCCUGUAAGUUUUGUGGAUGAACAUGUGACCGAACAUAUUCGCACGCGUGCUUUCGCUAAAAAGAACAGUAGACUAGGACAGUUCAUGGCUCAGGUGAGAGGCCUUUCAAUGUCAUCAUCCCCCUGGAACUGGAACCCAGAUUUUUUGGCCUAACCCCACCUAAGUGUUAGCAGGCCGGAUCCAUAUGGAACAUCCCAAUUCCCAUGCAGUGGACAUCUCAUUCUCAGCAAGUAAUAUUAGUAUAUAUAUAAAAAAACCUUUUUGAUAAAAAUCAGAAAGCUUUUAUGUAUUUCAUGAAAUAUUUUAUUUUUCUUUUUGAGAUCCGAUCUGAAAUGUCAUAAACUCAUUGUCGUUAGUCUCAACCUUGCAGGCGAAAUGAUUGGUUGGUGCUACAGGUUGCAAUCAAAUGGCUGAGGUGAAUUGUCAAAGACUCGUAUUAAUUACUUCAUUUGUCCACUGUAUACGAAUGAAGAUGAUAAUAUUUUUUUAAAAAAAAUUAGAUCAUUUUAAAAAAAUAAUAUUGAAAAAAUAAUAUAAUUUAAAAAAAAAAAGAAAUUAACACAAUUUAUAUAUAUUACGAUUAAGAAACGCAACAUUCUAAUUUAUUACUAUUAAAAAACAUGAUAUUUUUUAAAAAAUAUGAAAUAAGUUGCACAUGAGUAGAGUAGUAAGAAAAAAUAAAAAAAUAAAAAGGAGACUUUGAAAACAUACCGGAGCUCCGAUCAUGACAUCAUUGUUAUCACUAGAAAAAUCUCAAUGAGAUAAAUUCAAAAACAGUAAAACAAAUUACCAAUAAUGACUCGAAUGUGUCAUAUUUACAUUCCAGAAAUACCAAGUAGCUUAUCAACAUUCAAUAAAAAAAAAUCUGUUCUAUUUUUGAUGAUAUUUUUAAUGUUUGAAAGUUUUGACUUGUAAUAAAAAAAUUUAAUAUAAUUUUAAAAUAUCAUAUUUAAUGUUAACAUGAUAAGUUUUUUAUAAAAUUGCCUUUCCUUUUCUUUUUUCACAACUUUUCAUGAUUUGUCUUUGCUUUGCUUUUCUUUUUAAUUUUUUUUUUUAGCUUUUCUCUGCAAAUUGUCUUAUUGUCGCAUGAUUAGAUUGAGAAAAGACUCCAAAAAUACCAAUGUAUUAUUCUUACAUUUUUUAAUGCAUCCAUAACUUAAUAAUGAAAACAUUUUUUUAUUAAUUUUUUUUUAUGGUUCUGAUAAGUUUCUACUUUAAUAAAUAAAUAGUACCCUCGCUUUUAUUUUUAAAAAAUUGUUCAGGGCACCCUUUUUAAUUAGUGGUUAUUUAAAAAACAUUAAUUUGAUAAUCUUUAGAAAGAUUGUUAUAAUUUAUCUGUAAUUUUUUUCUUUUCAUAUUUUUAUAAAAAUAAAUUGUAUUUUCAUGAUGUGUUUAUAAAAUUAAAAUUCAUUUAUUCUUGGUAAAAAAAUAGCCUCCAGGAUAAAAAAAAAAUGUUUGCAUUUUAAUUAAAAAAACAAUCAUCAUAGUUAAAGAAGAAUCCACAACAUUGACAUAUUUUUUUUUAUAUUUAAAAUUAAUUUAAAUUUCUACUUGCAAUUAGAUCUUGAACUACACCAGCUUUGUAGGUCCUGGGAAACAUUCACAAGAAUAUGCUUUUGUUGCUUAAUUAAAUUUAAUGAACGCAUUAUUAUCUUUAAAGGACAAUGAUGCCACGAGAUGUUUUCAUGAAGACGUAGGGUUUUAACUAUUUAGUAGAUGGUUUAGUGGUAAGAGAUUGAGAUUAAGGGGUUUACUUCCAUGUGGUCUCAGGUUCGAAUCAUGUAGUUGUUAAUAUGAUGGUCACUGGAAACUUACAUAGUCGUUAACUUUCGGGUCCGUGAAAUUAAUUGAGGUACGCGCAAACUGACCCGAACAUCCACGUUAAUUAAAAAAAAUAUAGGGUUUUGAACAUUUAGAUAUGCAUGUAUUACAUUCACAAAUUAGUGGAACAUGUCCAAGGAAGAGAUUGGUUAUGUUAAACAAUUUAUUUAAUAAAAAAUUCUUAACUUUCAAUUCAAUUAUUAGAAUUUGCUUAAAUUUUAUUAAAAGAUUUUAUAGGCUAUGUUUUAAAAAAAGCUAGCCAACUUAGGCUUUCAAAAAAGUCCAAAGAAAAAUGUUUGACUCAGUUUUAUUAUUUUACUGUAUAAUUUUGGAAUUUAUUUUUAUUUCCCCUAUCUAUUUAAGGAUUUUGAUUUUCUUUUCUUGUAAAGGUAGAUAUUUAAAGGGUUGUGAUCCCUUUUAAAAGGUAGACAAUUCUUGCUCAAGUCAUCUCUCUCUCCCUCUUUCCUUCUAUAUAUUGUUGAUUUUUGUUUAAUCUCAGAAUUUGAAUUAUUAGUGAAUGACUAAUAUUUUGUUGAAUUGAAAUUAGGUUUAAGUUAUUUGUUAAUUAGAAGCCUCAUAGUGGAAAAGUUCAUUUCUUUAAUAAAGAAUUGAUUAAAUUAGUUCAAAGUUUUUUUUUAUUAUUAUUUUGGAAUAUUAUAUAAUAGGUUGUGAUAUUUAAUUGGAUAUCAUUGGUUUUUUUUAUGUGGGUGUAAAUAUUUUUGUUUAAAAAUAUAUCAAAAUAAUAUUUCUUUACUUUUUAUAUCAACAUAUUUAAAUAAUAAUAAAAUAAUAAUUUAAUAUUUUUUCAUAAAAAACUAUGGGAGAUACAAGAAUUUAUUUAAGGCUAUUCCAAACAGCUGCAAUAAUACCUAAUCUCUCUCGUCAUCCAACAGGUACAGAAAGAUCCAAACACUCAGUAGGAAGCAUUCUUCUUCGCAAGAAGCCACAUUCCGAUUGGGAGGAGGAGGAGGAGGAGACUGAUACAACAGUACAGAUGAACAAGAUCCUUGAAAGAUACAGACGAGGUUAUACAUUAAAAAAAAAAAUACAAAAAAGGAAGAAAAGCAUACGGUCCGUAUAACGUUGGAAACUACAUUCUCAAGAUUAGCUAUAAUACGUCUUGCGAUCCUUGCAUAAGUGAAAAAGACCGGGUAAAAACAUCACACCAUGAUGUUUAUGUUGGGUUUUUCAAAACAUUUGAUUGCACUAAAAUAAAUUUAGGGUUAUUUAAGAUUUAUAUGAAAAUUACUUAAAAAUUAUAUGUUUUUUUUUUAUUUUGAAUAUUUACAUUUAGAUUGAGUGGUUAUAAACCACAAAUCGUUCAAAUAUCCGGUCUCUAAUGAUAAUUUAUACGAACUACCCUUUUAGAAGAGAGAUUGAUAUACCUUAAAGUGUUAGCUCUUUUUUUUUUUGUGUUUUAAGUGUUAAAAUAGUAUAUUUUCUCACCACUCUUUUUUUAUAGGAAAUAAAAAAACAUAAGUCAUAUUUAUAAAAAAAUCUAAAAAAUUCUAUGAAUAAUAAAAUAUCAAUUUGUCCCUGGUAUAUAUAUAUAUAUAAAAGUUUAUUCAAUCAAAAUCUUUAUUUGAUUUUUCUAGGUCUAGAAUUGUAAUUUUCUGUAUUAAUUACAUUUCAGUCCUUAAUUUCUAAAAUUUAUUUAGAAUCAAGUUACACUUGAUUAAAAAUCAUUUCAUUUAGUUUCUAACCAAUGUUUAUUAUGCAUGUAACUUUUUAGAUUUCCUAAUAAAUUAGUCCAAAUAUAAAUCAUAAUUCUAAAUAAAAUAAAAUUAAAUAAAUUAAACAACUAAAUUUAUUAUCAAUUCAAUAAUUAAUUUAUAUUUGAAAAUAAAGUACAAUAACUAAUUUCUCGGUAUAAUUAUUAUUCUUUUAUAAUAAAUAUUCCAAUUUAAACAAUACAACAUGAAAGAUAUCUACUUUAUUAAAUCUUUUUAGUUCUCAAUAUUAUAAUCAUUAAUUAUUUAAAUAAGAUUUUGAAAUUUUUUUCAAAACUCAUUUCACCUUAGCCAAGAAUUUUACAAUCAUUAUUACUAUUUGAGAACAUAUAAAAUAUUUUCUAUAAUUUAUCUAAAUUAAUAAUAAUCUCUUGAUUACUUAAAUAACUUCAUAUAAUUUAUUUUAUAUCUAAAAUCUUCCGGUUUGUUAUCUUUAAUUAGAACAAUAUAUGAUCAAGAUCAAAACUUAUUUUAAUGAUAAGUCUAAAGAUUACAUACACAACUAUCACAAAAAUCUUUCCAUGAACAUAAAUAAUCUCUUCAUAUAAAUUUUUCUUGCAAUCAGUUUAAUGUCCAUAUUAUAUAACAAACACCUCCAUUUUAAUUGCUCAUAUCUCAUUUUAUAAGAGUUUAUACUUCCUUUUAUAAAGAAAAAAACAUAAUAUAUAUCAAACUCAAAAAACUCUAAUUAAUAUAACAUUAAGUAUGAACAUUUAAAAACAAUGCUUUAUAACAACUUUAUAAAUCAAAUAAAAAUAAAUAUUAAAAAUAAUUUUUUUUAUUAAUAAUAAAUAUAUUUUACAUAAAUAAAUUCAGUAUUACUUGUAGAACAUAUUCAUUAACAAUUUAUUCAUAGCAGCGCUGCGUCCUCUUAUAUUUCUUCAACAGGCGCAAUUAAACAACCAUGCCUUGAGCAAUUAAGCAAUCCCCAGUAGUUUCUUGACAUCUUUCUGCAGAGAGUAACAAUGACCAGGAUCAUAUCAGUUACAAAUUAGACAUCCGAAAUCAAAUGUAGUAGCUGGAUAUGGGGGAAUGUAUGGCGGAACCAGAUCUUACCUCAAUGCUAAGAGGGGAAGUAGUGGGAGCAUAACGAUCCACAACUUUGCCAUCUUUAUCCACCAGGAACUUGGAAAAGUUCCAUUUGAUGCUGUCCCCAAAAAGUCCACCCUUGUUAGACUUCAAGAACUUGUAAAUUGGAGCAGCAUUCUUACCAUUCACGUCAACCUAUACCGAGACAUGCAUUGUUAACCUCAAGAUCAACAUUAAUUGACUCCUCUCCUCAUGAAACUAAAUAAUAUGCUUAAAUAAGGGGACUUCAAUUAUUGAAUGUUCAUCAAAAACUCAAACAUGAAAUGGUGGGAAAAUUUUGGCAGUCAUGCGAGAAAGAAAAUUGAUUAUAAAUUAAGAAAUCCAUCUUCAUCAGGCUGUAAAAUCUCAGAGUUAGCAUACCUUAUCAAAUAUGGGAUAGUCAGCCUUAAAGCGAGUACAAGCAAACUCCACUAUUUGUUCAUUGUUCCCUGGCUCCUGAGAUCCAAACUGAUUGCAUGGAAAAGCCAGAAUCUCCAAACCUGCAUCAGCACAAAGGCAAGUGAUAAGAAAAAAGAACGGGCAUUACAGCAAGAUGGCAAUGACUUGCAAGGUUUAGCCAUGCCAAUCAAUUAGAUACGAAGUUGAACUUCGCAAAAAGUCAUCAGAAAGAUACAGGCAAACCCAUGUAGCAGCCCAGCUAGUGACUAAUAGGGGUUCAUAUAUUCCUAGAGCAGAAGCUAACUCAUGAAAAAAAAGCCACAUACAAGUCAGUAAACAUUUAAGUGCCACAACACAAAACAUAAAAUAUAAUAGAAGUUUACCUUGAUCCCUGUAUUUGUCAUAUAGCUGGGUCAACUCCGUGUAGUUUGAAUUGGUCAAGCCACUGCACCAAAAUUAAAGGUUAGAGAAGUAAACAAUAAACUCCUGUCUAAGAGAUGGUGAAGAAGGAUCCUCUUUCAAUUGAAAGGGAUUCUUCACCCUUAUUUCCCAACUUAUGAGUUCACUUCACGCUCUGUGAUUUCAACAAAAUGAGGAGUGAACUCACUGACGAAACCCUGUGGCACACUAAUUAUUAGUCCAGGGAGAUUGGAACUGAGUCGAGGAGCAUUAUCUUACAGCAUAGUUAUCCUUAAAAGAAAUGGACAUCUCUUUAAUAAAAACCAGAAAACCCCUCAGUCUCUUCCCGUUAAGGACAGAUGAAAAGGGACGAAAUGAAUUACCAUUGUGAAGCAACAUUGACAAUCAAGAGGACCUUCCCCUUAUAUAUGCUGAGGUCAACAUCAUUUUCCCUAGCAUCCUACAGUCAAGAGAGAACCAAGGCAUUAUAUAUAAAUAUAAGUAGAACACAGAGGAAUCAUAGUUAAUACAUUAGAUGGUUCAGUGGUAACAGAGAAACAGCCAAUAAGCCGCACAUCCACAGUUUGAGUGGUAACAGAGAAACAGCCAAUAAGCCGCACAUCCACAGAUUGAAAUUAUGCUAGUUCGUACCACCUCAACAACCUUAAGAAAUAAGACCUUCCUUGCAUAAAAAACCAUUUUAGUCCUUUUUCCCCCCUUAACAACAAUUAAAGAGAUCCUCUAAAUUUCCAGCAGCAAAACAAAUGAUUAGACUACUAUUAAGCACCGUUCAAAUCAAACAAACAAAAAAGGAAAAUAAAAGCCAGUUAUGAUACCAAAACCUCAAUAUCAGCAUCAAGCGAGCAACUUUAUUGAGAAAGACUGAGAGAAAAACCAUAAAUAAAAUACAACAAAAAAUUACCUUAACAGUGAAAUCAUGAACUGAUUGAGCACUGGAUUGGCUAGCCAUUGAAUGAUUGAAUCUCAAACAACCCAAUAAAGGCCUUGAAUUCUCUGUUUUGAGCGACAGGGAAAUCAAAGAAACUGGUGAAUUAUGCAAGGAAGAUUAAAGGGUUCGCUUGGAAUUGAAAGAUAAGUGCUUCGAUAAUAAAAAUGACGCAAAGUUGAGAGUUUUAUGAGAGAUAGAGAAUGCGAGAGCAGGAACAGAGCAUUGAGAAUUUAAAGGAAAGAGUAGUGGGGCCCGAGAUAGAUGGUCAACUUUUGGGUUUUGAUCGGCAAGACAGAAGAUGCUAAGGAUAGACGUUGUGGAUGGAUAUGAAUACACGUGGGUGAAGUUCAGGCCAAGGUUAUUGGACGGUCAGGAUUGUUGUUGCAUGGCGGUGUGAAACGGAAGAUGCGGGUGUCGAAAGGUCUUCCAAGAUGACUGUUUUUAUUUAUUUAAUUUUUAUUUUUGUGAGCUUCAAAUGUUCAGACGUGGGUUCUAAUAUUUGUCGGCCUGUGUUUCUAGAACUCUACAUUAUUUCGCUCUUUCAAAAUCUGCCUGUAGUGGUUUAGUUCAAGAUGAUCAUAUAGGUAUUCACGCGGCAUUCAAUCUGCUGAGAGAUUGUUAAUAGAGAGGUGCCGACAAGGCUGGCGCGCUGCCGCGUCACCACUCACGCAACAAUCAAUUUUAGUUUUUUAACAAGAGAAACAGUAGGCAGGAGAAAUGAAGGCUUGGGCUCAAGAGAAAAAAAUGGUAUUUCUCAUAUUUUUAUUAAUUUAUAUAAAAUUUAUUCAUCAAUAUAACACACAAAAGACCCAUGUCUAAGUUCCUUGUUAAAAAAAAAAAAUUCAAAUCCCAAAUAAAAACCACUUCUCUUAAUAAUAGAAAAGAAAUUAAUAUCAAGACACCUAAAUACCAUAUUUCCCUACACUUUUAUUGGCCACAACAAGAUCGCGACUCCAAAUUGGGUCCUUAACUUGUGGUCUGUGGGACCUUUGCAACACAUGUGAAUUAGAAGAGGCCAUAUGGAUUAGGCCUAACUUAUUGAGAAAAAAGCCCGUACUGCAUUUAAUAAAUAAAGAUAUUUUUUUCUUGUAUUUUGACACAUGACCAAAAACAAAAUUAAUAAUAAUAAUAUCUUUCCUUAGUAUUUUUUACUAAUAAAAUAUUAUUUAUUACUCCAUAUAUAUAUAUAUAUAUAUAUAUAUAUAUAUACACACACACACACACACACACGAGAUGACAUGCCCGCGCGCUGCUGCGGGCUUAUAAAACAAAUGCACUUGACAAUGUUAUAAUUAUGAACCGACACUAGAUAAGUAAUAGCAAUUAAAGGUAUGAUGGAGCAAAUAUUUCACGACGAAAAAAAAAUUGUGUUGGCGAUCCAAAACUUAGAGACUGAACAAAAUGAUUUAUAGCAAUUUACAGUGUUUUGUGAUGAAAUAUACAGUGCUUUCGCCACAUGAUUUAGCUUUUAAGUUAAUAAAAAGAAAAAAAAUUAUAAAGCUAAAUUCUCUACCAACUUAAUAUAAAAAAAAAACCAACAAAGAUAAUUUUGGAAGGAAAAAAAACCCAUGAGAAAAAACGUUGUAGCAAUUGACAAUGUUUUUGGAGGAAAACUAUAACACUUUUCCCAAUAAAAUAAAAUAAAAAACAUUUAGAGAAACAUUGUAACAAUCCACAGUGUUUUGUGAGAAAAACUACAACGCUUUCUCAUAUGAUUUAGUUUUAUUGUAAUUAUAAUUCUUAACCAACUCAAUAUUAAAAAAAAAAAAUCGACAAAGAUAAUUUUGGAAAAAAUCAUAAAAAAAUCACAUGGGAAAACACUGCAACAAUUCACAGUGUUAUGAAGAAGAAAAAUUACAAAGUUAAAUUCUUAAUCAGCUCAAUAUUAAAAAAAAAAAUCGAUAGAGACAAUUUUAUUAAAAAAAAUAACAAAACAAACACAAAAAAAAAGAAAAAAAAUCAUGUUGGAAACACUGUAGCAAUUUACAGUGUUUUGUGAUGAAAGCUACAGUGCUUCCCCAUAUGAUUUAGCCUUAUUUGUAAUGAUUUGUAAUUGUAAUUCACAAAUAACUCAAUAUUAAAAAAAUAAAAUUAAAAAGGAUAAUUUGAAAAAAAUUAUAAAAAAAACCAUAUGGGAAAAAACACUGUAGCAAUGGACAAUAAUUUUCAAAAAAAGUUAUAGUGCUUUCCUCACAUAUUGUAACUGUAAUUUUUAACCAGCUCAAUAUUAAAAAAUAAAAUAAAAUAAAGAUAAUUUUGGAGGGAAAAAAACCAUGCGGAGAAACACUGUAGCAAUCAACAAUGUUUUAAAGAAAAAAAUUACAAAACCAAAUUCUCAAUCAGCUCAACAUUAAAAAAAAAUCGACAAAUAUAAUUUUGAAAAAUAAAGAAAUAAAAUAGAAAAACUAAGUGGAAAAACAUCGCAGCAAUCCACAGUAUUUAAAAAAAAAUUACAAAGCAAAAAUUUAAACCAGGUCAAUAUUUAAAAGGUAAAAUCAACAAAAAUAAUUUUGGAAAAAAAUAAAUAAAAAAGAAAAAAAGGAAAAGUUAGCCAAAAAAAAAGAAGAGGAAAAACACUGUCGAUUACUGUUGUAAUCCACAGUGUUUUGUGUGUGGGGGAACAGUGAAUCCCCCACACGAUUUAGUUAUAUGUAUAAUAGCCUUAUUUGUAAUGACUUGUAAUUGUAAUUCACAAGCAACUCAAUAUUCAAAAAAUAAAAUUAAAAAGGAUAAUUUGAAAAAAAUUAUAAAAAAAACCAUAUGGGAAAAAACACUGUAGCAAUGGACAGUAAUUUUCAAAAAAAGUUAUAGUGCUUUCCUCACAUAUUGUAACUGUAAUUUUUAACCAGCUCAAUAUUAAAAAAUAAAAUAAAAUAAAGAUAAUUUUGGAGGGAAAAAAACCAUGCGGAGAAACACUGUAGCAAUCAACAAUGUUUUAAAGAAAAAAAUUACAAAACCAAAUUCUCAAUCAGCUCAACAUUAAAAAAAAAUCAACAAAUAUAAUUUUGAAAAAUAAAGAAAUAAAAUAGAAAAACUAAGUGGAAAAACAUCGCAGCAAUUCACAGUAUUUAAAAAAAAAAUUACAAAGUAAAAAUUUAAACCAGGUCAAUUUUUAUUUUUGUGAGCUUCAAAUGUUCAGACGUGGGUUCUAAUAUUUGUCGGCCUGUGUUUCUAGAACUCUACAUUAUUUCGAUUUUGCAAAAAAAAAAAGAGGAAAAGUUAGCACAAAAAAAAAAAAACAAAAACAAAAAAAAAAGAGAGGAAAAACACGGUGGAUUAGAGAGGUGCCGACAAGGCUGGCGCGCUGCCGCGUCACCGCUCACGCAACAAUCAAUUUUAGUUUUUUAAUUAUAUUUUAUAUUUAUUAAAAUAUCAAAUUCUAUUAAAAAUCCAAGAUAAAUAAAAUGUAAUUUUAAAAAUAAUUUAAUGGUUUUAUUGCGUUUUGAAAUAUAUAAAAAAAUCAAGUUGUUUUUAACCAAUUUAAUAAUAACUAAUAAACUUUGGUGAAAGAUGGUAUUACUCUUGAUAAUUGAUUUAUUUAUUUUUUAAAAAUAAAAUGAUGAUUAUACUAUUUUAUUAUUUAAUGAAAAAUGUUUUUUUUCUUUCUGGAAUAAUUUUUGUUAAUAUUUAAACCGGGUUUUUUAUUUUCAAAUAAUUUUGAGCUUUCAAAUUAGGUUUAUUAUUUAAAAUUCUUUAACAUAAAAUGCUCGACGAUUUUCUUUUCAUGAAAAGAAUAAACUUAGGAGGACUGUAGGAUAAAAAAUCCAAUACGUGUGCAUGCCGGAAAAGAGAAGGUGGAUAAAAGUAUAUAUUAGCAAGCGGGUCUCUUCAAGCAUCGUAUGACAGCACAGAAUAUUGACAUUUUAAAUCAGAUUCCCUGUGAAGAAAGAAUGGUGUCCAGAAUUUAAAAUCUCAUAUCAUGUAAAAUGAAUUGUCUCCAUUUUGUACACCCUUCAUGGUAUUAAAAAAAUCAAUUACGAAAGAUAAGAGGAGGGGAAAACAAAAAACAAAAAGCUGAUAUAAACUUCAUUGCAUUUUGCUAACCCUCUCGAGCAGGGUGUUCACUGUUAUGGAGAACGCAUCCUGAAACUUCUGAAACCGACAGCUUGAAUCACCAUACACCAACCCAGGUAGAAGUUCAUACACUAUGUACCUCCUCAUAUCAUCUCUUUCCCUUGCAGAAAUACUGCUUAGCCUCCCCACCACAUUCACCUUCAUUUGCCUCACUUCUUCUUGAUCUAUGAACACUGAGUAUUUACCAUGAUCCUCGGGUAAAUGCCAUGGAUAUUGGUAAUAAGCGGUAAAGGGAUCGAAAAGCACCGGUAUGCAUCCCGAAACAAGUGAAUCAAAUACUGAUUUUCUUGUUGGACUAUCACCAGGAGGCUGCAAGCAGAAUUCAGACUCCAAAAACAGCUUUGUGACCGAUUCAGGCUGAUUACAUCCACCUGAUUUACAAUCCAGAAACUGGCAUUUAUCACUGCUUGUUGAAGUGCACUGAUUGAUCAAUGUUGACCUUAUGCUCUCGGGUUGAUCAGGCCGCGCUGCUCCAGCAAAACUGACUAGGUUCUUUCGAGUUGUUUCGAUAAUCUUUUGCUGCCAUGCAACAAUGUCAUCGUCUGAAUGAGGGUGAAAGAAGGUAGGAUGUGGAAUUGCAAUGUCGUUGACUUCCCAUGGUUGUCGUUCGAUCAAGAGCUUUAUCGGGUUCUGCAUUUGCUCAAGCUCUAGAAAUCUAGUGCCCCAGGAAGUAUAAUUCUUUCUCCUGAAAUCCCAUGAGAUUUUUCCCAACACAAACACAUGAUCCGUGCCAGAAUUUUGAACCCAAGGUCUUCUAUGCUCGAGCCACUUCAUUAGAUCCAUUGCCAAAGCGUCUUUAACAUCAUCAGAGACAUUCUUGAAAUGCCACCUCAGGAUGUCUAGACCACCAUAAUAUGGGACAUAAAAGAGCUUUGCUUCACUUUCAUUGUAAACCCUACAUGGAUGGCUCAGAAUUCUUGAAUGAAAUAUUGGCUCCAAUGAGUACUGAUGGGUGUGAUACCAGCCCUUUCCAAGGUUUGCUAUUGGCUCCCCCAGCGCCUCGUUAUUGAAAUAUUUGCAGAAAUCUGUCCAUGGCAUCAUGUCUCCACACUGACCUAUCAGGUCCUUGUUGAAUUUUGAUGGAAGAUCAUAAACAUAUACCCCCCUCCCAUCACAAGAAGCAUGGUUUGUAUUAGGCAUCCACGAUCGAUGCAGUUGUAGUUGCUCCUUGACAGCCUUCUUGGCAAUGGCAAUCUCCUCGUUCCCGUUUUUGUCUGUCCCGUCUAUCACGGCUGGAAUCGAGUCCUUCGUGAAAACGUUGGCAACUUCUAUGAUGUUGCCGAUGGUGCUGGAACUAAGAGCUUUGGCGAUCUCUUUGCUAUCAGUGAUGGGUUCAGGAGUACUAGCGGCCUUGACAUAUCUUUGAUAGUGCUGGUAGAGCCAGGACUAGUAAAACUAUUGUUGAUAAGUGGAACUGGGAUUUCAAAGUUAGGCUGAGUACCUGCGGACAGGCAGUAAAGAUUGCUGAGCUUCCGCGAGGAAACACAGAUAUGAACAAUCUUGCCAGAGAUAAUGGUGGUGGAGGAGGACCACAGGUACACAAGAAUCAAAAGAAGAAUGCCAAGGGGGGUUCGAGACAGAAUUUUGAAAAGGAAAGUACCACAGGAACAAUGUUCAUUUGUUUCUGCUUUUUUGGAUGGUUUAGAUUUCCUUCUGUUAAUGGAAACAGCCAUUUUUCGGAAAGAUGGUUGCUAAUCCAUGGCUUUGAUUCUGGUUUUCUACUAGGGGUAGGUUGCAUCUCAACAACAAUUAUGCUCCAGUUUCUUAACUUGGUUGCACGUACAUGGGAAGUGCCUAACUUGUAUGCACGUUACAGUACAUUGACAUCCAUAAUUUCAGCACUACUAUAAGAAUAUUAGAUUCCACAGACCAUGAUUGACCUAAAUCCUGAUGUGGAUUGCUUCUAUUUUGAGGUCAAACAUUAGGCCCAUUUUAAAAAUGAACAUUCAUGAGCAAGCCCCACCAACGUAAAGCAUGCCAUUUUUUGCAAGCUAUUGAAUAGUUGUCCUGUAUGAUUAUCAAAAGAAAAGCAUGUCGUUUGUUAUGAACAGACCAUGUCACCAUGGAAGAUCACACUCCAUUUUCUUACCAAAUUUGCCUCGUAUGAUUCCCUCCUUCCCUUCUAUUUUCUCCUAAGAACUGUUAUUUUUCAAUAUUUGGACAGGAAUGAGCAAACGAAAUAUAUAGAAUCAGCAGUUGUCUUCUAUAAAUUAAGUUGGCAAUGGCUUGUGUCACAAAAAGUUGCUUCUACAAUAGUAACUUCAUCUGAAUCUAGCUUAGUUUUUACUUAUUAGGUAACUGGCUUUUGGGAUGAGCUUAUAAAUCAGACAUGGUAAUGCUAUGGAUUAUCAGAGUAAAGUUCAUUGGAAGUGGGAGAAGCAAAAUGAAGGGCAUCGAGAGGGUAGGAAACGUUAAUCACAAAAAAAAAAACAAAAAAAAAAUUGUUAGAACUGGGAAGGAAAUGUUUUUGAAGCUUAAACUUCCACUUCAUCAGAGGAUAUGCUGGGGCGGUAAUAAUAAAGAAUGAGAGAAAGUCUGAAUUCAUAAUUAAUCUCCUACUAUCCCUAAACAUCUUCAUGAGUAUAGAACAUCAGACAGUGUCACAUAUGAAAUUGAGAACCCAGAGUUGUUCAGGGGGAAGAAGGGGGGGGGGGAUCAGAAAUUGACAAAGAAGCAACCUAUAGAACAUCGACAGAGUUCCUGCUCUAAUCAAAUUCUAUUUAACAACUCCUUAUGCUACUUCUGUGUGGCAACACAUGCCAGAUACAAAUUAUUCGCAGUCUACUUUAGCGAUUACAGCUUUCAUGGUCAGUCCAUUGUGAACGAGAAGUGCAAAGGAAGCAAUACAAAGAACUAGAGUGAAGCACUUACAAAUUCUAACGUGAAUGUGCGAGCAUCCAGUUCCCAUUUCACAGCAUACUAUCUGUCCGAGAAGGAAGCCGGCGAAAGAAGUUUAUGGGCACAGAUGGUGUCCUGUAGCGAAAUCUUGGAUGCCUCAUCAUGUAGAAGCCAGCCAAAGCUGCUAUGACCUGAAAUGGUGUCACAAAUAAAACCAGAGCAGCUACGAGGCAGAAUAUAACAAAGAUGGCAGUGGCGCGUGGAUCGCGCCAGCUUAACAGUGCCUGAAAUCGCUCUCCUUGGGUUGCUAUAUCCCCCACAACUGUUUGAAUCCUUCCAGAAACACUUCGUAACCUAUCGUACCUCAUUCUGACCAGCUCAGGGCUCCUGCUUGUUGGGAAUGUAUCAAACUCCUCGUCAAGCUCAUCAGGAUGCACUACCUCAGCUUGUGAAAUCUUUGUGUUCAUAUGGGGAGGGUACCUUGGUCGAUAUCGGUAAUUCCAAAUGCCUAUCAGAAACAUGUAAAGAAAAACUGUGGGCAGAAUAAGUUCUGGGAAGCAAGCAAGCAUGAGAUAGAGCACAUGAACAAGCACGGUAGUGAUAGGAUUCUUCCACAUGCAAAUAUCCCCAAACCACUUUCCAGCUGCAAAUAACCCUGAGAAAAUUGUCAUUAAUCGAAAGAAAUUUGCCUUGCUUCGGCGCAUGCUCCAGAGGUGUGCAUCAACAUCUGACAUAUACUCCACCACUUCCUUCCUAAGAGGAGGUUCUGCCCGACCUAAUCGUAAUGCCACUAUAUUGACAGCUUGGUGGCGAAGCAUAUCUAGUUGCAUCACAGUGAAAGGCCUGAUAUAGUGCAUUUUGGGUAGAAGUGGUCGUGAGUACUGAUAAAGCAUGUUCGCAAAAGAUAUGCAUGUAAAUCUGAUUGCCAAAUGCAACUCCCCCAUCUUCUUAACUCCAGUAGGAUGAAGAACCAGCAAGGGAUAAGAGUGAGUAUAAACACGCCCAGUUUCGAGUGUGGAGAUGCGAAUCCGAACCUUCCCAAUCUUUAGAUCCUUUCCACUUGAACCUUUUUCCCCAAGCUGGUUGUUGUCAAAUACACCAACUGUAAGAACUGUAGCUGGAUCAAAAACUUCCCAUGUGUACUGCUCAUUGUAUUUGGGAGACAGGUUGUCAAUAAGGGUGCGUGUCCGGACCCAUUUGUGACCAUACUUUGCAACACAGUAUGUAUCCGAUGUACCCCUUCCAUCUCGUGUUUUCAUAGGAUGGAGUCCUACAGCAUUUAAGAUGCCAAGUUCCAGCAUCCCAAUAGGAGGCCUCCAAAGCUGUUUUGCUGUAGGACGAAGAUCACUGCUGUAAUGAGUUGACUCGUCAAGAACAUGGUAUCCUCCAUCUAAGCAGACUCGAAGAUGGAUACGGCUAGAGAACUUAUCUUUCUUCAGCUGAUCUACAUCCACAGCAACUGGCUUUUCCAGGUUAAACCAACAAGAAUGAAUUAUCCUAUCGUCAGCACGCUUCUCCACAGAGCUCAACGGGAUAAUGACCCUCCCAAUUAUCUCAUCUUUUCCAGGACCGACACGAUCCUCAACCGAAAGAACCAGGUGGUCUUCAAAGGGUUCAGCAGCCACAAAUAAAAGAUCCUCAUUCCAUAAGGCACUAAAAGUCCGAGCCUGAUAUGUCUUCGUCUUCAAAACUUGGUUUCCAAUCUGUACCUUAACAUACACUUCAGGGAAACGGUUCUUCUCUGAUGGGACUAAGUCUUGGGCCUCAACAACGUUAACACGUACAUACCACAGCCUCGGUGCAUGAUAGACCUUUGAACGUAUCACAGUGGAGGAAGCCGGUGUACUAUCUACAGGGGUAGCUGCAUCAGAAUGCCAGGCAUCAGGAAAGGCCUCGUCUGCUUGGGUUCCAAUCCAUACUGCAAGCAUCAGCUCGCCCUUUAUCUUCUCUCCCUUCUUGUCCUCAAGCCGAUACCACUCUGGAGCUAGAGGACUAUCUGGGGGGACUCGCAAUGGAACCUCAUUGAUGUCAAACCUUAUGACGCCCACAAAGUCAUCUUUAACAAGAUCCUUGUCCUUGAUCACAACUUCUAAAACAGAAGCUUGCAUCCGUUCCCUUGAAAAAGCAAACACCUGAUUCCACUCUGGAUUUUGCUUUUUUUCAAAGUGCUUUGUAAUUCCUCUGUAGUUUCCAAUUCUCACCUCGACAAAUGGAUCAAGACUUCCUGUAACAUCCAUGGCAGGAAGAUCACGAGCUUUAACAACUCUCACGUACAGAAAGUACAUCCGUUCAACAAGAUCAUAAGUGCUUGCGGUCUUGUCUCCGUGAAUAACCCGCCCCCCAACAACUCUUCCCCCGCCAAGAAAGGGACUUGUCUCUUUAAGGGCAUAGUCAACAGGUUGUGAUGAUGACGCAGAGUACAUGCGAACUAACUUCGGAGGCUGUGUUUCCGCAGCUUUCAUCUCGUCAGCCACGUACUUUGGUACAUGAUGGCUAAUUGCUGGAGCAGAAGAAUGAUUCUGAUGCUGAUUUUGCUGGUGAUUUGGGUUAGGAAGAUGAUGAAAGGUGUGUCUCUCAACUCUUUUAUGAGGUACAGAAUUUGUCAUGGGGUGGACCACCGGAGCCUCAGUAUGUGUUAAGCCUGGAUCCUUAGUUGGCAAAGAUUCAACUGCAGGAAGUGGGGUAGAAGAUUUGAUGGAUGCAUCAUCGGUAAUAUAAACUUUCAGGCCAAGCUCUCCUCUCACACGUGAGAAAAUUCCACGCUUUUCCAGAGGGUAGUGUAACACAACAGCAUCAGAGUGCAGUACAAAUGAAUUCCCAGUGAGGCAAACCUUACCAAGGAAGGACCUGGAGUUGGUAGCUCUGAUGUUACAGUAAACAUGGGCAUCAAGAGUGAGAUAGUGGAGGUUGGAAGGGUCAGAGACGUUGAAGUAGAAACUCUCAUUCCACACAGGAUGGAGAUCCUUUUCUUUGAUGGUCGUGCGGAACCUCUGGCCAUCAAAGUCGAGCUCUACAAAGGCACUGGAUGAACCGUGCUCGUCUUUGGGCAAAAGAUUGUGGGCACUCACCACUUCUACCCCUAGCUUAAUGUUGCUCAUCAUGAUGCAGAAGCAACUAGGCUCGUUUAGCAAAUAUUAUGAACUACUGGGCUAUAGGUACCUGCAGUGCAGAAAACAACAAUAAUUGUUUUUAAAAAACUGUGUUGCAAAUAUCAACAAAGAAGAAAUAGGGUACAAGUCAAUAAUCACGAUGUGAUAUAACUGAAGCUGAACUUGGUAAAUCUCAUUGGAAUGAAUAAUAAUUUAUGAGUUUUGACUAAAUGAUUGAAUGGACUAGUGCAUUCGAAUUGUAUAGCAAACAGAAGAACUUGCACAAAACUGGUUUCGUUAAAAUGGAAUUUUACAAAACUAAAUUAAAACAGAGAGAAACAUGAAUCGGAAAACCAAUGACUUGGUAAAUAUUGCUACAGUAAUGGCUAUCCCUCGCGGGCAGCUCAGUUCACAGCAGAGCUGAUAUAUAUAUAUAUAUAGAAAGUAAACCAACUCCAGUCAUUCAUAAAAUCCCAAUGACGAACAACAAUUCUAAUAUGUAACUUAGCUCUGUGUACAUCCAGGAGAAUUCAAUCAUGAAAGCACAAAAAGAAUUUCAUCAAAUUUCUUUAACAUGCUUCAUGAAUUCCACCAUUACUCCUAAACAUUCAUAAAAAAGAAGCAGCACUGAUUAUUUACCUCAGAAUACCCACUUAUUUCCCAUGAAUUCGAACCUUAACGAAGCACUAAUUAAGUGGAUGAAGCAAACACCACCAAGAGUACUUUAUAUCUUUUGAGCAAAUUACCAACUCACUUUAUUUUUUGUUUUCCUAACAACCCAUUAGUUAGUUAACUUAAAAUGCUGAAAUUGGAUGAAAUCAAAGGAACUGUAAUCGAAAAGGCAGACAAGUUAAACACUUUAAUUAAAUCGAGGCAUGUGUAGGCUCCCUACUGAAAAGAUCUCAACACAUGCAAGCAAGCAAAUAAAUAAAUAAUCAAAACAAGUACUCCACGGCAUGGCAUACAAGCUAACUACAUAAUUAUAUGAUCGGUCCACUCUUUGAAGUUAAAGAUCCUAAAAGCACGCUUAAGACACAUGACCUUUUCUUUCGAUUCCAUAUAAGAAUAAUAAUAAUAAUAUAAUACUUCGAGGAAAUAACAAAAAGAGAAGCGAUGACACUUUUGUUCCCAAGCUAACAAAAAGAAGGAAAAAGGAAAUUGAUAAAAAAAUCUAAACCAAGAUCUUUUAGAGGAAAACAAAAAUCAAAUAAUGGAAAUCAGAUCAAACUGAACCGCAUGACUCAAUAAAUAACGUUCUAUUUUCUCGGCAACCAAACAGAAAUUGAAACAUCAGAGAAAGAGGUGCAAAAUCAAAGAAGAACAUGCACAUAUCAUUUUUCAUUUAAAAAGAAAAAUGCAAGCCAGAGUUUGCUUCCUGGAGCUAAUUUUUCCAAAAGAAAACAAACAGUAACAAAAUGAAACUGAGAAAGAAAAAGCGUCACUUCUUUAUACAUACUUGGUAUCGUCACUGAAAAGAAAGAUAACUUUAGAUGGCAAACAUUUUCAAGCAAUCAUGAAGGUGUCUGCAGCUGCAUUUAAGUCGCCGUCCAUGAGAGAGAAAUGCGGGUGCUGUGGUUGGGCACGAGAAACUAGGAGAGAGAGAGAGAGGCAGGGCAGUUUUAGAGAGAGAGACUUUAUUAAUUAAUUGCUACGCUGCAUGUGUCUCUUUACUGGUGCAGCAAUAAGCAGCUUCUAUUUUUUAGUUUUCCCGGUAUUUUCAGAGAAAUAACCCGCUGUUGGGGAUUUCAUUUUUGCUGCCAUGAGCUUGUUUUCUUUCUUUCUUUUCUUUUUCAGGGGUCCACUCCACUGUGACCACCUGGUUUGAAUUUAGUUGUGUGCGCCCGUGGAUAAAAUGCCAAGGGUCUAACUUGGACUGACUUUUAACGAUUUUAAAAAAUAACAUCUUAUGAUGAUACAAUAUAUUCAACUGCAAUUUUUAUAUCUAUUUGAAAAAUCAAAAAGAUAAAACUAACUUUUUUUAAUCACUUGCCUUUAAUCCUCUUGAUUUAAAAACACGUUUGUUUUUAUAUUUAAAACUGUAUUUUUAUUUAUUUUAAAAGUAUAUUUAGCUUCAAAAAAAAUAUCAAUUUAAUAUUUUUAUUUUAAUAUUUUUCUAUGGUAUUUAUGUGAUAAUUUUAAAAACAAAAAAAUAUUUUAAUAUAUUUUUAAAUAAAAAAUAUUUUUAAAAAAUACUAUACAUUGUAUUACUACAUAUCUUAAAAGCCACGGUUCUUGCGAGGGUGGUUGCGGCUAUUUUUCAAAAUGUUUUUCACUUGGAAAUGCAUCAAAAUAAUUUUUGAUAUCAAUAUAUCAAAAUAAUCUGAUAUAUCAAAAUAAUCUGGAAACACCUAAACAAUAUUAAUUUUAAAAUAAAAAAAAUUAAUUUUUUUAAAUAUUUUUUAAAUAAAAAAAUAAACAGGACAUGGUAAAAGUUAUUUGAGCGUGAGUUUUGUAUUCCAAUAGCAUAUCAUGUGUGUGUACACAUGUCGUGUGCACUAUGUUUUAAAAAAUAUAUAGAGAGAGAGAUAAAUAGGAACAUAGUUGAAUACUCGUAGUCCUAAAAACAAACAUAAUGAUCUACACUUUACCUAAGCAUGCCUGGGCUUUAUAGUUUUGGGCUUGCAAACACGUCAAUCUCACUAAUUUAGUGGUGUCUGGCUAUUUUUGUAAUGGCCUUUAUUUUUUAUAUGUUUUGUAAUAGGAUUGAGUUUAAAUAAAUUUAUUGAAAUAAUAUUUAAAUUAUUAUUUGAUUAUAAUAUAGUUUUUAAAUAAUAUUAUAGGUUUUUAUGGUAAUAUUAAUAAUUAUAUAUGAAUCUAAUAUGCUUAAUUUUUUUAAAAAAACCCUUAUAAACAUUUAAUGCACAUAAGAUAUCUAUAAAUUAUUUUUUAUGGUAAGUUUUUUAUAUACUUUUUCUCAAAUUUUAUAUUUCUUAGGGAAAUUAUCGAUUUAAUUUAUAUUCAAACUUUCUUCUAAGAUUAUGAUAAGUCUUAAUUUAAAAACAAUAUUUAUUAAAAAAAGAAAAUGUUUUCAUGAACAAAAAUAGAAACAAAAACACAUGAUCAAGAAAAGGGAGUUUUGAUUAUAGAUAUAUAUUUUUUUUACUCUUUAUCUCAACUCAAUAGAAUUUUUUCUAAUCUUUAUUUUUUAUUCAAUAAAUCAUAUUGCUAUUAAAAACAUGUGUUUUUACACUUGGGCGUGCACUCGAGCACUCUCGUGGACUCAGGGUACUAUGUUCAAGCCUAACAUGUUUAGAUCUAAGCAACGUAUUUGGACUCAUUUUUCAUUCCUAAUGGGCUAAGUAACUAUGCCUGAGCCCAACACUAUUUUAAGAAUUUUUUCAAGACUUCAAAAUGGUCUCUUAUUAUUUUAUAUUGGUUCGAUAUGUUUUAUUUUAAGUAUAAUUCAACUCAAAAUAUCACAAUGGUAAAAUAUAUUUUAGCCCCUUUUAUUAACAGAAAGACAACACUUAUGGGUUACAAAUACAUUAUAAAUCCUUCAAACUCAAGGUUCAUAAUUUCUUCAUUCUUAACAUUUUUAACACAUAUAUUUUUAAAGUUUAUCUUUCUAAAAUAUCACUGUAUUUUCUUUCUUUAUAAAGUUACUGACUUAAGCAUACAAGAGUCUACAUAUUCAUCAAAAAAGACCUUUUGCAUGUAUCAAUUACCAGUCACCUUGAUUUACCAAGCAUCACUAGUUACCAAUUACUAAUUAUCUAGGCUUUCUAUAUCAUGUUACUGGAUACCUUAAUUAGAAAAAAUAAAUCAUAUUAUUUGAACUAAGAAAUUAACCGAUUAUUCGAUAUAUCAAUCUUAUUCCUAAACAUCUUGAAUUUUGGAACUCGUCAUGAAGUUUGUGAAAAGAAGUUAUAUAAGAAAUACAUAUUAAAAAGGUGAGAAAAAAGUUAAUAUUUAAAUUUUUUUAUUUAAAAUUAAUUUUUUUGAUAUUUUUAAAUUAUUUUAAUAUACUAAUAUUAAAAAUAAAUUUUAUAAAAUAAAAAAAUAUUUUUUUAAUAUUUGUUUUUUAAAAUGCAUGUUCAUGGUUUUGAUUACAUGAUUGAUAACAUGUUAGUGAUUUUUUUUAAAGUAACUUUUAACAACUUUAAAAAAAAAAUCACUAACAUGUUACACAAACAUGCAAUCAAAAGCAUGAACCGUAGAUAGCCUAAUUUAAUCUUCUUUUACAAUUUUAUAUGAAUAUCUUGUUAUUAAUUAAAUUAGAUAUCCACGUAACCAUUUUGAGGAUAAAGGGUUCAUACUUCAUAGUAUAUGUAGAUCGUUCGUCACAGCCUUCAAGGGAAAUCGUCAUCUUCUGCAAGGUUUUUUUUAUUUAUUUUUACAGCUUUUUAGAAAACCUUUUUUAAUCCGAUGGUGCUAAAUGAAGAGCUAAUAUAUAUAUUAAUUUUUUUUCCUUGUUUUUCAUGCUCCAAAAAAAAACCAAACAAAAUACUAAAAUGUUUUUUCUCUUCCACAAAUUCUAUUUCUACAUCUCUUAAAAAAACCAAAAUCAACACUAAAAUGUUUAACUCCUGAAUUAAAGGUACUCCUUAAUCAAGCAUUCCUUUUCUCUGUGUGUUAUAUAUGUGUCGAUUUUUUUUUUAGUGCAAAAGUUGAGGCUUUUGUUGCUUGUUAGCAAACUUGAGACCACUCCAGAUGGAAAUUAUGGUCAUCAAGGGUUUAGGGUGCAAAAAUCUGUGCCGGGGAAUGAUCUGUCUUUCUCAAGAAAGUUGAGACAGUCAUGUGUGAUUCUUCAUUGCGAUUUCAGAAAUAUAUCCUAUGGGAAAAGUGCCAGCGAUUGUAGUUGAUGGAAAAUUCAAGCUUUUUGAGAGGUAACAUAAACACAAACUGCUAGUUACUUGCUCGUCCUUGUGAUUGAUCUCGUAUGUUUUGGUUUCUGGAAAUCUAGAACUUGAGUUUGCUGCUAGCAACUCUAUUCUACGAUAUAAUUUUAUACAUGUCCAGCACUUGUAAAUUUUUGCUAGUACUGUGUGAGAAUGUGUUGUAUAAUGCAGGUGACAAUGUGUCUUUGGUCUGCAUGUGCUUUCAGUUGCAGGAUUUAGUGUAUUCAAAGACUAAUUGAACGUUUUAUAUGAUUUUAAGACUUGUAUGCUGGUGACCAGUUCUUAACAUGUUUUAUUGUUCACACUGUAAGGUAUCCGGCUGAUCACUACAAGAGAGCUUAAAUUCACUCAAAUUUUGGAUUGACAAAGCUAUACACCUUCAUCCCUGUCGAAGAUAGAGGCUCUGUGGCUUAAAGAGAGUGGCCAGUUCUUGCUAGGCAGUAUAGCCAACCAUCCAUAGCUGAUCUAAGCCUCCUCUGUGAGAUAAUGCAACUACAGGUAUGUAGAUAUGACUCACCAUUUCUAUACGAUGUAGCUAGCGUUGCUGCUAUAAUGGGAGAAAAUUCAAUAAGAGUGGGGUUUAGCUAAAGUUUCGGAUACAAUAUAGUUUUUUAGGGUGUGAGGAUUUACUUAACUUGAAUCACUCCCUCUCGCCUCCCUUUUAAACACCCAGAAGUAAUCUCAUUCCCACAAUCAUUCCCACAACAAAAUACUAUUGAGGGAGACAAAAUAUAGAUAUUGUUGCAACGUGUUUCAUGUCUUCUUCGCAGUUUUUGAAGUCCAGCUCUCUUCAUUAGAGUAAUCUUUGUCCACAAGGGAACUUGCCAACUACAAGCUUUUACAUUGAUUUUCCAUGAGAUUUUUGGUCAAUACUAAGCAGAUACGUUGAGUCAACCUCAUUGCUUUAUUGAUUUAUGGGAGGCCUCUCUCUACUCAAGUUCAUGUGUUUGCUUAAAGAGAACUGAAACCUAGACCAAGUUUCUUUCUCAUAGUUUCUAGGAUUAAUGGUAGUUCACCUUGUAUCCACGAAGUCAUUGGAGGACAGGUUGAGCAUAAAUUUCUUUCUUUCCUUCCCCAUACGCACAUGCACACUUACAUUGCCACACACAUAUACACUAACACAUAGUAAGGUGGAAUCUUUGUUGCUUUAAACUUGCAUCGAACAUCUAUUUAUAUUUGAUACCGAGGAAAUGAAGUUGCCGAUAAAAGGCCUUUGUUAUCUCAAGGCAAAACUUUUUUUGGACUUUAGUUUGUAGAUGAAACGGAGAGCAAUCACAUACUUGGUCCAUUCAAGAAGGUUCAGCAGUGGAUUGAGGAUACAAAAAAUGCAACAAGGCCCCACUUUGAUGAAGUGCAUCAAACCCUCUUUGGAGCCAAAGCUAAACUACAGAUGCAACAGUAAUCGAGUAAAACCAUUGAGGUGGAGCAAGAUAUGUAAGGAGUCUUUGUUUUAAAUCAUUUAAAAGCAAUAAGCAUUUCUUGGUUCAUCCAGUGGAAGUUCGAGCCAAGAAUUUAAUUUCUACAGCACGACUGGAUCAAAUAAUGAGGUGGACACAGCAUGUUAAUAAUUUAUGUACUUUUGAUAUCCUGCGAUGUUCUGUAAUAACAAUUUCUGAUGUAUUAUAGAUAGCAGAGACUGCCACAAACCGAAACCAUUGUGUUAAACUUUACUGGGUAAAAAAUUGUGACAAUGUGUGUUUAAACUCUUGAAUGAUGGAGUCAUCAGUCCAGCAGUAAUUGUUUCGGAGCUGUGCUGCAGUGCCGAGCAUCGGCAUGUGCUGAUACCCUUAACACAUUUGGAUUUGACUGUAAUAUCAUCUUUCAAAUCCAAAGGUAUAAAAUGGUGCUGGAGCUACGUUCUUUCCUUAUCCGUUGUUUCUUAUGAAAUUUUGAUUUACAGUGUAGUUAAGUGCAUUAAAGUUUUUCUAGUGGCUAAGAAACUAAUGGCAACACAACCCAUCUCAUGAAUCUUCAUGAGGAUUAUCGCCAAACAUAACAUCCUAUUUGUUUUGGUAGAAGCAUCGAAGCAUACACUUUACCUUGGCAUGUAGAAAGACUGAAAGGGGAAAAACGCUGACGCUGAUUUUCUCAUCAGCAAAAGCAGAAGAACGGAGAGGCUUCUGCGGGGAAAAUAUUUGGGAAAUGCUCAAUUCUUAAGGCUGUAAACAAGCCGAGAGGAGUAUCAUAGUGUUCAAGUUUGGUUUAUAUAAAUCAAAUUGAGUUCGAGAGGAGCUUAAGAACCAAAAUAAUGUUAAAGCUUGGUUCGAUACGAUCGAGUUUGAGCUUGUUCAGAAACAAAUUAAAAUCAAAUUUUGAGCUUGUUAAUGAACAAAUUAAAAUCAAAUAAAUACAAAUAUUUGAUAUCAUUGUUUUUUUUCUUAAGUGAGGUUCAAAUAAUAAUUUUAUAUUAUCCUCUAAAAUAUUUUUUUUAAAUUAAAAUUAUUUGAACUUAAAACUUGUAUAAACUUAUACUAUUAUGUGAUUAACUUUUAUUAAUUAAAAUAAUAAUGAUGAGAUUUGAACUCGUAAUUAUUUAGUUAAUAAAGUUUUAAUACCAUAUCAAAAAAUUACCUCAAUUUUAAAGCUUAAAUUAUAAAAUAUAAAAAUAAUUUUAUAAUGCUACGUGAAUUUGAAAAAAAAACUUAAAUUUAUGGUGAAAAGGGUUUAGAUAAUUGAGACACAAGGGGACAUGCCACUUUAAGAUUUAUAAUUUUCACUAAAUUGUCAGGUCCAAAUUUAGUGCCCUGUUUUGUAGUUCUAAGGCUAUUGGACCUCCCAUCCAGUAAAAGAAAGAUUUGAGUGAUAUUUCUUCCUAAAUAUAUAUAUAUUAUUAACUUUCUUUCUUUUUUCCCAUCAAAUUUCCCCUCUUAUCUUUCAUUUUUUUCCCCAAUUUAUCUGAUAGAAAAAGAACAUAAAAUUGACAAAAGAAUUAAGUUAUAGACAGAUUUUAAGAAAAUAGGGAUUAAAAAUUAAUAUUUGAAACCAUGAGGAUUAAUCAAUUAUUGUUGGUAAACUACAGGGACUUAGUUAUAAUUAACUCUUACAAUAUAUGUAUGUGUGAUAAGGUUUCAGAGCCUGAGAUAGAACAGUGCAAAAGGGGGAAAAGGCUCUAUCUGCUACCUUAGUACCUCACAUCCACGAUUCAACUGUAAGAACUAAGAAUCAGAGAUCUAGUGAGAGAGAGAAACUAGAAAAUGAAGCUGAAAGUAUACGCAGACAGAAUGUCACAGCCAUCACGGGCUGUUCUCAUCUUCUGCAAGUAAUUUUCUUUAUUUCAUUUCCCUUUGUAAUAGCUUCCUCAUGUACUAAUUCUAACUGCAAGUUCUUGAACAUGGUUUUUUUUUUUGCGUGUAUUUGAUCUGGGAAUUGUAUAUUAUUGAUGCAGGGUAAACAGGAUAGACUUUGAAGAGGUUAGAGUUGACAUAUCAAAGCGCCAGCAUUUAACUCCUGAAUUCAAAGGUACUCUCAAUCAAGUUGCCCCCCUUCUGUGUCUGUCUAUGUUCAUGCCGUGUUUAGUUAUUUGCGAAUCGGGUCAAAAAACUGAGGCUUUUGUUGUUUAUUAGCAGAAUUGAGACCUCCCCAGAUGGAAAUGAUGUUAAUUUAAGUGUUCUUGUCGCUUAAAUUGUGCUAGCAGAAUUAAGUGUUUGUUGAUUAUGGUUUCAGAGAUAAACCCUAUGAGAAAAUUGCCAGCUAUAGUUGAUGGAAGGUUCAAGCUGUUUGAGAGGUAAUUUAAACACUUCUCUUGCCUUUGUCAUCUCUCACAUUUUUCGUUUCUGUAAAUCUAGGACCUGAGUUUGUUGCUAGCCAUUUUUCCUAUGAUUUAGUUAUGUGACCUGCACCAUAAAUUGUAGAUGACAAAGAGAAUUGGCACUCCCUUUUGCCGUUAAACAUUUUAAUUCGUCAAAUUACUUAUUGAAUUAUUGAUUGUUCUUUGCAGUCACGCGAUCUUAAUUUAUCUUGCUUGUGUAUUUCCGGGAGUUGCUGAUCACUGGUAUGUAAAAGCUGCUUAUCCAAUGUAAUUAAUUUCUGUACAUUUUGGGAUAUGGGUGGCUUAAAUAUAGGAAAUUCUUGCUGGAUAAAGAAAUGAAAUGGGUAUUGGCAAUGAUGUAGAUAUGAUGUAAGCUGUGUUGUUCUUAACGCCCAAAAAAAUGUGUUGAAAAAAAGCAAGGAACAUGCUCCUGUUACUAAGGGCUCGUGGGCUAUUUGUUGAUCUGUUGUCUUUUGUUGUACCAAGGCAGACUUUGUUGAUUGCUUUAAUCUUUAAGAUAUGAAAGGAGAAACUGGACAAUAUUAGUAUAGUCACUUUUCAAUCUUUAAAAAUGGACAACAUUAGCAGGGACGUUUUUCUAUUUACUAAAACUUACUGGUUAAAUGAAUAUGAUUCUCACUGUAACCACACUGAAAAGGUGCUUGGUCUUGUCUAAUGCAGGAACAAUGUGUAUUUGGUUGACCUAUGCUUUCUCGUGCAGGAUUUUUAGUAUAUUCAAAGAAUAUUUUGUUAUUUUUUAUUUAAUUCCAAGAUUUACAUGCCAUGGCCAAUUAUAAACAAGUCUGCCUGUUCCCACUGUAAGGUACCCAGCGGAUCUUUUCAAAAGAGCUAAAAUCAACUCGGUUUUGGAUUGGCAUCACUCCAACUUACGCCAUGGUGCAGGUAUGCCAUAAAAAAUUUGAUCUGAAACAAUUGUGAGAAUCAUUAUUUUGUACAUGUUUAAUUUGAUUUUGCUGUUAUGCUUCUGACUUGGAAAUUGACAUACAAAACAGCUUAUAUUCCACUGGUUCUAGUUACAAUGUUCCUGUCGACUUCCACUGGAAAGCUUUUGUUUAUUUUUCUUUCCCAAGAUUCUGAUAAGCUGGUGCUUUCCAUUUUAUACUUCUUCUUCAGCUGAAUAUGUCAAGAAUACCACAUUAGCACCUGUCCUUGGUCUACCUCUGGAUCCACAAGCAGCUGCUGAGGCCGAGAAAGUUCUAUUUUCAUCCCUGUCAAAGAUAGAGUCUGUGUGGCUUAAGGGAAGUGGCCGGUUCUUGUUAGGUGGAAAUCAACCAUCCAUAGCUGAUCUAAGCCUAGUUUGUGAACUAAUGCAACUGGAGGUACAUAGAUAUGACUCUUUGCUUCUAUGAUAUAAUUAGUAUUGGCUAUGUAACUAUAAAGAAACAAAGAAAGGGAUGUAUUGGCUGCGAUAGAGAUAAAAAUUCUUAGUGAGAGAGUUACUUAUAGUUUUGGUAUUAGGAUUUUGAGGCAUGAGGACUUAAUCAAAUUUGAACACAAGGGAAAUAUCUGUGCUGCCUCUCUCCUCCCUUUUCUUUUCCAACACCCAACGACUGGCACACUUGAUCUCACUGUCAGAACAGAGCAAGGUGCUAUAGAGAUGAACAAAACAUGGAUGUAGUAGUGUGAUGGGUUAUGUCUUCUAGGCAGUAGUCAGAAGUCCAACUUGUUUUUAUGGACUAUCGCCUUAUGUUUGCUGAUGCUGAAAUGGGAAUAUAACUCUGCAAGGAAAGAUUUCAGCUUCAUGCUCUUACGUUGAAUUUUCCAUGGAUGUAAAGGUUAAUUACAUCAUAAAUUUCACGUGUUUUUUUUAAUGGCUGAAACCUAGAGCAUAAUUUACAGUGUCUAGGAUUGCAGGCAAUACCUUUUUUGUUCUUGCUCUGAUAUUACCUGACUGUUUGGGAAGAAAUUCAUUUAAAAAACAUAGAUCUUCUAUAUUUUUUACACUUAUUGAACUGUAAGAUAGGAUUUUUUGUUGCUCUAAAUUUACCUUGAAAUUCUUUCAUAUAAUGCGAGGAAAAGAAUCAAAGAAGUUGCCUCAUGAAGGCAUUCUCAAGUAGAACUUGUUUUUGGCUGUAGGUUUUGGAUGAAAAGGAUUGCAGCCGAAUACUUUGCCCCUACAAGAAGGUUCAGCAGUGGAUGGAGGAUACAAAAAAUGCAACAAGGCCACACUUUGAUGAAGUGCAUCAAAUCUUGUUCAAAGCCAAAGUGAAACUGCAGAAGGUACGGUCAAUGAGCACAAACAGUGAGAACUUGAAAACAAAAUUGGCCUCAAAGAUGUAAGAAUUAUUUUGUUUGAAGUCAUAAAUAUACAUAUGGUAAGCAAUCUGGGUUCAUCCUGUAGAGGCUUCAGCCAAGAAUGAUGGUUAAUACCCAAAUGAUUGGAGCAAAUAAUGGGUUGUGCAAGUAGUUGUGAUUUCUUGCAAUUUUUUGUAAUAAAAAUUUGGGCUACAAAGAGAUGCUGUAUCAUAGACAUCUGCAAAUGCAAUCGACAAAAAGCCUCAUUGUGGAACUUCUUUUGAAUUGAAAAUUGUCACAGCAAUUGUUUAGACUUGUCUGCGAAGCAGUAGUUAUUUCUGGUUGAAAUUUGAUCCAUGCCCUCUUCAAGUGUUUUACUUCUAGAAACUAGGAGUACUAUGUUUAGUCCAUGACACCAUAUAUGUUUCCAUUCUCCCCGAGGGUAAUUCUCAAUCAUAAUAUCGUAACUCUUUGAGUUCUUGCAUCUUUAACUUGCUCAAUCUUCAUUCCGUGGAGUAGCCACAAAUCCAGAGAGAUCAUAACACAAUUAUCAUAAUGUUAUUUGUAUGCCAAGAAACAGCCAACAUCAUUAAUAGUUCAAGCAACACACCUUAAAUUUAUCAUCAAGUUAAUCCCGAGGGUGCGUGCUUGAUCAUGUCUGAGUUAAUAGUCACAUGUUCAAGUUAUUCUCGUGUUGAUGGCAAUCUCAAGGUAGCAAAACACCUGGCUACAUUUAUUAAAUGCUUGGCACCAAUAUUUCUAUCUGCAAACCUGUGAAAGAAAUCCCGACUUUCACAAGUCUUGCUAUGGUGAUUAUCAUUUGAAACAGGAAGAAAACUCUAAACAUUUAACGCACCAUGUAUAAAAUCUCUCGUCUUUGCUCAUUUUCCUUUACUUUUAAUACCUCAUGCAGCAGCAGUCAAUUGGCAACGCUUCCUACAUAUCGUCUAGAUUGCUCUCAAUCAACUCCUGAUCAACUCUUAAUCACUAUCUUUAUUCAAUGAAUUUCUAUUUCCUAGAUUUUCCAGUUUCUUGGGCCUUAUGUAAUUCGUCAAUAAGAGAGAGUUCUGAACCACACUGACUAAAGAGGCAGCCAUGGAGCCCACGGAAAAGGUCCACUAUCCACAGUGGUAAACGGAGUCCAGCGCCAGGGAAAAGCGCCCCGGCUGCUAUUGGAAUGCCAAUGAGGUUAUACUCCAAAGCCCCAUUUGUAGUUUAAACCGUGUUGGAAUGUGGUUAAAAUUAUGUUUUUUAAAUUUUAAAUUUGUUUUAUUAAAAAUUAUUUUUUUAUAUUUAUAGAUUGUUUUGAUGUAUUGAUUUUAAAAAUAAUUUUUUUAUUAAAUUUUUUUAAUGUAUUUCUAAGAAAAAACCAAUUCAAGAAAAGCUUUUCUUAUGGCACGUGAUGCAUAAUGGGAUUAAAAAUAUUCUUAUAAAAAUAUUUUUUUAAUUAAAAAUAUAUUAAAAUAAUAUAUAUGUUUUAUUUUUUUAAUAUUAAUACAUUAAAAUUAGUGAAAAAUAUUUAAAAAAUUAUUAAUAUAAUAUUUUUUAAAACAAAAAAUAAUUUGAAAAAAACAGGUUGAAUAUAAAAAAUAAACGCACAUGAACCUAGAUAAGUGUAUAGCAGUCAGUACAUCCUCCAAAUUGCUCUUCAUCGGAACUAUGCCAUUGCUUCAGUUUCUGCAAGCAUCCGUUCUACAUCAACAUUUAAAAAUAUUUUUCUAAAUAUUUUUUGUAUUUUUUUUAAAGUGCUAGAGUAUAAAAAUACUCAAAAGGAGUGCAGACAAAUUAAAUGCAAAUGUGCCAAAUGGAUAGUUACCAAGAUCAAAUUUAGAACCCUUUCAGGUAAUAGCCUCCAAAAUUCAUCCUACUUCAAUUCCAAUACCAAAGAAAAAACAAAACUGUAUAUAUAUCAAAGCAAUUGGAAAAAGGAAAGAAAAGCCAAAAUGCUAAUAGAAUCAUAUAGUUUUACCAUUUUGAGUGUCAUUAUAAAUAAUAGCAAUAAUGAACUGUUUGCAGGAUGAAUUUUCAUAAGAGUCAUUUUCAUGCCUCUGGAUGACUAUAUUUUCCUGAGUUAAAUCUUCACACACACACACAGAGAGAUUGGAUCUCUGGAAUUCACUUAACCAUUCUGAGUUAAAUUUUGACAUAUAAUACAAAGCAACAUAACAACGAGCUUUUACUUGAGUAUUUGUCUUCAAAUACUUUAUCCAACAGUUGUUGAACACGUAUAUUAGUAAAACUGGGGAAGAACAUGACUUGAGCCCUAUUGUUCAAGACAUCAACAAUGGCCUCAAGCACGCCGGGAAGCCUUUUGAUAGCCUUCUCAACUGAACCAGCGCAAGCAGAACAUGUCAUUCCUGUGACCGAGAACAUUGCCUUCACCUAUGUCCCCUUCCACGCCUUUCGGGUACUUUGGCAUGGAUGUAUAGUGAGGCCUCGGUAACAAGUUCUCGUAAUUCUCCCUGCGUAAGCAAGUUAAUGUCAAGAACUUGGCAGGCUAAAAAUGUUGGAAAAGGUGGGUAUCUUUUUUUCUUGUGGAGCUUGUAGUUUUGGCAGUUAAGCUUUUGCAGCACAGAGCAUGAAGUUAAUGAAACUUUGAGCAACUUCUCAUUGAGACGUCAUUAUUGCCUUCACCGCAUUGUAUAUUUUUUGGGUUCCUUUAUAACAAAGUUUCAAAGCUGGAGGACUCUUAGUGAGAGGUAGUGGCUAUAGGGAAAGGCACUUCUUAAAUGGCUUGUGAUUCAGGAUCCAAGGGUGAGUGGGGGUGGUGAUCUUGUUUGAUUUAAAAAGGAAGAAAAGGAAAGAAUUCAGCAAUGAUUCUUGAGAAAAUUCAAUUUUCAGGGUCCACCAUUGUCUAAGUUGUACUAGAAUUGUUCUUGCUGUUUUCUUUCUUGUAUGAUUUGAAGAGUUGAAUACAGACAAUGGAAACUCCAUAACUCCAUGAGAAAUAAUUCUGUUAAGAACACAGAAACAAUUCUUGGGCUAAAUUCUAUUUCACUCCUCUAUGCAGAACAAAGUAGAACUAAACACUUAGCUGCAAACCUUGGUGUUUUUAACAAAUUUGUUGCCUAUCCAAGCUACUUCUAAAGAAAUAGCAACUCUUGAAAGGCCAAGCAGGCCACCAUGGUUUGGUGGUGAUAAUACCGUUACUGGUUUUGGCUCUUGCGCCAAGUCUAUACCUAGCAAGAACAAUUUAGCUUCUUGAUCUCGAAAAAGGUAGGUUUGAAGCCUUUCCAUCCAUCCUCAUGUUUUGUAUGAAUAUUAAAGAAGGAAAGUUUGGUUUACAGUCUGGACUUUCUCCCUUUGUUCAUAUAGAAAUGGAUGCUGAGCAAUAUCCUACAAUGUUUUCAUUUAGUGCUAAGUGGCUAGGAAAACGAUAUCCAAGUUUGAUAUUAUAUUCAAGAUUUUCACAGAAAACAAAUGGAUGCCACCUUGUCCAUGUUUCUAUUAACUGUUGCUGAUUAAAAACGUUUCCUAAUAAGAUAACGAUCCUGUACUCUAAGAAGCUAUCGAGUGUGUUUUAAAGUUUUCAAAGUAUUUUUUAUUUGAAAACAUAUUAAAAUAAUAUUAUUUUAUAAAAAUUAUUUUUACACCUAACUAUACAAUAACAUAAAAAAGUUAAUUUUAAAUAAAAAAAUUUAGAUUUUUAAAAAACGCAGUUUGUAAUGGAAUCCAAAUCAGCCCUAAUCUAUACAGAUUACAUUACAGACAAACAACAAAGAGUUUGAAUGAGACCAGCACAGAAUGACUUACAAUGCGUCAGAAAGGACUUUUCGCUUGCCCCAAACGACUAUCAACAUUUCUGAUCACUUGCUGCCGAACCCAACAAUUGCAGUGCAACACAUAAUGGACUUGCCACAGCUUUUAGUAUUUCGUCUGACUUUUGGUUACAACCAUCUGUUAUCAAUCAAUGGCACCUGUAUUUUCAUCUGCAAAACUGUGAAAGAACUUUUCAGAUUUACAUUAGUCUUGCUGGGAUGAUUAUCAUUAAAAAGAAAAGAUCAAAGCAAACCGAUGAUUUAUUUCAUGCAUCAGAAAAGCUUUCUUUCUUGCUGACCUUCCUAAAUGCCUUCAUUUAAUACUUAAUACUUGCAUGGACAUUCAAGAAGCGUCGAAAACGCAUAACACCACUAGCAAAAUAUUUAUAUAUAGAACACCUAACAACCAGCAACAAUUUAUACAGACUAUCUACACUGCUCAGGGAAGACAUGCUUGAGCUUAUCGCAAGGCAAAUUCCACCCCGGUACAUUUUUACAUAAAACUGAAUCAAAACCAUUGUGAGUGAUCACUCAAUCUUUAUUCCACCAAUAUCUAGAUGUUCCAGCAUCUUGGGCCUUCUAUAAUUCUUCAACAGGAGUGAGCACACAACAACACUGACGGAAGAGGCUGCCAUUGCAGCUCCAGCAAUCCAGGGUGGUAAACGAAAUCCAGUGCCCGGAAAAAGGACCCCACCAGCUAUUGGGAUGCCCAGGAGGUUAUACCCCAAAGCCCAAAUGUAGUUCAAGCGAAUUCGGGAAAAGGUUUUCCGGGAGAGGUCUAUGGCAGUGAUCACAUCCUCAAGGUUGCUCUUCAUUAGAACUAUGUCAGCCGCCUCUAUAGCAAUAUCUGUGCCUGCACCAAUUGCCAUACCAACAUCUGCUGCAACGAGUGCUGGUGAAUCAUUUAUACCAUCACCUACCAUUGCCACUAUAUAGCCUGCAGCCUGUGAAAGAAAGAAACUAAAGCCCAGAAACAAUCUUCAUAGCUAAUAAAUUCUAGGAGGAAAGGAAAAGUAAAGCUUCGGAUAAGUACCUGCAAUUCCUUCACUUUCUCUGCUUUCUGCUCAGGCUUGGCUUCUGCGAUAACAGUUUCAAUCCCAACUUCCUUGGCAAUCGAAUUAGCAGUUCCCGAAUUAUCACCUGUGACCAUGAUGCUCCUAACUUUCAUGGACUUGAGAAUGGAAAUGACUUCGUGAGCACCUGGUUUCAAUGGAUCUGAUAUGGCUAGAACUCCAGUCACUUCCCUAUCAAUAGAAACUAAAAUCCCAGUUUGAGCCAUCCCUUCAGUUUCUGCAAGCAUUUCUUCUGCAUCAAUUGAAAUGGGGAUGUUGUGUUCCAACAUCAAGCUUUUAUUUCCCACUAUCACUUCCUUGUUUCUGACAAUAGCCUUCACUCCGUGGCCUGUAAUUGACUGAAAAUCUUGUGCUUCUGGCCACAUAGGGUUCUCUUCAUCUUCUCUGAAUUUCUUGGCAUACUCUACAAUGGCCUUGGCCAAUGGGUGCUCACUGUUUACCUGAUGUGGAUGCAUACACACCAACUUCAUCAAUGUUCAUCACACAAUAAGCAGAUAGUUUAGCUUAAAUUCUCUAAACUUCAGUAGUCACUAGAAUGACAAGAGCUUGAUUGUAUUUUUAAGCAGACAAUCUUAACAGUGAGUUAAUAAAGAGAAAGCUUACCUCAGCAGCAGCUAUGAGUUCAUAAAAAUCUCGCAGCACCAUAUUUUUCAAGAGUCUUGUGUUAACAACCACAGGCUUUCCGAUCGUAAGAGUUCCUGUCUUGUCAAAGACAAGGCAAUUCACCUGCAAAAUCAUUUAUCAGUAAAGGAGUUACUGAGAGGCUCAUGCCUCAUUUACAGUAUUUCUCAGAUCUGGAAAAAAAAGGUUAAUAACUCGAACAUAUUUCGAUUUCAAUCAGGUUGGGAGAUAUGGUCACGAAGCAAUAUGUGAAUCCUUCAAGAUAAUGCCUAUAAAAUUAUCAGGUUUUGUUUAUAGAAAAUUGAAAUUUCUUGCUGACCUUAUGUGCACUUUCUAAUGCUUGGCCACCUUUGAUUAGAAUGCCCUGAGAUGCACCAACUCCAGUACCAACCAUGACAGCAGUUGGAGUUGCUAAUCCGAGAGCACAAGGGCAGGCUAUGACCAUAACAGAGAUGCCGAAUUGGAGAGCAAGCUGAAAACUAUCCAUUGACUUUGGUAUCCAAGAGUCUGGAUAUCCAUGGAACUUUCCAGCUAAAAACCACGCAAGCCAGGUUGAAAUGGAAAGAAUAAUAACCUGCAAACAUUCACAAGUAAUUAACAAAUAUAAUGCUUAUACAGAAAGCUGGUGGCAUGAAUUUAAUGAUGAAUUUGAACUUUGUAUUAUGUACUUACAAGAGGCACAAAGUAUUUGGAGAUACGAUCAGCAAACUUCUGUACAGGAGCUUUAGCCAUCUGAGCUGACUCAACAAGUCGAACAAUCUGUGAAAGAGCACUCUCCGAUCCCACCCUCGUUGCCUUAAUAUGCAACACCCCAUUCUCAUUCACGGUCCCACCAAUCACCGUGUCACCUUUCCUCUUUGCCACUGGCCUUGCUUCUCCUGUUAUCAUGCUCUCAUUCACAUGGCUCUGCCCCCAAAUAACAAAACCAUCUGAAGCUGCUUUUGCACCAGGUACGAUCUUAAUCACAUCAUUCCUUUGUAUCAACCGACUAUCAAUUUCUUCUUCACUGAUCACAUUUCCUUCAUCAUCUAAAGUCAACAAUAUUGCGGUGCCAGGUGUCAAGUUCAUAAGCUUGGCAAUGGCGUCAGAUGUCUUUCCCUUAGCCAGAACCUCAAGAUACUUCCCAAGAAGAAUGAAUGAGAUAAGCAUUGAGCUAGUCUCAAAGAAAUCUGUGGACUCAAAAUCUGUAGAGGAAGCAGCUCUCAACACCGAAUAGACUGAAUAAAAGUAGGCUGCAUUAGUUCCUAAGGCGAUCAACACAUCCAUAUUAGCAGAACCAUGCCUCAAUGCUUUAUAGGAACCUGUAUAGAAUCUCCGGCCUACAAUGAACUGCACUGGAGUAGAUAGAACCCACCUCAAGAUUGCUCCUAUAGAUAGCAUAUUGACUAAUUUGGUGUCUAGAGCAUCCUUAAUUCCAGGGAUAUACAUAAAAAUCAUGGCUAUUAAGAACACUGGAACUGUGAAAACCAAACUCCACAGGAAGGACCGGUAGUAUUGCUUAAUUUCCUCUUUUCUAUGGCUUUCUCUUCCUCCUCCUUCAGGAAAUAUCAUUGCCUUGAAUCGCCCUGUCCCCGUUGAUUCAAUCACUUUGAUAAAAUUUCUAGGACCAGUUACAUCUGGUUUGUAAGAAAGGGAGAUUUUGUUCACUUCAGAAUCUAUGUCUAUACUUUGAACACCGGGGAGUGCCUGAAGAGAUUUUUCAAUCAUUCUCAUCGAAUUAUGUGUUCUUACACCAUCAACUUUAAGCCCUAUCUUGCCCAUGUCUUCACCAGUACUAAGAAGUACAGCUUCAAAUCCUGUGUCAUUUAUCGCUUCUAAGAUCUGAUUGCAGCCCAGGAUCUUUGGAUCAUAAUGAACUUCUGCUUCUUCAGUUGCUAAGGCUACUUGAGCUUUUUGCACACCUGGAAUUGCUUGCAAAGCUUGUUCAACAGUAGAGGAGCAAGAAGUGCAAGUCAUUCCAUUAAUACGAAUUCGGCAAACUUGAGUGGAUUUAUCACUGGUUUCUUCUUGAAUCAACGUGGCCUCAAAUCCAGCAUCUUCAAUAGUCUCACGAAUGGUUUCUUCCUGUCAUUAUCAGAUUACUUAAGACAGGUAGGGAGUGUUUUACUGCUAUAAACUAUCAGUUGGGGCAACUUGACAUAGCAGUGCAGGUUAGUGAAAUGCAAUGUCAGAUUGUUGAAACUUAGAAGGAACGCUAGACAUGUUUGUAUUCCAUUUAUAGCUAGCUAGUUAAUAAGAAAUGCUUGUAAAUAUGCUAAUUGCAUGAUACAACUACUAUCUUGAAAGAAGAAGGUGGUAUAUUGCCACUAAAUAGUGUAACAUGCAAUAUGGAAAGUUGUUGAUAUCAAAUUUGAGGCCACCCCUGGAAGAGCUUUCCAAACUAAGUAGUCUGUGUUUCAUUUCCACUAUCAAAUGACCCAAAAUUUGUUCGAUUUUGUUAUUGUUUACAAAUCUGAAGGUUGGGAUAUGGGAUUCAGACAUUCUAAUAUGACAUGGCCUCAACCUUAAAUAAAUUUGUCUUCUAAUUCACAUAAUUAAGCAAGAACUCACAGAUGGUAUUAACUAGGAAAAAACUAGUUGCAGAAUACUAUAAGAUUCUAAAGAAGCACUAAUUAUAAAAGUCCCUUAUGCCUUUCACUUUCCUUAAUCUAAAACUUAGAAAAAGAAUUUCAAUUGCUUUGACUUCACGCAUGCAACAACAAAAGAAUAUUUUUAAAAAACAAAAAACAAAAAAAAAACCCACAGAUAAAGAUAAGAACCAAAACAAAUUAAAUUAAGGAUAGCUUACAUUAACAAAACUGGGGUAGAACAGAACUUGAGCCUUAUUAUUCAAGACAUCAACAACAGCCUCUCGUAUUCCAGGAAGCCUUUUGACAGCCUUCUCAACAGAUCCAGCACAAGCAGCGCAUGUCAUUCCCAAAACACAAAACACUGCCUUUGCCUCUGAUCCUUCCACGUUCGUUUCUUGAGCCGAAACCCCUUUCGGGUACUUGGGCAUCGAAGGAUACCGUGGCCUUGGCGAUAAGUCCCCAUAACUUUCUUUGCGUAUGCAAGCUAGUGCCAAGAACUUCGUUGCCAUCAAACAAAGUGUAAUAUUUGUGUGUUUUCGUCGACGUACGUUCCUUCAACUCCUGCACGAGAAGUUAUAAAUAGGUGAUUUUUUUUUUAAUUCUAGGUGUUUGUUUGAUAUUCAGGUAAAAUGUUUUUUAAAAUAUUUUUUAUUUAAAAAUAUAUUAAAAUAUUUUUUUUAAUUUUUUUUAAUAUUAAUAAAUUAAAUUAUCAAAAAUACUUCAAAAAAUAUCAACUUUAUUUUUUUUUAUGUUAAACACGUUUUUAAAAAUACGUCCGUUAAUUAAAAACCAAUACCAAACAGUAUCGAAAUCUUUUAAAAGAAGAGUUCUGAAAUGGGAGAAACUAUUUAUAGGCAUGCUCAGUGGGGUUAGCCAAAAGUUUGCUCGAUUGAGAAGGAGAAAUUUGAAUUUGUAGUGGCUAAUUAAUUAGCAAUUGAGAAUAUAACAGAUUGUUCGAGUCUAUAUUUUAAUUAAUUUUAUAGAUCUUAAAAUUAAUAAUUAUAUAAUUUUUUAAUGAUUCUAAAAAACCUCAAACUCAUAUAAUUAUUGAAAAACAAAAUCAAAAACUAUCAAAUUAAACUACCCACCAUAAUUUCAAAAAGGAUUUUUGUAUUAAUGUAAUAUGGGUGGUUUUAUAGUCCUACCACGAACUCUGAGUGUCUGACUUAAAAGCAGAUGAUGUUGUGAAAAUCAUUGUUGCAUAAAUAUAUCCAUUGAAAGUGGAUUUGCACUAGUGGAAAUAGUGAAUUGCACAGUUAUAUUAAUCAAAUUACACAAUAAUUACAAAUAUUUGAUUCAUUGUAUAUCAGGUUCUGUAAUGAUAGAACAAAAAAACAUUAAUAGAAGAAAAAACGCUGUUCUUUACUUCCUUAAUUAUGAUCAAUCCAUCAUGAUCCUCGUUUUCUAUAUUAUUAUUGUUUUUACAUUAAAUUUAUAAUGAAUUUUAAAAACGCAUUUUAAAUAUUAUUUAUGGUUUUUAUUCACAAGUUUUCAGAGUUUCCCAAAUGAAAAAAAAAAAACCAAAUUUUUUCCUAUAUAUACAAGCAUUUUUUAGCAAUGUAAAAUAUAUAUAUAUAUAUAUAUAUAUAUAUAUAUAUAUAUAUAUAUAUAUAUAUAUAUUUCAUUUAGUUAGUGGGGUAUUUUUCCUUUCUAACACAUUAAUAUUUUUCAAGAAUUUUAGCAAAACAACAAUGGACGAAAAAACCAUUUGAAAAAUAGCUUAGUUUUGACAAAAAUAAGAUUAAGAAUAAUAAUUUUAACAAAGACGUGAUUAGAAAUAGUGAUUUUAACCAUAAAAACCAAACUAGAAAUUAACUCCAAUCCAAAUACAAACCUUAAUGAAUAAAAACUAAACACUAACCCUAAAAACAAACUUUAACCAAUAACUCUAAAACAAGCCCUAACUAUAUAUAAUAUAAUUUUUUGAUUUUUUGGGCUCUUUUUAUCUUUUGAUUUUUGUCAAUUUCAUUAUUUAAUGCAAGUUUUUUUGAUUGAAUUUUAUUCUUUUUUGUUGGAGUGAUAAUAAAUCCCGACCAAGUCAAAGGAUAAAAAAAAAUGGUCAAAAUAUUUUAUUAUAUUUAUUCAAGGUUUGUUUUUAGAGUUAUUAAUUAAUGUUUGUUUUUAUGAUUAGUGCCUGCACGUAUUUUAACUAAUCUCAUAGAUCCUGAAAUUAACAAAUAUGUAAGUUUUUAGUGGCUCUAAAGAAACUCAAACUCAUAAUUAUUAAAAAAUAAAUUCAAAACCUGACUAAUUAAACUCAUUACAAGAUUUAACAAUUUUACCGACGGAAUUUUUCCGUCGGUGUAAGACACAUAUUCCGUCGGUAAUUAAUUGACCGACGGAAAUGCUCCGUCGGUGAAUCUUUAGUCGGUAAUUUUUUUUCCGUCGGUAAAUCCGUUGGUAAUAAAAAAAUAAAUUUAUCCGCUUCAUUUCGUCGGUAUAUCCCUCGGUAAUAAUAUUUUUUUAUUACCAACACUGUUCUUUAAUUCCUUAAUUAUGAUCAAUCCAUCAUGAUCCUCGUUUUCUAUAUUAUUGUUUUUACAUUAAAUUUAUAAUGAAUUUUAAAAACGCAUUUUAAAUGUUAUUUAUGGUUUUUAUUCACAAGUUUUCAGUUUCCCAAAUGAAAAAAAAAACAUUAUCAAUACAGAUUUUUUUCUUUUAUAUACAAGCAUUUUUUAGCAAUGUAAAAUAAUUCAAUUUCUUUUUCAUUUAGUUAGUGGGGUAUUUUUACUUUCUAACACAUUAAUUGUUUUCAAGAAUUUUGGUAAAAUAGCACAAGCAAAACAAUCAUUUAAUAAAAUACCCCUUGAGAAAUAGUGAUUUGAUAAAGACGCAAUUGAAAAUAAUAAUUUCAUAAAGACGCGAUUAAAAAUAGUGACUUUGACCAUAAAAGCCAAAUUACAAACUAACUCUAACCUAAAUACUACAAAAAUAGUGACUUUCUAACAUAUCUAUUUUUUCAAAUAGUCAGUGUUAUAAAUUUGUUUUUGUAUAAUAAAUAUAAUAUAAAUAUUUUCUCUUUUAGUUAAUUAUAUAAAUUUUUCAUGAUAAGUUUUUAAUUUGAAUGAAGUAAAAUUAAUAUUUUACAAUUAGAUUAUCACAAAUACAAAAAUAUUAAGAUGAAUUAUGAUUUUGAUUUUUUUUUAAGAAAGACUAUAUAAUCUUAAUGUAUUUUUCUUUUGCGUGUGGAAAAAUUCAUGUUCAUUGUCAACAAAUGAACAUGUUUUUUUUAUUAUUAGAAAAGAAAAACUGAGAAAUAAAUGAUAACUAGCUAGAACUAAACUUUAUAUUGAUAGUGCAACCAUAACCGGUUUAUUAGACCAAAAAUGUUAAGUAAAACUAAUUUUUUUAAUGGAUUUCGUGGUUGAGUGUAUUUUUUGAGCAACCUUUGUGUCCCAGAUCUAAAUCCAUCUUUACAAUUCAAUAUUAAAAGACCUAUAUAUAUAUAUGGAACGAAGAGAUUUAAAAGAAUUUUACUUUCUGUAUAUAUAACUUGAUCUUAGUUUUGAUCUUUGAUAGCUAAAACGAGCUGGGUGCAUCGAUCUCCUUAGUUAUUAUAUCAACUCCGUAAAUCAAGUAAAAUAGGAUAGCUAGCAUGACCUACCAAUUUAAUUAUUUCUACCCUUGAAGGAGCAAUGAAUUCAGGAAAAAAAAAACACCCAGAAUAAAAAAUGAAGAUACUAGGACAUGAUCAUGUAAAGUUACCUCUUAAUGAAUAAAGGAUUGAGACAAAUCAUUUGUCAUGUCACUACAAAAUGUUUUCAUUAUAUAUAUAUCAUUAAAAUCUCUAGUUUUAAUAAUAAUAAGAAGAAGGAGGAGGAGGAGGAGGAGGAGGAGGAUGGCAUCACCUUCUAAGGCUGAAACUAUUCCAAAAAAAAUGUGAAAAUUGGAGUCUUAAUUAGCUCCAUCACUAAAAAGUACGUUCCUCUUCUCCAACAUAUAGCAUGAAAUGUUUGAGCAUGAGUACUUCCGGACCAUACUGAGCAUGGUCGGAAUCCUUCUCAAAUAAUUUGCAUGGGUUUAUCCUUGCAAUUAACAAAAAUAAAUAAAAUUCCAAGUACUUUGGUUAUCAAUAAUAAUAAUAAAAAAAACCCUUUACAUAGAUUUGAUUUACGAGACCAAUAUCCAUACUAUAAAUAGCUUGCAGAGUGGCCAAUAACUAUAUAUAAUUAAUGGUGGUCCAUAUAAACCUCAUAAUGAUAAUAUUUCGAAGCCUAAUCUUCCUAUCAAUACAUGAUAGGCAUUGAACAACCGACAAUUCAAAUUCAGAAAGGAUGCUGGAAAAAAAGAAUCUUGCAAGCCAAGUACGUACUAUAAACGAAUAGCGAUGAAUGAAAACUCUUGAUGCAAAUCAUUACCAGAAAGCAUGCUAAUUAAUAAGUAAAUGCACCGGAAAAUAUUAAUUAAAUUUAUACAUAUAUGAGUAAUUUGUGCAGUGUGAAUUAUGCACUCAGAAAGAAUAACUAUGAAAAAAGAAGAAGAAGUAGAAACUAUGUAUAUGGAGAGAGAGACUUUACUUGAAAGAAAUCAUGGAUGAUUUACACUCCGAUACGCAGUCUGCAUACCAAGCAAUGGUUUAUAUAGUGAAUUGUUGGGGAUUCCGUCUCCCCCAUGCGCGGACCGGGGGUGUACUGAUAUUUGCUCAUAGGAGGGUAAAGCACACUGACACAAUAUUCUACGUGGUUCGGCAAAACCGCCUACAUCCACGGGAGAGAGUCCAUUUUAUUAGAGAUUAGAGAAAGGAUAUACAUGGAGGAGGAGGAUCACUUCACUCAAACUCUACUCCCAACUCUCAUUGCUGCAUUUGCAGCUGCUGCAAUGGCAGCAGCUCUCUUUCUCUCCACUCUCUUGCACACACUCACGUUUACUCUCUCUUUGCUCUCUAAGAUCAUGCCUCUUUUAUAGGCAUCCAUGGUGCUGCUCCACUUGUUCUGCUGUCAAACAUGGCUGCAAGGUAUGUAUAUGGAGAGAGAGACUUUACUUGAAAGAAAUCAUGGAUGAUUUACACUCCGAUACGCAGUCUGCAUACCAAGCAAUGGUUUAUAUAGUGACUUGAACCACCAAAUUCUUGUUAAUUAACUAAACUCAUUUCCUUUUGGAUCUCAUUUAAGUAUAAAUUAAAUACAUUAAUUACAAGAAGGAGCAUUACAAUGUCACCCCGUGGACUUUUCAAAACCUGUAUUAUAUUUAUAAUUAGGUCUCGUAAAUAUCUGAUACAAAUUGCUUACGUACCAAGCAUUGAUUUAUAUACAAAUUGCUUAACGAGGGAGAUGAAAAUUUAAUAUAUGUUUAGUAUUGUGGUGUAAAAGAUAUUUUUUGUUUAAAAAUAUAUUAAAAUAAAACUGCUUCAACCACAGUUUCGACUGUAAUUUUAAACAAUCUUUUCUAUUAAUAAUGGCAGUAUCUCGUAGAAAACGAACUGUACUAGGAGUCAGUCAUAUAAAUUUGAAGAUUCUAUAUAGGAUGGUCCAGAUACGUUAGUUAAUGGAAUCUCCGGCUAGCUAGCCAGGUAUUACUUGAUACAUCUCUUGGAAAAAUAGUGAUGUCUUUGAAAAUGAGAACCGGCCAUGUCGUGCCGUCGACUCAUUUUCAAGCUUACAUAUAUAUUGCUCUCUCCCCGAUACGAUCCGAAUUCAUUUUCAAGCUUACGUAAAUAAGUAAGUCGUCAAACCGGCAAACAAGACAACAUUAGCUGCUGAAUAACUAUAUAAGAGUUGUUAAAAGUCUGCAUCAUAAAAAAUAAAAAAUAAAAAGUUCAGAAAAAAUGGACGAAUUAAACUCAAAUGGAGAAGUAUGUCAUGAUACUUAAAAUUAUGAAUAUUGGAAUAGUGACAUUUCGGACUAAAAAAUAACUAAUCAGCCUACCAAAUGCUUGAAUCAAAGUUAGUUUUUAACACAAAAGAAAAAAAGGUGUGCAUUAUAAAUAUAUUUUCUGAUAUCAUGAAAUUUAUUAAUUGAAGAAUGAAACGCUUAAUAAAAUAAAUUAAAAAAUAUAUGAACAGGUAAAUCGUUAAAACUAUUGCGAACAUCUGGAUCACAAAAACCAAAAUUUCAACUUGAUACCAAAAUUUCAAAAUUCCAGCUGCAAAACACUCUAAAAUUAUUUUUUUAAAAUGUAAAUUAAACUAAAUAAAAAUUACUGGCCCUAGUCUAUUUUUUUUUAAUAUGGUUAAAUGACAAAAUCAUCCCUAUUGAAUUCGCUUCUCUAAGGUGAACCUAUUGAUACCAACAUUUUUUUUUUACAGGAAUGUAACUCACCAGACAUUUUUUUUUUCAAUAAAUUUCUCUCUCUUCCCUUAAUAUUCAAGAACCGAAACAUGAAAAAAAUAAGAUUUUAAAUUAAAACAUAAAAUUCUAAAAUAAUAGGAACCAAAUAUAAAAAAAAUAAAAACUUCAAUGAUCAAAUUAAAGUUUUCCACACCCAACUUUGAACAAUAAAAAUGAAAGUGACCGAUUCUUUGUGUUAAUUCUUGUUCUUUGUUGUUUCAAUCUUUUUAAUUAUAAACUAAAAUUUAAUUUUGUAAUAACAAACUUUAAUUAAACAUUAAAAACUAUUUGAAAUAUUGGAUACAGCUAUAGUAUGCAAAUGAAAAAAAAUCAAGAUAUUAAAUGAUGUCAACAUAGUUUUGGAGGAUGAAAUUUUUUUUAAAAAAAAAAGUUUAAUAGCCAAAUUUUUAGAAAUAAAAAUUCUAGGAAACUAAAAGAAAAAAAAAAGUCCAUAAAACAAUGAACGGAGUGGAAGUAAGCAGUGUAGUUAUAAUAAAAACACAUAUAUUGUAUUUUAGUUUAUUUUGUUUUAUCAAUAUAUAAUUGUAAUUGGUAACAGGUUACCGUUUACUUUUAAAUUAAUGACAAAUAAAUUAACCAAUCACGGUGGCUGUUGCCUCAAAAUCAUUAUAACUGGAAACACAGAAAAUAUAUUUUUAAAAAUAAAAAAUUAUAUAUUAUUUUAAUAUAGUUUAUUUUGUUUUAUCAAUAUAUAAUUGUAAUUGGUAACAGGUUACCGUUUACUUUUAAAUUAAUGACAAAUAAAUUAACCAAUCACGGUGGCUGUUGCCUCAAAAUCAUUAUAACUGGAAACACAGAAAAUAUAUUUUUAAAAAUAAAAAAUUAUAUAUUAUUUUAAUAUAUUUUUAAGUAAAAAGAUAUUUUAAAAAAUAACCGUUAUUAUCUUAUAUACUUUUAAUUAUACAUGCGACAUCAAUUGAUAAACAAACAUUAAUGUAGUAAUAGUUUACUUUGAAACAGAAGUAUAUAACCUCAGAGUUGAAAAGAAUGAAAAAAUGCUAAUUUAACUACUUGGUAUUAAUUUAAUGUUGAUUUUGCCUUUUUGUCUGAAACAUGUAUUUCAAGGACGAGAGGGAUUGAGACGUUGUUUGGUAAUGUGGCUGCGGGUAAGGUUUACCCGCAACCAUAUAUACCAGUAUUUGGUAACAAAAAGAAAAUAAUUUUUUUUAGUAGGAUUUAUCAAUUUUCACUGCCGUGCCACAGGUUUACUGCUUCUCGUGGUAAUUUUUCAAUUAAGUGAUUUUCUAAUUAACAGCAUGGCUCCACUGUUUAAGACCAGUAAUAAUGGAGCAUGCGUGGUGAUUUUCUAAUUACUGUUUAGUAAACAGUGGAGCAUGCUCCACUGUAGCACUGUUCAUUAAAGUGAACAGUGUGAGUGAAUUUUAAUUCACUCACACUCAUAUUAUUCAUGUGAAUAAUUGUUUUUUUUUUUUGAAAAAUCAAUGUAGUUAAUUCAUUUCACUCGAACUGUUCAUAUGAACAUGAAUAACAAUUUUUUUUGUUUUUUUUUUAAUUAGUUUAAGAUGAAUUAAAUUUACUCGUACUGUAAUCUCAAUUUUAUUCCUGAUAAUAUUUUAUCUAAUUUUAUUGCACGCUCAAAAAAUCAUGAAAACUGUAGUUCUUGUCGAAUGAAUUUUGUACGUAAUGAAAUUGUAAUUUUUUUAAAAAAAAUUGAGUUUUAUUCGAAAUACUAGUAUUUAAUAUUAUUUAAUAACACUACAUAAAUUAGAAGGAUAUUGCAUGAUGACGUAGCAUUUGUGGAAUUUGAUUGCAAUUCCAAUUAUGUUCUUGCCGGGUCCGACCCAGUUAAAAAAAAUUCAGUUUUUAUUUUUAUUUUAAUUGUGUUUUAUUCAAAAAACUAGAAGGAUAUUGCUUGAUGACAUAACAAAAAAUUCAAUUUUUGUUGUUGCGUGCUUAAGAAACCAUGAAAAAUAUAGUCAUUGUUGGAUAUAUUUCGUAUGUGAUGACAUUGCAUAUAGUUUAAUAGAAUAAUAAAAAAAAAUUGAUAUCAAUAUUAUUUAUUUCAUGAUGUAAUAAUAGUAGUUAAAUCUAUAAUAUUUAAAUUAAAAAUAUUUUUUAAUUAUUUUAUAACUUUAAUUUGAAAAAUAUUUUUUUAACCAAACACAUUACACUUAAAUUAUUAAUCCCAACCAUACCACGUAACUUGACAAUUACUUACUGCACAAUACUAUUUUAUUCGACCAAAAUCCUGUCAUCAUCCAAAGAGUCAAUGCCGUAAUGUUUAAUAAUCUCUACGAUUCUUUGUGAAAUUAACAACUAGGUAAUUCUUCGAUGGCGAUUACUAUGAGCUUAGCAACAGUUAAGCCUCGGACAAGACAAUACUUUGCCGAGUCAUGCAGUGUGCAAUUCAUAAAAUAAAUUACUUUUUUGUUUUUUCAAUGAAUCUUAAAAUACGGGGGGCUGGCUUGAGAUGAAGAAAGUUUUGGGUUUUCCGUGGAACCCCACAUGGUGACAAAGGCAACUUACCCAGUACAUUUGACCUCUGUUUUGUUUGAAUCUAGGCAUGAUUUUCUCGACACUAAUUUCUUAUUAAAACAACAUAAUGCCAUUUUUUUGAUGGACUUUUGGCCUCACAAGAAAACAGAAGACUUUGAACACACCACACCAGGGGGGGCGAUUGAAUUGUUAACUCCUUGAAAUUUAUAUUCAAACAGGAUAACCUGUUCCCUUUUUUUAAUGGAAAGCUGACCACAUUUUAUAUACACUGUUUCUCUUUUAACUCCUUGAAAUUUGGAUGGUGAUGUUGGACCCCCAGAAAUUCAAUCAUGUCGUCACUUCAAAUCUGUAUUGUAAAGGUGUUUUGUAAUCCCAACACAGUUUAAUAAAAGUUUUGAUGUUAAAAAAAUAUUUUAAAAAUAAUAUAUUUUUAACGCAACUAUUAUUAAAAAUAAUAAUCAUUUAAAAAAUCAUUUCUGAACUAAAUUAAUUAACCAUUACAAAUAUCAAAUUAAAUUUUUAUAAAGUUUCAAUGGUCAAGAAAUGAAAUUCAAUAUCUAAUGCCUAAAAAAAAAUGGGUUAUCUAGGACAUACUAGAGCUUUGUUUUUAACACACCCAGUAUAGCUAGAAAAAUCUCGACAAGACAAUUCUAAUCACAUCUUGAAAGGCUAUCAAAUAUGAUUCUAAUUUUCUAGAGGUUUUGUUCAGGGAUAAUUGCGACCUCGUUUAGUGGUUUUCUAAAAAGUAGUUAAAAUUGUCUCGUCGAGUCUUUCUAACAGUACCAAAUAUGUCAAAAAGGGAUUCCCAAUGUCUCCUCGGUUAUCUAUUUUUUUCUUUACAUUAUUUCUUCUUCUCUCUUUUGCCACGUCACUUUAUCUCCUUAGUCAUUGAAUUUUAAAUCUUAUCUUUUAAUCACUUUAUUUUCAUAAAUUUUUUAGUUGACUUUUGAUAAAGUUAAUUAUUAUUUUUUAAAUAAAUAACAAUAUACAAUUAUUAUUCUCAAUAACGAUUUUAUAUAGAAUUGAUAUUAGGAAAGUCUGUUAUGUUCUACCGCUAUUUUCAAUAACAAUUUUAUACAUAAUUGAUAUUAAAAAAUAAAAUUGUAUUCAAAUUAUGUUAUUUUUCAAAUACUUUCCAAACCCAUGUCAUCCUCCUAAAAGUUUUACCAAACUAUGUAAUUUCCUUUUUAAAAAAAAAAUCCCUGGCUAAACAUACUUCGGAAUAUUCCAACACCCAGUCCCUGUUAUCACUUUCUGUCAGCAGCUUUAACUUUAGAAGCCCCCAUUUUGCUGUCCCUGGUUCCCCAGAACCCAAAACUUUCAUCGAUUUGCAAGUUUUGCGAGGCUAGCCCAUAGCGCGGACCUGAGUGCAGCCAUAUUCAAAACCCGUGGUCCAAAAUGCAAACUAGUUGUGUAACUCGAAGCCCAAUUCCUGCUAAUAAAAAAAGUAAAGAAAGAGAGGAGAAUAGCAUCAAAUAGUUGUGUAUCAGAGUUGGAUUUUUUUUCAAUGAUGUACAGAUGCUGUAAAUGUAAUUUAAAAUUAUAAAAUAAAUAAUAUGUGAUUUGGGUUAAAAAAUAAUAUGUGAUUUGAGAUAACACGAUAAACUUAUAACCCGAGUAAUAAAGAUCGAGAUAACCUGAUUAAUAACGAUUAAGAUAAAUUGGAUUAAACCAUUAAAUCUGCAUACUAUAUUAUAAAAUCAAAAUAAUCUAAUAACUAAUUUAAUAUUUUUGAUGGUAGGACGAAACCAUCAUUAUACUAAUUCAAUAAAAUACAACCAUGAGUGUGUAUAAACAGUAUUUUUUCAAUUCCUUACUAGUUUCUUUUAAUCUUAUUGAAAUCAGCCACAAAUCAGAAUUAAUGUGUUUUUUUUAAAAAAAAUCUUUUUAAAAAUUCGAAAUAGCCAUGAUAUUAUUGAAAUUAUACAUGGAUUAUUUAUGCUAACAUUGAUAUAAUUAGUAAUUUCGCUUCUUAGCAAAAAUCCAAAUAUUCGUUGAUUAACAAAUAGAUGUGAUGAUCAACAAAUUAUACAUGAAUGGCUUCAACUAUUGAACACAGUGUGUAAUGUAAUCUCUUUUUUAUUUUUUAUUAUUAAUAUAAAUAUUCGAUGUGUUUACACGUAUCAUCUAAUUUUAAUAUAUAUAUAUAUAUAUAUAUAUCUAAUUUUAAUAUAUAUAUAUAUAUAUAUUAGUUUAACGUGGGUGUCCGGGCCAGCUUGCGCGUACCUCGACUAAUCCCACGGGCCUUAAAGUUAACGACCAUGUAAGCCUCCAGUGGCCAUCAUAUGAGCAACCACAGAGCUCGAACCUGAGAUCAUAGAAGAAGUAAACCUCUUGAUCUCAAGUUUUUAUUAUUGAGUUACCAUCUAGAUAGUUAUUUUAAUAUAAUUUUUAUAUUUACACGUAGUGACCAAAUUAAACAUUGCAUUUGCUAAUCCACGAACAAGUGGCCAACUUGAGUUAGGCUAUCCAGUGGCAUGUCAUAUCAUUACCUCGAUGGCAAGGAGCUUCAUGCUUUGGUGCGUAAGCGCUUACGUUUUUCUACACUGCAAGGAGAGGUUUCCACGAAUCCCAGUCACCGUCUGGCCUACCAAGUCUCAGCCACCAGAUAUUUCCAGGUUUCAAUGAAAUUGCUUACUGAUAUUUGAAUUUCCAGGUUGCUCUUCUAUUUUUGACCAUGAGCCAAGGUUGAGCUUAGAGGUGGAAAGUGACUAGGGGUUUUAAUGUAUUAAAAUAAUAUUUUUUAGUUUUUAAAAAAUUAUUUUUGAGAUGAGUAUAUUAAAAUGAUCUAAAAAUUUAAAAAAUAAAUAUUAAUUUGAAAUAAAAAAAUAAAAAACUUUUUAAAUUUUUUAAAAAUAUUUUUAAAACUUAAAAAAAAAGGCAUAGAUAUUGAAGGAAUAAAGUCUCUUAAAAGAGACGUGAGGAUCGAAAGUUUAAGAAGUUGAAGAAUAUAAACGGAGUAAUGUGGAAUUGAAACCCACCUUACCUGAUGAUGCCUUAUAAACAUUUAUACAAUUAUAAAUCACAUCAAAUUGACGCAGAGACAAGGAUAGGGUGACGAAAAUAAUGCGAUAUAUAUCUCAAUAUCAACUGAUUAAUAAUUUGUUUUUAGAAAUAUAAAAAAUAAAUAUAUAAGUUUUUAAAAUUUAUUAUUUUUUUAAAUCUAAUUAUAAAUUAAAAAGCCUAUGAAAACUAUUUAUCUUAAUAAAUACAAAAAAAAAAGUGUUUAAAUGUUUAUUCAACUCGUAUAAAUGUAUUUAUAUUUUAUUAUUCUUAUAUAUAUAUAUAUAUAUAUAUUUUAAUGUCUAUAUGUAUAUAUAUUAUGACAUUUUAUUUUUUUACCCAAGGCGAGCUCUUCUGAUGUGGCGGGCUGGUGUAAGAUACUUCAGGCGAAGGAGGAACAGUCGGCGUGGCCAUUUCCUAAACAGUCGGCGUGGCCAUUUCCUAAAACUUGUUUAUUGCGUUUUUUCUUUUAUUUUUCUGAAAAUAAGAACACAUUAUUUCAGCCACGUCACAUUUCUACAUUAAAAUAGGAUACGUAUCCAGAGCAAAAACUGAAAACAGGGCCACCUUGCAACUGUGUGGCUUGUACCUGGAUUCUGGAUGCACUUGUGCCAGAUGAGCCUCCACCUCCCAGCCCAUUCAAAAUCUAACCGUAAAGGUCCCUCCACGUGUAAGAAGAAAGUCAGGCAUCCUCAAACUGACCGACCCUUUUUCCUACGUGUAAUCCCUUCUCUCACCUAUGACCUACCUACCUUCCCAGUAACAACCUCCACCUCACACCACUUCUAUUUAUAAAAAUCCCUCUCCUCCCUCACCAUCAAACACGCUUUCUUUCAAUUAAAACAUUCACUUCUAAGUUAAAUUAAAUCAAUUUUUUGUUCCGUAUACACAAAGCUAAAGAAAAUGGAGUCCCUCACUUUGACUGCUUUGUUAAACAAAUCAGCCAAGGAUUUCCCAAAUCGUCGCGCUAUAUCACUCUCUGGCAGACUCGAUUUAACACACGCGCAAUUGCAACAGAUUGUCGAUCAUGCCGCCUCUCUACUUAUCUCCGCCGGCAUCAAUCCCGGUGAUGUCGUCGCUCUCACCUUCCCCAACACCAUCGAGGUACUGUCGAUUAUGCUUUCCUUUUGUAGAUCCAAAAACUGUACAAAACCUUUUUUUUUAUAAUUUUCACUCAUUAUUUACUCUAUGCAGUUUGUGGUCAUGUUUCUGGCUGUAAUUCGUUGCCGAGCCACAGCUGCGCCGUUAAACCAGGCUUACACAGCCGAGGAGUUCGAGUUUUACCUCUCCGACUCAGGAUCAAAACUCCUAAUCAUGCCACAAGAGCCAAUCCUACCGGCACUAACCGCGGCUUCUAAGCUCAAAAUCCCUCACGUGACAUCCACGCUUGACAUCCAAUCCAAAAGAGUAACUCUCUCAACCGAGUCAGAAUCAGUACCUGACGCUGUUGACGAUGUCGUCAACGACUCAUCUGACGUGGCUUUGUUCUUACACACUUCUGGCACCACGAGCCGGCCCAAAGGCGUUCCUUUGACUCAGCUGAAUUUGGCCUCUUCGGUUUUGAACAUAAAAUCGGUUUACAAACUCACCGAGUCUGACUCCACUGUCCUCGUGUUGCCGCUAUUUCACGUGCAUGGAUUAUUAGCUGGGUUAUUGAGCUCCCUAGUGGCUGGAGCCGCCGUGGCUCUUCCAGCCGCCGGGAGAUUUUCUGCUUCAACAUUUUGGAAAGACAUGGUUUCAUAUAAUGCCACGUGGUACACUGCAGUCCCGACAAUUCAUCAAAUUAUUCUCGACCGCCAUGUCAGCAAGCCAGAGCCGGCUUACCCCAAGCUAAGGUUUAUCAGGAGCUGUAGCGCUUCUUUGGCGCCGGUUAUCAUGGAACGGCUAGAGGAGGCCUUUGGCGCACCGGUUUUGGAGGCUUAUGCAAUGACUGAGGCAGCUCAUUUAAUGGCUUCCAACCCGUUACCCGAAGAUGGCCCCCAUAAACCCGGGUCGGUCGGACGACCCAUUGGGCAGGAAAUGGCCAUUUUAAAUGAGAAUGGGGUGGUUCAACCGGUUGGAGUUAGUGGCGAGGUGUGUAUUAGAGGGCCUAAUGUGACCAAGGGUUAUGAGAAUAAUCCUGAAGGCAAUAAGGCUGCUUUUCAAUUCGGGUGGUUCCAUACAGGGGAUGUCGGUUUUCUUGAUGAGGAUGGAUUUUUGCACCUUGUCGGUCGGAUCAAGGAGCUUAUUAACCGUGGAGGUAUGUAUGCACAUUUUAGUUUUGCUCUAUUAGUGCUCUAGUCAAUAAAAUAAAAUAAAAUAAAAAUCGGUCCACAGAAUCAAAUUUUGAACAAGAGAAAUAUAUUUUAGUAUUGUUAUCGUGUGCAUGGUAGGGCAUCACAAAGCACGGUCAAGAUGUUUCAGCUGUGAUCAACAUUAGUAGUUCUCUUCGAACAAAAUGUGCAUUCAUCAUCAAAUUAUGUGUCUAGUCAAAAUAACAAUAAUAUAAAAAAAUGCUUUUGAUUUGGAAAGUUCAUAUUCCAAUAUGCAGAUUCUAGAUGGACUUACUGUUCUAGAAUUAGAUUGCUUGCUUUUCAUGGAAACCUGAGCGUUAUUGAAAGUCAAAAUGUGUGAACUUGAAGGAAGACGUCAAGUUUAAAACUAAUUGACCAGCUAUUUGCUGGAAUUCAUCGAUCAAUUUUGCUGAUAUUGUGAUUUGUUCUUGUGUUUUCAGGGGAGAAGAUAUCACCAAUUGAAGUGGAUGCAGUACUUUUGUCUCAUCCUAACAUUGCUCAGGCUGUCGCCUUCGGAGUUCCGGAUGAAAAAUAUGGGGAAGAGGUAAGAAAUCUUUAUGCUGAAGUCAACGUCAUUGCAGUGGACCACAUCUUACGUGUUUGUGAAUUCCUAAUUCUUGGCUCAACUUGACAUUUUGUUUUCUUCACUUGCAGAUAAAUUGUGCCAUAAUUCCAAGGAAAGGAUCGAACAUUGAUGAAGAUGAGGUGCUCAGCUUCUGCAAGAAAAAUCUUGCAACUUUCAAGGUUCCCAAGAAGGUAUUCAUCACUGAUUCACUCCCGAAAACCGCCACCGGAAAGAUUCAGCGUAGGCUUGUAGCGGAGCAUUUUCUUGCUCAAAUCUCCACCGCUAAAGUACCCAAGUUUGGAGCUUAAUUAAUCAGCUAUUCUUCAUUCUUUCAACGUUUUAAUUACUCAUAUGUUCAUAUUGGUUGAUUACAGCAGACAUGACACGAUUAGUUCUACUACCAUUUGUAUUGUCACACAAUGGUUUGCUAUUAAAUAUAGCACCCACGGAAAUUACUUUCUUAUGUAAUGUAUACAAAUAUUUAGCAAAACUUUUGCAGUUUAUUAUAUGCCAAUGUCAUGUUGGCAAGCUAAUGUCAACAUGUUACUAAUGACACCCCCAAAUUCAGAUUUAAAUGCUUCCUGUACUGCUUUGGCCAGUGUCCUGUGUUCAUGAGAUACGCCAUCAUUCUUGCUUUCUGUAUCUAGGAUGCACAUAUGAAGCCUUGUGUUUUAAAAAACUUUCAGAGCUACUAUCCGAAUUGGAGGAAAAGGAACAGUGCUAUUCAUUGUGCACCUUUCUUUUUAGUUUUAUUAUUUCAAGAGUGUGAGAAAACACUCUAGGACGAUCUAAAAAGUAUCCCUUGUUGUCUUCUUGCCUGACAGCUUUUGAGAUCAUCAUUACCACGCCAACCAAGUAGCUUCAUCUUACAAUCCACAGUUCUCUUUUUUAGCAAGCUGGAGCCGAUCUUUCUUUAUCUUAUAAUAUGCUAAGAAAGAAGUAGAUUGUCCAUAAUAGAGAAUGAUUACUCCUACCUUCCCAGAAAGGAUUAUAGUGAUGGCUCCAGUUCUAUCUGUUGUGAAUUUUAUCCUGUACAGCUCGAACAAACACCUAAAUACUAAUCGAAAUGAAUAUGUGCAAUAAAAACUUCUUAUUUCAAUGAUUCAAAAAUCCUCUAAAAAGAUAUGAUGAUGAAAAAAAAAAACCAGUAAACUGUUCUUUAUAGUUAUAUAAGUCCAUCUAUUUAUCUCUUGAUGUUUAUUGUUACAGCCUUUUAAAUCAUUUAUUUAUCUAUUUUCUCCUCUUGAUUUGGUAUUUUUAUUUAUAUGAAAUAUAAUUUUAUUGAUGUUUUCUGUAUUAUUAAUUGGUAGGAAUUUUCUUAUUAAGAUUCAAUAAAUUGAUUGAAAUUCUUAAAUUCAUACUAGAAUGAUGAUGAUUUAAUAAAAUCCUUAAAUUAACUAAGUGCAAGGAUUUCUUGAGUAAGAACUCAUAUAUCAUUACUUCUAAAAAUCCAAAGAAAGAUUUAUCUUUUGAUCAAAAUAAAAUAGACAGAAAAUCUUUCAAUUUAAAGUUUCUAAAUCUUUGAAAUUAUUUGGAGUCUGGUUGUGGGUUUUGAAUAUUAAGUUACGUAAUCAUACCUCCCUACUACUCUGUAAUCUAUUUUAUAUAUUUCAUGCUACAAAUACUAGAAUAAAUAUUUGACUUUCUUAAAAAAACCAUCCCAAUCAAGAUAAGAUGACAGACCCUCAGUCGCUAACCCUGAACUCUUUAAGGUAGCAGUAUACACACUACCUCGGAAACUACAGACAGUACUCUGAACUAAACAACGUUGUUCAUUACUGUAAUACAUUUAAAACUUGAAGAACAGCCUCUGCUGUGUCCCUUGAAAGUAAAUAUUAAUGUAGUGGGGCACCAAAUGUUCUUCAUCUAGUUGUUGUGGUUUGCGCACGUUAAGAACCUCUCUCCCCUCCUGUAUGUGUUGACUAGAACUGGGAAGCGUCAACAAAACUUUGACAUGUAUUCUGGCAACCAAGCAGAGUGGAACCUCACAUGUUUGCCAGUUAGUAUAAUCACCAGUUCUGAAAUUUCGAAAAUUUUAAAGAAACCUAUAACAUUCAUUACACAAAGAAAACAUAGAUUGGAAUUGGGAAUUUUUGCUAAGUUUUUAUUUGUGGUUCCAUGGUUAUAUAAUUGCUAGAAAAAAUUAAUAUUAAAUGAUGAAUAUAAUAAAAAAAACUCAAUUAAAAAAAAUAUGAUUCGAGUCAACCUGUCAAGUGACUUCAUAAAAAAAAAAUAUCAAAACUAAUUAUGAAAUUCAAUUUUUAAUCAAUCUAAUAUUGAAUGAUUAAAUUAAAAAAAAAUUAAAAAAAUUAUAAAACUUAAUUUUUAAUUAAUCUAAUAUUGAAUGAUUAAAUUGAAAAAAAAGACUCUUAAAACUCUAAUCAAUUCAGGUUAACUUAUUAACCCUGCGACUUUAAUUAUAGGACCAUAAUAACCUUAUAAAAAACAAAUUGAAAUUGAUUAUAAAGCUAAAUCUCUAAUAAAUUUAAUAUUUUAAAAUAUAAUUGAAAAAUAAAAAUUAAAUUAAAAAAAAAAGCAAUGAUACGUGAAAAAGAGGUUAGCUUUUAUUAAUAAUUAAUAAUUGAUUUUUUUUAUAAUCAAAUUACAUAUCUGCUUGAUGACUAGAAGUGUUAAGUUUAAUUCUAAAAAAGAAAAACUAACAAGAAGUUUAUCAUAUGAUCGUGGGUGGACUCCGCCCACGCCCAAGGAGCAAUAGAUCACUAGCGUAAAAGCAAUGCAGCUUUACCUCAUAAAACAUCAUAUAUUUUGUUAAAUAGGAUUAAAACUACCCUAUGAUAUCGAUAAGAAAACCAUUAAAAAAUACUUUAAAAAUAAAUAAAUAAAUAGAAUUAAUUAGUUGAAACCAAAAGAAUAUAUAAAGAAAAAGACAUACAUUUUGCCCAAGGAUAUAUAUAUAUUUUUUCUUGACAAUCCAAGAAUAAGUUCAAUACGGGCAUUUCUAUCUUCUUCUACCACUUCGCUCUCCUGGUCGAAGAUUCUCUCUCCUCAGAGGGAACUAUACACAAAACACACACAAAAACUAACUAGUUUCAAACCCCAAGAAUCAAAACAGGAAACUGUAAGUCACUGGCUCUCUCUCUCUCUCUCUCUCUCUCUAUAUAUAUAUAUAUAUAUAUAUAUAUUAUGAAGGAAUAAAUCUCAUUUAUCAGGAAAACAACUUAGCAGGGGGUUAGUCCUAUCGUCAUGAUAAUUUUGGAUAGGUUAUGUUAUUUUUAGCUGUUAAUAUUGCAAACUAAAAUUCAUGUUGGCUUUCAUAAAACUGAAUUCUUUUGUGCAUAAUCUAUGAAACCCAUGCGACCCACAAUUUGUUAUGAUGUAUUCUACUUGUUAAAUCUCAUUAUAAUAAUGGGUUUUAUUCAUUUCUUAGAAAAGCUUGGGUCUUGAUCAUGUUUUUGUUCUAAUUUGACCUGGUUUAAUACUAUCCAGAGAGUAUUAUUUCUGUUUUUGGUCUUUAGAAAAUCCUGAAAAUUUUACUAUUUGGUUUGGUACUUGUAAGGAUGCUGUUUUAUGUAUUGCCAUAUAAUUAGAGCUUGGAUUGACAAUGUAGGGAUGGAACCAAAUAGUGAAAUAACCAAAGAGAAGUAUGGUGUUGAUAUCUCCUCCAUAAGGGAGGCACAAGUGCGCAUCGACCCAUACAUACACAAAACUCCAGUCUUUACCUCAGGAAGUCUGAAUGACAUGUGUAGAAGGAAGCUGUUUUUCAAAUGUGAAUGUUUUCAGAAAGGGUGAGAGAUUAAUAAGUAGCGAAUACCGAAAGUUUUAGACAUUAGUAUAUUUGAUUUGAUAUUGGGUUUUAACUUUUUUUUUUCUUUGUUUAAUUAUGUGGUGCCUUAAAGACCCAAUUUUGUGUUUUCUAUUCGUUAUCAGUGGGGCAUUCAAGUUCAGAGGUGCGUGCAAUGCCAUAUUUUCACUUAAUAAAGAUCAGGCAGAUAAAGGGGUUGUAACUCACAGCAGGUUUGCUCCGUGUUCUCUGUGCUUUACAGUUCUUCCUCGUUUCUCGUUUGUCUGAAAUUUGCUCCUCCAAAAUAGUGGCAACCACGCUGCAGCAUUGGCUUUGGCUGCAGACUUGCGGGAUAUCCCAGCAUAUGUAGUUAUACCCAACAAUGCUCCAAAUUGCAAAAUUCAGAAUGUGAUACGUUACAGCGGUCAAAUUACAUAUUCUCAGCCUACAUUACAGUCAAGGGAGACUACCACAACAAAGAUCAUGCAAGAAACUGGUGCAGUUCUCAUCCAUCCUUAUAAUGAUGUGCGCAUAAUAAGGUAGUAGGCCCACUCUUAUUUUGUUGCUUCUGCACCUGUGUUGAAUUUGAACCUGCCAAUAUUCCGUACACCAUCUCAUAUAUUUGCAUUAAACUCAUGAUUCCUUUAUUUGUCUGUUAUCUAAUUUUCCUUAAUUUACUGCAAUUAGAUCUUCUAGGCUGGUCACUAGUACCUAACUCUCAGUUGACUUCUUUCUUUUGUUCUCUUCUACACUGAAUUUCUGAUAGGGAUGACCUCUGUGUUAAAUGAAGGAAAAAAUUCUUUACAUGUUCAGAAAAAAAUUUCUAUAGAGCUUAGAAUGUCAUUGAAAGUUUAUGAUUGAAGAUAUGUGAGAUGUAACUAGUGGCCUCUCGAGGCAAAGUUUGUGUCAUUGCCAAGAAUAAUAAAACUGGAAUCAGCUGAACAAUUUAGAAUUCUUUGCAUGGUAUAUUGGUUACCGAUUCUGUUGCUUCACCUCCAAGUCCAGUAUCAGAAUGAGAAAAUGCUUCACCAUUCUCUAUGAGAAAUUCAUCCCACCUAUAUCACUACAUUUUAUAGGUAUAGAAAUGACCCAAUGCACCUAUAUUUCUCUUUCUUGUUCAAAAUGCCGUAUAGAGUAUUUUGCAGUGGUUUUAUAUGGAUAUAAAGAAAAUGAACCUGGGCUAGUGCAAACAGAAUAUGAGUGUUUGUCUUUGCAGUGGGCAGGGUACCAUAGCAUUGGAGCUUCUGGAGCAAGCCCCAGAAAUUGACACUAUAAUAGUUCCUAUUAGCGGUUCGUUUAAUUUCCUUAUAGUGUCAAUUCUUCAUUUUGGUCCUGCGUCGUUUUAUUUGUUUAUUUCUUUUCCAAACCUGAAUCAUCAUUAAAUAAACUGUAGGAGGUGGUUUGAUAUCCGGGGUGGCAUUGGCUGCUAAGUCCAUCAACCCUUCCAUUCGAAUUUUGGCUGCUGAGCCUUGUGGAGCUAAUGAUGCAGCUCUAUCCAAAGCAGCUGGAGAGAUUGUAAAGUUGCCUGAAACCAACACCAUUGCAGAUGGUCUUCGAGCUUCUCUUGGAAGUCUUACCUGGUAAAGCAAACCUUGUGCUUCUUGUGCAUGCAUUGAGGACACGUACUUAGUUUUUCAAUAAUCCAUUCUUCCCUACCUGGAUAUUAUGAAGUAUGCUUCUCUGUCUUUUCUUUUCUUGCAUUUAUUUUUAACAGAACAUGCAGUGGGCAUGCUCCCAUUUGCCAUUGCUAGCACGUCUCAAGUUCAUCUAAUUUCCUUGCCCUGCUAUCUCACUCCACACCUUAUGGUGGGGCAGGCCAGUGGUUCGAGAUUUGGUUGAUGCUGUUAUAACAGUGGAAGAUCAGGAGAUAAUAGAAGCCACGAAACUCUGUUAUGAGGUUCUGAAAGUCGUAGUAGAACCUAGUGGAGCUAUAGGCCUUGCAGCUGUUUUAUCUGAUAGUUUUCUGAAUAACCCUGCCUGGAAGGAUAGCAACCACGUGGGAAUCGUGCUUUCAGGAGGUAAUCUGGAUCUUGGUGUUCUUUGGGAUUCAAUUUGCGGCCUGUAACUCUUUCUUUCCCUUGAAAAUGAAGAUUUCUCUCUUGAUGAUUAAAAAGCAUUUCUGCUUUGGGCUUACAUAUGUAUUCUGGCAAGAACAAAAAAAUCAUAGUGUUGUUUUUUUUUUUUGGAGAAUAGCAUUUAUGCGUUUUACAUGGCAUCUUUCUGUAGCCCCCUGUUGCAUCUUGCAUAGCUGAUGAUACAGCGCACAGGCAAUUUCUAUCAGAAGCAUAUUUACAAAUUGUCAACAAAGAGAUGGGGGUUGGUUGGUAUAUCAUUAGGUCAGUGGGGUAAACUAUGAGAAGGGGAAAAUGAACAUCAGUUCUGUUCUUGGAGCUGAAGCGUAUGAACAAUGGUUUUCAGAUUCCUUUCAUCUAGUGGAUGGGACAGGAACUCAGGAGGGGUGAAAAUAAGUCAUAGAAUAAAUGGAUUCAUGGCCAUCAUCAUGAUGCUUCUUUUUAAAAAAAAUCAAAUCUUUUGACUGCUAGAGGGAUAAAAGAGUAUAACUCUUUUAUCAGUAGCUCGCGCAGGAUUAGAAGCAUGACUACUUGAACCAGCGACCUAUGACCACCAAAAGUAACCACAACAACAACUAUGUCCCAAAACUGAAGCAAACGAAAAACAAUACAAGAAAGAUUGAAGAAUAAAAUAGAAUAACAAAACAACAUAAGAUUUUGCCUAAUAAGAUCUCACCAUAAACUCUAAUUCAAAAUUUCAUUACACAAAUUUUCUGCUAAAAAACUCCUUAUUUGAGCUCUUCUAUUCGUCAAAAGUUCUGAACAAAAUUGAAAAAUAAUAAUUUUUUUUAAACCAAACAAAAAAAUAAUUCUAAUAAAUAUAACAAAUCUUUAACAAUAACUUUUAGGCACUAGCAUAAAGCCUUCUCAAUCUUUACAUUGAAAUUUGAAGCCAUAACCUUGACUUAUGGUUUGUUAUCUAUUUAUUCAAGUUUAAUGGAUGAUUUUUAUUCAUUGGGGCGCACCUCCUUAUUAUUCUAGUUAAAAUGAAAGCCAUCUUUGUUAAUUAUCUUGAAAACUUGUUGUUUCUCCACGAUCAAAAAUCUCUAAUAAGCUUUUGAAAUUGUCCACAAAGAUUGCAAACACAACACAACUUGGAUGAACCGUUAUAAUCCAUUUAGGGUCCUAGCAACCAAUCACUUUUUCUCUCCUAUAAGGUAUUGCCUAAGAAACCAUGGUCACUCUCCUAACUAUGUUCCUGUAGGUCUCUCUAAUUCAACCGACAAGCCAAUUUUAUAAUUUACAUCUACAUGUUUUUUAUUAUGAGUUCCUAGACGUUUCUCUCCUACAAGGGAACCUCCACAUCCCCUCCCUCACCAUGCCCUACUUCAUAACUUCUUCCUAUCAUGUUACACAACAAGCAAUAACUUGAGAUUGUUGAGCUCUGAUAUCAACUAACACAAGAAAGACAGAAGAAUAAGCAACACAAAAUCUUAUUGAAUAGUGUCAUAUCACAAACUUUAAUGUCAAAUUUUAUCACUGAAUAAUUCAUAACUAUUCUAAUAAAAAAAACUCUCUAUUACAUCUCUUCUAGGCUACUUAUAUAUUAUUAAAAAGUUUUAAACAAAACUGGAAAAAUAAUAAAAUAGUUUCAAAUCAAGUAGAAAAAAAAAUCCUAAAUCAACUAGUAAAAUAUAACAAAUCUUUAACAAUAACUUCUAGGUAUUAUUGUAAUGCCUUCUCAAUCAUGGAUUAAGAUUUAUGCAUGUUAACAUAAAACUGUGUGUUAGGAAAAAAUCUCUUACAUACAAAACAUAAUCUAAAAUGAAUUUGAUUGGGUGAUAAAAUCGCUAGGUACUUAGCUAAAACUAUAUCUCAAUCAAUCAUUACACAACAACAGGCAUUACCAAGUGUUUUUGGACUUUAGCAUAGUAUAAAAAAAAUAGUAAGAUAACACAAUACAAGAAAUAUUUAGGUAAAUAACAUAGUUUAGAAAGUUGUAUUUGACAUCUGUGAUUCUCUUAAAUGAUAAAUAGUCUGACACAGUUAUACAACAAAGAGAGAAAAGAGAGGAGAUAAAAAUAAAAUAAGGAAAGAAAAACACCUCAGAGACACCGAAACUCUAAUGAUGACACCACCAAUACCAACGAUGAACGAAUUGGACCACACGAGCUGUUCAAAGAUGUCAGAGCUCACUUAUUUUUGGACAGCUCAUAUGGACCAGUUUGAUUGUUGUUGGUGAUAUUUCUUGAUGUCGUUUGAUUUGUUUUUUUGAAAUCUUUUCAACAGUACUGAUGGUGUCGUCAUUAGAGCUUCGAUGUGCCUCUAUGAUCUAUUUUUUUCUCAAUCAUCUCUCCUCAUAAUUUGUGAAGAGAGAGAAAAAGGUGUGUGUGUGUGUGUAUAAGAUACAUUAAAGCUCUGAUGACAACACUACUAGUAUUGUUGAAAAUAUCAUAGCAAGACAAAUCCAACGACAUCAAAAAAAAUAUCAACAGUGACUAUCAUAGGCUACACAAUCGCUCAAAAGCAAAUGAUCACUAACAUCUUUAAACAGAACGUAUGUUUUACUUCAUUCAUCGUUGAUGAUUUUUAUUAAUAUCAUUGAAUUUAUUUUACCAAAAUCUUCUCAACAAUAUCAAUAAUAUCAUCAUUGAAGUUUUCUCUGAAUUUUUUUUUUCUUUUAAAUUAUACCAGCCUAAGAAAUUUCAAUGCCUCUCUGAAAUCUCUUUUUAUUUCUUUUUUCUUUUUUCUCUCUUUUUUAUAAAUUAUACCAGCCUAUUUUAUUAUUUAAGAGUUGCAUAUAACACUUGCCCAUACAUGGCAGUCUUUGAUAAGCUAGAAUGUCAACGUACGAUGCUGGCAAAAAUACGAAAAACAAAUAGCAUUUUCAAAACAGAAGUACUGCUUGAAGUUAACUAUUAUUGAGACAACAGCAGUCAGGCCCAACGCCUUUUUGUAAACUGUGGAGACACCAAAACCAAUUUGAAAGAUGCACACCCACCAAGAAACAAGCAACGCAACAUUGCCUGAAAAAUAACUCCACAUAUUGGAAAGACUCCAAAGCAUGUAACAGAAAAAAAGUAGAACAAAAGUAAAUCAGUCAAUCCAUACAUCCUAUAAGCAAACGAAGGAGAGAUUCAGAUUCAUGUCUUUAGGCCUCAUCCCCGUAUGCUUCCUCCUCAUCUUCAAACUCGCCUUCUUCAUCAGCAGUUGCAUCCUGGUAUUGCUGGUACUCUGAGACCAAAUCAUUCAUGUUGCUCUCAGCCUCUGUAAAUUCCAUCUCAUCCAUUCCCUCUCCAGUGUACCAAUGCAAGAAGGCCUUCCUGCGGAACAUGGCAGUGAACUGCUCACUAACUCUUCUGAACAUUUCUUGGAUUGAUGUGGAGUUGCCAAUGAAUGUGGAAGCCAUUGUCAAGCCUGUAGGAGGGAUGUCACAGACCGUGGACUUCACAUUGUUGGGGAUCCAUUCAACAAAGUAGGACGAGUUCUUGUUUUGGACAUUGAUCAUCUGCUCGUCAACUUCCUUUGUGCUCAUUUUGCCACGAAACAUUGCAGAUGCUGUGAGAUAUCUGCCAUGGCGAGGAUCAGCAGCACACAUCAUGUUCUUGGCAUCCCACAUUUGUUGGGUGAGUUCAGGUACAGUCAGGGCACGGUAUUGCUGAGAGCCACGGGAUGUGAGAGGCGCAAAGCCAACCAUGAAAAAAUGAAGCCGGGGGAAUGGGAUGAGGUUCACAGCAAGUUUGCGAAGGUCUGAGUUGAGCUGACCGGGGAAACGAAGGCAGCAUGUAACACCACUCAUGGUGGCAGAAAUCAGGUGGUUCAGAUCCCCAACUGAUAAACAAAAUUUUCCAGUUAGUUACCAUAAAGAGUAAAGGCAUCUAUCACAUUGAUCAUCACAUCACGGUGAAAAACUAUAUAAUGUAACAGGGAAAGAAAAUUCUCCAAAGUCCCAAAUUUAUUUAUUCUGCGGUUAAAAAAAAACAUAUUUCUUCUCAAAACGCAGGCUUAUAAAUAUAAGUUACACAGCAACAAAAGAUGGUUGAUACUUGUAGCAAGCCGUGGACGACCAUGUGAUAAACAAUGAGCGUAUCAAAACAAGUAUUAAUGUGGUUAAAGCUAUUAUCCAAGCAAUGAAGCAUUACUAAAAAUGGUAGGACCUAUGAAACCCAGGUUCCGUUUGGAAAAACAAUGGUUUUUAGUUGUCAAAACCUUCAUUUCAUAGCGCUUUUGACUUGUGGAAUUUAGAUAGCUUUCAAAACAGCUCUUAGAAUUUUACCAAACACCUUAAAGCUAAGAAAGAAAGCCCAAAAGCCAGGGUUACCAAACGGGCACCUAAUCUUAUAUCUUAAACAGCCAUAGCAAAUGAGGCACUCACAACUGUAUUUGUGAGUCCAAGUACAGCGUCGAUGCACCACGUUAAUAAGCAUACCCUAAGUGCCUUGAUAGUGCAGCCAGCCGCGUGGUUGGCCGCACUGCCCUUAAGACAGAAAAGAAUGGGAAAACCAUGUCGCUUAAAGAGCCCCGGGAAGAUCACCGAGUAAUUGAGGAUAUAUUUGUGCACCAACCAUACCAUGAGCACACAGUUUAUUCACGUUCUCAUCCCUAUAGGUAGACUAGAGUAUUGUUUCCAAUUCUUGACACAGCAAAUUCCCCGUUUAAAAUAAAGGUCCAAACCAAACUCACCAAAUACCAUCUCACAUCACGAAUCAUGAUUGCGUAUUUCCUAAUUCAGUUUCCAGGAAAAAAAUGAACGAAAAACAAAAUAAAAGCAAAACUAUAUUAAAUUAAACAAACAAACCAUUUCAAUUGGAUAUUGAGAGGGAGGGAGCAAUGAAAGGUUAUCGUUGAAAGGGGUGCUUACAGCUGGGAGUUGUGAGCUUGAGAGUACGGAAGCAGAUAUCGUAAAGGGCUUCAUUAUCAAGAACCAUACACUCAUCUGCAUUUUCAACAAGCUGGUGAACAGAGAGAGUUGCAUUGUAAGGCUCGACCACAGUGUCCGAGACCUUUGGGGAUGGGAACACUGAGAAUGUGAGCAUCAUUCGAUCUGGGUAUUCCUCUCUUAUUUUCGAGAUCAAUAGUGUUCCCAUCCCGGACCCUGUACCACCUCCCAAUGAGUGGCAUACCUGAAACCCUGCAAUUUUCACCAUACUGAUUUUUAACUGCUUAUAAAUUAUUAGCACAUGUAACUCUAACACAUGAAUUUUUUCCCCUCAUUUUCUUGAGAAACAAACAACAAGAGUAAAGGCACAAACCAAAGACCAAAACAACCUUACCUUGCAAGCAGUCACAGUUCUCAGCCUCCUUUCUCACAACAUCAAGAACAGAAUCAAUCAACUCGGCUCCCUCAGUAUAAUGCCCUUUAGCCCAGUUAUUACCGGCACCAGAUUGCCCAAACACAAAAUUAUCCGGUCUAAAUAUCUGCCCAUACGGACCAGAUCUAACACUAUCCAUAGUGCCCGGUUCAAGAUCCAUUAAAACAGCGCGAGGCACAAACCUUCCACAACUGGCUUCGUUAUAGUAAACAUUAACUCGCUCUAUUUGAAGAGCUGAGUCACCUUGGUACCGACCCGUUGAGUCAAUCCCGUGUUCUGCACAUACCACUUCCCAAAACUUUGCUCCUAUUUGGUUUCCACAUUGACCUCCUUGGAUGUGAAGGAUUUCCCUCAUUUUCUCGGGAAAGUGAGGGGAAGUUUAGUUGUUUUUUCUUUGUUUUCUAGGGAGUGGGAGCGUGUGUUUUAUGGGUUUCUCACUUUCUUGGUUGUUUAUAAAAAGGAGGAUUUAACGGUUUCUGUUAGUUGACGGCGGGGGAAGUGAUUGACGUUUGGUUUUGGUGGGAACUUGAUUUUUGAAAUUGGGUUUUGUUUCUCUGGUGGAGGAGCAGGAAUUUUUGUUACGGCAGUUGACACGUGGACUGUAAAAGUCUGUUAUGUGGAUAUCAUUAAUUUAGGCUGGGUUUCGAGAGGCUGGUUGGGAGUAGUUUGUCUUUUUAGUUAUUUAAAAAAAAAUUAUAUUUUUUAUUAUUUUUUAUAAGUUGAUUUUAAAAAUAAAAAAAUAUUUUAAUUUAUUUUUAAAUAAAAAAUAUUUUUAAAAAAUAACCUACACGUACUCGUGAUGAAGCGCAAACAUGGGAGGAGGGAGUGAUGAAACCACGAAGAGUAGUGGGUGGGUUCGUAGUUUGACAUGUGGAAUGAGGUGAUUGGUUAAGGGGGCUGAGUAAUUUUUCGGAUUUUGUUUUUAUUUUUAAAUUAAAAGGUCACAGUAUUAAUGAUUGCAUCAGACGGCUAAGAUCGACGGAAGAGGAAACUUGGGGGUGAUGAUCCGACAAAAGGUAGACGUCGCAGGAUUGGAAAUUGUAACGUAAGCAAGGAAAAAGCAGUAAGAAUUAAGAAAACAAGAAAACAGAAAAGAAGAAGAAGAAAUAUGACAGAUAUGAACGAGGAGGAGGAGGUGCAAAGAGCUCAUCAUGUGAGAACAGACUCAUCAAUCAAUUAUCAUCCAUCGCAGCUAAAGAAAGAAAGAGGCUCGCUCGUAAACAAAGCUGACCAGCCACCCUUUUUUCUUCAUCAUCGUCAUCAAAGUUGAGAGGUCAAGUGAUGUGGUGCUGGGCCUUGUCGAUUGUCAUGGAAUGUGGUGGGGAGGAUCUUAAGUGGUGGAGAUGAUUGAUUGAUGGGUCAAUGAUGCCCUACGAGUGAUCAAUAUGGGCUUAGGGUCGGUUCUUUUUUGUUUUUCUGACAAUAUUUCAAUCGGUAGGCUUCAACCACAAGGCAAGCUGAGCUAUUUUAUGCUCAUGAUGAUUGAAAGUUCUUGGGUCACGUUUAGUUUUCUUUUUAUUUUUUGUAAUCUUCAUGAUUGAACAUCCUUAGAUCAUGUUAUGUCUUGCCUUUUUACUCAAUUAUUGUCCAAGUUUCCUCAAUUGUUCCAAGUAAAACUAUAAAACGAAUAGAUUGUUGGAAUCAUCCACUUAAGAAUCCAUUUUAAUGGUAUUAUUACCAAAUUGACAAAUAAUCAACUGGUCCUAGCUUCUAAACCUUUCAUGCAUCUCCAUCAUAUUUGAUGGAAAAUGUCAGGGAAAACAAAUACAGGUUAACAUUAACAAAACAUUAAACAUUAAAUGGUGUUGCUAAAUUAAUGUAGCUACACUCAUAAAAUAUUAUUCAAUGUAAUAGUUUUUUGUAUUUUUUUUAUUCAGUUAUUUUUUUUAAUUUUAUCCUUUAAUAUUAUGUUGUUUUGGAAAAAUAUUGGUUAACAUUUUUCAAUUCUUUUGGGCCGCUUUUUCUAAUUGAUUUUUUUAUAUUUAAUCUUUCAAUAUUGGGUUGAUUAGAAAUCAAGCUUUAUAAUUUUUUUCGAUUUGCUUUCUAUGAGUUAUCUCAAUCUCAUGACCUGAGUCGUUGGCUUAAAUUGACCAUGUUCAUCUUUUGAGGUCCUUUUUAAUUGAAUAUGUUUUAAUUAGGCUUCAUAUUUUUUUUCAAUUUGUUUUCUAUAGGGUUGUGUCGACCUCAUGACCUGAGUUGCGGGUUUAGCAGGUUAACACGAUUUUUUUUUUGUUUUUUUUAAUUGAAUUUUUUAAAAUUAAAUAUAUUAAAAAUAAAGCAUUAUAAAAUCAAUCCAGCCUACAGCCCAACACGACCGAAUAACCUAGUCUCUAUCAUGUCAUGUCGUGUUCAAUGUUACCCUGUAUUUUUGGACUUGUCAACGUUGCAUGAUCCAAAAGAACACAUUUAACCAAAAAUAGAUAGUUUUAGCUUACAAGUUUAGAGGUAGACAUUAAGCCAGGAGCCACAAAAAAAUCCCAACAAUAAAACCCAUCAUUUUCUCUCCCAAACUCUCUCUCAUUUCGCACAAUUUCACCCCACCCUUGAAAUUCCACCUCUCAUGACCCCAACAAACAAGGAUCUCCAUUCUCUUUUUUAACUCUCAUCGAUCCUCUGUGAUCCCUCUCCCUUCGUCCCUUCUCAACAAUUCACAAGGCCCGACCUUCUUCGGUGGCAAAAUGGUAUGUUCUUGCUUCCUUUCUACCUCUCCAUUGCACGAAAAUAUUGCUAUUGAAAACUAUCAUGCGUGAUUAUGAUUUCAAAUUCGAGUUCCUUUAAGGCGACAGCCAUCCUCUCUUGCCAUUCUGGAUACAUGAUUGUUUUUUCUCACCUAAAUUCCAUUUCUUUGUCAAUUUUACAGUGACGGGACAAGCUCUUAUGGGCUUGACUUAAAAUGUUAAUCAUUGUAAAAUGAGCUCCCAUUGUCUCACAUUAUAUUCAAUCUUUUAAAGCUAUCCAAUCUAAAUAUAUUCUUUAUCCACUUAUUGAUUUUUGACCUGAGAAAUUUCCCCUGUUUUUUCCCCCAUUCUAUUGAAUCACUCCUCCUAUCCAAAUGGAAUUUGAUUCACAUGUUAUCAUUGUCACAAUUUAAUUAUAGAUUUCCCUAAUUCACAUGUUAUGUUUUAAAUCUCCCACACUGUUCCAUUUUCUUCUUGAUUCUCUCACAAUUACCAAAGGAUGGGUAUGUGCUUGUUUGAGAGUGUGGUAGAUGUUAUUUUUUAAAGUAUUUUUCGCUUGCAAAUACAUCAAAUUAAUAUUUUUUUUAUUUUUUAAAAUUUAUUUUUAAAAUCAGUACAUCAAAACGAUUCGAAAACACACAAUAAAUAUUAAUUUAAAACUUAAAAAAAAUAAUUUUUUUAAAAGCACGAUCCAACCACAAUCCUAAACAACACUUAAAUUAUGGCCAUCAAUGACAUAUUUCAAUCUCUAUCAGUUUUAUGCAUCACUUGCACAGCCAAUUUUCCUUCCCCUUUUACUUGAAGCAAAUCUUCAAUCCCCUCUCCCUCUCCUCUCAUGUGAUGCAUUGAAUUGACGGAAAUCGGAGACAAUUAUCAAUUGGCUUAAUUUAAUCCUUUUUAUUUUCAAUUGACAAAAAACAAAAAAUAUAGCAAGAAAAUUGACUUUUGAACAAAUGCCAGGGCAAAACAGUGUUGAUCUCAUCCGAGUCACAACCAGUUGCAUUGGAUUUAGUCAAACCCAAAAUUCACAUCAUCUGUACUGAGUGUCAAAUCUUAAAUUAAAGAUUACAAAUAUUUCCUUUCCGCUUAAUGACGAUUAAAGUGAGCUAUAGUUUCUUCUUUUUUUUAUUAUUAUUUUUAAUAUAUGGCACAGGCGAAUUCAGCAUCUGGAAUGGCUGUUGAUGACGAGUGUAAGCUGAGGUUCAUGGAACUUAAAGCAAAAAGGAGCCACCGAUUUAUCGUUUUCAAGAUUGAAGAAAAGAUCCAACAGGUGGUGGUGGAGACAUUGGGAGAACCUCAACAAAGCUACGAUGAUUUCACUGCCAGUUUGCCAGCCAACGAGUGCCGAUAUGCUGUCUACGAUUUCGAUUUCACUACCGAUGAGAACGUUCAAAAGAGCAAAAUUUUCUUCGUUGCAUGGUAACAUCAAGGAAACAUUGCAAUUGAAUUAUCUUUUUUAGUGCAAGUUUUAUUAAUUUUUCUUAAUGUGAGUUUAUAUGUGUCACUAUCUAAAAUUAAUGUCGUUCAUAUUUGGUUUCAGGUCUCCUGACACAUCGAAGAUAAGAAGUAAGAUGUUGUAUGCUAGUUCAAGGGAUAGAUUCAGGAGAGAGCUUGAUGGGGUUCAAGUUGAGUUACAGGCGACAGAUCCUAGCGAAAUGAGCUUGGACAUUGUCAAGGAACGAGCCUUCUAAACAAAGCUUUUAAUGGAGGUUUCUUUUACUUGGCACUCUAAAUUAUUAGAGCCAAGAUUAUUUUGUACUCUUACCUUGCAGAACCUUAUAUUGGCCGGUCACUUGAGUUGUGGUAGAAUUGGUCAGUUUAGGGACUAUUUCUAUUAUCAACUGACUUUUCCGGCAGGAUUUCUGAUCGAUGGGGUGCAUAAUCAUGCCAAUCUGAUUUUCAAUCUUGAUUUUUACUUGGGACGAUUUUUAUUUUAUUUUAUUUUAUCUUAUUGGGUUUAUUCGAGCAUUUCAAUGGGAAUGAAAGUUUCAGCUCUCUCUCUAUGUAUAUUUGAGAAUGUUGAGUUGUUAAUUUAAUGGUGAUUUUUUUUUCAGACUAGAGUUGUAAUGACUUGUGCAUCACUUGGGAUGAUGAUACAUAUAUAAGAGUGAAAACAAAAAUUUAUUUUAUUAAGGAUGUAAUUGGGUCUGCCAUAUUAAAAAAAAAAAUCAAGAGUGCUCAAUGUUUGUGCCUCUAAAAAUAAUCAUUAUGGAUUAUAAAGUGAUUUCUCUUUAUACUCGGUUCAAACAUCUCUUUUUAGGGAAGACAACACGCCACCUGAUUAGUUGUCUUCCAAGAUACUUUUAAGUCUUUACGUCUCAUACACUUAAAGACUUGGUAGGCAAUUGUUGAGUCAAUAUUUUUAUGCAUUAAAAGAGCCUAAGACAAUGUGAGUAUGACAACUUGCUAGAUUCAAUACAUUUGGGUUCAUCUGUCACUAAAACCAAGAUAAUAUGGGUCCGACAAAUUGCCAGAGCUAAUAUUCUUAGGUUCAGCCGUCAUAAGAAUUAAAUGUAACGUAGGUCUGACAAGCUGUUAGCCUCAUAUUAUGCUUUUGUUUAGUCGUCAACUGAACCAUAUGUAACGUGGACAUGAGAAGCUAUCAAACCCAAUACACUUAGAUCGAGUUGUCAGCUGCACUUAAGGUAAUUAACAUGGGUCCAGUAAGUUGUCAGACCCAAUACACUUGGGGUGUCAGUUGAGUCCAAUACAACGUGGAUCUAACAUCGUCCCAAACCUAAUACACUUGAGUUUAGACAUCCACUAAACCCAAGGUGUUACGAUUUUUUAUGAGCAUUCAUAUCCUUUUCAUCUGAGUUUGGCUAUAUACCAGGUUGAAUUAGUCUAAGAAAUUCAAGCCUAAGAAACUCUAUUUUAUAUUAAUGGCAUGACCUACUCGUAUCAGAGAUAAUCAUCUCUUUAUAUCUAUAAAUGUAUAAAAUAUCUUUCAAAUGGCCUACUACAUUUCUCAUCUCAUUAAUGAUCUGUAAUAUAUAUUUAUCUCUCAUUCAUAGUAUGUAAAAGAUGUUUAUCCCUCAUUAAAGUCACCAAGCAGAGAUGACCCUUUAAGCCCUCUUGCCUUUAUCAAAACGAUAAAGUUUAGGGAGUAUAAAUACCUCAUAAACCACACAAGUAAAAGGUUUAUAACUUUUCUUACUUUAAAAGUUUAUAUAUUUUAAACCAUCAAUUACCCCCCAAAAAAUAAGAAAAAACACUCUUUCUCUUAGAAUUUAAAGCUAUAUCUUUUAUUUAUUGUCUUUCCCAUAAAAGUUCUGACUUUAUCGUCGAAUGGGUUUUUAAAUCUCACCGAUAAAGAUUGUUUUUACAGGUACUAAGACUUUUACCAUUAAUUUGAUACUUCUCGAGUUAAGAAGAAAAAAACUAAUUAUAUGAAUAUUUUAAAUAACCACUAUCCAAAUAUUAAAUAAUAUACUCUUUGAAUUUUAAAACAUCAUCAAAACUUAAUUUGAAUUAAGCAGGUUAAUGAAAUAUUGACAUUGCUUAUAGUUGUAAGAAACACAUAAGGUGGAAGCAUUAAGUGACAGAUAGUUAGAUAAUUUAUGGGUCUAAUACACAUUACAUCACAUAAGAACUUAGCGUCAAUGCAAAUUGUGAGUGAAAAAUGGAAGUGUAAAUUGUGAAAGAAAAGCUUGGGAACGGAUCACGACUUUAAAAAUUCUAUACAAUUCGGCACCGAAAAAAAAAAUGAUAUUAGCUGAAGUUCUCGCGUGUUGAAUUGAUUCCUCUACACUUAAGUCAAUAUAAAUAAAAAAUCUCUGAUGUGUACAUUUUGAAGACUGUUCACAAUUUAUGAUGCAUCAAUCCGUACACAGUCACAAGUGCCAUGAUAAAGGAAUGAUCAGUAUGAGGCUCCACCACCAAGGUUAGUACAUCAUCCCCUAAUAAUACACCCUUGGAUGAUCGCUUUCUCUUGGCCUGCACAGACACCAACCACAAAAACUAAAUGUUAAUUACACUGCCUAUGACAUAAGAUUUAUAGAGACUGAACUAUAUAAUAUUAACAGAGUCUCAAAUCGUAAAUUUACAUUUCAGGGAAAAUCAGAAGCAUACCUCUGCAACAAUUUCCCCAUUGCUGUUUGUAAUCUUGAAUGCUAAUUUUCCAGAUAAGGCUUCUAACUUGUAGGAGCAACUCUCUUGAGCAUCACUGGAUCGAACAGUAAUUUGACAGGAUAGAUCACCUUCGAAUAUUUCUGAACGUCUUUUGACUUGGAAAUAAGGCUCUUGAGUCUUUAAUUUUAAGCCAUCACUUUUGUAGCCCCUCCAUUGUCUGAAAAGGAAUAGUUUCUGCAGUGAUUGAAGAAAAGGCACGUUAAUCUUUAUGACAAAAGGGUAUUCUUUAAAAUGAUCAGACUGAUCAUAUAUACAUGCUUGGAAAUCACAUGGACAUACCCUUCUAAGUAUAGUGAAAAGAACAUUUCCCUUGAGAUCCAUGAGAUAAACUUCAUUGCUUCCGGCCUUCUUGUCAUAAUUAUCAACUCGGUAAACAAUCUCACCGUUUUUAUUAAAAACAGUGCAUCCAUUUGUUUGCAUCAAAAGUGAUUUCAUCCAUAUAGUGAAUGUUUCUGGCUUUGAAGACAUGCAAGAGGUAGAAGCAGAGCAAGAAGAAGAGUCAACUUGUGGGAAAGCAUGAACCUUGGCCAUUUGAAUUAAGCGAGCGUGGCUAGCUGGUGGAUGGAGAUCAGUUAGCUCGAUCUGCAGGUGGUUCCUUGGACUUUAAGUGAGAACUUGAUGAUGUUUAUGCGGUUUGUAAUGUGUAUAUAUGGGGAAGCCAGUGCUAGAAGAGAAGAAUAUAAGAAAUAAAAUAUAAGAUGUUUCUGGUUUUAAUUUAUUACAAUGUCACACGUUUAUGGUAUGCAUAGGCCUUUACACUUUCUUUGGAGUAUUUGAGUAUUAUACGUACUACGAGGUUCUCAUCUUGUACUACAAGUUCCUUUCUUGUUUUUCUUCACUUGGAAGACUUGGAUAUAUAGAGGCAAACAUGCAUGGCUUUGAAAAGGGUGUUGUUUUCUUUUAAUUGUCUAGAUGCCCAGCUCGAUCUAUGACAUUAUGCCAUUCUUUGUUUUUGCUUAAACCAUGUGUGUUCCAACGUUUAAUUAAUUAUAUGAAAUAUUCCAAUCGAUGAUCUGCUCUUUCCUAUAUUACUAUCUUUGCAUAAUUAUUUUUACUAUAUUGUUUUUUAUUGUUAGGUUUUGAGAGUUUUUGUACAAUUCUUACACGCAUGCAGUUUGAUGAACAUAAGCACAAUUUUGUAUCCAUUUGUUGGAUCAGAUUCAGAAUCUUGCCAUAGAAGGAUUAAUUAUAAAGGGGUACUGGCUUGCCAGCUAUUUUUGUCUUUAGGCCACCAUUAGAUCUAGAAGAUACUAUUUCAGAAAUUUCAUUAUUUUUCUUGUUGUUUUUAAAUUAAUCUUUCUCCUAUUAAUUUAAUCAGAAUUUUAUUUAUUAGAGUUUUUUUUUAAAAAAAAAACAAUUUUAUAGCUAUUUUUUCAAGAGAAUUUCUGAAAUAAAGAUCUUUUCGAAUAUAUCAAAGUUAAAAUGAUUGAUGCAUGAUGCUCCUAUUGUUGACAUUUCAAUCAAUGAUAAAAAGAUUUGGAAAAAGAUUCAAUCCCCAACUCACACAUACUUAGUGUUCUAACUUCAAUUACUAAUAUUGCUAAUGGUAAAUCUAGAGGUACAUGAACAUGGAGUAGAGGUGAAAUUCAUGGGACAAUUUAAAGUUAGUAAAUAUUUUCUAUUCAAAUUAGACCCGGAAGCUACUGUUUCAGAAUUUUCAUUAUUUUCCUUCUUGUUUUGGAUUAUUUUUCAUUAGAAUUUUAUUAAUUAGAAUGUUUUCUUGUAUUUAAACAUCCCUGUAGGCUAUUUUUUUCAAAGAUGAUUUAUAAAUAAAAACCUUUCAAAAUAUAUUAGAGGUUAAUUUCUCUGUAAUUUUUUAAUAGUGAGGGUGGUAACCUUAUGUUCGAGAAUUUUAAUUUCUUUUUCUGUAGUUUAGGACUGUAAAAUUUAAGAGUAUGAGGAUCUUAACGUUACACACUGCUUCAAUAAGUAUAUUUUCUUGCCUCUGUUACCUGGGUUCGAGCCUCAGCGUGCAUGUUUGUCACCCUCGCGGUGUCUUACCUGCCUACUGGGCUUACAGGAUGUUUAGUGGGUCUGGGGAUUAGUUAUGGUGCGCGUAAACUGACCCGGACACCCCAGGUUAAAAAAAAAAAAUUUAAAAUUAGGUACAAAAAAAUAUGAAAAUAUUUAACUCAAACUAUUAGAGCAUCCCCAUGAGGACUCCUAACUCUCUAAUAUGCCAUCUCCUGAUCUCUACAAGUUAGCAAAUCCUAAAAGGAGGUUUAACAAAUGAAUUGGAUCUCACAAUCAUACGAAGGAGAUUCGCAUCAUUAAGCUAUUGAGUUUUCUAGAUUUUAUUUGUUCAUUCGUAGAUACCUUCACUACCCUUAUAUUUAACAAACAUAUAAAAUACAUUACUCUUUUACUGUAUCAAUCAUUAUAGAUGUAGAGAUACUACAUUGUGGAUUGUGGCUGUACAUUGUGAAAUAAACUGUUAGGCAAGGGUGUUUAUGCCUUUAUAUUUUUUGCAAGAUUAUGAAAGGACCUUCCUACCCGUACAUUCGAGAAAAAGUAAGGAAAGGAUCCAGGGGUGAUUUUGUUUUUUCACAUUGGUUUUUUUGUGAAUACUGGAAUCACGAGGGGUGCUUUAGACUUUUCGCUCUGAUUAAUUAAUUUUUAAAUCAAAUAACAGUUGGCGUGUGGGAUGCGGUUGCGACCUUAUGGCGGCAUGAUUUUUUUUUUAAUUUCAUCAUUGAAUUACAAUUUGUCAUGGAUUAUUGUUUAUUCUUUUGAUUUUUUAUUUUUUUCCCUGAUUUUUUUUUAAGUUUUGUUGUUUUCAAUUUCAUCAUUCAAUCAAAGUUUAUGUUAUUUUGCUUCUUCAAUUUAGUUCUCGUUCUUUUUUUUUUUUCUUUUAUUAAAGUUUCUUUUCUUUUCAAUUUAACACUCUAAUGCUAAAUUUUUAUGCCAUCUAAUUUAUUUUUUAUUUUGAUUCUCAUACUUUUGAUGCCCUCAUUCUUUUAAUUUUAAUUUUUUGUGUUAUAGAUUUUUUUUCCGGUUUCAUCCUUCGACGUUUGAUUUGUUAGGGAUUGAGUUUCGUGGUUUUUUCAUUUAUCAUGCUUCCAAUAUAAUGACACAGGUCACGAGUUUUAAGAGAUGGUACGGUUAAAGAUUUCUAUUUUUGUCAUUUGCUUUUUCGGUUUUAUCAUUCUAUAUUAUUUGUUUUUCAAAAACGAUUGGUUUUGUGGUCAUCUUUAAAUUUUUUUCUAUUGAUUUAUCUCGAUAUUUUUUAAUAGUUUAAAUUUUUGAAAAAAAUGCUUUGUUUUGCAUUUAAUUUUUGGAUGUUUUUUAUUUUAUUUUAUGCUGAUGAGCUUUAUUUUAUAAAAAAUAAAGGAUAAAAAUUGAAUGCACAACUAAUUGAUAUAAUUUUUUUUAUUUACAUUCAUCUUUUUUUUUUCCGGUUUCUCUUUUAGUUGUUGUUAAUAACUAUUUUAUUUUUUUAUUUAUAUUAAUAAUUAUCAAUUUAUUCCAUUAAAAUAUAGAUAAACCUUUCGAUUUAUACUCUGAAUUUUUAAUAUAAAAAAAACAUAUUAAAAUAACCUGUUUUUUUUUAAAAAAGACCUGUCUAACACCAGGUUUUCUUUUUUAAAAUAAGUUACAGCAUGUGACAGAGUAGGAAUUAAAUAUCUAGUUUAAGAGAUCAGGCGACAUGGUCUAAUGUUCAUGUGGCUUUUUCAGCGAGCAAAAAACUCAACUGGUUCUGUGGUUGGGGUGACAGAAAGAAACCAUCCUGGCUUGUGUGUCUGCGCAAGAGCCAGAUCGCUGAUGGCUUUUUCAUGGAAUCCGAUGCACAACAUUUAAAACUGUUCUGAUGACAAAGCGUUGGUGUUUAUAAAAAUGUAAGAAAGGUAAAGAACAAACAUGGUUUGCUUGUGUUUGGUUUUGAUUUUGUCGGAGACCAAGAAAUAUUCUAAGUGCCUUCAGUUACACGUGUAUGUAUUGCAACAUUAUAAAAUAAUGGAAACCAACGAUUAAAAUGAAUUAUUGACAGGUGGCUUGGCUUGUACACAGGGAGGGCAUUUCUCCAUUUAUUGAAAGUUUUAUUUGUUUUAUUUUUUAAUUAAAUUUUUUUUUUAUUUUUAACAUUAAUAUAUUAAAAUUAUCUAAAAUCAUCUUAAAACAUAAUUUAAUAGCUUUUUAAAAAUAUAAUUUAAGAAAUACUUUUAAAAAAAGAGGUUGUACUGACGCGUUAAUGGGAUGUACAAUCUGGACGGUGAGAGUGGGGGAGAACAGGGUACAUUUAUAGCUUGUAGAAUACUUGUUAUGCAGCUAUAUAUAUUCUGUCGUCAUGGAUGAUUCUUUUCUAAUAAUAAUUAUUAUUAUUGUUAUGACUUUGUCUUGCAUUUAAAAAGAGUGUCAACAAGUACAACGAGAAAAAUGAAGAGGAGCCUUUAUUAAUUGGUUCAAGGUAGUGUUUUUCAUCAUAGUAAUGAUGUUAAAAAAAAAUAUUUAAAAAUAUAUUAAAAUAACUUUUUUUAUUUUUAAAAGUUUAUUUUUAACAUAAAUAUAUUAAAAUCAUCUAAAAAUACUAAAAAAAAAUUAACUUGAAACAAAAAUAUAAAACAAAAUUUAAAUUUUUUAAAAAAUAUGGUUUGACCAACAAAAUAAUUUUAAAAAAUUUUAUAAGGUGGGGUUUUAAUUAAUAUUAAUUAAGUUAGUACUCAUUUACAUAUAUAAAAUGAUAAUUAUUUGUUUUGCGCAGCACUUAUUAACUUCGGGGACUCUGAUACAAAAUAAUUUUCGAAAAUUUUAUAAGGUGGGCAGUCAAACGCAUUCUUAUAUAUCUCAAGCACACUAUAUUUUUUGGUCUUCGUUUUACCAGAUAAGCUAAUCCAUCUCUUCAUGGAUUUACUGAUGCUGUUUGAGCUAGCGAUAGUGAUGAUCGACACAGUGUUGGGGCAUAUUGUGUUCUUCAUGGCCAUAAUUUGAUUUCUUGAAAUUGUAAACAACAACAAACGAUAACACUGAAUCUGAGUAUAAAUCUUUGUCAAAUACAACAACAAAAAUUUAGUGGCUUCAAUUUGUUUUUCAUGAUUUACACAUUACCUUACCUAGCUGCUGUCUGAAGCUAUAGAUUGGUGUCACGUACCUCUCUUUAAAUCCAGUAUUUCAUGCUCGCAGUAACCUUUCAUUUUUUUCAUGAUCAGAUCAGAGGAAACUUGAGGUCCUCUUUUUAUUAUUCAAAGAUCAGUUGGUGUGCCUACUUACUAAAGCUCUUAAUGCUAAUCGUUUUACUCUGAUGCAUUUCAAUCUUCAAUUGCAGGAACUGCCCUUUCAGUUACGGGGGGGAUAUUGAAGCAUCCACAACUAACGGAUAUGCAUUAGCUAACAAUCCUGGAACAACAAAAACUCAAGAUUGUUAAUUAGCUGUCAAAUUGUCCCAACGAUGAAUUUGUUACCACAUAUCAUGGGAUUAAUUUGACUUUUGAGUUUGCAUUCAAGAAUGUACAGCAGACAAAGACAUCCAUUGUAUUAUAUAUAUUGGUGACGUUACACAUAUAUGAUUUCAAUAAAAUAUCAUACAAGCUGCUUUAUUCUUCAUUCUUCUCUGCUACGGCAUUUUAUACAGCGGCAUAAAAUCCUUCUAGUUUUCAACUUUCGGUAGCAAGAAGCGUCACUUUUAGGAUCUCAAUUUGUUUUCUGUAAACGUGGUUGGCACUGUGCAAACUUCUUUUGUAGACGGUGACCGUAUAUAUAUAUAUAUAUAUAGCUGGAUAGUACUACAGCUGUGAUUGUAAAUAUCAAACCUUAUGAAAAGAUUUGGAAGUCGAAGGCUCCGCAGAAGAAUUAUUGUUUGGGGACUAGUCUGCAUGUUCUGUUGUAAAUAUUGGGAUUGCUGUCUCAUUGUGCAUCAAAUUUAAAAGAUAGUAAGUAAUAUUCUACAGCUUAUGUUUGAUCAAUCCGUAGACAGUCACGAUUGCCAUUAUCAGGGAAUGAUCUACGUGAGGCUCCACAACCAAAGUUAGCACAUCAUCUCCCAGCGUGAUCCCCGAAGAUAAUUGUUUUUGCUUCACCUGCAUGCAUUAACCCAACAAUCUGAAGAAUUUAGACCUUAAACCUGCCUUUGCAACAGGGAAAAGCUAAAAUCAUAUGCGGAAACAGAAUACUAACCUCUGCAAUAACAUUUCCAUCAAUGCCUACGAUUCUAAAUGCUGUUUUGCUAGCCAAUUUCUCUACCCAAUAUUUCUCAAAUCCUACAGUAACUUGACAGGCAAAACUUCCCAUACAAAUAAAUCUGCAAUAUUUCUUCACUUGAAACCAUGGCUUCUCCUUGUUGGCAUAAGAAUUCCAUCGAUAACCAUACCAACAUCCAAAACAAUGUAACCUCUGCAUGGAUAUCGAUAAAAAAAAAAAAAAAAACCCAUUUAUAAUUAAUAUGAUCACAAAAUUGCAUCAAACCAAUAGUAAUCACAAACAAUUACAAGAUUUAAUACCUUUCUUAGUAUUGUAACAAGAACUCUGCCUCGAAGAUCCAUGAGAUAGACCUUGUUCCUGCACUUCUUGUCAUAGUUGUCAACGCGAUAAACAAUGUCUCCAUCGGAAUCGAAGACUGUGCAACCAUUAGUUUGGCACAGAAGUGAUUUCAUCCAUAUAGUGUAUGUUUGUCUUUCAAAAGACACGAAAGGGUCUAACGUAGGUCUUUGACUCUGAGGAAAAACCUUUGCCAUUAAUGUCAGGAAAGAAACUUUGUUUUUGAAAAUGGAGAUGAAUGUACGCAGGGCUAAUUUAUGUUCCAACGAAGUUCGGAGUGCCAUGGUUCGAUUGAUUAUUAUUUAAUUGGAUUAUACCGUGUGAGACAGUUGUGAAGUCAACUAUAAUUAUGCUUUUGCCUUUGUAGAAAUUAAAAAUUAUUUGUUGAAGUGGUUACAUUUUCACCGAUGUAAUACAAGUGGAUGACAUAUCAGCAACUUAACCCUAAUUAACAUAAGACUCUGACAAGAAGACAUAAUUAAAGCACUUGCCAGUAAAGACGGUGUUUGAGAUAUAUGUAGAAAUUGUUUUUAAAAAAAAUAUAUUUUUUUAAUAUUAAUAUCAGUAUAUUAAAAUAAUUUAAAAUAUCAAAAAAAAAUAUUUUAAAAUUAAGAAAAAAACAGCUGGACUAUACUCACAUAAUCUUCUAAAGAUAACAUUCAAACUUUCGUUUCACCUGUUAUUAUUAUAUUAACGUGUUUGAAAGUACAGUAGUGUUUGAGAAUAUAGUAGUGAUUUUUUUUCAAAGUGUUUUUUACCUUAAAAUAUAUUAAAAUAAUAUUUUUUUAACAUUUGAACUUGCGCUUCACUUGUUAUUAAUAGGCGUGUUUGAGAGUAUGGUAGUAGUUGUUUUUUAAAGUAUUUUUUGCUUCAAAAUACAACAAAAUAAUUUUUAUUUAUUUUUAAAAAUUAUUUUUGAUAUCAGAAUAUCAAAAUGAUCUGAAAAUUAAAAAAAUUAAUUUUAAGUAAAAAAAAUUUAAUUAUUUUUAAAAAUAUUUUUCUUUUAAAAUGUAAAAACAAACAUCUGCAUUGCUAUCGGAUAAGAAAUUGUUUCAAGCGAAUAUGAAAAGUGUUUUACAUUAACAUUUUGAAAAACGUUGAAAUAAAUUUAUGAGAAAAAAGGUUAACAUCGAUCCGGAUGAAUUAUACUAUAUAAAUUAGCAUUGAUACAUUAAUUAAUGUUGUUAAAUUUUGAGGUAGGACGGUGCCUGUGCCCAACAUCACAUCACAUCACAUGGCGGCUUCCAUGUAGCAAAGAUGGAGUUAGUUAGGGUAAAAAUACUAAAAAAGGGGCUAAUACAGGAUGUUGAUGUUAGGGCGUAAAUGGAAUUUUAUGUCUUUUUACCGUAGAGUUGUGGACGUUGAAGAUUUAUUUAAAAAAGAGUCGGUUUCAUUUUCAAAAGAAUGUCUUUUAAUUUUAAAAACUAACGUUAAGUCAACUAUCAUAAUUGUUUUUAUAAUUAAAGAAACAAUUCUGACAAGGUUUUUACCUUAGAAUUUUUUUUAAAAAAAAACAACUCUUAACAUUCAGAAAUCUGGUUUAUGUUAACAAGUGUAUUGUAAGUUGAUUUUUCUUUUAUAAAUUAACCAAAAACAAUACUUAAAUUAAACUAAGUAGCAUGUGGAAAAUGGCACAUAGACAAUUGCAAAAAUCGAAUAACAGAAGGGGGGUUUGUGAUUGGUCAAAAUGCAUAACAUAAGAUUUUUGUUUAUUAUUCCCUUUUAAAAAAAAUCUCACUCGUCAGAAAUACAUCAAUAUAUUCCCGUAGGGUUUUAUUUUUCCACGUUAGAAAUAAGAAAACCAGAACUAUACAAGAACGUCGGCUAAAAACAAUCUCCAUAGGCCAUAGCAGCAGCCUGGGAGGUGGACCUUACUAAUUAUCUGUAUAAGUUAAGGUAAGUUGAGCAAGCAGUGCUCAAAAAGGAUGAAGGUUAAAUUAAUGAACCAAGCGAAACAUUGCAACAUUUUAUUUGUGGAUUUCGUUCAGUACCUUAUAAUUUACGAUGAAACAACUUACAGACCGAAUAUAUGAUUGGAUCAGAGUUUGAUUCUCGGGCGUGGAUCGGAGGACCAAAUCUUAAUUAUUAGGGCUAAGUAGGCGAGUAUUAUCUUCAUAAAUCUUACUGGAACCAACUAAAAAAGAAAAUAUUUUAUAAAAAUCUGCAUGCUUCCUGCUGGGUUUCACGAAAUAUAUAAUACUAAAGAAAGAAAAGAAGAAUAAGGAGAAAUUCAUGGAAAAGCAUUGAAAAACCCCUCAACUUGUAUGCAGACAAAAGUGAUGGUAGCUUACUUGAAUAUUCUAGCACUAACAUGAAUGUGCUGUGUCUAAUCAGGUUAAAGAUCAUUCUUUAUACAGAAAAACAAAAAACAAAAACUUGUCAUCGCAUGCUGGAGUGGUGAUUUCCCUAGCUUAGCUCCUACUAGACGUCUAAUCCUAUCCCUUUAGUACUGUUUUCAAAAUAAAAUAAUAAUCAUGGACCGAAAAAAGGCAAGGGUUAGAGUCAUAAUCGACUUUAUUAGCGCCAGCACUGAAGAAAAGGUCCACUCAAACUCUUAGUUAAUUAAAUCUUGAUAUUGUAUUAAUUUGCAGACAAAAAUUAAAAGUACAAAAAUAUUGACAUGAUGCAAUCAAAACUAAAGAUGUUGUCAUUGUCUCGAUUUUGUUACAUAAUUAAAUAGAUGAGCAGCUACCACCAUCUUCAUCUUCAGAGCAAUCCUUGCUAGCAGAAAUUGAGCUGCAUUUGCUAAGAGCAAAAGAUAAUAAAUGUACUAUAAAUUAAAAAUCUCAAUGAUACAACACGAACAAACAUUAUAAUUAUUGUUAAAUAUUCAACAUAUUUAAUUUUUAUUCAUUCGUUUUUUAUUUGUCAAAAAACUAUUGUAACCAUUUAUAUAUAUAUAUAUAUAUAUAAACUAAAAAAAUCUAAUAAUUUUGAACUAAUUUCCCACGAAAACAAGGAGCUAGCCUUCACAUGCUACUUUAUCUUACAAUAAUUCGAAGGAGCCCUUUUCCUUUGAAAUUAACAAGAGAAAACUAGAGAGAAUAAGCAGGCUGGUAUAUUAACAAGUACAUGAGACCAGACUUGCACACGUGUGAAUAAAACAUGUAAUAAAAAUAUAACAAUGGGAAUUUAUCCUUCACUAAUUAAUUAGUUGAAAACAUUUAUAAAAGCAGCGAAUAGAAAAGGUUCUAAUCAUGUUUUUUUGGAAUGAAAUUAAGUUCAGUUCAGAUAGUUGACUUUUUAAAAUAUAAGUUAAAUUUUCGGAAACUCAAUAAAAAAAUCUUAUCAAACACAAGGCAAGUACAAAAUCAUGGUUCACAAGCUAGCUUAUACAUAGAGUUAGGAGCAUCUGUAAUAUUGAGAUAAUAGUUAUUUUUUAGAAUAUUUUUUAUUUUUUAAAAUUUAUUUUUAAUAUUAAUAUAUUAAAAUAAUCUAAAAAUAAAAAAAAAUAACUUGAAGUAGAAAUUAAUUAAAAAAUAUCAAAUCCUUUUGAAAACUACUUUUAAAACAAAUUAUAUGGUUUUCUUAUUAAAAAUAAUAAUUAUGGACGGUGGAUAGUUAUCCGAGCCAACGGACUCGGUCUCCUAUAAAAUUGAUGGGUAUGUCCUAUCCAUCAUGAGUUCUUAUUAAAUUAAAAGUUAUUCAUAUGAUUACGUAACGAAUAUCUUAUUUCUUUCGGAAUGCAUUUAAUAAAUUUAUUAGAAGGAAGAGGAAGUAAUUAAAUUAUGCAUAGAUACAUGUAUAAGUUAUAAGCUCGGCUGACAACCUAAAUAUUAUAAUAAAUAAAAUAAAAGUUAUAUGUACAGUUAGCCUUUUGCAGUCAGAUGUCAAUUAUAAUUUUAUUUAUUUGGUUUUAUUUAGGGGGGAGCAAUAAAAUUAUUCUUUUUUAAGUACUUGCAAAGAUUUUCCUUUUUCUUUUAAUUUUCUAUGCGGCAUUGGUUGGUGUGAAAGGAUACAUCACAUUGUUAAUUUUCUUGAACACCAAUAAUAAUAUAGGGUCCUCAUUCCCCAACAUUAGUUAGGAUGCCCAUUCAAGAAUGGCUACGGCCUUGAACAGGAGGAGAGAGUUGAGAAAUGUAAAAUUUAUGAGCUUCUCAAGGGAAUUACAAGUAGGGAUGGAAAUUUUACCAGAAUCAUAUGGAGACCACUUUAGCUAAACAUAUUUCCUCCUCAAGAUGGUAUGCUAUUAAGAAUUUCAAAGGUAACCAUCUACGUGGUGGCUCAGUGGUAAAAGCUUGGGACCAAGAGGUUUGUUUCCUCUGUGGUCUCAGGUUCGAGUCAUGUGGUUGCUCAUAUGAUGGCCACUGGAGGCUUACAUGGUCGUUAACUUCAGGGCCCGUGGGAUUAGUCGAGGUGCGCGCAAGCUGGCCCGGACACCCAUGUUAAACUAAAAAAAAAUAAUUUCAAAGGCUUAAUUUUUUGUGGGUUUUAAUGAAUGAUUUCCAGUGUUGUAAUGAUUUCCGGCUUCGACAAGUUCGGUGGAUCCAUCAAAUUUAUUUUGUUUUAUUUAUGAAACUUGAUCGAGAGUUAUUUUAAUGUAUACAAGUGCUUUUUUUGAAGAAUAGCACAAAUAAAAAUUUAAAUAUAAAAAUAGCAUAGUUUAUAAAGUUGGGCAUAUGUUUUUUUUUAAUUUAUCAAAAAUCAUUUAAAAUUGUGUAAGUGGUACAUGCACAACCUUUAAAUUGGGAGGCUGUAAGCUUUUAUUUCUUCUUUAGCUAUCUUUUGUUAGGCUCUCAUGCUGACUUGUCGAGCCUUUGCUGUGAGCUUAGCCAUAAAGAUAAUGUUUGAUAAAAAUAGUACAUUGUUUGCCAUCAUAAUGACAUAUAUGCUUAAUAUAAAAGGAAAAUCAAGAAAUAACAAAUGGAAAAAUAGAACGUGACAUUGGCAUCCAUACACUGCUUUAUCUUAAUCCAAUUGCUUCAACUUAAUCCAAUACAUGAUCGAUCACAGACAGAGGUUCAAUUAAUUAUGAUUGUUCUUCAACAUAAAAUAUGAUCUGGAAGUGCUUGGAUGAGAAUAGGUAGAAAUGAGAAGAGAGAAAAUAAAAUCAUGACCGAUGUAUUUUCGUUUAGUCUCUUUUAUAUUUGUAUUUUUUUAAGUGAACUCGUGAAGUAAUUAAUUACUAGUUACUAUUUAAAUACUAUAAAAUUUCUCCAUAAUUGUACUACUAUAAUUUUCACGAAACUCUGAACAUCAUGUCCUGAUCCAAUACAUGAUCGAUCACAGACAGAGGUUCAAUUAAUUAUGAUUGUUGUUCAACAUAAAAUAUGAUCUGUACGUGCUUGGAUGAGAAUAGGUAAAAUCUUUAAAAAUUUAUCUUUAAUAUCAACACAUUAAAAACACGGUUCACCCACAAUUAGCUUUAAUAUAUUAAAAUGUGUUGGUUUAAACUCAUGCUCAAUUAGUGCAUCUUUAAUUCACAUCUUAUUGAUCAACUUUUUUAUUUCCUGGUUGUUUUUUGGAAAUGCAAAAAGAUUGAGAACUCGACAUAUUUUUAUUGAGAGCUUAAAAGUUGUAAAAGAACCACCUCAAUUUAAUAAUUUAAGUUGUUAGAUUAGAUUUUAAUAUAUGAUUUAUAUUAUUCUCUAACACACCUCCUCAAAUAAAAGUUUUUUGGGUUUGAAAUUUACACAGGUUCACACGACUUUAUACUUAAUUUUUAUCAAAUAAAUAAAAAUGGUGAGAUUCGAACUCGUGACCGCUUGGUCAUCCAGACUUUGAUACCAUAUCAAAAAAUCAUUUUAACCCAAAAACUUAAGCUCUUAGAUAAAAUUUUAGAAUACAAAUAUUAUUAUCUGACAUGACCAUUAUCAUAACCCAAUCAUUCCAGCUUUUUGGUCCAGGUUUCCUUUAUGGUUUUAGCCUUUUUAAACUCAAUAUUUGUAAACAUAGUGACCUUAACUUUUGUCUUUAGCUCAUUAAAUACGUAGUUUAAUAGAUGUGUGCCCUCCACUUAAAAGACCUUUUUAUAUGCAUAUUCUUCCUCCCUUUUUUCUGCAAACAACCAUUUUAGAAUCAUCUAAAAAGAAACCUUUUUGUUUGCGUGAAAACAAAAGAAUAUAAAAACAGCUUUGCCCAGUAAGAUAAACAGUUUGAAACAAAUUCCAUCAAUGGAUUCUUAGCAGCCCACAACACCACUAGUAGUCCUCUACUUCUGUCGUUUUGUUGCCAAAUUGGAAGCUCAGUGCAGCUUCAUGGAUGCGAUUCCAUCAUUGUUUUUUUUUGCUCCCUUUUACUGGUUUUUAGUUAUAAAAGCUUCUUCGUGUGCUCAUUGGCUGGGCGGCCAUUUCAUACACAACCAUGUCUAUCUAGUAUCUGUAAUGAUAAUGAGAAUGAAAGAUUUCUAUUCCAGCAACGACACGUCACAUCUUUUUAUUAUAUUUUCUCUUAUAUAACAUGUGGCAUUAUCUACAAGGCGAUUUUUUAAAUUUCUCUCAUAUGAUAUGUGAUAUUGUUUUAUAUUUAAAAAAUUAUUUCAUAUAUACAAGGAGAAUUAAAGUAUAAUCUCAUCCAUAUCUUAUCAGCAGGAUAAUCUUAUUAUAAUUUUAUCAUUAUCUUUAUUUGUGAAUUUAAAAAUAAUUCUAGCAGUUUGGUUCAAGGCCCAAACAGCUGCACUAGCCUAGCCCAUCUAGACUUUUCCUUCUCCUCCCACCUUUUACACUUCACGGGCUGUCCAAUAUGCACACGUGGAAUAUUUUUAAAUUAUUGGUGGAUUUAGCCUCUCAAACACUGGAUGGAUUAAUAAUCAAAGCUGUAGCCAGAGUGUCCAAGCUAUUUCCGAUGGAUCCAUAAAGAUUUAAGAGCAAGGAAUGCCACAGGAAUGAGCAGGGACAUGGUGGAGAGAGCCAAAACAAGAGCACAUUUCCGUCUAAUAUAAUUGUCAAGGGGAAAGCAUACACUGAGAAGUACGAAAAGUCUAUACAAACAAGAAACGUAUUCACUAUAGGGGCAUCUUGCAACAUCUGCGGUGGUAAAUUACCAGACUUGGAGCUGAUUUUUGGCUGUGAUAAUGAUCGGCCAGUCAUCCGAUCAGGUGAUUAUUGAGGACCAAACAAGACAGGCCCGCUACUGUUGUUCCAGACAAGUGGAUCAAGGAUACUGGGUUCCCUGAUUGGUUCUUCUAGGGAUGGUAUAGUUCCUAAAUUCUUCUUCUUGUACAUUCAGUCUGAUUUUUAUGCUUGGUAUAAAAAUGGUAAGUUCUAUACUAGGAAUAUUGUAUAGGUGACGAAAGUUCUUACAAGAAUUUAGACCAGUUAAUAGGAAUGGUCAACCAAGAAAUUUCUCAGAUGAAUUAAGUGUUUGAGCCUGCUUGAUGAAGAUAUGGGGGAAGAUUAGCUAGGCUUACGCAGUGUAAUUUGAACUUCAUGUCGGGUUUGUGAAUAGUGAGGAAUUGAUGAUAACCAUUUAUUAUUAUUGGGUCCUCUAUAGCAUAGCAAAUAAUGGCAUGAUUUUAUAUAUAUAUAUAUAUUAAUGGAAUGAUGAUUUGGCAACAAAAUAUGAAUAAAAGUGACAGCGAACUUUUUAUUUGUUAUUUAGUAGUGAAAUUUUGAUGAUAAAUAUGAAUAAAGAUGUAGUUUAUAAAAGAUUUUUUUUUUUUUAAAUAAUAAAAAAAAAACAUGUAGAUUUUUAUUUAUUCAGUGUUUUUUUAAAUUACUCAAAUCACGGGAUAGAAUCAUUUAUAGUGAAAUUGAAUCCAUUAUAAACAAUGAAUCAAAAUAUUAGAACAUAAGUGAAUCUUCAAAAAAAAAAAGAUAAAAACUAAUUAAACUAUAGACAAAUACAACUUGUUAAAAAUUCAAACAACAAGUAUAAAUUAUUUUAAAAUAUAUUUAUUUGUGUCAAGAAUAAUUUUCAUUCAAAUAUUAAUAGUCAUUGUAGCUAUUAAUAAACUUCAAUUACAUCAAAUAAAUAUAAAAACAACUUUCUUAAAUAGUGACCAUAAUGAUAAGGUUUACAUAUAACAACUUGAUGGGUUGUUAUUAAUUGACUAGAAAAUAAAAUUUAUAAACUUGUUUAUUAUAUGGUUUGAAAUAAGCAUCUAAAUAAUAUCAUGAAAAUUUUUUAAAAUUAUGUUAUCAAAUAAAUUUAAAAUUAAUAAAUAUAUUUAUGCUCAAAGCACAUAUUAAGUUGUAUUAUUGAAUUUCUCUAUGUGAACCACAUGUUAAUUUUAGGCAGCAAGUAAUUAUCAUCGGUCUUUAUUUAAGUUGACACUCAUUUCAUCAUGUACAUAACAAUUUCCUUCACAAACUGCGACAGCUAUAAUUAUAGUUUUAUAUUGGACUAUAAUGAUACAUGUUGGAUUUGACAGGCACAAGCAAUUGGAAAAAUAGCAAGUGCUUUCAUUCAAGAAGAGCUAAAAACGGGCUCCGCAUAUGAAUACAUGUUUCUUCUCCCGAACGAGUAUGCUAAGCUUCUGAAAUUUAAGCCACAAGUGCCCGACGGAGCUGCUGGGAUGUGCUCAGAAAUUCUUGCCUGUUCCGCAGAGCAUGGGUUGGAGAGGAAAUUCAUGAUAGAAUCAUUUGUAAAGAAGAGUCCUCCUACUACAUGUCCAGCCACCAUGCCACCUCCUUUCAAACCUGGUGUUGAUUUUGUUCAUCAUUACAAGAAACCAGAGGUAUAAAUGGACAAUAAACAAAACUCACUGAAGGCCUCUUGAAUACUGGACGGGGUGAUCUUGGGUCUACUGAACCUAUAAGGUUGGCAAACAUGGGCUGUAGGUCUAUAAAUCAAGAUGAAUUCACACCACUUGCUCUUUAGGCUUUUUUUUGGACCCUCUUUAAGAUUGUCACCAAGAGCAUUAAAUUAGCCAACAGCUGUAGGAUUUGGGACCAGUAAAGGCAACGUCGGUGGCUGAUCAAUUCACUGUCAACGAAUUCAUGAGCUUUGUUACUGCAUACGCUGACAUAUAGCUCUCAGAUGUGAAGAUAGCGACUACUUUGUGCUUUAUAGGUAUAUAAUUGAGGCCAAUUUAUUGACAAGGAACUGAAAAUCUUCUGCGAAGACAAGCUAAAUAUUGUUGUUCUAAUAUGAACUUCACAUGCAGGAGAUCAUAGCAGUCACAGAAAAGUCUGAAAUAUGUUGAAACGCACCCAUUCCACGGACCACCCUGGUAUGAACACUGAUGAGUAAUGAGGUUAUUUGAUCCAAAAAGUAGGGGAACUCAUAACCUGUCUGCAUUACAAUUCAUGGCUAUGAUUUUGUUGGUGAUUUAGCAGCAAAAGCCUGGCCCAGCUAACACACUCCAGGCAGAUUGGCCUGCCCAUACCAAAGCUUGCCACAAAUUGGUGUAUUUUCGUAACAGUACAAGCAUUGAUUUCCUCCUACUAUUAUAUUAGAAUCUUUUAUAUAUAUAAAAUAAGCUGCCAUACAAUGGACGAAAGCACAUAGAAUCCGGCAGCUCUCCUCUCCAAGAGAACAGGCCAACAGGGUGACUUCAAAUUACAAGGUCCAGUAGUGAAAAGGGGGUCUUGUUCGUAAUUUUAUGUAGUUGAUCCUAAAAUGCCAAAAAUAUUGGAGGUUUGUCCUUUUUUCUGCUGCAGAGUGCAGAGCGCAUAGCUCCUGAAAUUGGCAAAUAUAAUUAGGUCAUGCCUCCUGAGUUCUUGACUUCGCGGAUUAUUAGAAAUGAGAGUAUUAAUUUAAUGAGACUCUAGUUCCGCUAGUUCCACUGCUCCUUCUUUAGACAGGUCGCAGAUUCUUUUUUUUUUCAAAGAAAAAUCAACACGCUACCAAGUACCAAACAUCAUUAUUGCGUUGACAAAUACUCAAAAAAUAUAGCAAUGUUUAGUUUUUAAAGCGUUUUUUAUUAAAAAAAUAUUUUAAAAUGAUAUUUUUUUAUUUUUAAUAUUAGUAUAUUAAAACAGUUAAAAAUAACCCUACAAGAGGGAUGAUUUUUUUUUUUUUGGGAUUGAUGGGGGUGAUGUUGAUAUCAAACGACCUGGUGAAGUUUUCGGGAGCCAGUGUUAGGUUUAAAUUUCUUUAAGGGAAAGUUUGGUAUGGGUAGCAGAAGCAGCAAACCCAUGGAGGGAAAUCAUUGGCUUUUACAGCAGUGGCAGCCAUGGAGAUUAAUAUUAUUAGAUUGUUUCUUUUUCAAAAUUCGAUUGUAGUGACAUAUUAUAGAUAUAGACCAUACCAAACUUUGAAAAAUCUUGUUUUUCAAUCUACUUCGAUUAUCACGAGUGGGACAGCUUACCUAAUCCCACUAUAAAGCAAGCUAUAAACAUGCUUAAUAAAAAUUAAAUACAAGAAUGCCCACACACUCUAUAGCGCGUAGAUACAACUUCACUGAUAUGACAUGUCAGGUUCCAUGCAGAACUCCUCUGCAACAAUGUCGUGAAUUUUAAUAUUCGAUUCUAGGUUCAUUUAUUCCGAGCGGAAAUUAAAAUGCGGCAUAGGUUUUUUAAAAAAAAACAUUGUUAUUUAAAAAUAUAUUAAAAUAAUAUUUUUUUUAAUCUCAAAAUAUAAUAAUUUUAAACAAAUAAAAAAUUUAAAUUUUUUAAAAACAUUAUUUAACCACGUUACCAAAUAUCAUCUUCAUGUUCUUGCACGCGGAGUAUUUUUGAGCUUUGUCAUGUCUAUUUAUAUUUAUAUGUGCUUGUACGUGUGAUGUCGAAGCAAGGGGGGGAAUAGUGGAGGUGGGAAGAAACUAAUGUAAUGCGAAAACACAAUGGGACCAACCCUAAUAUAAAAGAAGAGAUCUCUCGUCAUCUUUCUUCCCUUCUUUUUUCUUUUUUUUUCUCUCUUUUAAUACAAGUAGUUGCUUUAGUAAAAAAGACAUGAGGGGGUCCUUAUCAAGGAAAAGCACAUGGGCAGUGUUCAUGACUUCUUCUUCAUAGCAAGGGAUCCCCCCUCAGUCUCAGCAUUGACUCCAUGGAUGCAGCCUUUUCAAGAAACCACCACCAACCCAUCUCGACUGGGUACAACCCACCCACGCAUGACCCGUAAGAAGUCUGAAGUCGUGGGCAUGGGGAGUUGGGCCAUGUAGAUGAGAUUUCUAUGUGUCAAAAUCUCACUGGUGGGUACAGACCCCGAAGGGUCCCACUGAGCAUUUAUUCCUGACACCUGCUCAAGUUCAAAUGGGGCUGAGCUCAUCUGAUCAUAGUCUUAAUUGAGAAUCAUAAGGCUCCUUUGCCUUGCCUCCUCAUCCCUUUAAAAAUUCUCGAGAUUUUAUUACUAUGUUUCUUGUUUGGAAGCACCGUCAGUGAGGACCUUUGGACUUUGGAGAGUGUUUACCAGAAUGGUUCCGAUUAUGUUUUAAAGUAUUUUUUUUAUUUUAAGAAGUAUUAAAAUAUAUUUUUAAUAUUAGCAUGUUAAUACACUAAAAAAUUUAAUCUAAAACUAAAAAAAUAAAUUUUAAUAAAAACACAGAUUAAAACUUAUUCUGAAUCUAUUGCUUCAUGUUUAAACAAUGUCCAUGCCUUCUGUCACCGGUCAGAUGCACGCAGGGGAAAAUUAAAAAAAAAAAAAAGAGGAAGGGAAAGACUCAUGCUCGUGCCAAAACAGAAAGGUCAGCCAGAAAAUAUUCGUAUAUUAAAUUAAAAUAUAUUAUAAUGUGUUGUUUAAUAACUUGCCGGCCCUUUCAAUAUAUGGUGUGCACUUUGCUAAUUGUUGUUUUCGUUCACAACCAUGAAGGCAGUUCAGUUCAGUUCAUAUAGAGUAAUAUAAUUUUAGGAAGACUUGUCCACACACAGGUGAACUCUUGCGGGUGUUGGUCCUUCCUUGCUUGAUGCCAAAUCAGAAAAAGGAAGCGGUGGUUGUUACCCCUGAAUGGUUUGAGGAGGGUGUUUUGGGGUUUUUAAUGGGCACAUAUUUUUCACCCCUUUUUUUCCAUCUCUUUCUUUCUUUUACACAGGAGAGAAAAUGAGUACAAAACAGAGGGUAGAUGGAGAAGAAAAGACUAUGGGGCGAAUCAGGGAAGAAAAGACUAUGGGGAAAGAGUGAGGAUGUUCAAAACAAAACUAACGGAUGCAAGGGAGAUUAAUGAGGUAAUAAGUAGAAGAAAAAAGAUCCACAGAAGAGAAGAGCAAGUUGGAGAGGGGGGAAAUGAUAGGCACAAAAUAGACAAUUGAAAGAGAAAAAAAAGAAAAAAAAAUGGAGAUUCAAAUCUGUCAAUUUUAACAUUUCACUACUGUUUUGAUCAUAACUAGAUCUACAGAAAAAAAUUUCAUGCAAUUCUAGUUUCAUUAGAAAAUCAGCAUCUAUAUAUUUCCAUUGAUAUAUUGUAAUCCUUUUAAUUCAUUAAUACAAGAGAGAACCAUGCAUUUGAAGUUGAGUUUUAAUUCUGCUAGCAAAUUAUAAAAAUGAUAUUAGUUUUAUUUAAAUUAGUUGAACAAUUAUUUUAAUUAUUAUUAGACCUUUUAGAGAUAUUAGGGCUUUUAUUUAAAUUUGGGUGCAUUGAUUUAAUAUUAUUUAUUAGAUUUAUUCAUAUUCGUUAGGGGUAUCAUAUUAGGCUUAUGAUUCUUUCUAGUAUAAAUACUCUUUUGUAUAAACUUUUUGUAAAAAAAGUUAUUUUUAAUAAAGAGAUUGAUAUUCUUGUUAUCUUUUAUGUGAUUGAGUGAUUCUCAUACUAAGUUCUUGAUUGAACUUACAAAUUCUUUGAAGGAUUGAUCAACUUCGCUGUGAUUUUAUACUACUUACUUACGUUUCUUUAUAGGCAUAGGGUGGAAGUGAUCAUUGCAUAUAAUUUUGGUUCUUUAAGGCAGGUUCUUAUUGGGUCAAGUUGCAAACCAUUCAAAUCUAAUUUUAAUGUAUUUUGAGAGGUGUCCAGAUCAAAAAAAGUUCAUGCAAAACCCACUUCUUAUAAAGAGCGACAUAAAUAUAAGAAACCUUAAUUAAAAAAAAAUCACCAUGACAAUGGGCAUGACAUUGAGUAUUUUUAUUCUUUAAAAAAAUAAAAUAAGAAGACUUAUCGUAAAAUGUUACCUCUAAUAAUAUGUAAGAAGAAAAAUGUAACCUAAACAAAAAGAAAAAGAAAUUGCCACAUCCUGCAUUCAUGAGGUAAUUUAAUGUGAUUGAGAUGUAUAAAUAUCUCAUAUUACCAUGUAAUAAAAAAAAAUAUUCAAUAAUUAAAAAUUAUAGAUUCAAGUCUUUUGAUAGAUAUAUAUAAAUAUAGAAAAUUAUAAUGGUUAUGGACUGCCUUGUAACUUUUUAUUUUUUUAGUUUAAUGUUGGUGUACGGUCUAACUUGCACUUACCUCGACUAACUUAGCAAGCCCAACGGUGGAUAUGAGCUGAAAUAACAUUUCGCAUCUGUACCAACUACCUGUUAUUUAGCACCACGAAAUCGUAACAGUUUCAUGAGAAGAUAUGAGGUUAAUAUUGUCAUCAUAUCAUAUUGGAGUAGCUUAAGUGGGUGAUACUAACCUGUUUGGCAACUUGGUGUGCCGUGUUUUUGAAAAAAAAAAAUUAAUUAAUUAUUUUUAUGUUUUUAAGUUAUUUUCAUAUUUUAAUAUUAAAAAUAAAAUUUUAAAACUAAAAAAAUUUUAUUUAAAUAUAUUUUUAAAUGAAAAUUAUUUUAAAAGCAAUCAACAAAUACCAAACAGUCUUAAAUGAAAUGAGAAUGCGGCACAUGAUUACUGGCGCGAACACUGGAUAUGGGACCUCCUGCUUCUAAUUAUGGAUUUUUUAACACAAAAAAAGAGCCCACUUUGGCCUAUUUGAGUUUGUGUUCUUCACAUUUCUCUUUUUUCCCAGAACCUAAAGUAAGAGAGCACCUUUUUUUUUUUUCAAAAUUCAUAUCAUUUUUUUUUGGAUAUUGCCAAAAAAAAAACAAAGAAGUCAAAUGAUCAAGGGCAAGUAAUUUAAUAUCAGAAAAUAAAAUUUAAAAAAACCAAUUUAAAAAAAACCUAAAAAAAUACUAAAAUUAAAUCGGGCUAAUAUUCAAAACUUGUAGCCUGGAUCAUGAGACCAUAAUUAUUACAUAAAAGAAAAACAUGAAAAAUUCAUGAAGCAAGAUUCCUAGUAAUCCAAAAAUAAAUAGUAAUAAAAAGAAUGAGGAUCAAAUUUAAUAUAAAACUAAAUGAAAUAUAAGGGACAAAAUUUAAAAAUAAUAAUCAAAAUAACGAGAAUCAAAUUAGAUACUCAAAUUAAAUAAAAACAAAAUUAAAAAAAUAAACUUUAAAAACCACUCAAAUAAUAGUAAUAAAAAAAUUAAGGACCAAGUUGAUACAAAUACAAACUAACAAAGCACAUUUAAAUUUUGGAAGGGCAAACGUGAGACCUGAGACAAGGAAAGAGAAAAGAGGGAGAAAAAAAAGUUUAUCGGAGCUCAAUCACUGUGUUGUCGACACAUGUCUAACCACCGAAAAAAAGAUGUCCAGACGCUUCCAACAUCGUUGUGGAAGGUGGUGUUUGGCCGAUGAGAGAAGCUUCACACACUGCUCAAAGAGCACAAGAGUCUUCCACUUGUUGAGCACAAGAGUCUUCCACUUGUUGAUGCAUGCAUUGCACACGCCAAUUACUUUUGUUUUUUGAAUGAUAUUUUAUAUUUAUUAAAAUACAAAAUUGCUCCCUGAUCAACUUGAUUACAACUAAAAAAUAAUGAUGAAAAUCCAAAAAUGUUUUUAGAUGCUAGUUUAUUUAUUUUUUACUUUUAAAUAUAAUUUAAUCAUUUUAUUAUGUUUUAAAGAGUGAAAAUCUAUAAAAACUCUUAGCUUUCAGUUAAAUAAAUUUCGUUUUUAAGUGUGAUGUAAUUAUUUUACAGCAUUUUAAAAAAUAUAAAAAGAUCAAGCUAACCCUAACCAAUAUGAUAAUAACCAAUGAAUCUUAAAAAAACAGUAUUACCUCUAAAAGUCAGUCUAAUAGUUUGUUUAAUAAGGAAAAAAUCACUAUUAAAUUAUUACAGUCCACAAUAUUUUUAGUGUGCCUCUACAGUGAAAUUUCAUUGAGCUCCAUUAGUUUUUUUUUUGUUAAUAAUAAUGUUGCAUACACGAAAACGUUGAUAAAAUGAAAUAUGUAAAGUAUUUUUCAUGAAAGAAGGUUUAAUAUUUAAUUCCUAAAUCAUUCAAUAUUUUCAAAAGAAUGUUGUUCCUCGCACCUGUGAAUAAGAUUCAUACAUAAUUAUUAUGGUAGGUCGGUCUUUCUUUUCUGCAUGGAGGAUAAUGUUUUUAACCUUUAUUAGUAGACUACGUACUGCUUUUCUAAUAAUAUCUCCUUUUUUUUCAUCGUGUUGAUUGGUUUGACUAUCAUGUUAUGUCUUUAUCAUUAUUUGUUUAAAUUGUGACGGUGGGUUUUUAUAACCAUGUUUCACUUUUAAGCAUGGUUUUUAAACCCGGUCCAGUGACCGGCUCGGUCCAAGACCUGGAUUUCAGGUUUUGACUGGGUCACCGGGUCGGCCGGGUUAAUUUUUAUUUUUUAAAAAAAUCAAAAUGGCGUUGUUUUAGUAAAAAAAACAAAAAUCAAUGAAUUACAACCAGGUUUUGCUGGGUCAACCCGUCAGGUCGGCCGAGUCACAUCAGAUCAUGACUUUUUUUAUUUUUUUAUUAACCCGGCCUAAUUUCUGCAUCGGAUUGACCGAGUCCUAGAUCGACCACCCGGAUAGGACCAGCUUUCAAAAAUAUACUUUUAAGAUUUCAUUUAAGAUAUUUUUUUAUUAUAUAAAUUAUUUUCAAAUCUAAAGCCUUUAAAAACCAAUUUUCUCUCGGAAAAGAAAAAAAGGUUAGGAGGCAAAUGAAUACGCGAUGAUUUUUUAAAUAACUUUAAUUAAGUAGCUUUCUUUACAGCCUAGCAAGAACAUCUCCCACUAUUUAGAGAGGUCAAAUUAAUAAUGUUAUUUUUUAAAUAAUAUAAAUAUAUUUUUUAUUUAUGUCAAUAGAAAAAAAUCGUUUAGAAAAGUUAAUUAUAUUUUAAUAUAUUUGAUAUUAAUAAAAUUAUUUAUUAAUUAUAAUUAAUUAAUAUAGCUCCAAUUAAAUUUUUUUGUAUAAAAAUGUAUAAAAUAAAUUUUUAUAAUUUUUAACUAAUAUAUAAAAAUAACUUUUUUUAAAAAAUACUAUUAUGACUUUCCAAUAUAUCUGUUUUUUUAAACUGAAAAAACAAAAGAUAAAAGGCCAUUUGGCUCUUCCCCUUAAGAUAUGCCCUGAAGUAGUUACAGUCUUAAGUACUAACAAAACUUCUCUUGGAAUCAAAGUUUCUCUCUCCCAUCUUUGCUUUGCUUUUGCGUGUACAGUUGAAGUGAUUUUGCUUUCCUAGGUUGUUGCCAAAUCUUGAAUUUAUGCUUAAACUUAGUAAGUACUAGAGUUAGAGGAGUAGGGAUAGUUUUCUUGUUUUCAAGAUAAACGAAGCUUUCACUUCAUCACUACCACAUUGCAAUCAAAGACUUGAACUCUCUUGUGGUUUCUUUAUAAAAACCCACUUCGCCAAUCAACCUGGUUCCUUUUCCCUUCUAUUGCUCUCUCUUUGGUUAUUGGGUUCAUGUUUUGGAUCUUUUUAGUUUUCUUGAAACAAAGAGAGAGGAGUAGAGAUUUCUUGCAGGGUAAAAAUGAGAUCCUAUGCUUCGCUUCAGCUUCUUUCUGUUUUUUCUCUUCUUCUUUUUGUGACUUGUGACCCCUUUGCCAGAGAUGAAGGUAUGCAUUAUCACUCAAGUUCUCAGAUCUUGAUUCUUUUUUUUAUAUAUAAAUGCUUUGUUUUGCUGAUAAAAAGUUGGAAAAGACGAUAAACUUGAAUUCUCAUGAUCUGAAAGUGAGCUAACUAGUGUCACUAGGCUGAAUUGAGCUGUGUUAGUUAUGGUGUAAUCAAUGUGAAAACUUCAAGAUUCGAACUUGGGUUCUUCCUGCAUUUACUAUGUGACCUAAUACCGUUAGUGGCAUUGGAAGUCAUGUGAUCUGAAAGUAAUGCACGGUACUGAAAUUUACUGACCUGAGAAAGUGCUGGACUUUGGUAAUUAUAGAGUCUAGUACUCUUCACUAAAUGGAAUUUAUGAACUUCUGAACAGUUUGGGCACUUACAGCAUUCAAGGAAGCUAUAUAUGAAGACCCGCAUAUGGUUUUGUCCAGUUGGAAUGCCUUAGAUGCAGAUCCUUGUGGUUGGUCAGGCAUUUCCUGCUCUUUUGCUGGAGACCAUGUUGUAAAGAUGUAAGAUAUGACCCGUCAAUUUUUUCUUUGUCAAACUUCAGGAUUAGAUACGUUAUAGUCUUUCUAAAGUUAGAUCCUGAUGCAUAGUAUAUGUGUAGGUGCAUUUUAUCAGUGAAUCAAGUUUGACCAUUUAUCUGUUGGAAUUCUGUUUUUGCAGAAACAUAACUGGGUACUCUUUAAGGGGAUUUCUUGCCCCGGAAUUGGGUCAGAUCAAAUUUUUGCAACAACUGUAUGUUUCUUUGCUCUUCCUCUUCCCUUUCUUUUCGCUAUACUGAUACGUAUGCUUUGUAUUUAAAGCUUUUUUCUUUUUCGGUGUUUUUGAUGUUUUGUAGAAUCUUGCACGGUAAUAAUCUGAUUGGGAUUAUACCAAAAGAACUGGGAAUGUUGAAAUACCUCCAGGUCUUGGAUUUGGGAGCAAAUCAAUUAACGGGCCCUAUUCCUCCAGAGAUUGCAAAUCUAAUCAGUGUCAUUAAAAUGUAAAAGAAUUUCUUAUUGUGGUUAGCAAUUGGACUUAUAUGGUUGGCGUUAUUUGAGUUUUUUCUUACUUUCUCAUUUUAUGUUGUGGUAGAAACCUUCAGUCCAAUGGAUUAACAGGAAGCUUGCCUCCUGAACUUGGCAAUUUGAAGUCCCUUCAAGAACUACGGCUUGAUAGGAAUAGAUUUCAAGGAUCUGUUCCUGCUAGUAGCAGCUCAGAUUUCACUUCUAGUGCGUAUGGAAUGUAAGUAUAAUUCUGAAAGCACAUAACUCUUUGUUUAUGAUGCAAAUUAGAGGGAAGAAAGAAAUUCUAUUAAGCAACAAUACCAUUCUUAUUUAAAUAUGUUGUACAAGAAUGUGAUUGUAUGAGUGAAAAACAGUUUCGCCAGAAAUCUGAAGCCUUAGAAUGAGAUAUAAGAUCAUUUUUAAUCAGUUGAACCUUGUGUUUUUUAUUCUUUAAAUUUGUUACUUAUAAUUCACUCCUGCUUCAGGUAUGCCUCAAACACAAACUUAACUGGCCUGUGUCAAGCAUCUGAAUUAAAAGUGGCUGAUUUCUCCUACAACUUCUUUACUGGGAGCAUUCCUAAGUGCUUGGGGUAUCUUCCGAGGUACAUAAGCUUACUCUAAGCUUUUUCCUACUAGGAUGUGAAUGCUACAUAAGCUUACUAUGUUAAAACGUAUGUCAUUCAGCACAAGCUUCCAAGGGAACUGCCUUCAGAACAAAGAUCUGAGACAGCGUUCCUCUUCUCUUUGUGGUACGUAUGAAAUGGUUUUCUUUCAGCCUUCAGGCUCCCAUUGCUGUAUUUGUGAACUACACUACUGUGUGUCAAUAUGUCUAUGGACAUUAAUGUUUGAAAUGAAGAGCAAUCCCCCUGGUAUGCACAGUAUGAGCAUGAGGUUGUCUGUUUCUAUGUGAAUUGGUAGUGAUAUAUCAUCAUAAAUGCCUUGUCAUGCUAAAAGCUUGAUUUUUGUUCCUCAACAUAAGAAUUGGAUAGAGAUUUCUUUCUCUUUUAGUCUGUGCUCCAAAAUGAGUGUGGUGUGUGACAUUCAAAUCUUUAGGUUUUUUAAACAGUGUUGCCCUACUCUCAAAGGCCCCAACUUUCACAUGAUUCUAUUUUUUUGUUUUUUGGAAUUGAGGGGAGAUGUUGAAGACCUAACCCAAAUGCAUGGGCUCUUAUACUCUCCUAGUCUCCUUUGUCCUUAGUACUUCUGGCAUUGCUUACAUAAAGCUCAAAUUGGGAUGGAGAGGGUGUUGCUUUUGUCUGUAUAAUAACCUAUUGUCCAACUGAACCUUGUAAUAACAGGUGUGUCUGGUGGCCAGUAAUAAAUUACGGUGAUUAUACUGACUGAUUAAUUCCUUUUAUAGAUCAUGCUCCUCCUGCCAGAACCCCUCAAACAACAAACCCCAAGCAACAGCCUGCUGAAGAUUUAUCCAACCAGCAUCCUAGGGCAUCAAAACCUGCCUGGCUUUUGGCUCUGGAAAUAGUGACAGGAACCAUGGUGGGCUGUCUCUUUCUUAUCGCCUUUAUAACUGCUCUUCAGAGAUGCAAGGACAAAUCUUCUCUCAUAAUCCCUUGGAAGAAAUCAUCGAGUCAGAAGGACCAUGUGACAGUAUACAUAGGUUUGCUUCCAUAUUACCGAACCAUUACCUAUGCUUCAGUGUUAUUUAAAAGUGUUUUUAAAAGUAAUUUGUGUUGUCUUAUUGUGCGUAUAUUUCACACAGAUUCUGAGAUGUUAAAAGAUGUAGUGAGAUUCAGUAGGAUGGAGCUUGAAGUAGCCUGUGAAGACUUCAGUAACAUUAUUGGCUCUUCUCCAGACAGUUUGGUUUACAAGGGCACUGUGAAAGGUGGCCCUGAGAUUGCUGUCAUAUCCCUCUGCAUCAAAGAAGAACACUGGACAGGCUAUCUUGAACUCUAUUUUCAGAGAGAGGUGAAGACUUGUUCCUUGUCACUGCAAUUUUUUUUGUAUAAAGCUUUUAUAAAGAAAAGACACUGAACAACUACAGAUGUAAAAGCUGAGAAAUUUGGGAUAGCCUUUUUUGAGAUGCUUUUUUAUUAAUUUUUUAUCCAAUUCAGGUGGCAGAUUUGGCAAGAUUAAAUAAUGAGAAUGCAGGAAAGUUGCUGGGCUAUUGUAGUGAGAGCACUCCAUUUACGAGGAUGUUAGUUUUUGAAUAUGCAUCAAAUGGAACCCUGUAUGAGCACCUUCACUGUAAGUCGAGUUUCUUGCUUGGGACAAUCAACAUUCGUAAAAUGUGAUAUACUUGCUUAAAGUUGAUCAAACAACCUGCACGGAUGCAGAUGGAGAAGGAUGCCAGUUAACUUGGACACGGCGCAUGAAAAUCAUUAUAGGCAUUGCUCGUGGACUGAAGUACUUUCAUGCUGAACUUGAUCCACCUUUUACUAUAUCAGAGUUAAAUUCCAGUUCUGUGUAUCUCACAGAGGACUUUUCCCCUAAGGUACUCAGUGAUGCCUAGCUCUAUUUUAUAAACAAGGUUAAACUCAACCCAUUCUACACAAGGAUGAAAAAUUGUGUUCCUAAGUCUGUUGGCACUUACCUUUUGAUAUCAUAGAAAAAAUGGGAAUUGUUUGCGAGGUUGAAUUCCCCUCAGAUAAGUUAAAUUUUUUUAGCUAUGGUCACUGUUCGCUUAUGUAACCCAAAUGAAUCAUAUCAAACAUUCUAUCAUUAUACUCUUAUCCGAGAACUGGAAAACUUAUGAGCUUUGGUAGCUUGGAAAUCAAUGACCUUGGCCACACUUCAUUUCUAGGGUACAUUCAUUGGUUUAAGCAUGUAAAAUCUUUCAAUAUGUCUGAAACUGUCUUCUGUAACCAGAAAUCUAGUACAUGUCAUUCCUUACCCCUAUAAAUUGUGUUCCUCUGAAAUUUCUAUUUGGUUGUCCCUCAGUUGGUUGAUUUUGAAAGUUGGAAGAGUAUUCUUGCAAGAUCAGAGAAGAACUCAGGCUCCAUAGGCGGCCAAGGUGCUAUUUGUGUGCUUCCAAAUUCUCUGGAGGGACGCCAUCUCGAUGUCCAAGGGAACAUUUAUGCUUUUGGUGUUCUAUUAUUGGAAAUAAUCAGCGGAAGACCUCCACACUGCAAGGACAAGGGGCGCUUAGUAGAUUGGGUAAGAAAUCUUUUGUAGUUAAACAUUCACAGAUUUCCAUUAUAGGUAACCUCAAAGAAACAGGUGUCUGGAAAAAUUAUUGCCCAUAUAACUCAAGUGGCGAAAGGCUUAAAAACUUCUCUAUUCUAUAGGCUAAGGACUUCCUCGAACUACCGGAAGCAAUGGCAUAUGUGGUGGAUCCCGAGUUGAAGCAUUUCAGAUUCGAGGACCUCAAUGUUAUAUGUGAAGUUGUAAACCUUUGCAUCCAUCCAGACCCCGCUAAGCAGCCUUCCAUGCAGGAGUUGAGUACCAUUCUAGAGAGCAGAAUUGAUACAACUAUACCGGCCGACUUCAAGGCAUCUUCUUUGGCAUGGGCAGAGCUUGCACUGUCAUCAUAAUUGAUUUGAAGCCUGACGCUAACACACUGUAAAUCAGAUUAAUACAAUUGUAAUAGUCCUUUCUUUUCUUUUACUUUUUUUUUCACACUUCAGUUGUCUGAAGUCCUUGUAAAUGUGUUAAAUUGUGUGUGCGCUAAAAGAAACAAAUAGCUUCUUUAUGACAAUAGCGUUAUUGUAUACCAUUGGAUGAGUAAAGUUACGACAAUAGUAAACUUUUUACUUUAAACCGAGUCGGCAAUUUCUGUUCUCUGGUUAUGAUUUUCUCUCUUUUCAUAAAACAGGUCAAAUUAAUGGAAGCUCGCUGUUUCAAAUUUCAAUACGCUAAUUCUAGCAAUCACAUUUAUUUGCUUUAAAAUGCAUGUACUUUUAUAGAACAAGGUAACAAACAUAAACUUGGAAUAAAAUUUAAAACACAAACCUCGUAUGCAUUCAAACAAGCCGAUUUCUCUUUUAAUGUUGCCAUGUUACAACUUACAUCUUCUCCCCUGUAUUUACUUGGCAUUCCAUGCUGUCCAAGGAGCAGCCUUAAUUUUAUCGCCAUAGUGCAAAAUUAACGUUGUAGCUGGGUUGAGUCUACAAAUGCCAUGAAAUUUUGCAAUAGCAUCGUCCAACUUGUUUAGAUUGAAACACAAGCUAAGCUAAUAAAAAAAUAAUGAGCAAAGUUUUCAAGCAAAGAUGGUAACAAGAAGAAGUAUGAUGACACCACCCGUCAUUCUCAAUCAAGGAUGGUAAUUCUAUAUGAUUAUUCUGUUGUUCGUUCAACAUAACCUCUCUAAUUGGAUCGGUUACUAUCCAAUUUGACCAGAGUAAAUGAUGGCUCGAUGAGAGUUAUGUAUUAGAUCCAAUUUUUCUUUUCGGUGAAUGCAUCUAAUUUAUUCUGAACUUCUUCAACACCUUCUCAACAUAUUUCUUUUAACAAAUAAAGACACUUCUCCUUGACAAAUAAACACACCUUGGAACCUCCUCGAAAUAUUUUCAAGAAAAUAGAAGCUUGGGUAGUUUUUGCUAAUAGAACGGUGACCCGCGUGACAAGAUAUUUUUUUGUUUUUUUUUUAAAUGAGGUUGAAAUAUUCUUUGAAAUGGUUUUAAACUAUUGUUGGCUUAGAAAAAUGUAUAUGCACAAAGUUUGCAAAAAAAUAUAUUUGCCUCUUAAGUGUUUAGAAAUUUCUUUAGCACCAUGAAUAUAUAUAUAGUUUACAAAGUUAUAAUCCUUUGAAUUUUGUUGUUUGAGGUUGCAAUAUAUCAACCUUGAUAUCUCAACUUCUGAUUAGAAAACGCUUGUAAAGAGAUGUACAAAACUGUUUGGAAACGUGGUGCAAACCGUAUUCCUAAAAAAAUUUAAUUUUUUUUUGCUAAAAUUUAAUAUGGUUUGUAUGUUUUGGAUCGUUUUGAUGUGCUGAUAUCAAAAAUAAUUUUUAAAAAAUGAAAAACAUCAUUGGCAUGCAUUUCGGCACAAAAAAUUAUUUGAAAAAUAACCGCUACCACACUGCCAAGCAUGUUUGUAAUGCGGGCUAAUGCGUGUAUUUAUGAAAUAAAAAAAUUAGGAUUGCUUUUAGAUGCACUUGAUGUUUCCAUAAACUGUUUAUCAUGUAACAUGAACUCAUGUUUUCGAUGCACGCUCCUUGAUGUUCAAUUUUCAUUGUUAUUUUUUUAAAAAAAUUUCCCUCACCAUUGACCAUAAGUUAAUGGGCGCAUUUUUUGCUAUGCUUUUCCAUAACAUUUUUCUUUGUUAUUUUUUUAAAUUUUAAUUUUUUUGGGUUAUUUUGGAUAUGCGAUGAGGGUGUUGUUUCAGAAUUUUGCUUGGAGCUUUGCUAUUUUUUUUUUAUUUGCCCCUAACAUGGGGAAUUAAAAAAUAUCUUUUCUCAUUUCAAACACAAACUACUUGAAUUAAUAGGUAAUAACCUGUAGCAUAGGUUGUUCAUACUAGCAUAAAACAUUUUAUCAUAAGUUUAUGCCUUUUUAACCUACUAUGUAUCAUUAUCAUUAUUCAUAAUGUCAAAGAGAAAUAUGUGAUAUUCAAGGCAAUAAUUGGUUUAGAAAAACUAAAGGGUUUCUUACUCUCUUUUUUUUUGGGUGCUACUAAGGGAUAGAUUGACUUUUUUUUAUACAAACAACAUGUUUUGGAUCAUGAUAGCCAACCUAAGUGUUUUUUUAGAUUUGAUAGAUUUACCAUUCCAUUCCCUAGGAUUGAGGAAUGAAAUGUCAAAUGCUGCUAUUAAACAAUCAUCAAGUUAUUUUAUGAAAUCAAUAUGUAAUUCAAUUUUUAUUAUAAAAGUGUGAAACAUGCAUUUAGCAUGGAGUUUUUUUUUUUGUAAAUCCAAGUAAGUUUGCUAUAAAUUCACUCUAGUAAAGUCUAUUAGCUUAUCAAUCAUAUUAAUACAAAAUCAUGCAUUAUGCAAUUUGGAGGAUUUAUUUCAGCUAUCUUAAGAGUAGCUCCUUUCUUAUCAUAUCCAAAAUCAUUAGAAAUCAUGUUUACAUCUUCUUCCCUUGUAAAAAUGUUGUUUUGUAAUGAGUUUGUGUUCACACUUAGGGCAUUUUGACUCCUUUCAAAUGUUAUCGGACUUGACUUGAUAGGGUUAAAUAUCUUGCCUUUUAAAGCAUCACAAUUAUCAAUGUUAUGUCCAAUAACACCAUCGUUUGUGUUUACAUCUGUUAAGAAUAAGUUUUGAUAUUCAGUUAAUACUUAAUUUAGUAAAAUAAAAUUCAAUUUAUCAAUUCAAACCAAUUAAAAUUUUAAAGAUCUAGUUUCAAACUGAAACAAAUAUUCAAUCUAUUUUUAAAGGGAUAACAUUUUUAUUCAAAAACUUUCUGACUUAAUCUUUGUUAGAUUCAACAUAUUUAUUAUCAUUUAUUCACUUAUAUAAUUCUCGAAUUAUUUUAUUAAAUGUAUUUAUAAACUUUUCAAUUUGUAGCAAUUUUUGUAGUGCUUUUUAUUAACGUUAACAACUAGUUUAAUUAAUGACAUUUUAAGAAUAUAAAUACACAAAAAAUCAUAUAGUUAUCUUACUCAAAUUUGCCCGUUGAAGCAUAAAAGAUUAAACCAGGGAGGAAUAUCUUCACCCAACUGCUCGUCCUCAUUAAAGCCAUUAAAAAGAACCGGCAACGUUUACCAUAUUCUCAUAAUUGAGAAAAUAAGAUGCUGCGGUCACAUACACUGGUCUUAGUUUGAACUAAGGUGAGCCCUUGAGUAUUUGUCCUUUUAUUAAGCUGCUUCCAACAUUAUCUGUUCUCACCCUCAAUCCAUCCUUCUUCUCCAACUCCACUAAACUUUUUACCGGUAUAGUGUUAUGUCUCUUAGAGUUCCGGUUUGUCUCUUCUACUUAUAUUGGAGAUGGAAUCAAAAUGCACUUCAAUUAGGUUAGCCUCCAACUCCUGGGGCAGAAAGAUGUGAUUUUCUAGAAAAAAACUUAGCUGAAAAGGGAGGAAGCAACGAUUAUAGGUGUGCCAUUUAUGCAGAAUCUUUCUGGGGACAGCAGAUUGUUUGCCUUCUCUCUUGCGGACACUAGCUCUACCUUCAAGGCAUUGAGGGUUGGAUAAAAAACCAUUCUCCGUGUCUUUUUUUGCCGGGAAGUUUAUGAAGGAGGAAGAGGAGCUGAAGUUGAAGCUGUUUGAUUUCAACUCUGCAUUUUUCCAAGGCAUUUUUACUAUUUAUAGCAGUAGUGACGGGUUAUGCUAUUUAGAGUUCUUAUUUAACCUUUAGAAGUUCUUAGUAUGUGAUUAAUUGUGGUUAGAUAAUUAAUUAUAUAAUUACGAUUGUCGAUUUUUUUUUUUAUUUCUCCAUUUUCGAAGCUACUUCAUAUCUGGGAUCACACUUGUGAUUGCCACAAACUUGUAGUAAAAACAAUAGUGAUCACCAAGGAAAAAAAAUAUUAAUGAAAAACGUAAAAAAUCACCUAAUAAAAAUGGCUCGUAUACACUCGGAUCUUUGUUGUUUCGUCUAACCAUGUACAGAUUAAUUAUUGAUUCUGACAGAAACUACAUCUAGAUUUUCCUUGCAGUACAACCACUCAACUGUACACAGUAUAUCAAGAAAGAAAUUAUCAGGUCUUCCUGGCAGUGGCAUUCUUAAGAUUUCGUAGCGUCAUCAUCAGCUGUUGUCUUUCACCUUCUACCUGUGCAAACUUGAGACUCAUUUCCGAAUAUCUUUCUUGCAUCUCCUUCAGUUCAUUUUCCAUUGAUUUGUUUCUCUCCUUCAAUGACUCUAGUUCACCCAACUCCUCAUUGGCAUUGUGGUCCGUGUUGUUGACAGAGCAGGUUUUUGGUUCUAACUCCGAUGCACUGGAAUGAUCGCUGGAAGGAAACAGCAAAAGAUUUCAAUCACAGGAACAAGCUAGGAGCAAAGUAGAAUACAAACCAACUCAAAUAGAACUAUUGUUUCUUCAAAAUCAUACCUCUUGAUUGACAGUUUUAAAUUCCCAUUUUCUUUGGACAUCCCUGAUGUACUACUGCUUGGAUUUUCAUCCCUGCUUAAAUCUUCAGCUAUAUCACCAUUUGGAGUAAUCCCAAUGUUGUCUUCAGAUGACUGCAUUGCAGGCUCAACAGUUUAGAUUAAGAAACAGUGUUAUUUUGCACACUUAACGAAUUUGAAAGAAGAUAUAACAGUUCAAUCGAGAUAGACAACUGGUUAAAAGGUUGCUCAUAGAUCAAAAAAGGAACCUCAUCUAUUUCUUCCAUGGCUCGAAACUCAUCUAUGUCCAGAUAUUUGAGCAACACAAACACAUCGUUUCUAAUGUACAUGAUAUAUAAUGAUUAUCAUUGCUAACCUUUCGGAGUUGGUUGCAGCAGAAACAUGCGCAGUUCUGGUUGAGUUCUUCCACCCUGCCCUCCAACUCUUCAAUUUUGUUUUGAAGAUCCCUUUCCUUCUCUGAAAACGAAUUUGCAGAGGCUUCUAGAGAAGUUUCCUUUAACUUUAUUUGUACCUGCCACACAAAAUCACAAGAAAGGGAGUAUUGUCAAGUCAACUGCAAUUGUGCCAAAUCAAGAACAAAAUUUCAUAAAUCAGAGUGCACUAAGAAUAGGUAAACCAAAGAAUAUGAUGGGAAGAUCAUAAAGGGGUUUGUCCAUCUUGACUCUAGUGACCGUCGUUAUCGCCAACACCAGCUAUUUUGCCAUUGCAUAUUCUAGUUGAAAUUUUUAAUUAAAAAAACUUGGAAAUAAACAUUUACCUCAAGCAAUUUUAUUCUGUCCCUCAGAUUUGCCAUCUCUUUAGAGCCAUAAGGAACUGGAGCAAACUUAUUGUUUCUCAUGGUACUUUUUGUUCCUUCAGAAACUGCUAUGCAUUUGUUGCUUUCCUUGAGUUUCUUCUCCAUGCUGGUCAAAGCAUCUUCCUUCUUCUUCGGCUCACUCUUUAAUUGGAGUAACUGCCUUCUAAGUUUUUCUUUUGCCAACUCAUCCUCAAACAGAGAAUGUUUCAAGUCAUCACAUUGAGCUUUAAGCAUUCUGACCUCUGAUUGCAAGAGACUCACUGCAGACUCCUUCUCAUCCUUGAGACACCUCAUUCUAUUUAACUCCUCCUGCGACUUCUCUGCUUCCUUCUUCAACAAAGAAAUUGUACUCACCAGUUCAUUCCGUUUCAUAUUUCCUUUUUGUACCAGCGCGUCAGUGUGCUUAAUUGAUGUCUUCAUUUGUUCCACCUCUAAACUCAUAUUUUCUUUCUGUUCUGCUUGCUCAGAAAGGUGAUUGUUUUCUAUUGAGAGCAUUUCAAGCUCAGCUUUUAGGCCUUGGAUUUCAUGGGAGAAGGCUCCAACACAUUCUUCAUCAUGCUUCUCUUGCUGUUCAAGCUGUCUGGAUUUAUCCUCAAUUUCCAUCAACAUCUGUUCUAUCUGAUGCAUUUUCAAAUUCAGUUGGUUGGAAAGAACAUGCAGUUUUGACUCAUAACCAUCCUUAACUGAUUGGAGCUCCUCGUUAGCUUUCUGAAGCAUUUCUUCCAGUUUUCCUUUCUGCAUAUGUAGUUCACUAGCUUCUGCAAGCGCUUUCAUAGCUACCUUCUCAUUUGCAUCAAAAGUUGAGGCCAUAUGAAUGGACAACCUCCUAAAUUCUUCUUGCAGUUUCUCAGCUGUAUUAGCGUUUUUCAAUUUUGUCUUUCGCAAGGCUUCCUCUGCUUGAAUGGCUCUCUGCUCCUGCUCAACUCUUGCACUUGUUACGACCUCCAGAUCAGCAUCAAACUCUUGGGCCUGCUGUUCCAAUUCUUUCUCCAGGCUCUUUAUAUGGGUUUGUAGUUCCUUUAUGGCUGUCAAAGAAUCAGAGUUUUCCUUUGACUGCUUCUUUAGUUCAUUUUCUAAGCUCUCAACCUGAGCUUCUAGUUCAUUUGUGUUGGGAAACGAAGGGGAGCAUUCAUACUGUAUCUUCAGCUGUUCUUGCAGCUGACUUUGUUCUAAUUUAUAUGACAUGUCAUGGUUCUCCUGCUUCAAUAUCUCAUAGUCGAGUGCCAGCUGCUCCAUUUGCAUCUCCAGCUCAUCUCUCUCUCCCCUAUAGAUCUCUAUUUCACUGCAGAGGUCCAUAAUCUUUUGCUCCAGAGAACACGUUUCUUUAGCAUCCUUAUGCUCCUUAACAAGUUCUUCCAGUGCCUUUUGCUCUUCAUCAUCACCAGUCUUACUUCUUGAGAUUGCAUUCUCAUAGGAUCUUGCUUUGUUGGAAAGGUCAGAUGUUUCCCUACUUUUCUGCUCUAACAUUUCAUUGAGGUCUUUCACAGCAAGUAUCAACUCAGCAUUUGAUUCCAGCGUUUUCUGAAGUUGUAACCGGAGGUUGGAAUUCAGGUCCUUCUCAUAAUUCAGCUCUCGUCGAACUUCUUCAAGAAAUGGAUCCCCACAUUUGAAAGGUAACUUGUUUUUGCUUUUUGCCUCCUCCAUCCAUUUCUGAAAUGCCUUGAGUUUCUCGCACUCUGACUUGAGCAUAUCUCUCUCCCCUUUUAAUCCCAAGAUUUCUCUGGAGAGGUCCCGCCCCCUUUUGCUCUCUUUUACAAUUUGUUUCCGCAGGGUUUGUAUUUCCAACUCUGACACAUCUUGCUGUCUUGACAACACAACGAGUUUAGACUUGAGUUUUUCCAUCUCAAUAUCUGAAGCCUGUUGAGAUCUCUCUCUUGCAAACGAGCCUUGAGAACUAUUUGUCGAGUCAUAAUUACUUAUAUCAUGAGCAGACUCUGCGGAUAACUCCCAUUGUGGUUGCUGAUGCUCCACAUAGCUUGCUGCGGAAGCAUUUGCUUUUGGCAGGAGAGAUGCUGAAGUGCGGGUUCGAGAUGAUAGAAAGCUAGUAGGGUCCUGUAGCAUGUUGUUUCUCAAUCCAAGUUCUCGUGGGGUAUUGAGUCCAGAGCGACUUUCAGAACUUGACAUUGUAAUGUCAGAUCCACUAGAAGUCCUGUCAUUGCCAUUUAAUCCAGAAUUGUGAGAUGCAUUGAUAAGUGGUCCAUCCUGCAGAACAGCAAAAAUACCCAUCAUAUUUUCAUCAAACAUCUACAAAUUAGAGAAGAAAACUGAAAAGGCUGAAAAAGUAGAAUUCUAUUUGAUUUUUCCGAAUUUUAUGCCGUGAUAUCUAAUUUUAGGAAUCAUGCAAGAAGAGAAUUACAGAAAUGAUUUCUGGCACAAGACUUGAAACUUACUUCACUUGAAUGACUAUUAAUACCCUCAUCUCUAUUACUAUUGCUUAAUAGGGUGUUCAAGGUUCUGCUCUGGGAUUUUAUGUUUAUAUCUUCAGCUUCCACUCACUGCAAAAGAUUGUAGAGAUGACAAAAAAAAAAUUCUCUAAACCCUUCAAGGAAAAAAACUAUGGAAACUUAAAGAAUUUGAUAACAACAAAUGAUAUUUCAUCGCUACCUUUGCUCAACAUUUUCUUGCAGCUUCUGAAUUUCAACCUAUUGAAAACCAACAACUGAAGUUAAAUUCUGAACUUCAAUAACAAAGUGAAACUCUCACUCUCAUUAAUGCUAAAGGCAAGGAAGGUCUCGUGGGAACUAAGAAUUAUAUCCGUGACUGAUAUAAGUGAGAAGAAAGAACCUCACAUGCAAAACCCCAUCAGAUUUUGAAUUCUUGAGGGGAAGAGAAACUGUGGAAGCUAUAGUUGCCUCAGCAUAAUCAGCAAAAUCUAUAGAAACUUCUCCAACUAAACUAUUUUUCGAUGAUCCCUACACGAACCCAAAAAAUCCAAUCACACAACAGACACUCGACAAGAAGUUGAGCAAUAUAAAUCAAUAAUUUGGUAAAAUUACUUACAGUGGAGACAACAAAAUGGUAUAUUCUCUCAUUGAUCUUCCCUGUUUUCACAUCACGAAUGUAUUUCACUGUUUCAUAGACCGGAUACUCCCAUCGACAACUUUCUUCUCGGAACCACUGAUAUAGCCAAUGCAUUCACAUUCAGUUGCGGCAGCUACAUUCACAGAUCACCACAAAAGUUCCUUACUUUUUCCGAUUUCUCAAUCACAUUUGCCAACAAUGAAAGCAGGAUUCAAAUUCUUAACUGAAUUCAACAAAACAAAAUAAAGCAAUAAUCUUGAGUGAUCUAACAUAUAUAUAUAAGGCUCAACUUAUAAGAAAAUUCUGGCAUUUUCUUAGUAUCCAAACAGAACUAACUGAACCCGCCACCAAAAGUUAAUUGAAAAAAAAAGUCCAAAUCUUUCACAAGAACAGCAAUACAAUUAUCUAUAUAAAGUUAGAACUUGAACAAUUAAAAAGAAGAGAACUUCAGUUCAAAGUAUUAAAUUUUAGAGAUUGAAGAAGCAGACAGUUACAAGUACAAUAUUAAAUAAUAGCUGUAUGUUUGCCAGUGAAAGUACCUGAGUUGCAUGAAACUGCAAUUUGAAGACAGUUUUGAUCCUGUUCUUCUCGCUUCUCCAUCUCGCCGACCUGAACAUUUUCUACACCGAAAUAUCCAGUAACUCAACGGAAUUCCGGCCAAACUAGCCGGAAAAUCACCAUUCCAGCGAUCGGUCCAUCCAAUGCAAACAAAAUAUAUAGUAUAAUAUACAGAGUCGCAGUGAGUCAGGAGAAGUGUACAGGUAAUGGUGCGGGUUUGUGAGUCCAAUGCGAGCUGGAAACUGAGUCAAAGAGAGCGAGUUGAGAAGCAAAAACAGAGAGGGAGAGGCUGGAAAACAGAGGAGACAAAUAAAAAGAGAAGAGAAGAGAAGAGGUAGCAGAUCUAUGAAAAGGUGGAAUGUGAUGUUUCUCUCCUUUUCUUUGUGCCCGUUGGUAUUUGUAGUAACGGAUUUUAUAAAUUGCUUAAUGCAUGGUAUAGAAAUAAUGUUUUUUUUUAAUUUAUUUUUUAUAUUAAUAUAUUAAAAUGAUAUAAAAAAAUAAUUUGAAAUAAAUUUAAUUAUUUUAAAAAUACUUUUAAGCGCUUGUUUGUAAUAAGAAGUAACAAAACAGGCUUUCAAUAAGUCUUCCCACUUGUUUUUUUUUUUUAAUCUCUGAAGUACCAAAAAUAAAUAAAUGAAUUCAAUUAAAAUUUGAAAGAGAAGCUUCUCUGUAAUUAAUUAAUUAAUUGAGUAACAUAAAAUGCAGUAUUAAUUAUCGCAGUUGGUGAGGGUAUGUUUUGGGGUAAGGGAGCAGUAAAUACAGUCAAAGCAGCUUUAGGUUUUUCAAUUUAUAAGAUUUAUAUUUAGAUUUAUUGCCACUUUGGACCAAUCUGCUAAUUAUUUUCUUCCCAAAAUUGUGAUUUUCCACCAAAAAAACAACAGUCAUGUUUUGGAAUGGAAUGACAUAAACACCUCCAACAAGGGGCAUUUUUUUAUUUUUAUUUUUAUUUUUAUUUUUUAUCCCUAAUGUCAAGGACCACCGUAUCAUAACAUUCAAGCCUUUAGUUACUGUGUAUUCUCUUCAAUAAUAAACAUUCACACAAGCGUAUAAAGAUAAUGAUGUACGUAGACAAUUAACCAUAGCUAGCUAAGAUUUUGUAUAAUGAAUCCUAACAUGAUAGAUACAAUACUAAUAAUAUAAUACAAUAAAUAACUAAGUUUUUGUUUGCAUUUAUAACAUUACAUUAAAUCAAAAUUACCAAUACUUUUUUAAAUAGUAUUUUUUAUUUGAAAAUAUAUUAAUAUAUUUUUUAUUUUUUAAAAAUAUUUAUUUAUAUCAAUACAUUAAAAUAAUUUAAAAAUACAAAAAAAUAUUUUCUUAAAAAAAAAACAUUGAUGUGCAGUUUCAACAAACCCACUCUAGUUAUUUUUAUUAUUAUUAUUAUUAAUGUGAAUAUUUGGGUUAAUUUAUAUACAUCUUGGUUAAUCUUGCUCUAUCCAUUCUUAAUAUUGUGUUAUAUUCGGGGUAUUUUAAUCGUUUUAAUAAAUAAAAAUUUCCGGUAAAGAGAGCCCACUCUUAGAACCCGUAGAGGAGGUGCUGAAGGACAGCGGGUAGAAAAGAGCAAAAUAGGAAGCAACGUCAACAGUCACAUCUGACUAAUAAACUUCUGUUUAACGAUUAAUCUUUUUAACAAUCUUAAUCCGAAGAAAAUGACUUAUUAACUAGAAAAAAAAAAUUACUUCUUGGCAUAGAGGAGUGUUUUUUAUUUUUCAUGAUAAUGUCCACGAGACGCUGGGUAAUAUUAUUCUGUGAUUAAUUUUACAUUGCCUACUAGUAUAUUUGUCCACAUUUUAUUACGGGUUAAACUUUUUUUUUAUUUUAAAAAAAUUAUUGAGUUUGAAUUUUUUUUUGCCAGUAUCAUUAAAUCUAAUCAAGCAAUUUGAUAUUAAAACCUACCAAUCUGGUUUUUUUUCUAGAUCGAGUUUUGAAUUAAACUGCGUGGGAGCUGAUCCAAAAUGAAUUAUUUAAUUUAAUGAGUCCAAAGAUAAUUUGGAUGACCGAUAAAAACAUGACAUAAUUUUUAAAAAACCUUUAAAACAAUAAUUUUUUUUUUAUAUUAAGACGAAAUCAAAUUGAAUUGAUCUCGAUCACCUUGCAACCUAGGUCACGUACUUCAAUGAGUUUAAUAACUUUGUUAUUUUUUUAAAUCAUUUUUAUUUAAUUUUAUGAUAACAUUAGAUUCUUUCAAAAUCGAGCAUCAACCCUAAAAAAAUAUUUAUUUGAGAUCAUGAUAACUCUAUAGAAAAUAGAAAAAAAUAAAUCAUAAAAUUCAUUUCUCAACUAAUCCAUUAUUGAAUUAGAGUGAAAUAAAAAAAUAAUUAGAAAAAUUAAAGGAUCAAAAACUAUAUAUAUAAAAAAACAUAUCAAGUUUGAUUGGUAAACCCACUAAACUCAUGAAUUGGGUAAUCCAAGUCAACACGUCAAACCCGCAAACUGGGUAAUGGACUCCAUUGAGAUUAAUAAAUUGUUUUUUUUUCUAAACUAUAUAUUGUUUAGUUAACCAUAUGAUAAUAAAAAUAGACGAUCGUAAAAUUGAACGUCAAACUAAUUCUGAGGCUUUUUUUUAAGAUUAUAAUAACCUCAUAUAAAAUAAAACGAAACAAAUUAUGAAACUCAUUUCUUAAUCAGUCUAAUAUCAAAUGAUGAAAUUGAAAAAAAUAAAUUUAUAUAAGAAAAGCUAAACUCGUCAUACACGUCAAUAGGCCCAUGGACUUUCUAAAAUUUAAUAACAUAUAUAGAUGAUCACAUAAUCGAGUUCAAUUAAAAAAAAAAAAAGUACCAUGUUAAACCCGUAAAUAGGGGCAAUCAAGGUUAUUUCACCAAACUCGUAAAACCGGAUUAUUAACUCCACAAAGUUUAAUAACCUAGUUUUUUUCAAAAUUAUUUUUUAUUUAACUAAUUUUUUUAAAAAAAUAGACCGUACCACAAUGCUGUGAUAUUUUUCUAAUUUUAGGAUUUUUUUUAUAUUGCAAUAACUAUUUAAAGACAAAUUAAAACAAAUUAUCUACUCUAAAUUCUCAUAAUAACAUCAUAUAAGGACUACAUUAAAAAAAUCAAUAAUAAAAGAAAAAAUAAGAAUUCAAAAUGCAAAAAAAAAGUCAUCACUGUUAAUUACUAUUGUAAUUCAUAAUGCAAAUAGGUGUGGAAAAACAAUAUUUACCCCGUACUUUUUAAUUUUAUUUAUAAUAUAGUAAUAAACUAGAUAAUUGAUCAAUCCCAUGUUAUGGGCCAAACCAAUUAUCUUCUAAUGGGAAAUUUUUUUGGAUAUUGUCAAUGUAUUUUUAAUAAAAAAAAUAAUUAUAAACUGAAAAAUGUAAUACAUAUAUUUAAUAAAAUAAAUUAAGAAUUAUAUUUGUUAAUGUUAAAUGCUAAAAAGAGAUUUUGAUGAUUUAAAAUAAUGAUAUAUAAAUCUCUCUAACUAAAACUUUUUGUCUUACUAAUGUGUUAGAUUUUUUUUUGGAAACUUUUUACUAAAAUAUUUGUUUGUUAAACAACAUUAUGUGAUUGUUCUAAAAACAAGUUUUCAUUCUAAAAAAAUAAUAUUAUGAUAAUUUUAAUGUGGAUGUAUUAAAAAACAUAAAAAUAAUAUAAUGCUUGGUCCAACGAGUUAAUCUUAAAACCUUUGAUCUAACUCCUUAUCUAACUCGAGUGUUAAAUUAAAUCAUGCGAUGGUUAGUUUGACGUGACUUGAUCGAUUUGAUAAGUAAAAAAAAAACCUAAAUGAUCAAGAAAAGCAUGGUUUUAAAAAAAAAAUUCACAAUGACAACUUUUGGAUUCCAUAGUGUUAUUCUGGGGUCAUGUCCUAGAUUGCGAGUUUUGCAAAUUAAAUAUGAUUGACCUAGAUCGAUUAAGCAUAUUGCCAUCUUUAUAUUUGUUUUUUUAAAAUAUAUAUCAUAUAAUUUAUCAUCAUCUCAAUAUUUUAAAAAUUCUUAGAAACUUUUUCUUCAUAUCAAUUUUUUAUAUAUUGUUUUAAGAUUAUAUAUAUAUAAACAAAAAUUCUUACCCACGGUUAAACAUAGGUCAGAAAAACUAGUCAAUGCUAACUGUUGUCAUUUUCGUAUUCAGAGCUAAACGCUACAAGUUGCUUGUUCGAUCAUGUCAUAUCAUAUUUGUAUGGUCUGUCUCAUCCCAUUAUAAUUUGUCUAAAUCUACCAUCUGCACAAUGAACCUCUAAACUUAUUAUCAUUAUAUUUUUUUCAUUUUCUAACUGGUGGACUCAAAUCUACACCACUGUUGUAUUCAGAGAGCUAGCUAGCUUGCUUGCGAACUGUGAUCAUCCAAGCUGCAUUUUCUUUUCCCUGGCACCAAAUGAUUAUUAAUAUGCACUCAUCAGUCUUGCCACAUGACCUACCUAUAUAUAUUACAAAAUGAAAUUUACGCACUUAGAAAAAAAGAAGGCAAGAUAUGUGAUUGUAAAUGCACUUGUGUUUUGACAUAGCCAUGUGUUUGAGGGCCUAUUUCAAUUUCCCAAACCCAUGAAGAGGUGGAGUUCCAUGGCCAAUUGCUUUCAAUGCAGAGGGCCACUGUUGUACCACUAUAUUUGUGGCAUCAUUCUCUCCCAUUAUUGUUUUAUUGGGUAACUCAUAUACCAGCAUUAUUUAUCAACAUUUAUGUGCAUUUAGCUGUUCUGCACUCACGUCACAUAUCCCAUGGCAUUGCUCUUCCUACAUUUUAUGGCAUCUACUUUUUUCUUCUUCUUUUUUUGAAAUAAUUCAUGGCAUCCAUGAUUCUUACUAUUCAGUUCAUUUCUUCACUUCGAAGUGAAAGUAAAUUCAUGUGAUGUGCAUUAAGAUCGAUCUGCCUACGUUGUCCGAUGAAAUAAAGUAUCAGUUCCAUCGUUCCAAGAUGUUGGCUGAUUAAAUCAGAAGAUAGCAAAUUUACAAUGCUACUGUCUGAAUAUAUAUAUAUUCUGUAACUGCAGAAUUUAACAUAUUUACUUCGAUUCUUUUUGGUGCAAUAAUGUUACUUGCUAUAUAUAUCCCACCUGAAAUUAAGAUUUUCCACCAUUUGUCCUCUUUAUGAUCACCUGGGAAUGGUUCAAGUACAAGGAGGCGAGAAUUUAGUUAUAAUGAUCAUGAAUUAUUUGAAACCGUAACACCCUUCUUUUUCUCUGCUGAUUUUUGUCCAGGAAACCUAAUCAUAUCUUCACCAUCACUGAUAUCAUGCUUGCUUGUCGUCUCCACGAGAUUUCUGGUCUUUGUGGAAGUUCCAAAGCCCUAAUCAAACAAUUCAAGUACAACGUUUUUUGUUUUUGAAUAAAUAGUAAAAAUGAUCUUUGCCUGGAAGAGGGAAAAAAAAAAGGUUGGAGACAGGCUUCAAUCUUGAGAGAAGUUUCAGUGGGAACUAUAAAGAUGUUGAUGCUUGUGAUAAUUGGACUGAGGAAAGAUGGUGAUAAAUCACUAGAUGGUCCCCUUCAACCUUUCCACCACAUAGUGUUGAGAAGGUCCAUUAAUCCUCUUCCUCAUCAUUACUUCCCACUUUCAUGUUUUCCCUAAAUUACGUAGUCUUGCAAGUUAUUGUCCAAAUCCUUAGAACGUGUAAUUAUAACCAUCAUGUUGCAGAGCAACAAAGACCUUUAUAGGCUUAUAAACAAGCUUUCAUAAACAGAAUCUCACGUGGAAAUUAAUUUGUGCCAUUAAGAAUCAAGAACGGACGUAAAGGGGGAGGUUGUCUAUCAAAUCAAGCAUAAGUAUAGUCCUCUUAACUAUCGAACAAUGGACACAAUCAAGUUUGUGAUCGAAUAGCCCCCUACCCCUUUUACAUCGCUGUUGUGUUAUUAGGAGCUCAAAAAAGUUUCUUCUCCCUCUUUUUUUCUAUGCUUUCGGGGAAGCUAUUAUUUUCUUUAAUUUGUGUUUAUGAGUAAGAACAAACAGAACUGUCAUUCUUUGUUGUAUCCACUCCACAUUCUGAGACAACAAGAUUCAUGUUCACAAAAGGUACGUAGGCUGCAAGAGUCAAAUUUUGGCUACACUUGCAGACCGAGAUUUGUUCAUUCAGGAAAUGACACGGUACUAGAAUCUUCGUCCAAGUAAAUUUGCAAAGUGAAACAGUUCUAUCCUAGUAUAAUCAUGAAGCCCGAACUACUGUUUGUUUCCUUAAGAAGAUCUAAGAGAUGUCAAUGGAGUUCAAAUCUUAUUCCAAAUUAUUUCUUAGACGGACAGAACAGGACCGACCUAAUGCCUAAAUAAUAGGAACGGGGAAUUGGGAGCCAGAUGCAUAAUUCGGCAACCUAUCUAGAUGUAUAAUCAGGUGUUGUGAGUGUGUUUGGUAUUGCGGUAGCUGUUGUGGUUGUGAUUUGAAAAAAGUUGUUUUAUGAACCUGAUCUCAAUACCACUUAGCCAUGGAAAUGGAACAUUUAAGAUUUAUAGUUGAAUUGGCAUUUCAAUUGAACAAAAAGUAGUUUAAUGUGUUUGGUUAAAAAAUGUUUUUCAAAUUGAAGUUAUAACAUUUAAGAUUCGUAGUUGAAUUGGCAUUCAUUAUUAAAUAGAUUUGUAGUUGAAUUGGCAUUCAUUAUUAAAUAUAACAUUUAAGAUUUGUAGUUGAAUUGGCAUUCAUUAUUAAAUAUAAAGGAUAUUUAUUGUCUUAUUCACUGACGAUGAUAUCAAAUUAAGUUGCUUCAGAUUUUUCUCUUUUGCUUUUCUUUAACUUGAUAGAAUCACACAUAAAGUCGGUCUCUGUAAUCUAAAAAGAAAAGGAAAAGUAUUAAUUACACCCGAGAUUUCUAUAGUUUUCUAUAUUUUUUGCAAAUCAAAUGAAAUAUCUAAACUAUUCUCGUGUGUGUGUGUGUAUUACAUAUGAAAUUAAACUAAAUAACAUAUCUAUCUCACAACAUAUAAUUAUAAACUCACAAAUACAAAGCUCAAACACAACAGCCACAACUUAAAACGCAGUAAGGAAUAACAAAACAAAUUGUUAACAAGUGUUGAUUUAUAUAUAUUUGUUGGGUAACCAAGGAAGUAUACAAUCAAAAUGAUAAAUAUAUUUACAGGGCAUCUCUCGUGCUUUCAGUGAUGGAGUUUUUGGCAGGUACUGAUUCAAUCAUUGAUUUCAAUUAAUUAGGCAAGGUGGAUGCUGGUUUCGAAGAAUCCAGGAUGAUUUCCAAUCGAAGCAUUAAUUUCCAGUUGGAUGCUGAUCUCGAUUGAUUAAGCAGGAGGAUUUUGGUGGGUUUUGGUUUUGCACCUCUGUGCUUAAUUUUCAAGUUCCAAGGCAUGUCCAGAAGAUGGAAACUUUUCCAGUACUACAAGCAUUCGUGCCAUCUAUUCAUAAACAUCCAAUUCACUUGAAAAGGAGAACUAUCGGAUAGUGCACGUUCAUAUGGGCAACACUUUCAGAAGGAUUUGCUUUAUGCUCGGUCGAUUCAAGAAAAAAUUAUACCUUCAAUUAUUUCCCACGAGCUUGCUCGAGAUUGAAAUGAAAAAAGAAGAAGAAGUUGGCCAUGAUAACUAAGGUUUUUUCAGUUCAAUAGUAAAGUUAUGAUAUUAAUAUUGCAAGGAUUAUUUAGUCAUUAAAUAAGAUAUAAUAAUAGUACUAUAAAUAAUGUGAUAUUUUUUUUAUGACGAGUCAAUAUAUGAUUAUGUAAAAUAUUAUGAAAUUAUAAGAUUUACUAUGUAAAGUAUAAUUAAAAAAAACAGAGGUAUUAAAGCAAAAAAAUAAAUAAACUAUACGAAGUGAAAUAUAAUUAACCCGUAAUUUUCUAGAUAUGAAGAUCACGAAUGAAAAAUUAAAACUAAGAUGUAUAUUUAAAACCAGAAGAGAUAUGGAGAUCACAAAAAUUAAAAGUAAAAACUAAGAUGUAUAUCUAGAACAAGAAGAGAAGGGGAGAAAUAAAUAACGAGGAAGCAUUUGCGCAAAUUAACAUGAGAGACAACGGAAGGUGCUCGCGUGAAGGUGGUCGACCCCAUUAGAGAGACCUCACUAAAAACAAUCCAGGGUUCCUGAAGAGGCAAAGACUUUCUGGAGGAUGGCCAUCACACCUCAUGAUGUUUUUUUGCCCCCUUUUUUCUCCCCUGGAGGCAGUUUGAAAAAGGCAGGGCACCAAUAGAUGCAAAGAUAUGUUGUGUGUGCAAGCGCCAUCAAAGAAAACAUCGCGUGCAAAGACAACCUAAAAGCAGAUCUCACGUGAUGAAAGAUAUCCUUAUGUUUUUGAAAACGCGGUUCAAAUAGAGGUGUACUAAAAUUUAUUUAUUUAUUUAAAAUUAUUAUUUUAUAUUUUUUAAUUGUUUUAAUUUAUUGAUAUAAAAAAUAUUUUUUUAUAAAUAAAUAAAAAUUAUUAUUUUAAUAUAUUUCUGAAUUUAAAAAAAUAAUUGUUAUUACACUUUUAAACACUGUUAAUUAAUGUAUAUUUAAGAUUGAGUAACUUUUGAGAUUGUGAUUAAUUUGAAAAUGUAGAUUUAUAUAACUUUUUCUUAACUAAGAUUUGAAGAGAGUGUUUUUAAUUAAACUCAUGCAAAAUUAUGGUAUGUAUUAAUUAAUCUAAUGUUUUUUAAAUUAUAAUUAAAAUAAAACACAGAUUUUAACCACGCCGCAACACUUUACCAGACAAAUCUAAAUGAGGUGGAAAAUGAGUGUGAGGUCUUGAUUAAGAGCAAAGUAUUUUGUAUCUAAUUCGCCCAUAUCAUUUUUUUCUACGAACUUGGUUCUGCAUCCUUCCGGUGUACGUAGAUCAAAUAAAUCCCAAAUAAAUGUAUAGUUAGUUGUCGGCUCAAUACAAUUAAUGCAGUCGGAAUCACAAUAAAGAUAGCAGCAAGUACAAAAAAAAAACAUAGUGAUGAACAAAAUAGGAUUAUCACAACAAAACUCUAAAAUAUAAUUUUAUUUAUGAAAAUAAAAUCUAAUAAAAAAAGACAUAAAAUCAAUAAAAAUCAUAGAAAAAAACUCGCUCAAAAUAGAAUCUUUAAGAUUUAAUUUAGGAAUCUUUUAUAUUUCGACUAGUUAACUGAAUUGAGUUAUCUAAAGUCUCCUGUAAAAAUAAAUCUAUAUAUUCACAUGAAAAAAAUUUAAUUUAAUUUAAUGUUCAAAUUAAAAAUUAUAAUUUUUUAUUGUCAUUAUAAUGGUUUGAUCUUAUCGAACCAUCUCUUGAACCUAUUUUUAGUUCAUAAAAAUAUAUGUUAAGCUAUUUGGAUAUUCUAUUUGUGAUGAAUCCCUAUACAAUUUUCUAUCAUUAUUUAAAGCCUCAAUUUCUGCUUGACUAGCUACGUCAAUAACUAUUGAUUGAAACGGGAUUCAUCGGUCUUGUUCGUUGCCCAUAAAAAUAGGUGAAGAGGAGGAUUCUUACAUAAUUGUGUUGGAGUUAAACUAUAAUGUGACAAGUCUUUAUCCCACUCACUAAUGAGUCAAUUGUUAUCGAGUUACUUUUGGCUAGCUCUCUAGGUUAGUUAAUUAGUUUAGUUUUGAGAUUUUUUUUUUAAUUGAGGUAGAGAUAUUUUCCGAGAAGAGAUCUAUUGUCUUAUAAGUGAUUUGAAAACGAUGUCUACUUAUAAUAGAUUUCGAAAAAAAAGUUAUGACAAAAAAAUUGAAAGGAAUGAAGAGAGAGGUGGGAGUUCUUGGUUAUAUAAUCCAAUAUUCUAUCAUUCUAAUUACAGUUAUUAAAUCCGGACCGGCCCGACAGGUUAAUUUGAAACCCGGUUGAUCUGGUGGCUGGACCGGACCGGGCAAGGUUAAAAACCAGCUAGUGUAAAAAAAUAACCCGGGAGGUCGGGUUUUAUAACUAUGAUUGUAAGUAAGCAGUAACAAAACCAAAUUAAAAAAAAAAAAAAAAAAACUUAGCAAUGCAAUACAGUCGGUGCAGUAAAAUUUGAAAGAAAAGGGAAAGUGAAAAGGUUCAUAUGGCCCUCUAAAUAAUCCCACAUUGCAAUAAGGAUUGGGACUGCCUUUAAGAAACGAGAUAAAGGCAAAAGAUGUUUGGGAAAGCCUUGGGCAUAAGCCGAUGCAAUGACAGGCCCAAGAUGCGUUACGGAGAUAAAUCUAGAGACGACCCAUCUCCCUACUCUUGCUGCUCAGGACCAAAUAGUUCUCCAUAGAUCAUCUUUUAUAUAUAGAAAAAUUACCUUACCUUAGCAUCCUAUAGUUUAAUUUAUGUUGUGAUUAUUUGUUAAAUCCUAAACUUUAUAUAUGCACUAACACUUAACAUCCUUGUAAAAAAAAAUCAACAAAAAAUAUUUGGUUAUUUACAAGAGUUAUACGAUGUCACUUCAAAGUAUAUUUAAGAGAAUCUAAUGCAUUUGUCAAAAUUUUCGGAUUUGAUAUGAUAAGUCAAGGCAGAGGGGGUGAUUGGGAUCAAAGGAAAGUGAAGAUGGCGGUUAGGUUUGAUGUUUAGGGAAAGAAAAUGGGUGGAAUAGCUAGAAUUAUUUUUUAAUUCAAUGAAAAACCUAUAAUAUUUAAUGUAAAGAAUUUUUAGUUAUUAAAAUCAAUAAAAAAAUAUUUAAUUAUUUACAAGAGUUUUACGAUGACACUCCAAAAUAUAUUUAAGAGAAUCUAAUGCACUUGUCAAAAUUAUUGGAUUUGAUAUGAUAAGUCGAGGUAGACGUGCGAUUAGGUAGAAUUAUCUUUUAAUUCAAUGAAAAACUUAUAAUAUUUAAUGUGAAGGAGUUUUAGUUAUUAAAUAAAAAAUAAUUUCAAUCAUUGAGUUGACAUGGGAUGCAAUUCUCGUAUAUUGUGUAUUUUGUUGCAUCUUUGCGGGUUGUUGAUAUUAAUCAAAUUGGAAGAAAGAAUUUAGUAAUUGAUAAAUGUGAUGCAAAAUCAGUAGUUUGUAUAUAUAUAUAUUUAAAUGCAAAGAUUCAGCUUUGCAUUUGUUGUUACUCUUGAGAAUAAUCAGAUUAUUAAUUUAUUUUGCUCUUCAAAAUCUACUUUAAUUAAUUAUAAGAUUUUAUAAUUUUACUGACAGAAAUAUUCUGUCGGUCUGUGAUUCAAUAUUUAUUAAUAAUUUUUUUACCGAUAACAUCUUUGACAUAAAACAUUUGUUGGUUUUUUUUUUUACUAAUAUCUAAUUCCAUCACUAAAUUAAUUAAUAAAAAAAAUAUUUACCAAUAAUUUUAGGGACUGAAAUUAUGCUCCCAAAAAAAAUUCCCAGCUCGUAAUAUUACAAAUGCAUGCAUCUUAUGAAAGGUACACUGUUGAAUGUCCUAACCCAAGAGGAUAGUCGGCAGUGGAAAUUAAUUAGCAAUGACUUUAUUAACAGUGUUGAAAUCUAGAAGAACAAUUCCUGGAAGGAUAGUACGUGUCGUCAUGUAAACGUACCCCCAGCUAAGAAAAAUUAAAUAGAAGACCCUGAAAAAAAAUUAAAUUAAAAAAAUAUUGAAGACUAAGUAGGUAUCGGUCUACCGAUUCAUUUAAAAACCCCAAAUUAAUGAUUGACCGAAUGAUCAUAGAGGAAAAAUCAAAAUCUUAUAUUAGUUCUUCUCAUGAAAGUCGUCGCCGGUGAGGACUGAGAAGACAGAAGAGAAGAAAAUAAAAAAUAAAAAGAUAAUUGGACUGCCUAUCCUACGUACACUCUUCAACAAAGAAAAUUGCAUGCAUCACAUCAAUCCCAUCAUACUCGUAGGAUUUUUUCGAAAAUAGAAUAAGUUAAUUUUUUUUUACAAUGAAAUCUAUAUAUAUAUAUAUGAUCAAAUCUAACGUACCCUACAUCUUUGAAAGUUGACUAAGGUAAAAAAAAAUUGGAAGACCAAAAUGACCAUUUCACACCCAUAUCUAACAUAAAGAUGAUAUAUUUCAGACAUACUAUAGUAAUUUUCUGUUGAUUUUCCCUCAGACUCUCUAAAUUGGAGAGAUUAAGAAUCGAGGGUCAGGAUGGAGAAUCUCUUCCUAUUUUCUUCUCCUUUACCUUAUCUCGCCUUCUUUCCAAACAAAUGAAUUUUUUUAGUCUGUGUUUCCCUUUCUCUCACUUUCUUUCCAAACACACUGCUAGAGUUAGUUUAGAUGGUGACAUACAGGAGCGGAGCCAGGAGGUGGCAAGCAGACCCGGUCCCUGCAAAAUAUUUUAAUUUUUUUUUAUUUAAUAUUUUUAAUUUAAAAAAAUAAAUUUUUUAAUAAUAUAUAUUAUUAUAUUAAUUUUGACCUCUCCUGUAAAAUGCAACUAGCUCCCCCCUGGUGACGUAGAUGAGAAAAUAAGAACAGUUGAAUAAAAGUUUCCGAUAGUAGAAAAGAGUCUCGACUUAAAAAUACAAGUGAAAGCACAUUUCUUUUCUAAUUUACAAAAGAGAAAUAUUUAUUCUCGGAGGACUGUAAGCAUUCAUCAAAAUAGAGACUGUUGUUUACAAUAAUAUUAAUUUACCUUAUAUUCAUCAUAUUUUAUUGAUUCAACCUUAGAUUGUAAGCAAAAUAUGGCAAAUUUACCUAAAAAUAGAGACUGUUGUUCACAAUUCAGUUGCGUUGCGCUGACUUAACAAAAUAUAAUGAAAAAAACAGGGGUUGAAUUGGAGGAUUUUCCUUUCUGGCUUGUCCACAACGAAGUUAUCCCAAAGAGGCCAUGCCUAUAGUAUAUUUUAGAUUUGACAAUCAACAGUGACCAUAGGAUCGGAAAACAUCAUCGUGAUUAAGAACAAAAAAAAAUCAAUUUUAGUUAGAGUUCAAAUUAUUCAAGGAGAGGAUUAACUAUCCACAAGAAGAUUGCAUUGCACAUCUGCUAAUUUACUUAUUUGCUUCAAUCUGAAAUAAAACAUAAGUUUAUAACAAAAUCAAAAAAUACAUAUCUUAACCUUCAGUUACGGUGAUGAACGAUUUAAACCUCGAAUCAAUGGUGAUAAUAUCUUUUACAAAAUUUACGAAAGCAAUACAUUCUCUACGUGCCUUAACAUCAAAGUCAGCAUAUAAAACCUGCGGCAUGAACAGCCACAUGGCAGUAGCCACCACAAAUGCCAACGUCAACAACCUUGACACCACCGUAGCCAGUUGCCAUUUACCAUUAAACGCUUUCUUUAUGACAAUCUCAAUAGCCAAAGAGAUCCCGUGUAGGAAAAAGAAGCAGGUGAGCUCCCAUGUGGGCUUCUUUCUUCCGAUAUAGUAGAAAAUGAUUUCAUGCAUUAUUCCAGAUACCAAGAAUGAUGCCAGAACUCCUGGGAGCGCAGCCCACUUUCUUCCAAUCAAGCGGCUAGAAAUGGACAUCACUGGAUUGUAUACGGUUGGGUGUAGGAUACUAGUGACCAUAAGAUUCCACCUUCUACCCCAGAAGUCCUGCAAUGAGGUGGCUAGGUAUGGCUCAUGGAACUGUGGCUCAAGCUCUAAACGGAGAUAGACUCGAGCAAAGGCUGCAACCACUGCUAAGACAAGUUCUAGACCAAUGUAAAGGUAUACACAAUAGAGAAGCAAUACCAUUUUUGGAUGAAUAUGGUCCUUUUGAAGAUAUAUGGGUGCGCUUAUGGCCAAUACUACAAUUUUCAGGCCAUGAUUCAGAGGUGAUUUGUGGCCGCUUCCUUUGCUUACUUCUUUAUCGACUGAUUUUUGCGGGACUUGUUGAAAUUUGAUGGGAAGACAAGCCAAGGAGAUGAAAUAUGGGAGAGAGAGGGGUACAGGGGAGGUUGAUAGAGGGCCUUGACCAAAGGCAAAGAGAAGGAGCUUGAAGUUUGCAAGCCAAGCGAGGAAGAAAGAUGUUGGACCUCCAAGCCAGAUGGUGAAGAGAUUGAGAGGGAGGUAGAAAAGGAAGAGUAUGACUGGGAGGAUUGCAAAGAAUCUGAUUACUCCUUUGGAGAUAAUCUUACCUACCAUAUGACAGUACCAGAGUAACAACAAAGCUGAUGCCCAUACCAUGAUGAAGUUUUUUAUCUCACCUUCCAUUUUUUCCACUAUCUUAAUUUCUCUAUAACUCACCGGAAGGAUUGAUAUUUAGACGCAGAGAUGCUAUUGCGAAUUAGCGCCUCUGAACAAAUAGGGUUAUGAAAGCAAAGUAAAACAAUGAGAAAUCAGGAAAAGAUGUUUCGGGGCAUAGCUUUGUCUUGCUCCUCUCUCUCUCUCUCUCUCUAUCAUAUUUGGCCUUUAUAAUUUGGAAGAAUUCAUAAAGUACCAGUGGAAACGUUCGUUCAGAUCUGCGUGCUUAUUCCAGUCAAAUAUUCAAGCGGCUUCAGUCCUCACGCAACAAGAAUAAUUAUUGUCCAAAUUGAAAAUAUAUAUUAUAAAAAAACUAUAUUAAGAGCCAAGGUACUGGUGCACAUGACUGCCAGAUAGCUUAAUUUUUAUAUAUAUAUUUUUAAUAUUUUAAAAAAGUAUAAUAUUAGCCUAGGACGUUUCAUGUACUACUAUAGCCUAGGACGUUUCAUGUACUACUAUAAUAUAUAUAAUUCUUGAAUUAAAUACUAGCCCUCCUUCAGCCGCCGCCGCCUAGUUUGUGAUUCAACAUUCAAAUUUGUCAUUCCUGCCACUUGUCAAUUUUGACAAUAAAUGUGGGCUAAUAUAUAUAGCAAGGGCAGAGAAAAAGAAAGCUGAAGCAUUAUUCCACGAGAGAAAUUGCUUUAGUGUAUACUUGACCAGGAAAAAUUCUUCAGCUUUUGUUAUUAUUUAUUUUUACGUUUUAAAACUAUUUUUAAAGAAAAAAUUUACUUCAAAUUAAUAUUUUUUUAAUAUUUUUAGAUCAUUUCGAUGUGCUGGCAUCAAAAAUAAUUUUUAAAAAAUAAAAACAAUAUUAUUUAGAUAUAUUUCUAAAUAAAAAAUAUUUUAAAAAACAACCGAAACCAUAUUUAUAAACAAAUUCUUCAAAUAACUACACAUCUCAUAUGAUAAAAAAAAAUAUGUUUCUGUUAUUAAAUGAGAUGGAAACUUUAUGACAUUCAAGAGCGAAAGAUUUUUUUUUUAAUCUAUUUCGCCUACAUGACAUGAUGACUUUUGAUAAUAAUAAUAAUGAAUUUUAGUUAUUACUAGCUAUUUGACCAUAUUUCUUCUUCAGACCAAUAUUUUUAAUCUUUAAUUUUUUUUUUAUAUACACAUUUUUAUUAUGUGUUUUUGUACAUAAAAAAUCCCAAUUAAAAAUUAAAAAGUUAAUAUAUAUCUAAUUAAAUAAAUUAAAAUUUAUUUAUGCAAUAAAUAAACUCAUUAAACAUGAUCCCUAUCCAGCCAAAGUUAAUAAGUUAAACUCGUGACCCAAGUAAUGGACUCAAUUGGUUCAACAAUUUUUUUUUUAUUUUUUUUUAUCUAAAAUAUACACUUGUAAAAUUGAGAACCAACCAAAUAUCGAGGCGAUUGAAAAAAAUCACACUAAAAUAAAUUAUGUUACUCAAUUAACAAUUAACUAAAUAUUAAGUGGUGAAAUUAAAAAAAAUAAAUAAGAAAAAUAAAAAAAAUCAAUUAUAAUGGAUAAAAAAAGGAAAAAGGACCAGGCUCUCAUUUUUGGAUAGCCAGAGCUCUUGAGCCUAAAAAACAAAACCCAAACAUGCGAGCUUAGAGCAUCCCACGUGCCUAGGCCUUUUUUAAAAAAUUUCUUAAAGGGUGAACGACAAGUCAUUCGCCCUUUAAUUUUUUGAAAAACAAUAGGUGACACGUUGUUUGUCUUGAUGAGGAGAACAAUGCAUCGUUUGCCCUACUCAGAUUUCGAUGACCUCUAAUCGCUGGAAAAUCAGGUUAGGUUGUUUCAAACUAAGAAAAACGUAUUUUCAAUCAUAUUUUAAGCAAAAGCAAAAACCCUAAACACCUUGUAAAAUAUAUUCAUAGCGUUUAACAACCCAAAAAUUGAUUUCAAAACUCACAAUCAAUCCAAAACAAAAAAAAACUUUCAGGCUCAGAUUUAUCAUUUCAGGCAAGUUUAAAGGAAAAUAACACUUAGAAUAAACUUUCUCCAUCAAAAGAAAUUCAUUGACGCUGAAAUCAUUUUUUUUCAUGGUCGAAAUUGAUCUUAACCGAGACUUUUUUUCUCUACCAUCAGAAUCCAACCACAUUCUCUCUCCUCUCUCAAACCAGGGAUAAAAAAAUAAGAACAAUAAAGUUUGGAAUCAAAAUUAAAUUUCAUAAAUUUUUAAGGACUGAAGGUUUAUAAUUUUAAAAGUUGGAGGACCAUGAAUGUUUAGCCCAAAGUUUUUAAAAAACCACCUCAUUUUUUGUCCUUAAUAAAUAUGUUUUAAUUGACCAUCAAUUUAUACCUGUGUAUUUAGAAAACAAGAGAGAUAAACUAAAAAAAUCUAUAUCACUAUUGCAAUUCACAAUAACAUGUCUCUAACUAAAUAGUGGCAUGAGAAUAAUAUUUUCCUAAAUUUUUUAGAGUAUUUGUAAUAUUUUUUAUUUUGAGAUUGUGAAACAGAUUUUUUUUUUUUAAAGAUUGAAAUGGAGAUAUAGUGUGGUUUUAAAUCCAAUCCUUUAAAAAAAAUAUUCCGAAACAUAGUAGGGGAUUGCUUCGUCCUAUAAUCCAACGUUCAAUAAGCCUUGCGAUGAAACAAAAGGAGUUGAGGCAGGUGCCUAAGAAAGAAAAAGAAAUUGGAAAAACUAUAACCCCGAAUUGCACAAUAAAAAAAUGAGAAACCUCUAUUGUAAAGAAACAAGGAAAAAGGGCAAAAGAUAUUUGUACAAGGCCUGAGUUCAAGCAGAGUCUUAUGAGGCAAUGACCGGCCCAAGAUAUGGCGAGGGAAUUUAUGAAUGUUUUUGACGAGUAAAUUAGGCUUGGAGGCUAUUAUUUUUCACACAUGAGACCCGAGGGCCUAUGAAAGCCUACAAAUUCAUGCAAAUUGAGUUAUCAGCCCACGAAUUGCAUACAAAACCAGGGGCGUGAAUCUUUAUCCAAAUUGUUUGGUUUGGAUUAAAAAUUAAAAAUUAAAAAUUUAAGCAUUAAUUAAAUUAAAAAUUUUAGUAUUAAUGAUACAUAUAUUCUUCACAUCAUUUAUUAUAAGAAAGUUACACGUCUUUCUUGCAAAAAAUAGAAGAAAUAAAAAGGAGUUUUUUCUACUAAUUUGUUUUAAUUAGAAAAUUAAAACAUUAUUUUGACAUUUUAUUUUAAAAUUAAAGUUAGCUUAAACUAUAUGAUGAAAAUAAGAAUAAUCAAAAUAUAAAAGAAUGAGAAUGAAGUAAUAAUGCUUAAAUUUGAUCGAUGUUUUUUAAAUUGAAGGACUAAAUUGAAAAACAAUUCUAUAAGAAUAAGAAUGAAAUAAUAAAUUAAAAGAAUGAUGACAUAAAUGAAAAAUAAAACAUAUGAGAAAUUAUAAUUGAAGGACUAAGUUGAAAAAAAACUUCUAUAAAAGGAAUAAAAAUGAAAUAAGAAGUAAAAGAAUGAGGACUAAAAUUGAAAAUCAAACAACAAAGAGGACAAUUAUGUACAGUUAUCAAGAAAGAGAGAAAAAAUAAAAUAAAUGACCACCAACGAAAAUUCAACCACAUACGGCACACCAAGUGGAAGAGGAGACGAUUGCGUAUCUAGUGAGACAACGGAUAGCCAGAUUUGGCCACCGAAUGGUGUUACACACACCACCUAAAUGGCGCAGACACCACCAACUCGCUGGCACAUUUGGAAGAUGCGCCACCAGAUUUCUAAAUAAAAAAUUAGAAAGACAACGUGAAAAAUACCAAAAUACCCCCAUGAAUCUGUUAAUUACACAAAAUACCCGUAUGAAAAUAUCAAAAUAUCCCCAAAGGAAAAGCUUAUUUUUUUGUUUUUUCUAAGGUUAAAAACGUGCAUUCACUAUACAUGGAUUAUGAAAAAACCGUAAACACCCCUGCCCAACAACUCAACAAAUUUUUUAUCUCGGGAACAAUGAAGUAUUUUUACUAUUAAGAAUCUUAUGAAAGGUCAAGAAAACUCUUGGUCAAUAAUUAUAAAUUUUGUUGAUUUAUGGGGUAAAAAAGUAAUUUUACUAUAAAAAAAUAGAAAAGAUGCAUAUACGGAAACAAUUUUGUAAUGACUAAUGAGCUAGUAAAAAAAAACCAACAACCCCCAGCUUCAAGACUUAAAUUUCAAAUUUCUUUCACUUAAAAAUAAAAGAGUAAUUUUAUUAUAGCACUCUACAACAAACUAUAUACAUAGAGCUACAAUAACACUCUCACGCAUCUUAGCUUUUCUUUUAAUGUCGUUAUAAGGCUGUAUGUAAAGGGAUGUACAUGGCACAUUGCCAAAUUAAUUUGGAGUGGAGUUAAAAAAAAAACAAACAAACCCUACGGUUUGCAUUCCCAUUUAGCACUACUAAAGGACUACUUGUAAUCUUUAUAUUGAUAGUUUGCGAUUGUUUUAUUAGUUAUUGGGGGUAACAAGUCCACGAGCUAUAAGUCUGGAAUGCAAGAAAAUGGAAGAAAAUUCUAAAUAUCUCAAUUAAAUUAUAUUUGGAUUGACUGUAGCCGGCCUAAGCAAGCUGGCCGGCCGGCCUGGACACCUAUUUCUUUAAUUACUCAUCCUUCUCUUGCAAGUUAGAUUUAAAUAUUCUCUUCAUGCAAUCACGCCAAUCUUUAACUUCCUCUUCUCGGAAAAUAUAUAUUCCCUGUAACUUCAUACGCCCCUCACAUUAUUAUCAUUACCUCAACAUAAUCUAGAGUCGAAGCACCCCACAUAAAAACAAUAUGAGGCAAGCUGGGACAUACUCAGGAAUACUUUCUGGUGGUUUAUCGGGAAAAACUGGGCCUCACUCAUUGCCUUUGGCAAGAAUCAAGAAGAUCAUGAAGAAAUCCGGUGCCGAUGUGAAGAUGAUAUCCGGCGAGGCACCGAUUGUGUUCUCAAAAGCAUGUGAGCUCUUCAUUGAGGAUCUAACACAAAGGUCUUGGAUGAUGACCAUGCAAGGCAAGAGGAGGACACUUCACAAAGUGGAUGUUGCCUCUGCUGUUAUAGGAACAGAUAUCUUUGACUUUCUUGUCAACUUGGUGUCUAAUUCCAGCCACUCCAUGGAUAAUUCUGUGGAGAUAGAAACAACUUGCAAAUGAUAAGACCUUCAUCCCCUCCCAACAUCUCUCUGACUCAAAGUACAGACUUGAUCCACAAUUAAACUGUAUGAUCUCCAAAAUUACUUCCUCUACUUGAUCUACCCUAAGUAACAUGGUCGAUGCACUAGUUUUCUGGUAAAAUUAUUUUAAUAUACGUAUCUAUACGUAGAGAACCAACAAUGGUGGGGGUAUGUAUGUAACCUAGCCAUCUCUGUGUGCUUGAAUCAUUUUAUAUUGCAAAGUCUAAAUUUGAGCACACAUGAUGUCCAAAACGAAUAUUUUGUUGCUGUUGUUAAUCUUUUCCUCUCUUUUUUUUUCGUGAAAAACUUUGGGUCACCAACUGAAUACUUCUCAUGAUGUAGACCGAAAAUAUGCCAAAGUUAACAAUUAUAUUUUCUUGGCAAGGUUGCUCGCAUAGUAUUUCGAUGCAGCUGAAUUUUCUAUUUUAGCCAAAUUUUAUGGAAGUAUUUACUUUGGAGUUGGUGAUGAUGGCUUUAAGACGACAUUCUUUUCCAAAAAAAAAAAAAAAAGAUGGCAUAAUCAAACACACACACACACACACACACACACACACACACAUAUAUUCCUUUUGUUUUCUAUAUAAUCAAGAUACGUAUGUCUUAAGUUUAGUAUUGUUAUAGGAUCUGUAUUUUUUUCCUCAACUAUUUAGAGAAAAAAACAUUUGGUUAGUAAAAUAAUUUUUACCUCUCACAUAUAAUUGCAUUUUAAAUAUUAAUUCUGUAAAAAUUAAAAUAAUUUUUUUAUUUAUAAAACCUAAUUUUUAUUUAUUUUACAAGUAAAAAUUCAUCUUACACCAUAAAAUCUAUCACAACCAAAACACCACUUUAGUCCUACAAGACUCUACGCGUGGCUCACUCCUAUCUCAUAGGAGAAGUGUAAAGGAGAGUACUGUAGUUAUAGAAAAUGUUGUGGAACAGAUGAAUUUUAUCCAUUAUCUCAUAUAGAAAUCUUAAAGAGAUUAUUUUUCCCGUAAAAUCUGAUUAUGGCAAAAAUCAUGGUCUUUUGUUUUGGGUAAUAAGAGAUCGUAAAAUGCCAAGAGUUUUUGUUUCAAUCUAAUUUACAAAAAAAAUUGUUAUUACAUGUUGUCUGUAUAAAUAAACUCAGAAGAUGGGUCAUCUAUUAUUAAGAUAAUUAGAAAAACAGAAUUGACUGGUUUUCAACCUAGAAAUUCAAUUUUUAAUUUAUUAUUGACCCAAAACAUCUAUUCAACAUAUUAGAUACCGAUAAACUCAUGAAUAACCUUAAAAAACUAUAUUUAAACCUGAAAUAAACCCCAAAAUUAUAGUCAAUCUGGCAUUUUGCAUCCACUUAUGCAUUUCAUUCAUUUUAUAUGCAUUUAUUCAUGUUGAAAUAUAGAUCCCUCAAAAGACCAUAAAAUCCAUUACACUCGACUACGAAGAAAGAUAAUAUAGAAUGAAAAAAAAAGCAAUUGUAAUAACCCAAUUUUUCAAGACUUUGAGACGAAAAAAGGACGACUGUAAUAACUAAAUUUUGAAUUCUCCAAAAUUUUCUUGUAUAUUAUUUUAUCUUUAUUUUUAUUCGUAACAACAACAAAAAAAUUAAAAAAAAAUUAAAAAUAUAUUUUUAUUAGGUCAGUCAUUUUUUUUAUUAAAACCGAGUUCACUAGGUUAAUAUGAAUUAAACCUUCAGGUAAAAAUUGUUAUUUUCAACCAAAAUCAUCACACCAUAUUAAUAAGAGUCGAACCAUGUUGUUGGGGACAAAAAAUAAGUUAUAGGUGAACAGAAAAUUAAUAAUAAUGAUGUUUAAUUAACCAAAUGGAGAAUGGGUUAGGAGUCAUAUCAGCCAGGAUAAAAACGAGGUGCAAAACUGUCAGAAGUGGGAUUUGAACCCACGCCCUCUCACGAAGACCAGAACUUGAGUCUGGCGCCUUAGACCACUCGGCCAUCCUGACACUCCUUGUUAGUUGUAGCAAUUUAUUUAUCUUUGAUUAAAAUAACCAUGGAACCAUGGGUCCUUCAAGAGAUCACAUUUGGUCGAAUCAGCGUCUUUUAUUCUUCCAUGUUUCAAUUUACCAAUGAUGAAGUCACCGAUAUGCUUGGAUGUGGCAAUGAUUUAUCGGAAAACGGGUUGGAUGAAGUGACUCAACCCAUUAUAAAAUGAAAGCAGCAGGCUCAAUUUAGAAAAAAGAUUAUAAUAAACGAGUUGAUUUGACCAAAUGCUAGAACUUCAAGGGUAACUCGUAAUUUUCAUGUCUAUUCGGUUUUCACAUCUUUUCUAUUCUGGCUUGGAAAUCGAUAACAAAAAUGUUAAUGGUAGUUUCUCUUGGAAAUCCAAAAUAAUUAAAAAAAAAAACUAUAAGUAUUCCUUUUCAUUAUACAUCAAGACACAUGUUAUUGCUUUGGAAUAAUAAAAUAAUUAUUUUAUCAUUAAAAAAAACAUUAAAUUUAUUUAUUCUUUAGAAUAAUAUGGUUCUUUUUUAUGACCCAUAAGUUAUUUUCAGAUUGAAUGAAAAUAAAACAAUCUUUUUAUAUUUUUCAACACGAUAAAAUAACAGAAGUACUCUUAUAAACAAAAACUUUUAACUUGGCUAAUAGGUUUUUUUUUAUAUAUAUAUUUUUAGUUUUUAACUCACGGUAAAAUUACUCAUUUACUCUUGAAAGCAAAAUUUGGUAAAAUUACUCAUUUACUUUUGAAAUCAAAAAAUUUUGAACUAGAACCCAUGGUUUUUUCAUAUUUUCAUCCUGGUAUUUUAAUUUACAAUCAAGUUGACUAAGUUAAAAUUUGGUAUUUUAAUAAAUAUAAAAUAUUAUUUAAAAAUAAAAGUUGUGCACCUACAAGUGGCACACGCUUGUGCAUUUUAGGCAACCCCUCCAUCCCUAGGUGACGAGUGUGGAGACUUGUAGUGACCGAACAAUGGCUUCUGGGAUGAUAUUUGAAUUGUCAUGGCAGCCCCUCCAUUUCUAGGUAGCAUAUGUGGCAAACGAAUUUUUGAUUUGGCAUCAAUGGUCUUUUCUUUAAUUUUUUUCCUAAUUCACUUUUUACUCCUCAAUUUCCACGCCUAGGCUUCUAAUUUUUCAAACUAACCCUUUGAUUUAUUCUUCCUUCAUAUUUGAUUCAUUUUCUUUUGAUUACUAUUUAUUUUAUUUAAAAUAAUUUGUAAAAUUUGGAUUUUUUUUCAAUUUUAUCAUUCUUUAAUUUUUUUUCAUUUGUCAAUUUGGGUCCUCAUGUUUUUUAUUGCUAUUUAUUUUAUUUGAUGUAGUUUUUAAAAUUGAUUUUUUUAUGAUUUCACCCCUCUUUAGUUUUUUUUUUCCUAUUAGAUUUGAUUUUCAUUCUUUGGAUUUCUUUUUUUUUUUUUACAAAUGUUUUAAAUUGAUUUUUUUCAUUUUAUCUUUCAAUAUUAAAUUUAUUAGGAAUUGAACUUAUUGAUUGAAUACGGGGCUAAGAUUUCACAGGUUGCGAGUUUAGAAGAUUAACUCAGGUUUAGGAGAUUCACCUAGGUUGCUAGACAAAUUUUUAAAUUUAUAUAUUUUUUAUUUCAUCAUUCAAUAGUUGAGAAUUGAGCUUUUUGAUUGAGCAUGAAUCUAGGAUUCCAUGGGUUGCGAGUUUGGAAGAUUAACAUAUGUUUAAGAGAUUCACUCGGGUUUGGAGAUUGAGAUAUGCUAUUUUUUAUUUGCUUUAUAUAUAAUGUUUUACUAAUUUUGAAAAUAAACCGAGUUAUCUCAGGGUUUUUUUUAUUUGUCUUUAUUUGUUAAAUUUAGUUUUUUAAAAAGAAAUUUUAUUUUUGAAUUUAAUUGAUUAAAUAUAAGCAUAAGAUUCUCACUUUAUGAUAUUUUAUUUGGUUUGCUUUCAAGGUUGUUGCUUUGAUAGUACGAGUGGCCUUUUUCAGUAUCAUCAUGCAACGUUUCGCAGUGGUGUUAGAACCGUAUUGGUGAGCUAUUUUUAUGGUGGGGCAAUGUCUACAAUAAAGUAAUUGUGAGUCUCAAACAAGCUUUUCUUUCUUUUCCUUAUGAGUAUAAUAGUGGGAACUCAAAUAGUUCCAGUUUUAGUCCCUUAAAAUUAACUUAAUUAUUUUACAUCAAUAAAAAUUUUAUUUUAUUAUGUUAAAGCGAGCAUUAACUGAGUGCUGGAAUUUUUUUGAGAUAUUGUGAGAACCCCACAUCUAGGCAAACAAAACAAACAAAAAAGUCAAAUCUCAAGUAAUGUCAAAGUGAAUGGAUCAAAAUUAAAAAAAAGUUGAGUGAUAAAAAAAAAAAGACAAACUCUUUCCUUCAUUGUACAAAUUAGUCUAAGCCUUAAACUUGAUUUUCUAAAUUAGAAUUUUUUUAAACUAAUAAAAUUAAAUUUUAUUUUGCAAAACCAAGCAUCAACAUAGUGAUAUAAUAUUUCUUGAAUAUCCCAAGAUCCCUAUAAAAAUAUAUUAAAAACAAAUCACCUAUACCAAUCACAAAUCAAAAUAAUGUUAAAAGACCAAACAAGAAAAAAAAAAAGAAAUUAAGAAACCAAAGAGUAAAAAAUCCUAAUGGGGGAAAAAUGUUUCUAUAGAGUAAAAAAUCUACACCUUUUAAGUUAGUUUUUGUUAAUAUAUAGGAGCACACUUCCGUGAUUCCAAGCCCAAAGUAUUAUAAUGACAGCCUCUGUCAAGCACAGGGAACAUAAAUGACCACUGGGGCGCGCGCGCGCGCACACAUAUAUAUAUAUAUAUAUAUAUAUAUAAAUGCAUUUGACUAGUUUUAAUAUCUGACUUGAUCAGGAUAUUUGCGAGCUGAGAACCCACUCUCUAGCUUGCUGCUAGUUAUUAACUGCUUCUUUCACACAUUAAAAAACAGAAAAUUCAUCCAAGUCUGGUUAAUGAUGAUUUUUAUUUUCUCAUAAAUAGAGUGGCAACAGGCUGAAGUUAGGUUAUAACUAACCUAUUACAGAGAUUUGGUUACAUAAUUUACUCUGCAGUUACGUACACACGCUUCCAUAUGUGUUCUACAUCAAGACAGGGCAUAAUACUUGUAGGUGAAACUAACACCGUAGAGACUGUUUAAUUAAAACUACAUUACAUAGCAUGACAAUGCCUAUGCUGAGAACCAGCUGAAGAUUACACUUUCACUUAGGCCAUGAGCGACUAAAGACUCGUUCUCUAAUCGAAAUGAUGAUGGAUUAGUUUUUUUCUCUUCAACACUUCUCUUUCUUGAUUCCUCUUGCCUUUUUCCAGCAAUCGCAGCUCCCAUUUUCUCUUUUCUUCUCCGCAUAACAUACUCUUCAGGAAUAAAUACGUCCAUUAAUUGUAUCAGAAGAUGAUAAAAAACUUAAUUAGGUGAUGCGAAGUGUUACACUUGAGCCUGAAUGGGAAGAAAAAUCAUGUAUUUAUAGGGAAAAUGAAGUGGGGAUACCAUGGGCGUUGAUGCCCAUGUUUUUUCUUCAAACAAGCGAACACUUGUUAAUUUUAUGAAGUACAGUUACCUAGGUGAAAAGAUACAUGUUGGUUUCCGGGAAGUUUUUGACCUUAUUGCAUGCCGUGUAAGGCAUCGAGGGAGAAAGGGGAAAAGAGCAUGUGAAAGGGCUACAAUGUGUCUUAGAGACAUGUGUAAGUGAAACUGAAGGUAAUGCAUCCUGUUGUUCUUGUUUCCAGUUCUGUUUUUAUAUUCAGUUCAUGAGUUCUUUCGGUUAAUUUGUCUUCCCUGAGAACAUUUGUUGCUCAAGUAAAUUAUUUGUUAGUCCCUAGAUUUUGGAUGCAAUUAUAUGUUAGUCUUUCAUGUUCUAAAAUCUAUAAAUUAGUCUCACGACAGUUGACUCUUAUUGACUGCUUUCUUAUUACUGUUUCUCUAAGCGUUCACUCUAUUAAUUUUUCUUUAAUAUUAGGGUGCUGUUUGGUGCUGUAUUUAUAUUGUGUUUGAAAGUGCCUUUCAAAGUAUAUUUGUGCUGCAAAACAUAAAUUUGAUUUUUUUUCAUGUUUUCUCAUAGACUCCAAAGAGGAAAAGGAGUUCGGUAUAUAUGCCUUUGAAAAUCAGUCUGGGAAUACUGAGUUUGUUCAUCCUCAAAAUAUUCAUCACAGCAGAGCCUCUAAAAUGGCGCCAUAUGUCAGAAGAGAUCGAGUCAUAAGAGUAUUAACAGAAAAAAGGUGAUAUUGUAGUGAAAAUUCAAUCAGCAACAGCAACCCAUAUAUGUGUCUGACAAUGAUUCUCUGUCUGAUACCAUUAAUUCAUCAAUCAUGCGUUAAGACAGUGAUAAACAUGUUCCGUGCAGCACACUGAUUAAUCAACUCACAACUCUACUCAUGAGUGCAAGAAAGACGUGAAAAAGAAGAAGAAAGAAGAUUAUAGAAGGUGUCUUAUAAGUCAAAAGCAUUCGAUGGUCGGUUGUAUAAGAUAAUGUAUUUAAUUAUCUUGAAACAUCAUAAAAGGUGGCUUGAAGAAAAUAUUUUCGGAGCAGUUUAUAAAGGCUUAAAAAGUGAAGGAUUGUAUAUACUUUUUGGGAUAUAUUUGAUAUUUCAGAAGAUUUUUUUUCUUCUUUAACUUUUUAAAUUGGAGCUUUAAUUAACAUCCACUAAAAUCUUACUGAAUAUACAAAAUUGAUUAACUACGAAAAAUAUCUUUCCUCAAUUAAUACAUAAAUUGACAUGAUAAUACACUUGACCAUAAAAAAAAAGACUAGUUAAUUAAUUAAUUAUGAUAUAAAUAUAAAUGAAUCCAUAUUGUUUCUAAUUCAUCCUCGUAUCCUUAAUUGAAUCAAUUUUAUCCUUAUAACAUGAGUGAAUUUUUCAUUUAUUCUUCUGCUAACUUUUUUCAUCUAAAUUAACUAAAUCAGUAAUCAAAAUAUUUAAUAUUAUAUUGAAAAUGGCCUUUGAGUUCUAUGAACUUUCCAGUCAUAUGUUUUUUGUCUGAUAAAUAGAAGAUUGUUUUUUUUUUUAAAAAAAAUAGUAAUCACACAAGACAAUACCUUUGUUCCCCUUUGAAGCCUCGUUUCUCCUUCUAUAUCUCUUCGGUGACCCCCUCAUGCACUUGAGUUGUCAUUUUUUAUAUAAUAUUAAGUCAUGUGCAUGACUAAUUAUAUAAAUUUGGGGGAAGAAGUUAAAAGAAUGAUAGAUUGGAAAUUUGGUUAUUUUAUAAGGAUAAAACAGCCUCAAUUAAAAUUAUAAUAACAUAUUGAAAACUCAUCCCAUAUAAAAAUAUAUGCUAGAUCUAGUCACUCUUAAAAUAUUCAUAACUCUCAUUUUUUGCUACACAUUAUAUUUUUAUAUAACACAAGAAAAAAUAAAGUGACCUUAAAAAUUGAACCAUAUGAUUAUGGGAUCCAUUGGUGGUUUUGACUAAUCUAGUGGCUUGCAUUUUUUUAAUCUACUCUCAUGGAUGCACAUUUGUUUUUUUUUUUCAAAGGAAAAAAAGCUUUGCCCACCAAACAAGCUACCUCCCCUGCAAGAAAAAUAGGAACCUCAUACCAAGUUUGUUAAAUAAUCAAAAGAAAUAAACUUUCUUGAAUCCAAAAAAUAUGAAAUAAUAAAUAUUGGGUUCAUACUCAAUAUAAAAUAGGAGUUGUCCCUCGCAAACCUUGAAAUCCAAAGCGAUAACAUCACCUUCAAGCCAUUGAAUAUGCUUAGGAUAAGCCUAAAAAUUAUAUAGGUUAAAUAUCGAUAUUAUUCUCCUUUUUAAUAUAACACAAGAAAAGAAAAUUUGAGAAAGAAAGAAAAAUAUGAUUUAGAAUAAGUGUAAGCUAAUGGAAGCAGGGUUCAUUAUAGAAGUAAUGUACCCCGGAUGGCUAGAGAACAUUGUCAUGGUUAACAAAUCCAAUAAAAAAUAAAGGAUGUGUGUUGAUUUCACAUACCUCAACAAGGCAUGUCCCAGUGACAACUUCAUCUUUUCUAAAUUGACCUACUAGUGCAUUAGACAACUAGCUAUUCAUUUCUAAGCUAUUUGGAUGCCAAUUUAGAAUAUUAACACAUCCACAUGCACUUAAACAAUGAAGAAAAUACUUAUUUCAUCAUUAACAAAGGGAUGUACUACUAUAAGGUCAUAAUUUUCUAGUGAAGAAAACCAGAUCCAAAUAUUAAAUAAUGUUUACCAAGAUCUUUAAGGACCAAUUAGGAAGGAACAUUGAAACAUAUAUAGAUGACAUAUUGGUAAAGAGCCCCACUUUCGAGUACCACCUUCAAAACUUACAAUAUGUUUUCUCUAUUCUUCACCAAUAUUGGAUGAAACUCAAUCUAUUAAAGUGCACUUUUGCUAUACAAGGAGGAGAAUUCCUAGGAUUUUCUGAUAAGGAUAGAGCCUAAUUCUAAAAAGAUUACAACCAUUAUGGAUAAAGUCCUCCUCGGUUGGUCAAAGAAGUUUAGAGACUAACUGGUCGAGUGGCAACCUUGAAUAAAUGUGUAUCUCAAUUUGGGGAGCUUUGCCUCCCACUUUUAGAACAUUGAAGAAUGUGUCCAAUUUUUAGUAGACUAUCAAGUGCAUGAAAGCCCUCCAAAACCUAAAGUCUUACCUUUCUUCUUCAAGAAUUUUAUCUCAACCUAAAAAAACAGAAAAACUAUUCCUUGAUCCAGGGGUAAUAGAUUUAGUUGUGAGCGAUGUUAUGGUUAGGAAGGAACACAAAGUUCAAAGACCUGUUUACUACACAAACAAAAUCUUUCACAAUGUUGAAAUUAGAUACUUGAAAAUUGAAAAAGUGGUUUUGGUGCUCGUUGUUAUGAUCCAUUUUGACUCUUUAUUUUCUAACAUAUUUCUAAAAUUACAAAAAUAUCUUUUCAAUGAAAUUCAGUCAAUUUAUGAUUAUUUUAUAAUUUUUGGCACGUUUAUUUAUUUUAUUUUAAAGAAAAAAUAUUAUUUAUUAAUCAAUUUAAAAGGCAAUGCUAUCCACUAUCGAAAAAAGAGUUUUAGAUGGUCACUUAAGCAUCAUUUUACUUGAGAGAUUCUAAUAGUUCAACUUUUAGGUCUAAUAACAACAAAUUAGACAACCUUUAUGGUUGUAAAGAUACUUUUUAUGCUCUACCAUAUCUCUUAACCAACAUUUUCUUAAUAAAUUGUAUUAUUUUAUAAAGAUUAAAUUGAAUGAUACUAAGUAUUUGUUUCUUAAAUAUAACAAAAGAUAUUUAUUUGGAUUUUUCACUUCCUUGUUAUGACUAAAAUUUCUGUUAACAAAGGAUAUUAACAUUAACAAAGAAAUUAACAAUAUUUCAUUAUGCAUCUAAUGGUCAUUUACUCUCAUAUUAGUAUUCAUUUUACUAAUUUUCUUCCUUGUUCCCUCAGGUAUUUUGUUAUCUUUACUAUGGUCAUCAAAAAAUUAUUCAUGAGAAGUAAUCUUGUCAUGGCUUUAUGUUUUUUUACUCAUUUUGACUUGAAUGCUCUCAUGAGUUCGAGGUUUUAGAGAACAUUUUAUCAUUAAAUGAAAGAUCAUUUUUUCAAGAUAUAUUGUAAUUUUAUUAUAUUUAUUAUAAAAAUAUUAAGAGAAGACCAAAAUUAACAUAAACAAAAAAACAAAGCCUUUUUUUUUUCUUGCAUUGUUCAUAAAGCAUGAAAAACCUAACUUUAGUUCCUUAAAUUUUUUUCUUUCUUUAUUUUUGGUCCUUAUUAUUUAUGAUUUUACAUUUCAAUCCUAAACUUUAUUUUUUUAGUUUCAUCUUUUGGAUGUUAAAGGAAAAAAGAGAAAGUCACCAAAACAAGAAAGAGGAGAGAAAGAAUUUGGUCAUCAUAAAAGGUCGAGCUUUGUGUUAAUAAGUUUGUCUUGGAGAUGAAAAUUAAAUGAAAAUGGUUUUACAUUUGAACAUCCCAAAAUAAGUGAAUCGGUCAUGUAAAAGUUUUUUUAUUCGAUUGGAUUUUAGAUUUUUAUCGUGAUUAAAUGAUGUUUUAAGAUUAUAAAUGAGUUUAUUGAGAUUUUUAUGAUGUUUUUAAAGUGUUUUCAAGUGAAAACAAGUUGAAAAUUGUAUUUUUUUUAAUCUAAAAACUCGAACUAUGCUUUUCCAGUCAUUGGAGGUUAACGAAAAAAAUUAUAAAGAAUAACAUGUCGUCUACAACUACCAAGGUGGACAACACAUCAUCAGUCCAUUUAAAAUAAAAGAACCUGGCAUGUCGGCCUGACCUUCAACACUCAGACAUGCCUAGGCUUUUACUUUUUAAGCUAGGCUCACAUGCCUAGCCUUCCAUGCCCAACAACUCCUAACAUUUUUUUUAAUUACUAUCACCACUCUCAUUUUGUUUCAAUUGUUAUUUUUUAAUGGCAAUCGGUUUUUUAAAUGGUUUUUAUAAUCUCAUAAUAUCUUUAAGAUAUCAUUGUAAUUUAUUUUUGAUUUUUUCCUGAUUAGAUUUAAAAUAGAUUAGUUUUAUUUGCAUUAUGCAUUUAUAAAAAUGAAAAUUAUAUGUACUUAGCAACCAUAAAUAUUUUUAAAGAUAAGUAAAAGAAAAUAAAAAAGAUAACCUAUGUGCAUUUGUAUCUAUCUUUUAAUUCUUAUUUUAGAAUUAACUUUUCAUUUUAGUCUUUAAUUUGCAUUCACAAAUCUUGUUGAUUUAUUAGAUAAUAUAUAUAUAUAUAUAUAUAUAUAUAUAUAUAUAUAUAUAUAUAUAUAUUCAAAACUAACUUGGAAUUUUAUCUACAACGUAGGUGAAUAUUACCUUCUAUACUAAAAAUACUGGGUUUUUUUAGGAAGUUUCAUUAUUCAUAUAAACAAUGAAGCUUAUCCUUAGAUAAAGGAGGUGUCAUUCUAUUUUAAUCAUUAGAUCAAACAAUAAUCCUAAUAAUUUAUCAAACUCAAAAAUUAAAAUCCAAUUAACUAGAUCACCAAACAAGAAAAACCCAUAAAUCAAAUUAGACUAAAAGAAAAUGCACUAAACUAAUUAACCUCAGACUUGCAUCCUAUUAUCUUAUCCAAUGAAGAAUCUCUAUAGAUUCAAUCAUUCAAAAAUUACCUUCUUAUCAUAGAUAAAAUUCAAAAAGUCCAAGGGACUGACACUAUUAAAACACAUAUCCAAAAAAUACACAUAAAAAAAGUCACAAUAACACGACAAAUAAGAAAAUGGUGUUAUUUCAACUCUAUUAAAGAAUCUUAGAUCUUCUCCAAACUGAACAAAAUAUAGAAGAUUUUGAUCUACCGAGUCACUCUCUCAACAGCUAAAAAAAUUAAUGAGUUUUUAUUUUUAGUAAGAUAGAGAAAGAUUAUAUUUUUAUUUAUGCUAAAGAGAAAUAUGGACAGGGGGAUGUGAGAAUACUAGAUAAAAAACAUUUACAUUGUAUAAAUGACCUUUUAAUAACAGUGACGUAAAACUCUUUUUUAUUCUCUACCUUUUCCCUUCACCUCUCUCUCUCUCUCUCUCUUUCUCUCUCUAAAUAUUUUUAUUAUUUUUUCAAAUAAAAAAAGAGGUAAAAAAGGCUUAGGAGGUAUGGACCUAGCAUCCAGGCGCAUGAUCUUAUUCUUUAAUUUUGAUAUAAUUCUUAAAUAAUAUAUAGAUUUUUAUUAGAAUGGUCACAAUUCUUUUUAAAAUUAUUAUGUAUCUAAUAAUAAUAAUAAUAAUAAUAAUUAAAUGUUUUUUUAUGGUAAAAAAAGUUAAUAAUAUAUAUAUAUAUAUAUAUAUAUAUAUAUAUAUAUAUAUAUAUAUAUAUAUAUUAGCUGAAAAAAGUUUUGUUCAAUUCAUCAUCGUAGGUGCACCGUCACUAGCAUCCCCUAAAUGACUUGCAUUUAAAUGAAGAACUCGAUAGCCAUGAUGAGCGUCUAAUCGACCGCUACAUCUCUUAUUCUUGAAGACUUCAAUGAUGAGCGUCUAAUCGACCGCUACAUCUCUUAUUCUUGAAGACUUCAAUUCACAAAAAUAAAAUAAAAUUAUGAUGCGAUAUAUAUAUAUAUAUAUCACUUUUUUGUCCCUACCCAACUUCCAUUUGUACCCACCACCAUCUAGGACUCUGACUCUCCAGCUAUAUUUAUAGCAGUCCUUUCUCUUUUAGAUGGUGAUCUUGAUAGAAUUUUACCUGAAGUAUUUGGUGACAAUUGUCUUCGUACAUGGGUUUCCGGGUCUUGGUGGCGAAAGUAAAAGACUUCGUUAUGGGGGAGAAGGAGCCCAGGAAAGCUGAAUCUGAGGGAGCUUCUCUGCCUACACAAGCUGAAGAACAUGGACCUGUUAAAGAAGAGAAAGAAGCCCCUUUAAAUGAUUAUGCUAAUGAGAAGAGCUCGGUCCUGGUUACUGAAAGUAUGUCCUCUCCUUAUUCUUCUCCUUCUUUGCUUUCUGGUUCCUCCUGACAUAGAGAGGAUAAGGAAAGUUCGUAAAUUGAUUUUUCAUGAAAGUUGAUGGCUUGCAAUUUUGAAUAUCUCAAGCCCGACUUAACAAUUGAAUGUUUCUCUAAACAUGUUAUAACAAGGCCCUUAAUUGUAUGAUUGAAUCUUCGAUGUGUCAGAGGUUGCAGAUCCACCUGCUACUGCAAAAAACUCAAGGGGGCCAAAUGACAGAGGUAUGCGCAGGCUACUAUGUUAAUCAAAAUUUAUAUCUUUCCUAUCAACAGAUAACAAGUACUUGUAUCAUUUAUCAGAUGCUGUGCUUGCGAGGGUUGAAGCGGAGAAAAGAUGUGCUCUAAUUAAAGCAUGGGAAGAAAAUGAGAAAGCUAAAGCGGAGAACAAGUACGAGACCAUCUCUAAUGCUUUGAAUUGUCCAUCUUUUAGUAUUGGUAUAAAGUAGGCCUCCUCACACUGGGAUUUCAAAUCUAGCAUAAAAACAUGCUUGAAAUGAUUCAGCUUCAAUCUGUUCAUCGAACAAGCUACUAGCUCUUAGUUUAACAAGAUUGCACUAUAUAUAACUUUGCUAGUGUCUGAAGUUCUCCUGAAUUAGAAUUUUACUGCAUGGAAAGUAAAUUCGAGCCAGGAAUUGACCAGCUCUUUGGUCAUCCAAUAUAAAAUAAUGUAUUUGGAAGUCUCUGAGAUUGAGUCUAGGCGUUCAACCAUUUUAGGCUAUAAAAAUGUAUACAUUCAGAAGAAAUUUAAUUUCUGAACCAAACCAUACACUGUUAAGCUAUUAAAUUACCGAGGAAAGAAACUCCAUUACAAUUGCCAUAGAAGUUAAGUUUAUUGUCAGCUCAUGCUCCAGAUAUGUAAAUACAAACAUGCUCAUUAAAUAUCUGGAUGUAUGUGUGUGAUACUUGAUAGUUUUGGUUAGGUUUCCGUUUUCAAACGUUUAUAGACUUGUUCAAUACACUCUUAAGGUCCAUCUUUGAAGACUCGCGCAAUGUCCUCUUUAAACAAGGAUUUGUGCAUUGAAUCAGUCUUACAAGUUAAAAUGUUAAACUUGGCUUUAUAAAGCUUUCAGUUCCUACUCGAUGAUGACCUUCAGACCUUGUUUCUGAGCAAGUUGUACACGCUGAAUUUUCAAAUAGGGCUCACAAGAAACUCUCUGCCAUUGGAUCAUGGGAGACAAUCAAGAGAGAAUCUGUGGAGGCAAAAAUAAAGAAGUAUGAGGUAACAAACUUAAUGAAUUGAAGUAUCAACUGCUUGUUAUAGCAUGACUAAUCUUCCUUUCCACUUAUAAAAACUGUACAGUUCAAAGUAAUUAUGUAAUAUAUAUUCUUGCAAAAAACUAUUUCAAUAGUGUCUUGAUUAAUUUGUGAUAUGGUAGGAAAAAGUGGAAAAGAAGAAGGCUGAAUAUGCAGAGAAAAUGAAGAACAAAGUAGCCGAACUCCACAAGGCAGCCGAGGAGAAGAAAGCAAUGAUUGAAGCAAAAAAAGGUGAGGACCGUCUCGAGGUAGAGGAAACUGCAGCGAAAUUCCGAGCAACUGGGUAUACACCAAGGAAGUGUCUUGGAUUCUUAAGUGUCUAAGAUGUUUUGGCAAAUUCUAAUGAACAACAGUGGGGUAAACGGGAGAGAAAAGGCUGCUAGAAUUGGAUUUGCUUGAUUUUUUGGCUUGUUAGUUUAUGCUGUGCUCAAAUAUUGUUGGUUCAGCUGUAAAUGUCUUUUGAUAUUUGUAAAAAACAGUAAAUGGGAGUGCAUGCGUUACAUUACCCAAGUUCUGACAAGACCCGAGUUUGAAUUUGAUAUUUUCUUUUGUGUGAGCUGAAUCCCUAGUUAGAAAAAGAAAAAAAAAGUGAAAUAAAUCAUUUGUGUAUCUGUAGUUCUGAAGAAUUUGGUAACACAACAAUUCAAGGUCUUUAAUUUUGUGCAGUGGCUGCAUUUUUCACACAUUAUUUGCUAUGGAUCAUACCAACUACUUGCAGCUCAGGUUUUCUGGUAUGACAAAUGUGCCACCCAUCACCCAAUUUACUUGCUUCUUAAGCUGACAUUCUCAACCACCCCAGAAUACUUGGUAAAGAAGGAGAGGCAGAGUUUGUAUGUGAAUGAGAUGUCAAAGACUGAAACCUUUUCGAAUUUCAAUUUUUCAGAUAAACUUUUCAUGAUCAAUAUUCGCUACAUUUGUGAGCUGAUAAUAGAUAAUUCCAUUCUACUUGUAGCAUAAUCAAUUAAAUGUGAGGCUAAUAUCAUCAUGUCAACAGGAGAUACGAGGCCUAAUAUUACGCCAAUAAUUUUCUUUAUUCCCUUUCCAAGUUAAAUAAGAAUAAGUUAUGAAAAAAAUUCCAAGAAGCAAUACAUGAUGUCCCUAAUGCCUUAAAUCUUUAUAUGAUGCCCACGGCUGCAGAAGAAAAUCUGUGCAAUUACAACUUAUCCGUUUAUUUUGAUAACUUUCAGCACUCAAUAUAAUCCUAGUACAGACCACGUCUGUGCACAUUGCUUGCAGCAUUUUAUAUAUAUAGAAUGUAAGCAGAGACUCUUGAAUUGUUGGCCUACAAAUUUUGGAAUCAAAUUGAUGCUAACAUAGUAUUUUGUUGUCAUGUACACACGAUUUUUGACAGAUAGGCUGCUAGAUAUAGUAAAAAAUCUAUUUGGAGACAGCUGAGUUGUCUACCACAUAACAAGAGGAUUGCAGUUGUAUUUGUUACCUCCUGUCUGGACUAUCUUUGAAAGACUUGGUCAGGAAAUGUUUCAGAUCUAUCUGUAACAGCCCACUAUUCUUAGAACGGUACCCUGCAAGUUCCAAGAGAUAUAGACCCUGGAUCACAUUAGCUUAAAUAAGCGGUUCAAGUCUUUUUCUCCAUCCAUUGAACAUUCAUUUUAUUGACCUUUAAUCUGCUAGUUAUAAUACAGGAAAGGUGAAAGGUAAGAACAGAUUUUCUAAGUUCUGUUUAUCUUAACUUCUGAGAUUAAGAGCCGAACUUUCAGAAUUUGUUCUUAAAACUUUCCCAUUAAAGCUUUUCUAAGCAACCCUUCUGAAAUCAGAUUCUAUACUGCUCAUUUUAGAUUCAUCAGGAAAAACAUAAUGGGAUUCACUGGGACCUUAGAGAAAUGCAAGGCCUGCGACAAGACUGUUUAUUUCAUCGAAUUGGUGUCUGCUGAUGGAGUUCCUUAUCAUAAGAAGUGCUUCAAAUGCAGCCACUGCAAUGGACUUCUUGUGGUACGAGUUCUAUUCAUUUAUCCUCUUUUCUUUUUCAUGCCUUUUCUUUUGUGGUUAUUGCCUAAGUAAGAAUUAAUGAAAAUACGGUCCUUUACCAGGAUUAUUGAAACUGACCCACCAUGAAAUUUGUCUUAUAGAUGAGUAGCUAUUCCUCGAUUGAUGGAGUUUUAUACUGCAAACCUCAUUACGACCAGCUCUUCAAGGAGACCGGUAAUUUUACCAAGAAAUUCCAACCCUGUGAGAUCCGCUUCUCCGUUUUCCUUUCGUUUAAGUUUCUUUUACAUAUUUUUGGAAUUAGAGUUCCAUGGAGAAGGAUGUAGUCCUCCCUAUUUUACCUUUUUUUUUUUUUGCUAACAAUGUGUUUCUGCAAUUCUGACUGUUUAGAUGAAGAGAAGAAAAACUGCCUGGUACCAAGAUUCUUUACAAUCGGUUCUUAAUUUUUCAUUACCUUAAUUUGUUUCUAAUGGAAGUUUCUAGUUUGUUUGCUGGAGUUUGAUGCAUGUUUUCACAAUCAUGCAGACAAAGGCCCCAAGCAAACUUUCCUCCAUGUUCAGUGGCACCCAAGACAAAUGUGCUUUCUGUAAAAAAACUGCAUACCCAUUAGAGAAGGUUUCUAAUCCAUCUCUCUCUCUCUCUCUCUCACACACACACACACACAAUUCUUAUUUCCCCAUUCACCAUUCAUUAACAUUCAUUCCUCGUCCAUCAUAUAUAUAUUUGCGCAACUCGAAUGGAAAUGCAAAAGACAGAGUAACUCUCAUUGAUAUCUAUAUUGUACCUUAAUCUGGCACCAAUAUAAUCUCAUGCACCAAGAUCAACUCCGGAAAUAGAUUGAGAUCAAUAUUAUAUGAUGGAGUGAGGAUAAAGAAGCUUAUUGCCGUAACCAAAAUUUUGACAGGUGACUGUGGAGGGAGAAUUCUAUCACAAGUCAUGCUUCAGGUGUUCUCAUGGGGGUUGCUGUAUCACACCUUCUUCUUAUGCAGCUCUUGAUGGUAUCCUAUACUGCAAGGCCCACUUUGCUCAAUUGUUUAAGCAGAAGGGUAGCUACAGUUAUCUCACCAAAACUGCCACAAUGAAGAAAAACGCAGUAAAUUUGCCAGAAGAAAAAUCCGAAGCAGCAGAAAACAAUGAAACAGUACCAGAAGCAAACGCAGAUGCUAACUCUGAUUUAGCCAUUGACAAGAGACAUCAUAAUUCAUGAGAAUCUGCAGAGCUAGUUCUCAAUGCUGUGUUGUUCCUUUCACAUGCCUCUCUAGGGGACAUUGAGGUUACAAGAGUGGUUGCUUUCCUUGUUCCUACUCAGGCAUGUGUCAACAGAGAAUGGGAACCUGGAAUUUUGUUUCGCCUUGGAAUUUGGAAACUAAAUAGAGACUUCUGUAAUAUUUCUAUUUUGCAGGUGCAGUUGAUGAACGAAAAUAAAAUUUCACUUCUUUCUCUUUUGUCUUUAAAUUUCUUCAUCAAUAAAAAAAAAUGGUCCUUGAAGAUGAACAAAACCAUAUUAACACGGGAGAAAUCUAGACAUUGUUAAAGAACGGUCGACGACAUGAGUUUCCUUUGGCUCUUACACUUGCUACAAGACUGACUUUAAUUUUUCCAUAUUCAUUUGUCAUUGGAAUUACAAAGUUGUAACUGCAUUAUUGCCAACCUUUUUUUUCAAGUAAUGAUACAUGAAAUAUUGGAUGAAUUGUAGCCCCCUCUGGAAACCGCAGUCCAUAAGUCAUUGCUCCAACUCUUUGUAUAAUCUUGCAAGUGCCAUAAAUUCUCAGAUUAAGCUUGAUAUUUUUCCUUAGUGCUACACUCAAUUGAUUGUAAGCAUGUGAUUUCAAGCACACCAAAUCUCCCACCUAAAACUCUCUUUCUAUAUAUCCUGCCACUUGUUUCAUCAUGUCCCUGGCCUUUUCCAGUUAAAAUUGCAACCAUUGAUCCAAUCUAGCCCUUUAUUGAAUCACCUUCUUAAUGUUGCUACUGGAGUAGUUGCUUGAGAAUUAACCUCUACAUUGGGUGAAGGAUAACCAUGCAAUGAUUGAAAAUGGCUCAUUUUAAUGGAUAAAUGAUAGCUAGAAUUAUACCAUCAUUGAAACUAAAGACAACCAUUCAUGUCAUCUGCUUGGAUUAUGCAUGAUCAUACACCUUAAAUAGGUUUUAAGACAUUGAUUAACCCUUUCUGUUUAUCUGUCAUUUUAAGGAUAGAAAGAUGAGUUAACCCCUAAUAACUUAAACAAUUCUUUCCAAAAUAUACUAAUGAAGAUUUUAUCCCUAUUUAUCACAAUACUCAUAGAUAAACCAUGGAACUCAUGGAACUUAUAGAUGUAAUCUAAAAACAACUAAGCAAUUUUCUAAGCUGUAAAAGGAUGAGCUACAGCUAAGAAAUAUCUAUAUUUAGUGAAUCUAUCCACUAUAACCGAUAUUGUAUUCUUUCCCCUUAAUUUUGGCAAGCCUUCGACGAGAUCCACGAUUAUAUUUUUUCAAAUACCUUCUGAUAUAUAUAGGUAGCGGUUGAAGCAAUCUAGAAUAUAAUACCCUUUCUUUUUUGGCUUGCUAACGCACAUCAUAUUCUUCCAUGAAUUUUCUCACCAAGGCUUUCAUAUAAGGCCAAUAUUAAAACUUAGCCCUGAGACUCUUAUAAGAAAUAUGCACCCCUGUAUGUCAUUUAACAUGCGAAUCAUAUACAAGACUUAUAAUUCUAUUAAGAUUUUUUAAUCCUUUGUAAUGUUCACUCAUAGCUUUAAACCUUAAUUAAAAUUGCAUCAAAUCCAUCUCUCAUGUUAUCGAAUUAGAUUAUAAUUCUAUAAAAAAAUUUUAAUUCUUUGUAAUCUAAUCUUUACUUAUCAGGUGCGAUUACUCUUGUGAUAUUUAUAAUUAUUAUAAAAGUAUAAGUGACAAUUAAUUAUUUUUGUCAUGUGAGUCAUUAAGUGAAAUGUUUGAUCUUGAGCUUUGAAAAAGAUUGUGAAAAUUUUGAUUUUGACCCAUAAAAAAUAUUGUGUAAAGUUUUAUAAUUUUAAUCUCAAAAAAAUAUUAGUAUAAUCAGGUCUCAUGUAUUAAAAUAACUAUGAGUUAAUAGUAAAUAUUUAAAUGAAAAUUUAAAAUAAAUGGAGCAAAUAAUUGUCGAGUUAUUAUAAAAAUGAUAUACUUGUUGAAUGAGGAUUCAAUAAGUUUCUCACGUAUUAAGAAGAACAUGUUAACACAAUCCACCUUUAGUUAGAUCACUUGAAAGAGGAUUGGGAUAUUCUUAAAAAAGAAAAGAAAAGAAAAGAAGGAUCGUCAUGUUCAUGAAAAAAAUACUUAUUUAUUAAUUACUUGCUAAUGAUAUUGUAUAAUUGACCUGGUGCGAAAUUCAUAAAGAAAAAAGGUGAGAUAAAUAAUGUUUUUUUUCUCAUAAUUUUUAGAUAGACUAUGCCUUUCAAUUCAUUUAUAGAAUGGGUUAAUAGAUAUAAGAUUCAUGGACAAAAUAAUGUAUGAAUUUCAAAUAAUUUUUGUACUUAUUAAUAUAAUUAAUGAAUUAAGUGGUACGCUGAAUUCAUUUAAUAAUUUUUCACAUGAUGUUUUUUAAAAUAACCUAUAUAAUUAUCUGUAAAAAAGAAAUCAAACAUCAAUAUGCAUAAAUAUAGAUAUUUUGAGAGUAAAAUAGUAAUUUCGUUUGAAUUCUUACAUAUUCUUAAAAAUAGACGAAGCACAUUAAAAGUUAAAACUAUAUAUAUAUAAAGGAUACAGUGGUCAACGUGGUACAUUGACCAGUAAUCCUAGGUUGAUAAAUAGAUAGAUUGUCAUGCCUUCUGUUUUAAGGGUGUCGUGUCGUGUCUGGUCACAGACCAUUUGAAUGAUGAAUCAUGUCCAUCCCUCCCUUCAUGGACCAAAAUACCCCCUCUCUCUUCACGAUAUUCCCUGACAACCCUCAACUUGUCCCUCUCUUUUUCACUUGCUUCUACUUCAAGUGCCACUAUCUCACGAGAUAACUGCUACUCCUUUUUUUUCAAUCGAACCCCUCCCUUUCUUUCUUCUGCUGCUUUCUUACUUAUAUACUGAAAACUAAAAGAGAGAGGGAGGGAGGGAGAAAUGGGUGUAGGCACCAGCAACUUUGUGAUUAGAUGGAUCAACUUUCUCACCAUGGUAAGCUUUGUUUCUUUUCCCCUUUCCCUUUUUGUUCAUCUUUAUUUUGAUUUAAGCUUUCGAGUCAGAUUCGAUGCUACAUUGUUAACUGGCCCUUCUGCUUUUUAUUUCUUAUUAUUCUUCUGGCGUUGCUGAUUAUUUUGCAAAGGGUGGUUUUGUUUCUGGGAUAUAAUAAGUUGUUCAUUUUUACGAGGGUUAUAAUUAUUUGAAGUUUGCUUCUUUUGGGGGGUCUUUGUAAUUGUUUGAUUUUUGCAGUCAUGUCUGCUAUUUUUGUUUAAGAUCAGGGUGCUUUUCUAUCUGCUUUCUUUCUUACACUGAUGAUUAUUGUUGUUCUUGGUUAUGCUGGUAACUGGUUGUCCAUGGUAAUUGGUUUAUAACAAGUGUACAUGGUAUCGUAUUAAAGUUUGUUCCAGAAUAACGAGUUUGCUCUAGUUCAGUUUUUUCUAUUUGGCUUAAUUUACUUGCAAUCGAAGUGAAUACUAUUUUUUUUUUUUUUUGUUUAUACUGUGAGUUUAUGUGUGUUUCAUCCUCUCAUUGCGUAGCUUUUAGCUAUAGCUGUCAUAAUUUUUGGGGUAUGGAUGAGCACACAUCAUGACAGUUGUCGAAGGUCUCUUACUCUCCCAGUGUUGGGCCUUGGUGCUGUCAUCUUUGUAAUGUAAGUUCAAAUUUUCUACUGUCAGCCUUCUUUUACCUCUUGUGCAUUUACCUUUAACAGCUACUGAUGCAACCUUUUGUUGAUGUUUAGAUCAAUAAUUGGGUUCUUGGGCGCCUUGAAGAGCAACUCCAUACUGUUGUGGAUUGUAUCCUUACUAAAUGACCAAUCUUUUAUAUUUAUUUGCUUGAAUAUUGAUCUGCGUUCUUCAUUUUUUUCUUUUAUUUGUUGGACAUCCCUUAACUACUAUUCACUUUCAGUAUCUGGUUAUGUUGUGUAUCAUUUUGGUGGCAAUUCUGGUUUUCACAGUAUUAGCGUAAGUGUUUUGUUUUUCUGGCUUAAUUUUGGUUAUAGCGCACAAGCUCAAGUAUUUUCCCUUUUUUAAGGUAGAUAACAAACUAUGCGGCAACAUUUCAGGUUUGAACUUGACAAUGUCUGUCAAUAGUUUGUUGUCUUUUCUAGUUUUCCCAUUGAUUUGCUUGUUAAACAUGACUCUUGCUCAUUUAUCCUAGUACUUCUGUUGCUAUUGUCUUCGAAAUAAGGUCAUUUUUUCUAUGCAUUAUGCCAUGAGGUUUAGGUAUACAUCAAUUUCAAACAGAUAAGAUAGAUUGAUUGAUUAGGCCAAAUUGACUAGAACUUAUGCGCUCCCACCAUGUUUAAGCUGCUUUUGUAUUCUGCUAAGAACCAAUAUUAAGUGUGGUGAGCCACAUUUGUUAGAAAAAUGAGAUUUUUUUUUUGGCUCUAGUGGAUACUUAAUUUUUAGGUUGAGGUCCAAGAUCCUUGAUUUAAUUACAUGCCAUCUCAGCUCCAAUGGUCUAACUUAUUGAAAUGGCCGGAUUUUGAGUUGAGCUUGGAGAUAAUGUUGAGGGUAAAUGUGCUGGUAUUUGGUGGAGUUAAAUUUGCAGUUAUCACAGUGGAUUAAGUCUAGCAUACAAUGCAUCAGUAAGGAAAGUGAAAAACUUGGAAUAUUUAGCUAGAGAAGCGGUAACCAUACUAGUUAAAGAUGCAAACAAGGAUGGGUUGAAAGAGAAUGAGAUAAAGGAAAUCUCUUGUAUUUGAACCUUUUCAAAUAAUCUCUGAUUUUGGUGCAACCAGGCUUCUGUUUUAUGUUAAUUUAAAAGAAAAAUAUCUCUCUCUUAAUUGGCAUUUUCUCUCUCAUUAAAAGUAAGUCUAAUCCAUCUCAGCUUGUCCUCUGUGUUGUUUCAAUUAAUUACCAUGAUCUCUACAAUGCUAAUAGAUACACCUUCAACAACAAAAAAAUAAAAAUAAACAGAAGAAGAAGAAGAAGCGAUGUGGAGGGUAACCGGUGGCCAUAAUGUAAACUCGUAACAUAGCAAGAAUGAUGCUUCCAAUUCUAUCAACUAAGUAAAAAGGAGUUUUCAUCAAUCUUUUCCACUUUUAUGUUACCAUACUGUUUCAAAACCUUCAACUUCUUCUCUCAACGUGUUUAGCAUUUUUCUUUUGAGUUUGGAAAUCAUACUUAUAAUGCUCCUUGAUUUUGUGAUUUUUCCUGUAGGUUUAUUAUAACUAAUAAUGGAUCUGGUCAUAGUGUCCCUGGUUUGAGGUAAGAAACUUGUAAUCUAGGAAUCAAGCAACUAUGCUUAUAUAUUUUGUUCUGCUUUUGGGUAUCUGUUCUUCAAAUCCGUUGUUCUUCAUCUUGACCUACCGCACCCUCAACCUCUCUCUCUCUCUCUUGCAGUUGGGUCAGAUGUUAGUCUUUCAACAAAAUGCUUCAGAUGAUUAUUUUUGUGAAAAAAAGGCUUUACUCAAUUUUUAGAUGAUAAUUGAGCUAUAAUAGCCACUUUCUUUAUUGAUUCUCAUAUACUUUGUUAGCUGGGGUUGUUAUGGUGCAGCUACUAAUACUUUCUUGUCUGGCUAGAUACAAGGAGUAUCAACUUCAGGAUUACAGCUCAUGGUUUCUUAAACAGGUAAAGACUUUGCCUUCUAUGCUAUUUGUUAAAAAAAGAUGCUACUUUAAGAUUCAGAUUCUAUACUAACCUGGAAAUUUCAUGCAAUUAUGCCUAAUCUUGGUCUUUGCUUCAGUUGAACAACACCAAGAACUGGAACCGAUUGAAGAGUUGUCUUGUGAAAACUGAUGACUGCAAUAACCUACCAAGAAAAUAUAAGGUCCAGUUUUUUGCCACAAAAUCGUAUUACUCGUCCAUUUUUUUUCAUAACUCUGAAUGUUUAUUGAUUUCUAGAUUGAUUUUGUUGUUUUUAAACCUGUUGAUUUUAGACUAUUAAGCAGUACAAGUCAGCCAAACUAACAGCCAUUGAAGCUGGUUGCUGCCGACCACCAUCCGUGUAGGUGUCUUUUUCUGACCUCACUCUCUGAUCAAACGUUCAAGUGAAGUUUUUUAUUCACUACAUGGAAAUGUGAAGUCUAUUAUUACCUUACUACAAAGAUAUACAUUCUGGCUCGGUGAAAUGUUUGAGUAAUGCAUUUUCAGUCUACACAUGACAGUUAUGCAUAAUAUUUGAACAGUGUCACCAAGGUUACCCUUUUUAACAUGCUCUGUAGGUGCGGUUAUCCUGCUGUCAAUGCUUCAUACUACGACUUGAGCUUUCAUCCGAUUAGCUCCAAUAAGGACUGCAAACUUUACAAAAAUUCCCGGGCUACCAAAUGCUACAAUUGUGAUUCCUGCAAGUAAGCAUCAUUACUUUUUCAACGCUCCUUUUCUGUUCUGUUAAUACUUUCCUUUUUCUUCUGGUGUACUAUUCUUGUGCAAUCGGUUCUUACUUUUCAGGGCAGGAGUUGCACAAUAUAUGAAAACUGAGUGGAGAGUGGUUGCCAUCUUUAAUGUCAUUCUGUUUGUUGUUCUGGUAAGAUGGUUGCUGUUUCACUUGAAUCUUGUCUUUCCCGGAUGUUCUAACUGCUCUUCUUUUCUGUUGUGAAUGCCAGUCAAUGAUCUAUUUUGUCGGGUGUUGUGCCAGACGAAGUGCUGCCAGGAGUCACUCUAAAGCUUGAAAAAAAAAGAUGAGAAAAAAACAGAACCGGUUUCUUUGGAAUUUCUAUUAUAUAUCUCUCUCUAUCAUUUGUUGACCGCAUGUGUAUAUCUCCGUUUGUCAGUUGCUCUUUGAACAUUUGUCAAAUUAGUGAUCAUUUUUCUCAGUUUGAAUGAGACUGAUGGUUUUAUUUCAAGUGAAUGGAUUCUUUCAAUGAAAAAAGCAAGCCGAGGCCACGACCAAAAAGCUACUGGUCCCAAAUAUGAAAUCAAAUCAAUCCCAUGAAAGUGUAAAUUAAUGGAUCCAUUUUUCAAAAACCUUAAGCCUAUCGAAGCCCGACAAGUGAAACUGAAUGUCUGAAGGGCAAAAUCCUAUAAGAAGAAUGGUCAUGUUCAAUCCAGCAUUGCCCGAGGAAUCCCUUAGAAACACUGUUCACUCGAUCAAAUUCGAAAUGUUUCCGGGAAGAUUGAUCACCCCGUCCUGUCAAUUUCCGUCAACUGAAGUAAUGUAAUCAUGGUAUUUGCUGUGGAGGGCCAAAUAUGUCUAGGACUUUUUUGUAAGGUUCCAAGUCGUUUGCUUUAUAAAAUAAUUUUUUUUGUAAGUUAAUUUCUUAUGAACAUAUAAAAAUUCAUAAAAUAAAAAUAUUUUAUACGAAAUCAUCUUUUUACUUAACAAAGGAGUCAUUCUGGGACCUCCAUAAAAGAUCAGAUAUCAAAAAUUUGUGAUUUCUAUCAUUGAUUACACAUAACGUGAGUUAAUAUCUCCUCUUCUGCAUGCCUAUUUUCAUAUCCAGGAAACUGGAUAGCAAGUUCUGCAAGAAAAAAAAAAGGCAGACAAAAAAACGAGAGAGAUAUCAAGUCUGGUAAUUUGAAUGGUCCCUUAGAGUUGAAACAUUUCUUCCAUGUAAAUUUCCAAGCAUGCUUUCUCUGUUGAAUACUUGAACACACACCAUCUCCAUUUCUUUUUCGAACACUUGACUUUUAACUAAACUCCCAAAGAACAACCAGCUGCAUUUUCAAGAAAGCAUUUAUUCACAACUUCAUAAUCAAGUUGUCUCUCUCCUUCUGUAAACUUAAUUUUUUAAGAUAUAUAUAAAAUAAUUAUGAGCAUAAAAAUUAAAUUUAUUUUUUAAUUGUAUUUAAACUUCAUUAAUCUUUGUUAAACUUGAUAUGUAAAUGAUGAAAUCCUAGAAAAACUUCAAACAAAAACUAGAUUUUUCAUGGCUGCGUCCUGGGUUAUUGGUGUGACUAGGCUGACCUAUUAUGGAUGGACUUGACUGAAGGAAUAGGUUAUUCACCUGAAAUAGCAAGUCCCUUGAGGAAUAACGACUCUUUGAUGUUUAAGUUAGUAUAUAUAAAAGGAGAAAAUAAUAUAUAGAAAGAAAAAAUAAAUUAAAGUUUUAGAGAGUGUGUAUCUUAAUGUAGCCUGUAUAUGGCGUGUUAGUUUAAUAUGCCCUAUAACUAAUCGGUUGAUUACACGUAACAUUAUUAUAUUCACGUAACUACAUAUUUAUUAUUAAUAAAGACUUAAUUUAUCUUUAAUAUUCAUAUAAUAUUAGAUUAAUAAAUCUAAUAUUUAAUUUAUGAAUCCAGAGUAAAGAUAAAGUUCACAAGACAGAAAUGAUUUGCUAAGAAAAUUAUAAAUUUGUUAUAAUUAUGAAAUUCAUAUUCCAUCAAAGCAUUGUUUCUAAAAUGUUCAUAGUCGAUGCUCUCUUAAAUAUUGGACAUUUAUUAGAACCGUAGAGAUUGAUACAUAUUAUUUUCUUUCAUUUAUGAAAGAAAACAGUUGUUCUCAUAAGUUAAGGUAUAAGAGAUACCUAAAACUAAUAUGUAGGUGCUUGUCAUAAGACAUAUAUACUGAACUGACUCGCAUGAAAAUUCCAUGUGGAGGAUCUGUAUCUAUAAAAAGGUUCACGUGACGGUUAUGUAAUCAACUCAUAGAUGUUUGAGAUUUUUUAUCAAGUUUACUUUGAUGAGCCAUAUUUUUGCAAUCUUUAACUAGAUACACUAUCUUAUUACAUAUAAAAUAUUUAUCAUUAAACUUUUUAGCAACAAUUUUCCUAUUCUUAACAAGCUUUAUCUUUAGGUCUUUAUUGUGGAACUUCGCCACUUGUUCUCCAAAGUUUGUUUUAGGUGGUUUACUAGAAAAGUUAGCUCUUCUUUCAGAUAACUUAUUAUUUUAUUCUACCCUUAGCCUAUUUCCUUUCUCUUAUGCUUAAUGUAAUUCUUGAAUUCUUUCUAAGAUCGUGAUAAUUUUUCAAUAAUUGCAACCACUAAAUAAUGUUCAUUUAUUAUUAUAUAUUUAGCAUAAACAUCAUGCAAGGUUAGUUGAAACUCUUGAACUUGACUCAUAAUGAUCUUUGAGCAAACUUAUUGACUGUGAACUUUUUCAUACCAGCAGCUUCAACCUUGAAUUUUUUGUCCAAAACUUUUCAAAUUGUCUUUGUACUCUUGAUUGAACUAUACACAUCAUAUUAUAUAUUGUCAAAUAUAUUCAAGAUGUAGGUAUUGCAUAUGAAAUCACUAUGAUUCUACAUGUCCAAAGCCACCAUAAUAAUAGAAUUGAAUUUAUUAUUUGAAAACUUUGGCAUUUUUUCCAACAAGAACUUUUUGAAGUUCAAGGUGGUCAAAUAGAACAAUAUUUUCUAUAAUAUAUUAAGAACAUAAUAAAUUUACAAUCAUAACAAAAGACUAGCAUGCUUAUUAAGUAAUUAUAUAUAAAAUUGCAUAAAAGAUUGAGAUACAAUCCAAACAUGCAGACUAAUCAUACAUAGGAUUAUGCAUAAGAGAAUAAAACUAACUCCUAUCAUAAAUUCUUAGCAUUUAUGGAAAGUAUACUUAAACAAAAUCAAUAAAAGAUAUUUAUUUAUUGAAGAACUUAGUAUAUAACCAAUUUGAAAUUUGUUGUCAUUGUUAAGGAUCAAUUCCUUGUACUUUAUUAUUUUUCAUUUGAUGUAAAAGGACUAACUUCAAUAAGCCUCAUAAAAUUUCAACAACAUCACUUUGUUUAGGUGCAUUCCUAAACAAGGUCUAAUUAACACAAAUAAAUAUAGACUCAAAUAUCUUUCUACAUGAAUCGAUUCUAAGCUUAAAAUAGAUAUAAAAUAAAUAGAAAAACCCAGCUUGAAAUAGAGGAGUAAAAUUGGAUAUUCAGGUGAAAAAGAGUGUCACAAAUUCUGUAGAUUUUGUGAUGAAAAAAUCAAUCCCAAAACACUCUUCUUCAACCCCUUUUACAAAUGAUUUUGGAAUCAAAACUAAUAUAGGAUUAAUUAUGGUUAUUACCAAAAUAAAUUCCCUCCAUUUAUCAACUUUGAUGUUUUUUUAGCUAAAAAGACUACUUAGGUUUAGAUAAAACUCUUCUUGAAAAAAAAAACUAAUCAUAUUUUAUCAUUAAUAGGUUGGACUAGACAAAAUAGUGAGCUACUAAAUUACUAAUUCUUUAUGGGUUAAAAAAAAUACAAAUCUAAAUCUAAGUUCAAAAUAAUUUGAUAAAAAAUAAUUUUUUCUAGUUAAAAAAAUUAUUUUACAGUAAACUUAAAUCUAACUUGAGCAAGAACUCUGCAACACCUGCAUUAAUUUUCACUAGAUUGUUAGGCUUAGCUAACUUCAUUGACUGGGGAAGACAUGUCUAUAGACCUCCAAAUAAACAAAGUCCGCCGAUGGGCUUUGAUGAAAAAACAAUUUUUAAAGAGAUGAAUCCAUAGUUUUGAAACCUGGCCCGGCGGGUUGACGACCUGUCUGACCUGGGGUUGAAACCGGACCGAGUUUAAGAAAAAAUAGGGGAAGUCACGACUCGGGAUGACCUGGUUAACCCGACCAGUUGACCCUUUUUCAAAACAUUUGGGGUCACCUAUUUCAAAUAUAAAUACAUAAUAUACAUUUAUUGAUAGAUUAAAGCCUAUCAAAUAUGUAUUUGGGGUCACCUAUUUCAAAACAUUUGAUGAAUAUUAACUCUUUUUUUCUUUUUCUUUUUAUUAGAAGAUUCAUCAUUUCUUUAACACAAAAACUCCAUUCAUCUUUACAAAAGAAAAGGUUCGUUAAUCUAAAUUAGCAAUCGAAUCCACAAUGAAUUUUAAAUUUAUUAAAAAAAAUUUUGUUUCGAGUGGUCAACGUUGGUCAAUAGAAAAAAAAAAGGUUUUUGAAACAAGGGGACUGAUUAAUUGAUUUCUGGAAACUAUAGAGACCAAUUUAUAAUUUACAUUUGUCUUUGUGGGGGAAAAAAUCAUGACUAUAAAAGCCAAAACCCAUCUUCUCUUAAACCCUACAAAUUAGUGUUCACCAAACCCUUUCAGUUUGGCAUUUCCACUUCCCUUUCGCCAUCAUGUACCCAUCACUCAUCCACCGCUCCAAAUCCUUAUCGGAACAGCUCCGGACCCGAAUCUUCAUUCGACUAAUGGGUGGUGGACCACGAACCUUCCCUGGAGGUCUAAACAAAUGGCAAUGGAAACGCCUCCACGAGAAAAAAGCCAAAGAAAAAGAGAAACGUCUCCUUGACCAAGAAAAACAACUCUACCAAGCCCGGAUGCGUUCCAACAUCCGCUCCAAACUCGCCGGACAACCCGACCCGAACCUGAACCCGGACCCAAGUAAGUUCAAUCCCAUGAGCCCCAAAGAGCACAUCAAAGCCCUCGCUGAUCGGUUCAUGAAAGAAGGAGCUGAAGAUUUGUGGAACGAAAUGGAUGGGCCAUUGAAAGCCCCAUCAGAUGAACGGCCAGGAUUUGUUGGGACUAAUCAACGGCCAGGAUCGAUUAAUUCGCCAUUAGAUUUGAGAAAAUUAAUGUCAGAAGGGCGCAAUGUAUCGCGGCAUCGCGAAGAAAACGGGUUUAAUUAUGUGAAAAAUAGAGAUUAUUCCACGCGUAGAGAUUUAGAUUUUGGGUCCAGUGGUGUUUCUGUUAAGCCUUUAGUGCGGAAACAGAGGAAGUUUAGGAUAAAUGAGAGUUCUUCGAGUGAUGAUGAUGAAGAUUAUGGGUUUGUUAAUGACAAAGUGAUGAAUUUUGGGAGAGAUUCAGGGAAUGAGCGAGGGGCCGUGAGUAAUUCGAGGAAUGUGAGUGAAUUUAUGAAGAAUAAGGGUUUUGAAACACAAAAACAGAGGAGGUUUGGGAGAAAUGAGAGUGUUGAUUUGGAGGGUGGGGGAGAGAGGAGAGGGAGGAGUGCGAAGGAGAUUGGGAGUAGAGAUGCUUUGGGGAAGUAUGAUGUGAAGAAGACAAGAAGGGUUCCAUCAAAGGAGCUUGAGAAGAAUGAUUUUGCGAAUGAAGUGGAGUUGAUUAGGUAUGAGCUGGGGAGGAAGAAGAAGUUAGCCGGAAAUGACGGGGAUAACGAGGACGAGGAUUCAAUUCUUAGCGAUAAACGGUAAGGUUUCUCUUGGUUUUAAAUGGUGUCAUUUGGCAGUAACUACCAAGGUAAUCUCGGCAUUCAUCGGCAAAUGUGCAUAAUUUUUGUCUGGUUUGAAAAGAAUGGGAAAAGUAAAGGGAAAAACUUUGCAUGUUCUGGAGAGUCUAGGGUAGAGUAAAGGCAGAGGUUUUGGAGUAAUGUGUAAUGUAAUGAUCUUGUGUUUUAUUUGUUAAUUGGUGAUUUUGUGCUGUAUGUAUUUUUGCAGAUUUGAUGAAUGUGGUCUGUCUCCAUUGACUGUCAAAGCACUUACAGCAGCUGGUUAUGUUCAAAUGACCAGGGUACAGGAGGCUACUCUUUCUGUCUGCCUUGAGGGUAUACCAACUGUGUUUUAUGUUUCAUCUUCAGUUAUGAGUGCUUUUGGCAACUAUUCAGUCUGCUAGCUCAAAAGUCAGGAUAGUUCAAUACUGUUAGUGUGCGCAUGCUUGUCAACUUUUUCAUUUUUGGCGUGUGCGAGGCCAUGAGUGUGUUUGGCUGCUUGUAGCAUAUCUCAUGUUGUUAUCCUGAAGAAAUGCUCUCUUUGCUCCAUUUUGAUUAUCCAUAAUUUUUUCUCAAACAAGUCAAGCCAUGCUUCAUUUAUUACUAUUCCUUUAAUAUACAUAUUGAGAAUAAUUUCUGUUGAAAAAUGAUCAUACUUACACAUUGUGAAGUUUGAAUAAUGGUUUUCACUUCAAUUUGGAGCAGGUAAGGAUGCUAUGGUCAAAGCCAAAACUGGCAAAGGAAAAAGCGCAGCUUUUUUGGUAAACUACAAGUCUCUUGUCAUUCCUGUAAAGUAAUUUAUGCUAUUUUAGCUUCUUUCCUUCAGUGCCAUUGUAAAACACAAACAGCUUCCUGCAAUUGAAGCAGUUUUGAAGGCAAGAAGUAGCAAUGCCAAGCUACGAGUUUCUCCGAUAUAUGUUCUUAUUCUCUGCCCCACAAGAGAGCUAGCAAGUCAGAUAGCAGCAGAAGCAAAUGCUAUACUGAAGUACCAUGAUGGAAUAGUUAUGCAAACACUAGUUGGAGGAACACGUUUCAAAGAUGAUCAGAGAUGCCUUGAAUCUGAUCCUUGUCAGGUUUGAUCGUGUGCUAUUGUGUUUUUUGCGAGUUUAACUUCGACUAAUUUCAUGGCAUGUGCAUGGAGAAGGAGAAAGGCAAAGAAAUAAAUAUGUAGUUGCUAUUCCUGUGUUUCAUGAUUAAAACAUGUAGAUCACUUUCUGGUGCUAACCUUUUCCAGAUACUUGUUGCAACUCCUGGUCGGCUGCUGGAUCACAUUGAGAAUAAAAGUGGUUUAUCCAUGCAUUUGAAGGGAUUGAAGAUGCUUAUACUUGAUGAGGCUGAUCACCUUCUUGAUCUUGGGUUUCGGAAGGAUGUGGAGAAAAUUGUAGACUGCUUGCCCCGUCAGAGACAGUCCUUGCUUUUCUCUGCAACAAUUCCAAAAGAGGUUAGAUUUUUCCUCAUCUCUUUGUUGAUGGGUCAAACAAGCAGCACUAUUGUGUCACAUGACUUCAUUCUGAUUUUAAUCAUGCUUAUGCAGGUUCAUCGAAUUUCUCAGCUUGUAUUGAAAAGGGAACAUGAUUUUGUUAAUACUGUGGGUGUGAGUUGCAUGGAAACUCCUGCUAAGGUAUACCUUAAAUCAAGAAACUGUUAUGGUAAAUUACCAAUCAGGGAAUGACAGAUGAUGAUUACCUGAUGUUAUUACAAAUUAUCAUAUUACCUAUAAAACAAUGCCCACAGUUACAAAUUAUCAUAUUACCUAUAAAGCAAUGCCCACAGUUUGUCUUAGGCUGAACAUUCUAUCACUGGCUUAACGACUAUGGAUGUUUUAGAUGUCUAAUCACUAUAAGUAAAAUCACGCUGACUGUUUGGCAUUUGAUUUCGUGAUUGUUUCUAAAUUGGGAAGCAAAAAGCAUCAAUCCUUGUUUCUGCUCCUACAGAUCAAGCAGUCUUUUCUUGUCUCUCCACACGAAUUGCAUUUUCAGGUAGUGCAUUAUCUUCUGAAGGAGCAUAUCCAGAAGGCACCUGAUUACAAGGUAAGAUUCUGUAGUUUUUGGAUUUUGUUUAUUUGCAAAGUGGAAUGUGUGUGGUUGAGUCCUGGACAUUUAACUUGCUCCAGGUUAUUGUUUUCUGUACAACUGGGAUGGUAACAUCACUCAUGUAUCUACUUCUCCGGGAAAUGAAAAUGAAUGUAAGGGAGAUGCAUUCUAGAAAGCCUCAACUCUAUCGAACUCGUGUCUCUGAUGAAUUCCAGGAAUCAAAUCGUUUGGUUCUUGUUACAUCUGAUGUUUCUGCUUGUGGAAUGAAUUAUCCUGAUGUUACUUUGGUCAUUCAGGUACCAACAACUCUUGAGAAAGUUAUAUAUUCAUAUUCUGCUUGUAUAAAUUGCUGAUCAUCAAAUCAUCUAUGCCCCAAGAGACAGUAUCUCUCCAACACCCAGUGGCCAGUAUUAUGUAUAUGUUUUCCCAGUACUGUAAAAUAAUGCAUCAAUUUUAACAAUAAUCAGGUGGGGAUUCCAUGUGAUCGCGAACAAUAUAUAGAUCGGCUUGGAAGAAUAGGACAUGAAGGGAAAGAUGGAGGAGGGAUCUUAUUGCUCGCACCAUGGGAAGAAUAUUUCCUCGAUGAGUUAAAAGACCUGCCACUUGAUAAGUUUCCUUUACCAAAAAUGGAUUCAGAAACUAAGCUUAAGGCACUUCCCUAACUUAUUACUUGCUCUAAUUGCUUCUUUUGUGCUUCUUGUUUUUAUUCAGCAUUCUAAGAGAUUGUAGUUAUGGUUUGAUAUUAAAAGAAAUGAAACUGAACCUAGAGAAUAAGUAUGCAAAGGGCAUGUGUGGAAUUCACAAUUAAUAUUCUGAAGCUCUGGGAUUCUUUAUGUUAAACAGAUUUUUAAUGAUGAAUUCUUUAUGUGAACUGUGGAAUUAGCAUUGUUUGAUGAUCCUUGAUUAUAUCAGAAAGUUGUGGUCCUGAUAUAGACGGUAACUAAAAUGUAGUCAGCCUCGAUUUGAAGUGCAAAUAUAAUGUUUUCCGCCCUGAAACAUCAAAAUGCAUGCAUUCUAGAGUUUUAGUCCCUCUUAUCUAUUUGUUAUCAGGGCAUGCAAUUUCGCAGGUUUUAUAUGUGUAACUUUUUGCAGAUGGAGGAGUCCAUGUCAAAGAUUGAUAGUAGUGUCAAAGAAGGAGCAUAUCAUGCUUGGCUAGACUAUUAUAACUCCAUCAGAGAAAUUGGAAGGGAUAAAACCUCGCUUGUUGAUCUAGCCAACCGAUUUUCCGAGUCAAUAGGCUUACAAAAACCACCUUCCCUCUGCAGAAAAACAGCUUUAAAGAUGGGUUUGAAAGACAUCCCUGGUAUCCGGAUCCGAAGGUAGCACUUACUGGGAGCAUUAAUACGUGCAAGCUGCUGGUUAGUAUUGCUGAGGUUAAAAAAGGAUCAUGAACUUCUGCUGAAAGACCAGGUUCAACUUUUAUUCCACCUGAAAACUGGUAUAUGUGAUAGGUCAGCUCCUGCCUUCAAUCAUCAUGCUAUCGCGUCUUCUAAGCUUUGUUAUUGCGCUUUUGAUGGGUUAUUGUAUUGCAUCAUCCAGUGCAGUGUAUUCAUGAUCUGGAUUUUGUUUGAUAGUGGGCUGAGAACGACAAUGCACUCAGAUACACGCACCCCUGUUACUCUUUAUAUUGUUUUUUAGUAAUAUCAUUAUUGCUGCUAUUAGUAUUUGUCGAGGAUCUUUAAGUUGCGUUUUUCUCAAGUACUUUUUCCUUCUUUUUUUUUGGGGGGGUUUCGGGGAGGAUAAGCAAUGGGCAUAGGGCCCCCCCAUCCUUGAAUCCCUACCCUAUCUGUCUGUAAGCGUAUAGGAUUCCAAGUGAGAACUCGAAAUCAUAACAGCUGGGGUGUCCUUUGAAACCCAUGGUUUCAUUUUUACACAUGAAUGCACAUUGAGGGAGAUGAGAAUUACCAACUGAACUUGUGAUUUGAUCUCAGGAAGAUACGUUGGAGCUUCAAAUGCAAAUUGAUUGCCUAAGAAUGUAUUCUAAGCAGAUAUAGAUAUGUUUUAAAAAGUUGCAAAAGGUGUUGGAUCAUUAAACGACUAAACCCGUAUAUCUUGCGUUGUUGCUGCCGCCCCCGCCCCCCCUAAAUACACGUGAUGGUAAAGAAGGAAGGACAGUAGCAACAGCAACUGCUAGACAGAUUAAAGAGCAAAAAUAGUUAAACACUGUUAGUAGUCAAUUGAGAAUUGGUUAGAAGGCGGAAGAGUUAGUUGAGUUAACUUGAAGUGCAUAAAUGAUGUAAAAGGGAUUUCAUGGUUCUCUAGUAAUAAGAAUACAAUCAUUUCUUCUUUCUUCUCAGCUCUCCUCUUUUGUUCUUCAUCUCAAUUCUUUCCUUGUUAAGCUAUGAGCUAUUAGCUUAUCAAUUGGUAUUAGAGCCUAUCUUAUAAGGUAAAAGCCUCCGUUGAAAAAACAUUGCAGAAGGUUGAAUGAAAGAUUGCAAGGCCUUCACCAAGAAUUUCAAGAAUCAAUGGUGAAGAGAAAUUGGAGCCAACUCUAAAGGAAUUUUGAACACUCCAACAGCGGGAAAAGAAAUUGGAAUUAAAUUCUUUUAUGCAUGAUUUGAGCUCUUCAUUUCCUAAAUCUUACUACAUUUUUCAUUUUUGUUUGUGGAUUAAAGAAAGAUAUUAAACCUAUGUUGAAGAUACUUAAACUAAUAGAACUAAUGAUAGCCUUUGAGCAAGCCAAAUGGCAGUAAUAAUCAAAUAAUGUUGUUGCAAGGAAAAACAAGUUCGAGCCAAUAAUUAAUUUUAAAAUUCACGUGGGAAGGCUAACAUGUAAUCUUCCAGUUAAACCUCUAAAUCAAUACAAGAACGAAAGUCAAUAAAGAUAGAAAAAUGCUUAUGAGACCUUGUAUGAACAGAUUGGGGCAGUGUUUCAAAUAUAAAAAUAAAUGUGUACCUGGACAUCAAUAUACUGCUAAAGGAUUGCACAUGAUUGAAGGCAACGAGGAUGAAGAUGAAGAAUUUCGGGAUGCUAAGAUAGGAAAUAACAAUGAAAGUAUAACAAAGAAUAAUAAGAUUGAGUUUAAUCUGUCACUGAAUGUAUUUAUUGACAGUUAUGCUCACAACACCAUCAGGAUUAGAGAAAGCUGGCAAAUAAAAGAGUUGAUUAUUGUAAUUGACAGUGAAAGCACAUAUAACUUUAUUGAUAAACAGGUUAUUAAAAAGGUAAAAGCUUCCAUUAUUAAGUCUUUUAUUAGUAGUGACAAUAGCAAAUGGUAGUGUCUUGUGUGACUCUUAUACUCUUGGUUUUAAAUGGCUUAUGCAAAACUAUAAAAUUGUAACAGACCCGAGGGUUCUAAAACUAGAAAUAUGUUAUAUUAUACUGGGGGUAGAUUGGUUAGGAGUUUAUUUCCUAAUUUUAUUUGAAUUUACUAAAAUGAAGAUAUCCUUUAAAAAGGAAGGAAAAAUGAUAGAGCUAAGUGCAUGUGUAUUUAUUCUCAUUUGGACCCACAAUUUAAGACAAAACCCAACAUUAUAGUAUAGAUACAUUAUUUAUGCAGACACUAGAUAUGUAAAAUUAAGCUGAAAGAAUAUGUAUUAAAAUCUAGAUAGAAGCAUGUAAUUGAUUUAUUCGGCUGAAUAUUAUGAAAUUUUUAGACCAACUAAGUGAGUUGAAUUUUUUGAAUUAUAAAAAGAAUCAACUAAAUUAAAUUAAUAUUUACAUUAAAAAAUAUAUGGUUUAACCAAUUUAUAAUUGUUAAGUUUAGACAAUUAUUUUGGAUGUUAAUUUAGAUAAAAAAGAAAUUGAGUGUUUAUAAGAUGCUGAAAGCUCAUUAGACCUCUUAGAAAGUUAAAACAAAAGGAAAAAUGUAUAUGAAGUAAUUUAUGAACUAUUUAGUUUCGGUUUUUUUUUAUAUAUAAAAAAUAAUUUUCAUUUGUAAAUGUAAUAGAAUCUCCUUACAAAAUAACCAAAUCAAAUUAAUACUUACAUUUUUUAACACAGAAACUUUUUAUUCCUCUAAUAUGUACACUUUUACUUCUUGAGAGAGCUAAAAAAUUACCUUGUGGAUUGCAUUGCAACAUGAUUAUUAUCCUUGUUGAUGAUUAUAGGUGAUGAGGUUGUUGAAAACUUAUCAAAUAUUAUGAUUUUUCUAAGAUUGUAAUGGGUUGAAAGGUACAAAGAGGUUGAAAUUGAAUAAAUAGACACCUCCAAAACAAGUUUUUUAGAAAGGAUGAGGAUCUUUUAUGUCUAAGUCAGUUUAGGUAGGAGUUUGGAGUCUUGUGAGAUAAUGCAAGCAAGAGUCUAAUUACAAAGGAUACUGAGGUUCAAACAAAUAGAAGAAGAUGAUAUUUUUCUUCUCUCGAAAGAUAACUUGUUUUGGAGUUUAAAGUGAUUUAUAUAGCUUUGAAUCCAUAUGAGUGUGUUCAUACAAGGUUAAGAUAAUUAAUAUGCUUUUUAUCUAUAGUUUUGAACUACUUUAAGACAAGGAUUUAAAUUGAUAAUAGAUGAUAUAAAAUUUUUUCUAAUUUUGAAUUUUAUGGUUUAUGUACUACUAAUGAUAAUAAUAUGACUAAUCUUUACGGGAUAGGUGGUCAAGAGACAUAUAUUUAUUUAUUACAUAUAUGUUUUGUCAGUUGGUGGUGAGUAAACUAAGUUUGAUUAAGGGUAAUGCAUUUGGAUGCGACAAUCAACUUUAAGCGCAUCAGAUUCAUUAUAGGUUUGGUUUUAUAAAAUCUCAGUAAGUCCCAUAUUGAGGAGUAUUGUCUUGUUGAGUUAUGUGGACACCACAGAUGUAAUUUAUUUUAGCCUGGUUAGGCUAUUAAAGUUCCCAAAAUGAUAACCCUUGUUUUAGGAGAGCAUUUGGCCACAUAAUAUGCCCGAACCCGAAUGAAUGCAAACUUUAUUUGAGAUGGACUUCGUAGCAUAUCAUGACUUUAUGCUCAUGCCUCUCGUGGGUUUAAUUUCAAACAUUGGUACAUAUAUAGUUCAUGUGUGAGUAUAAACUCAAGGCCAUUGCUUAUUAAAUUGCUUGCUUUCUCGCUAAGACCAUGGUGUUCAAAAAAGAAAGAAAGAAACUAAGAUCAUGUGUGAGCCUUUCUAUUAAUGUCAAAGAUGACGGUUCAAUUCUACGGUAAUUAUAUUUCCGUAGAAAUAACAAAGUCAAAAGAAUGCGAUAAUUAAAUAUCUUAAUUACUUCAUUUCACCUUAAAUAAUAAUAUGAUGGUAACUUGUGAACAUCACCUGCAAAGUAAUGGGAUCGACAACCAUCGAACAAAUACGAUACAACAUUGGUCAAAGUCAACAUAUUAUUUGGGUUGAACUAUAUAAUAUAUUCUAGCACUUGCAAAUUCAACAAUGUUCCACUUUGAUCCCUAUAUAUUAUAUUUUUUUAUAUUAAACCUGCAAUUUCUGAGAAAUUUUAAUGUAGCAUCUUACAUACAGUUAAAGCCAGUGACACAAAAGGAUCAUUUUUUUUUCCUUCCAACUGUUUCUUUAUAAUUUUAUUUUAUUAUCUUUUCCUCCCAAAACCUUAUUAUAUGAUAGUAAUCCACAGAAAAACACUUACAAUUCUAAAUAAAUAAAGGAUCCCAUUGUUUUUUUUAUUAAUUAUUUAUAUGGACUAAAGUAUAUAUUAUUUACACAUAUACUAUAAUAAUUAUGUUUCCAAUUCCAACCGCUUUAUAUAAUCAAACAAACAAACAACUUGCAUAUAUUCUGGGAUGGUGACAUUGAAAAGCCCUUUCACAAAUUUGACACCAUCAAUUAUUUGACUCUGGCUCUAGGGAAGUCUUCACUCUCCUUUCGGAAUUCAAAGUAUAUAAUGCAUUGAAAUAAUGGCUAAUUAACUCCAAUUAAAAAGAAAUAAAACAAACCUUAUCUAUCUCUCUGGCAUCUUUUACAUUAAUCAAAGACAAGAAGAAUGUGACUACGUGGACCAUUAGACUCUAAAAACACGAAGUUAGCAUCUUCUUUCAAGAAAUUCUGAUAUUAGCACUAUAAUUAAUAAAGAGGCUUGCUUUUAAUAAAGAUGGUUAGCUAAAUAAGCUUGGCCGAAGUCUAUCUUUUUGCCCCAUUCUUCUUGUUCUACCAGGGAUGGCUAAAAAAGCUACUGCAUGCAUGCAUCACAAAUCAAGCACGAAAAUAUUACACUACUGGAAUAUUACACAACACUGAUGAAAUAUUUCAUCGGUAUUUAAAUAUUCAUUCUAUUAAAAAAAAUAUUAAUAAAAUCAUGAAUAAAAAGUUUUUGUCAGAAAAUAUAUUGUCGUUGUUUUAUAUGUUGUUGGUUAUUCUUUAAGUAUUAUAAUCACCGAUGGAUUUACAAAUGAAAAACAUAUACCAAACAAAAAAAUUACUAGCAUUCAUUAUGUCGGUAAAUUCAUCAGUAAUUAUGGCAUAUUACUGACAAAAUAAACUAUUAAAAAUUUCAUCGGUGAUCAUAUGCAUAUUACCGAUGGAAUUAAGCCUUCAAAAAAUUACAUCUAACUUUUUUUUUUAAGUCUCUAGAACAUUUUGACAGAUUUAGUUUGUCGGUAAUUUUAUCUAUAAUAGUCGGUGGCAAAGUCAUGUAGUUUUUUUUCCAACUCUCUGGAACUCUAUGAGGGACUUAGCCGGUCAUUCAGUUGGUGAUGUAAAAUUCCAUCGAUAAUUCCUGCAGUAUAUUUUUUUAAUAUUAAAAAGCUGGAGGAGGAGGAGGCGAAUCUUCAUCGGAACCAAGAGGACAACGAGGUUGACCAUAUGUACCAGCAAUGAUUGACAACAACUGCUCGAGGACACUCACUUUAUCCCUCAAGUCGAUCAUCUUGGAUCUAAGUUUGGGUCCUCUCCAUACUAUUUAGUCGGGUCUUUUGAACUUCAACCUUUUCUUAUACAAUCGCCUAGACAACUAGAGAUUGUUGGCUCGAACUCGAUUGUGAGGAACCAAUGAAAUUACAUUAGUUCAUUGAAAUUAAUCAUUCAAAUAUUAUCCAAUGUUUUUUAUUUUUUUAUUGUGCAGGAGGAAAAGAAAACAAACUUACAUGUUGUGGUCGAGCUUUCACUGAGCAAUAUACUUUUUAGUGUAUACAUCCUGCUCAAAAAGGACACCCCCUUUGCAAAUUGGUCUCACACUCGACGAGCCUGCCUCGAGAGAGGAUGCAUGUAUCUAAAGUGCCUAGUCAUGGCUGACACUUAAUGAUUUAUGGUCAUUAGAAGCGCUGUCAGAAGAAUUGGCAGUGCUCCUAUAUUUAUUACUCUCUAAUGACCUUUUAUUCGUCAAAUGAACAAGUAUAUAUAUAUAAAAAGGUAAUAACAUUAUCAUUAUAUCCUAUUUAAGAAAAAAAAUUAAGCAGCACCUUAUAUGUGAGAUUACCCAAAAUUUUAUUAUUUGGAAAUAUGCAAUAAAUAAAAUCAUAAAUCAAUUAAUUUUAUUUAUAACUACUAUUUAACUUAAAAAGCAUUCUAAAAAUUCAAUUAACAUCUUAACAUCCUAAUAUAUUUUACAAUUAUUGCACGUUAUUGCUAUCCAUUAAGACAAAAAAAAAAAAAAAAAGACACAUGUAUGAUAGCAACCAGAGAAAAUAGAUAAGGAUGCAAGCUCGUAAUAAAAAUAGCACAUUUAAAGCAUCCAAACAUAAUCAAACUUCGCUUAAACAACUAAUCUCCAACAGUAUUUCUCUCUAAUCAUUACAAAGUAAACUUUCUCCGUCCGAAUCAUGGAGUUCCCAACCAUGUUAUUUCAUCUCAAGUAAUAAACAAACACGUACACACUUCUCUUUUUUUUUUUUUUAUGGUCAUUGACUUUUUUGUCCCUGUCCCAUAUUAUGAGUGGAAAAAACAGUAAUUGAAACUCUUAACAUAAUUUCAUUAAAUAGCAGACUAAGAAAGUGAAAAGGGGUUUUUCUUCUGAAACUAGGAAUUUUGAUUUUUUGAUUUAGUUUUUUACUAAUAAAAUUACCGAAAAACAAUUAAAUACUUAUUAGUUUUUAAAAAUCAUUGUUAAUUUCAUGGGUAGCUAAAACGGGGAUUUGUUUUUAAUAAAUCUCGAAACCCCCUAAAAUUCUCGCAUGAAAUUUUGUUUCGUCAGAGACAUGUAAUUGUCAGCAGCAAGGUAACGCCCCUGGUGCUACCUGCUACGAAUUCCAGGGAAAGGACAUCCUUUUUUUCACCAUCGCACGUCAUCCUCAACAAUUUCAAACCCCCUUUUUUUCAGUCACAUUUUUAAUUAUUUCGUGGCCAAAAAUCAUAAAGCCUUUUUAAAUCAUCUAAUAGGAAAAUCCGUCUCUCCUUCGUGACUCAUAAACAACUGAAAUUAUAACGAGGAAAUCCUGUCAGCUGAUGUGGCCUUUGACUUUUGGGCAUAAAAUAUUUGUACUCCCCGAGCAAAAAAAGCUCUCUCUCUCUCUCAAGUGAUGAUCCCUUUAUUUUAUACAUUUGGUCAAAUCAAAUCCCUUUCUCUGAAUCAAACUAAUUAACCCCUCAAUUUCCAAUUAAAGACAUAUUGAGAUCGUUUUACCUCUUUUUAAUGGAAAUCAUGUUUCCCAUCAAUCAACGCCGAAUAUGUCAUGCUCCUCUGGGCACUGUUGACUAGCUGGCUAUAUAUCAUCAUUUUCUGCCUCCAGACAUAACCAAAAGCUCCGCUCAUCUCAUCGUUGUUUUUUGUCUACACGAGCUUGUCAUUUGCUUAUCGUCACUGAAGCAGUCUUUGUUAUAUAUUUCAAAAUAAAUCACUGGGUAGGAAGAGCUAAUUAGAUUUAUUAUAUCAAUAAUUGAUAUAAUUUUAAAAAAAACUCAAUGUUUGAAAUUAAUAUUAAGAGAUGGGAUAGCAGUGCUAAAGCAACAACAACAUAAUAAACAUUGAGGUUUCUCUAAGAGAAAACAAAAGGUGCCCUUAAGGCAAAAUCAAUCAAUCGGAUCCCAGUGUUUGAGUGUGCCUACCAAGUGCAUUAAACUUUUUGGUAAAAUCCAGAAUACUUCCCAUAUUGGCACUGCCCAACAAAUGCCUCGGCGGAGGGAGAAAGGAAAAGGAAAAACCACGGGAUCCCAGUGUUUGAGUGUGCCUACCAGAUAUUUAACAAGCUGCAAUAAACCUGCCGGAAAAUCCUAAUUAUGUAGUAGGCAUCUUUUAAUGUCGAAUUAUCAAUAGCUCAGAAGCAAGAACAUGUGAUGAAGCUAGGCACCGGAGUACAGAGAACGUGUGAGCCACUUGUCACGGUAGUCAUGUGGCACGCGCACGUGUCUCUUAACCUACCUCAAAGUCUUCACCAAUAAUGAAUUGCAGACGCUUAGCUUAAUUAUCAGAACAUGAGAAUAAUAAGAGAGAUCCCAACUCAUGUAAAGUCAACGUUCUUCACCAGAACAGUGUUUCAAAGGAGCACCCAAGUGGGUUUCGAAGGACCAAACUAGCCUCUAUAAUUUCCUACUUCAUGUAACCUGAGGCUGUAAUGACAAAAGAAAAACGUUGCUGUGCACAAUUUGAACGACUUCAAAGAGUAAACAGCUUACCAUUCUUGAGGUAUUCGCAAUGACUAUGAACAAAAAGGGUUUAAUUUAAAAGAGUGAUCAAUAGUUUAUAUGUUGUAAUUAGUGCUUGUAAGUGGUCAGUGUUCCAAAAAAACAAGAAAUAAAUAUAGAAAGGAUGAAGAUGUUUUGGUUAAGAUGGAAAAUAAAUUUGUUUUUAAAAUAGUUUUAGAAUGAAUUUAAAUAAUUUAAAAUAGAAAGUAUAAAAAUACAUAUAUUAUUUGUUUUUAUUCUCUUUCUUUAUAUUUAUCUCGAGAAAGUAAUAAAAUGUUAUCUAUAAUAUAAAAUAUUUUGAUUUUGAUAAAUAAAAUUAAUUUAAGAUUAUAUGAUUAAAAAAAAAACUAUACUUACCAAUACACCGAGCAAUGAGACAAGUUGUGGAAUAGAUAUGUGCAUGUAGAUUAGAUCCUAAUAUAAAAAUAAAAAUUAUAUUGAAUUUAAUUAGUAGUAGUUGUUCUUCCAGUGAUGUGACAUUUAAAGCAUUACCUAGUAAAGGGCAUUAAUGCCAUUCGAAAGAAGAUUAGUAGAGAGUUUUGGCUGUAUCUUCACCACAGGUGCUUGAUCCCAUAAGACUUCACACCUCUCCCUCCCUCUCUGGCUAUUUAGUACAUAAGCUCCAAUAUUUCAACUGGCUGCUGCUAAUUUUCAGCUAUAUAUCACCUCUUCUGCUGCAUUCUCUUCAUCAAAACCAUGAGGAUUCCAAAUCCAAGACGCUCAUUUCUUUUCUUGAUGAUCAUCCUUGCUAUUAGCCAGCUCUCAAGUUGCCGCUACCUCCACAUAAAUAUAAGAGAUCAAACAAACCAAACAGUUGAAACAGAUGUCUCUACUCAGUUUUCAUGGCAUUUCACUGCAAAAGCUCCUGAAGGAUCCAACAAAGAUGAGAUCGAUGACCCAGUUUAUGGAGCUUCUUAUAGAACAGUUCCAGGUGGGCCAAAUCCACUUCACAACUGAUUAGAGUCUUGUGGUUAGUUAAUUAGUCUUUAUUUUUGUAUUCAGUUGUAUAGAUAUCUCUUUUGCAGUUUAUAUCGCUCAUCUUUACUUCUUUUUUUUCUCUCCUUGCUUCAAAUAUGUAUAAUUGAAUACAGAUGAAAAGGAUUGAACAAGUGUUUUUCUUUGUAGUUGUGAUUUUACUUGAUUGAAUUGUAGAAAUUAUGAUGAAGUAUUUCGUACAUGAAGAAAUCUUCGGAUAGUUUCAUGUUAAUUUCUCUGCUUUCUUUCGUGUCCUUCUACAUCUACCAGUAUCAAGCUACAGCAAAAUUUUAGGAGAUGAGAAAGGUAAAAAAAUAAUAAUUGUGAAAUGGAGAGUGAAUGCCUAUAAACUAUAGAUAAAGUACAAGAAACGGUCUAGUAAGUUGGCUGUAGUCACCGACUAUAUGUGUGAAUACCUGCAAGAUCCUGUGCUGGUUUAAAGAAGAAGUCAAACCAUAAAUAUAGCAGCUAAUAUAAAACAACAAUUGGCCAACUGAUUUUGGAUUCACUAUUACUUUAUUGCUAUUGCAGCCUCGAGAGUGGGGAAAUCUUUCCAUACAUGAAUAAAAGAGAGCAAAGCAAUAUUUAGGGUUCAUAUGUGUGCGCAUGCCAAGUGUUUUACGCUCAAGAAGUCAACCUUCCAUUAUAUUUUGCAAGGAUUCCGAGAUGUAUCUUCCAUUAUUAAAAAUGAAGGAUUUUACCGCAUAUGCAAACUACCAUCUGUGGAAUUUAUUUCUCUACUUUAUAUAAGAAUAGAUAAGAGGUAGCAUAAGACCAAAAGUUAGCGUUGGCAAGUAGUCGAGCAAAGCAUGCAGAAGCGAAACCACCAUGGAGACAGAUCAGAAUGAUCGAACCACUUGCAUGGGUCCCUGAAAACAAGAGGAGGAUAUAUCCUAACGUAUGGUACACCACUUUUCCCGGUCAUUAAUUAAUAUAUCUUCGAGAAUAGAUUUAUGAGAUCGCGUUAAUCAUCAAGAAAAGUUGCUUCUGCUUUCAUACGAAAGGAUUUUGUAGAAGAGAUGCCAAAUACAAUGACUCAUUUUUUUGCUUAAGCAAGAAAGAGCUUCUUCUUUUUUUGUGGGUGUUUAAGCAAAACAUAUAAUGUGCUUGUGCUUGUAAACGUGAGAGACGGCAAGGAAGAAUCAGACAAAGCUUGAUUACAAUUUAAGUCAUUUCCGAUGAAAUGCAAUAAUCUAUAACUCACAUAUAGAAUUCAAGCUCGUUUUAAAUAGCCAAAUAGCACGCCUGGGAACAUCUGCAUAGUGCUUGGUUGGUGUACUUGUUUUUCAGCUUAAACACGGUUUAUACGGUCCAAGUUUAAAGACAGAAAUUUCGUUGGCACACAGACCCACCAUAGGUCCAUAGUGGGUAACCAACGAAGGGCCUGGCACCAAGGCAAGUAGGCGACUAUAAAGCACCAUCUAGAGGUUGCCCAUCACAAGCCUUUUUUUAAGGCCCUGGCACAAGAAGGGCCAGGAGCUAAAGCACAUCACCUAAAUUCAGCACGUCAAUGGUCCAUUUAGGCCCAAUUUCUUAUUCUAAUCAUAACAUCCAUGUCGAUCUCUUUACUAAUAUUUCACCAAAAAAAUAAAUCUUGAGCAUUUAGAUUUUAGAGCACUUGUCCAAACAAGAAAGGAAAGAUACCAGAAUAGGGAACUUUGCAAAUUAUCCUCCACUAUAAUGGGUGUUGUGUCCAACGUGAACAACGCAACACUGUUUUAUGGGCAAAAUCACAAUGGAAUCAAAAUAUCAGACCAAACAACUGGUAUUUAGAUGAUGAACGUAAAUAAAAUUCUGACGGGCAGGACACACUGAUAUGAACUCCAGAGCACAAAGGCAUCCGGCAACUUUGCAUAAGAGUAUAUUGCACCUCAGCUAUAAAUGAUCAUCUCAGAGACUCAACAACAGAACAUUCUAGCCCCCAAAGUAUCAAGAACCAAGGUUUUUAAAAAGUUCUGGAAGAUGUGCAUUGGUGAGCUUAGUUCUCUUGCUGAUCUCAUGCUUCUUCUUCUUGGCCUUUUGCUUAGUGGAAAUGCCCUGCACCUGAGCUGCAGCCCUCCUCUUUGCAGUAUUGGUCGCAGGUUUCAUCCCAUUCUUCUGGAGAUCCUUCUCAAUGUCAAGCAUAUCGCGAGGCAACUCAAUCCCUCGAAAAAGCUGUUUAAGGUCAUCAUCCACCUUAAUGACCAUCCUAGGGUCAUUUGGGUAGGCAAUAUCCUCCUGCGAAUCAAAGUUUGAUAGCAGCCAAAUCUGGCCUACAGCUUUCAAAGCCUAGAACACAAGUACAAUUUUGUUCAAAAUUCUGCUUAGCACAGAGUUAUCAUCAAUAUUCAUCAUACAGACAGACAAGAGAGGAUGCAGUGCUCAAAAAACUAAUCCAGGCUCUACUAAUUUUCAAGAGGAAAAAUUGCGCCAAUCUGAGCCACACCUUUAAGCUUGUUUGGGAUCAGCUCAAAAUCCUUAAGGUCAGACCAAGUUCUUCUCUACUGGGUUUAUCUAUCAAACAAGCCCAACUAAAUAACCAUGUGAACUUUUUGAAGAUUUUGCUACCAUCAAAUUGAGGAAAAGAGCCCUCAAUUGUUCCCUACUAGCCUCAGCAACAAGCAAGGACCACAAAAGGCAAUGCUAUACAACCCACCAAUAUUUCCAGUACAGGUUACAGAUUUCAUUGAGUUUUCAUUUAUGCAGACAACCUUCAAAAGUUAUGGAAAAGGCAUUGCAUAUGUGCCUUCUCUAUAACGGUCAUGUAAAUAAAAGGACCAUGUAAAUAUAUGCAUAAACCCACCAAAAUAAAAAACAAAUUAUUCAGCAAAUAGAGAUACCUGCAAGUCAUCCAUCACACUUGGGUAUGAAUCCUUGAGGUCAAUGACAGCAAUGCCCUCUGGAAAUUUCCGUAUCAAGACAAGGAGUUGACUCUUGUCCUUCAAAUCAUGCUUGGACUAUAGACAAUCAAAACCCAGAAUGUCAUCCUCCAUUAGAGGGGAAAAGGAAGGCAGUUAUUAAAUCAGUAACAAUGAUUUAAUUACUGAUCCAAAAGUGUGCCAAUCUAUCAGGGUUUGCAGGUGCAUAAUACUGAGAGUCACCUUGUAAGAGAAGCGUUUCCCAUCGUAGUGCACUUUCGGAUUGUUCCUCAAACUGUCAAACACGGCUUUGUUGGAAUUCAUAUCAACGUAACAGUGGUCAUUUAUUUGUUCUGGAGUAAAGGCUUGCCUUGUCUGCAAGCAAGCAAGCAAAAAUAGAGAAGUCAUAAGGAAGGUGAUGCUUCACAACUCCUCUCAAAACAGGACUAGAAUACCUUAUCAUGAGAUUUGAGAUUUAACAAGAUCAGAAGGGAGAGAAAAAUGAAAGCAGAGAAGUGAGAAACAUAAUUCCUGCCACCAUGAUGCAUGACGAGCAAUUUUCUUUUCCUGGAGCAUAAUGCAUGGAAAAGAGCCAAAAUGAAGGGGGUGGAACAAUCUAACUCGUGGUGCAGGAUAAGCUAAGAAGACACGAUCCUCUAAAAUCUAAAAUAUCAGUAAUUUCAAAAGAUUAACCAAAACUUAAAGCUGGGGAACUUCUCAAACAGUCAAAAAAGGCUUCACAUGCCUUUUCAUGACAUCUAAAAUCUCACAAGAGAGCUGGAAAGAGAAAAUGCAAAAUACAGCAUGUCAUAUGUGAAUAAAAUGGUGUUCUAAAAGUGCCUAAAAAAUAGAGCAGCACAAUCCUAGGACACGGUCCUAAAAAAGCACCAACAUGAAUAGGAAAAUAAAACACUCACAAGGAAAAGACUCCUGAAACAUUCACCCCCUCUCAUCAAGUAUUGCAACUUUUUAACACCUAUUCUUUAUCUUAGCUUUCUUUCUUAGGCAGCCAACAUCCGCCCAGGAGCCUUAACCUUUCACUCCCAGACAUAAUCCACUCAGCAGUGAAGAGCAUCAACUAUAUCUCCCCCAAAAACCAAACAUUGUAGAAGUAAAUGACCAAUUAAAUCCCCAUGUCUCAUUUAAAUCAUCUAUCAUCCAGGUCCAUGAAAGUAAACACCAGUAAACGUUAUUUUAAAGUUUUGCAAAGUUAUUCCAACACUCUGCACUAUUUUUUUAACCAAUUUCUUCCACAAAAGCACCAUAGUUCACAUUAACAGAAUUCAUUCGCAACUAAUAUUUGCAUACAUUCCAUGUUGUGCAAUGAUCAUAGGCAAUCACAUACUCAAAAACUCGAAAAUACCAAACACCCCCAGCUUUUUUUUUUAAUACAAGGCAGAUGAUUCAUUAUCUUGAUUGACCCAAUAACUUACAUGCACCUAAUCCUUAUCUUAAAUUUUGCCAUGCCAACAAAGUUCAAUAAGACCACACGAACGUCAUGCAGGACGCUGAAAGGAAAUCACAACAACAGUUAAGAAUUCAAGAUUACCUCUAGAAGCAGGUCUAUGACACGCUUGAUUUGAGCCCCGGCAGGGGCUUUUCGAAUGCUAUUAAUAUGCUGAAGCCUCUCCGUAUCAUUAGAAAAUUUGACAGCAGGAGCAGGAGUCCUCGCACUGGUAGAUGGCGCUGGAGCUACGGCAACCGUUUUUUGAGUCAGACUGGAUUUAGAAGGCCUUGAUUUCGCAAUACUUGUAAGCGUAGACUGACACUUCUCUUGCUGCUUCUUGAAUCGAUCUAAUUGUUCUUGCAGCGCCAUCUAAACAUAAAUUUUUUAAAAAAAAUUGCUUCGAUAUCAGAAUUUCUAUGAAUUAGUCUUAUAAUAACAAUCUCUUUUAUGCAGUUUCCUUAAUAUUCGAAUCUGAUUAAACACAGUCGAUUGGAGAAAAAGCCAAACGCAAACCCUAGCUCUUUUUAUUUUGAAUCAAUAGGGAUGGAUUCAUCUUAAGAUUUACAGGAAAUCGAUGAUGGUUUUGGAAUUUAGAAGUAAGCGCGUGUUUGGAUUGCAAUACACGGGAGAGGGAGGUAGAGAGAGAACCUUUGCGUUUUGCAGUGCUAAACUCGGCGUUUCGAGAUGCUUUUCUCUCUCCCUCUACCUGCUGCUGCUUCUUGGAAAAACAGAAUCCAAUUGGCAAACGAGUGCGGCUAGAAAGAUGGAGAGAGAAACUUCAUGUAUAUAUACCCAAUUGCUACUCUGAUUUCCUAAAAUCCCCCUCUCUCGUGUAAAAAUUACGACUGCUACUUGACCAUGGAAGGGUGGCCCGGUAAACUAUAUAUUUCUCUUGACUGGAUGGGUGCAUUUUAUGAAACCCAGAAGAAAUAUGAUAUAUUUAUUGGGCUGAUCUCCGGCCACUUGGGAGUGGGCUUUUGUCCAUAGGUUAUCUGAAUUUAAGCACGGAUUCAAUGUGCUUUCAAUCGAAUUAACACAAGUUUUUUUUUUUAUUAUUAUUAUUAUUUACAACCAAAUUAUAAAUUCACGGUUCUCUUUUUCAUCUUUCCCUAAACUAGUGUUGAGAUUAUGUGAUUCUUAAGCAAUAACAGAAGAAUUCAUUCGCAACUUCUCCUCUCUUCUUCUUCUUCUCUUCUUCGUCUAUCUCCCUAGGUACUUAUUAAGCUUCACCUUCACAAUUGGUAUCAGAUCCAAAUUCAAGGCCAUUAACUAGCAGCAAUCACUCAAAAUCUUACAAUAAUGGUAGAAAAUAACAAGAUAAAGGCUGUUGAGGAACCCUACAGGAAGCUGGAUGAAAAGCUACAGUACAACCACUAAGAAUGGCAAGAAUUUGUGGUUAAAAACAAAGAACAAUGGUUAAAGAAAGAUAGAAAGAUCGAUCAGAUGAAUCUGCAAAUUGAAUCUUUGACCACUCAAUUUCAAACCUUAUUUGGCUAGUCAAAUGGUAGGAAUAGAAGUAGGUGCUAACUCAAAAGGUAUUUUGGCGACUCCAAACAUAAGAAAGGAUGCAGUAAUUAAUACAUCUCACGAAGAAAUUGUAUCUGGAUUUAGAAGUCAGAAUCAUGGAGAUAGCUUGAGAGGUCAGGAGUAAAGUAAGAUGAGGAACAUUCCAAAACUGUCAAUGGUUGAUUUACCAAUGUUAUGGGGAGAUAAUCCUUGGAGCUAGUUAAGAAAAUACAUGAAAUAUUUCAAGUUCAAUCUAGUUCAUGCACAACAAUGGAUAUAAUUAGCUUUAUAUUAUCUCGAUGGCAAGGCAAAAGUAUGGUAUAAAGGGUUUGUGCAAGGAAAUAAGCGGGAUAAAUUCUCCCAAGUCAUUUAUAAAAGAUUUGGUAGUAAAGAUAACAUAAUAUAAGAGUUCAAUAAGCUUGGGCAACAAAGAAGUGUGAAAGAAUAUGUGGAAAAGUUUGAGGAGCUGAAGUUUUUUUAUGAAUGUUUUGAUCCUUUCAUUGCUUGAAAUAUAUUAUAUUUCUAGUUUCAUCAGUAGAUUGAAGAAUGAUAUAAAGUUGAUGUUAAAAAUCCCAAGUAAUUAAUUUUUUUAAUGGCUUUUGAGCAAGCAAAAUGACAGGAUCGGAAAGUCUAACAAUGUCACAGCUAGAAGAAGCAAAAUCAUGCAUAGAUUCAAUCCUUCCUUCAAUAGUGAAAAACCAGUAGGUAAUUAUGUUAAAAAAAAAAUUAACAUCACCCACAGGAUGGCACAACAUAAAUGAAUUAUCUAGUGCUUUAUUCCACGGUUAUUAAAUCCAGACCGUUCUGGUGGGUCAACUUGGUGGUUGGAUUGGUUCAAUUUUAUUAAAAGACCAGCCAGUGCAACAACCCGGCAAAACCCGGUCGACCCGGCAGGUCGAACCAUGACCCAGCAGGUGAUCCGGGCAAGACCUGGUGUUUUUUUUUUAAAAUGUGGUUUUUCUCCUAUAUCUUUUUUUUCAUCUUUUUUUAGUUGGUUAUUAACACCUUUUAAAGUUCACUAUAUAAAUACUAGAAAAUAUUUUAUUUUUUCAAUGUGAGAUUUGAAAACCUUUAAUAUACAUACUCUAUAUUCCCAAGAUAAAAGUUAUUUUUUUAAUGUGCAAUUUGAAAUCCUUUUGUAUAUAUACUCUAUGUUCAUAAGAAAAAAGUUAUGUUUUUUUAAUGUGGGAUUUGAAGCCCUUUCAUAUAUAUACUCUAUGUUCACAAGAAAAAAGUUAUACUUUUUCAAUGUGGGAUAAAAAAUUUUUUGGUUUAAAUACUUCAACUUAAAAGGAUAACAUAGUAUAUUUUCAAUGUGGGAUUUAAAACCCUUUAAUAAUAUACUCUAUGUUUCCAAGAAAGAAGUUAUUUUUUCAAUAUGAGAUUUGAAGCCUUUUAGUAUAUACUAGAAACAUGGCCCGCGCUACGCCACGGGUUAAUUUUUUUUGUAUAAAAAAUAUCAAAAAAAAGUUAAAAUCUAAGAGUGUUAUGUCUUUCUACAAAGUUAUAUCUAAGAGCAUUGGGUCUGUUUGCUACUCCUGACCCAAAAGUUAUAUUUAUAAUAUUAAUAAUAAUAUUAAACUUGCAUGACCCAAGUAUAAGUGAGUUUAGUUGCAACAUCAAACUCGGAGCCUUGGAUAUGAGUCUACUUGCAAGGUUUUGUUAUAAAAGUGUGAUAAUUAAAAAGAAAAAAAAUUAAUAUUACAGAAUGAAAUUAAAAAAAAUUAAUUGAAAAGAAAAAAACAAUAAAGCAAAGCAUUAUUCCGAUGAAUAGUGCUUUGCAAGGAGGGGUACAGUAAAAUCCCCUUAUGAGAUCACAAUAAUCUAAUGAACAAUAAACAAAAUAAAUCAUAAAGUUUAAUUCUUAAUCAAAUCGAUAUUAAAAGAUGAAAUUGAAAGAAAAAACUACUUAAAAAAAAGAAAAAAAAUUUGAAUCAACUGGUUUAACUCGUCAAACCUGGGAUUCGUGUCAUGAAAUUGAAAGAAAAAAGAUUGAUGUCUUUUAGUUAUAGUUAAUUACAAUAUUUAAAGAAGAAAUUGGAAGAAAAAAACUAAUAAAGAAAAAGAAAGAAAAUCUAAAUCAACCGGGUUAGCCCACCAAAUUAGGUUAACCUGUCAAACCUGGGAUUCGUAUCAUGAGAGUGUGAUAACUAAAUAGAAAAAAAUUAACAUUAAUAAACUAAAGUGAACAAAAAAAAAGAUUAAUUAAAAAGGAAAAAAAGGAAAAAAAACCUACAGGAAGAAAAAAACUAAUGAAGAAAAAGGAAAAAAAUCUGAAUUAACUGGGUUAACCCGUCAAACCAGGUUAAUCCGUUAAACCUGGGAUCCGUGUCAUGAAAGUUUGAUAACUAAAUAGAAAAAAACUUAAUAUUAACAAACUAAAAUUUUAAAAAAUAAUAAUUAAAAAGGAAAAAAAAGCAAAAAGCAAAAAAAACAAAAAUACUAAACAAAAAAAAUAUUAAUUUAAAAAAAAAACAAAGAAAGAAAAGUCUACAUGAAGAAAAAAACUAAUGAAGAAAAACAAAAAAAAUCUGAAUUAACUGGGUUAACCCGUCAAAUCUGGGAUUCGUGUCAUGAAAGUUUGAUAACUGAAUAGGAAAAAAAAUUACGGGUUAACCCAGAAUUAGCUGGGUUAACCCGUCAAACCCAGAAUCCGUGUCAUGAAAGUUUGAUAACUAAAUAGAAAAAAUUUAACAUUAACAAACUAAAUUAAACGAAAAAAUUAAUUAAAAAGAAAAACCAGAAAAAAAUCUGGGUUAACCCGUCAAACCCAGAACCCGUGUCAUGAAAGUUUGAUAACUAAAUAGAAAAAAAAUUAAUAUUAACAAAAAAAAUUAAACAAAAAAAUAUUCAUUAAAAAAAAUAAAGAAAAAAAACAGCUUAAAAAAACAAAGAAAAAAGAAAAAAAAAUUGCUUAAAAAAACAAAGCAAAAAGGAAAAAAAAAAAAAGACAACUCAACGUUUCACUAUGGACUGCACUCGAAAAAAUUAAUUAAAAAGAAAAACCAGAAAAAAAAUCCGGGUUAACCCGUCAAACCCGGAACCUGUAUCAUGAAAGUUUGAUAACUAAAUAGAAAAAAAUUAAACAUUAACAAAAAAAAAUUAAACAAAAAAAUAUUCAUUAAAAAAAACAAAGAAAAAAGCAAAAAAAAAAAUAGCUUAAAAAAAAAAAAAGCAGUUCAGCGUUUUACUGUGGACUGCACUGUGCAGUCCACAGUAAAACACUGAGCAGUUUUAGCUAUUGUUAUAAUACUCUAUGUUCACAAGAAAAAAAUUAUGUUUUUUUAAUGUGGGAUUUGAAACCCUUUAAUAUAUAUACUUUAUGUUCCAAAAAAAAAAUUAUUUUUUCAAUGUGAGAUUUGAAACCUUUUCGUAUAUAUAUUCUAUGUUCACAAAAAAAAAAUUAUGUUUUUGCAAUAUGAGAUAAAAAAAACUUUUUGAUUUAAGUAAUUCGAUUUAAAAGAAUAACAUAAUAUUUUUUUAAUGUGAGAUUUGAAUUUUUUAAUAUAUAUACUCUAUGUUCACAAGAAAGAAGUUAUUUUUUCAAUGUGGUAUUUAAAGUCCUUUGGUAUAUAUACUUUAUGUUCACAAGAAAAAAAGUUAUGUUUUUUCAAUGUGGGAUAAAUUUUUUUUUAAAAUAUUCUUUUAAACUUCAUUAUUUACAAUAUUUAUAGUCUAUAUUCACAUAAAUUUUUUCUUAAUUUUUUCAUAUGAAAUAUUAAAAUUUUAAAUAUAUUUUUUAUUUUUUUAGGUUGAUCUAUAAAACUCGAGAUCCAACUUUUUAAUUAGAUUAACUCUCGAGUAGAGUGAGGUUUGAUAACUAUGUUUUAUUCUAAAUUAAGUUGGGGGUACUGUUCUUGGAGUGACCCUUUCUUUUAAGAUAUUUCUUUAGCUUUUGUAGAUGCAGAAUGUUUUAGCUUGGACCCUUAGACUGAUAAAUAUUAAAGAAACCUAUCCUGAUAUAUAUUUGAUGAUACCUCUGAUACGAUAGCAUAUUCAAGAAGAUAUUUUAGCGAUUGAAAUUGAGGACUUCUGCGUGGAAUAGUAUUUACCUUCUCCAUUCCUUCACCGCACAUCCAUUGCAUCUGCCUUGUAAUUUUGUUGGAGAAAACUUGAAUUGAUGUGACAACAUGAGAAGAUGGUGAAGAGUUCGAAAAUAAAUGGUUAUUUUUAAAAAUAUUUUUUUAUUGAAAAUAUAUUAAAAUAAUAUUUUAUUUAUUUUAAAAAAAUUAAUUUUAACAUUAACCCAUCAAAAAAAUAAUUUACACAUAUUUAAUUCCAUUCAUUCAUUCAAUAGUAAAGAUAUCGGACCAUCAAGGCUAAACAAUUAAUAUGGUGAUCUUACUGGAGCCGGUGAGAAAAUUGAAAAAAAUAAAUAAUUAAUGCUGGAAUAAGAAAAUUUUGUUUUACUUGUCAAUAGUAACGAAUUCGGUCACUGAAAAAUAUGCGGCAACUCGGUCAUCAAAUUAAAGUUAACUCAUAGCCAUGUUACUAAACAUCUCUUUAUUUCACUCUUAUUUUUAUUACAGAAACAGGCAGGAACGAAACACACAGACUCGUGUGUUUUGUCCUUUUAGGAGGAAAACAAAAAACACUCCGCAAUACAUAAUACACGGACCUCAUUUCACCAGAUUUUAGAGACAUCACAUAGUAUUAUACAUCAAGUCGUCAACUCUCUGUUCUUAGCUUCUUACUCUGCACGCUUUUCUUCAACCAUCUCCAAGGGGAAAUGAGGAGACCCCCGAGGGCAAAAGAUAACCCUAUAGUUGGUCCCGCCAGGGCAUGUAAAUGUGCUUGUAGGGUCAUCCUGGGGAUAGCUAUAAGAAGUAGGGCACCUAUCCUUAAAAAACCUUGAAAAUUUGGUAGGGCCACAGCUCCCCUGCCCAUUAGUGCAGCAAUAUUCGUUAGUUUUGAACACGGAACAUGGGUUAUUACACCCCCCAGGAGCCCUCAAUUCAUUAGGACAUUGCCCAUUAAUAUCUGCUGUGCAAAGAAGCGCUUGACACUUCCCACCGCCUGAUGUUGGACUAAAUUCUAUAGGGAUAUUAAAUCCAUCAACAAGCGAUAUAUCAUAAAAAUCUAAGUUACCAAAUUGAUUUAAUGCAUAUUCAGCUAGAGUGUUAGGAGGGACACCCCAGCCUUUGCACUCUAGGCCACCGGUGCAAUCCCCAGUUUGGCAACGACCCUUACCACCACCAUCAAAGUUACAAUUUGUCCGGCCCCAAAUACGAGCCAUGGACGUGCCAGCAGGCACAUUAAGAUUCCAAGUUUGGCCACGUUCUAGACGGCGUCCACCACCAGGUGAGGCUGCGGCCCACACAGUGUAAGGACAACUAUUUCGGAUUUCAAAGGUGGCUGCAUUAGUAGAGAUGAAGAGAAGGCUAAAGAUCAGGAGGGAGGAGGUGAGAAAUUUGGUUAAGUGGCUCAUGGUUGAUUACUUGAUACUAGCUUAUGUGAAUCUGUGGUUUGAUUCAUGGUGUCAUUUAUGGUCUUUAUAUAGGGGAGGGGCGGCUUUUG